CUUUGACUUUGGAUCUCGUUGUCUUAGUUCGAGAUGUAAAUGGAGCAUGGCCUAAUAGUUGGGCAGCGACUGUGGUUCGUCGGGAAUACGCGAAUGGUGCAGUGCGUAGGUGCCUUGGAAUACCACAAAUCUGAACUAAGAGGAAAACAUAGACGAUGGAUCACAAUUAUGAGGGCAAACAUAUCAAGAGAGUGGUGGUGGCAGCAGUGGGUGGAGGAGAAGAUAGCUAGAUCUAGAGAAUGUUCGUGGUUGCGGUGGAGGAGAAGAUUGUUUGGUCUAAAGAGUGGUGGUGGCGGCGAAGGGUGGAGGAGAAGAUGGUUAGAUCUAGAGAAUAUUGGUGGUUGAGGUUGGAGGAGAAGAUAGUUAGGUCUCAAGAGUGGUGGCGGCGGCGGGCGGGGGAGAAAAUAGUUAGGUCUAAUGUUGAUGGUUGUGUCAUGUGGGGCGAGGUGGCUUUAUAGCUGUGCGGUUUGGGACUAGGAGCGCGGCUGCGAUCCGUGUGAUGCGGGGUGCGGGGCGUCGAGUGAGAGAUGGGUGGCGGGGAAUGGGAAAAAGGGCUGCGCAGAUACAUGACGUGGCGGGGGAGGUGUGUUUCAUUUUUUAGGGUGAGGCGGGGUGUGGUGAUGUGAGGAGGACGUGCAUCUCGGGUAGGUGGAUGAGAGGUAGGACCAAAUGGUUUUUGGAUGGAUUGUGUUUGCGCACGGCGUUGCUCGGCGCCACAAAUUUUCUGAUGGAUUUCUGGUUCGUGGGCCCAUGAGGUGUGUGCCUGUGAUGAGACUUGUGCGAAGGUGUAAACUUGGGUUAUUGCUAGAACAAUUUGGAAAGCAUAUUUCUGUAUCUUCCAUGAUCAAUUGAUAUCACUGCUUUUCUUUCAAGUAUUGUAUAACACACCUCAACAAAAAGGCUACUCCAUCUGUUCAAUUGAUAUUGGGGUGUUUUGCAACUAGCGGCUGAUAGACCUCAAACGGAUCUAUAAUUUUUGUUGUUCUAUGAUGUUAUAUUAUCAAUUUUGUAUACUUUUUAUACCAUUUAUAUUGUUAAUCUGGACUAACCCAUUAAUUUAGUGCCUACUGUUAGUUCCUUGUUUCUGCAUGAUUUUGGUUUUACAGGAAAUCAAUAUCUACGGAGGUCAAAAUAACUUGUUGAUUUAAUUCGAUUUUCUGGGUAACAAAGGACCCAAGAAGCUUUGGGGGAGAUCGUGAGGAGCAACAGGGGGGCACAUAACCACCUGGCGCGCCUUAGCCCUAGGGCGCGCCCUAGGUCGUGUGGGGCCCACCUUAAUCGCCCUUUGUCCAUUCCACCGCUAUAAAUUCCUACGAAACCCUCUACCAUAUUUAUAGAAGAAUUUUUCUGCCACCGCAAGUUCCCGUUUGAUGAAAAUCCAGUCUGGAGGCCUAUUCCGGAGAUCUGUCGGAAGGGGAAUCCAUUGCCGGAGGCUCCUUCAUCAACCUUGCAGCCUCCAUGACUAUGUGUGAGUAGUUCCAUGAGGACCUUAGGGUCCAUAUAGUAGCUAGAUGAAUCUAUCUCUUUUUGGAUCUUCAAUACCACCAGGUGACCCAUUGCGCCAAUUGGCCUAGAGACCAACUCCAACCUACAAGUUAAGCGAACUAUACGAAACCUAGAAUGGAAGUCAAGUGAACUAUUUGAAGAGACCAAGAAGAUAAGCAACUAAUACAACAAAAAAUAGGUGAAUUGUUUGAUGGUGCAGAGACCAACUGCAGCCCGGAAAUUAAGUGAGAUAUAUGAAACAUAAAAUGGAAGUUAAGUAAACUAUUUGAAGGAAGUUUGUCAUGAAUGGUCUGAUUAUGGUUAUGUUUGUAUUGCAUUGUUUCUACCUGAAAGUGUGUUAUAUCGAGUAGAGGGGGGUGAAUAGGCGAUUUUUACAAAUUCGUCACUUAGGAAAUUCAACUUGAGGAAUUUCCUAAAUAAGGAACUACAAGCAGCGGAAUAAGUACUUAGGUGCAUGCAUAACAAAGCAGUAGCAUAGUCAUCAUGAUGAAAUGAAACAUACAUAGAGCAAAGGUAGCGUGUAAACAGGAUAAGCAGGUAGAAGACAAGAUGACUGAAGAAUUAGGAUUGAGGAAAUUGAGAAAGUCUUCAGUCAAAGUCUUCAAACAGUAACAGUCAAGUUCAUCAACACAUGAAUGAGGAAAUGAAAGGGUUGAGGAAAUAGAACCAGUAGCUUGGUGAAGACGAUGAUUUGGUAGACCAGUUCCAACUGCUGUGAUGAUCGUAUGUCUGGUUGGAGCGGCUAGGUAUUUAAACCUGAGGACACACAGUCCUCACCGUAUUCUCCUUGAGAUAAGGUCACAGACCUCGCCCAAUUACUCGUGGUAAGUUUCAGGUGACUUCCAAACCUUCACAGACUCGGUCACUCGGCGAUCCACAAUUCCUCUUGGAUGCUCUAGACCAUGACGCCUAACCGUCUGGAGGAUGCACAGUCCUCAAAGGUAACAAGCGUCGGUUCCACCCAGGAACAAUCUCUUCAGUGAUGCUCAAUCACUUUGGGUUGUAGGUGUUUGGGUUUGGGUUUUUCCUCACUGAUGAUUUUCGCUCAAAGUCCUCGGAGGAGGGGAUCCUCUCAAUGACUAGUGGUUGUAGGGGGCGGCUAUUUAUAUAGCCUAGGGAGCAGCCCGACAUGAUAGGACAUAAAUGCCCUUCAAUUAUAUGACCGUUAGGUGGAUAAGAUAUUUUGGGAUAGCUAGCGCAUGUAAGUGCAUCUAGUGCCCCUUAGUGAUUUUGGUGUAUUGAAGACUUAUAGGUUAAGGAACUAAUGUGUUUAUGAGUGUACACAUGUCUAUAAGUCUAUGAGGAGUUUGAUAUUUACAGAGAAAGUCGACCCCUAAAAAUGAAGUUCUUCGACUGAAGACUUUGGAUUUCUGAAGACUUUCUGAAGACUUUGAAAGUGAAGAAAUUGGUGUGACCUUGAAGACUUGGUAUUCAUUUGAGGAACAUGAAGCGUGAAGACUUUUGUGUUCGUAGUUUCAUUUUCCCUUUCUUGAGACAUAGGAAACACUGUACUGUUAAAGGGGGUCGAGGAAAUACUAAGGAUAAAUUUCCAUGUGAUUCUCAACUCAAAAUCCUACACCUACCAAUCCCUUCGAGUGAAGCCAUUGGAAAUCUCAUACAGUUUAGUCAUAUUCUUCAGUGACAGAGAGGAAGUUCUUCUGGUCUCUGAGGAAUUUGUUCUGACUGAGGAGUAAGGAAUUCGCCAGUGCGGAUUGCCUACAUAGUGAGGAACACGAUAGCCCUGAGGAAUUUGAUACUCAAAUUUCUGACCGUUGCUGUGCUAUGCGCCAGCUGUCCCAAAAUAUCUACCCACCUAACGGUCAUAUCAUUGAAGGGCAUUUAUGUCUUAUCAUGUCGGGCUGCUCCCUAGGCUAUAAAUAGCCGCCCCUACAACCACUAGCUGGUUGGCUGCUCCGAGAAAACUGACAAUUGUCAUUUGAGAGCAUCCCAUCCUCCGAGGACUUUGAGAGAAAAUCAUCAAGUGAGGAAAACCCAAACCCAAACACCUACAAACCCAAAGUGAUUGAGCAUCACUGAAGAGAUUGAUCCUCCAUGGAUCCGACGCUUGUUACCUUUGAAGACUGUGCUUCUUCCAGACGGUUAGGCGUCAUGGUCUAGAGCAUCCAAGAGGAAUUGUGUAUCUCCGAGUGACCGAGUUUGUGAAGGUUCGGAAGUCACCUGAAGACAUACCAUGAGUGAUUGGGCGAGGUCUGUGUGACCUUAGCUCAAGGAGAAUACGGUGAGGACUGUGUGUCCGGGACUGUGUGUCCUCAGGUUUAAAUACCUAGCUGCUCCAACCAGAUGUACAACUGAGACAGCAGUUGGAACUGGUCUACCAAAUCAUUGUCUUCACCAAGCCAACUGGUUCUAUUUCCUCAACUCUUUCAUUUCCAGAUAACUGUGUUGUGCACUUAUUCAUAUCUGUGUUUGAAGACUUUGACUGAAGACUUUCUCAAUUUGCUCAGUUCAAUUUCUUCAGUCUGUUUGUCUUCAUCCUGUGUUAUCCUGUGUUUACGCUUUCUGUACUCUGUGCUUGUCUUCAUUUCAUCAUGAUGGCCAUGCUUGUGUUCUUCUAUGCAUACUUUUGAGUACUUAUUCCGCUGCAAGUAGUUCUUCGCUAAGGAAUUUCCUCACUGGCAAAUUCCUCAGUGAAGAAUUCAUAAAAAUCGCCUAUUCACCCCCCCUCUAGUCGAUAUAACGCACUUUCAAUUGGUAUCGUCGCCGGUGAGGAAGAGCUUCACUGCCGCGACCUUGUCGCCGCCGUACUCGCACCAACCGCGGAAAUCUUCACUCCGCCGCCGCCGUAGCCAUCUUCCUCCGCCGAGUUAGGGAGUGGAAGAUCUGCACAGACGAAGUUCUCAUCUCUACCUCACAAUUCGUCAUGUUCUUCGUUCAGGGUAAUUAAAAGUUACUUUUACUGCCCUCCUUGAUUCAAAUGAUUUCUACAAAAUCUUCAAAGGUGUUUAUUCUUCAAAUUCUUCACACACUAAACACCUCACAUGUCAUCUGUUCUUGAUUCGUUUCUCUAAGCAAUAAUUUUUCUUCAAGAUUCCUCAAUUGUGUGGAUCUUCGAUCUAUACAACUCUGGAACCUAAGACAAAGAACGCUUAGUGAAAUUCUUCAAGACUCAUCUGGUCAAAUUCCUCAAACUUGUUCUUUUUGAAAAAUCUUCUGAGAACGCAUAUGACCUCUUCAACUUCCUCGCAACUAUACUCUGUUCACAGGUACUCAUGUCCGCUGCUGAAUCACUAGGUUCUCAUCAACUUAACUCAUUUGCAGCGUUCCUUGAAGAAAGGUUGCAUACUUCUUCAGAGAAUUCAAUUGUUCAAAUUCCUCAUCUGAAGAAAAUGGCUGAUGGAAAGAAGCCACAGAAAGGAGGAAAGAGGCCUAAGAUCAACACUGCAUUUGAAAUCCCUGAGGACAUCUAUGCUGGGUACUGCACACCCCCUGAGGAAGAUAAAAAUCAGUGCAAGGUGCGCAUUCAGAAGAUAGAGAGGAGAUGGGCAAGAGAGUGGAGGGAGUACAGAUAUGUGACUCCCAAGUACAUGAAGAAAUUCACACUCAAUCCUCCAUGCUCAAGACCUCCGUUGGCACCUGGCCAAGAAGUUGAUCUCACCAGCCUCAAGCGUGGCGAAGAUUAUCCUGAUGAAUGGGCCAAGCGCCAGGCCAAGCUGGCUAAACAAGCUAGAGAAGCAGUGAGGAAAUUCAAUGAAGACUCUGCUGCUGCUGCUGCCGCUGAGGUCUCUGUCAAGCCGAAGAAAUCCAUGGCAAAGAAGCCUGCGCGUAAGCCAAGUGCUUCACCGUCAAUGUCCUCAUGGCCAAUUCCUCAUGCUGCUCCUGCUCCUCCAAAGUCCUCAGCUGCUCCGACCAAAUCCUCAGCACCUGUGCAUCUUGCCACGUGCCAAAGGACUACAGGCAUCUCUAUUGCCUCAGGAGCUUCAGCUAGUUCCUUAGCUGCACCAAAUUCUUCAACAUGACCCUCUCUGCUGAAGACAAAGACCACUGCUGGACGAGGCUCUCGCCCAAGCCCUCACAAGAAGCAGGUCGCCUUCCAAGUGUCGUCUGAAGAAGACGAAGUUGAUGAUGAAGAACUUGCUGAAAUCAUCAGAGAUAGGCAAGUCAGGGCCGCUAGAGCCAAUGGCACAAAUGUGCCUCUGCUUUUGGAUCCAAAGUUGAUCCUCGAUUACAUUGAUCUCUGGCACAAGGACCCAAACACUCCUAUGCCUGACUUCAAGCUGACUCCUGGCGAAAGUCAUAUGCUGACUGCCUUCAUCCAAGAAGAGAAAUGGAAAUUUGAGAAGGCCAGGCAGCUCAAGAAAGCGCAGUACAGGAAGGAGAAAUUCCUGAAGAACAACGUUGUCUCUAUGACAACUGAUGAACUUGUGAAGAUCCAGUCUGAAAUCAAAGUCCUCAGCGAUGAUUUCAAUGCUUACUAUGCUGAUUGGAAAGGAGCCAAGGUCUGGUUUGUUAAACUGAGUGAGAAGUUCACCUCCAAUGUUACAGCCCCAUUGCAACAAGAAAUUCCUCAGGCUGAAGCAUCUGCUCAGCCAAUUGAAGAACAUGCCAGCACCGCUGAUGACAUUCAGGCUACUGAAGAAAAAUGUGAGUUCCAGGGUUGAUGACUGCAUUCCAGCCGCUGAUGAAAUUGCCAGGGCAUCCACUAGUGGUGCGCCUGAAGAAAAUGAAGAGGUCAGGGAAACUACAUCAGUUGUGCCUGAAGAAAAUCAACCACAUUCCUCUGCUCCUCCUGCGCCUACCCCAACUCCAAUUCUUCCAUCUGCAUCAGAUGUGAAGAAGACCAAGGCUGCAGAGCAUGCAGCAGUGAAGAAAAGGAAAGCAUCAGCUCCUUCAGAUUCUUCAGCACCGAAGAAGAUGAAGAAAUUGACAAGCUCAUUUGCUAAUCCAAUUGAUGUUGUUCCUGUUUCCUCCAUGCCAUCAAAGGAAAUCGUCCCUUUUGAUGAAGAAUAUGUGAUCCCUAGCAGAUCUGAUGAAGAAAAUCCUUCUGGUGCUUUGUCAGAGCAGAUGGAUGAAGAAAUUGAAGUGGAUAAAAUCCCUUCAACCCCCACAGUUUCCUCGCCUAUGCCUCAGUUUACUGCUGAAGAGGCCGGCGUUGAAGAAAUAGAAGAUGAAGAUGUGGACAUUGGCUGUACCACACCAGUGAUGAAUGAUGACUUUUGGGAAAGUCAGCACCCCAACUCUCCACUCUUCACACCAUUGCAACAAAUUCCUCAGUCCCCAGCAACUACAGUCGAAAUGGGAUCUGAUGAAGCUCAUGAAGAAAUUCCAGCCACUAGUGCUGAAGAAAAUGAAAAUGAAGAAUUGAAGACCCAGGCUGCCACUGAAGAGGAACCAGAAAUUCCUCAGCCUGAAGAACCUGCAAUUGCGAUUCCUGAGGUUGUAAUGCAACUGACUGACACUCCUCUGCCCAAGCCAAAGGAUCCAUUCUCAAGGAAGCAAAAAUUCAAGGCUAAAGAUUUCUUCGGCGAGCACGUAUUCUUCACUGAUUACAACCCCUAUGACUCUGCUCGCAUUAGGAAGAGGCGUUUCUGACUGUCAGCCAGACAAAUUUUUAUUCCUUGGUGCUGUUCAACAAAGACAAAGUCUUCGAUCAUGAGCACAUUCCUCGCGUGGAUAUGAAAUCUCUGCCGUGCUUCGUGCCAGUGCUCAGUGUUCUUUACGACGCUGGACUGUUGAAUUUCUGCACUGAUAUAUGUGAUUGGAAUGAAGAGCUCAUUCUUCAAUUUUAUGCAACUCUGCACAUCACCGGAGACUCUGAAGAUGUGAAUUCAUGGGUGCUGGACUGGAUGUCUGAAAAUACUCACUACAAAGCACCAGCUACUGAAUUGCUUCGUUCUUUGCCUCUCAGUCCUCCCCUUGAAGCUGCUCGUGCGUCUACAGUGAACCUAAGCUUACAGAUCACUAUAUGCAAGUCCUGAUGAAGCCAUUGAAGCCAGGUCAGGCCCCAAGAACUAAAUUCCUUGUGAAGGAAUAGCUAUAUGUGCCUCAGACUGUCUAUCGCAUUCUGACGAAGACAUUGAGUCCUAUCAAGGGCCACGACUCGAAUGAAGAAGAAGUCGUCGGCAUCAUGAAGAAUCUGCUUUUCAAUAUCACUCAUGGCGUUCCCGUCAACUUCCAUGAUUUCUUCAUGAGGAUUCUGGCCAAUGUCGCAAUUUCACCGUUUGAGUUGAAGCCUUAUGCUCCGUGGAUUAUGAGAUUCAUCAGAACAAGGUCUUCACUCAACUACAAAGCUGAUACACUGAACCAUUGCAGCUACUUGCCCCCGAUUGAAGUCCUCAAACAGACAUUUUCCUCAGCUGAUGAAAAGGGCAAGGCUACUGUUGUUAUUGAUGAAGGCAUUCGUCCAUUGGAUGGUCAAUUUCGCAAGGCUGCAUCCUACUCCACCAAUGAUGACCCUGCCACCCAUGACUCUGCCGCCAACGCAACCAAGCCAAAUCCUCAAGGCACAGCUCCUAGGGUGAUGACUGAGCGUGAGCUUCUCCUCAGUCUUCACCAGAAGGUUGAUCGCAAUCACAAAUGGGUCAAGCGUCAGUUUGGUUCAAUUCUUCACAACAUGACUGCAACCCACAAUGCGGUGAAGAAAAACCAUUACUACCUUCAUGAAACCCUCAACCGCACCUGGGCUGUUCUGUCGCACAUUUAUAGCGCAGAAGAUCUGAAGAAAAUGGGUAUCAAGGAGGACUUUGACUGGUCUGCACCUCCACCGAAGAAAUACAAGAAGGUCCAGAUUCCGUCCUUGGUGGCCAGCUCCUAUUCUUCAUUGCGUGACACCGACGAGCAUGAAGACUUGGACGACACUGCGGCAGGCCCUACAUCAACAAACGACCCCAACAACGCUGGCGCUCCUUCAUCAACUUGAUAUUCUUCAGGGGCGUUAGUCCUCAUUUUCAAACCUUUUGGUCAUUCAAUGACAAAGGGGGAGAAAUUUGAGUUAGUCUUCAAGCGGGUCUAUCUAUAUGGGCGUUUGUUUUCUAAGUUACAACUCUCGUUCUUCUGAUGACUUUGUUGGAUCGAGUUGUAAACUUAAACUCUAUGGUGGCCUGAUACUUUUGUUGUUUCUUCUGCAUGCUUAUUCCUCGUUAAUGUUAUUGCACGCAUGCUGAAUUACAUCAGUCACCAUAUUUCAUCAUGCAUUUCAAAUUCUUCAUAUAUUAUGUCAAAUGCAUGUAUGAAUUACAAGAUAUAGGGGGAGAUCUCCAUGAUUUUACUCUUCAAGUGUGCAUUGCUUCAAAAGGAAAUUCCUCACUAUGCACAUCUUCAGGGGGAGUUCUUCUAUAUCUUGCAAUCAAAUUCCUCAAUAUCAGUAUUUACACUUCAUAUGUUUAUCCCGUGUGAAAACUUAACCUAUAUUGUCAUCAAUCACCAAAAAGGGGGAGAUUGUAAGUGCAUCUAGUGCCCCUUAGUGAUUUUGGUGUAUUGAAGACUUAUAGGUUAAGGGACUAAUGUGUUUAUGAGUGUACACAGGUCUAUAAGUCUAUGAGGAGUUUGAUAUUUAUAGAGAAAGUCGACCCCUAAAAAUGAAGUUCUUCGACUGAAGACUUUGGAUUUCCGAAGACUUUUUGAAGACUUUGGAAGUGAAGAAAUUGGUGUGACCUUGAAGACUUGGUAUUCAUUUGAGGAACAUGAAGCAUGAAGGCUUUUGUGUUCAUAGUUUCAUUUUCCCUUUCUUGAGUCAUAGGAAACACCAUACUGUUAAAGGGGGUCGAGGAAAUACUAAGGAAAAAUUUCCAUGUGAUGCUCAACUCAAAACCCUACACCUACCAAUCCCUUUGAGUGAAGCCAUUGGAAAUCUCAUACAGUUCAGUCAUAUUCUUCAGUGACAGAGACGAAGUUCUUCUGGUCUCUGAGGAAUUUGUUCUGACCGAGGAGUUAGGAAUUCGCCAGUGCGGAUUGCCUACACAGUGAGGAACAUGAUAGCCCUGAGGAAUUUGAUACUCAAAUUUCCGACCGUUGCUGUGCUAUGCGCCAGCUGUCCCAAAAUAUCUACCCACCUAACGGUCAUAUCAUUGAACGGCAUUUAUGUCUUAUCAUGUUGGGCUGCUCCCUAGGCUAUGAAUAGCCGCCCCCUACAACCACUAGCUGGUUGGCUGCUCUAAGAGAAACUGACACUUGUCAUUUGAGAGCAUCCCAUCCUCCGAGGACUUUGAGCGAAAAUCAUCAAGUGAGGAAAACCCAAACCCAAACACCUACAAACCCAAAGUGAUUGAGCAUCACUGAAGAGAUUGAUCCUGCGUGGAUCCAACGCUUGUUACCUUUGAAGACUGUGCUUCUUCCAGAUGGUUAGGCGUCAUGGUCUAGAGCAUCCAAGAGGAAUUGUGGAUCGCCGAGUGACCAAGUUUGUGAAGGUUCGGAAGUCACCUGAAGACUUACCACGAGUGAUUGGGCGAGGUCUGUCUGACCUUAGCUCAAGGAGAAUACGGUGAGGACUGUGUGUCCUCAGGUUUAAAUACCUCGCCGCUCCAACCAGAUGUACAACUGAGACAGCAGUUGGAACAGGUCUACCAAAUCAUUGUCUUCACCAAGCCAACUGGUUCUAUUUCCUCAACUCUUUCAUUUCCUCAUAACUGUGUUGUGCACUUAUUCAUAUCUGUGUUUGAAGACUUUGACUGAAGACUUUCUCAAUUUCCUCAGUUCAAUUUCUUUAGUCUGUUUGUCUUCAUCCUGUGUUAUCCUGUGUUUACGCUUUCUGUACUCUGUGCUUGUCUUCAUUUCAUCAUGAUGACCAUGCUUGUGUUCUGCUAUGCAUACUUUUGAGUACUUAUUCCGCUGCAAGUAGUUCUUCGCUAAGUUCCUCACUAGCAAAUUCCUCAGUGAAGAAUUCAUAAAAAUCGCCUAUUCACCCCCCUCUAGUCGAUAUAACGCACUUUCAGCGCAUAGCACAACAACGGUCAGAAAUUUGAGCUCUCAAAUUCCUCAGGGCUAUCAUGUUCCUCACUUGUAGGCAAUCCGCACUCGCGAAUUCCUAACUCCUCAGUUAGAACAAAUCCCUCAGAGAACAGAAGAUCUUCGUCUCUGUCACUAAAGAAAUUGGCUGAACUGUAUGAGAUUUCCAAUGGCUUCACUCGAAAGGAUUGGGUAGGUGUAGGAUUUUGAGAUUUGCAUCACUUGGAAACUUUUCCUUAGUUUUACCUCGACCCGCUUUAACAGUACAGUGUUUUGUAUGAGCCAAGAAAGAGAAAAUGAAACUAUGAAAACAAAAAGUCUUCACGCUUCAUAAUCCUCACAUCAAUAUCGAAGUCUUCAAGGUCACACCAAUUUCCUCACUUUCAAAGUCUUCAAGAAAACCAAAGUCUUCAACUGAAGACAUUCAUUUUUAGGGUUCGACUUUCAUCGGAAAUAUCAAACUCCUCGUAGACUUAUAGAACCUGUGUACACUCACAAACACAUUAGUCCCUUAACCUAUAAGUCUUCAAUACACCAAAAUCACUAAGGGGCACUAGAUGCACUUACAAUCCCUCCCUUUUUGGUGAUUGAUGACAAAUAGGUUAAGUUUUCAAUGGGGAUAAACAUAUGUAGUGUAAAUAAUGAUAUUGAGUAAUUUGAUUGCAAGAUAUAGAAGAACUCCCCCUGAAGAUGUGCAUAUUUGAGGAAUUUGCUUUGGAUAGCAAAUGCACAUUGUAGAGUAAUAUCAUGGAGAUCUCCCUCUAUAUCUUGUAAUUCAUACAUGCAUUUGACAUAUAAUAUGAAGAAUUUGAAAUGCAUGAUGAAAUAUGGUGUCUAUACUUGAGGAAAUAAGCAUGCAGAAAAAUAGUUCAAAAGUAUCAGACCACUAUAGGACUUAAGUUUACAACUCAUCCGAGCAAACACCUCAGAAGAGCAAGAGUUGUAACUUAACAAAAAAUUGCCCAUAUAUAAGACCCACUUGAAGACUAACUCAAAUUUCUCCCCCUUUGUCAUGGAAUGACCAAAAGGGACAAAAAAUGAGGACUAACGCCCCUGAAAAAUACCAUCAUGAUGUUGAUGGAGGAGCGCCAGCAUUGUUGGGGUCGUCCGUUGAGGUAGGGCCUACCAUAGUGUCGUUCAAGUCUUCAGCUUCAUCCGUCUCGCAUGAUGAAGAAUAGGAACUGGGGACGAGCUGAGGAAAUUUGGCCUUGUUCAAUUUCUUCGAAGGAGGCUGAGACCAGUCAAAGUCCCGUUGGAAGCCCAUCUGCUUGAGAUCUUCAUCACCGUAGAGGUGAGACAAUAUGGCCCAAGUGCGAUCAAAGACUUCAUGCAAGUAGUAAUGGUUUUUCUUCACAAUGUUUUGCGUGACAGUCAUGUUCAGAAGAAUUGAGCUAAAUUGGCACUUGAACCACUUGUGAUUUCGAUCGACCUUCUGAUGAAGACUUAAGAGAAGCUCACAAUCAGUCAUCACUCGUGGAGCAGUGGCUUGAGGAUUUUGCUUUGAAGCUUUUGCGACAGAAUCUUGAGUUGUAGAGUCAUCAUUGGUGGAAUAAGAUGCAGCUUUGCGAAACUGUCCAUCCAAUGGAUGAUUGCCUUCAUCAAUAAUAGCAGCUUUGCCUUUCUCAUCAGCUGAGGAAAUAGUCCUUUUGAGGACUUUAAUAGGAGGCAAAUAGCUGAGAUGAUUUUGAUAAUCAACCUUGUAAUGAAUUGAAGACCUUGAUCUGAUGAAUUUCAUGAUCCAGGGAGCAUAAGGCUUCAACUCAUAAGGUGACAAGCAGCAUUAGCCAAAGUCCUCAUGAAGAAAUCAUGGUAGUUGAUAGGAAUGCCAUGUAUGAUAUUGAACAGCAGAUUCUUCAUGAUGCCAACAACCUCUUCUUCAUCAGAGUUGUGGCCCUUGAUUGCACUGACGGUUUUGGUCAGAAUGCGGUAUACUAUCCUUGGCACAUAUAGCAAUUCCUUCACGAGGAAUGUGGUCCUUGGAGCUUGGCCAGCCUUCAAAGGCUUCAUCAACACUUGCAUCAGAUGAUUUAAAAGUUUAGGUUCCUCAUAUAUGAGCCUUCCACCUUCAGCAGGAGGACUGACUGGAAUGGCAUGAAGUAAUUCAGAGGCCGGGGCUUUGUAAUGCGUAUUCUUAGUCAUCCAAUCAAGCACCCGUGAAUUCACAUCAUCCACAUUUCCAGUGAGGUGAAAUGUAGCAUAGAAUUGAAGAAUUAGCUCUUCAUUCCAAUUGCAGAUGUCAGCACAGAACUUUAAAAGCCCAGUGUCAUGAAGAACACUCAGGACAGGUUGGAAGCAUAGGAGAGACUCCAUAUCCGCAUGAGGAAUUUGACAGUGCUAAAAUACUUUGUCCUUAUCAAAUAAGAGUGAUGAAUAGAAGUUCAUCUGACUGUCUAUCCAGAACCGCUUGUGCCGAAUUCUUGCUGAUUCAUAGGGAUUGAAAUCCGUGAAGAAAUGGUGCUCAGCAAAGAAAUCAUCAGCCUUGAAUUUCUGCUUCUUUGUAUGAGGAUUUAGUGGCUUGGGCUGAAGAUUUACAUUUGAAGGCUUCACAGCCAAUUGGCGCACAACCUCUGGAGCCACAGGCUGAGGAAUUUCAGCAGCAGUUUUAGUAGCAGUAGUCUUGGUCUCCAUUUCUUCAGCUGCAGUAGCUGGAAUUUCUUCUGGAAUGGAAAGAAGUGAAGUUUGACGUUCUUCAGACCCCGUAUGAAUUUCUUCAGUUUGCACAGGGGACUGAGGAAUUUGAUGCAGAGGAGUGGUCAAUGGUGAAUUGGGAUGAAGUCUUUCCCAAUAGUCAUCAUUCAGAACUGGUGUAGUAGAACCAAUGUCCACAUCCUCAUCUUCUUCUACUAAUUCUUCAAGGCAUGCCUCUUCAAUUGUGAAUUGAGGCAUGGGCGAUGAUAUCAGUGGAGUUGAAGGGAUAUCAUCCACUUCAAUUUCUUCAUCCAACUGCUCUGAAGAAGCAGCAGAAGGAUUCUCUUCAUCUGUGUCAUCUGGUAUGACAUAUUCCUCACCAUAAGGAAUGAGUUCCUUGGAAGGUACAACAGAGAUUGGAACAACAUCAAUUGGGUUAGUGAAGGAACUUGUCAAAGUCUUCACUUUCUUCGGAGCUGAAGACUCUGCAGUCAUUGAUGCUUUCCUUUUCUUCACAGCUUCCUUCUCCGCAGCUUUUGUUUUCUUCAAUUCUGAUGCAAAAGGAAGGUUGACUUGCAUCACCUUAGAUGUUUUGGCAGGAGGAGCAGAUGAAGUGAGUUCAUUUUCUUCAGGCACAACUGAUGCAGUUGCCCUGUCUUGUUCAGUUUCUUCAGGCACAACAACAGAUUCGUCAGCUGGCCUGGGUUGUUCUCCAGGUGCAACAUUGGUGGUUGCCCUGGCAGUUUGUUCAGAAACUAGAAUCUCUUCAGCAGCCCUGGUACUCUCAGUGUCAUCAACAGUCUAAUUUUCAUUAGCUGUGCUAGCAUUUUCUUCAGUAGGGAGAGCAGAUGCUACAGUCUGAGGAAUUUCUUGUUGCAAUGGAGUUUGCAACAUUGAGCUUGAGGGAUUUGGAGAGUCUAACGAAUCUGACUUUGGCACCUAGCCAAUCUGCAUGGUAUCUGUCAAAUUCAUCACUGAGGUCUUUGAUCUCCUUUUGUAGAGCCACAAGUUCUUCAGGAGACAUGUAUACAACAUUUUUCUUCAGAAAACGCUCCUUCUUGUACUGAGCCUUAUUGACUUGUCUGGCCUUCUCAAAUUUCCAUUUUUCUUCAUUGAUGAAGGCUGUUAACAUGUGACCUUGACCAAAAGUGAGGUUCAAGUCAGGCAGAGGAGUGUUCGGAUCCUUGUGCCAUAGAUCAAUGAACUCAAGGAUCUUCUUCGGAUCCAGCAUGAGAGGCACAUCACUGCCUUUGGCUCUAGCGGCCCUUUCUUGCUUUUUUAUGAUAAUCUCAGCAAGUUCUUCAUCAUCAGCUUCAUCAUCAUUAGACGGGACUUGAAAAACAACUUGCUUCUUGUGAGGACUUGGCCUCGAGCCACGUCCAACAGUGGACUUUUUCUUCAACAAGGAUGGGCCAGUUGAGGACUGUGGUGGAGCUGAGGAACUUGCAGAUGCUCCUGAAGCAAUAGAAAGUCAUGCGGUCCUUUGUCACGUUGCAAGAUGCAUAGGUGUUGAUGACUUUGCAGCAGCAGUUGAGGAUUUUGUGGCAACAGAGGGAAUUGGUGUUGCCCUUGAAGAGGUUUCCUGAGGAAUUGCCCGUGAGGGCUUUGUACUUGGCUGUGAGAGCAUUGCUGUUGAGGAACUCGGCUUCACAACUAAUUUCUUUGGCAAAGCCUUCUUAGGAUUGCUAGCAGAGGCCUCAGCAGCAAUAGCAGCAGCAGAAUCUUCAUUGAAUUUCUUCGCUGCUUCCUUUGUAAUUUAGCCAACUUGGCUUGGCGCUUGGCCAAUUCCUUGGGAAAUUCACCACCUCGCCUAAUGCUUGUGGGAUUAGAUUUUUGGCCUGGAACCAAUGGAGGUCUUGGGCAUGGAGGGUGUACAGCGAAUUUCUUCAUGUACUUUGGAGUAACAUAUCAAUAUUCCCUCCAUUCCCUUGCCCAUCUCCUCUCAAUCCUCUGAAUGCGCAUCUUGCGCUGAUUUUUGUUUUCUUUGCCAUGUGUGGCUUCAUCAAGUGUGCAAUACUCAGCAUAAAUGUCUUCAGGGAUUUCAAACACAGCGUUUAUCUCUGGCCUCUUUCCUCCCUUUUGAGGUCUUUUACCAUCAGCCUUUUUCUUCACUUGAGGAUUUUGAACAAUUGGUGUUUCUGAGGAAGUAUGCAAUUUAUCUUCCAGGAAUGCUGUAAAUGAGUUAAGUUGAUGAGAACCUAGUGAUUCAGCAGCUGACAUUUUGUACCUGUGAACAGAGUAUAGGUGCGAAGAAUUUGGAGAGGUCAUAUGCGUUCUCAGAAAUUUUUCAAAUGAAUCAAGUUUGAGGAAUUUGACCAUGGGAGUCUUGAGGAAUUUCACUAAGCGGACAAUCCACACAAUUGAGGAAUCUUGAAGAAAAACAUAGCUUAGAGAAACAAAUCAAGAGCAGAUGCAACUAGGUGUUUAAGGGUAGGGAAGUUGAAGAAUAAACACCUUUUGAAGAUUUUGUGGAAAUCAUGAGAAUCAAAGUAGGGCAGUAAAAUUAGAUUUUAAUUACCCUUGACGAAGAACACAGCGAACUGGGAUUGGAAGUGGAGAGGUUCGUCAGUUUAGAUCUCCCACGCCCUAACUUGGCGGUGGGAGACAGCUACGGCGGCGGCGCAGUGAAGAUUUCCGGGGCCGGUGCGAGUACGAUGGCGACGAGGUCGAGGCAGUGAAGCUCUUCCUCACCGGCGACGAUGGAGUGUAGCGGCGGUGCUAGGUCGAAGAGCUCAAGCGAGGAGAGGACGAGCGGAGUAAAUGAGGUAUGAGGAAGGGAGGGGUAUUUAUAGCCACGGUGAAAAACUGCCCGUCCGACGAAUUUGGACGAACAUGCCCCUGCCCUUGCCAUCCUAGCGACAUGUGUCACCCACGUACAGAGAGGUGGAGAUCGUGAUAGAUCGUGGGUGAGUAGUUUAAUCUUAUCAUGGGAUGCGGAACGGUUUGAACGGCAAAAGCCGAAAAUUCAGAUAUGAAAAUUUUAACGUUUCGUUCGCAAAUUCUUCAGCUGACAAGGACACAGUGAAGAUUUUGAACGGGUUUCAAAUAGAACGCACAUGAAGAAUUUAUGAACAGACUGGGUUGAGUUUAUCAUAGAGGAGGAAUGGGUUCGAUCACAUUCACUUCAAAAAAAAUCAACUUGAAGAAUUAGCAAUAAGUGAAUGUUGUUGAGGACAUGAAAAACGCAAAUAUAUAUAUAGGGUAGCACUAUUCUGAUCCUGGGAUCAGAAUAGUUAUUUGGAUCACGACGCGCCCUAUAUAUAGGAGCCGAUACGAUAUUCCCGAGCUCCCGAACCCGGUGGAACAAAGAAAAAAACACGACCACCGGUCCCCCACCUCCCGCACUCCGUCCAUCCCCAACUCCCGCACUCCAACUCCUCGGUGCCGCCACCCACCAGGCACCAGCCCCCGUAACCGCCGCCGCCGUCACCUGUAACCUCGCGCGCAGCCUGCGGGCCAGGAUCUGUCUGCGAUCCACCCAUCGCCUCCGCCCGCUGCUCCCCGUCGAUCUCCGCGCGCUGCCACCCCACCUUCUCGGCCAUCCCCUCCGUGCGCCGUUGCCCCACCUCACCUUCCCCGCGCAACGCCGCUGCCCUCCCUACCUUUCCCGUGUGAUUCCGCCGCCCUACCCGGCCCCCAACCGGCGCUGCAACCCCGGCGCCGCCUGGCCCCCACCCGCCCCAACCGGCGAGGCCGUCGUCGCCUAGCCCCAACCUACACCGCCGCCGCACCACAUCGCCGAUGCCGGAGGACAGCACACGCCUUCACCUCCUCCAUCGACGGAUGCCACCGACCACCGGCUCUCGCAGCGCCUCACACCUGCGGCAUGUCUCCAGGUGUAGCAACAUCAGUAUUCCUUUCUCACGACUGUUUUAUUUUCUGAAUUUUUGCUAGUACGGACACCCAUAGAGGAAGAGAAGCACCUUUGAAUCUGAAGUUUACAUGAAACUGAACUUCUACCUCUUUGUCAUAGGAGGGGUCGUCGGAGUCCUUCAUCGCUUGCACUACUUGCUUUUAGCAUCUUGUCCAUGGAGUCAAGGCGCCGUGUGGUGUGCGAUCUCGUUUUUGGAUGGGGCACAGAAAUCUCGCCUUUUGCUCCUGUAGCAGAAAUCUCGCUUUCCUGCUACUGUUAUGACCAUUUAUUGUUUCAAAAUGACCUUUUGUCUGAAGUUCGGUAGUAUCUGUUGGUGCAAAAAAGGUGCUUCAGUUUCAUGGGUCCUUCAAAAAAUGAAUGGGAAAAAAAGGAGUUUUCUUCUCCAAAAUGCAUCACUGCUCUGAAGUGCUAAUUCUUCUUGUGUGCUUCUAUCGAGGCUUGUGUUUCAUGGAGGCAGAGACAUAGAAAUUGUGGAAAUCAUUAAUGUUUCCUUUCUGUCUAUGUACUUCAGAAACAAUUUGUGUGAGAAAAAAAGGUUAAUGACACAUUCUUUUGAGAGAUACAGAGUGCUUUGGGAUCCAAUGUUUUUCUACACAAAAUUGUGCAUUUGUGUCUCGCCAAUGUAGCUGGCAACACAUACUUUGUACAAUAAAAACAUUAGUUUCAUGUGAGAAGUUCAAAUAUAAAAUAAGGACAAGUUCACGUAUAGUAAAAUUAGUGCAAAUAAAAAAAUGUAGUGACCAUGUGUUGUUGAUAAUUUUUUAAACAAAAAUUAAAAUUAAAAUAACAAAGGUGUUUGAUGUUCUACUUGUGGCAUAUUAUUUGUUAUAACUGCGUCUGCUCUGCUUGUUUCUUCCCAGCAUCUCCUUGGUUGCCGUAAUGUUGCUUCGUUUUGGUUGUAAAAUAUAUGCGGUCUACUGUUUGUUAUAUGUUUGAAAGAUAGUGCAAAUCCGGGUGGGGGUGUUCCUCACAUAUGUAUGUUCUCGACAUAGUUGAAGCUUCAUAGAAUUUUUUCCUUUUCAAAUGUUAGAAGUUCACUUGUGCAGAAAAGGUCCCUUAACCUCAUUUACAGGAGAAAGUACACAUAAAUCCUGAUGUUAAAUUUUUUAAACUACAAUUGUUUGUGUUCUAAAGAACAAGUGCACACAAGUUUAGAAUUGGUAAAAAUAGAAUAAACAUCAACACUAAGGAAACCUUCAAAAAAAGUUUGUUGAACCCCCCCCUAUUUUGAAAGUUAGCGCUAAAAAAUCCAUGAAGUUCAAAUAGUUUUAAAUUAAAAUAAUAGACAACAACUCAUAUUUACAAAAAGAAGGAUCUUCCAUUUUUUAAAAAUAAAAAAGGAGCCUCAAAUUACAAAAGGCGAGCAGUUCAAUGUCAAUAUAACAAUAAGAUUUUUCUCAUGUCUAAAACUGAAACCAAGAAUAAUUUUUAUGGAUUUAAAGGCUAGAGGUUCAAAUUUAAAAAUAUGAAGAAGUUCAAUGUUUAUUAGAAACCAUAAGAAGAUCAAAUUAAAAAAACAUCUCAAACAAUUUCAUAUAAAAAGGGAUUAUCUCUGUUAAAAAAACUAGGUUCAAUUUUUUCCGUUACUAAGAAACUAGGAUUUUUUCCGUUACUAAAAGAAAAAACAUCAAGUCCAAAUUGAAAAAACCAAGAAGUUCAAUUUUUUAAAAUAGAAUAGUUUAAUGUAUAUGAAAACCCAAAUUUUCCUCGUUAGUAAAUAAUAAAACAAGAAGUUCAAUUUCAAAAAGUGGAGCGGUUUGAUAUUUAUUACAAAAACUCAAAUUUUUCCCGUUACUAACAAAACAAUUCUCCUCCCCGUAGUUGUUAUGCAUCUACUAUAGAAAAAAUACAUCGACCGUAGAAGUUCACAUAUAGCUGGGAAGGAACAACUAUAGCUCUGUGUGUGCACAUAUUGUGUUUGGAGAGGCACGGUUUUGAUUUUGAUUUUGGGCUUGGAUGUACAAGGUGUAUGAUGAAGGCGAAGUCCAUUUGGAAAUGUGAAAUUCAGUGAGCCGUAUGAAAGGGAAUAAGAUCAUUUGUUUAUUUGGCCCCCAUUUGUACAUCGGGUUAUCUAAUUUCUUGUUUUGUAUUGUUUCAUGAAGUUCAAUAGUAUGCAUUGAUGCAAAAAAUGUGCUUUUAGUAUGUUGGUUUAAUGUAAAAAAAGCUAUAAAAAGUGAAUCCCCGAACAAGUUCAAAAACUAUGACACAAAGACGUCCAAAACAGUGAGAAGUUCAACUACUACACGAAAUGCGUUUCAAAUGAGAAUAAAAAAGUUAGAGCGGUUCAAUGUCUAUAAAAACUCAGAUUUUUUACGUUACUAAAGAGAAGCAGAGAGAAGUUCAAAUUGAUAAGAGCCAGAAGUUCAUGUACUACAUGGUGUGAAUUUUGUAUUAAAAAAGCAUGAAAAAGAAAAUGCUAAAAAAUUUGUUGCUAGAAGUUCAAGUGCUCUACCCGAGAAAGUUCAAAAAUUCUUGUGAGAGAGGUUGAACAAAAAUACGUGACAGAAGUUCAAGGUGAAAAUAGCGGGAAGUUCAACUACUUCAUUUCAUAAGAGAAUAAAAGAAUACAAAACUAAAAGCCUAAAAGGUUUGUUGCAAGAAGUUCACGUGCUCCACCCUGCACGAUUCUAAAAUUAUAUUUAUGAGAUGUCCGUCGUUCAUACAUGUUGUUUUAAAAACCAAAAAACAACGCUGUUUUGCCAUUUUAAAAACUACUCUCAAACGACAACGAAUUUGUAACACAUGUCUACAUGAAAAACUUGCUGCGAUUCACAAGCUUUCCACCGGGUAUAUUAUGUGCCACAUUUCGAUGAACGGUUUAAAUUUUCAUGUAUACCAUUUAAAACACGUUUUGAUGUAUUCAAAAAAUUCUUACCCGUUGAAAGAAAUUCAUAGUGAAAACAAUAAGAAGUUCAAGUACUGCAAGGAAUGCAUUUCAGGUGAGAAUAAAAGUAUAGAAAAAUAAAAGCUUAAAAGGUUUGUCGAAAGAAGUUCAAGUGCCCUAUCCGGAGAAGUUCAAAAAUUCUUGUGAGAGAGGUUCACCUUGUAUUUCCAUGUUUGAUUUUUCCGUAUAAAAAUCAAAUACAAUUCUUUACUCAAAAUAUAAAAAGGUGAACUUCAAAUUGAAAUAACAGAGAAGUUCAGAGUUUUUUUUGAAGGUUAGGACAGUAGGAAAGUCUCUUACUGCUUAUAUAUUACCACAAUGUAAAAGUUUUGUUACAUAUGCACAGGGUGGGGGGGGGAGGGAGGGAGAUGAACAACUACAAAACUAAGUUACAAGGUGGAGGCAACUUCCUUAGCAAGGAUCCCUCUACAGCUACCUCUAUGUAUAGGUUCAUUGUAUAGUAGCCAAAGUGUCGUGCACAAGUUGUUUUUUGUGAUCAGGUAGUCUGUGUAAGAGGUCUCGAAAAUCAUUUUUGAACCUCCCUUUCCAUGAGUCAAUGCAUGGCAGCACUUUUCUAAAGUAAUUGUUGUUACGUUCCUUCCACAAGCUCCAAGCUGCCAGGAGGAAAAUCUCCAUGAUCAUUUUGUGAUUGUGCCUUUCUUUCGAUCUUUCCAGCAGCUGAAGGCGAUGUUGGUGAUCACUCCAGGUAAUGUUCAGUAUCUUCCAGCAGGAUUGGCUGAAAGUGCAGUGGAAGAAGAGGUGUUCCACCGUUUCUUCAAUGUGUUGACCACAUAACAAACAGUCCAGGUUGGUCCCAAUGUUAUAAUGUCUCCGUUUUAGCAUGUUCCUUGUAUUGAGAUGGUCAGAUAGUAGCAGCCACCCGAAAACCUUUAUCUUAGCCAUGCACUUAGUUUUCCAUAGCCAUUUGAAUGCCACAUGUGUAGUUAUCUCUCUGAAGUAGUAACUGUAGUAUGAUGUUGUUUUGAAACUGUGUGCACCCCAACAGCAGGUCCAUGUAUCAUUCGCGUUCGUGAGUUCCACGUUUGCUACCUCUCUUUGGAUCUGCCUCAGCUCAUCGUGGGCUUGUACUGAAAGCGGUAGAUGAAAGGUUGUUGCGAGAUCAGUUGUGUUGAGGAAGGCCUGAAUCGGAAUGUCUCCGUUCUUGCAGUAAGAAAAUGCUCUUGGGUACUUGUCCUCAUAUAUAGAAUUGUUCCAGUCGUCUUUCCAGAACAGGGCUGAGCUGCCAUUGUGCACAUUGAUUUGGGUCACUCCUCGAUAAAUUGGCAUUAAUUGGAUGAGGUCCCGCCACCAAAAGGAGCCGUAGGGCUCUGUUGCAUGGGGUACAGACUAUGUAUAGUAUGUAUUCCAGAUGAGGCUAACCCAGGGCGUGUCAUGCUGAUUGUAGAACUUGUGUAGGAGUUUGAGCAACAAAGCGUCAUUUUGAACAUGUAGGUCCAGAAUCCCAAGCCCACCACUCUUUUUUGGGCGGCAAACCAUGGACCAAGCUGCCAACGAAUUACAUUUGUACCCAUUAUCCGUUUUCUUGUUCCAGAGGCAGUACCUUCUGAUUUUGUCCAGUUGGGCAAUAAUUUUUGGAGGGAGUCUUAAUGUACCCAUGGGGUAGAUAGCCAGUGACGUGAUGAUGGAGUUGAGAAAUGCUAGUCUACCCGCAUAAGACAUGAGUGACACAACCGCAGUAAUUUUUCUUUCUGCCUUGCAAACAAACGGUGUCAGAUCCAGAACCGAAGGUCGAGUAGUACCUAAGGGCAGCCCAAGGUAUGUGAAUGGCAUGGUUGCUUGAGCACAGCCAAAAAUCGCUGUCAGCGUAUCGCAUUUGUCCUGAGGGGUGUUGAUGGGCACCAAAGUUGACUUAUGAAAGUUGAUUUUGAGUCCCACUGAAGUGGCAUAAUCCUCAAGUAUCUGUUUGAUCUUGGCGGCCUGGUUGAUGCAUGCAGGGAGGACGAUUGUUGUGUCGUCAGCGUACUGAAUCACCGGGUAUUGGUCAUUUCCCUUUGGCGGGAUCGGGUGUUGGAUGGUCUGGUUUUGAAGUGCCUCAUUAAGAGCGGUUUGGAGCAGGUCAGCUUCUAACACAAACAGCAAUGGUGACAGAGGAUCGCCCUGAUGCACUCCGCAUUUGCAGAGAAAUUGGCGACCUGGCACCCCGUUUAUUAAAACCUAGGAUUUACCUGUUCAAAAAAUAAUGAAACACAAAGCCAUUUUUUGCACUUUUAAAAACAACUCAUAAACGAAAAAAAUGGUUGCUAGAAGUUCAAGUGCUCGGCGAGGAAAAUUUCAAAAAAUUCUUGUGAGAGAGGUUCACCGUGUAUUUUAAUGUCCAAAAUACAUAAAAAAUAUGUUGUUUUUGUGUUUUAAAAUAAUUUUCUCAAACCAGGGAGAAGUUCAAAGUGAUAAUUAACAACCGGAAGUUCACGUACUACGUGGUGUGUAUUUCAUAUAAGAAAAAGACAAUAAAGUGAAACAGAGUGAAGUUCAAACAGACAUGCCCGAGAAGUUCAACUACUUCACGCACUGCAAAAAACAGCACGUCAAAAACAGAGUGAAGUUCAAACAGACAUGCUCAAGAAGUUCAACUACUUCACGCAGUGCAUUUCCAUUCGCGAUGAAGGCAGAAAUCAUGAUCUCGUCAUUUUCUAAUUUACUUCAAAAUGGCAGGAAUAUCAUUUGUGUAAGUUCAAGUCCUCGGUCGGAGAAAGUUAAAAAUAUAUUGUGAGAGAUGUUUGUACAAAAAGAAUAUCAUUUGUGUAACACUGACGAAAUGGAUGAGAAUAUUACAAAAGAAAAUAUGUCACAGAAGUUCAACGUGAAAAUAGCAGGAAGUUCACCAACUACACUGAAUGAAUUUCAGAUGAAAAACUUUUAAAAUCAUCCCGAGUAUGAAAAAAUCAUCAACACAGGAAAGUUGCGUGUUUACAGCAGAUUUCUAUCGGUAUAUCACUUGCUCAAUUCCGGUGAGUGGAUGGAGAGCUACGAGCAAAAAAAGCACGUGAAAAAACAGAGUGGAGUUCAAGUAGACAUGCCGAGAAGUUCAAGUUCUUCACGCGAUGCAUUUUUGACGAAUCUGUUUCGCGGUAAAGGCAGAACAAAUGAUCUCGCCAUUUUCGAAAUUAAUUUAAAACGACUUUGAAUCAGAGAAAAUCAUCAACAUGAGUAAGUUUCGCAUUUUCCGUAGCUUUUUAGCGGUAUAUUAUUUGCGCCAUUCUGAUAAAGUUUGUAGAAAUUAUGGCGAAAAUACGUUUUGGGAGAAACAAUCUAUACUUAAAAUUGUAAGGAAUUGGGAGAAACAAUCUAUACCAAAAAGUUUUGCAUUUCCUCAGGCUUUCCAACACCAUAUCAUUUGCUACAUUCAGAUGUAAGGUUCGAAAAUUGGCUCAAAAAUACGAACUCGGUGGAACUUGUAUCGUUUUCUAAAUUACUUUUAAACCGUUCAAAAUUAGAAAAACCUUUUAACAUGAAAAAGUAGCGCAUUUUCAUAAGCUUUCCAACGCCAUAUCAUUUGCCUCAAUUGGAUUUGAAGGAAAUAUGCCCUAGAGGCAAUAAUAAAGUUGUUAUUUAUAUUUCCUUAUAUCAGGAUAAAUGUUUAUUAUUCAUGCUAGAAUUGUAUUAACCGGAAACUUAGUACAUGUGUGAAUAUAUAGACAAACAGAGUGUCACUAGUAUGCCUCUACUUGACUAGCUCGUUAAUCAAAGAUGGUUAAGUUUCCUAGCCAUAGACAAGGGUUGUCAUUUGAUGAACGGGAUCACAUCAUUAGAGAAUGAUGUGAUUGACUUGACCCAUCCAUUAGCUUAGCACGAUAUGAUCAUUUAGUUUGUUUCUAUUGCUUUCUUCAUAACUUAUACAUGUUCCUAUGACUAUGAGAUUAUGCAACUCCCGAAUACCAGUGGAACACUUAGUGUGCUAUCAAACAUCACAACGUAACUGGGUGAUUAUAAAGAUGCUCUACAGGUGUCUCCGAUGGUGUUUGUUGAGUUGGCAUAGAUCGAGAUUAGGAUUUGUCACUCCGAUUGUUGGAGAGGUAUCCCUGGGCCCUCUCGGUAAUGCACAUCACUAUAAGCCUUGCAAGCAAUGUGACUAAUGAGUUAGUUGCGGGAUGAUGCAUUACAGAACGAGUAAAGAGACUUGCCGGUAAUGAGAUUGAACUAUGUAUUGAGAUACCGACGAUCGAAUCUCGGGCAAGUAACAUACCGAUGACAAACGGAACAACGUAUGUUGUUAUGCGGUUUGACCGAUAAAGAUUUCAUAGAAUAUGUAGGAACCAAUAUGAGCAUCCAGGUCCUGCUAUUGGUUAUUGACCGGAAGUGAGUCUCGGUCAUGUCUACAUAGUUCUCGAACCCGUAGGGUCCGCACGCUUAACGUUCGGUGACGAUUGGUAUUAUGAGUUUAUGUGUUUUGAUGUACCGAAGGUUGUUCGGAGUUUCGGAUGUGAUCACAGACAUGACGAGGAGUCUCGAAAUGGUCGAGACAUAAAGAUCGAUAUAUUGGAAGGCUAUCUUUGGACAUCGGAAUGGUUCCAGGUGAGUUCGGGCAUUUACUGGAGUACCGGGGGGUUACCGAAACCCCUCGGGGAGUCAAUGGGCCUUAUUGGGCCUUAGUGGGAGAGAGGAGGAGGCGGCCAAGGUGGGGGCGCCCCCCCAAGCCCAAUCCGAAUUGGGAGGGGGCUGGCCCCCGUUUCCUUCUCUCCCUCUCCCUCUUCCUUCUUCUCCUACUCCUACUAGGGAAAGAGGGAAACCUACUCCUACUGGGAGUAGGACUCCCCCCCUUGGGCGCGCCAUGAGAGGGCCGGCCCUCCCCUCCUCCACUCCUUUAUAUACGGGGGAAGGGGGCACCCCAUAGACACACAAGUUGAUUGUUUAGCCGUGUGCGGUGCCCCCCUCCAUAGAUUUCCACCUCGAUCAUAUUGUUGCAGUGCUUAGGCGAAGCCCUGAGCCGGUAGCUUCAUCAUCACCAUCACCACGCCGUCGUGCUGAUGGAACUCUCCCUCGACCUCAGCUGGAUCCAGAGUUCGUGAGACGUCACCAAGCUGAACGUGUGCAGAUCGCGGAGGUGUCGUACCUUCGGUGCUAGGAUCGGUCGGAUCGUGAAGACGUACGACUACAUCAACCGCGUUGUCAUAACGCUUCCGCUUACGGUCUACGAGGGUAUGUAGACAACACUCUCCCCUCUCGUUGCUAUGCAUCACCUAGAUGGAUCUUGUGUGUGCGUAGGAUUUUUUUUGAAAUUACUGUGUUCCCCAACAGUGGCAUCCGAGCCAGGUCUAUGCGUAGAUGUUAUAUGCAUGAGUAGAAUACAAAUAGUUGUGGGCGAUAAUAGUCAUACUGCUUACCAGCAUGUCAUACUUUGAUUCGGCGGUAUUGUUGGAUGAAGCGGCUCAGACCGACAUUACGCGUACGCUUACGCGAGACUGGUUCUACCGACGUGCUUCACACACAGGUGGCUAGUGGGUGUCUGUUUCUCCAACUUUAGUUGAAUCAAGUGUGACUACGCCCGGUCCUUGAUGAAGGUUAAAACAACAUACUUGACGAAAAAUCGUUGUGGUUUUGAUGCGUAGGUAAGAACGGUUCUUGCCCAGCCCAUAGCAGCCACGUAAAACUUGCAACAACAAAGUAGAGGACGUCUAACUUGUUUUUGCAGGGUAUGUUGUGGUGUGAUAUGGUCAAGACAUGAUGCUAAAUUUUAUUGUAUGAGAUGAUCAUGUUUUGUAACAGAGUUAUCGGCAACUGGCAGGAGCCAUAUGGUUGUCGCUUUAUUGUAUGCAAUGCAAUCACCCUGUAAUUAUUUUUACUUUAUCACUAAGCGGUAGCAAUAGUCGUAGAAGCAAUAGUUGGCGAGGCGACAACGAUGCUUCGAUGGAGAUCAAGGUGUCAAGCCGGUGACAAUGGUGAUCAUGACGGUGCUUUGGAGAUGGAGGUCAAAGGCACAAGAUGAUGAUGGCCAUAUCAUAUCACUUAUAUUGUUUGCAUGUGAUGUUUUUCCUUUAUGCAACUUAUUUUGCUUAGUUCGGAGGUAGCAUUAUAAGAUGAUCUCUCACUAAAUUUCAAGGUAUAAUUGUUCUCCCGGAGUAUGCACCGUUGUGACAGUUCAUCGUGCCGAGACACCACGUGAUGAUCCGGUGUGAUAAGCUCUACGUUCACAGACAAUGGGUGCAAGCCAGUUUUGCACAUGCAGAAUACUUGUGUUAAACCUGACGAGCCUAGCAUAUGCAGAUAUGGCCUCGGAACACUGAGACCGAAAGGUCGAGCGUGAAUCAUAUAGUAGAUAUGAUCAACAUAGUGAUGUUCACCAUUCAAAACUACUCCAUCUCAUGUGAUGAUCGGACAUGAUUUAGUUGAUAUGGAUCACAUGAUCAUGUAGAUGAUUAGGGGGAUGUUUAUCUAAGUGGGAGUUCUUAAGUAAUAUGAUUAACUGGCCUGUGCUGUUGUUCCAUUGAAAUUUAAUGCGUUCCUAGAGAAAGCUAAGUUGAAAAAUGAUGGUAGCAAUUACACGGACUGGGUCCGUAACUUGAGGAUUAUCCACAUUGCUGCAUAGAAGAGUCAUGGAAGUGGGAGUCAUGGAAGCACCGCUAGGUGACAAACCUGGUGCAGGAGCAACGCCAGAUGUUAUGAACGUCUGGCAGAGAAAAGCUGAUGACUACUCGAUAGUUCAGUGUGCCAUGCUUUGCUUAGAACCGGGACUUCAACGACGUUUUGAACGUCAUGGAGCAUAUGAGAUGUUCCAGGAGUUGAAGUUAAUAUUUCAAGCAAAUGCCCGGAUUGAGAGAUAUGAAGUCUUGAUACGUCUCCCACCUAUCUAUAAGUUUUUAUUGCUCCAUGCUAUUAUAUAUUCUGUUUUGGAUGUUUAAUGGGCUUAUUUAUCCACUUUUAUAUUAUUUUUGGGACUAACCUAUUAACCCAAGGCACAGUGCAAAUUCUGUUUUUAUGCCUAUUUCAGUGUUUCGCAGAAAAGGAAUAUCAAACGGAGAACAAACGGAGUGAAACCUUCGGGAGCAUGAUUUUUGGAACAAACGUGAUCCAGGGGACUUGGAGUGGACGUCAAGAAAUCAACGAGGAGGCCACGAGGCAGGGGGCGCGCCUACCCCCCUGGGCGCGCCCUCCACCCUCGUGGCUGCACCGACCUACUUCUUCCUCCUAUAUAUACCUAUGUACCCCGAAACCUUCUAUACCCGUGAGAUCCCAUCUUGGGGCCUUUUCCGGCGCUCUGCUGGAGGGGGCAUCAAUCACGGAGGGCUUCUACAUCAACACCAUAGCCUCUCCAAUGAUGUGUGAGUAGUUUACCACAGACCUUCGGGUCCAUAGUUAUUAGCUAGAUGGCUUCUUCUCUCUCUUUGGAUCUCAAUACAAAGUUCUCCUCGAUCUUCUUGGAGAUCUAUUUGAUGUAACUCUUUUUGCAAGUCUCUUCGAAUUAUCAGUUUGGUUUGGCCUACUAGAUUGAUCUUUCUUGCAAUGGGAGAAGUGCUUAGCUUUGGGUUCAAUCAUGCGGUGCUCGAUCCCAGUGACAGUAGGGGAAACGACACGUAUUGUAUUGUUGCCAUCGAGGAUAAAAAGAUGGGGUUUAUAUCAUAUUGCUUGAGUUUAUCCCUCUACAUCAUGUCAUCUUACCUAAUGCGUUACUCAGUUCUAAUGAACUUAAUACUCUAGAUGCAUGCUGGAUAGCGGUCGAUGUGUGGAGUAAUAGUAGUAGAUGCAGGCAGGAGUCGGUCUACUUGUUGCGGACGUGAUGCCUAUGUACAUGAUCAUGCCUAGAUAUUCUCAUAAUUAUGCACUUUUCUAUCAAUUGCUCGACAGUAAUUUGUUCACCCACCGUAAUACUUAUGCUAUCUUGAGAGAAGCCACCAGUGAAACCUAUGGCCCCCGGGUCUAUCUUCCAUCAUAUUAAUCUCCCAACAACAAGCCAUUUCUAUCGCCGUUUAUUUUGCAAUCUUUACUUUCAAUCUUUAUCAUUAAAAUACCAAAAAUAUUAUCUUAUCAUCUCUAUCAGAUCUCACUUUUGCAAGUGGUCGUGAAGGGAUUGACAACCCCUUUACCGCGUUGGUUGCAAGGUUCUUAUUUGUUUGUGUAGGUACGAGGGACUUGCGUGUGGCCUCCUACCGGAUUGAUACCUUGGUUCUCAAAAACUGAGGGAAAUACUUACGCUACUUUGCUGCAUCACCCUUUCCUCUUCAAGGGAAAACCAACACAUGCUCAAGAGGUAGCAAGAAGGAUUUCUGGCGCCGUUGCCGGGGAGGUGUGCACCAAGUCAAGUCAAGAUUUUUCCCGUCAACGAGCCAUUUCCGGCGCCAUUGCCGUGGAGUCUAUGCACAAGUCAAGACAUACCAAGUACCCAUCACGAACUCUUAUCCCUCGCAUUACAUUAUUUGCCAUUUGCCUCUUGUUUUCCUCUCCCCCACUUCACCCUUUCCGUUUUAUUCGCCCUCUUUUUCCGUUUGCCUCUUUUUCGCUUGCUUCCUGUGUGUUCGUUCUCUGUACUACCGUCAUGUCUGAAACUGGGGAGGUUAUUGUUGAUAAGGAUAAUAGUAUGGAAAACUUUGAUGUUUUUGAUGAUCCUCUUGAAGAUCCUACUAUUUUAUACACUAAAAAGUUUCGGAUUGGUAGCGGUAAUAUUAUUGGGAAAGGGGUUCUUCAAGAUUUCUUUACUUGUGCCGGUACCUUACCCUCUAUGGGUGGUUCUAUUCUUCAUAGAACUAGUAGUCUUGCGGAGGUUAUAUCCUUGCUCGUAGUUGAACCUGAAAGACAAUUAUUCAUUUGCAUCCUUGCAUACAAAGGAUCUUUCUAGAGUUCUCCAAUAUAGAGCAUUCUUCUGUUAAGCGAGUUGCUACUAUCUUUUUGGCACAUGAGUUCAGAUUUAUAAUGAAAGAGGCCAAUGAAAUUUUUGCGCAUUAUAGGGUGGACGCUGGUUGUCCUCCCAUAGAGGCUAUCCUUUUUAAUCAAGAAGAUUUAAUGCGCUCACGAUCCGUAGAUCAUGUUGCUUACAAUGAAAACCUUAGAAAAAAGGUUCCUACCGAUGUUCUAGUUGAUAGAAUUUCCGAACUUAAUGAUGACUUUGCUAUUCAGAACAACGGGUUAGGUUUUUCUCUUGAACAAAGGCUCAUGACUUAUUGCCAAAAGAAUGCUUAUAAUGAUGAAUUGGUUGUGCAAUAUAAGGGGCCAAAGGAGGAACCCAUACCUCCCGAGCUUGACCUUGGGGGCUUUUGUCCAAUUAAAUUUAGCCCUUUUGAUUAAUUUUGCUUGCCACAAAGAAAACUUGCUGCUGAACGUAGGAAAUAUGAGAUGAGUUUCCGUGAUUUACCCUACUAUCAUUAUGGCAAUACCUAGAUCUAUCAUUGCCUUUAUGCCUAGCUAGGGGCGUUAAACGAUAGCGCUUGUUGGGAGGCAACCCAAUUUUAUUUUUGUUUCUUGCUCUUUGGUUCUGUUUACCAAUAAAUAAUCCAUAUAGCUUCUGGUUAGAUGUGUUUUUGUGUUUUAUUUAGUGUUUGUGCCAAGUAGAACCUUUGGGAAGACUUGGGUGAAGUCUUUUUGAGCUUGCUGUAAAAAACAGAAACUUUAGCGCUCAUGAGAUUAGCUACAACUUUUUACUGGAGAGUUAUAUUUAGUUGAUUAUUUUUGCAGAUGAUUAUUAGAUAAAUUACUCACGUCCAGCAAUUUAUUUUAGAAUUUUUGGAGUUCCAGAAAUUUGCGUUAGGUACAGAUUACUACAGACUGUUCUGUUUUUGACAGAUUCUGUUUUUUGUGUGUUGUUUGCUUAUUUUGAUGAAUCUAUGGCUAGUAUCGGAGGUUAUGAACCAUAAAGAAGUUGGAAUACAGUAUGUUUAACACCAAUAUAAAUAAAUAAUGAGUUCAUUACAGUACCUUGAAGUGGUGUUUUGUUUUGUUUCGCUAACGGAGCUCACGAGAUUUUCUGUUAAGUUUUGUGUUGUGAAGUUUUCAAGUUUUGGGUAAAGAUUUGAUGGAUUAUGGAACAAGGAGUGGCAAGAGCCUAAUAUUGGGGAUGACCAAGGCACCCCAAUGUAAAAUAUAAGGGCAACCAAAAAGCCUAGGCUUGGGGAUGCCCCGGAAGGCAUCCCCUCUUUUGUCUUCGUCCAUCGGUAACUUUACUUGGAGCUAUAUUUUUAUUCACCACAUGAUAUGUGUUUUGCUUGGAGCAUCUUGUAUGAUUUGAGUCUUUGCCUUUUAGUUCACCAUAAUCAUCCUUGCUGUACACACCUUUUGAGAGAGACACACAUUAUUCGGAAUUUAUUAGAAUACUCUAUAUGCUUCACUUAUAUCUUUUGAGCUAAACAAUUUUGCUCUAGCGCUUCACUUAUAUCUUCUAGAGCACGGUGGUGGUUAUAUUUUAUAGAAAUUAUUGAUCUCUGAUGCUUCACUUAUUUAUUUUGAGAGUCCUUUAGAACAGCAUGGUAAUUUGCUUUGGUUAUAAAAUUAGUCCUAAUAUGAUAGGCAUCCAAGAUAAAAACUUUAAAGUGCAUUGAAUACUAAGAGAAGUUUGAUACUUGAUAGUUGUUUUGAGAUAUGGAGAUAGUGAUAUUAAAGUUGUGCUAGUUGAGUAGUUGUGAAAUUGAUAAAUACUUGUGUUGAAGUUUGCAAGUCCCGUAGCAUGCACGUAUGGUAAACGUUGUGUGACAAAUUUGAAACAUGAGGUGUUCUUUGAUUGUCAUCCUUAUGAGUGGCUGUCGGGGACGAGCGAUGGUAUUUCCUACCAAUCUAUCCCCCUAGGAGCAUGCGCGUAGUGCUUGGUUUUUGAUGACUUGUAGAUUUUUGCAAUAAGUAUGUGAGUUCUUUAUGACUAAUGUUGAGUCCAUGGAUUAUACGCACUCUCAACCUUCCAUCAUUGCUAGCCUCUUCGGUACCGUGCAUUGCCCUUUCUCACCUUGAGAGUUGGUGCAAACUUCGCCGGUACAUCCAAACCCCGUGAUACAAUAUGCUCUAUCACACAUAAACCUCCUUAUAUCUUCCCCAAAACAGCCACCAUACCUACCUAUUAUGGCAUUUCCAUAGCCAUUCCGAGAUAUAUUGCCAUGCAACUUUCCACCGUUCCGUUUAUUAUGACACGCUUCAUCAUUGUCAUAUUGCCUUGCAUGAUCAUGUAGUUGACAUCGUAUUUGUGGCAAAGCCACCAUGCAUAUUAUUUCAUACAUGUCACUCUUGAUUCAUUGCCCUUCCCGGUACACCACCGGAGGCAUUCAUAUCGAGUCAUACUUUGUUCUAGUAUCGAGUUGUAAAUAAAUAGAAGUGUGAUGAUCAUCAUUAAUAGAGCAUUGUCCCAAAAAAAAGAGAAAGGCCAAAUAAAAAAAAGGGAGGCCCAAAAAAAGAAAAAAGAAGAGAAAUAAAAAGGGACAAUGCUACUAUCCUUUUUCCACACUUGUGCUUCAAAGUAGCACCAUGAUCUUUAUGAUAGAGAGUCUCUUGUUUUGUCACUUUCAUAUACUAGUGGGAAUUUUUCAUUAUAGAACUUGGCUUGUAUAUUCCAUCGAUGGGCUUCCUCAAAUGCCCUAGGUCUUCAUGAGCAAGCAAGUUGGAUGCACACCCACUUAGUUUCUUUUGUUGAGCUUUCAUACAUUUAUAGCUCUAGUGCAUCCGUUGCAUGGCAAUCCCUACUCCUUGCUUUGACAUCAAUUGAUGGGCAUCUCCCUAGCCCGUUGAUUAGCCGCGUCAAUGUGAGACUUUCUCCUUUUUUGUCUUCUCCACACAACCCCCAUCAUCAUAUUCUAUUCCACCCAUAGUGCUAUAUCCAUGGCUCACGCUCAUGUAUUGAGUGAAAAUUGAAAAAGUUUGAGAUUACUAAAGUAUGAAACAAUUGCUUGGCUUGUCAUCAGGGUUGUGCAAGAUGAGAGCAUCUUGUGUGACAAAAAUGAAGCAUGGCCAAACUAUAUGAUUUUGUAGGGAUCAGCUUUCUUUGGCGAUGUUAUUUUGAGAAGACAUAAUUGCUUGGUUAGUAUGCUUGAAGUAUUAUUAUUUUUAUGUCAGCAUUAAACUUUUAUCUUGAAUCUUUCGGAUCUAAACAUUCAUGCCACAAUAAAGAAAAUUACAUUGAAGAAUAUGCUAAGUAGCAUUCCACAUCAAAAAUUCUGUUUUUAUCAUUUACCUACUCGAGGAUGAGCAGGAAUUAAGCUUGGGGAUGCUUGAUACGUCUCCAACGUAUCUAUAAUUUUUGAUUGCUCCAUGCUACUAUAUAUUCUGUUUUGGAUGUUAAAUGGGCUUAUUUAUACACUUUUGUAGUAGUUUUUGGGACUAACCUAAUAACCCAAGGCCCAGUGCAAAUUGCCAUUUUUUUGCCUAUUUCAGUUUUUCGCAGAAAAGGAAUAUCAAACGGAGUCCAAACGGAAUGAAACCUUCGGGAGCGUGAUUUUUGGAACAAACGUGAUCCAGGGGACUUGGAGUGGACGUCAAGAAAUCAACAAGGAGGCCACGAGGUAGGGGGCGCGCCUACCCCCCUGGGCGCGCCCUCCACCCUCGUGGGCCCCUCGUGGCUCCACCGACCUGCUUCUUCCUCCUAUAUAUACCUAUGUACCCCGAAACCAUCGAGGAGCACCACAAAACCCUAUUUCCACCGCCGCAACCUUUUGUAACCGUGAGAUCCCAUCUUGGGGCCUUUUCCGGCGCUCUGCCGGAGGGGGCAUCGAUCACGCAGGGCUUCUACAUCAACACCAUAGCCUCUCCGAUGAUGUGUGAGUAGUUUACCACAGACCUUCGGGGUCCAUAGUUAUUAGCUAGAUGGCUUCUUCUCUCUCUUUGGAUCUCAAUACAAAGUUCUCCUCGAUCUUCUUGGAGAUCUAUUUGAUGUAACUCUUUUUGCAGUGUCUUUGUCGAGAUCCGAUGAAUUGUGGGUUUAUGAUCAAGAUUAUCUAUGAACAAUAUUUGAAUCUUCUCUGAAUUCUUUUAUGUAUGAUUGGUUAUCUUUGCAAGUCUCUUCGAAUUAUCAGUUUGGUUUGGCCUACUAGAUUGAUCUUUCUUGCAAUGGGAGAAGUGCUUAGCUUUGGGUUCAAUCAUGCGGUUCUCGAUCAUAGUGACAGUAGGGGAAACGACACGUAUUGUAUUGUUGCCAUUGAGGAUAAAAAGAUGGGGUUUAUAUCAUAUUGCUUGAGUUUAUCCCUCUACAUCAUGUGAUCUUACCUAAUGCAUUACUCUGUUCUUAUGAACUUAAUACUCUAGAUGCAUGCUGGAUAGCGGUCGAUGUGUGGAGUAAUAGUAGUAGAUGCAGGCAGGAGUCGGUCUACUUGUUGUGGAUGUGAUGCCUAUAUACAUGAUCAUGCCUAGAUAUUCUCAUAAUUAUGCACUUUUCUAUCAAUUGCUCAACAGUGAUUUGUUCACCCACCGUAAUACUUAUGCUAUCUUGAGAGAAGCCACUAGUGAAACCUAUGGCCCUGGGUCUAUCUUCCAUCAUAUUAAUCUCCCGACAACAAGCCAUUUCUGUAGGCGUUUAUUUUGCAAUCUUUACUUUCAGUCUUUAUCAUAAAAAUACCAAAAAUAUUAUCUUAUCAUCUCUAUCAGAUCUCACUUUUGCAAGUGGCCGUGUGUAACAUCCCAAAUUUUCAAUUUGGUAUGUUAUACAUAGAUCAUAAUUGCAUAUCAUAUUUUAUUUCAUUUUGAUAAAAUCCUCGAUAAAUCCUAAGCAACUCAAGGACCCUCGGAGAGAGUUGGGGAUUUUCUCGAAUUUUCAUUUUGAUUUUCAUCAAAUAAUAAGACAAGGAUUUUGGUUUUAAUUAUUUUCUCUCCGGAAAAAUAUUUCAUUAAACAAAAUAAAUGAGAGGAGAAAAUAUGACUUCUCCAAAACAAUUUAAAUACUGGAGGUAAAAUGUUAAAAUCAUUUAUUGGAAUUUAUUUGCAAUUUUUUUUGCAUUAAAAAUAUUGCAUGUUUUCAAAAUAAUUUUUUUUUGAGUUAAAAAACUGUUCACCCUAUUCUAGAUUUUCUAACUAGACGGGAAAAAUUUAUUUUAUAUUUUUCUGAUUUUUAUUUAUUUUUCUACGAAUUAUUUUCUGCGGAACUUAUUUAAAAAAAAGGACGCGCGCGCCCGCUGGGCCGAGCCCAGGCCGCCGGCCCACCCCCGCGCCCCUCUCCUCUCCCCGCACGACGCCGCCGUCGCCGUGUCCAUGGCGGACACGGGAAGCCCCGCCGCCGCACCUUGCCCCCUCCCCCAAGCUGCUGCCCCCUCCCUCCUAUAUNNNNNNNNNNNNNNNNNNNNNNNNNNNNNNNNNNNNNNNNNNNNNNNNNNNNNNNNNNNNNNNNNNNNNNNNNNNNNNNNNNNNNNNNNNNNNNNNNNNNNNNNNNNNNNNNNNNNNNNNNNNNNNNNNNNNNNNNNNNNNNNNNNNNNNNNNNNNNNNNNNNNNNNNNNNNNNNNNNNNNNNNNNNNNNNNNNNNNNNNNNNNNNNNNNNNNNNNNNNNNNNNNNNNNNNNNNNNNNNNNNNNNNNNNNNNNNNNNNNNNNNNNNNNNNNNNNNNNNNNNNNNNNNNNNNNNNNNNNNNNNNNNNNNNNNNNNNNNNNNNNNNNNNNNNNNNNNNNNNNNNNNNNNNNNNNNNNNNNNNNNNNNNNNNNNNNNNNNNNNNNNNNNNNNNNNNNNNNNNNNNNNNNNNNNNNNNNNNNNNNNNNNNNNNNNNNNNNNNNNNNNNNNNNNNNNNNNNNNNNNNNNNNACUGCCCCGCUGCCCCGUUCGUCGUUGCCGGUUUUUGUUAAAAAACACUUCGUUUAAAAAAAAACCUAGAUCGUUUUUUUUUCGGUUUUAUUAUUUUGCGAGCGUUCGUCGGUUUUUCUUUGUUAACGAACGUCCGUUCUUUAACCGUUCGUCCGUUUUUCUUUUUCGUCAGAUUUUCCGCUAUUUUUUCUCAGAUUCGAUUUCUGAUCGAAUCUUCGUUUCUGUUUAACUUCUCGCUCGUUUAUCGGAAUCAGGCGAUUCAAGCGCCUAGAGUUUCGUCUCGAAAUUCUCUUUCCGCUUAACCUACUCAAACAAGUUUUUGCUACAGUAAAACUUGACCUAGAUCCAGAUUAGUAAACGAAGCUAGUUUCUUUCGCUGUUUGACUUUCGUUGCUUCUUUCGAGUUGAUUCUUUUUGCAAACCGGAGUUCUUAAGUUGAACUUUCUGGUUGAUCUUUUAUUCGAGUUUUACCUGUGCAUUAGAUGAGUACUGAUUGUAUGCUUGUUUGUUUGCGAUAGAGUACCCGGAGUGUGUCGCUUGUUACUUCGAAUCGCUAGGUUUUGCGGAUCAUCAGCAAGGCAAGUAACACUUUGAUCAUACUUUUCCAUACCCAGUUUUAUUGCAUUAGAUCUAUUCCUCAAACAUUGCAUGACUAGGAUCUAAUUAAAUUGUGGGUAUUGGGAAGUAAUUGAGGUAGAACCUAUUACCUGUAUUCUUAUCAAACCCUUGGGAGUUACUUCUACGUUGCUAUUAUUAUUGCCAUGCUAUGCUCGUAGACGUGGAUUGGGUUUGAGUGAAAUUCAUGACAGAUGUGAGAUUGUUAAUAAUGGUUUACUUAAGGUGGCAACUAAAACUCACAUCUGGGUGGAUUGAGGUACCUGGGUAUUCCAGGAUUGCCUGUUUUUCUUUUGGACCGCUACCCAGGUUCAAAGGGAUCAUAAGAUUAUUCAUGCUAGAAACUUCCGUGUGCAGCCGCAAGCUAUUAUGGGCUCUAGCAUAGUUGAUUAAGUUGUGUGAACUCUUACGGUGGUAGACUAGCAGAUGUAGGGGAAAGUAGGUGUAACUGUCUACCCAUACGUAAGGUGCAACCACUUCUGAAAGACUGUGUCUUGGUCAUCCGUUACUCAAACACCAUGUAGUGCGAGUAAUCCAACGGAGGAGAUCAAGUCUUGUGGGGAAAAGUGCACAAACCUCUGCAGAGUGUACAAACUAAUCAUGGUUAGCCGUGUCCCCGGUUAUGGACAACUUGAGUAUCUAGUACUUGGAUUAUCAUGUGAAUCUCAUCACUAUGUUACUUCUAAUUAAUUUUGUUGGGUUAUUGAUGAUACUUAAUUGGGAUUGAGAUGCUGUCAACCAUCUCAAUGUUUCACAACCACCAUGAUAGUUAAAUAAAAUUAUUCCUUUGAAGUAGGAUAAAAUUGGCUUUUCGCAAAACUGUAACCAUAGAGCUUUCCACCAGCCAUAUAUGCAUGUAGUAUAGCAUUGUUAUUGUUCAUUAUUCUCUAUGUGUUACAUUGCCAGCAUAUUCUAUGUGCUGACCCGUUUUUGGGCUGCAACGUUUCAUGUUGCAGACAUUUCAGACGACGAGUAAGGUGCCUUAGGUCGUGGUCUUAUACUCAGUGAUGCCGCUGGAGUUGAUGGACUCACUUAUCUUCCAAGUCUUCCACUGUUAUCGUUAUUAGAUGGCCUUAAGCCAUGUUUAUCAUACUUAAUCUCUUUGGAGAUAUUCGAUGUAAUAAGUGUGUGAUUGCUACUCUGUUAUAAAUCCUCCAUUUGUACUGUGCGUGUCAGCAUUACUGAUCCAGGGAUGACACUGGUGCACAGCAGCACAGACCAUUUGAGGUCUGGUCGCUACAAAGUUGGUAUCAGAGCACACGUUGACUGUAGGACACGACCACUAAGCUUAAGCCCUAGAAAGCUUCUCUCUUCUCAUUUCUGACCCCUCUCCACUUUCUACUCUUUUAGGAAUGGCGAAUGCAAGGAGCAAGUUCAUGCAACCAGAUGAAGACACGCCGUUUGGUCGACACUUGAAGGAAGUCACCAAGUACUUGAACAUAGGAAUACCAAGCAUCACCGGAACCUACAACGCCACAUUACCCGAAGAGGAGAGCUGGAAGAUUCAAGUUAUCAUUCCAGGAAGGAUGUUUAGUGCCAUAAGAUUGGUUUUCGAAGCACCAACUUGGAGUUUAGGGAAGAGCAUGGCCACACACAUCGCCAUGGGACGCAUUGGAGAAGUCUAUCACCAGGAGCUUAAGGAUACAAUUUACCAAAUUUGUGGACGCCGAGACGCGCAAUGGGAGAUGAUCAGAACCAAGAAGGAUGGAUCAAUUGCAGCUUUCAUCCAGGAGCAGAACCAACAAAUUCGUCGCCAGGAGAACCAGAUGUGCUCAGACAAGGAAGAGCUGAAGAAGGCAUUAACCAAGAUCAAAGAGCUCCAAGAAGAACUCAAGGCUACACGCGAAGAUUAUUUGGAAGAAAUCAACGCACUAGUAGGGAAGAAUCACGACCUGGAGAAGAAGAUUGGAGUAUUCAUGGGAAAUCCAGUGCCAAAAGCAGAAGUCGACGAAUGCACUUGUCCGGAUAACUACAUCAUCAUCGAUGACACUGACUCGGAACCAAGUGAAGAUGACUGGGUUGACGAAGCUGGAGCAGACAUCAUGGAGUCUUCAACGGAUCAGAAUUUCUAGUAGACCACCAUAUCAGUAGUAGUUUUCCCCCAUUUAAUAGUAUAGUUCAAGCACUUUGUAACGCUAGUUAGAUCGAUUGUUUUGCCUUGUUUGAAUUGAUUGAGUGAUAUUGAUUGAAUUUGUCUCAUGAGCAUAUGGGUAGUGUUUUCUCUCUAGACCCCAUUCUAUUCUUAACUCUCAUCUUUUCUAAACCUAUCAGAUGCCUCCGAGACGCGACACCGGAUUUGUUUUUCCGCCAGAGAUCACCCAGUUGAUUCAGCAACAGAAUGCCCUGAUGCAAGUGUUAGUGCAGAACCAAGGCAACCACAACAACAACAACAACCCACCGCCACCACCACCUGUUGAUCACUUAGCCCGUUUCUUAAGGCUAAACCCGCCGGUGUUUUCCAGUAGCACCGAGCCGAUUGUUGCAGAUGAUUGGCUCCGCAAAGUUGGAAGGGAGUUGACCACUGCAGGAUGCACAGAUGCGGAAAGAGUGCGUUUUUCCGCACAUCAGCUAGAUGGACCCGCAGCAUCAUGGUGGGAGAAUUAUACAGCCACGCACCCUAUUGACACUGUCACAUGGGACCAGUUUCAGCAAGCUUUCCGUACAGCACAUGUUUCAGCAGGAGCUAUGGCUAUGAAGAAGCGUGAGUUGCGCAACCUACGCCAAGGAGGACACACCGUAGGCCAGUAUGUGGAGGAAUUCAUUAAGUUAGCACGUUAUGCACCAGAUGACGUUGCUACACAUGCAGCCAAGCAGGAGAAAUUUUUGGAAGGGCUGAAUGAUGAACUGAGUAUGCAGUUGAUGGUAGCAACCUUCAACAACUACCAGGAGUUGGUAGAUAGAGCUCUCAUGAUUGAAGGGAAGCAACAGCAGAUUGAAAACUGUAAGAGGAAGUAUGGACAAGGGAAGUAUAACUCAGGAGCUCAGCAGAAGCCUCGAUUUACCCCGAAGCCGGGAGGACAGUUUCAGCAUACCCAUGGAGGAGGUAGUUCGCACAACCAUAAUGGCACCAAGAAUGGUAAUGGGAAUGGAGGAGGCAACGGACAGAACCGCACCAACCCAUCUACCCCAGCCAAGAGGGACCUGAGCCAAGUCACUUGUUUUAAGUGUCAGAAGAAUGGACAUUAUGCCAAUGAAUGUCCUGAAGCCGAAAAUGGAAAUGGAAAUGGAAGCUCUGGGAAGAAGCCGAACCCGUUCAAGAAAGGACACGUGAACCACGUGAGCGUGGAGGAGGUUGAAGCUCAGCCUGAUGCAGUAAUAGGUAAGUUUUUGGUUAAGUCAUUUACUGCAACCGUUUUUUUUCGAUACUGGUGCAUCGCAUUCAUACAUAUCAAGGGGAUUCGUGAAUAAGUUUAAGCUGUCCACCAAAGUUCUCAGAACCCCUAUGUUAGUAACCUCGCCAAGAGCAGAGUAUAUGGCCACCCAAGGAUGUUUUCAGAUACCAUUGGCCAUUGGUAGGCAUGUUUUCCCCUCAGACCUCAUUGUUUUGGAAUCGCAAGGUUUGGAUGUGAUUUUGGGAAUGGAUUGGCUAUCGUUGUAUGGAGGAAACAUCGAUUGUGCCAGCAAGACAAUUUUGCUUACCACCCCGGAAGGGAAAAGGAUCAAGUAUGUAUCCCGGCAUAUGCCGAAGAGGACUCAAGUAAAUUCGUUAUCAGGAGUUGUACAGGAGGAAGUACCAGUGGUGAAGGAUUAUCCGGAUGUAUUUCCAGAAGAGUUGCCAGGCAUGCCACCAGAGACAUUGAGUUCUUGAUUGAACUUUUGCCAGGCACAGGGCCAAUAUCUAAGAGACCGUACAGGAUGCCCGCAAAAGAUUUGUAGGAAAUUAAGAAGCAGAUCAAGGAGUUACUGGAUAAAGGCUAUAUUCGCCCAAGUUCGUCACCUUGGGGAUCACCAGUACUUCUAGUGGAGAAGAAAGAUGGAUCGCUGAGGAUGGUUGUUGAUUACCGUGGAUUGAAUGAAGUAACCAUCAAAAACAAGUACCCACUGCCGAUGAUCAAUGAUCUGUUUGACCGCCUACAAGGAGCUAAAGUAUUUUCCAAGAUUGAUCUAUGAUCAGGAUACCAUCAGUUAAAGAUUCGAGAGCAGGAUAUACCCAAGACGGCAUUUACCACCAGAUAUGGAUUAUAUGAGUAUACCGUUAUGUCAUUUGGUCUGACUAACGCACCUGCCUAUUUCAUGAAACUGAUGAACAAAGUGUUCAUGGAAUUUUUGGAUAAGUUCGUCGUAGUGUUCAUUGAUGAUAUUUUAAUCUUUUCCAAGGAUGAGGAAGAGCAUGAGGAGCAUUUGCGAUUGGUACUUGAGAAGCUCAGAGAACACCAGUUAUAUGCCAAGUUCAGCAAGUGUGAAUUUUGGCUGAAGGAAGUUGGAUUCCUUGGACAUGUUAUUUCUGGAGAAGGAAUAGCAGUAGACCCUGCCAAGAUUGACACAGUGACAAGUUGGGAAUCACCCACGACAGUUGGAGAAAUCCGGAGUUUUCUUGGACUUGCAGGAUACUACCAGAGAUUCAUCGAGAAUUUCUCAAAGAUUGCUAAGCCCAUGACUGAGCUAUUGAAGAAGGACACCAAAUUCAAUUGCACUGAGUAAUGUGAAGCUAGUUUCCAGGAGUUGAAGAAACGAUUGGUUACCUCAACAGUGUUGAUUCUGCCAGAUCAACGCAAGGAUUAUGAAGUUUAUUGCGACGCUUCUCGUCGAGGACUUGGAGCAGUGCUUAUGCAGGAAGGAAGAGUUGUGUCAUAUGCUUCACGACAACUUAAACCCCAUGAGAAGAAUUAUGCUACGCAUGAUUUGGAAUUAGCAGCCGUGGUGCAUGCAUUGAAGACAUGGAGACAUUUUCUCAUCGGAAACCAUUGUGAGGUGUACACGGAUCACAAGAGUUUGAAGUAUAUUUUCACGUAGAAGGAGUUAAAUCUCAGACAGAGGAGAUGGUUGGAGCUCAUGAAAGAUUACGAUAUGAGAUUGCAUUAUCACCCUGGAAAGGCUAAUGUAGUAGCAGACACGUUGAGCUGCAAGAGUCAUAUCAACACCCUCAUGACAGGAGAGAUACCUCAGGAGUUAGCCGAGGACCUUCGCGAGCUAUGUUUGGAGAUAGUCCCAAGAGGCUAUUUAGCAACAUUGGAGAUUCAGUCUACCUUGAUGGAAAGGAUCAGAGAAGCUCAGAAGACAGACAAGGAGAUUGAAGAGAUAAAGGAGAAGAUGAGCAAAGGAAAAGCCAAGGGAUUUCGUGAGGAUGAGCACGAUACCUUAUGGUUUGAGGACCGCGUAUAUGUGCCAAAUGAUCCGGAGAUCAGGAAGUUGAUUUUGCAGGAAGCCCAUGAUUCACCGUAUUCGAUUCACCCAGGAAAUACGAAGAUGUAUUUGGAUUUGAAGAAUAUUUUCUGGUGGACCGGAAUGAAGAAGGAUAUUGCAGAAUACGUAGCAGUUUGUGAUGUAUGUCAGAGAGUGAAGGCAGAGCAUCAGAAGGCAGCAGGAUUGCUACAACCAUUGCCGAUACCCGAAUGGAAGUGGGAUAAAAUAGGCAUGGAUUUUAUCACCGGAUUACCCAGGACUCGUUCAGGCUAUGACUCAAUAUGGGUUGUAGUCGACCGAUUGACGAAAGUGGCUCAUUUCAUUCCAGUGAAGACCACUUACACCAGUGCUAAGUUGGCAAAGAUAUACAUGACCAAGAUCGUAUGUUUGCAUGGAGUUCCGAGGACCAUUGUAUCAGACAGAGGAACCCAAUUUACCUCGAAGUUUUGGAAGCAGUUACAUGAAACAUUGGGAACCAGGCUGGAAUUUAGUACAGCAUUUCACCCACAGACAGAUGGACAGACCAAGAGAGUCAACCAGAUUUUGGAGGACAUGUUGAGAGCAUGUGCACUAGAUUAUGGAUCUAGUUGGGACGACAAUUUGCCAUAUGCGGAGUUUUCUUUUAACAACAGUUAUCAAACCAGUUUGAAGAUGGCCCCUUUCGAAGCCUUGUACGGAAGGAGGUGUAGAACACCGUUGUUAUGGAACGAAGUUGGAGACCGUCAGUUGUUUGGACCAGAUUUGAUUAAGGAGUCUGAACAGAAAGUGAGGUUGAUUCGCGAUAGGCUCAAGGUAGCCCAGUCUAGACAGAAGAGUUAUGCUGAUUCUAAACGAAAAGAGACAGUUUACGAAGUCGGAGACCGAGUUUAUCUUCGAGUAUCACCACUUCGUGGAGUGAAGCGCUUUGGAGUUAAGGGAAAGUUAGCAGCCCGUUUCAUCGGACCAUACAGAGUUUUGGAACGUAUGGGAGAGGUUGCCUACAAGCUGGAAUUGCCCGAAGGAUUGUCUGGCGCAGUUGAAGAAGUGCCACGCAGAGAUGGCUGAGAUACCACUGAGAGAUACUGUGCCACUGGAAGCGAUUCAGUUGGAAAGUGAUUUGACCUAUGAGAAGAAACCAGUUAAGAUUCUUGACUAUGCCAGCCGAGUUACCCGCAGCAAGGUUAUCAAGUUUUGCAAAGUUCAGUGGAGUCACCACACGGAGGAUGAAGCCACCUGGGAGCGAGAGGAAGAUCUACGGAAAGACCACUCCCACCUGUUUUCUAGCCAACCCGAAUCUCGAGGGCGAGAUUCAUCUUAAGGGGGGUAGGUUUGUAACAUCCCAAAUUUUCAAUUUGGUAUGUUAUACAUAGAUCAUAAUUGCAUAUCAUAUUUUAUUUCAUUUUGAUAAAAUCCUCUAUAAAUCCUAAGCAACUCAAGGACCCUCGGAGAGAGUUGGGGAUUUUCUCGAAUUUUCAUAUUUGAUUUUCAUCAAAUAAUAAGACGAGGAUUUUGGUUUUAAUUAUUUUCUCUCUGGAAAAAUAUUUCAUUAAACAAAAUAAAUGAGAGGAGAAAAUAUGACUUCUCCAAAACAAUUGAAAUACUGGAGGUAAAAUGUUAAAAUCAUUUAUUGGAAUUUAUUUGGAUUUUAUUUGCAAUUUUUUUUGCAUUAAAAAUAUUGCAUGUUUUCAAAAUAAUUUUUUUGUGUUAAAAAAAUGUUCCCCCUAUUCUAGAUUUUCUAACUAGACGAGGAAAAUUUAUUUUAUAUUUUUCUGAUUUUUAUUUAUUUUUCUACGAAUUAUUUUCCGCGGAACUUAUUUUAAAAAAAAGGACGCGCGCGCCCGCUGGGCCGAGCCCAGGCCACCGGCCCACCCCCGCGCCCCUCUCCUCUCCCCGCACGACGCCGCCGUCGCCGUGUCCAUGGCGGACACGGGAAGCCCCGCCGUCGCACCUUGCCCCCUCCCCCAAGCUGCUGGCCCCCUCCCUCCUAUAUAUACCCCCCUCUCUCUCCUCUCAUCAAGCCGCCGCCGCCGCCCGCACUCGCCUCGCCNNNNNNNNNNNNNNNNNNNNNNNNNNNNNNNNNNNNNNNNNNNNNNNNNNNNNNNNNNNNNNNNNNNNNNNNNNNNNNNNNNNNNNNNNNNNNNNNNNNNNNNNNNNNNNNNNNNNNNNNNNNNNNNNNNNNNNNNNNNNNNNNNNNNNNNNNNNNNNNNNNNNNNNNNNNNNNNNNNNNNNNNNNNNNNNNNNNNNNNNNNNNNNNNNNNNNNNNNNNNNNNNNNNNNNNNNNNGCCCCUCGCACCCCCCCGAGCCCGCACCUCGCCGGCCUUGCCGCCCCUCGCCCGGAGCCCCGCCGGAGCACUGCCCGACGAGGUACUGCCCCGCUGCCCCGUUCGUCGUUGCCGGUUUUUGUUAAAAAAACCCUUCGUUUAAAAAAAACCCUAGAUCGGUUUUUUUCCGGUUUUAUUAUUUUGCGAGCGUUCGUCGGUUUUUCUCUGUUAACGAACGUCCGUUCUUUAACCGUUCGUCCGUUUUUCUUUUUCGUCGGAUUUUCCGCUAUUUUUUCUCAGAUUCGAUUUCUGAUCGAAUCUUCAUUUCUGUUUAACUUCUCGCUCGUUUAUCGGAAUCAGGCGAUUCAAGCGCCUAGAGUUUCGUCUCGAAAUUCUUUCCGUUUAACCUACUAAAACAAGUUUUUGCUACAGCAAAACUUGACCUAGAUCCAGAUUAGUAAACGAAGCUACUUUCUUUCGCUGUUUGACUUUCGUUGCUUCUUUCGAGUUGAUUCUUUUUGCAAACCGGAGUUCUUAAGUUGAACUUUCUGGUUGAUCUUUUAUUCGAGUUUUACCUGUGCAUUAGACGAGUACUGAUUGUAUGCUUGUUUGUUUGCGAUAGAGUACCCGGAGUGUGCCGCUUGUUACUUCGAAUCGCUAGGUUUUGCGGAUCAUCAGCAAGGCAAGUAACACUUUGAUCAUACUUUUCCAUACCCAGUUUUAUUGCAUUAGAUCUAUUCCUCAAACAUUGCAUGACUAGGAUCUAAUUAAAUUGUGGGUAUUGGGAAGUAAUUGAGGUAGAACCUAUUACCUGUAUUCUUAUCAAACCCUUGGGAGUUACUUCUACGUUGCUAUUAUUAUUGCCAUGCUAUGCUCGUAGACGUGGAUUGGGUUUGAGUGAAAUUCAUGACAGAUGUGAGAUUGUUAAUAAUGGUUUACUUAAGGUGGCAACUAAAACUCACAUCUGGGUGGAUUGAGGUACCUAGGUAUUCCAGGAUUGCCUGUUUUUCUUUUGGACCGCCACCCAGGUUCAAAGGGAUCAUAAGAUUAUUCAUGCUAGAAACUUCCGUGUGCAGCCGCAAGCUAUUAUGGGCUCUAGCAUAGUUGAUUAAGUUGUGUGAACUCUUACAGUGGUAGACUAGCAGAUGUAGGGGAAAGUAGGUGUAACUGUCUACCCAUACGUAAGGUGCAAACACUUCUGAAAGACUGUGUCUUGGUCAUCCGUUACUCAAACACCAUGUAGUGCGAGUAAUCCAAUGGAGGAGAUCAAGUCUUGUGGGGAAAAGUGCACAAACCUCUGCAGAGUGUACAAACUAAUCAUGGUUAGCCGUGUCCCUGGUUAUGGACAACUUGAGUAUCUAGUACUUGGAUUAUCAUGUGAAUCUCAUCACUAUGUUACUUCUAAUUAAUUUUGUUGGGUUAUUGAUGAUACUUAAUUGGGAUUGAGAUGCUGUCAACCAUCUCAAUGUUUCACAACCACCAUGAUAGUUAAAUAAAAUUUAUUCCUUUGAAGUAGGAUAAAAUUGGCUUUUCGCAAAACUGUAACCAUAGAGCUUUCCACCAGCCAUAUAUGCAUGUAGUAUAGCAUUGUUAUUGUUCAUUAUUCUCUAUGUUUUACAUUGCCAGCAUAUUCUAUGUGCUGACCCGUUUUUGGGCUGCAACGUUUCAUGUUGCAGACAUUUUAGACGACGAGUAAGGUGCCUUAGGUCGUGGUCUUAUACUCAGUGAUGCCGCUGGAGUUGAUGGACUCACUUAUCUUCCAAGUCUUCCGCUGUUAUCGUUAUUAGAUGGCCUUAAGCCAUGUUUAUCAUACUUAAUCUCUUUGGAGAUAUUCGAUGUAAUAAGUGUGUGAUUGCUACUCUGUUAUACAUCCUCCAUUUGUACUGUGCGUGUCAGCAUUACUGAUCCAGGGAUGACACUGGUGCACAGCAGCACAGACCAUUUGAGGUCUGGUCGCUACACCGUGACGGGAUUGGCAACCCCUUUAUCGCGUUGGUUGCAAGGUUCUUAUUUGUUUAUGUAGGUACGAGGGACUUGCGUGUGGCCUCCUACUGGAUUGAUACCUUGGUUCUAAAAAACCGAGGGAAAUACUUACGCUACUUUGCUGCAUCACCCUUUCCUCUCAAGGGAAAACCAACACAUGCUCAAGAGGUAGCAAGUCUCCAAUAAGUUCUAUAGUUGCAAAAUGGAGGAGAAUAGUUCUGUCAGUGAACAUAUACUCAGAAUGUCUGGGUACCACAACCACUUGACUCAACUGGGAGUUAAUCUUCCUGAUGAUAGUGUCAUUGACAGAGUUCUUCAAUUACUGCCACCAAGCUACAAGAGCUUCGUGAUGAACUAUAAUAUGCAAGGGAUGGAUAAGACAAUUCCCGAGCUCUUCGCAAUGCUAAAGGCUGCGGAGGUAGAAAUCAAGAAGGAGCAUCAAGUGUUGAUGGUCAACAAGACCACCCGUUUCAAGAAAAAGGGUAAAGGGUAGAAGGGGAACUUCAAAAAGAAUGGCAAGCAAGUUGCUGCUCAAGUGAAGAAGCCCAAGUCUGGCCCUAAGCCUGAGACUGAGUGCUUCUACUGCAAAGGGACUGGUCACUGGAAGCGGAACUGCCCCAAGUAUUUGGCGGAGAAGAAGGAUGGCAAAGUGAAAGGUAUAUUUGAUAUACAUGUUAUUGAUGUGUACCUUACUAAUGCUCGCAGUAGCGCCUGGGUAUUUGAUACUAGUUCUUUUGCUAAUAUUUGCAACUCGAAACAGGGGCUACGGAUUAAGCGAAGAUUGACUAAGGACGAGGUGACGAUGCGCGUGGGAAAUGGUUCCAAAGUCGAUGUGAUCAACGUCGGCAUGCUACCUCUACAUCUACCUUCGGGAUUAGUUUUAGACCUAAAUAAUUGUUAUUUGGUGCCAGCUUUAAGCAUGAAGAUUAUAUCUGGAUCUUGUUUGAUGCGAGACGGUUAUUCAUUAAAAUUAGAGAAUAAUGGUUAUUCUAUUUAUAUGAAUAAUAUCUUUUAUGGUCAUGCACCUUUGAUGAGUGGUCUAUUUUUACUAAAUCUUGAUAGUAGUGAUACACAUGUUCAUAGUAUUGAUGCCAAAAGAUAUAAGUUUAAUAAUGAUAGUGCAACAUAUUUGUGGCACUGCCGUUUAGGUCAUAUUGGUGUAAAGCGCAUGAAGAAACUCCAUGCUGAUGGGCUUUUGGAAUCACUUGAUUAUGAAUCACUUGAUGCUUGCGAACCAUGCCUCAUGGGCAAGAUAACUAAGACUCCGUUCUCCGGAACAAUGGAGCGGGCACCAGACUUGAUGGAAAUAAUACAUACUGAUGUAUGCGGUCCGACGAGUGUUGAUGCUCGCGGCGGGUAUAAUUAUUUUCUUAGCUUCAGAGAUGAUUUGAGCAUAUAUGGGUAUAUCUACUUGAUGAAACAUAAGUCUGAAACAUUUGAAAAGUUCAAAGAAUUUUAGAGUGAAGUGGAAAAUCAUCGUAACAAGAAAAUAAAGUUUCUGCGAUCUUAUCAUGGAGGAGAAUAUUUGAGUUACGAGUUUGGUCUUCAUUUGAAACAAUGCGGAAUAGUUUCGCAACUCACGCCACCCGGAACACCACAGCGUAAUGGUGUGUCCGAACGUAGUAAUUGUACUUUAUUAGAUAUGGUGCAAUCUAUGAUGUCUCUCACUUAUUUACCGCUAUCGUUUUGGGGUUAUGCUUUAGAGACGACUGCAUUCACGUUAAAUAGGGCACCAUCUAAAUCCGUUGAGACGACACCAUAUGAACUGUGGUUUGGCAAGAAACCCAAGUUGUCGUUUCUUAAAGUUUGGGGUUGCGAUGCUUAUGCGAAAAAGCUUCAACCUGAUAAGCUCGAACCCAAAUCAGAGAAAUGUGUCUUCAUAGGAUACCCAAAGGAGACUGUUGGGUACACCUUCUAUCACAGAUCCGAAGGCAAGAUAUUCGUUGCUAAGAAUGGAUCCUUUCUAGAGAAGGAGUGUCACUCGGAAGAAGUGAGUGGGAGGAAAGUAGAACUUGAUGAGGUAAUUGUACCAACUUCCUUAUUGGGAAGUAGUUCAUCACAGAAAUCAGUUCCAGUGAUUCCUACACCAGUAAGUGAGGAAGCUAAUGAUGAUGAUCAUGAAACUCCUGAUCAAGUUACUACCGAACCUCGUAGGUCAACCAGAGUAAGAUCCGCACCAGAGUGGUACGGUAAUCCUGUUCUGGAGGUCAUGUUACUUGACCAUGACAAACCUAGGAACUAUGAGGAAGCGAUGAUGAGCCCAGAUUCCGCAAAAUGGCUUGAGGCCAUGAAAUCUGAGAUGGGAUCCAUGUAUGAGAACAAAGUGUGGACUUUGGUUGACUUGACUGAUGAUUGGCAAGCCAUAGAGAAUAAAUGGAUCUUCAAGAAGAAGACUGAUGCUGACGGUAAUGUUACUGUCUACAAAGGUUUUCGACAAGUUCAAGGAGUUGACUACGAUGAGACCUUCUCACCCAUAGCGAUGCUAAAGUCAGUCCGAAUCAUGUUAGCAAUUGCCACAUUUUAUGAUUAUGAAAUUUGGCAAAUGGAUGUCAAAACCGCAUUCCUUAAUGGAUAUCUUAAAGAAGAGUUGUAUAUGAUGCAACCAGAAGGUUUUGUCGAUCCAAAAGGUGCUAACAAAGUGUGCAAGCUCCAGCGAUCCAUUUAUGGACUGGUGCAAGCCUCUCGAAGUUGGAAUAUACGCUUUGAUAGUGUGAUCAAAGCAUAUGGUUUUAUACAGACUUUUGGAGAAGCCUGUAUUUACAAGAGUGUGAGUGGGAGCUCUGUAGCAUUUCUGGUAUUAUAUGUGGAUGACAUAUUGUUGAUCGGAAAUGAUACUAAAUUUCUGAACAGCAUAAAAGGAUACUUGAAUAAGAAUUUUUAAAUGAAAGACCUCGGUGAAGCUGCUUAUAUAUUGGGCAUCAAGAUCUAUAGAGAUAGAUCAAGACGCUUAAUUGGACUUUCACAAAGCACAUACCUUGAUAAAGUUUUGAAGAAGUUCAAAAUGGAUCAAGCAAAGAAAGGGUUCUUGCCUGUGUUACAAGGUCAGAAGUUGAGUCAGACUCAAUGCCCGACCACUGCAGAAGAUAGAGAGAAAAUGAAAGUCAUUCCCUAUGCUUUAGCCAUAGGUUCUAUCAUGUAUGCAAUGUUGUGUACCAGACCUGAUGUGUGCCUUGCUAUUAGUUUAGCAGGAAGGUACCAAAGUAAUCCCGGAGUGGAUCACUGGACAGCUGUCAAGAACAUCCUGAAAUACCUGAAAAGGACUAAGGAUAUGUUUCUCAUUUAUGGAGGUGACAAAGAGCUUGUCGUAAACGGUUAUGUCAAUGCCAGCUUUGACACUGAUCCGGAUGACACUAAGUCACAAACCAGAUACAUAUUUUUAUUGAAUGGUGGAGCUGUCAGUUGGUGCAGUUCCAAGCAGAGCGUCAUGGCGGGAUCUACGUGUGAAGCGGAGUACAUAGCUGCUUCGGAAGCAGCAAAUGAAGGAGUUCAUAUACAAUCUAGGUGUCAUACCUAGUGCAUCGGGCCCAAUGAAAAUCUUUUGUGACAAUACUGGUGCAAUUGCCUUGACAAAGGAAUCCAGAUUUCACAAGAGAACCAAGCACAUCAAGAGACGCUUCAAUUCCAUCCGCGACCAAGUCAAGGAAGGAGACAUAGAGAUUUGCAAGAUACGUACGGAUCUGAAUGUUGCAGACCCGUUGACUAAGCCUCUCUCACGAGCAAAACAUGAUCAACACCAAGACUCCAUGGGUGUUAGAAUCAUUACAAUUUAAUCUAGAUUAUUGACUCUAGUGCAAGUGGGAGACUAAAGGAAAUAUGCCCUAGAGGCAAUAAUAAAGUUGUUAUUUAUAUUUCCUUAUAUCAUGAUAAAUGUUUAUUAUUCAUGCUAGAAUUGUAUUAACCGGAAACUUAGUACAUGUGUGAAUAUAUAGACAAACAGAGUGUCACUAGUAUGCCUCUACUUGACUGGCUCAUUAAUCAAAGAUUGUUAAGUUUCCUAGCCAUAGACAAGAGUUGUCAUUUGAUGAACGGGAUCACAUCAUUAGAGAAUGAUGUGAUUGACUUGACCCAUCCGUUAGCUUAGCACGAUGAUCGUUUAGUUUGUUGCUAUUCCUUUCUUGAUAAUUUAUACAUGUUCCUAUGACUAGGAGAUUAUGCAACUCCCGAAUACCGGAGGAACACUGUGUGUGCUAUCAAACGUCACAACGUAACUGGGUGAUUAAAAAUAUGCUGUAUAGGUGUCUCCGAUGGUGUUUGUUGAGUUGGCAUAGAUCGAGAUUAGGAUUUGUCACUCUGAUUGUCAGAGAGGUAUCUCUGGGCCCUCUCGGAAUUCACAUCACUAUAAGCCUUGCAAGCAAUGUGACUAAUGAGUUAGUUGCGGGAUGAUGCUUUACGGAACGAGUAAAGAGACUUGCCGGUAACGAGAUUGAACUAUGUAUUGAAAUACCGACGAUCGAAUCUCGGGCAAGUAACAUACCGAUGACAAAGGGAACAACGUAUGUUGUUAUGCGGUUUGACCGAUAAAGAUCUUCGUAGAAUAUGUAGGAACCAAUAUGAGCAUCCAGGUUCCGCUAUUGGUUAUUGACCGGAAGUGUGUCUCGGUCAUGUCUACAUAGUCCCAUAGGGUCCGCACGCUUAACGUUCGGUGACGAUCAAUAUUAUGAGUUUAUGUAUUUUGAUGUACCGAAGGUUGUUCGGAGUUCCGGAUGUGAUCACAUACAUAACGAGGAGUCUCAAAAUGGUCGAGACAUAAAGAUCGAUAUAUUGGAAGGCUAUGUUUGGACAUCGGAAUGGUUCCGGGUGAGUUCAGGCAUUUACGGGAGUACCGGGGGGUUACCGGGACCCCCGGGGAGUCAAUGGGCCUUAUUGGGCCAUAGUGGGAGAGAGGAGGAGGCAGCCAAGGCGGGGGCACCCCCCCAAGCCCAAUCCAAAUUGGGAGGGGGGCCGACCCCCUUUCCUUGUCUCCCUCUCCCUCUUCCUUCUUCUCCUACUCUUACUAGGGAAAGGGGGAAACCUACUCCUACUGGGAGUAGGACUCCCCCCCUUGGGCGCGCCAUGAGAGGGCCGGCCCUCCCCUCCUCCACUCCUUUAUAUACGGGGGAAGGGGGCACCCCAUAGACACACAAGUUGAUUGUUUACCCGUGUGCGGUGCCCCCUCCACAGAUUUGCACCUCGGUCAUAUCGUUGCAGUGCUUAGGCGAAGCCUUGCGCCGGUAGCUUCAUCACCACCGUCACCACGCCCUCGUGCUGACGGAACUCUCCCUCGACCUCAGUUGGAUCUAGAGUUCGUUGGACGUCACCGAGCUGAACGUGUGCAGAUCGCGGAGGUGUCGUACCUUCGAUGCUAGGAUCGGUCGGAUCGUGAAGACGUACGACUACAUCAACCGCGUUGUCAUAAUGCUUCCGCUUACAGUCUAUGAGGGUACGUGGACAAUAAUCUCCCCUCUCGUUGCUAUGCAUCACCUAGAUGGAUCUUGCGUGUGCGUAGGAAUUUUUUUGAAAUUACUGCGUUCCCCAGCAGGAUUAGCCGUUUAGAAAUGACAUCGAAAAUACGAACUCGGUUGUUCGGUCUGCAAAAUUCUAUGAUUUUCCAAAUUACUCUUUAUCCAUAAUGAAUUAGAGAAAAAUUUCAACAUGGGGAAGGAACGGGUUUGCAGCAGCUUUCCAACGCCAUAUUAUUUGCCUCAUUCCGAUAAAUGGUUUAGAAAUGCGAUUGAAAAUACGAUUCACGUUUUUUGUGUGAAGAAAAAACGGUUUUCAAAACUGCUCUUAAACCGCUUACAUUUUGCCAAAAUUUUAACUUGGGUCAUGAUACUUUCCAAUGGUAUAUAGCAAGCCCCAUUUGGGUAAUAUUUGCGGAAUUUCAACCUAGCACUGGGGGAAGUUCAACGUACUACUGCCUGGGCAGGUCAAGUUGUGCUCAGAAUAAUAUUCUCAUCCCGUGAUCAGAAUAGUGUUUAUGUGUAUAUAUAUAUAUAUAUAUAUAUAUAUAUAUAUAUAUAUAUAUAUAGUCAAUGAGUAACAUCAGUCGAAAAGGUGAAGACUUUGCAAAGUUGAAGAAUUUGACCAAUUGAGGAAUUUGAAAAUUUGAAGAAUUUGCAAAAUGAUGAAGAACUCAAUUUUGAAGAUUUUCAACUUUUGUUGGUGGCGUGACCCACCGUAUAAGAAUGAUGAUUUCAGACGCCCCGUACAAUUGUCGCAGGGCUGUGAGAAUCAAAGUCUUCAUUAAUUUCUUCACACUUGGAGGGUUAGUCUUCAUUGAUUGAAGAAAAACGUUACUUCGUGUGUUGCACAUCUAAGUCAUCAGUUUUGCAUAAGUAUUAGGAUGGGUGUCCUUUCGAAGAACAUUCGAAGAUUCUAAGAUAUUUUGCUCACACCGCAACUUGCUAAAUCUCUUCUCAUCCAAGGGCUUUGUGAAGAUAUCUGCUAGCUGUUCUUCAGUCUUCACGUACUCGAAAGAGAUGCCACCCUUCAACACAUGAUCACGAAGAAAAAGAUGACGAAUCUGGAUGUGCUUAGUCUUCGAGUGCUGAACUGGGUUAUGAGCAAUUUUGAUGGCACUAUCGUUGUCGCAAUAGAGUGGCACGUUCUUCAUGUUGAUGCCGUAGUCCUUGAGGGUUUGCUUCAUCCAUAGAAAUUGAGCACAACAAGAACCAGCAGCAAUGUACUCAGCUUCAGAAGUAGAUAGUGAUACGCAGUUCUGCUUCUUCGAGGACCAACAUACCAAGGAUCAUCCGAGGAAAUGGCAUGUGCCUGAUGUUGACUUGCGAUCCACUCGAUCACCAGCAUAGUUAGAGUCAAAAUAUCCAAAUGAGAUCAAAAGCCGAGCCCUUGGGAUACCAUAGUCCAAGUGUUGGAGUGUGAGCUAGAUAUCGAAGAAUAUGUUUCACAGCCUUAUGGUGUGAUUCCUUCGGUGUAGCUUGAAAACGGGCACACAUGCAAACACGAAGCAUAAUAUCUGGCCUAGAUGCACAUAGAUACAAUAAAGAGCCAAUCCUGGAGCGGUAUACCUUUUCAUCAAAGUCUUUACCAUUUUCAUCAGUGCAUAGAUGGCCACAUUACAAAAAAAUACACUUCCGUGAUGAUACGUGUUUGUCACAGUAGGUCACGUUUUCUGUCAGGCAUGUACAUCCAUGACAUAUUUAUGACAGAAUGAAGAUAGUCAUACCUGUGGUGUCGUAGAAGUGUUCCAUGACAUUACCAAAAUUAUCAUCACGAAAUUGUCCACUUCCAUGACGAUAAAUCGCGCAUCAUAGAAGUGCUUCCGUCAAGGGUGACCGACACGUGGCAUCCACCGUAACGGGACGCUGUUAAGCUAUCGGGUCCGGUUUUGGACCUGAUAACCCGCUAACAGCCACGCCCAAUGCUGAUUUUCCACGUGUAAAAUUCUCACUGGCCGACGGAACCACGCGUCAGCUCCGCGUUGGCACAGGUGUCACUCACCCAACGGUCGAGAUGGGCCUAUGAUAUGUUGACACGUGGACGGGCCCAAAAGUGGUCCAUAAAGUUUAAAUGGGCUGGCCCAACUAAAGGCCCACAAGAUUUAGCAGACCAUAAUGGGCCGGCCUAGCUAAAGGCCCACAAGAUUUUGCAUACCAUAAUGGGCCGGCCCAGCCAAAGGCUCACAAGAUUUAGCGAACCACAAUGGGCCAGCCCAGCUAAAGGCCAGCAAGAUUUUGCAGACCAUAAUGGGCCGGCCCAGCAAAAGGCCCAACAUUCUCAGUUAAGGCCUGUACGGCUAGUGUGAAAUCGGCCCGUCAAUGGCCUGUCCUAAACUUGUCAUCAUCGUGGCCCAUGGUCAUUUCUGGCCCGUUAAAAGUUCGCUAAGUAUAUGGGCCGAUUUACUGCCCGGUGUAUUUCUGGCCUGUUAAAGGUCCUGCUUCAUUUGGGCCCAUUUACAGGCCAUUGAAACUUUCGGCCCAUAAACGACCGUGAAGGAUUUGGGUCAUAUUCGGCCAUGUCUGACAUUCGGCCUAUUAGAGGCCCACUAUAGAUUUGGGCCACUUUCGGCCUGUUGUGAUUUUCGGCCUGUUAACGUCGGACGAAAUCCAUGGGCCAUAUGUGGCCCAAUGUCACAUCGGGCCCAUUAACGACCCAUAUAAAAAUGACAAUAAUCUAGACCGACCGAACUUCCGGCCUAUUAAAGGCCCGUGUAUUAGGUCGGUGCAUUUACCGCCCGUCCGAAUUUCGGCCUGUGAAAGAUCCGCAUCGUAAAUGGGCCACCAUUUCGGCCUGCUAAGACCAGUGGGUUAUUUGGCACAAUCAGGGCCCAAUCUUACUUUCGGUCUAUUAAAGGCCCAUGUUUUUAUGGGCUCGAGAUAUUUACACCUGUAAAUGGCUUAUUGUUACUGAGGGCCCAAAUUAUGUUUAGGCCUGUUAAAGGCAUGGGCACAGGCCUACCAGAAAAAUAUGAAAGCUUAUGCUGAUUUAGGCCCAGAUAUUUUUAGUGGGCUACAUGCAAAUUUCGGCCCAUAAUCGUUUUUAGCCCAAUUGGAAUGGGCCCGACGAAUGUUGGCAUGUUGGGCUCCUACGAAGCUUUCGGCCGAAUUCAUUACUAAGAUAAACCUACACUAUACAAAAAUAGCGUCGUAAUUAUUGCAGCCUUUGGCAGCACCAUAAAUGAUGUAUCACAACAAAAUAAAUUCCAGCCAUACAACAAAAGGCCUGUUGGCAUAAAGUUUACAGUCCUUGCAGAUAAAAGCACCAUCGGAUGUAUAGAAGCACAAAUCAUUUGACCUGAGUGCUAAUGUUUCAGGCUGUAGAAUCUAAUGGAGCAGCACGAUCUUCACCUUUUUUCCGCCAUUGCUCUUGAACAACGAAGCGAAUGUCUGAUAGUCUGGUUUCAAAACCAUUCAUAUCUUGACGACAUUUGUCAACCACUAUUCUUGUUUCCAAAACGACGUCCAUUAGGGAUUGGACUUGUGUCUGGAGCACAGAUAUAUCACUCUGUCUAGCAGGAAGAUUUUGUUCAGUAGGCGAUUUGGACGAGGUUACCUUGACAACCAACCCAGAAUUAUGUAGGAAGGUGCUUUUUGCACUGUUAGUGGAGAGAUACCGAUGCACUGCAGCAAGAGGUGACAUUGUGCCCGUGUUAGCCUCGUCACCUUCAGGUGGUUGUGGCUGUUCAAUCAUUUGUUCCAUAGCUUCCUGAAAGUUUGAAUUUGUAGAUUAGUGUACCAGAUAAGUUACUAAUGAGACAAAAACAAGCAAAGUAGGUUACAUGUUUAUACAUAACUCAUUUUGGUGAACUACUAUAAUACAUUAGCAUGUAUUGUAGUGCUAACUACAUAAUAAAAUCACUUUCGGAACAUAUGCCCAUGUAGCAUGCCUACUGUACUGUCUAUUUCCUCACAUUCGUUGACAUCUAAGGAUAAAGAGACAUGGUUUAAAGUAGGAUGAACAUAGUAUGACAUCAUUCAUAUGAUGGGCAAAUAGAUAUAAAACAAACAGGCUAUUUUAUUAUUGUGUGUGCACGUGAACAUAACAACUAGAUUACAGAUCAAGACCAAAAGAAUACCCUUCAUCUCUUUUAAACCAUGUAAGGUGAAAUGAUACGUUAAGACAACUGUGUAUAAAAGUGAACAGAGUAACUGACAUUGGCUGCAAACUAAGUAGUUAAAUGAACACAUCACAGUACCAAUCAGUUCAAAGGCAAGAGGAGUAAGGACUUACAACAGCAGCUUGAACUGGUGUGUUCAUGCCCUUCAUCUUGCUGGUGUGGCAAUCCUUGAAGAUUUGCACUACAUUCGGUUCAGGUUCUUUUUGGUCCACACAGGCUUUCCUCUGUAUUUGGAACAAGUCAAUAUAGAUACGAUAAUAUGGCACAGAAAAAAGAAGGAAGUAGCAGCUAUUUACAAGAGCCUCGCAGUGUGCAAUAUAGUUACGAGAUCUUGUUGUCUGUUGGAAUUUCACUUUAGAACGGUUGGUCUUGUUCUUCAAACAGUAAGGCACAUACAUAAAUACAAGUUCAAUAUGCGGUCUGAUCAAAUACAUAUAGCCUACCUGAUACUUUUGAUCAGACCAGUGUUUAACGAGGGCUGUCCAGUCAUCAUCUGUAAUAUAUUCCAUUGUUAGCCUUGCCUUCAAAGUGAUAUUUUCUAAGGUGGUACCGAUACCGUCGCAGAGCAGACUGAAAAACAUGAGUGCAUGGUUGUUUAGUUGUAUCAUCUUUCGGAUCCAACUUGAACCUCGUCUGUUGAAAAAAGAAUGUGAGUCUUAUUAUGAGGAAGGUAGAAAGUAUGGGACAGAGCAAGACAAUAUUACUAAUUGCGAUCAAUAACAUUACUUACGGAUAAAUGGUCAAGGAAGGUGUUAAACUGGGUAUUGUCUUUCUCAUUCCUGUACUGGAUCCAUGUUGGGAGGAUAUGUGCAUGACACCUAACGGCAACGGCUGCCUUUUAUACUAACUUGGCUGACUCUGUAGCAUCACGUGGCCUUUUUAAACCUGCCUCAAAAUGGAUCUCCAUUCUUCCUCCUUUAGAUUUUGUUAAUCUGUCAAGCAUUAUCCCUGAUGUCUGUUUGCGCUUGCGCGAUGGUGCAAGUUCAACAACGAAUAUGGAAAGUGUUAGUGUACAUCAAACUGUGAGUGUACAUAUAAAGGAGCAUGCAACUGCAACUUGACUCGGUCAGGUACCGUCUUGGUGUUGAUGCUCAUGAGGUUCAUCUGAUCUUGCCAAGUCCUGUUGUGUUAGCAGUGCUUCGGAAGUAGUGUUAGGUGUGAAGGCAGCUUGGGACUGGCCAGUUCCGGAGCAAACGAAUGAGUAACUCGUUGAGAUGCUCGUACAGUUGAAGCGGAUGCUGCAGCUGGUGGAGCAGGUGAUAUUGUGUUUGUAGAUUUAGCCGGUGGACUUGGACCUUCUACUGCACUAUAAGUACCAGCAGAAUCUGGACGGCAGAUCCUUUUCCGUUUCACCCGACGAGUAACACCACUCCCUACUAUAUUAUUUUCCUUGCUCUUUUUUGACUUUGCCAUGUCAAGCCGUACCCACAACACAAAAGAAUAAAAUCCCUCUUCAGAACUCAUUGAUGCAUGAUAUAGACAAGCAAUACUUUGAUGUAAGACAAACGUAUGAGGAUGGAAUAUGUAAGAAAAAUAGGACGGCAAUAUUCACAACUACGAUGUCUAAACUAAGCAGAAGGAUUUUCAAGAAAAUAGAAGUAAUGCAAGCUAGACACCAUAUGAAAGAUGCAACCAAUAUUACUCUGCCAAGUUAAAAGUGUCUUGUCAUAAGUGGCAAUUCAAAAAAUUAGAAGCGGUACAACGUAUAAAUCAAUGCAAGAUGCAACCACUAUCAAACUGCCAUGUUAAAAGCGUCCAAUCAUGAGUGACUGAUGCGGGAUACACAACAGCAGUACUUUGAUCUAAGAACAUGGUAUGAUAGAUAGAUGCAGUGUAUUCUAGACACAGAACACCAUGUCAUAUGCACAUGUAUAACAUAUAAACUCAGCAGGUGCAAUUUAAUCAAAAUAGAAGAAAUACAGGCUAGACAACAUAUGCAACAUGAAACCAAUUAUCACACUGUCAACUUAGAGCAAGCACCUGCAAUGGUGGAGUACGGGAGAUGAACUCAUCAUGUAGACGUGGGACUUCAACUUGAUUAGCAGUAGCAGUGGCAAAUCUAGAGAGUCUCUGUUUGCAUCAGUGCGGAGGACCACCAACAUCCCCUAACUUACUCUUUUCCUUCCUAUUUUCUGAUAUUGCCUUAUGAAUUCAAAACCACAAGAAGAUGAAUAAAAUUAGCUCUACAUAACUGGUUGAUGCAUGAUACAGAAGAACACUACUUUGAUGUAAGGCAAGCGCAGGAUAGGAGGAUGGAAUAUAUACAAAAAAAGACAGUGUUUCAUAUUCACACGUACGAUAGGAGGAUGGAAUAUGUGUGAAAAAACAGUAAGCGGAAGGCAUUUCAACAAAAUUAGAAGAAAUGAAAGCUAGGCACCAUAUGAACAUGCAACCAAUAUCACUCUAUCAGGUAAAAAGUGUCUCGUCGUAAGUGCUAUUUCAAGAAAUUAGAAGCAGUACAAGCUAGAAGACAAUGCAAGAUGCAACCUCCAUCACAGUCCCAAGUUAAAUGUGUCUUAUGGGUAAGUGAUCGUUGCAGGUAUAAGUUGUAAGCUACGCAGAUGCAAUUCAACAUAAUUAGAAGCAAUACAAACUAGACAUCAUACGGAAAACGCAACCACAUAUAACAGUUCCAAGUUAGAGCAAGCACCUGUGAUGGUGGAGUAGGGGAGAUGUGCUCAUCAUGUACACGUAUGUUCUACAAACAGGAACAUGUGUCAUAUUCACAGGCAUUAUGUGUAAAGUAAGCAGAUGCAAUUCAAAAAAGUUAGAAGCAAUACAAGCUAGACAUCAUACACAACAUGCAACCACAUAUAAUAGUGCCAAGUUAGAGAAAGCACAUGUGAUGGUGGAGUAGGGGAGAUGUGCUCAUCAUGUACACGUAUGUUCUAGAAACAGGAACACGUGUCAUAUUCACAGGCAUUAUGUGUAAAGUAAGCAGAUGCAAUUGAACAAAGUUAGAAGCAAUACAAGCUAGACAUCAUACGCAACAUGCAACCACAUAUAAUAGUGCCAAGUUAGAGCAAGCACCUGUGAUGGUGGAGUAGGGGAGAUGUGCUCAUCAUCUACACAACUAUGUUGACUGUCUAGCCUUGCGUUGUCUUGCGAAUCUUGGUGGGAGGAUGGCGGAGUAGAAUUUGUAGAGAACCUCCAUUUCAGUUGCUCGGAAGGACCACCAUCAUCCAAUGCCUUGCCAAUUUCCUUCAGCUUUAUUGAUUUUGCAUUGUGAGGUCAAACCGACAAGAAAAAGGAAUAUAAUUCGCUUUUUAGAACUCAUUCAUGCAUGAUACUGACGAACGCUACUCUGAUGAAAGGCAAAGUCAUGAUACGUGGAUGGAAUAUGUACGAAAAAAUGGACGGCUUGACAUAUUCACACCUAUGAUGUGGUAACUAAGCAGAAGGCACUUCAACAAAUUAGAAGCACUGCAAACUAGACACCAUAUGAAAGGUGCAAUCAAUAUCACUCUGCCAAGUUAAAAUUGUCUCGUCAUAGGUGGCGUUCAUCAAACUAGAAGCAAUACAUGCUAGAAAUCAUAUUCAAGACGCAUAUCAAUAUCACACUGCCAACUUAAAGGUGUCCCAUCAUAAGUGACUGAUGCAGGAUAUUCAAGAUGAGUAGUUUCAUGUAAGAACAUGGUGUGAUAGACAGAUAUAGUAUGUACCAAAAACAGGAAAGCGUGUCAUAUUCACACGUAUCAUGUGUAAGCUAAGCAGAUGCAGUUUACACUAAUUACGAGCAAUACAAGCUAGAGACCAUAUGCAACAUGCAACCAGAUAUCACACUGCCAAGUUAGAGCAAGCACCUUGGAUGGUGGAGUAGGGGAGCGGAGACUUGGACCUUGUAAUGCACUAUCAGUACAAGGAGAAUCGGUACAGAUGCUCCAUUUAAGUUGCUGCAGAGGACCACCAUCAUCGCCUUCCUUACUCUUUUCCUUCCUCUUUCUUGAUUUUGCCUUGUCAAGUCAAACCCGCAAGAAAAAGGAAAAAAAUUUGCUCUUCAGAACUCAUUGAUGCAUGAUACUGACGAACACUACUUUCAUGUAAGGCAGCCGCAUGAUAGGAGGAUGGAAUAUGUAUGAAAAACAGGACGGCGUGACAUAUUGACAUGUAUGAUGUAUAAAGUGUAAACUAAGCACAAGGUUCUUGAACUUGUUAGAAUCAAUGCAAGCUAGAAACCAUAUGAAAGAUGAAACCAAUAUCAUUCUGCCAAAUUAAAAGGGUGCCCUAACAAAUGUAUUUGACCAAAUUAGAAGCAAUACAUGGCAACAGGCUAGAAAUAAUAUGCAAUAUGCAACGAAUAAAGGUGACUCAUUGUAAGUGAUUGAUGCAAGAUACAGAAGAGAGCUAGUUUCAUGUAAGAACAAGCUUAACACAUAGAUGUAGUGUGUACCAAAAAUAGGAAGGCAUGUCAUAUUCACAGGUAAAAUGUGUAAACUAAGCAGAUGCAAUUUACCCUAAUUAGAAGCAUUACAAGCUAGACACCGUAUGCAACAUCCAACCACAUAUCACACUGCGAAGUUAGAGCAGGCACCUGUGAUGGUGGUGUGGGGGAAUUGCGGUCAUCAACUAGAAAGCUACGUUGACUAUCUUCAUUUAGCCUUGCUGUUUCUUGAGAAUCAUGUGGGGAGGAUGACACUGCACUCUUUAAAUGAGUAUGGCGUCUCACAGUAACCCACUCGGGUGACUGUCUCAUCAUAAGUGAUUGACGAGGAUACAAAAGAGCAUUAGUUUGAUGUACGAACAUGAUUAAUAGACAUAUGUAGUAUGUAUCAAAAACAGGAAGGCAUGUCAUUAUCAAAGGUAUAAUGUGUAAGCAGAUGCAAUUUAACCAAAUUGGAAGCAAUACAAGCUAGACACCAUAUGCAACAUGCAACCACAUUUGACAGCGCGAAGUUAAAGCAAGCACCUAGGAUGGUUGUGUGUGGCAAUUGAGAUCAUCAACUGCAGAUCUAUGUUUGCUGUCUCCAACUGCUGACACUGCACCCUUUAGAGCGCCGAAACGCUUAGUGCUUAUCUUCAAAUUACACUGGAGCGACUUCUGUCUUCUCUUUUCAGCAUUCAUCAACACUGUGUCAGAGUCUGAAAUACCCAUGCAUAAAAAAACAAUAGUGUGAGCAUGGGUGAAGUGUGUGCACAAUUAGUACAGUGUAAAGGUAGCAGAUAGUAGGUCGGUGAGAAAUAAAUGACGGGAGACAUAUGAUAGCUCUACAACAUGCAUGGCACACUAAAUUACUACAGGACUAUAUGAAAACAACAUUCGACUGAAAACAAAUAGGUCAGUCCAUUUUUUCUGCACCUUCCGAUGUGCAAAGAAUGGGCAGAUCUCCUUCAUCUACCUCCAGCCAGUCAGUGUUGACGAUCUUCCUCGAAAUGGCAGCGACCACCGGCCUAGUCCCCUGCCUACGCCCUCCCCUCGACCUCACCGCACCGCCGUGCUUGGCACCGCCCCCCGGCCAUCCAUUCAAGGCCCGCCGACCUCCAGAUUGGGCGCAAGCAGCUCCUGCGCCCCACCCCCUUAUGAUAGACACCGAUGCGCUGCUUCCCCCGCGAACAGGCGGACUAGGUGCUCCGCACGCCUAAGCGGGUGCUUCUUCUUUUAAUUGCAGUUCGACUGACCCUGAAUUGAAAUCCAGGCGGGCUACUGACCUCUAGCAAAGGUGAAAUAGUAAAGGGAGGAAACCUUGUGCAUUUAGUAUCAUGAAGAAGAUGCAGUAAGAAGCGCUCAACUAGUUUCUUUCGUGGGAUGAAUACGGUGUGAGCAGAGACGUAAGGUUUGCACGAAUAAGGGAAGAGGAGUACCUCUUUCUGCUGGCAGUGAUGUGUCCUCCUUCUGUUUUUCCAACGAUCUUCUUGUGGUUCGCUGGAAAUGAGAAGUUGUGGAGGACGGUGCAGCCUUGGACGAACCCAUGGCCAAGUUGUUGAGUGUGGUGCGGUGGCCGUCUGUCGGUGGCGGGGAACCAGAUCCGAGGCGGCGAACGACGGCGUAGCGGGAACAGCUCCGGUGCGGUGGACGGUUGCGACAGUGGAGCAGCAGCAGUGAGGCGCAGGACGGCGUGGUCGGAGUGGUUCUGGUAUGGCGCACGUCGGCGUCGGCGUCGUGGAGGCAGCUGUACCUCGGCUUCAGCUGCUAAGUCCUUGAGGGCGUUGCGGUUGCGGUUGCGUUGGACGACUGCAUCGGGGUACCGGCUCCGGCGUGAUGGAGGAGGGCGGCGGUGGAUUGGGCGCUAUGGGGUGGAGGACGGAGGAGGAUGGGGUUUCGCGGCUCGUAGAGAGGGCGUUUUGGCGCCUAUGGAGUAUGAAUGGGGAAACAGAGGGAGGCGGGGAACUAAGGGGGAACAAUGUUUCGGUUUGGGACGCGCUUGUUUGAAAUUUGGGGAAAGUUACAAACUUUGCCCCCAUCUAAAAUUUCGGACAUAUUGCGGGUUGGGGGUAGGACAGUAACCUCAGGUGUCCCAAAUGUGGGCGGGAUAGAUUCCAGCCGAGCGCAUGGGUGUUUAAGCGCCCACGGCGUAUGAAUGCUUCUCGGAGGCGGUUGAGACUGGCAUCUUGGUGAAGUUACAAACCUACCCCGGUUUAGACCUUUGGACAUCGGGCUGAUAGGCUACACGGGCUAGAGUUAGGACAGUAAUUUCCUACCACCAAACAUUAGUCUCGCGUGGCUUCGGGUGACCAGAGGCCUAUUUGGCGCUUCAUUCAAUAUUUUGGAGUAGAAGCAUUAAUGUUUUCGGUUCUCUUGAAUUGAACUUUCAAGAUUUGUCAAACUUCACAAAUCUUUACUCUUGAAAAUCCUAAAGCUACGAUUAUUUUGGAAUGGAGGGGGUACAUUUGAAUAUACAUUGUACACGUGUAUAUAUUAUAAAUUAUGCAACUUACCUCAGUUCAUCCAUGGUUCUAGAUAUAAUCUCCUUGGUUGCAAAAAAAAAGUUAGACAUGCAUAUGAAUAUAUAUAGCAUGUUCAAACGCACAACAAAGAUUGAUGCCCCCUUUUACAUCUGAUUUACAAAUGCCAUUAUCUCGAGUUCAAAUAGAUGAAUGCACUUCCUAUGAAUUCGAAUCUUCGAAACCCCCUUUAUGUUGAAUUCGACAUGUAUUCUAUUUCGUAGGUAGAAAUUUGGAAUGUAUCCAUGCAAGUGACAAAUGUAUAAAGUGUUGUCCCACACACCCUUACAUCAUGGAAAGAGCGUUUUAGGACUGGCCUAGCCUUACUAUGCCAUAGGGUUAAACCCUCAUUGGCUGAGUUCAUUUCUUUGUUCUUGGAGACUACUUUGUAAUCCCAUUUCCUUUUCUUUCUAGGAUCAAAACCCCCACACCCAUGUGGUAUGUGGUGAUUUUGGCUCUAGGAACCAUGAGCACUUGCUUAUGAACCCUGUGUAACUACUCAUUUCUGAUUAAUACAUGUCAGUAGGAUCCUCUCCUACUGUCUUUGACUGAUAAAAAAAUGUAUAAAGUGCUUCACACUAACAACAUGGAGUGCACUAAUUAAUGUUUAUAUAUGAAUUGCAAAAGCAUCCAUUGCCUAUAUUUCAAACCGCUCUCACUCUAUGGAUCGAUAAUAUGAAAUAAACACAUGCACAUGCUAGAAUUCAAUAGAGUAUGGGUGUCUGAUAGACCGAUUUUCGUCCAUACGCAAUUUGCAAAAUUCAUGAUCUCAUCCAAAAAUAAUAAUGCCAUUUAUAUUUUAAUUUUAUGCGUAGAACCGCCUUUUACACGUAGAUGCACUAUGCCUCAGCCGGUUCUCACAAACGCGCUAUAUAUCUCUCUAUCUACCGCAUAAGUGCACACUUUAUAUGCAUCGGCAUUUCUCUUUCACACAUGCUCACAAUCUCUCUCGGGGUGCCGGGGAGUCUCACGCACAUGCUCUCUCUGUAUCUCUCUCUCUCUCUUUCUGACUACUAUGUACUACUCUUUUCACUAAUCUCAGUUGGAAAACGCUAUUUCUCUCACAUGCAUAUAUACACACGAACAGUCUCUACUAGCCCUCUACACGCACAUAUAUGUGCCUACGUGUCUCCCGCACGCACAUUAUCUUUAGGCCUCUCUCGCACACAUUGCCCCCCCGGACACACCUCUCUCUUAGUAGUUGGCAGAUAUGAUUCCAUCAUAUCAUUUGGUAGGAUAUCCCUGACUAUUAGACUGUAUGGUAAUACGAGGCAAAGUUUUACCCUAGUUCGGACCCUUGCAGUUGAGGAAAAAGCCUACUCCUGGUACUGUAUAUUAGUGAUAGGGGUGUGUACAAAGUACACGUGAAUACCAGGCAUUGUGCGUGUGUGUAUACUAUCGACGAACUAGCCCCCAAGCUUCUAUAACAUACCGAGGGCCUAGGGUUACAAAUCAUAUAUAGUCGGCUUAUCACCAGUGGGGAUAGAGUCCUCCGCGACUCUGGUAGCUAGCUUCGUGUUGUACGCCGAGUCCUCCGCAUGGGUCUUCGUAUAACGCGUCUCAAUCCAACCUAUGUGGCGCAGGAUGGAACCGACCCAUGAGUGCUCAUGUUGACCCACCACAACUAGAAAUGAUGUGCCCACCACACCACACACGCAAUCGGCCACUAAGAAAAUAAGCAUAUACAAUAGUACAAUGUUAUACAUGAAUGUUAAUUGCAUGGUGCAUCCAAAAAUAUUUGUUCUGCAUUGUGAAUGUUUAUUUAUUCUCCUAAAAUAUUAGUCACGGGAAAGAGAAACGAAGGGCAUAUCUCUCCUUGUCUCCACCAGACAUCCCCUCUUUCUACACCACUUUCACGUACGCACACAAACUAUCUCUCGGCCCUCUAAAAGUAUGCAUGCCCACGACACAUUCACGCGUGAUGGUCACUGUAUUUGAAGCUAAAGCACUAUACGGUCACUGGACUUCAGAAUAUGCUCAUUAUGGUCACCGUAUACAUUCUCGUGGUGAUCAUACGGUAUCUAGCUCAUGAUACGUCUCCGUAUUUUCUUGAUGACACUGACGGACUUUGCAUGUGAUGCGUGCUCCGUAUUUUGUUGACGACACUUACGGUCAUUGUAUUUGAAGCGAAAGCACGAUAUGGUCACUGGACUUCAGAAUAAGCUCAUCACGGUCACCACCUACAUUUUGUCAUGCUAACCAGCAUGUGGUUGGAUGGUUUGGAGGACAGUGGUUUCUUGAGCCCACCAGGGUAAAGUCCCGGUGCUCGCAUUUAUCCUGGGUUAAUUUCAGUAUUUUCGGCGAUGUGCGUUCAGUGGGAGGAGACGUUCCACUCGACUACGAGGAACCUAUGGUGACUUUGUAAAAUCUUAAGAUCAUAUGCUGGCUCACUCUCUUGAAGGUGCUCAUAGGGGUAGGGUCUGCAUGUGUGCGCUUAUAGCGGUGAGUGCUUGCACGUAUAUGUGAGCCCUUACGUAUGUACCGUGUUAAAAAAUACAUGUCAUGAUUAUACGGUCACUGGCUCACCCGUACAACUCCGUAUUAUUUUGAUGACACAAUCAAUGGACCAGUCAAACGUUCCACGUGGCGCAACUAGUGUUGCACCAUCGGGGCGCGUAACCGUGGGGCCCACCUGUCAGCCCGUAUAUGAAAGAAAGAAAUGGUAGUUUGAGUCUGUACUGUGUUAAUAAAAUACAUUUUAGGGUGAUCAUACGGUCACUGGCUCACCAUACAGCUUCGUAAUUUGUUGAUGACACGAUCAAUUGACCAGUCAAACGGUCCACAUUCAGCAGCGCACAUUACCACAGGGCACACCCGUCAGCGCCUAUAUGAAGGACAGAAAUGGUAAUAAAUUAGUGGUCGGUGGGUACUCGAAGUCGUGAGACCUCUGGUUGGCAGUCGCCGGUGGUGGGUGGGGCGCGUUGAUUGGGUGGUNNNNNNNNNNNNNNNNNNNNNNNNNNNNNNNNNNNNNNNNNNNNNNNNNNNNNNNNNNNNNNNNNNNNNNNNNNNNNNNNNNNNNNNNNNNNNNNNNNNNNNNNNNNNNNNNNNNNNNNNNNNNNNNNNNNNNNNNNNNNNNNNNNNNNNNNNNNNNNNNNNNNNNNNNNNNNNNNNNNNNNNNNNNNNNNNNNNNNNNNNNNNNNNNNNNNNNNNNNNNNNNNNNNNNNNNNNNNNNNNNNNNNNNNNNNNNNNNNNNNNNNNNNNNNNNNNNNNNNNNNNNNNNNNNNNNNNNNNNNNNNNNNNNNNNNNNNNNNNNNNNNNNNNNNNNNNNNNNNNNNNNNNNNNNNNNNNNNNNCGGGCCGGCCGCGGGCGGCGGGGACCGGCGGUUCGGCCGGUGGUGGCUGGCGGCUCAGGGGGGUGGAGUUUGAUGAUAAACUACAGGCCCUUGAUUUCGUAUUCGACGGCUGGAAAAUCUAAUGACCAGAGAUGAAAAGUCAGUCGACUGACGUGUAGCCUCACCGCGCACGUACACAUGCAUGCACGCAAGACACGCACGCAUGCAUGUGUGCAACACUGAAACGUACACAUAACGAACACACACCCGCAUGGAGGCGUGCAACACUGACACGUACACAUGCUCUCACGAACACACACAUGCAUGCAACACUGAAACGUACCCUUGCACGCACGCAACACUCGCACGCCUGCAUGCACACAACACACGACGCAAGAUACACGCUCAACCUAUAUGUGCAUGCACCCUUUGUUAAGGACAUGGAUUGUUACGGGUAUUAAUCAAUCUUAUCUGUGAUAAGCAGAACAUUGAUGUUUGCAGCGGUCUUUAUGAAUCACAACGUAUCGAACGGGCUAUCAACAUAGUAGGCUUAUCUACAUGAAAAGGAUGACGUCACACUCAAUGAACAAUCAUCGGUUUAUGAAAUGCCCGCUUCUGACCGCCCUAACCCACCAAAGGUUCCUCUGCUAUGCGCUGCCUGCGUUGGGUCACUGACAUGCAGGCCAUGUACCCAAAGAGCCCACACGUUAGUGGAAGAACGGCGCGGUGUCCUACGUCAGAGUCGAGGGCGCCACUCGCUGCACGCCCGGCUGAACAUGCCCGUCAGAGUCGAACACGCAAGCUUGCCGCAUUCAAACGCCUCCAUGAAACCCACCCGUGUGGAAGCCGAGAAACCCACUCUAGACACACGUCCGUUCAUGACCGGGCCGGCAUUAAACGUAAUGCCGGCCGAGCUCCUCCCGUCCGCCGUCUAUUUAAUCUCCUAUUUAAACGAGGCCAAACGCCGGCCAAGAAUCACACACCUCCGCCGCUCCCCUAUCUCCUCCUUCACCAUUUUGUCCACUCUUACAAUGGCUUACAAAGAGUAGUUAUUCUGCACAAGCCAUUUGUCUAGGUUUGUAUCUCUCACACACACCCACGUAGGUGGGGGACGUGCACGAAGAGAAGAGGUGCACGCACGGUGCACGUACUCCCGUCUCUUUCCCAACCACACCCGCGUGGGUACACGGUGGAGCUCAUUUCUGUACGAAAAGGCAGCCCGCGUGGUAAUUUGACACGUGUACUGGUUGUCCACUUGAUGGAGGGAGGAUCGGCUACCACAGGUGAACAAACAAAUUGUGACUUGACGCGUUAUGUGAAAAAACAGGCAAACCAUGUGGGGCCUACCUUAGAGGCAAGGCUCUAUAAACUGGAGUACUUUUGAUGUGUCCCAUCAACUCACAAAACGAGGAGAAGCUUCCUUAGUAUGUUGUCUCCCCCGCCCACGGGCGCGGUGGCUCGCAGGAUGAGGUAAAGCUUGCUUACUAGUAGUAGUACUGUACGCCUUACGCCCGUUCCCUCGCCCACGCGCGCGGUGGCUCGCAGGACGAGGAGAAAAUUUUACUACUCCCUCCGUUUACUCCUCGUCCCUACUACCUUGGUUAGAGAAAUUAUCAUAUUGUUUGGAAUAUAUAUGUCCUUUAGUACUCCCUCCAUUUACUUAUAAAAGGGCACUUAAAAAAAUACAUUUUGCAUCUAUACAAGGCCACAAAUAGUAAUCGAGACAAAAGUUACUACUCCCUCCUUUCCAGUUUAUGGCUCAAUUUCAAAAUCUCUCCAACCAAGGUAGACGGUGAGUGGUCGAAUUAAUUUCGUACUCCUAGUUUGCACAAGUAAUUAGUACGCUCGUUUUUCUCAAGAAGUUAUGUUUACCGAGGCAUUAAUUAGAACGAAUGCAUGAAUGACCACUAAAUUUCCAUGAACUUCUACAUGCAUUGGUGAGUUUUCUCUUGACACUGCUUGCAUGGGGUGAUCUACCGCACCUCGAAAUCCAACAUGUGAUGGUACUACUACUAGUAGUAGAAUUGAGACUUAUAAAACGGAAAAAUGAAUGUUUUUUAGAUGAGCCCUAUAAACCCUAGUGGGUACGUACUUCGUAAAAUCAGAUUUUCCCAAAACUAAGUUGCUCAACCUUUAUUUGCUUGCUUCCCUUCCUGCCUCCUUGCCUCGAACAGACUAUGCCAAACUCCCCUUCCUGCCGCGCGGGAAGAGACCCGCCCUCUCCUUUUUUUAGUCCGGGUUUGUAUCGAUGGAUCGCGCGAAGCAGCAAAAACCCAAGCCGUGUCUUGUACUCCUCCGUGGACGCUCGCUUUCAUGAAUUCUGUACUUCUUGUCGCUGACAUGUGGGACAUAUAGCAACCGGGUCGAUGUGUCAAGCACCAAAUAACAGUGCAGAACAGCAGGGGGACGCACCUUAGUCGUACCGCCCCAGUAGUAGUAGUAAUGAGCAAUGAGACGUCAAAUUACAAUACCGCACCUUCCCAGACGGACGAAGCAACCAUUAUUUCACACUUCGGUUCGCCAUCAUCUCAAACCACGUAGUAUUGCUUCUGCCUGAAGAGGGACACGCGCAUCGCCUUGGUACAUCAUGUCAUGUGGGACCGCAUGACAUGCCAUGCUCCCUCGCCGAUCGCUCGGUAAAAUCACCUCAUUUUUACUACUAUACUUCCUCCGUAUCGGUUUACAUGGCAUGCACGUUGUUCUAGGUUGAGAAUUUAACUCGCUAUAUAUGUGAUGAACAAUAUAUGUUUAGAAACUACAUCCGCUUAUUAAUCCAAUGAUAUACUUUUUGUGUCAUAGUAACUCAUAUUUAGUUAGUCAAAUGGAUGACCUAGAACUACGUGCACGCCCAAUAAACCGAGACGCCUAAAAACGAGACGGAGAGGGUAGUUCAGUAUGUAUCUUUUUAGAUCAAUAUAGUCGGGAUUCACCAAGGAGCAAAACCAAGUGGUAGGCUGCACCUGCUGUGUUGGAGUAGCGACUCAAGCAGGGUCAGUCCGCACACGAAAUGGCGACACAAUUAGGGGCUGUUUGGUUCUAGGCCUAGGAGUGCCACACUUUGCCAUACAAUGUUUGCCAAACUUGCCUAAGGAUAGGUCUUCAAAAAUAGAGCCACAAGUUGGCAAGCCUAAGGGAAUCUUGCCACACUUUUUGUGUGUAUGUGAUGUGGGACCAUAGUGUGGCUUGCCUAAGAUGUGGCUUGAACCAAACACACACCUAAGUUGGUCAAACUUGCCUAACCUUAGGUGUGGAAAGCUUUGGCAAACUUAGUCUCAAACCAAACAGCCCCUUAACAGGACCCCUUUGGCCGACAUGUGGCUCAUCCACCGUCUUGUUCCACGUGCGAUGCACCAAAUUAUAGUUCGGAGCAGCGGUUGGAAUUGGAGGCACCCCGGUCGUAGAGCCGCAGUAGUAGAAAAUGAGCGAUGAGGGGUCAAAUCACAAAGCCCCACCUUUCCCGCAUUAAGCUGGACGGACGAAGCAACCAUCAUUUCACUCUAGGGCGCAAGAGCAUAAAGAAAAGAGAAAACCAAUGAUGUGUGCGGCAGCUACCUAGGGCACCCUAGGGUAGGGGUCUCCACUACAGACCAUUUUUUCUGAAAGCGCCUCCACUACAAAUCGGCUUCUCCCUCGUCCUCUUGAAGAAAACCGAUGAUGCGUGUGGCGGUAGGGUUUGUAGCAGUACUACUACGGUGUGCGAGGCCACGUCGUAGUAAACGGGAGAGGGAUUGAGUUCGAGUCGACGCCUUAAAUAUGUGUGGGCCGCUUGGUUUUAGGGGAACGAGGCAACAUUUUGGGUUCGGGGACCAGUGGAGAUAUAGUACGUACAAAAAAUUGUGGACGUAGGUUCGACCGAAAGGCAAUGAUGCAUGGUCCCUGCAUUUUGAUAUACCCGGGGCCGCGUGAAAUUUGCUACUCUACUCAAAACUAGUAAGGUACACAUGCAUUGAACGCAUGAGAUUUCGAAACCAAAUUAUGAAUAAAUACACACUAUAGCAUGUAAAGCUUUGAGUCAUAUAUGCAUGAUGUAGAUGUUCGUUUAGUUCUUAUAGUUCAUCUCAUUCAAAAUCAAUUAGUUUUAUAAAAAUGUUAAGAUUCAUGGGGUUGUGCAUUGUAAAGCAUAAAGUAAAAAACAAAUAAUGGCAAUUCAUUUGGAAAAAAAAUCCAUUAUGAUACGGAAGAUUCUAGAACAAAGGAGAAGUGCUUGUGUUUCGAGGUUUGUGUAUUAUGCUUAAGUUCAACCAUGGAGUGUUCUAAAUUGUACAUGUGGCAGAUCUGGUGGAAUGUUGAUGAUAUCCAAUGGCCAGUAGUGCUCGGAUUUGCCAUCUCUGCACUGUCAGAUUAGCUUCAUCCAGUGACCAUCUUUCAAGUUAUUCGCACACUAUAUAGUUCUUGUGCCAUAGUUGCAUGUGUUGGAAAAAAGCUACUAGUGGGUUGUACUAGCUAUUUAGGAAUAGAAGAUGUAUACAUGGAAGUUGUAGGGAAAGAGAUGACAUGGAGUAUCUCAAUUCCUAUGAGUAGGGAUUGGAAAAGAGAUGUCAUUUGGUUCAUAUCAUAGGAACUUUUUUUAUUGAAUCUAGAGAUAGCAUGUAUCUCAAUUCCUAUGAGGAGGGAUUAGAAAAGAGAUGUAAUUUGGUUCAUAUCAUAGGAACUUUUCUAUUGAAUAUACGCUAAUGUUUAUUUUCCUUUGAAAUUAUGGGAGUAUAGGAAUUCAUUCAUAUGAACCAAGUGGCUCUAAAGCUAUAGAAAUGAUAUCAUGUUUAUUUCCUUUGAAAUGUGGAGUAUAUGAAUCUAUUCUUAUGAACCAAUUGGUUCUAAGGGAAAAAAUCCUAUAAAAGUCAUAUCAUAUAGAGGUCCUAUGAUAUUCCUCCACACCAAAGGAUGGUUGAAAUUGCUGCAGGUGAUACGAUGGUGUUUCUUUGUAGACUCCUCCCCCAGCUUUAUAGUUACCUCUCGAAGAUGAAUGAAAUGAUAUAUACAGGGUAUUCUACAUGUGCAAUUUGGUACAUGAAAACUCGGUAAAAGUAUGUGAGGUUCGAAUUUUCAAUAAAGCUAUAUGCACUGCAUUUUGGAACGGAGGCAGCAUACGGCAGUUGCUAACACUCACGUGGAAGAUUUGUGUGUAGGAGGAGUGGCUGUUCUGUUAAAUGACAUGGCAAAACUGACACUGUCGGAUGCCGAUCUAACGGUUCUUACGGCGUUCGUCAGGAAAAGGCUUGUGGCGAACAUUUGUCCGAUAAUGAUUUACGGACACAUGCAUUGCAUUGAUACGUGCCCCCCUCUCUCUCACACACACGCACCCUCUCGAGUCCUCUCGCACCCACCGUCUAUCUGCAGGUAGAUGUCACACCCAUAUGUGCUCUUCACACCCUACCCUCAGAACUUCUAAAAAACAAAAGACGUCGCGCACAUUUUAUUUUAGCUCACACGUCAUACACUUAUACUAUUACUCUUGUGGCGAACGUUCUUUGGGCAUAGUAUAUUGUACUCUCACGAAGAGAAGCAGUACACGCACGCACUAGUUCUCUCACACCCACUCGCGGGUACACGUAGGAGCGCAUCUUUUGAAGCUAGUAGAACAAAAUCACUCCACUAUAUAUAUAAGCAGGAGCCUUAGCGCUUGCUUUACUAGGGUUCCUCUCAUUCACUCUCUCAUGGUCUCUAGAUCUAAGCAAGACAUAGGUGGCCACACUCUCUCUUAGCUCAUGGCUGGUCACAAAUCCGGCCGGACAACCUCGACCGGGGCAGGGGUGUUGGUGCAUCGUUCACGCUGUCGUCGGCGGCGAGGGAGGAGACCAACGGCUGCCCGCACGUCCCGAUCGGCGGCCAUGCCCUUCACUACGAGAGAGCGCCGGCUCCGGAGGGCCUCCGACCCAUUCUUCCUCCCUGCGGUAUUGUGGCCAAGAUGCGGCCUCCCGACGCCGUCUUUGCCACAUGCCGACGACCCUCAGGUAUAUAUUCCUUCGAAACCUGCCUUGCUCUAUUGCCCCAGCUCCCCUCUUGGCUUCGUGUGGAUCCUUUUCUACUUCCGUCCGCUGUUCCAAAGCCACCUAGACUUUUACUAUUAUUAGAGGUAAAGCUAGUUCAUAUAGUCAAAUCUAAGAGUUGGUUCAAACAGGGAAGAUAGUGGGAAAGCUGUAGCAUGAAUCUAGGACUUGGUUCUAAGAGGAAACAGGGGAAAGUAGUAGAUACUGGCUACCCAACCGGUCUCUUGGUUGAAAAGACGAAGAAAGCAUGGUGGAUGGCGAAGGGUGGGGGAAGUGGACCUAUCUCUUGGUUGAAAAAGGAAAGAAAGUGACGGGUGUUGGGGGACAAUGCAAAUGAGAAUGAGGAGGUCUAGAUUUCCUGUGCUCACAUAGGAAAAUAUCGCUGAGGAGAUAAAAAAUGGGACAAAUGCAGACAUGCUGCCUGAGUGUUUGCCACUCUCAGCAACCACAUCUGCCUCACCACUUUAUGCCCCUGCUGUCCCUACGCCCAUAUCGCUACCGGUAAUGUAAAAUCACAUGAAGCAUUAAGCAAUGCCACCUAAUGUCACUAUAAGUAAUGGUCUAGUGCCGUCGAUAAAUUGAAGCAAUGCCACAACCAUUUUAUGAAGUGCUUCCGUCUUGCUUUAUUUCCCAUGAAUUGUGUUUUUGCAGUUACACUUAAAUCUCACACCGCUAACAUUGCUUCAUCCCAGUGGAACUGCACAAAUUUGAUUGCACAUUUACUGGCCAUGUGCUACUCUCAUGACAGUAAUACUAAUGCUAUUGUUCUGCAUGUUAAUCUAGUGGCAGUGUUGAUGUGAUGUGAUGCUACUUACUUAAGGACACUUUCAUACUGUCAAUCUAGUGCCAAUUAUAACACAAUAGAUGUUGCUGUUAAUCAUACGCCACUGCAAAUAUCUGUCACUGUUUAAAUAACCAUAUUUCGUAUUUGCGCAAACAGGGAUGUCUGUCUCCAUAUCGUUUUGGGAUGUCUGUCUCCGUAUCGUUUCUAUCCGCGCAAUCAAAAGCACACACCUCAAUUUUAGUAGAACUGCGCAAAAUGAGAUGGCUAUCCCGCGUUGCCGUCGUCUAACCACCCGUCUUCCAGGUAUUCCUACAUUGGUAGUUACUAGGUAGAAUGACCAACGCAAUAUAAAAGAAGUUGAUUCGUACGUUUUACUUCCUGAUUGCAGUGUAGGGACGAGCGAAAACAACUGCAUCCUAGUCCGGAAUGCACUUUCUACCAUUUCAUCCAUGGACCGAGGACUAGCUGGCACGGCUGCACAGCGGUUUUUUGGACAGGUGCGCGGACAAGAGGCAUUGUGGUCUGCUUAUUUCUGCAAAUAGCGGUGCUUAAAUUUAGUGGAAUGCACAAGACUUUCAGCUGGUCAGUACACUACAUGGUUCAGUUCAGCAUUCCAGCUGAGAACACAAUUGUAAUUGGUUAUUCUGGAAUGAGAGAACCUAACCCUGGAUUGUGGCAACAAGAAAAAACCAGAGUGAACUCCAGGAAAUUUAAGCCUGCCGGGAGGCCCUUUGCUUAGAGAAGCCUUGCUUGUUUUUUCCUGAUUUGUAAACCUUCUCACAACUUUGUCUUUUUCUAUGAACUAGUAUAUGUUUGUUUUGUUCUAUGAAUCAUUGAGAUGUAUAAAAUUGCUUAACUUAUGCUUUUCAAGUUUUUUAUGAAGCCGAGUUUAAUGUGAGUGUUCCACAUGAACGCUGGACUAGCGUGUGAACAUUUGGAAUUUACAUUAUGGCCUCAGUUAACUGCAUGAACCACUGUAACAAGAUACAUAGUUGCUUAUAUGUCAGAUAGCAGAUUGUUGAUUGUUAGCUGGUCGAUAGCGUAGUGUUGAAGCGAGCUGAGCCAAUGUGCCGUGUUUUUCACAACUACUUACAAGUGGGGUAGCACCAACAGUGUUUACUAGUACUUAUGUAUACGUCGGCCCACAGUUCUCGAAUGAGUACUCUAUUUCAUCAAAACACACACUGCUCGUAUGAUAAACCGUGACAACAUAUGUCUUACCAUGCCAUAUUCAUGAAAAAACUAGUGAGGAUGCAUCUGUUUCGGCAACAAUUACGAUGGUUCUCACAUAAUUCACGGGCACACAAAAGUAGCAGCAGUUCCCAUAGAUGGAUUCAAACAGAGUACUAGCCCCAGAGGGCUCGAUAACAGGCAAGGUUCGGAUAAUUAGACACAAUCCAAACUACUAUUAAACACUAGCUGGGGCAACUAUUUCAUGACUCGAUCUAAUUUGGGCUGGACACAAGAUGGACCUUGCCAUGAACAUCAUCGAGGACGUCCGGCAGCAGCUAAAUCCUGUGAACCUUCAUGAAGACAACCUUGUGGCCUUGCCACUCAUAAACUUGUUUGUGGAGGCAUGCCACGUCAUCUUCCUGCGUAAGCUUGACAAGAACAGUAUGCCUCACAAACGAAGGAGUAGCUUUGAACUUCUUGUGCUUUAGUACACCCUGGACAACACGCCUGACAACAGUGAGGCUGGAAUACAACUCUUCAUUGGUAUAAGCGCAAAUGGCUUCCAUGAUCCAACAGCCUAAAAACUCUGUUUUCCCAGUGCGUAUAUUCAAGUCAUCCGCCUCAUAGCGAGUGACAUGUACAACCACACAAUCCUUGUCUGCAUCAGGGCUCUAAUUGAAACAGAAACAAAUUCUGAAUUACUUUCCAGUAUAAGAAACACAAGUUAUUUAAACCACUAUGUAUAGCAUGGCAUCGAAGCUAAUAAAAUUUUGCAUUAUUCAUCACCACAUACUUAGAUGAAAAACCACAAUCGAGAUCGGCAAAGAAGAAAAUCACCUUGGGCAGCUCAGCGGGGGGGNNNNNNNNNNNNNNNNNNNNNNNNNNNNNNNNNNNNNNNNNNNNNNNNNNNNNNNNNNNNNNNNNNNNNNNNNNNNNNNNNNNNNNNNNNNNNNNNNNNNNNNNNNNNNNNNNNNNNNNNNNNNNNNNNNNNNNNNNNNNNNNNNNNNNNNNNNNNNNNNNNNNNNNNNNNNNNNNNNNNNNNNNNNNNNNNNNNNNNNNNNNNNNNNNNNNNNNNNNNNNNNNNNNNNNNNNNNNNNNNNNNNNNNNNNNNNNNNNNNNNNNNNNNNNNNNNNNNNNNNNNNNNNNNNNNNNNNNNNNNNNNNNNNNNNNNNNNNNNNNNNNNNNNNNNNNNNNNNCUCGAAGGGGGAAAACUCCUCCUGCAGUGCCACGGGGGCUGUAACCUCGAACGGGGCGUUGACCAUCUUAGUAGUGGCCGUGAGCGUAUCUGGGGUCGGCUCGGUGGCUGCCUCCAUCUUCUUGGAGCUCUCUGUCUCGUGGGGAUCAGCCUCCCGCGUCUGCUCCAACAUCGGCAGAUCUUUGCCUGGUUCUCCUUGGUCCAUCAUGAAAAUGACGAAUACUAGGAGACCACUGAAAGGAAAACACAAUCGCAAUGACACAAAAAAGAGAGUGAGGAUCGGUUACAGCUUUGCAAAAGUUAUUUUUUUUCUCGGAACGAAAAUAUACCAACAUCACGGAUCCGCUUACCUUCCCUUCGUUGGGAGAGAAGAACAGUGGCAGAUGCGAUUGUUGCCUUUCUUGAAGACGGUGAGGGAGAAGGGGAUUCAGUGAAGAGUGAAAUGAUGGUUGCUUCAUCCGUCAAACUUAGACUGCGGUGAGGUGGGGUUUUGUGAUACGACGGCUCGUUAUUGCCGCGCUAUGACCGGGGUGACUCUCCGCCUGCAUACUGCCUUCUAAUUUGGUGGAUGGCAUUUGGGCCCGCGCGCUGCAUGGCCCGCAUGUCGGUGAACAAAAGUAUAAUGGCAUUCAGUAGAGGGAGACGUUUCGAUGACCUAGGAGGAGCCAGAAGCGGUAUUGUAUCCACUGUACUAGUAGUAAUUGUUUUUCUGGGUAGUUGUAGAGUGUCUCCACUGUACUAGUAGUAAUUGUUUCUCUGGGCCCAAGACAAAACAGCCCAUCCACCCUAGUAAAUAGUAAAAUCAAUUCAAAACUCCAUAUAUUUACUGAAUGAGAGGCGCUACCCACACCCAGCACACCGCCCCCCAAAAAAACCUGGGUGUUCUUCUUCCUCCUCACUCCCACCCACCUCACGUCAGCACGCUCCACUCGUACCCCCAAAUUCCUCACCUCACUCCUACAGAAAACCCCAGCUCCCCUUCUUCCUCACUACUACAGAAAAACCCUAGAUCCCCUUCUUCUUCACUCGCACUACAACUAGGCUCGUCAUUCGUUACUCUACUCAAAUCUGUGAGCGCGAUGCGACACCCUCGAGGAAAAUGGAGUUGGCUGACCCCAGCGCCAAGAAGAUGAGGCUCCCGCGAGCGGCGACGCCUGUUGUAGAUCCGACACCCGGCAGCGCAGGGGGAAGCGGCGACCCCGCCCCCACCGGAUCCCAGGAACCCGAGAAUCUCGGGUGGACCGCAUUAGCGAUCUCCCGGACGCCGUCCUUGGGAGAUCAUCUCACUUCUCCCCACCAAGGAUUGCUGCCGCACCCAAGUCCUCUCAAUUUGGUGGCGCCCUAUAUGGCGUGUCGUGCCCCUUAAUCUCGACUGUCGUCAGCUAUCUCUCUUCAAUGAUUUUUUAAUCCCCAGAGCCAUCAUCUCCUCCCACCAGGGCUCCGUUCAAAGCCUCUGCAUCCCGUCAUGCUACCUGAGCAAGCAUACCAUGCCCUGCACGGUGGACACCUUAAUUAAAUCCCCUAACUUCACAGAACUACAGCUGCUGGAGUUCUACUAUUCCCCUGGAAAUCACCUACCAGAUACCGAAUGCCAUCUACCUGUGCCCUCAGCACCGAUGUCCAUCUCGCGGUUUUCCUCCUCUCUCUCCACACCGCCACCUUUGCACUGUGCGACCUACCAUACAACCUGGUACUAAACCUUCGACUCCCAUUUCUCAAGAAACUUUCAAUUGUGCGGGUUCGUAUAUCGGAGGACUCAUUGCACAACAUCAUCCACUCCAGUUGCCCUGCCCUGGAGUGCUUGGUGCUUGUUUUCACAGUUAGAAUCGGUUGUCUCCAAAUAAAGUUGCCUAACCUUGUAAGAAUUGGAAUUUCUUUUGAUGGAAGGCAGCUCAUCAUCCAAGAUGCCCCUUCACUUCAAGGUUUGAUCCUUGAUUCUAGUUAUUCACCGUUGCAAAUAACCAUCCUCUUUGCGCCUAAACUGGAGACCUUGGGUGUAAUACAUGAUCUUUGUGCUCAUUUCAAUAUGGUGUUCAGCUCCACAGUUCUUCAGGUACUUUACAUUAUUAGCUACACUUGUAACCAUAAGCUACAUUUUAAAUUUCUGCGCAUAAGUUAUAUGUCAUAUUGGAGUACACAUUUUGUACUAAUAUUAUGUUCUAUGCUCAAUGAAGAGUUUCUCCAUGGAUGGCCUAUCAAUGGUGCUGGAUUUUGUCAAGAUGUUAUAUAUCCAAAUGAAUAGUUUUGAUCUGAACAAGAUUAUUGGCUUGCUGCAAUGCUUUCCAUGUCUGGAGAAGUUGUAUAUAAAGGUGAUAAUUUCACGCACAUUGGAAGCCCGCAUAUAGUGUACUAGAAUUAACCGUUCAGUUGUUGCUCUUUUGACACUCUUUUUUUAGACCUGAACUGUUUUCAAUCUUCAUGUCUAUUUAGGCAACAGGACGGGGUAAGAAAGUUAUAACCAAUCGGUGGAUUCGUAAGCAUCGUGAUUUUCUCACUUUUCAUGAGAUUCGAUUGAAGACAAUAACGCUAGAACGAUAUGUAGCCAACCGUGCAAACACUAGAUUUGUCACAUUCUUCCUGCUGAAUGCGAGGUUACUAUUGUCCACCAGGCUUAAGUUUAUCAGCAGCAUGGUUUUGACGGAUGGGCAUGUAGAAGAGCAGAAAAAGGAGUUUCAGGUGGGCAAAAGAGCUUCUGAACGUGACGGGCUUCUAUUUACAACAUAUUAUGGUCAUAAUCCAGUAAAUUUUACGACCCAGGAUGUUCAUUCUAUGGACCUGACCGAUCCAUUUGACUGUGACUGCAGAAAACAGUGCUGGAGUUAGAUGUUGUUGCCCUUUUCAACCUGGGUUUUUUUCGUAAACCUGAUGAACAAUUAACCCUCGUGCUUUUGUACAGUUUGUAAGCUGGAGUUAGAUGUUCUUGCCCUUUUCAACUCGGUUGUGACUGUCAUAUUUUCUUUGAAGCAAGGCAAAUAGCUUGCUAGUCGUUUAAUUUAGAGUGAAAUAUUGUAACAACUAACAAAUCCCAACCAAGGGAAAUAACAUCACUCUCGCCAGCUGCUUGAGCUCACUGUGCAUUACAGAAGACAAGUGAUUAGCCCCCACCAGCACCCACAAACUUAUUUUGAACUGGCACAUCAAAUGGGCUGUAAAUUUUCAUAGGAAAGGCUGCAUGACCGUGACAUAUUUGGAUUCUGACAUUUGGGACCCGCAAGGAAAUAGCCUAUCCAAGGUGGUGUCGACUUACAAGCCAGUCAACAAACGAUUCUGCCUACCAGCCAUUGGAUUGACAUCCAACAUCUAUCGUGUAUCUUCUAUCUCUUGUCUUCUUCUUCCUCCAGCCACCCAAACCAAACCACCCCGUCGGCUCCCCCUGCUCCCGCCUCCCAAGGCUGGCUGCGCCUCCGCCGCCCUACCGUACGUACCCUCCAACGUUGGCCAGUCCCUCCCUCUAUUCCCCACACGUCCUGUUAUUCUCCGGCGACGUCAGCCCCAACACGCACCCGGACCCAAACCAGUCAACCCUCGUACUCCCCUCCGCCUGCGACUAGACCGGCGCAUCUUCCACGGCUCCUGUUCGUUCCGUCCAAGGCCUCGCCGUCAUCCGCCGCCCUGCAGCCUUGGUUCGCUCGCCGUGCGCGGUGCGCCGCCCUCUUGCGUUGUCAAUGUCGUCAACAACCGAGAGGAGCAAGGAGAUGACCGUACAUGGAGAGGAUGACAGUAGGGACCCACCAGCGUCAUGGCAGUACGCAAGCAAGUGCCUCUAUAUUACAAGCCCAAAAAUAUGGUUCCUCCUAAUGGUUGGACAUCUGGGGCUCACGCCAUUGUCAACAUAGUCAAUAAACAAGAUAAUUAGACUACGAGCGGCUGACAUCAGGGACCCAGCAGGUCGCGCAGUUUCUUUUUGAGGAACAAGCAGUUGUUAUUUAUACCAGUUUUAGCGAUGGAUUAGGGUAACAACGGGGCUGUGCGGGGGCUGUGGCCCGUCUAGCCAGGGUUUUAUUUAUGUUUACCACAUCAUGAGCCCAGUUGUAUUUUUUUCUUGCUGAAAAUGGCUAGCCCAGUUCUAUUUUUUUAAGAAAUACCCAAACGAGGCCUACUUGCUUUAUCAGCCCUGCUGGGCUGCAAAUCUUUCAAGACGAGGAGAGUUUCAUUCGGUUUGCCCAAAAAUGGGCUGUACAUUUUUAAAACACAACAAACCGGGAAUUAGUUUCAGUUUUUUUUCAUUACAAGAUUUUAAAUUCCAUUGAUUUUUAUGUGUGGACAAUUAUUUGGAUUUUAUAUUUAUAUAAAUUAUUUUUCAAAAUAGUUUGAAUGUGAAUCGAUAUUUCGGGAUUAAAACAGUUGACCGCACCGAAAUAUGCAAAAUUUUGUAUACUUUUUAACUGUGGCCACAAUAUGGGGUGUGAUGCUAACAAAAAGAAGAUGGGCUCCAAAAAAAUUCUUAAGAAUUAGCAAAUGGGUUGUACAUUAUUAGAAAUAAUGCACACGAGAGAAGUGACUGUUGGAUGUCCAUCCAACGGCUGUCGUGCUUCUUCAAUCUCUGCUCUUCCUGCUCCAGCCGCUCAAACAAGCGCCGGCGGGACUGCCUGCUCCCUCCUCCCGCGGCUGGCUAUGCUGCCGCGCAGGCCUCACCGCCCCACCGUACUCCCAUCGCUGGCCUAGCCAUCCCUCUACUCACCCACGCCUGCUGUUAUUCUCCGGGGACGGUAGACGAACCGGUAAACCCUCGUACUCCUCCACGUGGGAAAAAACUGCCGAGUCUUCCCUGGCUCUGUGUCGUUCCCUUCCUAGGCCUCGCCGUCGUCCAUCGUCCUGGUGCUCUUUGCAAUGCCUGGUCAACGUGGUCAAUGAACGAUAUCCAUCAGAAGUGGACUGUACAUGAAAAGGCUGACAGCUGGGUCCAUGGCCGCACGCAAGGAAAUGCCUCCUUAUUACGCGCAAAAUAAUGAUUCCUCCACCUGACAGCUAGGACCCAUGGGAAGGGCUUCUAUAUUUCGAAAAAAAAACGUUCCCCCCGCUGACAGGUCGGAACCACCAGCUAUAUCUCCGCACGCAAGGAAGUGCCUCCUUAUUACGCACAAAAAAAUGAAUACCCCCUGCUAGUUGGGACCCACCAUAGUGGGUGGCUGACUUGUGGGCCUACUAAGUUGACGGGGAUGGAGUGCUUUGUCAACUUAGUCAAUAUGAACGAUUCUAGCUCCAGUGACCAUACAAUGUCCAUCCAAUGGCCAUAGUGCUUCUUCAACCUCUGGUCUUCUUGCUCCAGCCGCCCAAAGCAGCGCCGGUCGUGCCACCUGCUCCUGCCUCCCGUGGCCGGCUGUGCUGCCGUGGAGGCCUCACCGCCCCCAUACUACUCCCACCGCUGGCCAGGCCAUCCCUCCACUCACCCACACCCCCUGUUAUUCUGCGGCGACGGCAGCCUCACACCGAAGCCGAACCAGUGAACCCUCGUACACCUCUCCGUGUGGGCAUCCACUGCCACGUCUUCCCCGGCUCCGUGUUGUCCCCUUCCUAGGCCUCGCCGUCGUCCACCGCCUUGGUGCUCUCGGUGCGGCGUGGUCAAUGUGGUCAACGACCGACUUCCGUCGUAAGAGUACUGUACGUGGAGAGGCUGACAGCUGGGAACACGGCCGCAGCUGGGUCCACGGCCACAGCCCAGUUUUUUGUGAUUUGCCAAGUAAGUCGCUUUGUCAGGCCUGUUGGGCUGGAAAUCUUUCAAGACGAGGAGAGCUUCAUUCAGCUGGCCGAGAAAAUGGCCUAUCAGUAAUGAGAAUUGUGUUGUACAUUUUUAAAACACAUCAAACCGGAAAUUAGUUUCAAAUUUCUUUUUUUCAUUUCGAGAUUUUAAAUUGCAUUGAUUUUUAUGCGUGGACAAUUUGUUGGAUUUUAUACUCAUAUACAUUUAUUUUUAAAAUCAGUUUGAAUGUGACUCAAAAUUUCGGGAUUAAAAAUAGUUCGGACCGCACCGAAAUAUGCAAAAUUUCGUAUAAUUUUUUAACCGUGGCCACAAUAUGGGUUGUAAUGCUAACAAAAAGAAUUUGGGCUAAAAAAACCUAAGAAUUAGCAAAUGGGCUGUAAAUUAUGAGAAAUAAUGGCAGAUGGGCUGUAUGCUGUUUUCCACAGAUUUGAGGCUUUCCUAAAAAAAGGUUGACGCACAAGCAGUGACUAUUGGAUGUCCAUCCAACGGCUGUCGUGCUUCUUCAAUCUCUGCUCUUCCUGCUCCAGCCGCUCAAAUAAGCGCCGGCGGGACUGCCUGCUCCCUCCUCCCCGCGGCCAGCUGUGCUGCCGCGUAGGCCUCACCGCCCCACCGUACUCCCAUCGCUGGCCUAGCCAUCCCUCUACUCACCCACACCUGCUGUUAUUCUCCGGUGACAGCAGACGAACUUGUAAACCCUCGUACUCCUCCGCGUGGGAAACAACUGUCGAGUCUUCCCUAGCUCCGUGUCGUUCCCUUCCUAGGCCUCGCCGUCGUCCAUCGCCCUGGUGCUCUCGGUGCGGCCUGGUCAACGUGGUCAACGACCGACAUCCAUCUGAAGUGGACUUUACGUGGAAAGGCUGACAGCUGGGUCCACGGCCGCACGCAAGGAAAUGCCUCCUUAUUACGCGCAAAAUAAUGAUUCCUCCACCUGACAUCUGGGACCCACCGAAAGGGCCUCUGUAUUUCACAAAAAAAACGUUACCGCCGCUGACAGCUCGGACCCACCAGCUGUAUCUUCGCACGCAAGGAAGUGCGUCCUUAUUACGCACAAAAAAAUGAAUACUCCCCCUGCUAGCUGGGACCCAGUAUAGUGGCAGGCUGACUUGUGGGCCUACUAAGUUGACGGGGACGGAGGGCUUUGUCAACUUAGUCAAUAUGCAUGAUUCUUGCUCCAAUGACCGUACGAUGUCCAUCCAAUGGCCGUAGUGCUUCUUCAACCUCUGGUCUUCUUGCUCCAGCCGCCCAAACCAGCGUCGGUCGUGCCUCGUGCUCCUGCCUCCCUUGGCCGGCUACGAUGUCGCGGAGGCCUCACCGCCCCUACUACUCCCACCGCUGGCUAGGCCAUCCCUCUACUCACCCACAACCCCUGUUAUUCUGCGGUGACGGCAUCCUCACACCGCAACGAACCAGUGAACCCUCAUACUACUCUACGCGUGGGCAUCCACUGCCGCAUCUUCCCCGUCUCCGUGUCGUCUCCUUCCUAGGCCUCGUCGUCUCCUUCCUAGGCCUCGUCGUCGUCCACCGCCCUGGUGCUCUCGGCACGGCGUGGUCAACGUGGUCAAGGAACGGCUUCCAUCCGAUGUGGACUGUACGUGGAGAGGCUGACAGGUGGGUCCACGGCCGCAGCAAGGAAGUGCCUCCUUAUUACGCGGAAAACAAUGAUUCCUCCACCUGAUAGCAGGGACCCACCGGACGGGCAACCGUAUUUCACAAAAAAAAAACAUUUCCCCCCUGACUGCUGGGACCUACCAGCUACAACUUCGCACGCAAGGAAGUGCGUCCGGGCAAAAACAAAAACGAAUCACCCCCCUGACUGCUGGGACCCACCAGCUACAUCUUCGCACGCAAGGAAGUGCCUCACAGUCGGGACCCACCUGGUCGAAGCGUACGUAGCGUUGUCAUUUUGGUCGCGAACGUGUACGUACAUACUAGUCGAUGUAGAGGCGCGCACGUGUCGUAGUAGAGGCGCGCACGUAGCAUGUACACGUACGUACAACGGCCAGGGUGCAAGAAAGAAAAUACGGCCACGUACGUAUAUACAGGCGGGGUCUCAAACGCCUACUCGCGCAUACGUAUGGCCAGGGUCGUGUACAUAGCUGGGUCGGAACGGAGAAACAGCGUUGUCGUCGUGUUCAUGGGGAGGCAACGGAAUGCGUCGUGUUCAUCGGGAGGCAACAGAGCGCGUGGGAGCCAACCGGCUUGAACGGAACAGCCGAUGGAACCGAGGCCUGGCGUACCGCAAAACGGAGGAAACGGCCUUGUGUUCCAUGGGCCACGUUUGAAACGGGAUCCUAUUCAUCGGGAGGGGUCUGGCGUACCACAAAACGGAGGAAACGGACCUCCUACGGUCGAAACGGAGGUCCUAUUGAUCGGGAGGGGUGUGACGUACCGCAAAUCGGAGGAAACAGACUUGUGUUGGAGCGCUACGGUCGAAACAGGGGUCUUGUUCAUCGGGAGGGGUGUGGCGUACCGCAAAACGGGACUCCACGGGAUACUGUUCAUCUCCACCGUCGACCCCCUCCAGCCUCCACGGGCUACUGUUCAUCCACCGUCGACCUCCUCCAGCCUCCACCUGCGAUUGUUCAUCCACAGGCUCCUGUUCAUCCAGCCUCCACCGCGCGCUACUCCACCGGCUACUGUUCAACCAGCCCUCUCCACGGGCUCUUGUUCAACCACCCCUCCACGGGCUACUGUUCAUCCAGCCCUCCACCGUCUACUGUUCAUCCAGCCCUCCACGGGGUGGUUCUGUUCAUCCAGCCCUCCACGGGUUCCUGUUCAUCCAGCCCCAACAAGCUCGAUCGAUCGGGGUCCUGUUCAUCCACCCCCACUGGGAACUGUUCAUCCAAACCCCCCAGCAACACUCACUGUUCAUCUAGAGGCAGCAUUGAUCGGCUUCAGUUAGCAGCAGUAGCGAAGGAAUCGCUCGAUCGGUGUCGGUGGGAAACGACACCUAUGGGAUCACAAGAAUCCCUACUAUGGUUGCCGGGGCGCAGGGUUGUGAGAAGAGCAGGAUUAGGAGUCAACACAAGGAUCGGUUACCCAAGUUCGGGCCGCGAGGAUGCGUAAUACCCUAGACCUGCUUUGGUGUGUAUUUGAGAGAAUUCUUGAGCUCUCGAACUAGCUAUGGUGGCUGCGUAGUUCAAAAGAGCCGAAUCCCUCUCCAGUAUGCUAUGGGCCUCCUUUUAUAGUCGAAAGGGGCUGCCACAGUGGCACACAGGAGGUGGAAAGGCCUACAGUACUGCGAGCUUAUCGCCCACAGGACAAGACGCACUUAAUGUGUAGCUUAGGUGUCCCCUAGCUUUAUCGGGGACGGGAAAGAGGCCCGUCCCGUCCGUUGCCGCCUCGCCUUGCUUCGACACGCGCCCAGGCCAGCGGUGCGUGCGGCGCCAUGUAGGCAGGCAGGCAGCUGAGGUGGCGCCGUGGUAGGGUCUUCAUGAAGAUCUGCAUGCCACCACGCAGGUGCUUGCUGAGUUGGCUCGGAAGCCGCUCGUUGCCACGCAAGUGCCUUCCCAGCUGGUUGGGCUGGCAGCUGCAUGCGAGUGGCGGUGGAGACUUGACUGGUGCGGGCCUGGCAGUGGCCCCACUGACGCCCUCAGCAAGGGCCUUGCCGGGGGCCUGGCAAGGGUCAUGCCGUGGCGUUGCAGUCGUCCCCGGCAAGGCGCUUGCCGAGGGUCUUGUGGCUUCCCUCGGCAAGGAUCUUGCCGAGGAUCGUUGUCUUCCAAUCCUCAUUUGAUCUUGAAUAUUCCUUGCCUUCACAAAGAUCUGCAUGCCACCAUGGAGGUGCCUCCCGAGCCCUAGCUCAGCGUGGUUGAUGGUGUUGGAAACCGUGGGCUCAAGGGUGGCCCGCUCCGCUGGUGUAGGCGAGCCGCCCCGGCAAGGGUCUUGUCGGGGGAACCUGCUCCGUCCCUCUGCUUCCUUGUGUUCCUGGCCUUUGCGUUGCCUUGGCCAUCUUGUGCUACGGCUUCUCUCCGGCUUCCCUCCUUUGCCCUGCUUAGUGUGGCCGUGGCGCGCGGCUCCGACUGCCCGUGCACAAGUAAAGGGGUACAAAGGUGUGCCCCUACUUUUGUACACCGACAGGAGCCCCCGGGCCUGGGCCACACAUAAGCACGACACGUUGUUGGGCCAGGCCCAGAACGGUGCGCGGGCAGGCGGGCCGGAUUUUCACCGCAGUAACUCUUCGUCCACUGUGCUUCCCAACGACCCGCGUUGAACGCGUGACGUGGGGGGCAUGUGUGACGUGGGCAGCAUGCCUGGGGCGGUUUCCGCAUGCAUGCGUCACAUCGUGGUAAAGAGGCGGCUCGCGCCUUCCCCAUAAAAAGAGGGAGGCGUGGAGGCGCGGCUCAUUUACUGGAUGGACUCGGGUCGCAGUCUUCAAGGCGCCCGCGCCCCCCGAUCACGGGGCAGGGAAUGGUCGCCUCACCCGUCCUUUCAACCCUGCAUGUUCGCCACGUGUCCUUCAUGUAGGUGGCGAGCUGUGGGGGCGGGAAACCGGGCCGUCGCUGAUUGGGGCAGCGGGUCGGUCCUGAUUCCCUGCGCCUCCGCCAGCUGUAUUGGCUGAGUGGGGCGGCCGAGUCUCGACCCCGCCCCUUUAUAAAGAGGGGGAGGGAGGGCGCCAUCCCACAUUCUUCAGUAUCCAUCCUCCUUCGUCUUUGCUUCUUUCUUCCACCUGCCAUGGCGAGAGGAGGCGCUGGGCCUUCGACGGUGGCGGCGAGGGUAGAUGUUCGUCAGCGCGUCCCUCCUUCCCAUGAGCCCAUGGCGGUGGAGCCAGUCACAAGAGGAAGGGGGAGGGGGCGUGGCCGAGGUCGUCGCGACGGUCGGGGGAGAGGGGGACGAGGUGGCGCGGCGGCCGUGCCUCCGCCAGCGGUGCCUCUCGCGAUGGAGGGUCACGUCGGGGACCGGCCCCGCGAGUUCUUCAUCAGGCUGCGCCGGCCACCGCAUCGUCGUCUCGGUCUCCCCACCCCCUUCGCAGAGGAGAUGGAGGUCGAUCCGCCCCAGACCCUCAUGUUGCACAUGAGGGGCUGCGGGACCGGCGGCACGCGGGUCGACGUUGACUUCCCCGCUCCUCAUGUCAUGUAUCUCCGUCACGGAUGGAAGACAUUUGCCCGCAUCCAUAGCCUGACGGUGGGGCUCGUCCUCUACUUCAAGUUAAUGUAGGGCGGCCUGCUCUCCAUCAAGGUCUUCGGAGAUCUUGGCACUCGCCUGAAGUGCUGCGUGGAGAGCUCCUCCGCCGAUGAAGAUUCCUCCUCCAGCAGGAGUGACGAGGAGGACAGCGACAGCGGCGACGAGGGAGUCGAGCGGCAGGACGCCGACUUCGAUUGACCGCGCCGCCCCUCCCUCGGCCACGCGCCCUGCCGAGGGCCAUGCUCGCCAAGCUCUCCAUCGGGGUGCUCCCCGUCGUCUGCUUGAGCAGCUGGCGUAGGAGGGCUGGAGAAGACGAAGAAGGCGGGUGGCGGCCGUCAACUCGGAUUACGCGGCCACCAACGCCUUCGUCGUGUAUUGCCGGCCCGCUGCCUCGUCUUCCAGCUCCUUUCCCGGCACCAAGAUGUUCUCUUCGUGCCUUCUUCUCCUCGCACCUCGCCUAGGCGCCCCUUUUGCCCUCUACUGUCUUUCCCCAUCUUCUGAGGAGAGGGACAAGAAAAGGAUUACGGGCAUGUUAUCUCUUUUUAAUUUGUAAGCUUGCGGGCACUUGUUAGAUUUAAAGCUUGUAAUCCCCUUGCUCAUGUUUUUCUUUCCAUACGAACUGUACCUGUAUGGGACGUUUUUAAUGAAAAAGGGUGCCUGUCGGGCUUUUUGUGCGUGAGCGAGGCCCAUGCCAAGGAAGGAGUCCUUGUUAUUUUGGAGAUAAACAUCAUUGCCCGGCAACAGGCCUUGCCAUCCCCCCACUUCGGUCGACCAUUCUCGCGCUCUUGGCGGAGGCAAGGGCGAAGUAGAGUUAGGCCCCUCAUUUAUCUCCUCGCCACCGCGACUACUACCAAAUUCUGACCCAGGAGGUAGCUCUCAGGUACAGGAAAGGGGGAGCACGGUGGUUUUGGGAACAUAAAUGAGGUUUCAUAUGUCCCAGUUCUAUACGGAAACGCAUAACAGGGGGAUGAAAGACUUACCUGAAUCCGCAGCCCCCGGCAACCCUGGCUUGCCGUGGUUGGAUCCUUGUAUCUUCAGCCUCCGACAACCUUGCCCUGCCGGGGCCAGAGCACCGGUUCGUUCUCCUUUCCCAAGCGGCUCAGCAGAAGUACCCUGCGAACCAAAGUGAACAGAAAGACGCACACUCGACCUCUAGGCUAGGGGUUAGUCGCCGCUAAGCACUAUCAACCCUAACCGAGGGAGAGGCUUAACCUAGCAUGCAUGCUAUAACUUAGGGCGCUAGCGCUUCAUUUACUUAUGCUUAGGGUCUAUGCCUGGCUUUGUACAGAUGGUUACAUGCCUUGUCGGCAAAGCUUGUACAAAAGGUGGCUUGUCGGGGGGCCCGGCAAGCCGCGCCUUAUGGGUAAAACUUGCGAAGAUGCUUGAUGUUCCAGGAGUUGCUCACUGGGAUAGCAUCUUCGGUCUCCAGGUGGACUGCGCCGGGCCUGGUGACAUGUAUUACCUGAUAAGGGCCUUCCCACUUCGGCGUCAACUUGUUGGUAUUCUUGGCCCACUGAACGCGCCGAAGAACAAGGUCGCCUUCCUCAAAGCUUCGGGCAUGAACCUUGCGGCUAUGGUAGCGGCGCAAGGCUUGCUGGUAGCGUGCUACUCUCACAGCCGCCCGAAGAUGAUCUUCCUCAAGGAGUGUUGCGUCAUCUUGCCGCAACUGCUCUUGCUCAAGCUCAUCAUAAGCAAGCACUCGAGGUGACCAGUAUAUGAGUUUUGUGGGGAGAACUGCCUCUGCCCCAUAUACUAGGGCAAAGGGUGUCUGGCCGGUGGCUCGAUUUGGCGGCGUCCUGAUCGACCAAAGAACCGCCGGCAACUCAUCAAUCCAGCGCCUUCCGCUCUAGUGUAGCCUGUCAAAGGUCUUCGUUCUCAGGCCUCGCAACACUUCAGCAUUCGCCCUCUCCGCUUGGGGGUGUGCCAUGGAAGCAAAACAGACCUUGCUGCCGAGGUCUUGAAUGUACUGCAUGAAGGUGUGGCUUGUGAACUGCUUGCCGUUGUCCGUGAUGACUUUGUUUGGCACACCAAAACGGCAGACUAGUCCCUUGAAGAACUUGACGGCUGACUGUGCUGUCACGUUCCUCACCGGUUCAACCUCCGGCCACUUUGUGAACUUGCCGAUUGUAGCAUACAAGUACUCAAAGCCCCCGACAGCACGAGGGAAGGGGCCCAGUAUGUCGAGCCCCCAGACCGAAAAUGGCCAGGAGAGAGGGAUUGUUUGAAGGGCUUGAGCUGGUUGAUGAAGCUUCUUUGAAUGGAACUGACACGCUCCACACUUGGUUACUAGUGCCGUUGCAUCCUGGAGGGCGGUGGGCCAGAAGAAACCCUGCCGGAAUGCCUUGCCGGCAAGGGCCCUUGACCCUACGUGGGAGCCACAUAUGCCUCCAUGUAUCUCUACCAACAGCUCCAGUCCUUCCUCCCGGGGGAUGCACUUCAAUUUCACACCGUUCGGUCCUCUCCUGUAGAGGACGUCAUCAACGAACUGGUACAAGGCAGACCGACGGGCUACUUUUUCCACUUCUUCCUGCUCUGCAAGAAGUUCCCUUGUCUGGACGAAAUGGACGGUAUGAUGUGCCCAUCCUGGAGCCUGGGGCUCGACGGCAAGGACCAAAGGCAUCUCUUCCGUCAUGGGUGCAGCCGUCUCCACGGCUAGGGCCUGGCGCCCCGCCGGAGGCAGCUGCCCCUUGGCGUGCUCAGAAUCCGCGGCAACAACCUUGCCGGCAGCCCCUAGGGGCUUGGCGGGAAAGUACUUGCCAGGGCCUGACUUCCUUCGCUUGUUCUGCUCCGUUGAUGGUUCGACGGAUGGUUGAGUUAACCGGAGCAAAAAGGUACCUGGUUCCACAGGUAGCUUGAAUGCAGCGUGCUUCGACGGGUAGUCAGCGAUGUCGUUCUCCGCUCGGGGAACGUGUUCCGCUUGUAUACAGUCGAAGCGCUCCUCCAGCUUCCUCGCCUCAUCUACGUAGGCCUCCAUCAAUGGACUCUGAUAAUCCUUGUUGACUUGUCUGACGACAAGCUGCGAGUCACCCCUGACGAUGAGCUUCUUCACCCCGAGGUCUGCCACGAUCCUGAGACCGGCAAGCAGCCCCUCGUACUCAGCAGUGUUGUUUGUGGACAUCUCCCUGGGAAAGUGCAUCUGGAUCACAUACUUGAGGUGCUCUCUGGUGGGUGCGACAAGAAGCACACCGGCACUGGCGCCUUGCAGCGAGAAAGCCCCGUCAAAGUACAUGAUCCAGAUGCCGCCUGCCUCCUUGCCGGGGAGAGCGGUCUCCUGGAUUUCUUCGUCGGGCGUUCAGGUCCAUUCUGCAAUGAACUCCGCCAAGACUCUGCUCUGGAUUGUCGAAGUACUUUCAAACUUCAACCCAAAGCUCAACAACUCCAAGGCCCAUUCCACAAUCCUUUCGGUCGCAUCUGGGUUGUGUAGUAUCCGUUGCAACAAGAGGUGGGUGACGACAGUGAUCUCGUGGGCUUGGAAGUAAUGACGCAGCUUCCUCAAGGCCAUAAGGAGGCCGAAGAGCAAUUUUUGCACACCGGAGUACCUCGACCUAGCCCCUGCAAGAGGGAGCUGACAAAGUAAAUUGGGUGCUCCAUCAUCUUCUUCUUCUGCACCACUUCACUUGACUGCGCGGGCACUGCCCCGAUGGCGUCAGACUUUGCCGGGGCCUUACCUUGCCGGCACCAGGCCCUGCCAGGGGAAUCUCUGGCUUGCCAUCCGCUGGUCGUGCUGUCGCCAAUGCCUCUUCGUCGACCUCCCUCUGUGGCACUAGUGCGGCGCUGACCACUUGGUUCGUUGCCGCCAGAUACAGUAGCAACGGCUCUUGUGGUUUAGUCGCAACCAGUAUUGGCGUGGAGGAAAGGUAUUUCUUGAGAUCCUGCAACGCCGCCUCAGCUUCUGGGGUCCACUCCAUUGGGUCCGCCUUCUUCAAGAUUUUGAAAAAGGGAAGGGCGCGCUCGGCGGACUUGGAGAUGAAUCGGCUCAUGGCGGCAACGCAGCCAGUGAGCCGACGCACAUCCUUGAUCCGCUUGGGCGCCUCAAUCUGUUCAAUAGUCUUGAUCUUGUCUGGGUUUGCCUCGAUCUCGCGCUGCGACACAAAGAACCCGAGAAGUUUGCCGGACAGAACGCCGAAGACACACUUCUCAGGGUUCAGCUUGAGGUUGAUCUUGCGCGGAUUGGCAAACGUCUCUUCCAGGUCUUGUACAAGAGUUGCCCUGUCCUUGGUCUUGACCACUAUGUCAUCCAUGUACGCUUCCAUAUUUCUAUGGUGCUGGGGUUCACAACCAAUUUGGACCGCCCUUGCAAACGUUGAGUCAGCACUCUUCAACCCGAAAGGCAUCCGUAAAAAGCAAUAUGUACCACAUGGGGUGAUGAAUGUUGUCUUCUCUUCGUCUUCUCUCGUCAUGAAGAUCUGGUGGUAGCCCGAGUAGGCGUCGAGGAAUGACAACAGAUCACACCCGAUCGUGGAAUCAACAAUCUGGUCGAUGCGCGGCAACGGGAAGGGGUCCUUAGGACAAGCCUUAUUGGUAUUUGUGUAGUCAAUACAAAACCUCCACUUCCCAUUUGCCUCGCGCACCACCACCGGAUUGGCCAACCACGUCGGAUGGAGCACUCCUCUCACCAAACCUGCCGCUUCCAACUUCCUGAUCUCCCCUGUGAUGAAGUCCUGCCUUUCCAGAGCCUGCUUCCUGACCUUCUGCUUGACGGGCCACGCAUGAGGACGGACAGCUAGGUGGUGCUCAGUCACCUCCCUGGGAACACCGGGGAUGUCGGAUGCUUGCCAUGCAAACACGUCGACAUUCGCCCGCAGGAAGGUGACGAGCACGCCUUCCUAUUUGCUGUCGAGGGUGGAGCUUAUGGUGAAAGCCCCACCCGUGCCAUCCUCCCUAACGGACACCUUCUUGGUCUGCGGUGGCUCAGCUCUGGAUUUCUUGCUCUUACCGGUGGAGCUCUCUGGCACGUCCUCGACGGUAGCACAACACUCCGAAGAGGUGCGAUUGCCGGAGUGGGUGCGACAGGUCUUGCCGGGCUUCUUCUUCCCUCUUGGGGCUUCAGCGGCAGGAGCAAGUGCCUUGGCGGCAGCUGCUGCAACUGCUUCCCGGUAGAGUUGGUCAGCGCAAAUCAGCGUGUCCUUCUUGUCGGAGGGGACGGAGAUGAUGGUCAAUGGCCUAGGCAUAUUCAGCAUGUUGUAAGCGUAGUGCGACGCCGCCAUGAACUUGGCUAGUGCCGGGCGGCCGAGGAUCCCGUUGUAGGGCAAGGGGAUCUCGGCCACAUCGAAGAAGAUCCUCUCCAUCCUGUAGUUCAACUCUCCUCCAAACGUCACGGGCAAUGUGACCUUUCCCUUCGGCUGGCUUCUCCCCAGAUUGACCCCUUGAAACGUGCCUGUUUCCUCGAGGUCUCCGUCGGGAAUUUGCAGCCUUUUGAUCACCACGGGCGAGAUCAAGUUCAGGCCGGCCCCGCCGUCGACCAACAUCUUGUUCACCUGGAGGUUGCGUAUCGUUGGCGAAACCAACAACGGCAAACACCCGACCCCGGUUGUGCAGUCAGGGUGGUCCUCGGCGUCAAAGAUGAGGGGCGUGCUGGACCACUUCAGCGGCUUCUGGGCGUCGAACGACGGCUCCGCUGCUGUAAUCUCACGCGCCCACUGCUUGAGCUGGCGGUGAGAAGUAUGCAGCGAGGUGCCACCAUCGACGCACAUGGCCUCCGUAGCCUUCUAGAACUCUUGCUCGCCAGACUCGUCGUCCUCGUCAUGAUCAUCGUCUUCUUGCUUCUUGUUACGGCCCCGGGCGGGCCUCUCUUGCUGGUUGUCCUUGCCGCGGUGGCCUCCUUGGCUGCCACGCUUCUUGCCGGAUCCCUCGGCACCGUCCUGACCCUUCUCCUUGUCCCGACUCUCAUACUCGGCCUUUUGCUUCUCAGCAAGCAGCUCGACUUGCCGGCAGUUCUGGAGGUCGUGGCCCUUGGUGCGGUGGAUCUUGCAGUACUGCUUGUCGGAGCCCCCUAGCUUGUCGGCAGCCGCCAAGGCCCGGCAAGCGGCGCACCCGGUGAUUUCUUUGCCGGGGCCAUCUGCCUUGGCCUUCUUGGCGGCAUCGGUGCUGUCGGAUCCCUCGACGAUAAGCAUGGCCUUGCCCUUGCAUUUCCUGUUGCGACUCCGGCCCUUCUUCGUCGGGGCGGCGGUGUCUUCAUCAGUCCGGGCGCACCUAUCUGCCAGAACAUAGAGUUCGGCCACAUCCUUAACCUUGGUCAUCGCCAGCUCUUCGCGCAUCUUGCGGUUGCGCACGUUCUGAUGGAACGCGCUGAUCACGGCGGCGGGAUGAACGUUGGGGAUGUUGUACUGCACCCGGCUGAAUCUCUGGAUGUACUUGCGUAGGUUUUCCCCUUCCUUCCGGGGAAUCAUAUGCAAAUCACUGGCCUGGCCAUGAGCUUGGUGGCCUUCGGUGAAGGCGCCAAUGAACUCAUGGCACAGAUCCGACCAAGAAGAAAUGGAAUCGGCCGGCAAGUGCAUCAACCAAGACAUGACAUUGGGCUUCAGUGCCAACGGGAAGUAAUUGGCAAGCACCUUGUCGUCGCGAGCUCCGGCAGCCUGCAUCGCGAUGGUGUAGAUGCUGAGGAACUCUGAUGGAUGGGUCUUGCCAGUGUACUUCUCGCCGAUGUCGGGCUUGAACGUGUGGUGGGACGGCCACUGGAACUGCCGCAACUCAUGGGUAAAGGCUCGGCAGCCCACCUCGUAAGGUAGGCCGCCGGAGCCCCCCGGUGCUGGGUGCUCCAUAGCAGGUCCCGCCCGCUUGUCUGAAUGGUGGCGCAUAUCACGCCGGCGCUCGAUAGUGGUUCGAGCAUCUUCAUGAGCUCGUUCUCGAAGAACUUGGCGCUGGUCGCGGUGGGUCCGCGGGUCGGACGACGCUAUAGAGAUGCUAUCACAAGCGUCGUCACGACGGGCCGACGCCCGCGGUGGCUGGCGAGGAGGAGGAGAGUGCACCGUGACCGCAGCACCCCCGGUCCUCCCAGCGCUGGCAUGUGGUGGCUCGGUGGAGCGCUGGCCUGAGGGCCCCGCCGGUCGCGGAUCAUCUUUGUUGGCGACGACGACGAGGCUCCGGAUGGUGGCCCUCCACUUGUCGCGCUUCUCCACAGCAGGAGGGAAGUCGAAGAGCAGCUGCGCACGUGCCAAAGCUUCUGCUGACGUGGGUGGCGGCGACAACUGCGUGGACCGUGGCGCGCUUCGACUUCUAACCACGUUAGAAGGAGCUCUAUCACGGCCCAGCGGCUGCGCGCCAUUUUCGCCAGCACUUCGGUGGGCAUGCUAAACUCCUUCGUUCCGCGGACGACGUAUAUGGCUCUUCCCACGGCGGUGUCCAGGGUCACCGGCAUGGUGACGCUGCUCGUCGCGCACACCAUGGGAAGAGCGCGCAGUGGUCUCAGGGGUCGGUGUCUUGGAGGUCGCUGCACCGCCCGUAGGGGGUACAGCGACGCCCCUGGAGGGCCCCGUGCCGCCUGCGGGGGACCCAGCCCCGUCCUAGGACCUGGCGGCGUGCGGCUCAUCGUCUGGCGCACGAAUGAUGCCGCUCGCCAGGCUCUCACUGGCGGGGCGAUGCUGGUGCUCGCGGGCCGCGGCUCGGGUUCUGUCCGCGACCGGCCCGCUGCUCGCGCGCACUGGCGCGGGCCGCUCGGCUCCCGACGUGCCAAUCGCUGUGAUCGUCUUCUUCUUGGGAGCCAUGGCAAUGAAGAACCGCUAGGCUAGCUACUAGACCAGAUUCUCACAAUUGCGCCCCUACCUGGCGCGCCAAAGAUGUCGGUGGGAAACGACACCUAUGGGAUCACAUGAAUCCCUACUACGGUUGCCGGGGCGCAGGGUUGUGAGAAGAGCAGUAUUAGCAGUCAACACAAGGAUCGUUUACCCAGGUUCGGGCCGCGAGGAUGCGUAAUACCCUAGUCCUGCUUUGGUGUGUAUUUGAGAGAGUUCUUGAGCUCUCGAACUAGCUAUGGUGGUUGCGUAGUUCAAAAGAGCCGAAUCCCUCUCCAGUACGCUAUGGGCCUCCUUUUAUAGUCGAAAGGGGCUGCCACGGUGGCACACAAGAGGUGGAAAGGCCUACAGUACUGCGAGCUUAUCGCCUGUGUUACAGGACAAGAUGCAUUUAAUGCGUAGCUUAGGUGUCCCCUAGCUUUAUCGGGGACGAAAAUGAGGCUCGUCCCGUCUAUUGCCGCCUCGCCUUGCUUCGACACGCGCCCAGGCCAGCGGUGCAUGCAGUGCCAUGUAGGCAGGCAGGCAGCUGAGGUGGCGCGGUGGUAGGGUCUUCACGAAGAUCUGCAUGCCACCACGCAGGUGCUUGCUGAGUUGGCUCAGAAGCCGCUCAUUGCCACGCAGGUGCCUGCCCAGCUGGUUGGGUUGGCAGCUGCAUGCGAGUGGCGGUGGAGACUUGACUGGUGCGGGCCUGGCAGUGGCCCCGCUGACACCCUCGGCAAGGGCCUUGCCGAGGGCCCGACAAGGGUCUUGCGUGGCGUUGCAGUCGUCCCCGGCAAGGAGCUUGUCGGGGGUCUUGUGGCUUUCCUCGGCAAGGAUCUUGCCGAGGAUCGUUGUCUUCCAAUCCUCAUCUGAUCUCGAAUAUUCCUUGUCUUCACAAAGAUCUGCAUGCUAGCAUGGAGGUUCCUCCUGAGCCCUGGCACAACGUGGUUGAUGGUGUUGGAAACCGUGGGCUCAAGGGUGGCGCGCUCCGCUGGUGUGGGCGAGCCGCCCCGGCAAGGGUCUUGCCGGGGCCGCUGAGGCUCCCCCGGCAAGGGUCUUGCCGGGGGAACCUGCUUCGUCCCUCUGCUUCCUUGUGUUCUUGGCCUUGGUGUUGCCUUGGCCAUCUUGUGCUUCGGCUUCUCUCCGGCUUCCCUCCUUUGCCCUGCUUAGUGUGGCCGUGGCGCGCGGCUCCGACUGCCCGUGCACAAGUAAAGGGGUACAAAGGCCUACUUUUGUACACCGACAGUCGGGUUCAGUUAACAGCCAUCGAUCGAUCGCUCGGGUUCAGUAACGCGUAGCCUGCAGUGCAAUCGCUCGGGUUCAGUUAGAGCCCAGCGCCUCGCACCCACGCGCGUGCGUGUAUGAGAGAAACGCGCAUCGCUCGGCCCCGACCACCUGCCGUAACCGGGAACACCCCGAUAUUUUCCUCGCCCUCGCUUCUACCAAAGUUUUUUCCGUCAUGGACGGCCCAAAGAAUGUCAUGCAGCUGCGUCUCCGGCCUGCCCAGGACGAAAAGCCCAUUUUCUGUCAUGAUUUUUUGUCAUAGAAGUAGGAGCUCACCACAUCUAUGAUGAUACCGGGUUUUGUCACAAUUAUCGUCAUAGAAGUGUCAUAAGUAUGACAGAAAAAAAUUCGUUCGGCCCAAAAUGUCACGGAUGUGUCUUUUUUUGUAGUGCCAUUUGUGGGCAUAGGGAUUUUGACGCCUUUGCAAUCUUGCAUGCCGAAUUUCCUCAACACAUCCUUGGGGUAUUUCUCUUGUGAUAUGAAUAUGUCGUUGCAUUGUUGACGAAUUUGAAGACCUAAGAAGAAUUUCAAUUCCCCCAUCAUAGACAUUUAAUAUUCCUCACUCGUCAUUUAGGCAAAUUCAUCACUGUAACGUUGGUUAGUGCAGCCAAAGAUAAUAUCAUCAACAUAUGUUUGGCACACGAAUAAUUCAUCAUCAUAUGUUUUGGUGAAAAGAGUUGGGUCGAGUGAACCGGGUUUGAAGCCUUUCUUCAUGAGGAAUUCCUUCAAAGUAUCAUACCAUGCCCGAGGGGCCUUCUUGAGGCCAUAGAGGGCCUUAUUGAGUCUGAAGUCUUUGUCAGGGUGCUUAGGAUCUUCAAAACCUAGUGGUUGAGCAACAUAUACUUCUUCCUCAAGCUUACCAUUGAGGAAUGCACUUUUCACAUCCAUGUGAUACAAGAUGAUACUAUGAUGGUUAGCAUAAGCAAGCAAUAUGUGAAUAGCCUCAAGUCUAGCAAUACGUGCAAAGUUUCAUCGAAAUCAAUUCCUUCAACCUGUGUGUAGCCUUGAGCUACAAGACGAGCCUUAUUCCUCACCACAAGGCCAUUUUCAUCUUGCUUGUUGCGGUAGAUCCAUUUGGUACCGAUGAUAUUGUGUUUGCGUGGGUCUGGUCGCUUGACAAGUUCCCAGACAUUGUUGAGCUCGAAUUGAUGUAAUUCCUCUUACAUCCAUUGAAUCCACUCAGGCUCCAGAAAUGCCUCAUCAACUUUGGUGGGCUCUGUGAUAGAGACAAAAGCAAAGUGCCCACAAAAGUUAGACAAAUGUGAAGCUCUUGAGCGUGUGAGAGGACCUGGUGUGUUGAUGUCAUCGAUGAUUUUCUCAAUUUGCACUUCAUUUGCAACGCGAGGAUGAGCAGGUUGACGACGUUGAUUGGGCUAACCAUUUUCUUCAGAGCCAUUUUCCUCAGAUGCACCAACAUGAUUUUCUUCUCGUUCUGGAAUGACUUCUUCAGCAGAUUCCUUAGUGGGUAUGACAUCCUCAGUAGCCUUGAACUUGAUGGAUUCCUCAGGAGACAUUUCAUCUAGCACAGGAGGUAGGUGCUCUCUUUGUGAGCCGUUAGUUUCAUUGAACUGCACACCUACAGUUUCAACAACCUUUUGCUGAAAGGUGUUGAAGACUCUCUGGUGUGCGAGUCCUUUCCAUAACAAAGCAUAGAACCCUGAUGUGCUUUCGGUGCAAAUUUAGAAUUGUGAUGAGGAUCUCUAAUCCAACAUUUAGCACCGAAGACUUUGAAAUAACUCUCAUUGGGUUUCUUGUUUGUGAGGAGUUCAUAUGAGGUAUUUUUGAAGAAUUUCUGAAAAUAUACCCUGCUGAUGAUGUGGCACGCAGUAUCAAUAGCCUCAGGCCAGAAGUGACGAGGCAUCUUGUAUUCAUCAAGCAUAGUGCAUGCCAUCUCAAUGAGAGUCCUGUUCUUGCGCUCCACGACGCCAUUCUGCUGAGGAGUAUAAGGGGCAGAUAACUCGUGAGUAAUACCAAGUUCAUCAAGAUAGUCAUCAAGACCAGUAUUCUUGAACUCGGUCCCAUUGUCACUCCGGAUAUGCUUGAUCUUCACACCGAAAUUCGUCGAAGCCCUUGAGGAAAAUCGUUUGAAGACAGCCUGCACUUCAGUUUAGUAAGUGAUGAUACGCACCCAUGAGGUUUUGGGAUACUUCUCAGGUUUCCAGUAGGUUGCAUCAGCAUUGAGUUUCCUCUCAAAGGUAAUACCCUCUUUACUAGGGUUUCUGUUGAGGAUCUGUUUUUUAAGCACAUCGCAAAGAGCCUGAUGCCCUUUGAGGCUUUUGUACAUGCCUGUAACAUACAAUUCCUUGAGUUCGAUCCAUUUCCUCACCCAAUAGGUCAUCGCUUUUGUCUAGGAGAUUUUGAACCUUUUCAAAAGCCUUUUGCUCUUUGACGGCAAUCUUAGCAAGUUUGGAAUAGCUAGGUAUGAUAUUUUCAUCAGAUUCAUCCUCACUUGAUUUGGAGGAGGGAUAUUUGAGUACCUUGGCACCUUUUUCCAUGAAGCAAUAGGUGGGAGCAUAGUCAUCGUCGCCGUCGUCAGCAGUGUUGGGGAAGUCAUUUUCCUCAGUGUUGAAGAUGGACUUGCUAACGAAAGCUAUAGCGAGGGCUAGGCUCGCCACACCAGAGUCUGACUCCUAUGAUUCCUCUCUUCCUCAUUUUCCUUAGAUUCAGCUUCAGAGUCCAUUUCCUUGCCAAUAAAUGCCCGAGCCUUUUUGGAACUGCUCUUCUUGUGAGAUGAAGACUUUGAAGAUUUUGGUGAUGAGGACAUUGAAGAUUUCUUCUUCUUCUUCUAGUCAUCAGAACUAUCAUCCUUGUACUUCUUCUUCUUUGAUACCUUCGCUCACUAAGGACAAUCAGUAAUGUAGUGGCCUGGUUUCUUACAUUUUUGGCAAGUCCUCUUCUUGUAAUCGCGAGAUGAGGAAUAUGAUCUCAUGUCAUCAUUUCUUGAAGAUUUUCAAAAGCGACCACGUCUUGAGAACUUCUGGAAUUUCCUCAUGAGCAUUGCUAGCUCCGGGCUUAGUCCUUCAGGAUCACCAAGGCUGUUAUCAGAAUCUUCUCCUUCGGAUUCGGAAACUUCUUUGGCCUUCAGUGCACAUGAUCUUCCAUUGCUUGCUCCGUAGAGGUCUCUCUUCUCAGCAAGUUGGAACUCAUGAGUAUUUAGCCUCUCGAGGAUAUCAGCAGGAUCAAGUGACUUGUAGUCUCCACGUUCUUGAGUCAUCAAUGCAAGUGUGUCGAAUGAGGAAUCAAGCGAUCUCACUAAUUUCUUCACCACCUCAUGGUCGGUGAUGUGAGUGGCACCAAGUGCUUGAAGCUCAUUUGAGAUGUCAGUGAGGCGAUCAAAGGUUUGCUGAACGUUUUCGUUGUCGAGUCUUUUGAAGCGGUUGAAGAUAUUGCGAAGAAUGUCAACUCGAGAGUCACGUUGAGUUGAGACUCCUUCGUUGACCUUGGACAGCCUAUCCCAAAUAAGCUUUGUUGUCUCCAAAGCACUCACUCUACCAUACUAUCCUUUGCUCAGAUGGCCACAUAUGAUAUUCUUCACUUGAGAGUCGAGUUGCUUGAAUCUCUUCACAUCAGCAGCGUUCACGGAAGAAGUGAUGGAGGGAACACCAUUUUCCACAACGUGCCAGAGAUCGUUGUCAAUUGCCUCAAGAUGCAUUUGCAUCUUAUUCUUCCAGUAGGGGUAGUCCAUCCCAUCGAAGGUAGGACACCCAGCCAAGACCUUGAUCAUGCCUGCAGUCGACAUAACUAAAACUCCAGUGGUUAAACCAAAAUCACACAGAACAAGGCAGUACCUUGCUCUAAUACCAAUUGAAAGUGCGUUAUAUCGACUAGAGGGGGUGAAUAGGCAAUUUUUACAAAUUCGUCACUGAGGAAAUUCAACUUGAGGAAUUUCCUAAGUAACAAACUACAAGCAGCGGAAUAAGUACUUAGGUGCAUGCAUAGCAAAGCAGUAGCAUAGUCAUCAUGAUGAAAUGAAACAUACAUAGAGCACAGGUAGCGUGUAAACAGGAUAAGCACGCAGAAGACAGGAUGACUGAAGAAUUAGGAUUGAGGAAAUUGAGAAAGUCUUCAGUCAAAGUCUUCGAACAGUAACAGUCAAGUUCAUCAACACAUGAAUCAGGAAAUGAAAGGGUUGAGAAAAUAGAACCAGUAGCUUGGUGAAGACGAUGAUUUGGUAGACUAGUUCCAACUGUUGUGAUAGUCGUACGUCUAGUUGGAGCGCCUAGGUAUUUAAACCUGAGGACACACAGUCCCGGUCACACAGUCCUCACUGUAUUCUCCUUGAGCUAAGGUCACACAGACCUCGCCCAAUCACUCGUGGCAAGUCUUCAGGUGACUUCUAAACCUUCACAGACUCGGUCACUCAGCGAUCCACAAUUCCUCUUGGAUGCUCUAGACAAUGACGCCUAACCGUCUGGAGGAUGCACAGUCUGUUGGAACACGCAGUACGCUACGCUAGCGCCAAAUAAAAUUUUCUACCGCGCACCCAAGAUCAUGCUGCUGGAAAUAGAUCACGGGGUCGGGUUUACCACUAGACGCGUAGGCACCACAGCGGAAGUAGAGUUGGUGAUGCGUGUAGCCGAUCUCCCGGGUCGUCUCCUCCUCGCGUAGCUGAUCUCCCGCGAACAGCGAAGACCCAUGAACGGUGAUCUCCCGCGAACGGCACCCCGCGGUUCCCUCGAACAUUUCGUCCAAGCACCGCAGAUGCGAUGCCUCCAAGGUAUCCACAUGUACGGGAGCAGCGUUGAGCGGCGGACUGCUAGGUCCGGUCGCGCGGCAUGGGCAUGGGGAGUGGCGGUGGCUAACCAGGGUUCAAUCCGAUCCUCCCAAAGUGGUGUGCCCACUCCCCUUUAUAUAGACCUCCGAGGUGGGCUCAACAGUUGAGCCCACUAGGAGUCCACAUCCAUUUUCCACUCAGAUCCAAUCCCAUUGGGCUGCAGCCCCUUAAGUGUGCGACCCUAUAGGUUCACGUACACAUGGACACGACCAGAGUCGAUAGUUGGUAGCGGCUCCUAGCAGAACGUGCCAACUCCCAUGUGGGCGUAAAUUCGUUUGACGAACCUCAACAAUGUGGCAUAUGCAACAUUCCUUUUGCCUCACGAUAUUUGUUGUCGAGCUCAAGGCGAGUACUUCUCACCCUUGUGUUAGCUCGACCUCUCUUCUCGAAACCAUGAUACAAAUUCCCGAACUGGGUUAACACUUAACCCAAGUCGCGUGGCCAUGCUUUCCGAAUCUGAUCACUCGAGAGGGCCCAGAGAAUAUCUCUCCAAAUAGGAGGGGCAAAUUCCAUCUUGGUCAACCAUGUCUCGCGGCAUGUCUCACAACUCACCUGAAAGCUACCUUUAUAACUACCCAGUUACGGAGUAGCGUUUGGUAGACCCUAAGUGAGUCGAUCCUCGUCCCGAGAACAUGCGAGGACCUCAGGUCUAGGACAUGGCAUAGACAUUGCACUUGAGACUAACAGAUGACUAUAUCUCGCUGCGUCUCAAAGUGGGUCUAUCCGGCUCGGUGAUCUCCAUCCCCGAGCCCAUACUAUCGGUUUAGCAUCUCCAUGCACAUGACUUGUCAAACAUAGUCAUCAACCGAGUCGUAUACUAGUCAAGGAUAUGUGUCCGCAUAACCUUAUCAACUAGGGACCAUUAAAACAAUCAUCAUACAAUACAUAGUUCCACAAACAAGUCACAUACUUAUUGAUAUAUAUCAUUGAUGAUGGUCAAGGACAAUACAAAGGACUCAUGAAUACAUAUGGAAAUAUCAUCAUCACAUGAUUGCCUCUAGGGCAUAUCUCCAACAGUCUCCCACUUGAAAUAGAGUCAGUCAUUUAGGCAUCAUAUGCCCAUGGAGCUCAUGUGCGCCUCAUGCUUCGGACGUGGGAGAGGCUUCGUCAAUGGAUCAGCAACAUUUGCAUCCGUGUGUACCUUGCAUAUGUUUACACCACCUCUUUCGACAAUGUCGCGAAUAAGGUUAAAACGCCUGAGUAUGUGUUGGGUUUUAUGAUGGUUCUGUGGUUCCUUGACUUGCGCUAUGGCACCACUAUUAUCACAAUAGAGGUCCAAUGGAUUAGACGCGCUCUCAACCACACCAAGAUUAGAAAUAAAAUUCUUCACCCAAACACCUUCUUUUGCAGCUUCAGAAGCCGCAAUGUACUCGGCCUCUGUUGUAGAAUCAGCUACCAUAUCUUGCUUGGAGCUCCUCCAGCUCACUGCUCCUCCGUUCAGAAUGAACACAAACCCAGAUUGCGAUCGACUAUCAUCCCUAUCUGUUUGGAAACUAGCAUCGGUGUAACUAUUUACAACGAGCUCAUCCUCACCUCCAUAAACCAGGAACAUGUCCUUAGUCCUUCUCAAGUACUUAAGGAUAUUCUUAACCGCUGUCCAGUGACUCUCCCCUGGAUCAGCCUGGUAUCUGCCCACCACGCUAAGAGCAAAACUAACAUCGGGACGAGUACAUACCAUAGCAUACAUGAUGGACCCAAUAGCCGAAGCAUACAGAAUCCCAUCCAUGCGUCUUCUCUCAUCAGGAGUCGUAGGACUCUGAGUCUUGCUAAGACUAAUGCCAUGUGACAUGGGCAAGAAACCUUUCUUGGCGUCUUGCAUGUUGAAUCGCUUCAACACCUUGUCAAUAUACGCACUCUAGCUUAAUCCAAUAAGCCUUCUCGAUCUAUCUCUAUAGAUCUUGAUUCCCAAAAUGUAAGCUGCCUCUCCCAAGUCCUUCAUAGAAAAACUAUUUUUCAAUGAGUCCUUGACAGAUUCAAGCAUUUGAACAUCAUUUCCAAUCAAUAAUAUGUCAUCCACAUAUAAGAUCAGAAAUACAACUGAGCUCCCACCGACCUUCUUGAAUACACAAUGAUCACAGUCAUUCUUGAUGAAGCCAAACUCUUUGACAGCUUCAUUAAAACGAAUGUUCCAAUUCCGAGAUGCUUGCCUUAAUCCAUAAAUGGAUCUCUGAAACUUGCAUACCAUGCUAGACUUCUUUGGAUCGACAAAACCCUCAGGUUGUGUCAUAUACACAUCCUCGGUUAAAUUUCCAUUAAGGAAACCCGUUUUGACAUCCAUCUACCAUAUUUCAUAGUCGAAAUAUGCCGCUAUAGCAAGAAUGAUCCAAAUUGAUUUAGGCAUCGCUACCGGUGAGUAAGUAUCAUCGUAGUCAACUCCGUGAAGUUGUCGAUAACCUUUAGCAACAAGUCGAGCCUUAUGGACUGUGACAUUUCCGUCCAUAUCAGUUUUCUUCUUAAAGAUAAACUUCCACUCAAUGGCUCGAACGCCAUUUGGCAGAUCAACCAAGUUCCAAACUUGAUUGUCAUCCAUGGACUUUAAUUCGGAUCUCAUGGCCUCAAGCCAUAACUUGGAAUCAGGGCUCUCCAUCGCUUCCGCAUACGUAGUCGGCUCGUUGUUCUCCAAGAACAACACAUUGCAGUCAUGCAAAUUGCGUAACCUUUCGGACCUCCAUGGAACCGGUGUCGACUCCACUACAGGUUCCCUGACUAACUCCGGUGUGACAGUAUCACCUACCGGAACGUCCCGUGUGGUUCUCGAAUUUCUUCUAGUCGGACCGUCCUCCCACUAGCCUUCCGAUUGAGAAACUCUUUCUCAAGGAAAACUCCAUGUCGAGCGACAAACACUUUGCCCUCUUCAUGGUUGUAGAAGUAAUAUCCCAAGGUUUCCCUUGGAUAUCCCACGAAUAUGCACUUGUCCGAUUUGGGUGUGAGCUUAUCCGACUGGAGUCGCUUGACAUAUGCUUCACAUCCCCAAAGUUUCAGAAAAGACAAACUGUGACUCUUCGCAGUCGAUAUCUCAUACGGUUUCUUAUCUACGGACUUAGAUGGUACCCUGUUUAGUGUGAAAGCUGCAGUUUCUAGAGCGUAUCCCCAAAAUUACAAGGGUAAAUCCGACUGACUCAUCAUCGAUCAGACCAUGUCCAACAGGGUCUGAUUCCUCCGUUCUGACACACCAUUUCUCUAUGGCGUACCCAGAGGAGUCAGUUGUGGAACUAUUCCACGAUUCUUCAGAUGAUCAUCAAACUCCUGGCUCAUAUACUCACCGCCACGAUCAGAUCGUAGAAGUUUGAUUUUCUUGCCGAGUUGAUUUUCCACUUCGUUCUGAAACUCCUUGAACUUUUCAAAAGUUUCUGACUUGUGCCUCAUCAAGUAGACAUAUCCAUAUCUACUCAAGUCAUCGGUGAAAGUCACGAAGUAUUGGAAACCACCUCUGGCUGCCGUGCUCAUUGGUCCACAUACAUCACUAUGUAUAAGUUCCAACAACUCGGACGCCCUCUCGCAACUCUUUGCAAAAGGAGUCUUAGUCAUCUUACCGAGUAGGCAAGACUCGCAUGUCUCGAAUGAUUCAAACUCAAACGAAGUUAGAAUUCCAUCAUCAUGGAGCUUCUUCAUGUGCUUUUGACUAAUGUGUCCUAGUCGACAAUACCAGAUGUAAGUCGGAUUUAUCUCAUUAGGCUUAUGCCUCUUGACAUUUAUGUUAUAGACUGAUUCACCUUUAAGAUCUAGGAUAAAUAACCCAUUUAAAACGGGUGCAAAGCCAUGAAACAUAUUAUUCAAGUAAAUAGAACAACCAUUGUCCUUAAUACUGAAUUCAUAAACUUGUCUCAUCAAACAUGAGGCAGAAAUAAUGUUUCGACUCAAAGCAGGAACAUAAUAACAAUUAUCAAGUUCCAUUACAAAUCCUGAAGGUAAAUUAAGUUGCAUAGUGCCGACGGCCAAUGCAGCAACUCUUGUUUUAUUCCCGACGCGAAUGUUAGCUUCUCCUCUUGCGACAUUCCUAGUUCUACUUAGCCCCUGCAUCGAGUUGCAUAUGUGAACAACCGAUCCGGUAUCAUAUACCCAAGAGCUACUAGAAACAUCAGCAAGAUAAAUGUCUAUAACAUAUACAACAAGUGUACCUGAAGAAGAAGUCAUACUUCCAGUCUUCUUGCCCUUCUCGGCAAGCCACUUGCUACAGUUCCUUUUCCAGUGUCCGGGUUCCUUGCAAUGAAAGCAAAUACUCCCCGAAGCUGUCCCUGACUUAGGCGCAGCGGCUGUAGUUGGAGUUGCCUCCUUCUCUUUGCCCUUUGCCUUAGCCUUUUUCUUGGACCAGCUCUUCUUGAACUUAGCCGAGUUCUGCACCAUCAACACUUGACGAUGUGUACCUUUCUUGAUAUCCUGCUCUCCCACUUUGAGCAUCCCAUGCAAUUCAGUGAGCUUAUUUUCCAUCCCAUGCAUAUGGUAGUUCGAGAUGAACGGCCCAUAGCUGUCUGGAAGAGAACCCAAAAUUGUAUCUGUGGACAACUCAUCCCCAAGUGGGAAGCCUAGCCUAUCCAGACCUUGCAUGUACCCGAUCAUCUUGAUCACAUGCGGGCUCAGUGGAUCACCCUCUUUCAGCUUAAAAUCCAUCAAGGAUCGCCAGACGUUGAACCUUUUGGUCCUAGCCUGCAUUUGAAACAUGCUCUUAAGGUUCUCGAUCAUAUCGAAAGCCUCAAUAUUUUCGAACUGCUGCUGCAGAUCGGGCUCCAUAGAAGCCAGCAUGAGACAGCUGAUCUUGUUUGAUUAAUCAACGAGUUUCUGGUAGGCAUUUCUGGCUGUGGCAUUAGCAUUAUCGGCAGGUUCCUCUGGAAGCGGAUUCUCUAGAACUUGUUCCUUUUUCUCAUGCCUGAGAACAAUUCUCAGGUUUCUAUACCAGGUGGUAAAGUUUGUUCCAUUCAAUUUAUCUUUUUCCAGGAUUGAUUUCAAUGCAAAAGGGGUAACUUGAGCAGGUGGUGCCAUUGAUCUACAACAGAAAUAUGCAAAACACUAAGACAUGUAUUCAUGAAGAGUAAUUCAUAUUAAACAUUUUAAUAAGAUCAUUACUCCCACUAAAAUCAACAUCCCUCGGUUGAUACUUAGUGAUUCAAGAUCCAAGGUCAACAUGUCAACUAGUGAGCUUUUGCAUCACCGCUAGAGGACAAGAUCACUCGGUAAGCAACUCUUGCUAAUCGUAUCUCCAUACGACUCUUGUUGUUGGGGACAUCUCAUGCCUCGCCAACUCCUAUGCAUCGUAGCCCAAAACUGUUUUGAUAGCCAUGACAAGUUAACCAAUGCUCCGCUUGUAAGUGUCCGACACGAACCCAUCACUUCAAGGAGAUCUAGUGGCACCCUAAUUUCAUAGGCCCGCCACUAAAUAUACUUAACAUGUGAAGGUGCAUCAAUUGGGGAGGCAUUUGUACUUGACAUACUUUGAGGGACCACCCUACUUAAAACAUCUACCAUGCAAAAGGAAGGGUGCAUAAAAGGGAUAAACUUUCACAGGCAGUUUAUGUAUGUGUGAUAUGGUAUAGCCCCUUUUCAGAGCGCGUGGUGAUCUCCAUCUCCACGUGCGCAGUCUGCCCAUGCAUGGUUGUCCUCGUGGUGAGCUCCAUGUCCACGCCAUGGUGUCAACCACCAAGUGUUACAUAAGAUACUAUGCUAUUAAAACUAAUAGCUACUGAAAGUAAAUUACAUUACAUGGCUUCUCAUGUUGACACGCAGGUCAUUAAUACAAUAAUGGGACAACCAUAUGGCUCCUGCCGGUUGCCACAAUCAUGACACACAGGUCAUGAAACAAUAAUAUACAAGCAACAUACAUGGGCUAUACCAAAUCACAGUCAUUCCCUGCAAAAACGAGUCAGACGUUCUACCGCCGAAGAUAAAACCUCCUGAAACUCUAUCUUCCAAGCAUAUUUUGGCCUAGCCAGAAGCGCCGAAAUCCUGUUCUAGAGUUUUGCCGCUAAUCCAAAUUUUCGUUAGCUUCAGUUUGACAGGUCGUGGAGCAAAAUCGGAGUUCGUAUGCAAAAGUUAUAGCCGUUUUACCGAGACCGCUCCAACAGAUUUCAGGACCACGGAAAUCACAUUUCCAAGGUGUUGAUCUAUGUUCCGAUUCGAUCAAUCUCAUUGAUCUUCACGUGCUGCAUCCGGAUUUAUGUUCCACUGUCUACCCUGAUGGCGGACAACCGACCGGUAGGGGUAAGUCGUGUCAUGACCUCUGCAUCACGAUCACAGAAACAAGAUCACGAAACCAACCUUCAACACUGACAUGCGCGACUGAUCUCAUCGACCCGCACCUGAACCGAUCUACAUAUCUCAUAUGCAUAUCAUGAAAUCUAUUACCACACAGCAGAGGCUCUGAUACCACUGUUGGAACACGCGGUACGCUACGCUAGCGCCAAAUAAAAUUUUCUACCGCGCACCCAAGAUCAUGCUGCUGGAAAUAGAUCACGGGGUCGGGUUUACCACUAGACGCGCAGUCACCAAAGCGGAAGUAGAGUUGGUGAUGCGUGUAGCCGAUCUCCCGGGCCGUCUCCUCCUCGCGUUGCCGAUCUCCCGCGAACAACGAAGACCCGUGAACGGUGAGCUCCCGCGAACGGCACCUCGCGGUUCCCUCGAACGGUUCAUCCAAGCACCAUAGAUAUGAUGCCUCCAAGGUAUCCACACGUACGGGGAGCAGCGUCGAGCGGCGGACUGCUAGGUCCGGUCGCGCGACAUGGGCAUGGGGAGUGGCGGUGGCUAACCAGGGUUCAAUCCGAUCCUCCCAAAGUGGUGUGCCCACUCCCCUUUAUAUAGACCUCCGAGGUGGGCUCAACACUUGAGCCCACUAGGAGUCCACAUCCAUUUUCCACUCAGAUCCAAUCCGAUUGGACUGCAGCCCCUUAAGUGUGCGACCCUAUAGGUUCACGUACACAUGGACACGACCAGAGUCGAUAGUUGGUAGCGGCUCCUAGCAGAACGUGCCAACUCCCAUGUGGGCGUAAAGUCGUUUGACGAACCUCAACAAUGUGGCAUAUGCAACAUUCCUUUUGCCUUACGAUAUUUGUUGUCGAGCUCAAGGCGAGUACUUGUCACCCUUGUGUUAGCUUGACCUCUCUUCUCGAAACCAUGAUACAGAUUCCCGAACUGGGUUAACACUUAACCCAAGUCGCAUGGCCAUGCUUUCCGAAUCUGAUCACUCGAGAGGGCCCAGAGAAUAUCUCUCCAAAUAGGAGGGGCAAAUUCCAUCUUGGUCAACCAUGUCUCGCGGCAUGUCUCACAACUCACCUGAAAGCUACCUUUAUAACUACCCAGUUACGGAGUAGCGUUUGAUAGACCCUAAGUGAGUCGAUCCUCAUCCCGAGAACAUGCGUGGACCUCAGGUCUAGGACAUGGCAUAUACAUUGCCCUUGAGACUAACAGAUGACUAUAUCUCGCUGCGUCUCAAAGUGGGUCUGUCCGGGUCGGUGAUCUCCAUCCCCGAGCCCAUACUAUCAGUUUAGCAUCUCCAUGCACAUGACUUGUGAAACAUAGUCAUCAACCGAAUCGUAUACUAGUCAAGGAUAUGUGUCCGCAUAACCUUAUCAACUAGGGACCAUUAAAAACAAUCAUCAUACAAUACAUAGUUUCACAAACAAGUCACAUACUUAUUGAUACAUAUCAUUGAUGAUGUUCAAGGACAAUACAAAGGACUCAUGAAUACAUAUGGAAAUAUCAUCAUCACAUGAUUGCCUCUAGGGCAUAUCUCCAACACAGUCCUCAAAGGUAACAAGUGUUGGUUCCACACAGGAACAAUCUCUUCAGUGAUGCUCAAUCACUCUGGGUUGUAGGUGUUUGAGUUUGGGUUUUUCCUCAAUGAUAAUUUUCGCCCAAAGUCCUCGGAGGAUGGGAUGCUCUAAAUGACAAGUAUCGGUUUCUCUUGGACCAGCCAACCAACUAGUGGUUGUAGGGGGUGACUAUUUAUAGCCUAGGGAGCAGCCGGACAUGAUAAGACAUAAAUGCCCUUCAAUGAUAUGACCGUUAGGUGGAUAAGAUAUUUUGGGACAGUUGGCGCAUAGCACAACAACGGUCGGAAAUUUGAGCUCUCAAAUUCCUCAGGGCUAUCAUGUUCAUCACUUGUAAGCAAUCCGCACCGGCGAAUUCCUAACUCCUCAGUUAGAACAAAUUCCUCAGAGACCAGGAGAUCUUCGUCUCUGUCACAAAACAAAUUGACUGAACUGUAUGAGAUUUCCAAUGGUUUCACUUGUAAGGAUUCGGUAGGUGUAGGAUUUUAAGAUGAGCAUCACUUGAAAACUUUUCCUUAGUUUUACCUCGACCCCCUUUAACAGUACGGUGUUUCCUAUGACUCAAGAAAGAGAAAAUGAAACUAUGAAAACAAAAACUUCACGCUUCAUAAUCCUCGCAUCAAUAUCGAAGUCUUCAAGGUCACACCAGUUUCCUCACUUUCAAAGUCUUCAAGAAAACCAAAGUCUUCAACUGAAGACAUUCAUUUUUAGGGGUCGACUUUCAUCGUAAAUAUCAAACUCCACAUAGACUUAUAGAAACUAUGUACACUCACAGACACAUUAGUCCCUUAACCUAUAAGUCUUCAAUACACCAAAAUCACUAAGGGGCGCUAGAUGCACUUACACUACCCCAUACAUUUAUCAAAGAUAAAGAAUAACAAUUGACGCAGAAACCAACUGCAGCCCGGAAGUUAAGAGAACUAUUUGAAGGAUCUUUUCCCCCAACUAUCUGCAAAUGAUUAUUUCUGUACUGUAUUGGUAUUUUCCUUGACAAUGUUCAUUCCAAUAGCUUUAUUUGGUGACACAUAAGCCAUUUGCUUGAGCAGGGAAAUGGACUCUAAGAUUACUUUUUUGAUGCUCACUCGGGAAGAAGACAGGUAAACCAUCUGAACCAUAUUUUUUCAUGAUCAUUCGUAGAACACCAUCAUGAUGAUAAUGAAUAUGAUUGUGUUGGGUUGUUACACGGGCACAAGAUAACCCAGGAGACACCAAACCAAACAAACCAAGUACCAGAAAGCCGACCCAAACAUGGGGAGGACUAGCCUCUCUAGCGACCUCCUAACCGGAAGAUGACACACUACUACAGCGAGCUGCUACACAAAUGUUUUUUAACCCCUUUCCACGACGGCAUUUUAAACCGUCGCGAGGUGAGUGUGGGUGAUAGGGGGGUCCUUCCCACACGACACAGAAACCGUCGGGGAUAGGGAGCCAUGAUGCAUACAGUUGUCCCUAUAAAACUGUUUCUGAUAUCUCGAAUAUCCCAAACGCUUCAUCCUUCCUACUCGUUUGUGCUCGCAUUGCCAUCGCAGUCGGUAUUCUGUGGUGCUACGUUUACGAUGCGUGACCCAUCACAAAUAGCUCACGAUUAUAGAACGUGUACAAUAAUCAGACAAUCACACACAUUUAAUUUUCCUCGACUAUAUGCAAUUCGAUGUAAGAGUGCAUACAGUUGUCCCUAUAAAACUGUAUGCGAAGCUUGAAUAUAUCCCACACGAUUCAUCCGUUGUACCCGCGUCGGAUGAAGACCUAUUGCAUGCGCUCUUAUAUGACCAAACAUUUGUGAUGCACACAUCAUCAUAAAGAGUCCAUAAUUGCCAAGUGUGUGUGAUAAGGUGACUUACGAAAACAUUUAAUAAGAAGGAACUGUGUGCGAUGCGGUUGUUAAUCCCACACGUUUUUUCUUGCCUGAUCGUGUGUGCAGUAGGUCGCACACAUAGUGGAUCCGAGAAACGUGUGUGAUCUCCAUGUUUAUCGCCGACGUUUUGCGUUCGCAAACCCUGUGCAGUGUAAUCCCUAAUUUUAUCCAUGCAUGUAAAAAUCAUAGAUUUUGAAGUUAAAAGUAGGCAAUCACUUAUUUCAUAUCAAACCGUGUUUAUUACAAAUAUGGGUUCAAGCACGAAUGCAUAAUUCGAUGCACAGGUACAUAUACUGAAGAAAUACAGAAGCAGCAAGUAAAGAAUGAUGGACCAUAGUUGUACCAAAGACGGUAAAGAGAGAGGCGAAACACAUUCUGGUUGCUGGAGUAGGUGAAGCGGAAUGCCCAUAUUGUGGCCUCCUCCAUGCGUAAUGCGUGCACGACUCUAGGCCAACCCCUUGUGAUGGUUGCCCGCCCAUCCUUCACUGUCUUCAUUAGGAAUUUUCGAUGCUCAUUGUAGUCUGGAUGAAAUACUUUAACCUUCAUUGUGUGUCCACCAACCAUGUACUUUGCGAGGUAAACUUGAGUAAACUACUUUGGGAACCACUGCAAACAAAAAAGAUUCAGACAUUGUUGUCUACCAACUCAUUAUGGGCAGUAAAAAGAGAAGGCUGCAGAGUUUGGAGCUACCAUCCUAUAACUCACUGUUGUGUUGGAUAGAGCGUAAACAAAUAAUUUGCUUGCCACCAUUCAUAUCUUUUUGCUAAUAAUCCUUAUCAGUUUCCUCGCUUGAUGCUUGUUCAUGUAUAUCUCAUUGCCCCAUACGCAAAAAGGGUCGAUGCGUUGAUCUUUGUCACGGGCAUAUGUACCUACAAGCAACAAGUAAAUAUUAGAAGCUAACAAGUGUCCAAGCCUGGAUCUAUAUGCACUACAUUAUGGAACGACGGGGGGAGUACAAGCCGAGGGAUGAAACUAACCUCGGCGAAAAAUGUUGGCCACUCCCGUUGUUGUCCUGCAUAAGUAGUGGAAAGGCAUGAUAAGUACAACAACCUUAACAUCAAACAAAUAUAGCCAAGGUAAGCAACAUCCUCUCCAAAUGAUAACUUGAAUGCGUUGGUUUCAGCAUGCUGUUAAAGCAGAUAUAAAAUGGAAGGGAAUGUUACCUACAAUAGGCUUAAUAGCCAUCAAAUAUUGCAAUUCAAACUAGUAUUGUUGAAAAUGAAUAGAAUGUAGCUCAUGCUUAGACAUCACACUGGAUAAAUUUGUAAGACUGAAAUAAAGGGCAUGUGUUAACUACACCAGGCAUAACUGGAACCAAAUAUAGCAAUUCAAACCGGUAUUGAUGAAAUCGAGCGGCACAGUUUCGACAUGCACAAAAUGAACAUCACAUUGUGAAUGACUGAAAUAAACAAGCAUAAAUGAUCAGUAUAACAACCAAAUAUAGCCAUUGAAAAUUGGACAGAGUCUCACUACAACCAACCUAACAAGCAAAUAUAGAUAAACAGGGCAUAUGCUUGGAAACUGGACAAUUGCUCACUUCAAACCAACCUAACAAGCAAAUACAGAUAAACAAGGCAUUUGCUCGAAAACUGGACAAAUGAUCACUGCAACCAACCUAACAACCAAAUACAGAUAAACAAGGCAUCUGCUUGAAAACUGGACAAAUGCUCACUUCAACCAACCUAACAACCAAAUACACAUAAACAAGCAUCUGCUUGAUAACGGGACAAAUGCUCACUUCAACCAACCUAACAACCAAAUACAGAUAAACAAGGCAUCUGUUCACUAUAAACAACCAAAUAUAGCCAUUCGUGAAACUAAAGUGGACAAUUCAUACUUGAACAUCACAUAGCCCUAUUGAACAUUACAUUUUUGCAUAACCGAAAUAAUUAUACACGGCACAGUUAAAACACCGCAUGGCAAAAGCUACUACAACAAAGGGUACAGGUUGGCAAGCUAGAAAAGGUAAGAUUUGUUGAUAGGAUGUUGCCUCACAUGUCAUGGAUGGGAUCCUUCCAGUUGGAAGAGCACGGACCCAUGCUGCACUCUCUGAUGUCGCAGAUGGGCUGUUUCACCUUGGAAGAACCUUUGUGGGUGCCCUCCUCGUGGUCGUGGUCGAUGAGAUCUGACUUGGGUAUUGAGGAUCCCAAGCUGCCGCCGUAGAACGUGUCCUUCAGAAAUGACAAAAUGGGCUCGAUGGCGUACAAUGAUCGCAAAUCCUUGACCGCGUGGCAGAGGAGAUCAGCGGUAGGGUCGUCGAAGCGAUCAACAAUGUUUGAACCAGAGGGGUUGGGGAAGGACCACUUAACAUGUGACAUGACCCGCGUGAAUUCGUCACUGUCGAUGAGCUUGAUGUCAUAGCCAGCUUUCCCGAAAUACAGUAAUACGCUAGCCCGCUGACAUGAAGCCUUCGCCAUGGCAACAUAGUCAACGUCCUCGCCGGCUUUCGCGCCGAGGGGUUGCUGCAGGAUCGACAGGUCAGGACGAACGGCGGCCACCUCGCGAAAGUUCACCGAAGAGGCCAUGAUAAACCUCUUUUUGGUCGAACGCUCGUCGGGCUCCCUGGGAAACGUGGUCGGGCUUAGGCUGCAACUUCAUGAGCAGGGGAUGUGGAUCUGGUAGGGAGGGACACCGCAGGCCUCAUCUAAUAACUCAAGGGGGCGGUAUGGGAAUCGCUGGGUAACCUGAACUUUAUUAUUUAAGCUAGGACGAACGGGCAGAUCGAUAGGGGUUGGCGGUGGCGGCAGCGGCAAUCUAGGGUUCGGGGGGGAGGGGGCCGGUGGGGGACUGUGGAGGAGGGUGGUGUUUGAGGAUACGCCACAGCUACUGAAAAUUUUAGUAAUGGUGGGUGGAGAUGGUGAUGGAUGAGGGAGGGCGACGGUUCAAAUGCCUCGGCUACUACAAUUUUACUAUAAGGUCGGUGGUGGAGGAGUGGGGGCGACGGUUGAAGUACCGUAGCUACUAAAAUUUCACAACGCACUUGCAUCACACAUGGUUAAGCCACUACCUCCACCUUUGCUCGCGCUUGCGCAAUCAUGGUGAUUCACAACGCACUUGCAUCGCACACGGUUAGGCCACUACCUCCACCCCUGCUCGCGCUUGCGUAGUCAUAGUGAUUUCACAACGCACUAGCAUCACACAUGUUUAAUCCACUACGUACACACUUGAUCGCGCUUGCGCAGUCGUGGUGAUUUGACAGCGCACUUGCAUCACACAUGGUUAAGCCAGUAAACCCGUGUCCAUGGAGCGUCAUCCGAGUCUUCGCAGCAAAAAAACAUAAGAGAGGGUCAGAAGACAGCCACACCAGCAUGUGGCCCAAAUAUAUAUAAAUGAAAAGGGUGGUCUGUGAAGCUCAAAAUUCCAAUGCACAACUCUGACCACGCGGGCCCAUGCUACCUCUUGGACACUGCAUUGGUUUUCCCUUGAAGAGGAAAGGGUGAUGCAGUAAAGUAGCGUAAGUAUUUCCCUCAGUUUUUGAGAACCAAGGUAUCAAUCCAGUAGGAGACCACGCUCGAGUCCCACGUACCUACACAAACAAAUAAGAACCUCGCAACCAACGCGAUAAAGGGGUUGUCAAUCCCUUCACGGUCACAUACGAGAGUGAGAUCUGAUAGAGAUGAUAAGAUAAUAUUUUUGGUAUUUUUAUGAUAAAGAGUAAAAUUAAGGAUUGCAAAAUAAACAAAGAUAGAAAUUGCUUGUUGAUGGAAGAUUAAUAUGAUGGAAAAUAGACCCGGGGGCCAUAGAUUUCACUAGUGGCUUCUCUCAAGAUAGCAUAAGUAUUACGGUGGGUAAAUGAAUUACUGUCGAGCAAUUGAUAGAAUUGAGUAUAGUUAUGAGAAUAUCUAGGUAUGAUCAUGUAUAUAGGCAUCACGUCCGUGACAAGUAGACUGACUCCUUCCUGCAUCUACUACUAUUACUCCACACAUCAACCGCUAUCCAGCAUGCAUCUAGAGUAUUAAGUUCAUAAGGACAGAGUAACACUUUAAGAAAGAUGACAUGAUGUAGAGGGAUAAACUCAUGCAAUAUGAUAUAAACCCCAUCUUUUUAUCCUCGAUGGCAACAAUACAAUACGUGUCGUUUCCCCUGCUGUCACUGGGAUCGAGCACCGCAAGAUUGAACCCAAAGCUAAGCACUUCUCCCAUUGCAAGAAAGAUCAUUCUAGUAGGCCAAACCAAACUGAUAUUUCGAAGAGACUUGCAAAGAUAACCAAUCAUACAUAAAAGAAUUCAGAGGAGAUUCAAAUAUUGUUCAUAGAUAAUCUUGAUCAUAAACCGACAAUUCAUCGGAUCUCGACAAACACACCGCAAAAGAAGAGUUACAUCAAAUAGAUCUCCAAGAGAAUCGAGGAGAACUUUGUAUUGAGAUCCAAAGAGAGAGAAGAAGCCAUCUAGCUAAUAACUAUGGACCCAAAAGUCUGAGGUAAUCUACUCACACAUCAUCGGAGAGACUAUGGUGUUGAUGUAGAAGCCCUCCGUGAUCAAUGCCCCCUCCGGCGGAGCACCGGAAAAGGCCCCAAGAUGGGAUCUCACGGGUACGGAAGGUUGCGGCGGUGGAAAUAGGGUUUUGGCUCCGUGUCUGAUGGUUUGGGGUACGUAGGUAUAUAUAGGAGGAAGAAAGGUCGGUGGAGCAACGAGGGGCCCACGAGGGUGGAGGGCGCGCCCAGGGGGUAGGCGCGCCCUCUGCCUCGUGGCUUCCUCGUUCGUUUCUUGACGUCCACUCCAAGUCCUCUAGAUCACGUUUGUUUCGAAAAUCACGUUCCCGAAGGUUUCAUUCCGUUUGGACUCCGUUUGAUAUCCUUUUCCUUCGAAACACUGAAAUAGGCAAAAAAAUAGCAAUUUGGGCUGGGCCUCCAGUUAAUAGGUUAGUCCAAAAAAUAAUAUAAAAGUGUAUAAAUAAGCCCAUUAAACAUCCAAAACAGAAUAUAUAAUAGCAUGGAACAAUCAGAAAUUAUAGAUACGUUGGAGACGUAUCAGCCUACGGUUGGGCGCGUUGUCGAAGAUCGAUGAGUGGGGCCAGAAGUCAAGAACCACCUAGAAGUGGCAAAAUAUAUGUACAAAUAUAUGGUGAGAUGUUUAAAUCUUUAAAUACACAAUGCACAACUUUGGUGGCACCCGCCUCUCGCAAACCGGAAAGCCCCCUUGGAUGUAUCUAUAAUGACAUAAUGUUGUAGCUACCUAGCUAGGGUGCUUGACCCACUUCCCACUUCGUGUCGGCGGGGCGGAUGCACGUACUGAUACUUUGGUCAUACAUGCAUGUCAACAUGACCUACUAUUGGUGCAAUGAUUGGCCCCUUAUGUUUUGGAGUUUAUUGACAUAAACAGUAUGGGACUUAUGUGUUUGCUAGUGCACACAGAGUAAAAGGUCCAUUAAGUAUCAAGGAGUUUGAUGCAAACGACGAAGAUAAUCUCUCUGCGUGGCAGCGAAGGUUAUCACCGAAGGAGAAGCUAACAAGAGUGACCCCUAAAAAUUGCUGAAGUACAAGCAAUUGGUUCAGUGGCUGUUCAAAGAAAAUGACUGCAUUCGAGAAAGAACGAAGACGAAGUGAAGACGUAGCAUUUGUUUCAUUAUUCUUCUUCUUUUCUUGAGUCAUAGGACCACCAUACAAUUAAGAGGGGUGUAGCGUUCGAAGCUUUGAUUCUCUGAUGCUAAACCCAAAUCCUAUGAAAGAUGUGAGAUAAAUCUCUUUGUGCUCCGAGCAAAUACUUGCCAGCAAGAGACUGUGAUCUUCUUCGCUGUGAGAGAUUUGUCUCGGACCGAGGAGUUAGCAUUACUUGUUCAUCAAGUAAUGUUACCGUUGCUCCAAAAUCCGACCGUUGCAAACGUGUCGGUUGGCCAUUGGGUGGACCUCAUGUCCAAAAUGGUCAUUUCCCAUAUGGGAAGGCUGCGGCUACAAAUAGCCACCCCGCGCCAGCUCUGUCCAGUGGCUGCUCCAUUUCAUUUCGAGAAGAUUGUUGAGCAACCCAGUCUCUGAGUGAUUUGAGUUUAAAAUCCACCGGGAGAAAAAACCCUAGAGCCAAAGAAUUAUAUAGUGGUUCAGCAUCACUGGAAUCUAAGUUUAGUAUUCUCCGCCUAUUACUCUUGAGAGCUACAAACUCUCUAGACGGUUAGGUGUCAAUUUCUCCAGAGAACAAGAGUCAUUGUGUUUCUCGAAGAGGAAGUCUGUAAAGGUCUGGAGAUCGCCUUCAAGUAUCUACCACAAGUAAUCGGCAUCGGUUGACGAAUCGAUUAUCGAGGAGAAUAGGGUGAAGAGAGUUUAUAUUCCGUGUUAAGUCACAGCCCCUCCAACCAGACGUAGUCCUUGUGCAGAAGGACAAACUGGUCGAACAAAUACCUUGUUGCUAUCGAGCAUCAUCGGUUAUCUCUAUCACCCAUGUUUACCUUCGAUGCAUUUUCCUUCGUAUGAUUUGCCUAAAUGCACUGCCUACACUACAAUAAAAAUACACUUUUGUGAUGAUACGUGUUUGUCACAGUAGGUCAUAUUUUUUGUCAUGCAUGUACAUCCAUGACGAUUUUAUGACAGAAUCAAGACAGUCAUACCUGUGUUGUCGUAGAAGUGUUCCAUGGAAUUACCAAAAUUAUCAUCACGAAAGUGUCCACUUCCAUGACGACAAAUGGCGCAUCAUGGAAGUUCUUUCGUCAAGGGUAACCGACACGUGGCAUCCACCAUAACGGGUCGCCGUUAAGCUAUCAGGUUCCGGUUUGGAUCCGAUAACCCGUUAACAGCCCGGACCAAUGGGGAUUUUCCACAUGUAAAAUCAUCAUUGGCUGGAGGAAACACGUGCCUGCUCCUCAGUGGGCCAGAUGUCGUCCGUCCAAUGGAGGAGACAUGCCUAUGAUACAUCGACACGUGGCGGGGCCCAAUACAGGCCCAUAUAGGUUAAAAAGGCCGGCCCAGUUAAAGGCCCGUAGUACUUAUUACUCAGGUACUAGUGGGCCAGCCCAAUAACGGCCUGUUUAAACAUGGCCCAUUUAUGGCCCGAAGCAAAAUUUGGCCCGUUAAUUGUUCGUCGAAUAUUUGGGCCCAAUUACGGCCCAACGACAUUUCGACCUAUUAGAGGCCCGAUGUAGACAUGGGCCCAUUUUAGCCCGGUGUUUCUUUCGGCAUGGGAAUGGCCCGUGCUACCCAUGGGCCAUAUAUGGUCCGACACAACAUCCAGCCUCUAACGGCCCGUGAUAAAGGUGGCAACAGUUCAGCCCAACUAGACUUUGGGCAUGUCAAAGGCCUGUCGUGUAAUUCAGCCCGUUAUGCCUAUACUAAGCUUUCGGCCUCUUAAAGGCCCAUGAUAUCAGUGGGCUAACUAAGGCCCGAGAUAUGUUUCGGCCUGGUAAUGGCCCAUCAUAUAACUGGGCCAAAAAAGGCCCGGUCUACAUUUCAGCCUGCUGAAGGCCCGUCGACAACUAGUGAAAAUUGAGGCCCAACAUGCAUUUCGGCCUACUAAAGGCCCAUGGUUUCUUCUGGGCCGUAACAAGCCAGCAGAAUAUUUAGCCUGUUAAUGGCCCAAAGCUACAUGGGCCCAACUAAGCGCUGGGUCCACUAAAGGCCCAACUAAACUUUGGGCCGAAUAUAGGUCCGUGUAAGUUGUGGGCCUGGCGCAAAGUGUGAAGGCCCCAAUGGCCUUUCAGGCCCAAGAAAGUUGCAGGCCGGCCCAAUUGUGGCCUGGUAAAAAGCAGGCCCGUUAGAGGCGAAUGUUUCGGCCCGGUCAACUACAUCAUAUUUUUUUCAGAUGGCGAAUGAUGGCAGUAACUAGUAGGAAUUAAGAACAAACCUACUCUAUACAAUAAAGAAAUUACGGCAUAGUAACUUAGAAUAUACCUACACUAUACAAUAAAGGAUUUAUGGUAUAUUACAUCAACUGGGCAUCUAAGUUCGCCACCUGUGAUCAUAAAGCGCAACAAAGAAGCAGAUUACAAAAACUGGGCACCAUUGAAGCGUAACAAAAUAAUAUUGAACCAAUACCACUUCCAAGACAGUUCAAGAAAGGUUAGCCUUGCACGUGAACUGCUGCGCAAGCUGCUAAGCAAGGCUGUGAGACUGGCCUAGCAUGUCGGUCAUGAAGGAAAUAUGCCCUCAAGGCAAUAAUAAAGUUGUUAUUUAUAUUUCCUUAGAUCAUGAAAAAUGUUUAUUAUUCAUGCUAGAAUUGUAUUAACCGGAAACUUAGUACAUGUGUGAAUACAUAGACAAAACAUAGUGUCCCUAGUAUGCCUCUACUUGACUAGCUCGUUAAUCAAAGAUGGUUAUGUUUCCUGACCAUAGACAUGUGUUGUCAUUUGAUGAAGGGGAUCACAUCAUUAGAGAAUGAUGUGAUGGACAAGACCCAUCCGUUAGCUUAGCAUUAUGAUCAUUGAUUUUUAUUGCUAUUGCUUUUUUCAUGACUUAUACAUGUUCCUCUGACUAUGAGAUUAUGCAACUUCCGAAUACCGGAGGAACACCUUGUGUGCUAUCAAAUGUCACAACGUAACUGGGUGAUUAUAAAGAUGCUCUACAGGUGUCUCGGAAGGUGUUUGUUGGGUUGGCAUAGAUUAAGAUUAGGGUUUGUCACUCCGUGUAUCGGAGAGGGGUAUCUCUGGGCCCUCUCGGUAAUGCACAUCACUAUAAGCCUUGCAAGCAAUGUAACUAAUGAGUUAGUUGCGGGAUGAUGCAUUACAGAACGAGUAAAGAGACUUGCCGAUAAUGAGAUUGAACUAGGUAGGAUGAUACCGACGAUCGAAUCUCGGGCAAGUAACAUACCGAUGACAAAGGGAACAACGUAUGUUGUUAUGCGGUUUGACCGAUAAAGAUCUUCGUAGAAUUUGUAGGAGCCAGUAUGAGCAUCCAGGUUCCGCUAUUGGUUAUUGACCGGAGAUGUGUCUCGGUCAUGUCUACAUAGUUCUCGAACCCGUAGGGUCCGCACGCUUAACGUUCGGUGACGAUUUGUAUUAUGAGUUAUGUGAUUUGAUGUACCGAAGGUUGUUCGGAGUCCCGGAUGAGAUCAUGUACAUGACAAGGAGUCUAGAAAUGGUCGAGACAUAAAGAUCGAUAUAUUGCAAGGAUAUAUUCGGACAUCAGAAAGGUUCUGAGUGAUUCGGGUAUUUUUCGGAGUACCGAAGAGUAGUGGGCAUUAAUGGGCCAUACGGGAAUGGAGAGAAGGGCCUCAAGGGGUGCCCCCCAUGGCAAGUCCGAAUUGGACUAGGGAGGGGGCGGCGCCGCCCUCUCUUUCCUUCUCCUUCUCCUACUCCUUCCCUCUCUCCCCUCUUGGAAAAGGAAGGGGACUCCAAGUAGGAUUGGAAAUCCUAGUUGGACUCCCCGCCCCUCCUAGGUCGGCCUCCUCCUCCCCCCUCCUUUAUAUACGUGGCCAAGGGGGCACCCCAAGACACACAAGUUGAUUUCUUAGCCGUGUGCGGUGCCGCCCUCCACAUAUUUCCACCUCGUUCAUAUUGUCGUAGUGCUUAGGCGAAGCCCUACGUCCGUAACAUCAUCAUCAUCGUCACCACGCCGUCGUGCUGACGAAACUCUCCCUCGGCCUCAGCUGGAUCUAGAGUUCGAGGGACGUCACCGAGCUGAAUGUGUGCAGAUCGCAGAGGUGUCGUGCGUUCAGUACUUGAUCGGUUGGAUCGCGAAGACGUUCGACUACAUCAACCGCGUUACUUGACGCUUCUGCUUUCGGUCUACGAGGGUACGUGGACACACUCUCCCCGCUCGUUGCUAUGCUUCUCCUAGAUAGAUCUUGCGUGAUCGUAGGAAUUUUUUUGAAUUACUACGUUCCCCAAUAGUGGCAUCCGAGCCAGGUCUAUGCGUAGAUGUUAUAUGCAUGAGUAGAACGCAAAGAGUUGUGGACGAUAAUAGUCAUACUGCUUACCAGCAUGUCAUACUUUGAUUCGGCGGUAUUGUUGGAUGAAGCGGCCCUGACCGACAUUACAUGACCGCAUUCAUGAGACUGGUUCUACCGCCGUGCUUCGCACACAAGCGGCUAGUGGGUGUCUGUUUCUCCAACUUUAGUUGAAUCAAGUGUGACUACGCCCGGUCCUUGUUGAAGGUUAAAGCAACACACUUGACAAAAAAUCGUUGUGGUUUUGAUGCUUAGGUAAGAACGAUUCUUGCUAAGCCCAUAGCAGCCACGUAAAAUUUGCAACAACAAAGUAGAGGACGUCUAACUUGUUUUUGCAAGGCUUGCUGUGAUGUGAUAUGGUCAAGACGUGAUGAUAUAUAAAUUGUUGUAUGAGAUGAUCAUGUUUUGUAAUAGUUAUCGGCAACUGGCAGGAGCCAUAUGAUUGUCGCUUUAUUGUAUGAAAUACAAUCGCCAUGUAAUUGCUUUACUUUAUCACUAAGCGGUAGCAAUAGUCGUAGUAGCAAUAGUUGGCGAGACGACAACGCUGCUUCGAUGGAGAUCAAUGUGGCAAGCCGGUGACGAUGGUGAUCAUGACGGUGCUUUGGAGAUGGAGAUCAAAGGCACAAGAUGAUGAUGGCCAUAUCAUAUCACUUAUAUUGAUUGCAUGUGAUAUUUAUCCUUUAUGCAUCUUAUUUUUCUUAGUACGGCGGUAGCAUUAUAAGAUGAUCUCUCACUAAAUUUCAAGGUAUAAGUGUUCUCCCUGAGUAUGCACCGUUGCUACAGUUCGUCGUGUCGAGACACCACGUGAUGAUCGGGUGUGAUAAGCUCUACGUUCACAUAUAAUGGGUGCAAGCCAGUAUUGCACACGCAGAAUACUCGGGUUAAACUUGACGAGCCUAGCAUAUGCAGAUAUGGCCUCGGAACACUGAGACCGAAAGGUCGAGCGUGGAUCAUAUAGUAGAUAUGAUCAACAUAGUGAUGUUCACCAUUGUAAACUACUCCAUCUCACGUGAUGAUCGGACAUGGUUUAGUUGAUAUGGAUCAGUGAUCACUUAGAUGAUUAGAGGGAUGUCUAUCUAAGUGGGAGUUCUUAAGUAAUAUGAUUAAUUGAACUUUAAUUUAUCAUGAACUUAGUCCUGGUAGUAUUUGCAUAACUAUGUUGUAGAUCAAUAGCUCAUGAUGUAGCUCCCCGUUUAUUUUUUAUAUGUUCCUAGAGAAAAACUAUGUUGAAAGAUGAUAGUAGCAAUGAUGCGGACUAGGUCCGUGAUCUGAGGAUUAUCCUCAUUGCUGCAUAGAAGAAUUAUGUCCUUGAUGCACCGCUAGGUGACGGACCUAUUGCAGGAGCAGAUGCAGACGUUAUGAACGUUUGGCAAGCUCGGUAUGAUAACUACUUGAUAGUUUAGUGCGCCAUGCUUUACGGCUUAGAACCCGGACUUCAAAAACAUUUUGAACGCCACGGAGCAUAUAAGAUGUUCCAAGAGUUGAAAUUGGUAUUUCAGACUCAUGCCCGACUCAAGAGGUAUGAGACCUCUGACAAGUACUUUGCCAGCAAGAUGGAGGAGAAUAGCUCAACCAGUGAGCAUGUGCUGAGAUUGUCUGAGUACUACAAUCGCUUGAAUCAAGUGGGAGUUAAUCUUCGAGAUAAAAUAGUGAUUGACGGAGUUCUCUAGUCACUAUGACCAAGUUACUGGAACUUCAUGACGAACUAUAAUAUGCAAGGGAUGACGAAAAUUAUUCCCGAGCUCUUCGUGAUGCUGAAAUCGACGAAGGUAGAAAUCAAGAAAAGCAUCAAAUGUUACUGGUUGACAAGACCACUAGAUUCAAGUAAAAGGGCAAGGGAAAGAAAGGGAACUUCAAGAAGAAUGGCAAGAAAGUUGCCACUCCCACGAAGAAGCCCAAAGCUAGACCCAAGCCUGAAACUGAGUGCUUCUACUGCAAAGGAAAUGGUCACUGGAAGUGGAACUGCCCCAAAUACUUGGCGGAUAAGAAGGAUGGCAAAGUGAACAAAAUUAUAUAUGACAUACAUGUUAUUGAUGUGUACUUUACUAGUGUUCAUAGUAGCCCCUAGGUAUUUGAUACUGUUUCAGUUGCUAUGAUUAGUAACUCGAAACAGGAGUUAUAAAAUGAACAAAGACUAGUUGAAGGCAAGGUGCCGUUGUGUGUUGGAAAUGAUUCCAAGGUUGAUAAGAUCACCAUUGCACACUCCCUUUACCUUCGGGAUUAGUGUUGAACCUAAAAUAAAUGUUAUUUGGGUUGAGCAUAAUAUGAUUGGAUCAUGUUUAUUGCAAUAUGGUUAUUCAUUUAAGUCAAAGAAUAAUUGUUAUUCUGUUUACAUGAAUAAAACCUUCUGUGGUCAUACAUGCAAGGUGAAUGGUUUAUUGAAUCUCGAUCGUAGUAAUACACAUAUUCAUAAUAUUGAUGCCAAAAGAUGCAAAGUUGAUACUGAUAGUGCAACAUAUUUGUGGCACUACCGUUUAGGUCAUAUUGGUGUAAAGCGCAUGAAGAAACUCCAUGCUGAUGGCCUUUUGGAAUCACUUGAUUAUGAAUCACUUGAUGCUUGCGAACCAUGCCCCAUGGGCAAGUUGACUAAAACUCCGUUCUCCGGAACAAUGGAGCGAGCAACUGACUUAUUGGAAAUAAUACAUACUGAUGUAUGCGAUCCGAUGAGUGUUGAGGCUCGCGGCGAGUAUCGUUAUUUUUCUGACCUUCAUAGAUGAUUUGAGCAGAUAUGGGUAUAUCUACUUGAUGAAACAUAAGUCUGAAACAUUUGAAAAGUUCAAAGAAUUUCAGAGUGAAGUGGAAAAUCAUCGUAACAAGAAAAUAAAGUUUCUAUGAUCUGAUCGCGGAGACGAAUAUUUGAGUUAUGAGUUUGAUCUUCAUUUGAAACAAUGUGGAAUAGUUUCGCAACUCACACCACCUGGAACACCACAGCGUAAUGGUGUGUCUGAACAUCAUAACCGUACUGUAUUAGAUAUGGCGCAAUCUAUGAUGUCUCUUACCGAUUUAUCACUAUCGUUUUGGGGUUAUGCAUUAGAGACAACUGCAUUCACGUUAAAUAGGGCACCAUCUAAAUCCGUUGAGAUGACUGUCGGUGUCAAAACCGGCGGAUCUCGGGUAGGGGGUCCCGAACUGUGCGUCUAAGGUCGAUGGUUACAGGAAACAGGGGACACGAUGUUUACCCAGGUUUGGGCCCUCUCUAUGGAGGUAAUACCCUACUUCCUACUUGAUUGAUCUUGAUGAAUAUGAGUAUUACAAGAGUUGAUCUACCACGAGAUCGUAAUGGCUAAACCCUAGAAGUCUAGCCUGUAUGACUAUGGUAAUGAGUAUAUCCUUUUCGGACUAACCCCUCCGGUUUAUAUAGAUACCGGGGAGAUCUAUGGUUACAUAGAGUUGGUUACAUAAGAAGGAAUCUUCAUAGUUGGUCACCAAGCUUGCCUUCCACGCCAAGGAGAGUCCUAUCCGGACACUGGGUAUAGUCUUUGGCCUUCAUGUAUUCACAGCCCACCAGUUCGGCCCACGGAUAACAGGCCGGACGCCCGAGGACCCCUUAGUCCAGGACUCCCUCAGUAGCCCCUGAACAUGGCUUCAAUGAAGAGGAGUCCGGCGCGCAGAUUGUCUUCGGCAUUGCAAGGCAGGUUCCUUUCUUUCCGAACUCGAAGAUAGUCUUCAGACGCAAUGAUAGUAUCCGGGCAUGUCACACACACCAUACACAACCACAGAGAAAAUAUAGUUUUACACGAAUCCAAUCCGCUGACAAAUUUUUGUAGCAUGACAUCAUGUCCGACCGGUCAUAAUUCUGAAUCGUUUCUGUGUCUGCCGCUCCACGUCCCAAGACGCGGCUGCCAUUGGCACGUCUUGUCAAAGCAGAGAUCAUGUCCCCUUAUCGUGGGAUUUUCAUCAAUGCGGGCAUGGGUAACCCAACCGUGCCAUUUAUACAGCCAUCGGGAAUAGGCGAAUUCUAAGGCGAGUGGGGAGGCGUUCAAUAUUUACUGCCUUUAUAAGGGGAUAAGGAUUCCCUCUUCCUCUCCCACGCCUUCUCUCUAUCUCCGCCCUCCCAAUCUCGAGCUCCAGCGCCCAAGUUCUUAUUUCCUUUCCACUCGAGCUAGCACUCAACCAUGUCCGGAUCCGGAGGUCAGGGCAAGUGGAUGGUCUCCUCCGUCAAGGAGGAGGACAUUACUGAGCUUCGGGCAUCCGGAUACUUGGCGAAGGAAAUCGCCCAUCAUCUGCCGGCUGAGGGACAAGUCGUCCCCACGCCGAAGCCCAACGAGAGGGUGGUAUUCAUCCCUCAUUUCUUUCGCGGACUAGGGUUCCCACUCCACCCUUUCGUCCGCGGGCUGAUGUAUUAUUACGGGAUAGAUUUCCACUCCUUCCUCAAUAUCUCGGCGUUUAUCGUCGUGUGUAAGGCCUUCCUCCGCAUCCAACCCCACUUCGGGCUAUGGCUCAAAGUCUUCAACGUGAAGCCGAAGGUGGUGGAUGGCCGGCACGCGGAGUGCGGGGGAGCCAUGGUGACUCAGUUGUCCCACGUCUUCUGGCCGAAAGGCACUUUCGUGGAGACAUUAAAGGAGUGGCAGAAACAAUGGUUCUACAUCACAGAACCCCACGGCACCAACUUCGCCGCAGCUGCCGAAUUCCACUCCGGUGCUCCUAUGCGACUCACCUCCUGGGUCGAGAAGAGUCCGAACUGGUAUUCGCCCGAUGAGCUGAUAGCGCUGCAGACACGCGUUCAAAGUAUGAUAGCCAAGAAUGUCAAGCUUGUCGAUGUAAUCCAGGUGAUGCUAGUUCGACGGAUCCUCCUGUGCCAGCGCAGAAGUCGCCCUCUGUGGGAGUUUAAUCCGAAGAAGCACCAAACCCUGGAGAGGCUCUUCAAAACCACUCACGAAGGUGCCUGGAAGUUGCUCUUUAAGGGCAACGAGAAACCGCUGGCCACAGAUUCAGACCGCGAGCACGAUUUUAAACACCUCGCUAGUGAGGUAUGUUAUUUUUUGACGUAUCCCCUACUUAAUUGUUUCCAGGAUGAUGUCUGAGUUUUUACCAUUGCUUUUUCAGGAUUGGAUGGAAAGGGCGAAGCGGAUCCAGUGUCCAGCUCCGCUGCCUCAAGAACCGGUCAUCCCGCGCCUGGCGAAGAUGCUGGUGCCGGCGCCAUAUAAGGCGCCGGAGAAGAAGGCCAAGAAGAAGGCCAAGGGGGCCAAAAGUGGCCCCCGUUGCAGGGGCGCUUUGGACGUGACGUCCGAAGACGAGGAAGCCCAUUCCUCCCUCCCUGAGGAUGACAACGAGGAAGAGGAGGAGGAGGAGGAGGAGAAGAACCCUCCCCCUAAGGAGAAGAAGAGGGGGGCUCCACGAAUCUGGAGGCGGGAACGCCCAAGAAGGGGAAGGGCGCCCCUGAGGUCCACACUGCGUGGGACGUUGACAGCAGUCCGGAGCGACGCCUCCGCACUAAGCCUCGGGCCGCAUCAUAAGUACUAUGACUCUCAUACACAAGUGUACCCGGCCUCUCCUUUUUAUUGUUUUGACGUGGUUAAUUAUGCCAUUGCAGUCCGGCCCGUGGCAGCAUCAAGCGAUCCUCAUCUGCAGGUUCGUUGGAUCCGGCAAAACUGGCCAGUAUGUCGCCGCCGCCCGCUUAUUCCCCUGAGGCCAAAGACGACACCGACGUGUUGUCCCGGAGGACCGCUCUGAGCCUGGGAGGGGCCCAGGACGCUGUCCAGGAGGCGCCGCAAGGCGAGACCUCCACUGCCGGACACAUGGGGGAGCAGAUCCCCAUGGAGACUGGCGAAGAGGGACGUAUUCAGUUCAGCCCUCAGCCGAAUACGAUUCCGGGGACCGAUACGGCCCCGGAAUCCGGCGUCCGCCUUCCUUCGAAGGAGGGGGUGCGCCAAUUCCACCAAUGGCCCCUGUCCAACCAGGGGCACCGGACAACCUGAUGGAGGCGCUACGAGGCGCCUCCAUUGUGGACGAGCACCGUGUCCUUAUGGGUACGGUGAUCGAGAAGGUUCAGUCUGUCAAGAGCGGACUAAACGAGGCCUGCAACAAUCUGUUGACAGGUUUUGAGGUAAGUCACGUAGAAAGAGAACGCCCGGUGCUGAUAGUAGCCCCUGAGACAUUGUCCCGUGUUCGGAAAGAAAUGCCGGACAGAGGAUCAACCCUUUGUAGGGGACUAAUUUGGUAUUUAUGAAUAAGCAGGCGUCGCUGUUGGCCGCGACCUCGCAUGUUGCCGAAGUCUCUGAACUGAAGCAGAGGUUGGAGCGGACCGAGAACGAGCUCGCCGAGGUGAAGGUUCAGCUCCACGAGAAGCAAGGUGAGUAAUGACUUGCUGUGUAUUCAGAAAAAUUAAGCGGUGAGUAUUGACCGGAGUGUCAUAAUAUGUGUAGGGGUGGCGACCGAGGUCAAGGCCCUGAAAAAUGCCCUGACCGAAGCCGAGGGGAAGGCUGUCCAACAGCAAGCCGCCCGUAAGAAGCUCAAGGCCCAUGUCGGCGAGAUCCAGCAGGAGCUCCAGGACGCGGUGAAGAAGUGUGAGGCUUUGGAGCGCGAACCAUCGGUUCGAGAGACCGAACUUACCAAGGCUCGCCAGAUCGCGGAGGCCGCACAAAAUGAGGCACGGGGCACUCUCCAGGAGAUCCGGGAGGCCAAGAAGAUCGCAGCGGGUAAGGCUUUUAACAUGCAAAGCAAAGUAUGCGGAGAAGAAGUACCUUUUACUAACCCGGAUUCGGAGUUGCCCAAGGGCUUUUGCGGAUCUGCCAUGCAGCGUGUCUGAUGCUGCGGAGUUCUUCCGAGCCGGAGAAGGGAAUUCCACGGAGAAGCUGUUCUGGUCGCAGUAUGCUGUGCCAGAAAAUCCGGUGCCCUUUGUCGAUCAACUGAAAUAGUUGGUCGAGCUGCACAGGGUGGCCGAACUGGCCAUGAAGGAUUUAAUAAUCCGGCUUUGGCCAGCCGAAGCUAUACCUAGCAGUUAUUGUGGCCUCGUGAAGUGGGUGAUGGAGGCUUGUCCGUGGCUAGACGUCGUCAAGCGAUCAGUCUGCAUCGAAGGUGCCCGCAUGGCCUUCGCUCAUUGCAAGAUGUGGUCGGCGAAGAUGGACGCGGUUGAGAUGGCCAGUGGGCCGACGGAGGGCAAGGAGCACCGCACACCCGAGCGAUAUUUUGCGGAUGUCCUGGAGGGAUCUCGACUUGUAGCAGCGCAGUGCGGGCAGGACAUUAUUUUCGAAUGAAUACAUUCGCUUUUUGUCUUUGCCUUGUAUGAUGAAAACAAAUCCGGUUUGCAAUAUAAUGUUUGUUAUGUUUUGAUUGUUUCCUCAUGUGCGGCCGUGUUGUAUGGAAUCUGAGGGUUGGCCAGUCGUCGGCUUCUGCCCUCACGUAGGUAGUACGGAGGUGUUCGGGAUGGAAUCUAAACAAUCUUGAUCCAAUUGUAUGGUCCUUGAAGGAGUUGUUUAGCGCAACGAACCAGGCAAUCAGACUAUGCGGCUUAAACGCCCUCACUUAGCCAUAGGAGUUUUAUAAUAAAACAUAGGCACAGCUCCUGGGAUAUGAAUCAGAGUGCUGUCAGCGUCUGAUCGGGAAGUACCGAUCCUUCGCGAAAUGCGGAAAAAAUCUCAAAUGAUUUGUGACCGCCGAACAGCUGACCGGCUCUCGCCGCAUCAUACAGUCAGUUUUCGGCUUUCUCUACUAAGGUGCUCAUCCGGUUUAGACCAGGGCACGAUCGCAGUAGUUCUCCCUUUAGUACCCUAGCCGAUGUAGCGGAACGUAGGGUAGCAAGCAUAGGAGCCGGGCAACCCAACUAUUGACCAAAGACAUUAUUUGGAGCCAAUGCAUAUAAUGCUAAAUUCGGGGUGCCGAACUUAUCUUUAAGAAGUGUUCGGACUUUGUUGCCGUAUUAUGGGGCGAUGGGGAGCCCCUGGCGAUUGUGGAACGUACCAAAGUGCACGGGUGCGAGAAUAUAAGUAAUUAAUGGCAAAGGAAAACAGAAAGAGAGCAGAGGUAGUAUCCAGGGCCCCUUGACUUGGGCUGUAAACUGUUUCCAUUAUAGUUAGGUUAAUGCGUCAAAGUGCAUUUAUCCAAAUAAUGCGAUAAGCAACCGGCUAUUUAACAUGCCAGAACCAAAGGAGAGCUGCAUUGGGGUACUGAAAACAGAUAGAGUAAUCGUUGGAUUGUCCUCUAGAGCUUCCCCUGCAUGCUUGUGCUUUGUGACAAUCUGGUGUACUUGUCCUUUGACAGGACCAGUAAUCAGGCCGUCGAAGGGGGCCUGUAUAAAAGGUACCUGAAAAGAAAAAGAAAAAAAGAAAAUAGUGAAGAUACCAGUGAGUCCGGGAUUGGUGUAGCCGAACUACAAGCUAAUUGUGCCUCCGUUGAUGCCCAUGGGAUUUUGAGUGCGUAAUUAUGUACGCAUGGUGCGGAUGCCGCUACCUCAUCGGGUCUGGGACGGAGGCCGAAUUGCUAAUCGAGAUCUUGACGAGCCGAACCGUCCUGUUGCAGUGUGGUCCGGACUCUCUUAGUGAUGUCUAGGGGCUCGGUAGCCGGAUUACGGUUCUGCUUGAGAAGGCCGCUCUAUACCUCUGCUGCUAGGGCGGCUGUGUGCUCCUCUGUUCGGAGGGAGCGUUCAGUGUUGCCAUUGACUGUUAUGACGCCACAUGGACCGGGCAUCUUGAGCUUCAGAUAAGCACAGUGUGGCACUGCGUUGAAUCUAGCAAACGCGGUUCGUCCGAGCAGUGCGUGGUAACCGCUGCGGAAGGGGCCGAUAUCGAAGAUUAACGCUUCGCUUUGGAAGUUGUCCGGAGAACCGAAGACCACCUCCAGCGUGAUUGAGCCCGUACAACGGGCCUCUACGCCUGGUAUGACUCCUUUAAAGGUAGUCUUUGUGGGUUUGAUUCGUGAGGGAUUAAUGCCCAUCUUCCGCACUGUAUCCUGAUAAAGAAGAUUGAGGCUGCUACCACCGUCCAUUAGGACUCGUGUUAGGUGAAAUCCGUCGAUGAUUGGGUCGAGGACCAGUGCGGCCGAACCGCCGUGGCGGAUACUAGUUGGAUGAUCUCGACGAUCGAAGGUGAUUGGGAAUGACGACGGAUUGAAUUUUGUGGCGACUGGCUCUACCGCGUAGACGUCCCUGAGUGCUCGCUUGCGCUCCUUUUUGGGGAUGUGUGUAGUGUAUAUCAUGUUCACUGUUUUGACUUGAGGGGGAAAUUUCUUCUGCCCCCCAGUGUUCGGCUGCCAGGGCUCUUCAUCCUUGUCCUCACUUUGUGAUCCUUUUUCUUUGUUCUCGGCAUUUAACUUGCCAGCCUGUUUGAAAACCCAAAAAUCUCUGUUGGUAUGAUUGGCUUGUUUGUCUGGGGUGCCAUGUAUCUGGCACGGACGAUCGAGUAUGCGGUCCAAGCUGGAUGGUCCCUCACUGUUCCUUUUGUAGGGCUUCUUCCUUUGGCCGGACUUGGAGCCGCUGAAUCCGGCGUUAACUGUGGUGUCAUCGGUGUUAUCACCAUUGCUUUGGCGUUUGUGUCCAUUGCGCCGGAGCUUGCCGGUGCUUUUCUUGGCCUCGGAGGGGCCUCCCUCGCUGGCUGUGUUUUUGCUACGAGCCAGCCAGCUGUCCUCACCCGCGCAAAAGCGGGUCAUGAGUGCUGUGAGGGAUGCCAUGGAUUUCGGCUUUUCUUGGCCAAGGUGGCGGGCGAGCCAUUCGUCACUGAUUCUGUGUUUGAAGGCUGCUAGGGCUUCGGCAUCCGAACAGUCAACGGUCUGGUUCUUUUUGGUUAGGAACCUAGUCCAGAAUUUUCUGGCUGAUUCUCCAGGUUGUUGGACUAUAUGACUUAAGUCAUCGGCAUCUGGUGGCUGGACAUAAGUACCUUGGAAGUUGUCAAGAAAAGUUUCUUCCAAGUCCUCCCAGCUGCCGAUGGAAUUUUCAGGCAGGCUAUUUAGCCGGUGUCUAGCUGGCCCUUUUAAUUUUAGUGGGAGGUAUUUGAUGGCGUGGAGGUCGUCUCCUCGGGCCAUAUGGAUGUGGAGAAUAAAAUCUUCGAUCCACACUGCGGGAUCGGUUGUUCCGUCGUAUGAUUCAAUAUUGACGGGCUUGAACCCCUCGGGGAAUUCGUGAUCCAGUACUUCAUCUGUGAAGCAGAGAGGGUGUGCGGCGCCUCUAUAUCGGGCCACGUCGCGGCGCACCUCCGAUGGAGUCCGUCUGCGGUUAUCGGGCCGGGCGUGACUAGGUUUGUCACGUCCGAAUAGGUAACCGUCAUCCCGAGUCGAGAAGCAUCCUCGUGAUCCGUAAAUUGAUCUGGUGUGUCCUGCUCUACUGUCCAGGUCCUGCCGAAGGUCAUAUGUAUGGUCCCAAGCUGUUUUGUCUCUGUUUUUACGAUGGUGGGGCGGGCUGUUGUUCGGCCUGAAUUGCCGUUUUAUCCCGACCGCGUGGUGGUCGGUCUGCCGCACUAUCCCGACCACGUGGUGGUCAUUCCGCAUUGUGCGAGGGAGGUAUGGGCUCCGGUGCCUCCUCAUCGAACUGAGGUAGCAGUCUGCGCUUCAGGUAACUCUUGGCUGGGUGCUUGAGGCCAUAUUCUUCGGCUUCCAGGACAUCAUUCCAUCUGUCAAUGAGUAGGUCUUGAUCGGCUUGAAGCUGCUGCUGCUUUUUCUUCAGGCUUCUUGCAGUAGCUAUUAGUUGGCGCUUGAAGCGCUCCUGCUCGAGGGGUGCCUCAGGCACGAUGAAAUCCUUGCUGCCGAGGCUCUCCUCAUCCUCGGAGAGUGGACGAUAACUAUCGUCAUCUGGAUCAUUGGGCAUGGCCUGUUUAUCAGGGUUAACUUGCCCGUUGUCUUGUUCCUCCUGUUCGGAUGUUGCUCCAACAGGGUCUUCGUUGUUUUCGGCGUCGUCCGGAGUACUAUUUUCUCCGGUGCCAUAAUCAAGCACGUCGGUUAAGUCCUCGACAGUGGCUAUGAAGUGGGUGGCGGGUGGAAAGCGAAAUUCCCCAUCAUCAGCCUCUAGUUCGAACCGGACAUAGUUCGGCUGUGAGUCCCCCGCCAAGGACAGGUUUUUAAUGAAUUUAGCACAUCACCCAAGGGCGAGUGUUUGAAGAUGUCUGCAGCACCGAACUCGAAGAUCGAUGACCGAUCCAGCUUGGUGUCUGCAGGCGUGUGCGGUUUGGAAUUUAUGGCCGGAAACGAGUCCGGAAUUCCAUUGACGCAGAUAUUCCCAGGUGUCGAGUCUAUGUGCGGCUCCAACGCCGCGGACUCUGUGGCUUCGGAUGGUGCAAUCUGCUCCGGAUCUAAGGUCGUAGCAGUUACAGGAACCAUCUCCUGAAUCUGGUUUGAUGACAGAUUUACAUGUUCAUCGGAGCGAGUGGGAGCGAUCGCCGCGGUCUCAAACCCAUUAAAGAUCGAGUCUCCAUGGAUAUCCGCAACGUAGUUCAAGCUUCCAAAUCUGACCUGGUGGCCAGGGGCGUAGCUAUCGAUCUGCUCCAGAUGUCCAAGCGCGUUGGCCCGCAGUACGAAGCCGCCGAAUAUGAAAAUCUGUCCAGGGAGGAAGGUUUCUCCUUGGACAGCAUCACUAUAGACGAUCGAAGGGGCCAUCGAACCUUUCGUCGACGGCACAGUGGAACUCUCAAUGAAAGCACCAAUGUCGGUGUCAAAACCGGCGGAUCUUGGGUAGGGGGUCCCAAACUGUGCGUCUAAGGUCGAUGGUUACAGGAGACAGGGGACACGAUGUUUACCCAGGUUCGGGCCCUCUCUAUGGAGGUAAUACCCUACUUCCUGCUUGAUUGAUCUUGAUGAAUAUGAGUAUUACAAGAGUUGAUCUACCACGAGAUCGUAAUGGCUAAACCCUAGAAGUCUAGCAUGUAUGACUAUGGUAAUGAGUAUAUCCUUUCCGGACUAACCCCUCCGGUUUAUAUAGAUACCGAGGGGAUCUAGGGUUACAUAGAGUCGGUUACAUAAGAAGGAAUCUUCAUAGUUGGUCGCCAAGCUUGCCUUCCACGCCAAGGAGAGUCCUAUCUAGACACGGGUACAGUCUUCGGCCUUCAUGUAUUCACAGCCCACCAAUCCGGUCCACGGAUAACAGGCCGGAUGCCCGAGGACCCCUUAGUCCAGGACUCCCUCAAUGACACCAUAUGAAUUGUGAUUUGGCAAGAAACCCAAGUUGUUGCUUCUUAGAGUUUGGGGCUACAAUGCUUAUGUGAAAAAGCUUCAACCUGAUAAGCUAGAACCUAAAUCGGAGAAAUGUGUCUUCAUAGGAUACCCAAAAGAAACUGUUGGGUACUCCUUCUAUCAUAGAUCCGAAGGCAAGAUCUUUGUUGCUAAGACUGGAUCCUUUCUAGAGAAGGAUUCUCUCUUGAAAGAAGUGAGUGGGAGGAAAGUAGAACUUGAUGAGGUAGUUGUACCUUCUCCCUUAUUGGAAAGUAGUUCAUCACAGAAAUCAGUUCCAGUGAUUCCUACACCAAUUAGUGAGGAAGCUAAUGAUGAUGAUCAUGAAACUUCUGAUCAAGUUACUACCGAACCUCGUAGGUCAACCAGAGUAAGAUCCGCACCAGAGUGGUAUGGUAAUCCUGUUCUGGAGGUCAGGUUACUUGACCAUGACAAACCUACGAACUAUGAGGAAGCGAUGAUGAGCCCUGAUUCGGCGAAAUGGCAUGAGGCCAUGAAAUCUGAGAUGGGAUCCAUGUAUGAGAACAAAGUAUGGACUUUGAUUCACUUUCCUGAUGAUCGGCUAGCCAUUGAUAAUAAAUGGAUCUUCAGGAGGAAGACGGACGCUGAUAGUAGUGUUACUAUCUACAAAGCUCGAAUUGUCGCAAAAAGUUUUUGACAAGUUCAAGGUGUUGACUAUGAUAAGAUUUUCUCACUCGUAGCGAUGCUUAAGUCUGUCCGAAUCAUGUUAGCAAUUGCCACAUUUUAUGAAAUCUGGCAAAUGGAUGCCAAAACUACAUUCCUUAAUGGAUUUCUUAAAGAAGAGUUGUAUAUGAUACAAACAAAAGGUUUUGUCAAUCCUAAAGGUGCUAACAAAAUGUCCAAGCUCCAGCGAUCUAUCUAUGGACUGGUGCAAGCUUCUCGGAGUUGGAAUAUACGCGUUGAUAAGUUGAUCAAAGCAUAUAGUUUUACACAGACUUGCGGUGAAGCCUGUAUUUACAAGAAAGUGAGUGGGAGCACAACAGCCUUUCUGAUAAGUAUAUGUGAAUGACAUAUUGUUGAUCGGAAAUGAUGUAGAAUUUUCUGGAAAGCAUAAAGGAGUGUUUGGAAGGAGUUUUUCAAAGAAAGACCUCGGUGAAGCUGCGUACAUAUUGGCAUCAAGAUCUAUAGAGAUAGAUCAAGACGCUUGAUAAGAUUUUUCAAUGAGUACAUACCUUGACAAGAUUUUUGAAGUAGUUCAAAAUGGAACAGUCAAAGAAGGAGUUCUUGCGUGUAUUGCAAGGUGUAAAGUUGAGUAAGACUCAAAACACGACCACGGCAGAAAAUAGAAAGAGAAUGAAAGUCAUUCCCUAUGCCUCAGCCAUAGGUUCUAUAAAGUAUGCUAUGUUGUGUACCAAACCUUUUGUGUACCUUGCCAUGAGUUUGGCAAAGGGGUACGCUAUUGAUCCAGGAGUGGAUCACUUGACAGCGGUCAAAAUUAUCCUUAGAAGACUAAGGAGAUAUUUCUCGGUUAUGGAGGUGAUAAAAAGUUCAUCAUAAAGAGUUACGCUGAUGCAAGCUUUUACACCGAUCUGGAUGACUCUGAGUCUCAAUCUGGAUACAUAUUGAAAGUGGGAGCAAUUAGCUAGAGUAGCUCCAUGCAGAGCAUUGUAGACAUAGAAAAUUUGCAAAAUACAUACAGCUCUGAAUAUGACAGACCCAUUGACUAAGCUUCUCUCACAAGCAAAACAUGAUCACGCCUUAGUACUCUUUGGGUGUUAAUCACAUAGCAAUGUGAACUAGAUUAUUGACUCUAGUAAAACCCUUUGGGUAUUAGUCACAUGACGAUGUGAACUAAUCACAUGGUGAUGUGAACUAUUGGUGUUAAAUCACAUGGCGAUGUGAACUAGAUUAUUGACUCUAGUGCAAGUGGGAGACUGAAGGAAAUAUGCCCUAGAGGCAAUAAUAUAGUUGUUAUUUAUAUUUCCUUAUAUCAUGAUAAAUGUUUAUUAUUCAUGCUAGAAUUUUAUUAACCGGAAACUUAGUGCAUGUGUGAAUACAUAGGCAAAAGAUAGUGUCCCUAGUAUGCCUCUACUUGACUAGCUCAUUAAUCAAAGAUGGUUAUGUUUUCUGACCAUAGACAUGUGUUGUCAUUUGAUGAAUAGGAUCACAUCAUUAGAAAAUGAUGUGAUGGACAAGACCCAUCCGUUAGCUUAGCAUUACGAUCGUUGAGUUUUAUUGCUAUUGCUUUCUUCAUGACUUAUACAUGUUCCUCUGACUAUGAGAUUAUGCAACUUCCGAAUACCGGAGGAACACCUUGUGUGCUAUCAAAUGUCACAACGUAACUGGGUGAUUAUAAAGAUGCUCUACAGGUGUCUCCGAAGGUGUUUGUUGGGUUGGCAUAGAUUGAGAUUAGGAUUUGUCACUCCCUGUAUCGGAGAGGUAUCUCUGGGCCCUCUCGGUAAUGCACAUCACUAUAAGCCUUGCAAGCAAUGUGACUAAUGAGUUAGUUGCGAGAUGAUGCAUUACGGGACGAGUAAAGAGACUUUUCGGUAAUGAGAUUGAACUAGGUAUGAUGAUACCGACGAUCGAAUCUCGGGCAAGUAACAUACCGAUGACAAAGGGAACAACGUAUGUUGUUAUGCGGUUUGACCGAUAAAGAUCUUUGUAGAAUAUGUAGGAGCCAAUAUGAGCAUCCAGGUUCCGCUAUUGGUUAUUGACCGGAGAUGUGUCUCGGUCAUGUCUACACAGUUCUCGAACCCGUAGGGUCCGCACGCUUAACGUUCGAUGACGAUUUGUAUUAUGAGUUAUGUGAUUUGAUGUACCAAAGGUUGUUCAGAGUCCCGGAUGAGAUCACGGACAUGAAAAGGAGUCUAAAAAUGCUCGAGACGUAAAGAUUGAUAUAUUGGAAGGUUAUAUUCGGACAUCGGAAAGGUUCCGAGUGAUUCGGGUAUUAUUCGGAGUACCGGAGAGUUACGGGAAUUCGCCGGAGGAAGUAGUGGGCCUUAACGGGCCAUACGGGAAAGGAGAGAAGGGCCUCAAGGGGUGUCCGCCUCCCCCCCCCAUGGCAAGUCCGAAUUGGACUAGGGAGGGGUGGCGCCCCCCUCUCUUUCCUUCUCCUUCUCCUUCUCCUACUCCUUCCCUCUCUCCCCUCUUGGAAAAGGAAGGGGACUCCAACUAGGAUUGGGAAUCCUAGUUGGACUCCCCCUAUAGGCGCGCCCCUCCUAGGCCGGCCUCCUCCUCCUCCCUCCUUUAUAUACGUGACCAAGGGGGCACCCCAAGACACAUAAGUUGAUUUCUUACCCGUAUGCGGUGCCCCCCUCCACAGAUUUCCACCUCGGUCAUAUUGUUGUAGUGCUUAGGCGAAGCCCUGCGUCGGUAACUUCAUCAUCACCGUGACCACGCCGUCGUGCCGACGAAACUCUCCCUCAGCCUCAGCUGGAUCUAGAGUUCGAGGGACGUCACUGAGCUGAACGUGUGCAGAUCGCGGAGGUGUCGUGCGUUCGGUACUUGAUCGGUUGGAUCGUGAAGAUGUUCGACUACAUCAACCGCGUUACUUAACGCUUCCGCUUUCGUUCUACGAGGGUACUUGGACACACUCUCCCCGCUCAUUGCUAUGCUUCUCCUAGAUAGAUCUUGCGCGAUCGUAGGAAUUUUUUUGAAAUACUACAUUCCCGACAGGUCAUAGCUUCUAGGUGUAGCUAUUUAGCAAUGAGGUUCUCAUUGGUGUUCUCCGCAAUCUUUCUUAGAGAUAGGACUUCAAGUCAAAGUAGAGUUGCAGAAUGCCUUUCUGCUAGAACUUGGGAUUGAAGAAGUCGAACUGAUUCAGACAGCGAGUUCUAUGAGCUUGUCUGACUGCUAGCCUCAAGUAACUUGAAAACUGCAUCAAGACAAGACUUUGGGGUUGUCUCGCUAUCUUCAAGAUGUUUUGCCUUCUUUGCUACAAUAUAUGUUGGGUUUGUCUCACAGCCUUCAGCAGACUUAUGCAUGCCAUCAGGCAUAUCACCCUGAAACAAGUAGAGAGAUGACAGGUUUUGCACGUGUAUAAACAAAGAUGAUAACUGUGCUGUCAAUUCCAUCCAAUUUCAAAUUAGAAAAUAAAGAGUAAGUUCAAAAUAUCAAUAGCAUAAUUUGGCAUUGUUCAUAAUGCGGGGAGCUUCACCACACUACUGGAUUACCAUGUCAACAUAACAAGCAUAGAUGAAGGGCAGAGACAAUCAUUGUAUAUAUUUUGAUUUAUGUGCAUGGCAUGUUGUUCAUAUCAUCAGUCACAUCAGUAAUAUAAAACAGGAGAUGACAAGGUGCAACCGUUGACUACUUCACCGCACACUAGAUUAUAGAUCCAAAAAAACAAGCAUACAUAUAGGGAGUAUUGAGUAAUGUGCAUGGUAUGAAUAAGGAAUUUGGUUUUACAAGCAAAACUUGGAACUUACCGUUCUUGCGGCAUGCAUUUUGAUAGAAACAGCAAACUAAAAAGCAGUUAACAAUAGGGAGUAUGAGCAAAUUAAACAGCAGUUGAGGAUAAAGGCUUUAGAAGGACUAAUUUACAUUAACAGUUAACACCGGCUUUAUAAUGCCCUUCUCCAUGUCAAGGGAAGGAUAACUCAAGAAUUUCAGCACAGAAUCUUGUUCAUAAGCAUUGCCUGUACUCUACAUUUUCUAGAGAGUAAUUAUAGAAUGAUAAUACUGGAAGGGAUAGAGGAUAAUGAAGAUAAGAUGUAGAUUGACGCUACAUAAUCAACUACCAAUCCCUGGAAGUACAAGUGUUACAGGACAAAAUAUACUGACAAGAGCAAUGGUCUACACUUCUGCAAUGGUAUUGUCUAUGUAUUCAACUUUUUGGUAAGAUUAAAUAUAGAUCUGAUAUUUUUUAGUAAAUGGUGGGCGAGGGAGAUAAGAUGUAGAAUGCUACACAAUGAACCAAUACCACUUCCCAUAAUAUAAGAGUGUUUUGAAGACUGGUGUAUUGUACAAAACGUUCUUAUAUUAUAGGACUAGGGAGUAGCUGUUAAUGUAAGUACAGUGAUAGACGGCGUUCAGUCCUUACAAGAGGACUGCGGAGCUAAACCUCUUCAAAAGCAUUGGGUUGAUUCUAAAUUUAUGUAAGAUUCCAUACGGAUCUUAUAAUGUCCACAAAAUGGACGAUAACAAGGCUAACAUGUGCAGUGAUGCUACAUAAUCAACCAUCUAUGAAAGUAAGUAUGGCCAUACAGGGCAAGAGGUACUCACAAGAGCAAUGCAGUGUGCAGUAUAGUUGCGAGAUUCUGUGCUCCCUUGAGAAUGAAUGUUCUUCUGCAAAUAGUUUCCGUACAAGUGAGAUGUUAGGGCACAUGCAGAAAUGUAGUUCAAAUUGUGAUGUGAUAUCAUAGACAGUACCUUAUGCUGCAGAUGAGACCAAUGUGUAACAAGAUUUUUCUAGUCACUGUCUAAUAAAUGUUGCACCGGACACUUUACAGAAAUUUCGUUUAGAGGCUUGCCAUCGAAGUGCUCUUGCCUAAGGUAGGAAUGAUACUUCAUCAAAGAGUGCUUGAAAAGCACAACCAACCCUUGUUCAUCUUGACAAUCCAGUUUGGUCCUCGCCUAUUUAAAAGAAUGAAAUCUUGUGUCUUCUGUCAGCAGAAACAUAUGCAGUAAUUACCAUGAAUAACAUUAGGACAUUACUUAUGCGUAAGUUGUAGAGGAAGACUGGAAAUUAUUUUGUGUCUGCGGUAUAAUAUUUCCAGGAAGGAAAGAUGCGCACAAAGUUCCUGACAACAAUAUAAGCUUCGUCUUCUAAACUGGGAAGAAAUGGAAUAGGGGUCCUAUUUGCUGCAAUUGGGGAUCUCUCUUGUUCGAAAAGGGAUUUGGCAAUUGGAUUUGGUGUACUCUUUGCUGGAAUGGGGGUUUUGCGUCGUAGAGCUGGUGCUAUGUCAACUAGCAUCAUCAUACUAUUUGCUGCAGUUGCGGUCUACUGAGUUGGGGCAUCAGAGAUGACCAGUGUAGUAGGGCUAGAGUCUACGAUAGUUGGGGCCGUGUUUUGUUGGUCAGGUGAUAUUGCAACUACACCUAAUGGGCUAUUUGAUUUAUCAGGUGUCACUACCUUUUCCAAAUACUUUGCUCGUGCUCCUCCGCGAUCAGCAAUUGCCCUCUUCCUUUUGAACGUCUGAUACAGAAGAACAUCAUUUGAAUGGAUAAAUAUGGUAUGAUGACAGAUGGAAUAUGUAAUGAAAAUGGAUAGGCAGGGCGUAUUAACAUAGACUAACAAUUUAUAUAUGAAAAAUUAUAGGAAAAAUCCAAAGAAUCUGUUUAUGGCAUUUUCAUGCUUGUUUGAGCAACCCAAAGCUACUGUAUAUGACAAUUUGAAUUAAUGGCAUUUCAAAUGCCUUAUGUGGAGUUUGAAUUUGAACCUUUGGUUCAAACCAACUUCAUUUAAUAAUAGUUGCAUUAGCUCAAUCAACAACAUAUUGCCAUGUCAUGAUCAUGCAUCAUAUUGUUCCAUUGCAUUGAUUGUGUUCCCUCUUGUUUGCCGGUGUUUGUCCCCUCUCAGUAGACGUUGUCCCGGUGAUGCGAUCGAUGACACUAAUGAAGACCCAAUGCUAUCUUCAGAAGUGCCAGGCAAGCAAAACCCCCUUGAUCACUCCGAUACAAUCCCACUCUCUCGCUCCUGCUCUCUUUUAAUGCAUUAGGACAACAAACGAUUCAACUAUUACAUGCUGCGGUAGUUGAACCCCUUUUCCUCUGCAUGACCUGUCUUUGCCACAGUAAAUUGUUGAAACCCACUAGCAUGAGUAGGAAUUAUUUGAGCCAUGGUGUGCCUACUCAUUUAUGCUUGCUUGUUAUGCCUGUUAUGCUUAGAGUUGCGUCAGGUCUGAUUCAUAUGGGAUGGAUUGGGAUGGUGUGAACAUGUCCUACUAUUGAGAGCUAAGUGUGUGAACACGAUUUGGUAAAGGUAGCGGUGAGAGGCCAUGUAGGAGUAAAUGGUGGGUUGUCUCAUUGAAACCAUCCUCGGGAACUGAGUUAUGUGUUUGUGAUCCAAGAACAGCUACUACCACAUGUUGGGCCCUGAAAUAUAACCCCGCUCGACUUAUGAAACCCCCUGUCCUCUGUCCAGGAGUUGCAAGUAGUUUUUGGUGUUUGUAGUGUGCUGGAGGUCGUGCGUAGCGCUGACCGGAGGGGUGGGCUAUGAUGCAGUACGCAAUUGGUGCGGUGUACUGAGUCGCCCAUUUGGUGCCUCGGGAACCCUGCACACAUCAUUCGGGGCCGUAGUGGAAACCUCGGCCAGACUCCCUGCGGAUGGAACCUGAAUAGGCGAUAAACCUGGACUAGAGACUUGUGUGGUUAGUCAGGUCGUAGUCUACACCCACGUCGGCUUUCGCUUGAAGUCUGCCGAGCACAUGUCGUGUACAUACGCUAAGUGGUGGAAACAUGUGUGCAGAAGUACACCCCUGCAGGGCUAUAAAUGAUAUAUUCAAAUAGCCGCAUAUGCGGUAAUGGACUACUAGGUUGCUUAUGUAGUUCAUAGACAAGUGAAAGUGAAUACUCUAAAAUGCGCAAGAUAAGCGUGAGUGCUAUGGAUGGCCUUCUCGUAGGGAGACGGGAGCGGAUCCAUAGUGGUGUAUUGAUAUGGUGAAUAUGUGGACUCGUGUGCGCCACCUCAAAAGAGUUACCAGCAGUCGUAGUACAGGAUAGCCACUGAGUCAAAGCUGGCUUGCUGCAGUUAAACUCCACCACCCCUUCGUUGAUACUGAUGCAUAUGUAGCUAGUUCUGAUGUAAGUCUUGCUGGGUACAUUUGUACUCACGUUUUCUUAAUUUAUGUUUUUGCAGAGAGACUUCAGUCUCACUAGUAGUUCCGCGUGGACUUCGACGUAUAGCUUGUUACCUCAGCUACGAUCUUGUACCCUUGGGAGGGUCUUGUAGAUAGUCAGGCUUCAUAUCCUUUUCAUUUGUAGUUGUCUGUAGUGAGAUAUGUUAUGCUUCCAUUGCUUGUAUGCUAUGUAUGUUGGGUCAUGUGACCCCUAUUUGUAAUAAAUGUUAUGUGGCUCUUAUGGGCCUUUAUCUGUAUGAGUUGUUGAGUUAUGUUGUGCAACACAUAAUUGCAUGUUAUGCAUACGGGUAACGUGUAUUGCUAUGUGUGGGAUAUGACAAUCUAGCUAUUUAUUCUUGGUAGUCUCUCUUAUGGGGAAAUGUCUCCUAGUGCUUCCACUGAGCCAUGGUAGCUUGCUACUGCUCCGGAACACAUGGGAUGAUCGGCAUGUGUCCUUCUUUGCUCAUGUGUCUGUCCCUUCGAGAAAAUGUCACGCGGUGUCUUAAUGGAGUCCUUGUAGCUUGCUACGACUCGGUUGCACAUGCUGUUGACCGACACGUGCAUUGCUGGGUCAUGUAUGCCUGUCCCUGUAAGUUAGUGCCACCUUGGGUUUACGACUAGUCAUGUCGGCCCGGGUUCUCCGUCAUAUGGAUGCUAGCGACACUAUCAUAUACGUGAGCCAAAAGGUGCAAACGGUCUCGGGCCAGGUAAGGUGGCACCCGUGGGGAUACCGUGCGUGAGGCCACAAAGCGACAUGAUGUGUUACAUGCUAGAUUGAUGUGACUUAGGAUCGGGGUCCUGACAGCAUUGGUAUCAGAGCCAGACUGCCUGUAGGAUUACCAAGCCAAACUGGUCGAAGUCGAGUCUAGAAAUGCUUUAGUUAUAUAAGGGAAUUGAUUGUGGAAGGGAACAUAAGGCUCUUUUUACUCCUUUACCUUAUGUCCUUCUGAUCUGAGUCAUCCGCUUCUUUUCUACGGGGUUAAGUGAUGCGUCCAUUUUGCAUCAUGCUUUUAUAUUGAUAUGUAUCGCAUUAUGGGCUCUUAUUACACGUUAUGUCACAAUACUUAUGCCUCUUCUCUCUUAUUUUACAAGGUUUACAUGAAGAGGGAGAAUGCCGGCAGCUGGAAUUCUGGGUUGGAAAAGGAGCAAAUAUUAGAGACCUAUUCUGCACAGCUCCAAAAGUCCUGAAACUUCACGGAAGUCAUUUUUGGAAUUAAUAAAAAAUAUUGAGCGAAGAAAGUACCAGAGGGGGCCCACACCCUGACCACGAGGGUGGGGGGCGCGCCCUACCCCCCUGGGCGCGCCCCAUGCCUCGUGGGCCCCCUGGCAGGCCUUCGGUGCCCAUCUUCUGCUAUAUGAAGCCUUUUACCCUGGAAAAAAUCAUAAGUAAGCUUUCGGGAAGAAACACCGCCGCCACGAGGCGGAACCAAUCUAGGGCUCCGGCAGAGCUGUUCUGCCGGGGAAACUUCCCUCCGGGAGGGGGAAAUCAUCGCCAUCGUCAUCAUCAACGAUCCUCUCAUCGGGAGGGGGUCAAUCUCCAUCAACAUCUUCACCAGCACCAUCUCCUCUCAAACCCUAGUUCAUCUCUUGUAUCCAAUCUUUGUCCCAAAGCCUCAGAUUGGUACCUGUGGGUUGCUAGUAGAGUGUUGAUUACUCCUUGUAGUUGAUGCUAGUUGGUUUAUUUGGUGGAAGAUCAUAUGUUCAGAUCCUUUAUGCAUAUUAAUACCCCUCUGAUUAUGAACAUGAAUAUGAUUUGUGAGUAGUUACGUUUGUUCCUGAGGACAUGGGAGAAGUCUUGCUAUAAGUAGUCAUGUGAAUUUGGUAUUCGUUCGAUAUUUUGAUGAGAUGUAUGUUGUAUCAACUCUAGUGGUGUUAUGUGAACAUCGACUACAGGACACUUCACCAUUAUUUGGGCCUAGAGGAAGGUAUUGGGAAGUAAUAAAUAGAUGAUGGGUUGCUAGAGUGACAGAAGCUUAAACCCUAGUUUAUGCGUUGCUUCGUAAGGGGCUGAUUUGGAUCCAUAUGUUUCAUGCUAUGGUUAGGUUUACCUUAAUACUUCUUUUGUAGUUGUGGAUGCUUGCAAUAGGAGUUAAUCAUAAGUGGGAUGCUUAUCCAAGUAAGGACAGCACCCAAGCACCGGUCCACCCAGAUACCAAAUUAUCAAAGUAACGAAUGCGAAUCAUAUGAGCGUGAUGAAAACUAGCUUGACGAUAAUUCCCAUGUGUCCAUGGGAGCGCUUUUCUCUAUAUUAGAGUUUGUCCAGGCUUGUCCUUUGCUACAAAAAGGAUUGGGCCAUCUUGUUGCACCUUGUCUAUUUUCAUUACUUGUCGCUCGUUACAAAUUACCUUAUCACAAAACUAUCUGUUAUUGAUAAUUUCAGUGCUUGCAGAGAAUACCUUGCUGAAAACCGCUUAUCAUUUCCUUCUGCUCCUCGUUGGGUUCGACACUCUUACUUAUCGAAAGGACUACGAUAGAUCCCCUAUACUUGUGGGUCAUCAUUAAGAAACUAGGCUUCCUCGUCUUUUUAUCAGGAUCAUGUGUUACUAACUCGUAGACUCAUAGGAUUGAUGGUUUCAAGCCUCAAUUCAGUUCCUACUACUUCUGUGUGUUCAUAGAUGGCCUUAGAACCUUGAUAUUGCGAUGUUAAGUGGUUAUGCCACCAUUUUGGAGGAUGUCCCAAAUAUUUUGAGCAUUUACAGCCAUUAUGCUAUCCGAGUCAUCCCUGGUUUCCAAAUAGUCUGAUGCAUUUGCAAAUCCCUUCUUCCGUUCCCGAUGUUCCUCUGGGUCAGAUUAACCACACUAACUAGUGUGUUGAGGUACUUCAUUGCCUCGGUGUAUAUGUUGGAGCUAUUAUUAUGACCCUACGUGUCUUAGAGAAUCACCUAGUAAUCUAGCCAUGUUUUGUGUUCCCAGUGUGAUGAUUCUGGCCGUCAUUCUCGAAAGCAUCCCAUGAUGCCAUUUAGUUAGUAGGCAUUCUAUUCCUGGGUUCUUGAACCUGAGAUUCACCCUACUUAAUUCAUGUUGAUAGUGUUGGCUAGCUCCUUUAGGAUAUUAGUAACCUUUUUGAUAGUCCUCGAGGUCCGUGGCAUAUCGUUCUCCCAAUACCAUGAACCAAUAUGGCAGAAGUUCUUUUGAACCAAAAGAUCGCAACCAGAGCGCUCUUGAUGAGUUCUCCAUUAUAUUUGUGACUUCCAAUCCUACUUUUCUGCAUGGGUUAUCCCGGAAUAAAUGUUGAGCUUUGCUCGACAUACUAAUCUAUGCAUCCACAACAUAGAAAGCUAUAUGUUCCUUCGAGAUGUCCCUUCCUAACUGUAUUCCAUCCUUAGUCUAUCAAGUGAUAGUCAAGAGUAGUCACACAUUCGUGUCAUCGAUGCCUGUUAUUCUUAUAGCAUGUCAAGCCAUUCUAUUUCAUGACUAACUAGGAGAAACAAACUCCAGUACCUCAUCCAUAUCUUGGAUUGGGUCAAAGUAGUUGUAUUCCAUAGAUCAAAUUGCCAAUCCAGCGUCUGUUCUGUUCUACCUUGGAGUGUUGCCCUCUUUAUGUCAGGAAUGUCAUGAGAAUUGCACCAACUCUUAUGAAAUUCUCGAUUUAGUGGCACUCUUCGCCAUCAUUGUUCAUUCCUUGGUCCCUGUGCUCUUGCAACCGGGAUACCAACAAUUGAAAUGUGAUGUGUGAAAUCAAUACUCCUAGCAACCCCGUUGCUUGGUAGCUAAUGGACAAUAAUCUCAUUCUUAGUGUAUUGGUUAUUGAAUCAUCAUCCUAAGAUUGAUCGUGCGACCUAGUCCAUUUUCCUGGUGCACACUUCGAUCAAUGAGUUAGGAUUUUGUAAAUCCCAUGCUUAUUUGAUCACAUCAUUGCCUCGAAAGCAAGAUUAUUCUCGAGCUUAAUAACAUAGCGGUGGUCCGUGAUUUUCUGAAUAACAAAACGGAUCUACUCAAACAUCAUAGGAUAGCCAUACAUCAUUGGGAAAUAAUAUAUAGCGUUGAGCACCAUGUUUAAGUAGAGAUUAUAGCGCGUAAAAGAGGGGUUACACCGCUGCAUAGAGGGGGGGAGAGUUGGUGAUGACGGCGGUGAAGUUGGUGUAGAUUGCAGUGACGAUGAUGGCCCCGGCGGCGUUCUAGCGCUACGGGAGAGAGGUGGAGAGAGCCCCCCUUCUUCUUCUUCUUCUUCUUCCUUGACCUUCCCCCUAGAUGGAAGGGUUUCCCCUCUGGUCCAUGGCCUCCAUGGUGGCGGAGGGGCGAGAGCCCAUCCGAGAUUGGAUCUCUCUCUGUGUUUCCUUCUGUUUCUCCGCUCCCUGAUUCUGACCUUUCACCGUUUCUUAAAUUCCCGGACAUCCGUAACUCUGAUUCGGCUGAAAUUUGGACAUGAUUUUUAUCCAGAUAUUGGCUUUCUUGCGGCGAAAGAAGGGAACCAACCACCUUACGGAGUGGCCAUGAGGGCCCAGGGCGCGCCCUACCCCUUGGGGCGCGCCCCUCACCCUUGUGGGCCCCUCGGGCAUCGUCUCACGUUGAUUCCACUUCCCAAAUUUCACGUAUAUUCCAAAAAAAUCUUCGUAAGUUUUUAUCCCGUUUGGACUCCGUUUGAUAUGGAUUUUCUACGAAACAAAAAACAUGCAACAAACAGGAACUCGCACUGGGCAAUGGAUCAAUAUGUUAGUCCCAAAAAUAUAAUAAAAUGUUUCCAAAAGUAUGUAAAAGUUGUAGAAUAUUGGCAUGGAACAAUAAAAAGUUAUAGAUACGACGGAGACGUAUCACCGCUCAAAAUCACGUCGUGACAAAGACAGCAAUACCGGCACCAGAGACAAUAAUACUCCGGAGAAUGCCGAAGACCCUGUCGAGCCAACAUCCGAACAGGAUGAUUGGGAGGAUGGGCAAGUUAACCCUGACGGUCCUGCCGGGAACGAGGGCUCGGAGGACAGUAACUACCUACCGAUCUCCGAAGAGGAUGUGAGCCUCGGCGACGAAGAUUUCAUCGUGCCGGAGGAACCCCUCGAACAAGAGCGCUUUAAGCGCCGGCUAAUCGCCACUGCAAGAAGCCUGAAAAAGAAGCAGCAGCAGCUUCAAGCUGAUCAGGAUUUACUCAAUGACAGAUGGACUAAUGUUUUGGCAGCAGAGGAAUAUGGCCUCUAACGCCCAACUAAGAGUUACCCGAAGCGCAAGCUACUACCACAAUUUGACGACGAAGCCCUGGAGCCCAUACUGCCAAUGCAUGAUGCUGCUGACAGACCUAACUGACCACCACGUGGUGAGGACAGAGCGACAACUCAAGCCGAACACCAGCCCACACCACCUCGCCGUAGAGGCAGAGAAACAGCGGCUCCAGGAUACACCUAUGACCUACGACAGGACCUGGACAAUAGAGCCGGUCAGACCAGAUCAAUCUACGGAUCAAGGGGGCGUGCCCCAGCGCGAGAAGACAGCCAUCAGGCCUGGCACGACAAGCACAACCUCGCCCGGGCAGAAAACCGCAUACGGGCUUCAUCCGAACUACGUCGUGACGUUGCCCGAUACAGAGGCGUUGCACACCCCCUAUGCUUCACUGAUGCGGUGAUGGAGCACCAGUUCCCAGAAGGGUUUAAACUCGUUAACAUUGAAUCAUAUGAUGGUACGACGGAUCCCGCAGUCUGGAUCAAAGAUUUUCUUCUCCACAUUCACAUGGCUCGCGGCGACGAUCUACAUGCAUCAAAUAUCUCCCCCUAAAACUUAAGGGACCAGCACGGCACUGGUUAAACAGCCUUCCAGAAAACUCUAUCGGCAGCUGGGAAGAUUUGGAAGAUGCCUUUAGGGACAUCUUCCAAGGUACCUAUGUACGACCCCCAGACACCGAUGACCUCAGUCACAUAGUCCAGCAACCCGGAGAGUCGGCCCGGAAACUCUGGACCAGGUUCUUAAUUAAAUAGAACCAAAUUGUAGAUUGUCUGGACGCCGAAGCCCUCGCGAUCUUUAAACACAACGUCUGCGAUGAAUGGCUUGCCAGACACCUCGGCCAAGAAAAGCCGAAGUCCAUGGCAGCCCUUACCGCACUCAUGACCCGCUUUUGCGCGAGAGAAGACAACUGGCUAGCCCGUAGAAGCAAUAGCACCAGCGACCCCGGCACCUCCGAAGCCAGGGACGGCAAUGGCAAGCCACGACGCAACAAGCACAAGUAUCGAAUCAAUAAUGACGGUACCGAAGACACGGCGGUCAACGCCAGAUUCAGUGGCCCUAAAUCCGGCCAAUGGAAGAAGCCAUUCAAAGGAAACAGAGAUGGUCCAUCUAGUUUGGACAGAAUACUCGAUCGGCCUUGCCAGAUUCACGGCACCCCCGAUAAGCCUACCAAUCAUACCAAUAGAAACUGUUGGAUUUUGAAACAGACCGGCAAACUCAACGCCGAACACAAGUGGAAAGGGCCGCCUAGCGAGGACGACGAUGAAGAGCCUCGUCAACCGAGCACAGGGGGACAGAAGAAAUUUCCCCCCAAGGUAAAAAUGGUGAAUAUGAUAUAUGUCACACAAAUCCCUAAGUGGGAGCGCAAGUGUGCAUUACGGGACGUUUACGCCAUAGAGCCGGUCGCCCCAAAAUUCAACCCAUGGUCGGCUUGUCCGAUCACCUUCGAUCAAAAGGACCACCCAACAAGUAUCCAUCAUGGAGGUUUGGCAGCUCUGGUCCUCGAUCCAAUCAUCGACAGAUUCCACCUUACGCGAGUCCUUAUGGACGGCGGCAGCAGUCUCAACCUGCUUUACCAGGACACUGUCCGCAAAAUGGGCAAUGAUGCGUCAAGAAUCAAGCACACUAAAACUACCUUUAAAGGAGUAAUACCUGAUGUAGAGGCCCGCUGCACGGGCUAAAUAACAUUGGAAGUCGUCUUCGGUUCGCCAGACAACUUCCGAAGCGAAGACUUGAUCUUCGAUAUCGUCCCCUUCCGCGGCGGAUAUCACGCACUGCUCGGACGAACUGCUUUUUCCCGUUUUAAUGCGGUCCUGCACUACGCUUAUUUAUAGCUCAAGAUGCCCGGCCCACGUGGCGUCAUUACAAUCAAUGGAAACACAGAACGCUCCCUCCAUACUGAGGAGCAUACCGCGGCCAUCGCGGCCGAAGUACAGAGCGGCCCUGUCAAGCCGCAUACCUCAUCGGCCAUCAAGCCGCCAAACUUUAUUAAACAAGUCCGGUCAGUUCUGCAUGCUAACAGCUCGGUAAUUCCAGAGUUGGACUAGCAGUUUCGCCUCCGUCGAUCGCCACACACAUCCAUGAAAUUCGUACCGCGCGUGCAUAAUUAUGCACUCAAAAUACCUUGGGCAUCAGCGGAGGCACAAUACGGACAAGCCCAUAGUACAGUUCGACCCUAUAUGGCCUUCCCCUUUUCUUUAAUUAUUUUUUCUCUUUUACCACUGGUGAAUUAAAACCUAUUCAUCCUACGGACUUACAAGGACUCUUUUCGGGCCCGGUUUUGUAUAAAUAGCCGAAGACCAUUCCUCUCAAGGAAUCUCUCUCUCCAAGGCGAAAGCGGCGCAGACGUGCGGCAGGAGGUCCAAAGGAUUUUGUAGACCAAAACUUUAUUCAAGAACUUGUAUAGAGCUUUUUCUCUUCUUCUUAGACCCCCGGCAUGUAAAAUGGCCUUGGUGAUUAUGGUGCCCUCUGUAAGAUCACGUUUUGACAUAUCAAUCAGAUUCCAGUGAAAACAAUUUUUAUUCGGUAUUGCCUUUAUUCAUAGACUGUAUUCCGUCUCCUCAGUUGUCUCACUCACACACCUCGGCACAAAGUGAUAGGGGCUCUAUAUGGCCACACACGUGUUUCCAAACAAAAGCCCGAAUAGCUUUAUAGCAGAAUUCGGCGUCCCGAGCUUGGCAUUAUAUGCAUCGGCAUCGAAUCAUGUCUUUGGUCAAUAGUUGGGUUCCCCGGCUCCUGUGUUUGCUACCUGACGUUCCGUUUGUUCGGCCAGCGUAGUAAAGGGAGAACUACUGCGAUUGUGUUUCUGGUUCGUCUGGUCAAGCACCUCAGUAGAGAAAGCCGAAAACUGACUGUCGUGAUGCGGCGAGAGCUGGUCAGCCACUCGGCGACUUAUUAAAAUCUUUAGCGAUUGUUUCCGUAUUACAUGAAGGACUGUUUUUCCGGUCACAUACGUAACGCAUCCGCAUCCGGAUAGCCGUGUACAUACCAGGGACUAUCUUCUAGCCCCAUCGUCAAACUCCUAUGGCUAAGUGAGAGUGGUAAAGCCACAUAGUCCGAUUGCCUGGUUCGCCGCACUGACACCUCCUUCACGGACCAAGACGUUGGGUCAAGUGUGAUCAUGUGCUAUUCUGAACACCCCCAUAGUAUCUACGUGGGGGCCAAAGCCAACGACUGGAAAACUCUCAGGAAUACAAAAACGUCGCACAGGAGGGAAGAACUUUCAUACAAUGGCACAAAUCUAUCACAAAGCCUUAAUAUAUAAUGAAACCAUCCGGGCAGUUCGGGUACAUUCAUUCGAACAUAAUGUCCUUUGAGCAUUGACCCUCUCGAAAGCGGGCGCCCUCGAGGACGUCUUCUAAGUAGCGCUCCGGCGUGCGGUGGUCCUUGCCUCCGGGAGGGCCCUCAACUGCAAUAUCGGCGGCCUUCAUCUUCGCCUAGUGCAUCUUGACGCGGGCGAAGGCCAUCCGUGCACCUUCUAUGCACAUUGACCGCUUGAUUGCGUCGAUUCAGGGCACUGCAUUGACAUGUCGCCGCACCAGGCCGAAAUAGCUGCUCGGAAUGGGUUCGGCUGGCCAUAGCCGAACUAUGACGUCCUUCAUGGCCGCUCCGGACAUCUUAUGCAGCUCGGCCCACUGCGCCAUUUGGACGUUUAGCAGCGCCGAGCGCUCCUACACCGCGAGCUAUGACCAGAACAGCUUCUCCAUCGCAUGUCCCUCCUGAGCCUGGAAGAAUUGCGCGGCGUCGGCAGCACUCUUCGGAAGAUCCACAAAAGCGUCUGGAGAAAUCCAGAGUCGAUUAAGCAAGGCAUAUCUCUGAUCGCCAAACUUAGUCUGUAAAAGAAAGGGCUUACCAGCCGCUAUCUGUCCGGCCUGCCGGAUCUCCUCGCGAGCCGCUCUGGAUUCGGACCACGCGUCUUUGGCCUCCUGAAGGGCUUUGGCGAGUUUGGCUGCAUUGGCUUUAUCCUCCUUCUCGAAGGACUCGCACUUGCGGGCGGCAUCCUUGAGCUCUUGCUCUACUGCAGAUAUCUGCUCCUCGAACUGGCGCCGUGUGGCCUAUUCGGCCUUCAAAUCUGCAGCCGCCUUAUCAGCGGCGGCAUUGCUCACCCUGGCCUGCUCCUCGGCCCGGGCAAGUUCACCCGUGAGGGUCUCGACCUCGGCAGCGCCAUCUGCAAUUAUGCACAUAACAGCGUCUAAUUUUCAACCUAGUGUUUGCACAUUCAUAUAGGCACAAACGGUAUGUUCGAAACAUACCUUGCGCCUCGUCGAGCCGCUUGUUAAUGAGGAGAAUGUCCUCAUCGGCCAGCUUCAGUUUCUGCUUUAGUUCGGAAACCUCCGUGGCCUCGGCAGUUGCCGCUAAUAGUGAAGCCUGUUUUUUCAAUCAAAUAAGUAUGUUACUUCCUGCGGAUCUAUAGAUCCUCGGUUCGCCCUUCUUCAUGGGCUGACCAGAGUCUCAGGGGCUACUAUCUAUAUACAGGCGUAUUGUUCAUAUGGAAAGUGGCUAAAGAUAUUACAUCGCAUACCUCGAAGCCUAUUAGUAGGCUCGUGAAGGCUUCAUUCAGCCCACUUUUAGCGUACUGAAUCUUCUCAACCACCGUACCCAUCAAGGUACGGUGCUCCUCCAAUAUGGACACACUUUGCAGUACAUCCAUCAGAGUGUACAGCGCCUCCGGAUUCAUAGAGGUCGUCGUAGGAAUAGGCGCUCCCCCCUCCCUUGAAGGGGGCCGCUCACCCGACUCCGGAUCCGUCUCCGGAGCGGUAUUCGGUUGGGGGCCGAACAACCUAGGACCCCCAUCCCCGGUUUUCAAGGGGGUCGCGCCCCCCGUGUCCCCAGUGGUCGAGGUAUUACCCUCUAGCGCCGUAUUGGUGGUCCCCUGCACCUCUUGAUGAUCCGUAGAAAUCCUCUGGGAUGACACCUCGAUGUCAUACGCCCUAGGGGGCGAGGAAACUUGUGGAGGCGUCUCGCUCUCCAUCAUCUCUGGCAGCAAAUCCCCUGACGAGGAGGAUUGUUGAGAGAGAUCGCGGGCAUGACUGAAACACAUGAUUUAAUAUUAUUCCCACAAUUCGUAAAGGAGUGGAUGUAUGUAAAGCAUCCUCAGGUACUUACGAUUCGGCAAGGGGCUUGGUCCGGGGGCGGGGCUUGGGCAUAUCCUCGGCGUUCGAAUCCGAGUCAUCUGAAAGGGAUAACUUUCCCCUCUUGGGUGCCCUCGCCUCCGAGUCUGCGGAGGCCGCCCUCUUUUUCCCUUUGAGAGGAGGGUUAUCUUCUUCCUCCUCCUCCUCCUCGUCCUUGUUUUCAUCUCCCUCGUGAGAGGAGGGAGCCUCGGUCCCUCCGAACAUAGCGUCCGAGGUGCCUUCGUGGUGGAGGCCACUUUCUUCCUCCUUGUUCUUCUUCUUCUUGUCCUUCUUUACAGGCACUUGGUAUGGCGCCGGGACCAGCAUCCUCAUUAGGAGAGGAUCGGCUAAGUCUUUGGGAAGGGGGGCCGGACACCUGAUCCGCUCCGCCUUAUUUGUCUAGACCUGUUUAAAGGGUGGAAUUGUUAGUGUAUCCCCUGGGAUUAACGAACCAAGCUAUAGGCGGAAGCUUAGCCCUUACCGGGAGGGAUGGUUGCAGUCAAGGCCAAUGUCUUCGGACGUCUCCGGCCAUGACUUUUGAGAUUUAAAAAGAGCAAUUUCCAGAUCUCUUUGUGCGUCAUGUCGAAGAAUCGUUGCAGAGUUCGCGGUCCUUCCGGAUUAAACUCCCACAAAUGGAGAGGCCAUCGCUGGCAGGGAAGAGUUCGGCGGAUGAGCAUCACCCGAACCACGUCAGUGAGGCAGGUGUUCUUCUCUAUGAUACUUUUGAUGCACUUUUGCAGCAUCAGCACCUCAUCGGUUGAUCCCCAGUCUGGACCCUUGUUGGUCCAUGACGCGAGUCGUAGAGGGGGUCCGGAUCUGAAUGCAGGAGUGGCCGCCCACUUGGUACCACGGGGUUCGGUGAUAUAGAACCACUCCUGCUACUAUGUCUUGAUGGUGUCCACAAAGGCCCCUUUAGGCUAGAUAGCAUGAGGAAGCUUGCUCACCAUGGCCCCGCCGCAAUCCGCGUGCUCCCCGUCGACCACCUUCGGCUUCACGUUGAAGACCUUGAGCCAUUGGCUGAAGUGUGGGGGGAUGCGAAGAAAUGCCUCGCACAUGACGAUGAACGCCGAGAUGUGGAGGAAGGAGUUCAGGGCUAGAUUGUGAAAAUCUGACCCAUAAUAGAACAUGAGGCCAUGAGCAAAGGGGUGAAGGGGAAACCCUAACCCACGAAGGAAGUGAGGGAUGAACAUGACCCUCUCGCCAGGCUCUGGAGUAGGGAUGACUUGCCCCUUAGCCGGGAGCCUGUGUCGAUUUCCACGGUUAAGUACCUCGCCUCCCGGAGUCCCUGGAUAUCCUUCUUCAUCACGGAAUAGGCCACCCACUUGCCCUAAGAGCCGGAUCCGGACAUGGUCGGAGAACGUGGUGGCAAUGGAGAAAGAUUGAGACUUGGGCGCUGGAGCUCAAAGAUGGGAGGACUAAGGAGGGAGAAGGCGUGGGGUAAAAGACGGGUCCUUAUCCCUUUAUAAAGGCGACGAAUAUCAAGCGACCUCGCGCAAGCCUUAAAAUUUUCCUAUUCCCAAGGGGUCGGGUGGAUGGCAUGGUUGGAUUACCCAAGCCCUCAUUGAUGAAAAUCCCGCAAUAAGGGGACACGAUCUCUGCCUUGACAAGACGUGUCACUGGAAGUUGCGUCUCGAAACACGAAACGGGAGGUUGAAAACGAUUCUAAAUAAUGAAGUGGCCAGACAUAAUGUCUCACCGAAAAAGCUGUCAGAAGACAUGACCCAUUUUUGUUUAAGUAUUUUGCCCUUGUGAUUCAGGGUUGUGACUAUUGUACAGAGCCGGAUAUAGUUCUUUUGGUCAAACUACUUUGAAGUGUUUGGAGGAGGAACCCGCCUUGUAAUGCCGAAGACGAUCUGCGCGCCGGACACAUCAUCAUUGAAGCCUGGUUCAGGGGCUACUGAGGGAGUCAUGGAUUAUGGGGUCCUCGGGUCUUCGGGCUAUGUGACAUGGGCCAGACUGGUGGGCCGUGAAGAUACAGAAUAGAAGGCUUCCCCCUGAGUCCAGAUGGGACUCUCCUUGACGUGGAAGGCAAGCUUGGCGUUCGGAUAUGAAGAUUCCUUUCUCUGUAAACCGACUCUGUACAACCCUAGCCCCCUCCGGUGUCUAUAUAAAGCGGGGGGUUUAGUCCUUAGAGCCAAUCAUAAUCAUACAGGCUAGACAUCUAGGGUUUAGCCAUUACGAUCUCGGGGUAGAUCAACUCCUAUAACCCCUAUACUCAUCAAAGUCAAUCAAGCAGGAAGUAGGGUAUUACCUCCAUUAAGACCGAACCUGGGUAAACAAUGUGUCCCCUGCAUCGUGUUACCUUUGAUCCUUAGACGCAUAGUUCGGGACCCCCUACUCGAGAUCUGCCGGUUUUGACACCGACAACGACUUGGUCCUCUUUUUUUCUUCCAAACAAAUCUCACUUCGUACAUACAACCCUACCUCGCGCUUUGGCCUGACACUAGUGGAGAAAAGCCUAGCUAUGGCAUGCCAAAAAUAGCCUUGGUGGCGUGGACACCCGACUCCACCAAUAUGGCGCCAGUGUUAAAAAUUAGCGCUGGCGUUGGCACCUACGACAUCAGUAUUUUGGACGGUAAUGGCGUGGCCUGUUUUCCACGCCAGCAAUAUUAGUCAUCAAUUAUGACGUUCCAUGUUUUACCGAUGCUAGUAUUUUGAUUUUCAAAUUUGAAAUAAAAGCUCUACAUCAGCGAUUUCAUCCACAAUGAUAGCAUAAUCUAGUUUCAGAAUAGUCACUAAAUCAACUAUAUAUAAAUAGUCCCAAUGACAGCAUUUAAGUUCAACAAUGCACUUGUUGAUAUAGUUCAACAAAGUAGGCAAAGUAGCAUACAUAUGAAUGUACAAGUUCAAAUAAAUAGAGGUGAUAAUAACAUGAUUUAUAUCUUCCAUGCAAGCCAACUAGAUUACUAUGACUUUUCGGCAGGCGGAGUCAGGGUCAUAGUCCGGAGUAAGUGCACCAUCAUCGUUGUCAGCAGGCUUGUAGUAGACCAUGAUCUCGUCACGAUCGUAGUUGAGGUAGAACAUGGCUCUCUCCCCAACUUCCAUCUCGUAAGCAUCUGCAAGGGCUUUCCAACCAGGGCAACCGAAGUAGGUGUGGUUUGCAUCAUUGGUGACAAGACAAUUGAAUUUUUGGGUCGUCAGCAUCUUCAUGAGGGUGCACUGAAAUGUGAUGGUGGCAUCAACUGGAACUUUAAAGUUCUCUAAGAAGUCACGCCUUGCCCCGCAAGAUGACCUGAGCAAAAUUGAAAGAAAGAAAGAUGUAACUAGCUAGUUACACAAUUGUCUUGUCAUGCAUGAAACUCAAUCAAAACAUGUUCAAACUAAAACAUACCGUCCUAGUGAGGAAGUCAUUCGGCAGAUCUAUGAAGAACUUCUUAUCACUUUGGCAUCUCACCAAACCACAGGUCUCACAUGGGGCAUCCAUUUACUGCUUCAUGCAUGAAGUUGAGAAAAAUAAGCAUACAUAAGAUGCACAUAAAUAUAAUGCAACAUAAUAAGCAGUUAGUACGAACUAGCGCUAUCCGCCCACUAGUUAUUAACACAUACGUACGUACUUGUAAUAAAACAGUUCUACAAACCAUGUGUAGUUCAAACAUAAAACAUGCAUAAAGUUAAACUGUUCAUAUGAAAUAGGUAGCGCGCUAAGCUACUGGCCAGAGGGACCGGCCUCAUGGUCGUGCCUAGUCGACCUACGACGACACCCCUGCUGACCCUCCUCCUCACGCUCCAAGGCAUCCCAGUCCAUGGGAUCCUCCUCUGCGCUCUUCCUGGCUGCAUACUGAAGUAACAUCAUCUUGUUGGCCUCCACGAGUUUGUCAUCUCUCGCAAGCUCGCUCACCAAUGGGUCGAAGAACUGCAUCUCGGCCUCUUUACUCUCCUUCUCCUCAACCCUAGUGCAUAUCCUCAUGUCCUCGGGCGCGAGGAACAGCGCGAACUCACGUCACUCAGGGAAGUUCAGAUUCCCCCUUCCUGAAAGAACUCUACUGCCACGGCAUCAUAAGCGCGCGCCGCUAACUCCGGGGUGUCCCAACGGCCAAGUUCAUGGACGACAUUGUCCUUCCUAAUGGUGGCAUAGUACUUAUUUCCCUUGUGUCGCACACCACGAAACUUCAAGGCCAUCUGUGAUGAUGCAUAUACAUAUAUAACUAAACAAGUUAGUAAAAAUGGGCAUAUUAAUGAGAAAUACAAUAGUCUACAACUACACACUAUACAUUAUUUCACCACAAGUACACUACUAGAAAUACAAUAAAAUUACACUAUCUAAAAUCAUAGUCUACAAGUACACUACAUUAUUUCACCACAAGUACACUACUAGAAAUUUAAUAAAAUUACACUAUCUAAAAUCAUAGUCUACAACUACACUACAAUAUUUCACCACAAGUACACUACUAGAAAUUUAAUAAAAUUACACUACCUAAAAUCAUAGUCUACAACUACACUAAAAUUUUACACUACUCGUAUACACAAAAUUCUAUUUUUUUUCUACACUACUAUUACACUACACUAAGUAGAACUCACCCGUGGCGGCGGUAGACAGCGAGGAGGCAUUGCGGGCGACGGGGCCGGGGGCUGUGGCAGGGGUGGAUGCGGAGGCGACGGCGGCAGGGACGGAGGCGGUGGCCGGGGUGGAUGCGGAGGCGACGACGACGGGGGCGGGGACUUCGACGGUGGAGGCGGGGGCGACGGCGACGGGGGCUUCGGCGAUGGAGGCGGAGGCGACGGGGACUUCCGCGGUGGAGGCGAAGGCGGUGGAAGCAGCGGAGGCGAGGGCGACCGGGGACGGGCGGCGAUUUAAUGGGGAUCGCGGGUUGUGGGUUGGGGGGCUUAAUUUAAUCAAUAUCUCCUGCGGGGGGUGGCGGGGUAAUUGCUGGCGUUGGCCUACGCGGCCAACACCAUUGCUAUCUUAUUGUUUAGUUUAUUAAUAUAGAUGUUUAGUCUAUUGUUUUAUUGUUUUAUUUUCCUAUUGUUUAUUAUACUGUUAUUUUUACUAAUUAUUUUAUUUUCCUAUUGUUUAUUAUUUUAUUGUUUUAUUUUCCAACAUCGAUCGAUCUCAUUAAUCUAGCAUAGAUACAUAAUAGUUGAAGGAUUAAAAUAAUAACACAUAUAUAUAACUUUCUAGUACUACACACUCUUGAUCUAGACUAAGAACAUCAUCAGUGUAAUGAUUCCCAUGAGAAAAAAAGCUGGCACCGAUCCAGCAGGGAGAACGAGGCCAAGCAUAACACCACCUAAAAGGGAAUACUGAAGCAUCUAGAAUUUUUGGAUUUGGCCGCGCAUCACAUUAGUCUUCAGCUGUAUCUCAUCUAUCUAUUGUCUUAGUUCACCAAUGGAGUACUAGAACAACUCGCUCACGUACUUCUGCACGAGAUCAACCCAUAUCCAUGUGUAGCAAUAUUUUGUCCCUAACACCUAUGGAUCACAAUACACACACACAUAUAUUAAUGAUCACGAAUUGUGCAAAUUAGCAGAAUAUCGAGGUAUUUUCUGUCAUAUUACGUACCUUUCCACGGUUACUGCAGUUGUAGAACUCUCGCUCUGUAUUACUUUGUGUGUGCGACAUAUGCUUAUCAGCAGGUCGUCCACAACCGCAAAAAAGCAACACAGGUGCCCUCGCUCGAUUCCUGGCAGCUUCGGCGCCGGUGGCAUAGCUGCCAAAUCAUCGAAGGGACGUCCCGCUGCAGCGGGAUGGUUCGCCAGACAGGGCUGGCUGCAUUGGCCGUGGAGAGCGCAUGUCGUGGCCAACCGGGCGAGAUGAGAGCUCAGCCAAGGCGGCGGAGUCCCAAACUUGUGAGCCACGCUGUCGUGGGCUCGAACUGGCGGCUCCUGCCGAUUCAGCAAGCUCCGGUGGGUCCAUUGUUACCAAAGCAGCUGACUAAGAGGGAGUAGAAUUUUGUGGAGAAUGGAAGUGAAUGUGAUAAGAAGGGCCAACACAUCUAUAUAUAGGCACAACUUAGUGUUGGCGUUCCGGGCAAAGACACGACACCACAAUGUAAAGUAUCUAGGGCGUGUUUAUAAAUCAAACGACAACAAUAUGCUGCAACUGGUCACGAUAACUGGGCCCACAUAGUAGUGGCGCAAGAUGUAUUGCCAGCAUCAGCAAUAGCACUUUAUAGCUGGUGUACCAAUUUGGCAUACGCCAGCACUAUUUGAAAAAAGUAGUGCUGGUGUUGAUGAGAAAUGGCGCGCCACAAACGGAACUUGUGGCUAGCCGUUUUUCCACUAGUGUCGUGCGGCUAGCCCCACCUGGACCAGCUUGCCAGAUGGGUUGCUUGCCCGGACCGCUGCUCUACAGCGCCAGCCAAACAUGGGCGUUGCCCGCCUUGCACCAGCGCCCUGUCUGACCUCCGCGUGGCCUGCCACGCUACGCGCGCCAUCCGUCUGUACUGGGUUUGCCGCCGGAAUUCCCUAUUGGACACACGUUGCGUCAAAGUGUCGACUUUUCGCACAGAGACCUGGUGUUCGAGCGAUGACUUGGGCCGGCCCAUUAAAGCGUUGCAGCGAUUCCAGUCUUGGGAACCUUCUAGAGUUUCCCAGCCGCUUUUUCUGGUUUUGGAAACCUUCUAGAAGGUUCUCCGAACCGUUUUUUUGUUUCUUUUUUAUUUUUAUUUUUUCUUUUUAGUUUUUCUGUUUAUUCUUCUUUCUUUUCUUUUCCUUUUGUUGUUUCUUUCUUGUUUUUGUUUUUUUAAUUUCCUCCAUUUUUUUUUCUUUUUCUUUUUCAAGUUGAUAUUUGUUUUUAUAAUUUAUUUAUUUUAGAUUUUGAAAAAUGUUCACCUUUUAAAAUAUGUUCACAAAUUCAAAAAAUGUACAUAACUUUCAAAAAAUGUUCAUGUAUUUCAAAAUUUGUUCAGAAAUUAACAAAACGUUCAUAUUUCAAAAAAAAAACUCCUGGAACUGCAAAAAAUGUUUGCGGUUGCAAAAUUUGCUCCAAAAUUUCAAAUAUGUUCGUGUUUGAAAACUUGUUCAGGAAUUUUUUUAAAUGUUCGUCGUUUCAAUUUUUUUAGAUAUUUCAUGAAGUUGAAAAAAUGUACAGGACUUUUGAAAAAUGUUCAUGUAUUCCAAAAUUUAUUCACAAAUUUAGAAAAUGAUCAUAUUUCAAAAAAACUUCUGGAAUUGCAAAAAAUUGUUUGCGGUUGCAAAAUUUGGUCUGAAAUUUUAAAAAUGUGCGCGUUUGAAAACUUGUUCAGGAAUUUUUGAAAAUGUUCGUGGUUUCAAUUUUUUGUUAGAUAUUCCAUGAAGUUCCAUUUUCAACUUUUUGUUCAAAAAUUCAAAAAGUGUUCAAGAUUUCCAUUUUUUGUAAUUUCAUGAAAUGUUCCAUUUUUUAAAUCUUUGUUUAAAAAUUGAAGAAAAAAUGCGUUUAAAAUUUUGUUUGGAAUUUCACAAUUUGUUCGUUACUUCAAAGAAUGGUUCACGUUUUUCAAAAACAUUUCCCGUGAUUUCGAAUUUUUUGUUCGCAUAUGCAAAAAAAUGUUCCCGUCUACGAAAAUUGGUUCAGAAAUUCAAAAAAUGUUUGCACUUUUUCAAAAUAUACACCUUCAGAAAAAAAUGUGCACUUUUUUUAAGAUGUUCCCCUCUACAGUAACUAAUUCUGAUUCAAUACAGUAGACAUGUUCGGUUGUACGGGUGUGCUAAGUUAUUUUAGAUGCGCGAUGUUUUACUGCAAGCAAUGCUUGUCAGUUGGAGUGGCUGGGAGCACGCGUUCGUAAGUCGUUGGUCGCUGGUUCGAGCCCUGCCAUCGCGCAUGCCUUUCCUUUUGCUUUCUUUUCCUUACAACGGUACAGCGCAAUGGGCCGGCCUAGUCAGCCUACUUCCUUGUGCGUGGCAACGCCAGUUUUGACGCAAAAGCGUCCAAUAGGUGCUCCCUUUGCCGCCGCCCGUACGCUACCGAUCCGAUCUCGACGGAAGUCGAACGUAUUGAGGAUUUCCGCUGUACGUUGCACUGACGACGUCAGAUCACUACCGUCCGCUGCGACCAUGUUGACAAUAAUCAUGACAUCCAAUCUCCUCCUCUGGGCGAACGCCUCACACCUAGCUUUAAUACCACGUUUUAUAAUAAAACCGAGACAUUACCAAGGACCAAGCAAUCACACCAACACGACAUCGAGAUUUGUUAACGAGUUUCAGCGAUAUGGCUAUAUCCCGGGGCCUGACUAUAGGCGCUCCUCCCCGUGACACCGACACAAUACCGUACACCGGACGCCAGCACACGCCGCCAGCUCCCCCUGUUUGGUUCAGUUCGGUUCUCUCCGCGUCUGCAUGUGCAUGCUUUCUCCCUCUGACGAUGAUUGGCUCCGUGAGUGUGUGUGUCGACAUGCAGGGGUGGAGGGCGUGGCCGUGGAGGUGGACAAGGGACCCAUGACUAUCGUCGGCUGCUUCGACGCCAAGAAGCUUAGGGACCGCGUCGCCUCGAAGACCAGGAAGAAGGUCUAGCUCGUCGGCGGCAAAGACAACAAGGGUGGCGGUGGUGGGGACAAGAACAAGUGUGCCGACGGCGAGGGCAAGCAGGUGCCUGACAAGAAGGAGGAGGAGAAGGAGCAGGACGACCGGCAAUGUCGGGAAGGGGAAGGGCGGCAAGGACAACAAGAAGCCAGCCAUGUUUUGUCCUUGAAUCCUAUCUAUUCUCUUCAGUCGACUCGCAUCAUGUCCCGCUCCCAUCUGUUGCAGUGUUUUGCUGAUGAGAUUGCCCUGCUCGACUGAUCGUUCGAUUUGGUUCAUGGCAGCCGGUGAUCGUCACGGUGGUGCUCACCGCCGGCCUCCACUGCGUCGGCUGCAUGCACCACAUCCGCUGCAAGCUCUUCAAGAUCAAAGGUAUCCGCAGCUCCUCCUCCACUUGCCUCGUCCUGCAUGCACGCUAGGUUCUCGACUGAAUUCCCCGUUCGUGCGCAUUCACAUCGCCGAGCACGCAAACUCCACGGAGGGGGUCCGACCUGCUCCAGGGCGCGUUCGGCUCCCUCGUCUCGGCCACAGCUUCACCUGCCCGCUCGAGACCGGCUCCUCCUCCACGGCCGUUGCUGGGGCCGCGUGGUAGCGCCGUGCAGGCGGCCUUCGCCAACGCCUCUGUUCUCGUCACUCGCCGCGGGGGGCUCCCGAGCGUGCGACAUGGUGUCUGCUUGGUGCUCUGCUCCAGCUCGGGCGCGGGCGGGCUCCCAUAGAGCGACCUCGACCCCCACAGGCUCGCCGUUGGCAACUCACACGCGUGCGGGCUCCGCGGCGCGACCACACCGCAGUGUGCUAGAGCCGAGGACACCCUUUUAUUUGUCCCACUCCAGCAGCCAGCUGACAGGUGGGCCUUUGUGUGCAGGGAUUUUUUGCAAAAUGUGAUGCCACGUUGUGCACAGUCAUCGCCGCGUGGCGAUUGACCAGUCAACCAUAUGCCAGUCCACAAAAAACGUACACAAAAUCGUACAUGGGACCGUCCUUUAACAAGUUUAGCGACCAUAUUUCGGGUAUUUUGAUGUAUAUACAAGUACUAAAGUGGGUUCCAGCACAAGUUUAGGGAUCGCACGUGAAAUUUUCUCAUCCACAUUACGCUGAAGAAAAAGGCUAAUCCACUGCCUGAAAAUAAAACUAACUAGAAGAACGCCCGUGCGUUGCAACGGGGCCACAUUAACUUUAAAAGUUCAAUAUCAAUUAUGUUAAUAUUACAUUUAAUAUUCUCAUACAUAUUAAGUGACACUGACGACCUUUUUUACCAUUAAAUUCUCACACACACACCUUCUCCCUCCCUCUUCCUCACUCUCUCUCCCCCUCUCCCUCACUCGGGAGGUGGGACGAAAAUAAACCCGGAACGGAGACUACCAACUGAGACAUUAGGAGUAGAGAUCAUUUAGUUGAUAAGAAUAAAUAGAAAAGGGUGUUAAAAAGGAGAAACAAAUUAGAAUAUAUUGAAAAACCAAAAGGACAAUGUAAAAGGGGAUUCGCCCUGCCCCCUGGCCUUGCCACCGAGCCGGCUCAGCGGUCCAGUCCCCGCGCGGUCGUCUUCUCCUGUUCCCCGAGCCGCGUCGCUACAGAGUCGGUAUCCCGCCCGACCACCUCGCUGGCAUCGAAGGGGAAUGGAUAAGGGUGACGCCCUUCCUUCCCUGCCCCCAUGGCCUCACUCCUCCUCGACGCCCCCUCCCAAAUCCACUUCUCCUCCUCGCUCGCUCAAUUCCGUCGAUCUGGACGAAGUCAGACGCCACGGCCACCAUGACCGACCCCGUCAACAUGGCCACUGCCCUCCCUGCGGGCUAGGAGCUUGUCGAGGAGCUCCGAGCGCCUUCGCUACUUCGUCUGCACCAACGAGAUCAAGUCCAGCACCCCCGCAUCGAUGUCGCUGCUGUCUUCCUCAACCUUGGGCCACCGCGACAUUGCCGUUCGAUCCGCGCCGCCCCAAGCUCCCAUGUCUUCCCCUAGGGCGCCAUUGACACCGCCAUGAUCUCCUCUUGCCUUUUCCCUAUUUCCCCUCUCGUUUGCUCUCGUUAGGUAUUUCGCCAUGGCCGAGAACCGCCGUCCGCCAUGGCCAUUGCAGGGGUAGCCACCGAGCUCCUCGGAUUGACCCCGUGGCACAUGCCCGCUCCUAUGCACGCCCAUGCCCGAGCCUGCCGCUCUUCUUCCAUGCCCGCGGGGCCACUCCCUCUCCAUGCCCACGGCCGUGCUACACCGCGUCGGUCGCGCCCGCCGCUGCCGUCGCGCUCGCCGCAGCCACCGCACCAUUGUGCCCCGCGCGACACACACCAUGGCCGCGCGACACACUCUCGCUGGCUGCGCUCCCCCCGUCUGCUGCCGCCUAUCCCUUCACUCGCCCUGCUGUCACGCCCCUGCCUCGCGCCGCCUCCAGUCGUGGCCAUCUUCUGCCGGCCGCCCCCUCCGCCACGUCGGCCGCAUCUCUGCCCUCCACUGUCGGCCGCUCGCCUCGCCUACUGCGUGUUGCUUCCUUGAAAGAACAUGCGGUGCCCCCAUGUUUGGUUUUGGUAAUUGAUGACAAUCUCUAUGGACUAAUGGUUGCCUUGAGUUAUAUUUGAAGGUUUUGUCCAUAGGCUUUUCUUGGAGUACAUUUGUUGGUUUCAAGGAGAGUUUGUGAUGACCAAGGUGCUAUUCAAGGAAUUACCUAAAGAUUGGUCUUGUGAGAGGUUGAUCAAGACUAAGUAAAAGAGUGAAUCAAGUUGAUCAACACACAAAGCGUAGAAGAUGUACCGAGAGGGAUCAAGCGAUCCCAUGGUAUGGUAAGCAUUGUCAAUUACACUUUGUGUACUAACCCAUGAUCUUCGUGAGAGUUCUUUGUGGGGUUAGGUUGCGGUGUGCAAGUUCAAGGAAGCAUCACGAAGAGAUCAAAUGCUUGAAGCUUGUCGUCCAUUGUGGUGACAAUGGACUUGUGAAGAUGUGCGGAAGAGUGGCUCACCCAUAGUGGAGUAUGGGGGAGCAAUCAACUAGUCUUCAUCGAGCCAACGCAAUCAAGAAAGGUGGUCCAACUUGAGGGAGUCAAGAUCGUCUUCAUCUAGCUCAAGUGGACCAUGUGCAAGGCAAAUGUUUGCCCUUGAUAGGUUUUCUAUUUUACCGGUCUCAUGAUGGUAGUUGGGAGACCGGGUUAUAGGAUCGAUUGCCGUACAAUCAAGGGGGACUCUCGAUGAGUAGCUUGAUCAUAUCAUUCGUAGAGAGCUUAAACCAUUGCAUCCUUGCAUCAUCUUUCUUGGUUCUUGUUUGCUUCUCUUUGUGAGUUUUGGAGCUUUUGGUCAUCUUGUUGACAAGCUCGAGUUCAUCGAAAACGGAGUUCACUUGCAUCUUCUAUGAUGUUUUCGAUGUUGGAGGUUAUGCCGGUUCUUCUCUGUUGGAGGUUUCACUCCUCUAUGUGUUAGGUUUCACUCCUCGCUGUUUUGAUGCCACUUGUUGUCUUGUAUCCAACAAGCUUGAGUUUGCUCAAUUCGGAGCUCAUUUGCAGAAGUUAUGGCAGUUCUGGUUUUAUUGGAUCCAUCUGUUGUCUUUAGCUGCGUUUUGAAGGCAUCCAAGUGCUAAAGCCUCUGUGGCGUGCGGUAGUACUGCUCAAGGGAGCGGCAGUACCGCAGGGGCCAGCAGUAGUACCGCUCCUGUGAGCGUAGUACCGCUGCCUCUAGCCCAGAACGCUGGCGCGCACGGAAGUAGGCGCAGAAGUAACUUUUUUACUUCCGCGUCCUACGCGGUAGUACCGCUCCUGGUGAGCGGUAGUACCGCUGCCUCGCAUCCUAUCGCUGAUUGCGUGCGGUAGUAGGCGCGGAUGUAAUUUUUUACAUCCGCCCCUGCGCAGUAGUACCGCUCCCUGUGAGCGGUAGUACCGUGCCGCCUUUUUCUCGUAGCUAGCUCCAGCGGUUGUAGGCGCGGCAGUUAUUUUUACUUCCAUGGUCGCGCGGUAGUUCCGCAAGGGCAGGCGGUAGUACUGCUCCUGCAGUAGUACCGCCCUGUUGCCCAUUUGCAGUGUUGUUUCAUUGGGCUUCUGCCGCCGUAGCGGUAGUACCGCUCGGUGCGGGCUGUGAGCAUAACGGUUGGAUUUUCCCCCUCCUAUAAAAGGGGGUCUUCUUCCCCAAUGAACCUUAUCCUUUGAGCUCAUGUUCUUCCCCCAUUGUUGACCUUCUUCGAGCUUGCUAACUCUCAAUCCCUCCAUGGAUUCUUGCUAGUUUUUGAGGGAAGAGAGAGAGGAGAUCUAGAUCCACAUUUCCACCAAUCACUUUCUCCUCUAUGUGAGGGGAACCCCUUGGAUCUAGAUCUUGGAGUUCUUGGUGUUCUCCUUCUUGUUCUUCCUCUCAUUUUCCUCCCUAGCAUUAGUUGCUUCGGUGGGAUUUGAGAGAGAAGGACUUGGGCACUUCGUGUGCCCUUGCCAUUGCAUUUGGUGCAACGGUUUGAGUUCUCCACGGUGAUACGUGGAAGUUACAAGUUGAGAAGCUUAUUACUCUUGGGGUGCUUGGUACCCUUGAGCUUGUUCCUCUUGGGUGCUUGGGCGCCCUAGACGGUUGGUGGUGUUCGGAGCUCAAUCAUUGUGGUGUAAAGCUCCGGGCAAGCGUCGGGGUCUCCAAUUAGGUUGUGGAGAUCGCCCCGAGCAAUUUGACGGGUUCCGGUGACCGCCCCCAAGAGUUGCCAAAGUGUACGGUUCGGUGACCGCCCCCAAGGGUUGCCAUUUGUACGGGUUCGGUGACCGCCCUCAAGGGUCCCUUAGUGGAAUGACGACAUCUUGCAUUGUGCGAGGGCGUGAGGAGAUUACGGUGGCCCUAGUGGCUUCUUGGGGAGCAUUGUGCCUCCACACUGCUCCAAACGGAGAUUAGCAUCCGCAAGGGUGUGAACUUUGGGAUACAUCGUCGUCUCCGUGUGCCUCGGUUAUCUCUUACCCGAGCCCUUUACUUAUGCACUUUACUUUGUGAUAGCCAUAUUGUUUCUUGUCAUAUAUCUUGCUAUCACCUAAGUAGUUUUUCUUGCUUAGCAUAAGUUGUUGGUGCACAUAGGUGAGCCUAGUAGGUUUUGUGCUUGACAAAUUAACCGCUAGGUUUAUUCCGCAUUUGUUCAAGCCUCAACCGUAAUUAUUUUAAAGCGCCUAUUCACCCCCCCUUUGGGCGACAUCCACGAUCUUUCAUUCCUGCUGCUAUGCGCUGCUCUACCGCUGGUACGCUGUUGUGCCAUGCCCUCGACACCGCCGUGGACAAAUGUGGCGGAGGGAUUGUUAAUGGAGUACGAGAAGGAGGUGGCGGAGAAGGUGUGGAGAGGCAGGAGGUCUGGGGCGGUGUCACCUGGCUGUGGUGGAGGUGUUUAUGCGAGAAGGAGCCGGAGUGGAAGGAGAGGUCACAAUUGGAAAGAAUCGCAAAAAAAAUUCAUAACCCGGAGAUCUCAGUUCAAAAAAAUGCUAAUAUCGAUGGAGGGGUGAUUUCCUUCAAUAUGUGGAAAACAUAGGAAAUAUUGGUUGUUAUCAAGCAAAGGUAAAAAUUUAGGAAAGUUAGGAUUUUUAAACUGAUUUCUAUGCAAAUGGGGUUUUAUUGUUUGAUAACGUGAUAUCAGUACCCGCCCAUUUGUGACGUGUCUGAUUAGGAAAGUUUGCAAAUGUAAGAAACUAUUUAUUGGGAGGGAAGUUGUGACGUGUCUGUUAUUUGUUUCCUCAAACAAAUUUCACUAAUAAGAGAAAUCGAUUGAUUUAGAUAAGUUAGGAAAGUUAGAUUAAAAUGUAUUAUUUGUUUUCUGAAAAUCUGUUAUUUGUUUCCUAAGACAAAUUGAACCAAUAAAAGGAAUCGAUUGAUUUGCAUAAUUUAUGGAAGUUAGAUUAAAAUGUAUUAUUUGUUUCCUGAAAAUCUGUUAUUUGUUUCCUAAGACAAAUUGAACCAAUAAAAGGAAUCGAUUGAUUUGCAUAAUUUAAGGAAGUUAGAUCCGUGAUUUGUUAUACGUUAGGAAAGUUCUGGUUGUAAUAAAGAGUGGAGAGAAAAAUAAAUUGAUGGACCAGGGUGAGAGGAGGUGGUGGGAGGAGAGACGAAAAAAACAAGCAAAAAUAAACCAUGGACCAGGGUGGGAGGGGGUGGUGGGAGGAGAGACGAAAAAAACCAGUGAAAAUAAACCGCGGAGACGAUUCACCAACUCGUCCAUUAGAAGUAGAGAUUUACAAUAGAAUAUACUACUCACCUUGGCGACAUAUUUUUAUAGAAGAAACAACUUGAGUCCGAGACUUGAACCUAGGUGGGCUCACUGCACACCCGCACAGCUUACUAACAGAGCGACAUUAUGUUUUCCAAACAUAGUUAUAAUAACUUGGAAAUUCAUCAGGGUUUCUCCGCACAUACAGAACUUGGAAAUUCAGCAGGGUUUCAACAACAUAACAAACUUGGUUCCAGCAGGAGUUCAAGAAAUAAAAAACCCUGGAGAUUCAGCAGACCACGACAGUACCAAAGGGAAUGCCACUAGUGAGCAUCUGACAGAUUACUGCUGCACACCAUUACAGCAGCAUACACACACAUACACAUAACAGAACGGAGGAGAGGCGAAAGCAUCGCUCCAGGCACAACUGAAGGCCGUCACUCAGUCAGUGGCGACCCAGCGGCUUGUUUCUGCGGCCUGAUCCAGUCGUGCAGCACCAAGGUGACCCUGCCGUGCUGCUUCAUGGAGGAGCCGUGCAGGAGGGGGGAGGCGCGCGCGAGGACGCUGUUGUAGUGGACGUACUCCUUCUGCCGGAACAUCUCCUGCUCGGGCAGCGUCAUCUCGUCCCACUCGGCGUGCAGCUUCUCCGACAGGCUCCAGUCGAUGUUGUACCUGGUGGUGCCGAAGCACGUCUGGCUCAGGACGCGCCUCGCCAGGGUCUGCAGGUCGGGCACGCGAGCCCCGUGCGUUGACCACCAUUGAACUGCAAUGGGGUGAGAAACGUGGUAAGAAGAUAGUAAUUCAUGUAGUAUGUUGUGAACUGAAGAAUGAAAUGGUGAUGAUCUCAGUGUGGGUAAGCUUGGGUUUGAAAGUUGAAGUGAAAACAGAAGAAAAGAAGGCUCCUGUACAGUUUAAGCAAACCAUAGACCCCAGUUUGCAACUUGCAACAUACUCCUAUUGCAGAGAAGUAAUCGUUCCACACAUUCAUCUGUUAACCUUUUAACUUCCAUGCUACUAUUAUUUAAACAACCAUGUUGAUAAGUUAGUCUAAUGCAGAGAAGUCGAACAUUCUACACAUGCCGAGUUUGAAUACAAGUGCAUUGUGACAUGAUAUGUUUGUGCCAUGUUCACAUACUAACUAAAUAUGUUUGGCGCACUGUAUGUUACAGUGCACAAAUGCGCAUAUCAGAUUACUUGGAGGGCCUCGUGACACUAUUCCAGCUCGCUCUAAAGAUUGAAUACAAGUACAUAUGACACACAAAGGCACUACUAUCAGUGGCUUGUUAGGGAGUGGGCAUUUUGCAAGAGGUUAGGGUGUAGCUUACCUUGUGGUAAUUCCAUGAUUUGCUGCAUUGCUGGAUCUGUGUCAAAAUAGCCCAACUUCUUCUCAUACACUUUCAAUUGUGCAGAUGCUUUUCUGGCAUUGUAAUGAGCCUUGCCCAGUUGGAUUGUACAGGCCGCGAUGCCGCUGCUGAUCUCAGUAUCAGGCUUGAAUCCAGCUGUGUAAAAGAUCCUUGGGUUUAGCAUCUGACCAGCAGCAUGGAGAGGACUAUGCAAGUAAUCAUCCCAUAUCCGAUCAAUCAUACACCAAUAAAAGUCACUUUCAUCUCCGAUAUUGAGAGAUAUCUCUUCUUUUGCUCUAUCCAUGGCUUCAUACAAGAUACCCAUCGGACAGAUAUCAUAUUCGAGUUUAUACAACACACCGACAAGUGGGUGUGUAACCUUGAUGACUUUUGCAGCAGCAUGCCAAAAUUCAUCGUCUGUCUUUACUAUGCUCUGGAUACGCUCGAACAAAUCAAGGCAAGCCCAACCAGAGGAAAUCCAUUUAGGCGAGUUUAACAUCUGCAACAGAUCUACUCUUGCAGAAACUAACCUCUCUAAUGUGACGAACAUUGCCACAAAUUUUAAAUAAGAACUGCUCAAAAUCUCCUCCUGAACAUACCUUCCUUUCAGUUUCAUUGGCAGUGCAUGGUCAUAUAAAAACCUUGUAAUUUCCCUUGCCUUCAUCAGGACUUCACUGACAUGCUCGAGCGCUGCUAUUUUCUCAAGCAGAAGGUUGAUGCAAUGGUCAGCACAUAGUGUGAAGAAAAAACUAUCAUAUUUAUUUAGCACAUACUGCCGUGCCAUCUGCAUAUGGGGUGACACGUCAUUCAUGACAAUCUGAACAAUGUUAUGAGCACCAACAUCUUCAACCACGCGAGAAAGCAUUGAUUCUAGCUCAUCAAAGUCCUCAGUGAUUUCAGAGACGUCAAUGGAUCUCAGGAACAGCGUACCUUUGCUGCAGUGCACCAGGACACUUACGAAGCUUUUGGUACACUUGCUCUUGCAACUAUGCACAAUUACAGUGCAGCCACUUGUUUGCCACUCUUGCUUGAGUUCCUUUGCGCGGUUCUCAGUUUCUCUUAGUUGCUCCUGCAGAACAGCUUCGUACGUAGGCAUUACAGCCCCAGGCCCAUGGGAAAACACAACCAUCUCCUUCAAAGAUGAUGAAUGGAGAACACCAGGCUCAGGUGCAGCUUCGGAGAAGAACUUGCCUAUUGACUUUGCCAACUGAGAAUCGAAGUAAUCACUUGUCUCAACCUUGGGUUUCGGUUGACAAGAACUAUAUGUGAUUUCCUUGGCCUGCGUCAGAUCCGGUUGAUAAUGAACAAAGCAACGGUUGUUAUUGGACACAGUUGGUUGUAGCUGUGGUUGCUGGACUUGAGGAGAUGGAAGGGCUGGAUUUGUGUGAGGAACCUCAUCAUGUUCUUGCUUCAGUCUCUUCGUUUUUCCGAGCAUCUGAUCUUUCUUGCGAUCCACAAGUGAACUCCUUAAGCUUGUCCUGACACUGUCCGGUACUAGGUUGCAUGGACGAACAUUGCCCCUGAUGCCUGCUAAAUGUUCCUCUAGACGGCUGUAACCACAAACCACCUCACCGCAGUAAUUGCAGCUCAUUCUGCUGCCUUCCUCAUCAAUGGUUUUGCCAUGCCUUUCUUUUCCAUGAUUACUUGUCUGAGGACCUUGUGUGGAAAAAACCUGAAGAAAAGCAAUGAGAGAUACUUCAGUAGUGCAAAAAUUAAAAUGUCAAAUUCCCAAAACAUGAGUGCAACAUUUCACCAAUGAUGAGAUUUCAUCUGCUUCCUGUUAAUGACAGCACAUAAUGUACUGCUAUUGAUGAAUUUACCACAUGUGAACAGAGAAGACUGUGAUCCAACUAAACACUGUUAAACAUAGUGUCACUGGGUGAAACAGUUUGUUCUGUAUUUUUUUUCCGAUAAAGAACAGUUUGUCUGUAUAACUCUUCAAGAAGAGCACAGAGAGGCGUGGUCAAUGGCUCAUAGUAUAUUUACCAACAGACUGGAGGCAUGAGCUUGUUCACAAAUUACAAGUUCAGGGCAACAAAUCUCUGGGCACCCAUGCAAUGAAUUAACAAUAAUUUCAACAGGGCAGUCAACAAUUGGCCAUUUUCACCAUGGUACACUCCAGAAACAUGUAACUGUAACUAGAUUAGACAGUUGUUCCUCACAAACAGACUAAAUUCGAUGCUUACAAUCCUGAAGGAUUCGAAUGAACCAUACGAAAUAUAGUUCGGUGCAAGUAGAAGGUUAACUAUUUCGGUACUAUCCCACAGGACAAUUGGAGUAAUAUUUACUUUUUCAAAGAUCAGUGAUAUGGUAUAAACAUAAGACUGCAUGAUGAUCUUACCCCCUCUGAGACCAAUGGCGAGCAGCGACUCUUUUUUCCCGAUACUAAAAUCCGACAAAAUCAUAGCGCCUCCCCUCAAAGUUUUAGCAAUUCCUUCGAAUCGGCUUCAACGCCUUUCGAAAUCCAACAUGACGCUACCCAACUCCCAAAAUCAGACAAAACCUAAAGCGGAGAAAGGGGGAUUCUUCCUCGGCAGAAAGCCUUGAACAGCAUCGCGGGUCACAGCCCACUGCCUAUUUCCCUCUCGCCGGCUUCAUUCCAGAACAGAAGAUCGUGAGGAAUUUCCAUUACUUACCAUUUUUGUCCCCUCCGGCGCGAGAACAAGGAGGGGUUCGCAGCAGGCCGCCGCCGCGCCGCGCAGCACCUCGACCUGCCUCCGAGGCGCUGGGGGCGUCGUCGACGGAGUAGCCGGGGUUUGACGGCGAUGAGCCCGAUCUCGCGCCCCGCCUCCUCUCCUUGCUGCGCUGCGUGUCGUGGUCUCUGCUACGCUCUGGCUUUUUCUUUUAUGAUCAGCGGGUGGCAGAGAGGAGGGAGGAGGCGGCGAGGGCGACUAGGGAACUCGGGUUUUUGGGGAGAGAUGGAAAAGACUAUGACUGUAUGCCGUUUCUGGAAACUGACGAGACGAUGCGUUUCAAUCGCUGGACAUUCACAUUGGUGGGUGAGUGGGUGGGUGGGCAACAAAUUUUGUUUUUCUCGUACAUACCUAUAUACGGAGCAAAAUGAGUGAAUCUAUAUUCUAAAAUAUGUCUAUAUACAUCCGUAUGUGGUAGCCAAUUUAAAAUCUCUAAAAAGACUUAUAUUUAAAAACGGUGGGAGUACAUUCAUCCUUAUCAAAACACGCAUGUAAAUCUUACUCGUAUGAGCACCUAAUUAUCAGGAACGUCACCUCCCACCUAACGCAAAUCAUCGGAAGGUUUAGAAUAAAUCCAUGAAAAUGCAAGCACCACUCUCAAGUCUGAGACUUGAAAUCUGUCCAUUGGACAAAGGAUAUUAUUGUUCUCCUAAUUAUCCAACCACACGUUGGUUCGCGAAACAAAUUUUAUUGGACAACAACAUAUCAUUAUUUGCGAACCAAUCUGUGGUUGGAUGGUUAGGUGGACAGUGGUAUCCCCAGCCCAUCAGGGUUCAAGUCCUAAUGCUUGCUUCAGGAUUUUGGGCGAUACGCGUUCAAUGUGAGGAGACGUUCCCGUCGACUACGAGGCGUCUAUGAUGACUUCGUAAAAUCGCAAGAUGAUAUGCCGGCUCAGUCUCUCAGAGGUGCUCAAAAGGAUAGGGUGUGCAUGUGUGCAUUCAUAGAGGUAAGUGUAUGCGCGUAGAUAUGAGCGCUUGUGUUGAUGUUAAAAAACAUUUCAUUCUUUGUGAACCAACAUGUGGUUGGAUGAUUAGAGGUAGUGGUAUCUCCAGCUCAUCAGGGUACAAGUCUUGGUGCUCGCAUUAUUCAUGAAUUUAUUUUAGGAUUUCCGGCGAUGCGCUUUCAGUCGGAGGAGACAUUCACAUCGACGUCGAAGAGCCUACGAUGACUUCGUAAAUCUCAAGAUGAUAUGUCAGCUCAGUCUCUCAAGGUGCUCAUAGGGGUAGGAUGUGCGUGUGUGCGUUCAUAGAGGUGAGUGUAUAUGCAUGUAUAUGAGCGCUUGUGUCUAUACUGAUAUUCAAAAAACAUGUUUCACUCUUCUUUACCAUAAAAAUAAUAAUACACUUUUAAUACUUACAUCAGCAAAUAUUCAUGAAAUCGUGAUUGCUUUGAAAUUAGACAGGAUAUUAAUUGCGCGCAUAUAUUAGGUAGGAUAUUAUAUACGCAUUAAUUGUAUGACCAGCGCUCAUGUUGAUACUUGGUAUAAUAUGAAUUGGGCGUUGAACACGUCAAACGCUCACCAUUGGGGCGAUGUAGGUCGUUGAUUGAACUGGUUUGAUGGUCAAGAUUGAUUUGAUACGUCCUUUUGGGUCUUUUAUAUUGGUAUAUCUCAACUACUUCAAAAGAACGUAAGAUUUCCAUUUCACCUCUUUUUCAUCCAAAUUUUUUUAUAUACAUCUCACUCUUUUCUUCUCCUCUUUGAUUUUUCCCCUCCCAUUUGUGAUUUUUAUCCUAUCAAUUCUCCCUAAAAAUAGAAUCAAUCGUCUCAUGUUUUAUUAACUUACCAUAAGAAAAAACAUAUUCUGUUUGGUAAGCCAUUAAAUUCUUAGCAAAUAAGUACUUAACAAUAAAAUAUAUAUCUUCUCUACUUACUUAAAAAGAACGUAAGGUUCUCAUUUCACCUAUUUUUCGUUCAACUUUCCUUAUAUACGUCCCACUCUUUCCUUCUCCUCUUUGAUUUUUUCCUCCCAUCUUUGAUUUUUCUCCUAUCCAUCAUCCAUAAAAUAGAAUCAAUUGUCUCAUGUUUUAUUAACUUACCAUAAUAAAAACAUAUUAUGUUUGGUAAGUCAUUAAAUUCUUAGCAAAUCAGUGCUUAACAAUAAAAUGGCAGGUAAAUCAUGACGAUUGCAUAAAAAAAUGCUAGUAACUAGGCCAAAGAUGAUUGACUUCAUGCCAUUGGUGGAUUUCUUGGAAAGAAGAAUGACAACAAGUUCCUCCUUCCUCAAUCAGGGUGAAAGAUUGCAGUUUCUAAACUCUGCUUUGUCCUCUAUGCCCAUAUUCUAUCUUGGCAGUUUGUUAGCCCCCCCUAGAAUUUUAACAACUGGAGAGAAUCCAGAGACAAUGUCUAUGGAGAAAGCAUAGAGAUGAGCCCUCUCCAUCUUUAGCAGCAUGGGACCUGAUCUGUAGGCCUAAAAGCAAGGGGGAGGGGGUAGGGAUUUUGAACUUUGGGUCCAGAAUAUUGCUCAGUUGCUCAAGCAUAUGCAUAAGUUUUUGAACAAGAUGGAUCUGCCAUGGGUAUCUCUUGUUUGGAAUACAUAUUAUCAUGGGAGGGUACUAGAGGGUACUGCCAGCUGUGGAUCUUUUUGGUGGAAAGAUAUAUGCAAAAUGCUGGAUCAUUUCAGAAACACAACUUGGGCGCAAAUUAACUCUAGAAAUUCAGUUCUAUUUUGUUCUGACAGAUGGAAGCUUGGUGAUUCUGUGACAACCUUGCAAUCAAGGUUUCCAAGGCUAUUUUCUUAUGUGUAAGAUCCAUGGAUAACUGUAGCUGAAGCCUUUCAAGCACAUGAUAUCUCAGAGAUGUUUCAUUUACAUGUGUCUGAAUAGGCAUAUCAUGAAUAUAUGGCAAUUCAGGCAAUGAUGACCACUCACAAUAGAGAUUUCGAUGCAAAUGAUAUAUGGUACUGGCGGGGGACAUGCAAUGCUUUUAAACCUAAGAUAUUCUAUUCCUUCAUGCAUUCUACCUUGUCAUUUAAUCCUCUACUGCUAUGGAUCUAGAAAUCAUCAUGCACAAUGAAAAUAAAAGUGUUUGCUUGGAUGUUGAUCAUGGACAGGCUUAACACUAAAGAUAUGGUUGAUAUGAGGCAUUGGCAUAUGGAUGAUGGGGUUAAUUGUGUUCUUUGUCCUCUGCUGACAAGGGAAACCAGAGGCCAUCUUUUCUUCCACUGUAAUUUUAGUGUGAGAGUCUGGAAUUAUCUUCAAAUAUGUUUGCCACAAGGAGAUGGUAUGAGCAACAUUGUGUUGCAAGCUAAACGAGAUUUUGCAAAAGCUUUCUUCACUAAGGUGGUUUUUAUUGCCUGCUGGAACAUCUGGAUAGUCAGAAAUGCUAAGGUGUUCAGUCAUGAAAGGCCUAGCUUUAAUAAAUGGAGAAGUGCUUUCAUCCAUGGUAUUACUCUCAUGCACCAUAGAAUCAAACAUGUCUUUAGAGAUGAGUUAUUGAGAUGGAUUUCUUUUCUGCCUCCUUAAGGUAUUGUCUUGUAGUUCACUAGUUUUUUUGUUCUCUAGUCUUUUACUUUACCACUUUGAUUACCUCUUGUAAUCCAUGUAAUCUGUAACUCUUUUUGGCAAUAAAGUAAAAGUGCUAGGGGGGGUUCCCUACAGUUUACAGUCAAAAAAUAAUAAUACACUGAAUUAGAAGCUAGUAACAAUAGGCUGAAUUUUUCAGUGAAUCCCAAGUGAGGUGGUUGUUGUGUUGGAUAGAUGUGCCCUUGAUUGGUUACUUCAUACAACUUCAUCAACAUAGACACAUAAUUCAAAAUAUCACCUUGGAAUAAUUCUAGUCACGCAUAAUUCAAAGGAUCACCUUGGUAUAAUUCUAGUCGAAUAUCUUAACGCACUUACUGCACUUGAACAAUAAGAUUUUCACAGAAGCCUAGAAAAUAGGCAUUUAGUUCUAAUACGAUCCUUGGAAAAACAAAUAUGGUAUCAACAAAAACCUUUUAUGCUCCUACUAAAUAAAUUUCUUUCCCUUACCUUUGACUUUAGACAUCGUAUUCUCCAUUCCAAAAGUGGCAUCUUAAAGCACUUACUACACUUGAACAAUGCGAUUUUCACGAAAGCCUGUAAAAUAGGAAUUUAGUUCUUAUAUGCUCCCUAGAAAAAGCAAAAAUGGUAUCAACAAAAAACCUUUAUGCUCCUACUGAAUAAAUUACUUUUCCUUACCUUUGAAUUUAGACCUCUUCUUCUCCGUUCCAAAAGUGGUACCUUAACGCACUUGCUAUACUUGAACAAUAAUGAGAUUUUCGCAGAAGCCUGGAAAAUAGGCAUUUAGUUCUAAUAUUCUCCCUAGGAAAAACAAAAAUGAUAUCAACAGAAACCUUUAUGCACCUAAUGAACAAAUUAUUUUUCUUUACCUUUGAUCUAGAUUUCGUCUUCUCCGCUCCAAAAGUGGCAUCAUAAUGGACUUACUACACUUGAACAAUGAUAUUUUCACGGAAGCCUAUAAAAUAGGAAUUUAGUUCUAAUACGCUCCCUAGAAACGACGAAAAUGAUAUCAACAGAAACCUUUUAUGCUCGUACUGAAUAAAUUACUUUUCCUAACCUUUGAUUUUAGAUCUCGUUCCAAAAGUGGAGUCUUAACGCACUUAGUGCACUUGAAAAAUAAGAUUUUCAUAGAAGCCUGGAAAAUAGGCAUUUAGUUCUAAUAUGCUCCCUAGGAAAAACAAAAAUGAUAUCAACAGAAACCUUUAUGCUCCUAGUGAAUAAAUUACUUUUUCCUAUGUUUUAUUUUAGACCUCGUGUUCUCCAUUCCAAAAGUGGCAUCUUAACGCACUUACUGCACUUGAACAAUGAGAUUUUCACAGAAGCCUGGAAAAUAGGCAUUUAGUUCUAAUAUGCUCCCUAGAAAAAACAAAUAUGGUAUCAAGACAAAAAUGAUAUCAACAGAAACCUUUAUGCUCCUAGUGAAUAAAUUACUUUUUCUAUGUUUUAUUUUAGACCUCGUGUUCACCGUUCCAAAAGUGGCAUCUUAACGCACUUACUGCACUUGAACAAUGAGAUUUUCAUAGAAGCCUGGAAAAUAGGCAUUUAGUUCUAAUAUGCUCCCUAGAAAAAACAAAUAUGGUAUCAAGACAAACCUUUUAUGCUCCUAAUGAGUAAAUUAGUUUUCCUUACCUUGGAUUUUAGACCUUGCCUUCUCCGUUUCAAAAGUGGCAUCUUAACGCGCUUACUGCACUUGAAUAAUGAGAUUUCCGCAGAAUCCUGGGUAACAUGCAUUUAGUUCUAAUUUGCUCCCUAUAAAAAAUUGUAUGAGUAGAAACCUUUUUUGCUCCUAGUGAAUAAAUUAAUUUUCCUUACCUUUGAAUUUGGAUCUCGUUGUCUUAGUUCGAGAUGUAAAUGGAGCAUGGCCUAAUAGUUGGGCAGCGACUAUGGUUCGUCGGGAAUACGCGAAUGGUGCAGUGCGUAGGUGCCUUGGAAUACCACAUAUCUGAACUAAGAGGAAAACAUAGACGAUGGAUCACAAUUAUUAGGGAAAACAUAUCAAGAGAGUGGCGGUGGCAGCAGUGGGUGGAGGAGAAGAUAGUUAGAUCUAGAGAAUGUUCGUGGUUGCGGUGGAGGAGAAGAUUGUUUGGUCUAAAGAGUGGGGGUGGCGGCAAAGGGUGGAGGAGAAGAUUGUUAGGUCUAAAGAGUGGUGGUGGCGGCGAAGGGUGGAGGAGAAGAUGGUUAGAUCUAAGAGAAUAUUGGUGGUUGAGGUUGGAGGAGAAGAUAGUUAGGUCUCGAGAGUGGUGGCGGCGGCGGGCGGGGGAGAAAAUAGUUAGGUCUAAUGUUGAUGGUUGUGUCAUGUGGGGCGAGGUGGCUUUAUAGCUGUGCGGUCUGGGACUAGGAGCGCGGCUGCGAUCCGUGUGAUGCGGGGUGCGGGGCGUCGAGUGAGAGAUGGGUGGCGGGGAAUGGUAAAAAGGGCUGCGCGGAUACAUGACGUGGCGGGGGAGGUGUGUUUCAUUUUUUAGGGUGAGGCGGGGUGUGGUGAUGCGAGGAGGACGUGCAUCUCGGGUAGGUGGAUGAGAGGUAGGACCAAAUGGUUUUUGGAUGGAUUGUGUUUGCGCACGGCGUUGCUCGGUGCCACAAAUUUUCUGAUGGAUUUCUGGUUCGUGGGCCCAUGAGGUGUGUGCCUGUGAUGAGACUAGUGCGAAGGUGUAAACUUGGGUUAUUGCUAGAACAAUUUGGAAAGCAUAUUUCUAUAUCUUCCAUGAUCAAUUGAUAUCACUGCGUUUCUUUCAAGUAUUGUAUAACACACCUCAACAAAAAGGCUACUCCAUCUGUUCAAUUGAUAUUGGGGUGUUUUGCAACUAGCGGCUGAUAGAAGUUAAACGGAUCUAUAAUUUUUGUUGUUCUAUGAUGUUAUAUUAUCACUUUUGUAUACUUUUUAUACCAUUUAUAUUGUUAAUCUGGACUAACCCAUUAAUUUAGUGCCUACUGUUAGUUCCUUGUUUCUGCAUGAUUUUGGUUUUACAGGAAAUCAAUAUCUACGGAGGUCAAAAUAACUUGUUGAUUUAAUUCGAUUUUCUGGGUUACAAAGGACCCAAGAAGCUUUGGGGGAGAUCGUGAGGAGCCACAGGGGGGCACAUAACCACCUGGCGUGCCUUAGCCCUAGGGCGCACCCUAGGUCAUGUGGGGCCCACCUUAAUCGCCCUUUGUCCAUUCCACCGCUAUAAAUUCCUACGAAACCCUCUACCAUAUUUAUAGAAGAAUUUUUCUGCCACCGCAAGUUCCCGUUUGAUGAAAAUCCAGUCUGGAGGCCUAUUCCGGAGAUCUGCCGGAAGGGGAAUCCAUUGCCGGAGGCUCCUUCAUCAACCUUGCGGCCUCCAUGACUAUGUGUGAGUAGUUCCAUGAGGACCUUAGGGUCCAUAUAGUAGCUAGAUGAAUCUAUCUCUUUUUGGAUCUUCAAUACCACCAGAUGACCCAUUGCGCCAAUUGGCCUAGAGACCAACUCCAACCUACAAGUUAAGCGAACUAUACGAAACCUAGAAUGGAAGUCAAGUGAACUAUUUGAAGAGACCAAGAAGAUAAGCAACUAAUACAACAAAAAAUAGGUGAAUUGUUUGAUGGUGCAAAGACCAACUGCAGCCGGAAAUUAAAUGAGAUAUAUGAAACGUAAAAUGGAAGUUAAGUAAACUAUUUGAAGGAAGUUUGUCAUGAAUGGUCUGAUUAUGGUUUUGUUUGUAUUGCAUUGUUUCUACCUGAAAGUGUGUUAUAUCGAGUAGAGGGGGGUUAAUAGGCGAUUUUUACAAAUUCGUCACUGAGGAAAUUCAACUUGAGGAAUUUCCUAAGUAAGGAACUACAAGCAGCGGAAUAAGUACUUAGGUGCAUGCAUAAGAAAGCAGUAGCAUAGUCAUCAUGAUGAAAUGAAACAUACAUAGAGCACAGGUAGCAUGUAAACAGGAUAAGCAGGCAGAACACAAGAUGACUGAAGAAUUAGGAUUGAGGAAAUUGAGAAAGUCUUUAGUCAAAGCCUUCAAACAGUAACAACCAAGUUCAUCAACACAUGAAUGAGGAAAUGAAAGGGUUGAGGAAAUAGAACCAGUAGCUUGGUGAAGACGAUGAUUUGUUAGACCAGUUCCAACUGCUGUGACAGUCGUACGUCUGGUUGGAGCGGCUAGGUAUUUAAACCUGAGGACACAUAGUCCUCACCGUAUUCUCCUUGAGAUAAGGUCACACAGACCUCGCCCAAUUACUCGUGGUAAGUUUCAGGUGACUUCCAAACCUUCACAGACUCGGUCACUCGGCGAUCCACAAUUCCUCUUGGAUGCUCUAGACCAUGACGCCUAACCGUUUGGAGGAUGCACAGUCCUCAAAGGCAACAAGCGUCGGUUCCACACAGGAACAAUCUCUUCAGUGAUGCUCAAUCACAUUGGGUUGUAGGUGUUUGGGUUUGGGUUUUUCCUCACUGAUGAUUUUCGCUCAAAGUCCUCGGAGGAGGGGAUGCUCUCAAUGACAAGUGUCAGUUUCUCUCGGAGCAGCCAACCAACUAGUGGUUGUAGGGGGCAGCUAUUUAUAUAGCCUAGGGAGCAGCCCGACAUGAUAGGACAUAAAUGCCCUUCAAUUAUAUGACCGUUAGGUGGAUAAGAUAUUUUGGGAUAGCUAGCGCAUAGCACAGCAACGGUCGGAAAUUUGAGCUCUCAAAUUCCUUGGGGCUAUCAUGUUCCUCACUUGUAGGCAAUCCGCACUGGCGAAUUCCUAACUCCUCAGUUAGAACAAAUUCCCCAGAGACCAGAAGAUCUUCGUCUCUGUCACUAAAGAAAUUGGCUAAACUGUAUGAGAUUUCCAAUGGCUUCACUCGAAAGGAUUGGGUAGGUGUAGGAUUUUGAGAUGAGCAUCACUUGGAAACUUUUCCUUAGUUUUACCUCGACCCCCUUUAACAGUACGGUGUUUCGUAUGAGUCAAGAAAGAGAAAAUGAAACUAUGAAAACAAAAAGUCUUCAUUCUUCAUAAUCCUCACAUCAAUAUCGAAGUGUUCAAGGUCACACCAAUUUCCUCACUUUCAAAGUCUUCAAGAAAACCAAAGUCUUCAACUGAAGACAUUCAUUUUUAGGGUUCGACUUUCAUCGUAAAUAUCAAACUCCUCAUAGACUUAUAGAACCUAUGUACACUCACAAACACAUUAGUCCCUUAACCUAUAAGUCUUCAAUACACCAAAAUCACUAAGGGGCACUAGAUGCACUUACAAUCUCUCCCUUUUUGGUGAUUGAUGACAAAUAGGUUAAGUUUUCAAUGGGGAUAAACAUAUGAAGUGUAAAUAAUGAUAUUGAGGAAUUUGAUUGCAAGAUAUAGAAGAACUCCCCCUGAAGAUGUGCAUAUUUGAGGAAUUUGCUUUGGAUAGCAAAUGCACAUUGUAGAGUAAUAUCAUGGAGAUCUCCCCCUAUAUCUUGUAAUUCAUACAUGCAUUUGACAUAUAAUAUGAAGAAUUUGAAAUGCAUGAUGAAAUAUGGUGUCUGACGAAUUCAACAUGCGUGCAUUAAGUUACUUGAGGCAAUAAGCAUGCAGAAAAAUAGUUCAAAUGUAUCAGACCACCAUAGGACUUAAGUUUACAACUCAUCCGAGCAAACACCUCAGAAGAGCAAGAGUUGUAACUUAACGAAAAACGCCCAUAUAUAAGACCCGCUUGAACACUAACUCAAAUUUCUCCCCAUUUGUCAUCGAAUGACCAAAAGGGACGAAAAAUGAGGACUAACGCCCCUGAAGAAUACCAUCAUGAUGUUGAUGGAGGAGCGCCAGCAUUGUUGGGGUCGUCCGUUGAGGUAGGGCCUACCAUAGUGUCGUUCAAGUCUUCAGCUUCAUCCGUCUCGCGUGAUGAAGAAUAGGAACUGGGGACGAGCUGAGGAAAUUUGACCUUGUUUAAUUUCUUCGAAGGAGGCUGAGACCAGUCAAAGUCCUGUUGGAAGCCCAUCUGCUUGAGAUCUUCAUCACCGUAGAGGUGAGACAAUAUGGCCCAAGUGCGAUCAAAGAAUUCAUGCAAGUAGUAAUGGUUUUUCUUCACAAUGUUUUGCGUGACAGUCAUGUUCAGAAGAGUUGAGCUAAACUGACACUUGAACCACUUGUGAUUUCGAUCGACCUUCUGAUGAAGACUUAAGAGAAGCUCACGAUCAGUCAUCACUCGUGGAGCAAUGGCUUGAGGAUUUUGCUUUGAAGCUUUUGCGGCAGAAUCUUGAGUUGCAGAGUCAUCAUUGGUGGAAUAAGAUGCAACUUUGCGAAACUGUCCAUCCAAUGGACGAUUGCCUUCAUCAAUAACAGCAGCUUUGCCUUUCUCAUCAGCUGAGGAAAUAGUCCUUUUGAGGACUUUCAUAGGAGGCAAAUAGCUGAGAUGAUUUUGAUAAUCAACCUUGUAAUGAAUUGAAGACCUUGAUCUGAUGAAUUUCAUGAUCCAGGGAGCAUAAGGCUUCAACUCAAAAGGUGACAAGCAGCAUUAGCCAAAGUCCUCAUGAAGAAAUCAUGGUAGUUGAUAGGAAUGCCAUGUAUGAUAUUGAACAACAGAUUCUUCAUGAUGCCAACAACCUCUUCUUCAUCAGAGUUGUGGCCCUUGAUUGCACUGACGGUUUUUGUCAGAAUGCGAUAUGCUGUCCUUGGCACAUAUAGCAAUUCCUUCACGAGGAAUGUGGUCCUUGGAGCUUGGCCAGCCUUCAAAGGCUUUAUCAGCACUUGCAUCAGAUGCUUUAAAAGUUCAGGUUCCUCAUAUAUGAGCCUUCCACCUUCAGCAGGAGGACUGACUGGAAUGGCAUGAAGUAAUUUGGAGGUCGGGGCUUUGUAAUGCGUAUUCUUAGUCAUCCAAUCAAGCACCCAUGAAUUCACAUCAUCCACAUUUCCAGUGAGGUGCCAUGUAGCAUAGAAUUGAAGAAUUAGCUCUUCAUUCCAAUUGCAGAUGUCAGCACAGAAAUUUAAAAGCCCAGUGUCAUGAAGAACACUCAGGACAGGUUGGAAGCAUAAGAGAGACUCCAUAUCCGCAUGAGGAAUUUGACGGUGCUAAAAUACUUUGUCCUUAUCAAAUAAGAGUGAUGAAUAGAAGUUCAUCUGACUGUCUAUCCAGAACCGCUUGCGGCGAAUUCUUGCUGAUUCAUAGGGAUUGAAAUUCGUGAAGAAAUGGUGCUCAGCAAAGAAAUCAUCGGCCUUGAAUUUCUACUUCUUUGUAUGAGGAUUUAGUGGCUUGGGCUGAAGAUUUACAUUUGAAGACUUCACAGCCUAUUGGCGCACAACCUCUGGAGCUACAAACUGAGGAAUUUCAGCGGCAGUUUCAGUAGCAGUAGUCUUGGUCUCCAUUUCAUCAGCUGCAGUAGCUGGAAUUUCUUCUGGAAUGGAAAGAAGUGAAGUUUGACGUUCUUCAGACCCCGUAUGAAUUUCUUCAGUUUGCAUAGGGGACUGAGGAAUUUGAUGCAGAGGAGUGGUCAAUGGUGAAUUGGGGUGAAGUCUUUCCCAAUAGUCAUCAUUCAGAACUGGUGUAGUAGAACCAAUGUCCACAUCCUCAUCUUCUUCUACUAAUUCUUCAAGGCAUGCCUCUUCAAUUGUGAAUUGAGGCAUGGGCGAUGAUAUCAGUGGAGUUGAAGGGAUACCAUCCACUUCAAUUUCUUCAUCCAACUGCUCUGAAGAAGCAGCAGAAGGAUUCUCUUCAUCUGUGUCAUCUGGUAUGACAUAUUCCUCACCAUAAGGAAUGAGUUCCUUGGAAGGUACAACAGAGAUUGGAACAACAUCAAUUGGGUUAGUGAAGGAACUUGUCAAAGUCUUCACUUUCUUGGGAGCUGAAGACUCUGCAGUCAUUGAUGCUUUCCUUUUCUUCACAGCUUCCUUCUCCGCAGCUUUUGUUUUCUUCACUUCUGAUGCAAAAUGAAGGUUGACUUGCCUCACCUUAGAUGGUUUGGCAGGAGGAGCAGAUGAAGUGAGUUCAUUUUCUUCAGGCACAACUGAUGCAGUUGCCCUGUCUUGUUCAGUUUCUUCAGGCGCAGCAGCAGAUUCUUCAGCUGGCCUGGGUUGUUCUUCAGGUGCAACAUUGGUGGUUGCCCCGGCAGUUUCUUCAGAAACUAGAAUCUCUUCAGCAGCCCUGGUACUCUCAGUGUCAUCAACAGUCUGAUUUUCAUCAGUUGUGCUAGCAUUUUCUUCAGUAGGCUGAGCAGAUGCUACAGCCUGAGGAAUUUCUUGUUGCGAUGGAGUUUGCAACAUUGAGCUUGAGGGAUUUGGAGAGUGUGACGAAUCUGACUUUGGCACCUAGCCAAUCUGCACGGUAUCUGUCAAAUUCAUCACUGAGGUCUUUGAUCUCCUUUUGCAGAGCCACAAGUUCUUCAGGAGACAUGUAUACAACAUUUUUCUUCAGAAAGCGCUCCUUCUUGUACUGAGCCUUAACUUGUCUGGCCUUCUCAAAUUUCCAUUUUUCUUCAUUGAUGAAGGCUUUUAACAUGUGACCUUGACCAUAAGUGAGGUUCAAGUCAGGCAGAGGAGUGUUCGGAUCCUUGUGCCAUAGAUCAAUGAACUCAAGGAUCUUCUUCGGAUCCAGCAUGAGAGGCACAUCACUGCCUUUGGCUCUAGUGGCCCUUUCUUUCCUGUUUAUGAUAAUCUCAACAAGUUCUUCAUCAUCAGCUUCAUAAUCAUUAGACGGGACUUGAAAAACAACUUGCUUCUUGUGAGGACUUGGCCUCGAGCCACGUCCAACAGUGGCCUUUUUCUUCAACAAGGAUAGGCCAGUUGAGGACUGUGGUGGAGCUGAGGAACUUGCAGAUGCUCCUGAAGCACUAGAAAGUCUUGCGGUCCUUUGACACGUUGCAAGAUGCACAUGUGUUGAUGACUUUGCAGCAGCAGUUGAGGAUUUUGUGGCAACAGAGGGAAUUGGGGUUGCCCUUGAAGAGGUUGCGUGAGGAAUUGGCCGUGAGGGCUUUGUACUUGGCUGUGAGGGAUUGCUGUUGAGGAACUCGGCUUCACAGCUAAUUUCUUUGGCAAAGCCUUCUUAGGAUUGCUAGCAUAGGCCUCAGCAGCAACAACAGCAGCAGAAUCUUCAUUGAAUUUCUUCACUGCUUCCUUUGCCAAUUUAGCCAACUUGGCUUGGCGCUUGGACCAUUCCUUGGGAAAUUCACCACCUCGCCUGAUGCUUGAGGGAUCAACUUUUUGGCCUGGAACCAAUGGAGGUCUUGGGCAUGGAGGGUGUACAACGAAUUUCUUCAUGUACUUUGGAGUAACAUAUCAAUAUUCCCUCCAUUCCCUUGCCCAUCUCCUCUCAAUCCUCUGAAUGCGCACCUUGCGCUGAUUUUUGUUUUCUUUGCCAUGUGUGGCUUCAUCAGGUGUGCAAUACUCAGCAUAAAUGUCUUCAGGGAUUUCAAACGCAGUGUUUGUCUCUGGCCUCUUUCCUCCCUUCUGAGGUCUUUUACUAUCAGCCUUUUCUUCACUUGAGGAUUUUGAACAAUUGGUGUUUCUGAGGAAGUAUGCAAUUUAUCUUUGAGGAAUGCUAUAAAUGAGUUAAGCUGGUGAGAACCUAGUGAUUCAGCAGCUGACAUUUUGUACCUGUGAACAGAGUAUAGGUGCGAAGAAUUUGGAGAGGUCAUAUGUGUUCUCAGAAAUUUUUCAAAUGAAUCAAGUUUGAGGAAUUUGACCAUGGGAGUCUUGACGAAUUUCACUAAGCGUUCUUGACUUAGGUUCCAGAGUUGUAUAGAUUUGACAAUCCACACAAUUGAGGAAUCUUGAAGAAAAACAUAGCUUAGAGAAACAAAUCAAGAGCAGAUGCAACUGUGUGUUUAAGGGUAGGGAAGUUGAAGAAUAAACACCUUUUGAAGAUUUUGUGGAAAUCAUGAGAAUCAAAGUAGGGAAGUAAAAUUAGAUUUUAAUUACCCUUGACAAAGAAAACGACGAACUGGGAGUGGAAGUGGAGAGGUUCGUCAGUUUAGAUCUCCCACGCCCUAACUUGGCGGUGGGAGACAGCUACGGCGGCGGCGGAGUGAAGAUUUCCGGGGCCGGCGCGAGUACGAUGGCGACGAGGUCGAGGCAGUGAAGCUCUUCCUCACCGGCGACGAUGGAGUGUAGCGGCGGCGCUAGGUCUGAGAGCUCAAGCGAGGAGAGGUCGAGCGGAGUAAAUGAGGUAUGAGGAAGGGAGGGGGUAUUUAUAGCCACGGUGAAAAACUGCCCGUCCGACGAAUUUGGACGAACAUGCCCCUGCCCUUGCCAUCCUAGCGACAUGUGUCACCCACGUAUAGAGAGGUGGAGAUUGUGAUAGAACGUGGGUGAGUAGUUUAAUCUUAUCAUGGGAUGCGGAACGGUUUGAACGCCAAAAGCCGAAAAUUCAGAUAUGAAAAUUUUAACGUUUCGUUCGCAAAUUCUUCAGCUGACAAGGACACAGUGAAGAUUUUGAACGGGUUUCAAAUAGAACGCACAUGAAGAAUUUGUGAACAGACUGGGUUGAGUUUAUCAUAGAGGAGGAAUGGGUCCGAUCACAUUCACUUCGAAAAAAAUCAACUUGAAGAAUUAGCAAUAAGUGAAUGUUGUUGAGGACAUGAAAAACGCAAAUAUACAUAUAUAUAUAUAUAUAUAUAUAUAUAUAGGGUAGCACUAUUCUGAUCCUGGGAUCAGAAUAGUCAUUUGGAUCACGGUGCGCCCUAUAUAGGAGCUGAUAUGAUAUUCCCGAGCUCCCGAACCCAGUGGAACAAAGAAAAAAACACGACCGGUGGUCCCCCACCUCCCGCACUCCAUCCAUCCCCAACUCCCGCACUCCAACUCCUCGGUGCCCCCACCCACCAGGCACCAGCCCCCGGAACCGCCGCCGUCAUCACCUGUAACCUCGCGCGUGCACCCUACGAGCCAGGAUCUGUCCGCCAUCCACCCAUCGCCUCCGCCGGCUCCUCCCCGUCGAUCUCCGCGCGCUGCCACCCCACCUUCCCGGUCAUCACCUCCGUGCGCCGCCGCCCCACCUCACCUUCCCCGCGCAACCCUACCCGGCCACCAACCGGCGCUGCAACCCCGGCGCUGCCCGGCCCCCACCCGCCCCAACCGGCAAGGCCGUCGUCGCGUUGCCCCAACUGGCACCGCCGCCGCAGCCCCUCCCCAACAUUGCGCAUCGCCAACGGCCGCACCGCAUCGCCGAUGCCGGAGGACAUCACACGCCUUCACCUCCUGCGUCAACGGAUGCCACCGACCACCGGCUCUCGCAGUGCCUCACUCCCGCGGCAUGUGUCCAGGUGCAGCAACAUCAGUAUUCCUUUCUCACGACUGUUUUAUUUUCUGAAUUUUUGCUAGUACGGACACCCACAGAGGAAGAGAAGCACCUCUAAAUCUGAAGUUUACAUGAAACUAAACUUCUACCUCUUUGUCACAGGAGGGGUCAUCGGAGUCCUUAAUCGCUUGCACUACUUGCUUUUAGCAUCGUGUCCAUGGAGUCAAGGCACUGUGUGGUGUGCGAUCUCGUUUUUGGAUGGGGCACAUAAAUCUCGCCUUUUGCUCAUGUAGCAGAAAUCUCGCUUCCCUGCUGCUGUUAUGACCAUGUAUUGUUUCAAAAUUACCUUUUGUCUGAAGUUCGGUAGUAUCUGUUGGUGCAAAAAAGGUGCUUCAGUUUCAUGGGUCCUUCAAAAAAUGAAUGGGAAAAAGGAGUUUUCGUCUCCAAAAUGCAUCACUGCUCUGAAGUGCUAAUUCUUCUUGUGUGCUUCUAUCGAGGCUUGUGUUUCAUGGAGACACAGACAUAGAAAUUGUGGAAAUCAUUAAUGUUUCCUUUCUGUCUAUGUACUUCAGAAACAUUUUGUGUGAGAACAAAAAGGUUAAUGACACAUUCUUUUGAGAGAUACAGAGUGCUUUGGGAUCCAAUGCUUUUCUACACAAAAUUGUGCAUUUGUGUCUCGCCAAUGUAGAUGGCAACACAUACUUUGUACAAUAAAAACAUUAGUUUCAUGUGAGAAGUUCAAAUAUAAAAUAAGGACAAGUUCACGUAUAGUAAAAUUAGUGCAAAUAAAAAAAUGUAGUGAGCCAUGUGUUGUUGAUAUUUUUUUAAACAAAAAUUAAAAUUAAAAUAACAAAGGUGUUUGAUGUUCUACUUGUGGCAUAUUAUUUGUUAUAACUGCGUCUGCUCUGCUUGUUUCUUCCCAGCAUCUCCUUGGUUGUUGUAAUGUUGCUUCGUUUUGGUUGUAAAAUAUAUGCGGUCUAUUGUUUGUUAUAUGUUUGAAAGAUAGUGCAAAUCCGGGUGGGGGUGUUCCUCACAUAUGUAUGUUCUCAACAUAGUUGAAGCUUCAUAGAAUUUUUUCCUUUUCAAAUGUGAGAAGUUCACUUGUGCAAAAAAGGUUCCUUAACCUCAUUUACAGGAGAAAGUACACAUAAAUCAUGAGGUUAAAAAUUUUAAACUACAAUUGUUUGUGUUCUAAAGAACAAGUGCACACAAGUUCAGAAUUGGUAAAAAUAGAAUAAACAUCAACACUAAGGAAACCUUCAAAAAAAAGUUUGUUGAACCCCCCCCCUUAUUUUGAAAGUUAGCGCUAAAAAAAUCCAUGAAGUUCAAAUAAUUUUAAAUUAAAAUAAUAGACAACAACUCAUAUUUACAAAAAGAAGGAUGUUCCAUUUUUAAAAAAUAAAAAAGGAGCCUCAAAUUACAAAAGGCGAGCAGUUCAAUGUUAAUAUAACAAUAAGAUUUUUCUCCUGUCUAAAACUGAAACCAAGAAUAAUUUUUAUGGAUUUAAAGGCUAGAGGUUCAAAUUUAAAAAUACGAAGAAGUUCAAUGUUUAUUAGAAACCAUAAGAAGAUCCAAUUAAAAAACAUCUCAAAAAAUUUCAUAUAAAAAGGGAUUAUCUCUGUUAAAAAAACUUAGAAGUUUAUUUUUAAAAUACGGAAUAGGUCGAUAUUUAUUAAGAAACUAGGAUUUUUUUUCCGUUACUAAAAGAAAAAACACCAAGUCCAAAUUGAAAAAACCAAGAAGUUUAGUUUUUAAAAAUAGAAUACUUUAAUGUAUAUGAAAAACCCAAAUUUUCCUCGUUAGUAAAUAAUAAAACAAGAAGUUCAAUUUCAAAAAGUGGAGCGGUUUGAUAUUUAUUACAAAAACUCAAAUUUUUCCCGUUACUAGCAAAACGAUUCUCCUCCCCGUAGUUGUUAUGCAUCUACUAUAGAAACAAUACAUCGACCAUAGAAGUUCACACAUAGCUGGGAAGGAACAACUAUAGCUCUGUGUGUGCACAUGUUGUGUUUGGAGAGGCACGGUUUUGAUUUUGAUUUUGGGCUUGGAUGUACAAGGUGUAUGAUGAAGGUGAGACAACUAAGUGAAGUCCAUUUGGACAUGUGAAAUUCAGUGAGCCGUAUGAAAGGGAAUAAGAUCAUUUGUUUAUUUGGCCCCCAUUUGUACAUUGGGUUAUCUAAUUUCUUGUUUUGUAUUGUUUCAUGAAGUUCAAUAGUAUGCAUUGAUGCAAAAAAUGCGCUUUUAGUAUGUUGGUUUAAUGUAAAAAAAGCUAUAAAAAAGUGAAUCCCCGAACAAGUUCAAAAACUAUGACACAGAGACGUGCAAAACAGUGAGAAGUUCAACUACUACACGAAAUGCGUUUCAAAUGAGAAUAAAAAAGUUAGAGCGGUUCAAUGUCUAUAAAAACUCAGAUUUUUUACAUUACUAAAGAGAAGCAGAGAGAAGUUCAAAUUGAUAAGAGCCAGAAGUUCACGUACUACAUGGUGUGAAUUUGUAUUAAAAAGAUUGAAAAAGAAAAUGCUAAAAAAUUUGUUGCUAGAAGUUCAAGUGCUCUACCCGAGAAAGUUAAAAAAUUCUUGUGAGAGAGGUUGAACAAAAAUACGUGACAGAAGUUCAAGGUGAAAAUAGCGGGAAGUUCAACUACUUCAUUUCAUAAGAGAAUAAAAGAAUACAAAACUAAAAGCCUAAAAGGUUUGUUGCAAGAAGUUCACGUGCUCCACCCUGCACGAUUCUAAAAUUAUAUUUGUGAGAUGUCCGUCGUUCAUUUACAUGUUGUUUUAAAAACCAAAAAACAACGUUGUUUUGCCAUUUUAAAAACUACUCUCAAACGGCAACUAAAAGCUUAAAAGGUUUGUUGAAAGAAGUUCGAGUGCCCUAUCCGGAGAAGUUCAAAAAUUCUUGUGAGAGAGGUUUACCUUAUAUUUCCAUGUUUGAUUUUUCCGUAUAAAAAUCAAAUACAAUUCUUUACUCAAAAUAUAAAAAGGUGAGUUCAAAUUGAAAUAACAGAGAAGUUCAGAGUUUAUUAAAACCUAGGAUUUACCUGUUCAAAAAAUAAAGAAACACAACGCCAUUUUUUGCACUUUUAAAAACAACUCAUAAACGAAAAAAUGGUUGCUAGAAGUUCAAGUGCUCGCCGAGGAAAAGUUCAAAAAAUUCUUGUGAGAGAGGUUCACCGUGUAUUUUAAUGUCCAAAAUACAUUAAAAAUAUGUUGUUUUUUGUGUUUUAAAAUAAUUCUCUCAAACGAGAGAGAAGUUCAAAGUGAUAAUUAACAACCGGAAGUUCACGUACUACGUGGUGUGUAUUUCAUAUAAGAAAAAGACAAUAAAGUGAAACAGAGUGAAGUUCAAACAGACAUGCCUGAGAAGUUCAACUACUUCACGCAGUGCAAAAAACAGCACGUCAAAAACAGAGUGAAGUUCAAACAGACAUGCCCAAGAAGUUCAACUACUUCACGCAGUGCAUUUCCAUUCGCGAUGAAGGCAGAAAUCAUGAUCUCUUCAUUUUCUAAUUUACUUCAAAAUGGCAGGAAUAUCAUUUGUGUAAGUUCAAGUCCUCGGUCGGAGAAAGUUAAAAAUAUAUUGUGAGAGAUGUUUGUACAAAAAGAAUAUCAUUUGUGUAACACUGACGAAAUGGAUGAGAAGAUUACGAACGAAAAUAUGUCACAGAAGUUCAACGUGAAAAUAGCAGGAAGUUCACCAACUACACUGAAUGAAUUUCAGAUGAAAAACUUUUAAAAUCGUCGCGAGUAUGAAAAAUCAUCAACACAGGAAAGUUGCAUGUUUAAAGCAGAUUUCUAUCGGUAUAUCACUUGCACAAUUCCGGUGAGUGGAUGGAGAGCUACGAGCAAAAAAAGCACGUGAAAAAAUAGAGUGGAGUUCAAGUAGACAUGCCGAGAAGUUCAAGUUCUUCACGCGGUGCAUUUUCGACGAAUCUGUUUCGCGGUAAAGGCAGAACAAAUGAUCUCGCCGUUUUCGAAAUUAAUUUAAAACGACUUAGAACCAGAGAAAAUUAUCAACAUGAGUAAGUUUUGCAUUUUCCGUAGCUUUUUAGUGGUAUAUUAUUUGCGCCAUUCUGAUAAAGUUUGUAGAAAUUAUGGCGAAAAUAUGUUUUUAGCCAUUUUCAAAAUUGACUUAAAAUUGUAAGGAAUUGGGAGAAACAAUCUAUACCAAAAAGUUUUGCAUUUCCUCAGGAUUUCCAACGCCAUAUCAUUUGCUGCAUUCGGACGUAAGGUUCAAAAAUUAGCUCAAAAAUACGAACUCGGUGGAACUUGUAUCGUUUUCUAAAUUACUUUUAAACCGUUCAAAAUUAGAAAAACCUUUUAACAUAAAAAAGUAGCGCAUUUUCAUAAGCUUUUCAAUGCCAUAUCAUUUGCCUCAAGUGGAUUUGAAGGAAAUAUGCCCUAGAGGCAAUAAUAAAUUUGUUAUUUAUAUUUCCUUAUAUCAUGAUAAAUGUUUAUUAUUCAUGCUAGAAUUGUAUUAACCGGAAACUUAGUACAUGUGUGAAUAUAUAGACAAACAGAGUGUCACUAGUAUGCCUCUUCUUGACUAGCUCGUUAAUCAAAGAUGGUUAAGUUUCCUAGCCAUAGACAAGGGUUGUCAUUUGAUGAACGGGAUCACAUCAUUAGAGAAUGAUGUGAUUGACUUGACCCAUCCAUUAGCUUAGCACGAUGAUCGUUUAGUUUGUUUCUAUUGCUUUCUUGAUAACUUAUACAUGUUCCUAUGACUAUGAGAUUAUGCAACUCCCGAAUACCGGAGGAACACUUAGUGUGCUAUCAAACAUCACAACGUAACUGGGUGAUUAUAAAGAUGCUCUACAGGUGUCUCCGAUGGUGUUUGUUGAGUUGGCAUAGAUCGAGAUUAGGAUUUGUCACUCCGAUUGUUGGAGAGGUAUCCCUGGGCCCUCUCGGUAAUGCACAUCACUAUAAGCCUUGCAAGCAAUGUGACUAAUGAGUUAGUUGCGGGAUGAUGCAUUACAGAACGAGUAAAGAGACUUGCCGGUAACGAGAUUGAACUAGGUAUUGAGAUACCGAUGAUCGAAUCUCGGGCAAGUAACAUACCGAUGACAAAGGGAAGAACGUAUGUUGUUAUGCGGUUUGACCGAUAAAGAUUUCGUAGAAUAUGUAGGAACCAAUAUGAGCAUCCAGGUCCUGCUAUUGGUUGUUGACCGGAAGUGAGGCUCGGUCACGUCUACAUAGUUCUCAAACCCGUAGGGUCCGCACGCUUAACGUUCGGUGAUGAUUCAUAUUAUGAGUUUAUGUGUUUUGAUGUACUGAAGGUUGUUUGGAGUUUCGGAUGUGAUCACAGACAUGACGAGGAGUCUCGAAAUGGCCGAGACAUAAAGAUCGAUAUAUUGGAAGGCUAUGUUUGGACAUCAGAGUGGUUCCGGGUGAGUUCGGGCAUUUAUUGGAGUACCGUGGGGUUACCGAAACCAACCCGGGGAGUCAAUGGGCCUUAUUGGGCCUUAGUGGGAGAGAGGAGGAGGCGGCCAAGGUGGGGGUGCCCCCCAAGCUCAAUCCGAAUUGGGAGGGGGCUGGCCCCCCUUUCCUUCUCUCCCUCUCCCUCUUCCUUCUUCUCCUACUCCUACUAGGGAAAGGGGGAAACCUACUCCUACUGGGAGUAGGACUCCCCCCCUUGGGCGCGCCAUGAGAGGGCCGGCCCUCCCCUCCUCCACUCCUUUAUAUACGGGGGAAGGGGGCACCCCAUAGACACACAAGUUGUUUGUUUAGCUGUUUGCGGUGCCCCCCUCCACAGAUUUCCACCUCGGUCAUAUUGUCGCAGUGCUUAGGCGAAGCCCUGAGCUGGUAGCUUCAUCAUCACCGUCACCACGCCAUCAUGCUAACGGAACUCUCCCUCAACCUCAGCUGGAUCUAGAGUUCGUGAGACGUCACCGAGCUGAACGUGUGCAGAUCGCAGAGGUGUCGUACCUUCGGUGCUAGGAUCGGUCGGAUCGUGAAGACGUACGACUACCUGAACCGCGUUGUCAUAACGCUUCCGCUUACGGUCUACAAGGGUACGUAGACAACACUCUCCCCUAUCGUUGCUAUGCAUCACCUAGAUGGAUCUUGCGUGUGCGUAGGAUUUUUUUUGAAAUUACUGUGUUCCCCAACAGUGGCAUCCGAGCCAGGUCUAUGCGUAGAUGUUAUAUGCACGAGUACAAUACAAAUAGUUGUGGGCGAUAAUAGUCAUACUGCUUACCAGCAUGUCAUACUUUGAUUCGGCGGUAUUGUUGGAUGAAGCGGCUCAGACCGACAUUACGCGUACGCUUACGCGAGACUGGUUCUACCGACGUGCUUCACACACAGGUGGCUAGUGGGUGUCUGUUUCUCCAACUUUAGUUGAAUCAAGUGUGACUACGCCCGGUCCUUGAUGAAGGUUAAAACAACAUACUUGACGAAAAAUCGUUGUGGUUUUGAUGCGUAGGUAAGAACGGUUCUUGCCCAGCCCAUGGCAGCCACAUAAAACUUGCAACAACAAAGUAGAGGACGUCUAACUUGUUUUUGCAGGGUAUGUUGUGAUGUGAUAUGUUCAAGACAUGAUGCUAAAUUUUAUUGUAUGAGAUGAUCAUGUUUUGUAAAAGAGUUAUCGGCAACUGGCAGGAGCCAUAUGGUUGUCACUUUAGUGUAUGCAAUGCAAUCGCCCUGUAAUUAUUUUUACUUUAUCACUAAGCGGUAGCAAUAGUCGUAGAAGCAAUAGUUGGCGACAUGACAAUGAUGCUUCGAUGGAGAUCAAGGUGUCAAGCCGGUGACGAUGGUGAUCAUGACGGUGCUUUGGAGAUGGAGAUCAAAGGCACAAGAUGAUGAUGGCCAUAUCAUAUCACUUAUAUUGAUUGCAUGUGAUGUUUUUCCUUUAUGCAUCUUAUUUUGCUUAGUUCGGAGGUAGCAUUAUAAGAUGAUCUCUCACUAAAUUUCAAGGUAUAAUUGUUCUCCCUGAGUAUGCACCGUUGCGACAGUUCAUCAUGCCGAGACACCACGUGAUGAUCGGGUGUGAUAAGCUCUACGUUCACAUACAAUGGGUGCAAGCCAGUUUUGCACAUGCAGAAUACUCGGGUUAAACUUGACGAGCCUAGCAUAUGUAGAUAUGGCCUCAGAACACUGAGACCGAAAGGUCGAGCGUGAAUCAUAUAGUAGAUAUGAUCAACAUAGUGAUGUUCACCAUUGAAAACUACUCCAUCUCACGUGAUGAUCGGACAUGGUUUAGUUGAUAUGGAUCACGUGAUCACGUAGAUGAUUAGAGGGAUGUUUAUCUAAGUGGGAGUUCUUAAGUAAUAUGAUUAAUUGAACUUCAAUUUAUCAUGAACUUAGUACUUGAUAGUAUUUUGCAUGUCUAUGUUGUUGUAGAUAGAUGGCCUGUGCUGUUGUUCCGUGGAAUUUUAAUGCGUUCAUAGAGAAUGCUAAGUUGAAAGACGAUGGUAGCAAUUACACGGACUGGGUCCGUAACUUGAGGAUUAUCCUCAUUGUUGCAUAGAAGAAUUACGUCCUGGAAGCACCGCUAGGUGACAAACCCGGUGCAGGAGCAACGCCAGAUGUUAUGAACGUCUGGCAGAGCAAAGCUGAUGACUACUCGAUAGUUCAGUGUGCCAUGCUUUACGGCUUAGAACCGGGACUUCAACGACGUUUUGAACGUCAUGGAGCAUAUGAGAUGUUCCAGGAGUUGAAGUUAAUAUUUCAAGCAAAUGCCCGGAUUGAGAGAUAUGAAGUCUUGAUACGUCUCCAACGUAUCUAUAAUUUUUGAUUGCUCCAUGCUAUUAUAUAUUCUGUUUUGGAUGUUUAAUGGGCUUAUUUAUCCACUUUUAUAUUAUUUUUGGGACUAACCUAUUAACCCAAGGCCCAGUGCAAAUUGCUGUUUUUGCCUAUUUCAGUGUUUCGUAGAAAAGGAAUAUCAAAUGGAGUCCAAACGGAAUGAAACCUUCGGGAGCGUGAUUUUUGGAACAAACGUGAUCCAGGGGACUUGGAGUGGACGUCAAGAAAUCAACGAGGAGGCCACGAGGCAGGGGGCGCGCCUACCCCCCUGGGCGCGCCCUCCACCCUCGUGGGCCCCUCGUGGCUCCACUGACCUACUUCUUCCUCCUAUAUAUACCUACGUACCCCGAAACCUUCUGUACCCGUGAGAUCCCAUCUUGGGGCCUUUUCCGGCGCUCUGCCGGAGGGGGCAUCAAUCACGGAGGGCUUCUACAUCAACACCAUAGCCUCUCCGAUGAUGUGUGAGUAGUUUACCACAGACCUUUGGGUCCAUAGUUAUUAGCUAGAUGGCUUCUUCUCUCUCUUUGGAUCUCAAUACAAAGUUCUCCUUGAUCUUCUUGGAGAUCUAUUUGAUGUAACUCUUUUUGCAAGUCUCUUCGAAUUAUCAGUUUGGUUUGGCCUACUAGAUUGAUCUUUCUUGCAAUGGGAGAAGUGCUUAGCUUUGGUUUCAACCAUGCGGUGCUCGAUCCCAGUGAUAGUAGGGGAAACGACACGUAUUGUAUUGUUGCCAUCGAGGAUAAAAAGAUGGGGUCUAUAUCAUAUUGCUUGAGUUUAUCCCUCUACAUCAUGUCAUCUUACCUAAUGCGUUACUCUGUCCUAAUGUUGUAAUGUUACUGUCUACAAAGCUCGACUUGUUGUGAAAGGUUUUCGACAAGUUCAAGGAGUUGACUACGAUGAGACCUUCUCACCCAUAGCGAUGCUAAAGUCCGUCCGAAUCAUGUUAGCAAUUGCCACAUUUUAUGAUUAUGAAAUUUGGCAAAUGGAUGUCAAAACUGCAUUCCUUAAUGGAUAUCUUAAAGAAGAGUUGUAUAUGAUGCAACCAGCAUGUUUUGUCGAUCCAAAAGGUGCUAACAAAGUGUGCAAUCUCCAGCGAUCCAUUUAUGGACUGGUGCAAGCCUCUCGGAGUUGGAAUAUACGCUUUGAUAGUGUGAUCAAAGCAUAUGGUUUUAUACAGACUUUUGGAGAAGCCUGUAUUUACAAGAAAGUGAGUGGGAGCUCUUUAGCAUUUCUGAUAUUAUAUGUGGAUGACGUAUUGUUGAUCGGAAAUGAUACUAAAUUUUUGAACAACAUAAAAGGAUACUUGAAUAAGAAUUUUUCAAUGAAAGACCUCGGUGAAGCUGCUUAUAUAUUGGGCAUCAAGAUCUAUAGAGAUAGAUCAAGACGCUUAAUUGGACUUUCACAAGGUCUGAAGUUGAGUCAGACUCAAUGCCCGACCACUGCAGAAGAUAGAGAGAAAAUGAAAGUCAUUCCCUAUGCUUCAGCCAUAGGUUCUAUCAUGUAUGCAAUGCUGUGUACCAGACCUGAUGCGUGCCUUGCUAUUAGUUUAGCAGGAAGGUACCAAAGUAAUCCAGGAGUGGAUCACUGGACAGCGGUCAAGAACAUCCUGAAAUACCUGAAAAGGACUAAGGAUAUGUUUCUCAUUUAUGGAGGUGACAAAGAGCUCGUCGUAAAUGGUUACAUCGAUGCAAGCUUUGGCACUGAUCCGGAUGACUCUAAGUCACAAACCGGAUACGUAUUUUUAUUGAAUGGUGGAGCUGUCAGUUGGUGUAGUUCCAAGCAGAGCGUCGUGGCGGGAUCUAUGUGUGAAGCGGAGUACAUAGCUGCUUCGGAAGCAGCAAAUGAAGGAGUUCAUAUCCGAUCUAGGUGUCAUACCCAGUGCAUCGGGUCCAAUGAAAAUCUUUUGUGACAAUACUGGUGCACUUGCCUUGGCAAAGGAAUCCAGAUUUCACAAGAGAACCAAGCACAUCAAGAGACGCUUCAAUUCCAUCCGCGACCAAGUCAAGGAGGGAGACAUAGAGAUUUGCAAGAUACAUACGGAUCUGAAUGUUGCAGACCCGUUGACUAAGCCUCUCUCACGAGCAAAACAUGAUCAACACCAAGACUCCAUGGGUGUUAGAAUCAUUACAAUGUAAUCUAGAUUAUUAACUCUAGUGCAAGUGGGAGACUAAAGGAAAUAUGCCCUAGAGGAAAUAAUAAAGUUGUUAUUUAUAUUUCCUUAUAUCAUGAUAAAUGUUUAUUAUUCAUGCUAGAAUUGUAUUAACCGGAAACUUAGUACAUGUGUGAAUAUAUAGACAAACAGAGUGUCACUAGUAUGCCUCUACUUGACUGGCUCGUUAAUCAAAGAUGGUUAAGUUUCCUAGCCAUAGACAAGAGUUGUCAUUUGAUGAAUGGGAUCACAUCAUUAGAGAAUGAUGUGAUUGACUUGACCCAUCCGUUAGCUUAGCACGAUGAUCGUUUAGUUUGUUGCUAUUGCUUUCUUGAUAACUUAUACAUGUUCCUAUGACUAUGAGAUUAUGCAACUCCCGAAUACCGGAGGAACACUUAGUGUGCUAUCAAACGUCACAACGUAACUGGGUGAUUAUAAAUAUGCUCUACAGGUGUCUCCGAUGGUGUUUGUUGAGUUGGCAUAGAUCGAGAUUAGGAUUUGUCACUCUGAUUGUCGGAGAGGUAUCUCUGGGCCCUCUCGGAAUUCACAUCACUAUAAGCCUUGCAAGCAAUGUGACUAAUGAGUUAGUUGCGGGAUGAUGCUUUACGGAACGAGUAAAGAGACUUGCCGGUAACGAGAUUGAACUAGGUAUUGAGAUACCGACGAUAGAAUCUCGGGCAAGUAACAUACCAAUGACAAAGGGAACAACGUAUGUUGUUGUGCGGUUUGACCGAUAAAGAUCUUCGUAGAAUAUGUAGGAACCAAUAUGAGCAUCCAGGUUCCGCUAUUGGUUAUUGACCGGAAGUGUGUCUCGGUCAUUUCUAGAUAGUUCCAUAGGGUCCGCACGCUUAACGUUUGGUCACGAUCGGUAUUAUGAGUUUAUGUAUUUUGAUGUACCGAAGGUUGUUCGGAGUUCCGGAUGUGACCACGGACAUGACGAGGAGUCUCGAAAUGGUCAAGACAUAAAGAUCGAUAUAUUGGAAGGCUAUGUUUGGACAUCGGAAUGGUUCCNNNNNNNNNNNNNNNNNNNNNNNNNNNNNNNNNNNNNNNNNNNNNNNNNNNNNNNNNNNNNNNNNNNNNNNNNNNNNNNNNNNNNNNNNNNNNNNNNNNNNNNNNNNNNNNNNNNNNNNNNNNNNNNNNNNNNNNNNNNNNNNNNNNNNNNNNNNNNNNNNNNNNNNNNNNNNNNNNNNNNNNNNNNNNNNNNNNNNNNNNNNNNNNNNNNNNNNNNNNNNNNNNNNNNNNNNNNNNNNNNNNNNNNNNNNNNNNNNNNNNNNNNNNNNNNNNNNNNNNNNNNNNNNNNNNNNNNNNNNNNNNNNNNNNNNNNNNNNNNNGGGCCUUAUUGGGCCUUAGUGGGAGAGAGGAGGAGGCAGACAAGGUGGGGGCACCCCCAAGCCCAAUCCAAAUUGGGAGGGGGGCCGACCCCCUUUCCUUCUCUCCCUCUCCCUCUUCCUUCUUCUCCUACUCUUACUAGGGAAAGGGGGAAACCUACUCCUAUUGGGAGUAGGACUCCCCCCUUGGGCGCGCCAUGAGAGGGCCGGCCCUCCCCUCCUCCACUCCUUUAUAUACGGGGGAAGGGGGCACCCCAUAGACACACAAGUUGAUUGUUUAGCCGUGUGCGGUGCCCCCCUCCACAGAUUUCCACCUCGGUCAUAUCGUUGCAGUGCUUAGGCGAAGCCCUGCGCCGGUAGCUUCAUCACCACCGUCACCACGCCGUCGUGCUGACGGAACUCUCCCUCGACGUCAGCUGGAUCUAGAGUUCGUUGGACGUCACCGAGCUGAACGUGUGCAGAUCACGGAGGUGUCAUACCUUCGGUGCUAGGAUCGGUCGGAUCGUGAAGAUGUACGACUACAUCAACCGCGUUGUCAUAACGCUUCCGCUUACGGUCUACGAGGGUACGUAGACAACACUCUCCCCUCUUGUUGCUAUGCAUCACCUAGAUGUAUCUUGCAUGUGCGUAGGAUUUUUUUUGAAAUUACUGCGUUCCCCAACAGGAUUAGCCAUUUAGAAAUGACAUAGAAAAUACGAACUUGGCUGUUCGGUCUGCAAAAUUCUACGAUUUUCCAAAUUACUCUUUAUCCAUAAUGAAUUAGAGAAAACUUUGAACAUGUGGAAGGAACGGUUUUGCAGCAGCUUUCCAAUGCCAUAUUAUUUGCCUCAUUCCGAUAAAUGGUUUAGAAAUGCGAUUGAAAAUACGAUUCACGUUUUUCGUGUGAAGAAAAAACAGUUUUCAAAACUGCUUUUAAACCGCUUACAUUUUGCCAAAAUUUUAACUUGGGUCAUGAUACUUGUGUCCAUAGCUUUCCAAUGGUAUAUAGUAAGCCCCAUUUGGGUAAUAUUUGCGGAAUUUCAACCUAGCACUGGGGGAAGUUCAACGUACUACUGCCUGGGCAGGUCAAGUUGGGCUCAGAAUAAUAUUCUCAUCCCGUGAUCAGAAUAGUGUUUAUAUAUAUAUAUAUAUAUAUAUAUAUAUAUAUAUAUAGUCAAUGAUAACAUCAAUGGAAAAGGUGAAGACUUUGCAAAGUUGAAGAAUUUGACCAAUUGAGGAAUUUGAAAAUUUGAAGAAUUUGCAAAAUGAUGAAGAAGUCAAUUUGAAGAUUUUCAACUUUUGUUGGUGGCGUGACCCACCGUAUAAGAAUGAUGAUUUCAGACGCCCCGUACAAUUGUCGUAGGGCUAUGAGAAUUAAAUUCUUCAUUAGUUUCUUCACACUUGGAGGGUUAGUCUUCAUUGAUUGAAGAAAAACGUUACUUCUUGUGUUGCACAUCUAAGUCAUUAGUUUUGCAUAAGUGUUAGGAUGGUUGUCCUUUCGAAGAACAUUCGAAGAUUCUAAGAUAUUUAGCUCACACCGCAACUUGCUAAAUCUCUUCUCAUCCAAGGGCUUUGUGAAGAUAUCUGCUAGCUGUUCUUCAAUUUUCACGUACUCGAAAGAGAUGCCGCCCUUCAACACAUGAUGACGAAGAAAAAGAUGACGAAUGUGGAUGUGCUUAGCCUGCGAGUGCUGAACUGGGUUAUGAGCAAUUUUGAUGGCACUCUCGUUGUUGCAGUAGAGUUGCACAUUCUUCAUGUUGAUGCCGUAGUUCUUGAGGGUUUGCUUCAUCCAUAGCAAUUGAGCACAACAAGAACCAGCAGCAAUGUACUCAGCUUCAGAAGUAGACAGUGAUACGCAGUUCUGCUUCUUCGAGGACCAACAUACCAAGGAUCAUCCGAGGAAAUGGCAUGUGCCUGAUGUUGACUUGCAAUCCACUCGAUCACCAACAUAGUUAGAGUCAAAAUAUCCAAAUGAGAUCAAAAGCCGAGCCCUUGGGAUACCAUAGUCCAAGUGUUCGAGUGUGAGCUAGAUAUCGAAGAAUAUGUUUCAUAGCCUUAUGGUGUGAUUCCUUCAGUGUAGCUUGAAAACGUGCACACAUGCAAACACUAAGCAUAAUAUCUGGCCUAGAUGCACAUAGAUACAAUAAAGAGCCAAUCCUGGAGCGGUAUACCUUUUGAUCGAAGUCUUUACCAUUUUCAUCAGUGCAUAGAUGGCCACACUACAAAAAAAUACACUUCCGUGAUGAUACGUGUUUGUCACAGUAGGUCACGUUUUCUGUCAUGCAUGUACAUCCUUGACAAAUUUAUGACAGAAUGAAGAUAGUCAUACGUGUGCUGUCGUAGAAGUGUUCCAUGACAUUACCAAAAUUAUCAUCACGAAAGUGUCCACUUCCAUGACGAUAAAUCGCGCGUCAUAGAAGUGCUUUCGUUAAGGGUGACCGACACGUGGCAUCCACCGUAACGGGACGCCGUUAAGCUAUCGGGGCCGGUUUUGGAUCCGAUAACCCGCUAACAGCCACGACCAAUGCUGAUUUCCGAGGUGUAAAAUUCUCACUGGCCGACGGAACCACGCGUCAGCUCCGCGUUGGCACAGGUGUCACUCAUCCAACGGUCGAGAUGGGCCUAUGAUAUGUGGGCACGUGGACGGUCCCAAAAGUGGUCCAUAAUGAUGGGCCGGCCCAACUAUAGGCCCACAAGAUUUAGCGGACCAUAAUGGGCCGACCCAGCUAAAGGCCCACAAGAUUUUGCAGACCAUAAUGGGCCGGCCCAGCUAAAGGCCCACAAGAUUUAGCGGACCACAAUGGGCCAGCCCAGCUAAAGGCCCGCAAGAUUUUGCAGACCAUAAUGGGCCGGCCCAGCAAAAGGCCAAACAUUCUCAGUUAAGGCCCGUACGGCUAGUGUCAAAUCGGCCCGUCAACGUCCUGUCCUAAACUUGUCAUCAUCGCGGCCCAUGGUCACUUCUGGCCCGUUAACAGUUUGCUAAGUAUAUGGGCCAAAUUACGGCCCGGUGUAUUUCCGGCCUGUUAAAGGUCCUGCUUCAUUUGGGCCCAUUUGCAGGCCAUUGAAACUUUCGGUCCAUAAACGACCGUGAAGGAUUGUCAUAUUCGGCCAUGUCUGACAUUCGGCCUGUUAGAGGCCCACUAUAGAUUUGGGCCACUUUCGGCCUGUUGUGAUUUUCGGCCUGUUAACAUCGGACGAAAUCCAUGGGUCAUAUGUGGCCCAACGUCACAUCGGGCCCAUUAACGGCCCAUAUAAAAAUGACGAUAAUCUAGCCCGACCGAACUUCCGGCCUGUAAAAGGACCGUGUAUUAGGUCGGCGCAUUUACGGCCCGUCCGAAUUUCGGCCAGUGAAAGAUCCGCAUCGUAAAUGGGCCACCAUUUCGGCCUGCUAAGACCAGUGGGUUAUUUGGCACAAUCAGGGCCCAAUCUCACUUUUGGUCUAUUAAAGGCCCAAGUUUUUAUGGGCUCGAGAUAUUUACACCUGUAAAUGGCUUAUUGUUAGUGAGGGCCCAAAUUAUGUUUAGGCCUGUUAAAGGCCCACUAUGGGCGCAGGCCUACCAGAAAAAUAUGAAAGCUUAUGCUGAUUUAGGCCCAGAUAUUUUUAGUGGGCUACAUCCAAAUUUCGGCCCAUAAUCGUUUUUAGCUCAAUUGGAAUGGGCCCGACGUACUGUCUAUUUCCUCACAUUCGUUGACAUCUAAGGAUAAAGAGACAUGGUUUAAAGUAGGAUGAACAUAGUAUGACAUCAUUCAUAUCAUGGGCAAACAGAUAUAAAACAAACAGGCUAUUUUAUCAUUGUGUGUGCACGUGAACAUAACAACUAGAUUACAGAUCAAGACCAAAAGAAUAUCCUUCAUCUCUUUUAAACCAUGUAAGGUGAAAUGAUACGUUAAGACAACUGUGUAUAAAAGUGAACAGAGUAACUGACAUUGGCUGCAAACCAAGUAGUUAAAUGAACACAUCACAGUACCAAUCAGUUCAAAGGCAAGAGGAGUAAGGACUUACAACAGCGGCUUGAACUGGUGUGCUCAUGCCCUUCAUCUUGCUGGUGUGGCAAUCCUUGAAGAUUUGCACUUCAUUCGGUUCAGGUUCUUUUUGGUCCACACAGGCUUUCCUUUGUAUUUGGAACAAGUCAAUAUAGAUACGAUAAUAUGGCACAGAAAAAGAAGGAAGUAGCAGCUAUUUACAAGAGCCUCGCAGUGUGCAAUAUAGCUAUGAGAUCCUGUUGUCUGUUGGAAUUUCACUUUAGAACGGUUGGUCUUGUUCUUCAAACAGUUAGCCUAGAAGAAGAUACACUUGUAAGGCACAUACAUAAAUACAAGUUCAAUAUGCGGUCUGAUCAAAUACAUAUAGCCUACCUGAUACUUUGGACCAGACCAGUGUUUAACGAGGGCUGUCUAGUCUUCAUCUGUAAUAUAUUCCACAGGAGAUGUUUGGGCGAUUUCAUUGUUAGCCUUGCCUUCAAAGUGAUAUUUUCUAAGGUGGUACCGAUACCGUCGCAGAGCAGACUGAAAAACAUGAGUGCAUGCUUGUUUAGUUGCAUCAUCUUUCGGAUCCAACUUGAACCUCAUCUGUUGAAAAAAGAAUGUGAGUCUUAUUAGGAGGAAGCUAGAAAGUAAGGGACAGAGCAAGACAAUAUUACUAACUGCGAUGAAUAACAUUGCUUACGGAUAAAUGGUCAAGGUAGGUGUUAAACUGGGUAUUGUCUUUCUCAUUCCUGUACUGGAUCCACGUUGGGAGGAUACGUGCAUGACACCUAACGGCAACGGUUGCCUCUGAUAGUAACUUGGCUGACUCUAUAGCAUCACGUGGCCUUUUUAAACCUGCCUCAAAAUGGAUCUCCAUUCUUCCUCCUUUAGAUUUUGUUAAUCUGUCAAGCAUUAUCCCUGAUGUCUGUUUCCGCUUGCGCGAUGGUGCUAGUUCAACAACGAAUAUGGAAAGUGUUAGUGUACAUCAAACUGUGAGUGUACAUAUAAAGGAGCAUGCAACUGCAACUUGACUCGGUCAGGUACCGUCUUCGUGUUGAUGCUCAUGAGGUUCAUCUGAUCUUGCCAAGUCCUGUUGUGUCAGCAGCGCUUCGGAAGUAGUGUUAGGUGUGAAGGCAGCUUGGGAACUGGCCAGUUCCGGAGCAAACGAACGAGUAACUCGUUGAGAUGCUGGUACAGUUGAAGCGGAUGCUGCAGCUGGUGGAGUAGCUGAUACUGUGCUUGUAGAUUUAGCCGGUUGACUUGGACCUUCUACUGCAAUAUAAGUACCAGCAGAAUCUGGACGGCAGAUCCUUUUCCGUUUCACCCGACGAGUAACACCACUCCCUACUAUAUUAUUUUCCUUGCUCUUUUUUGACUUUGCCAUGUCAAGCCGUACCCACAACACAAAAGAAUAAAAUCGCUCUUCAGAACUCACUGAUGCAUGAUACAGACAAGCAAUACUUUGAUGUAAGACAACUGUAUGAGGAUGGAGUAUGUAAGAAAAACAGGACGACAUGACAUAUUCACAGCUACGAUUUGUUAACUAAGCAGAAGGAUUUUCAAGAAAAUAGAAGUAAUGCAAGCUAGACACCAUAUGAAAGAUGCAACUAAUAUUACUCUGCCAAGUUAAAAGUGUCUUGUCAUAAGUGGCAAUUCGAAAAAUUAGAAGCAGUACAACGUAUAAAUCAAUGCAAGAUGCAACCACUAUCAAACUGCCAUGUUAAAAGCGUCCAAUCAUGAGUGACUGAUGCGGGAUACACAACAACAGUACUUUGAUCUAUGAGACGCCCCCGAUUCAAUCAUACACUAAUCAUGCACGCAAACGUGUACGAUCAAGAUCAGGGACUCACGGGAAGAUAUCACAACACAACUCUAAAACAUAAAUAAGUCAUACAAGCAUCAUAAUACAAGCCAGGGGCCUCGAGGGCUCGAAUACAAGUGCUCUAUCAUAGACGAGUCAGCGGAAGCAACAAUAUCUGAGUACAGACAUAAGUUAAACAAGUUUGCCUUAAGAAGGCUAGCACAAACGGGGAUACAGAUCAAAAGAGGCGCAGGCCUCCUGCCUGGGAUCCUCCUAACUACUCCCGGUCGUCGUCAGCGGCCUGCAUGUAGUAGUAGGCACCUCCAGUGUAGUAGGAGUCAUCGUCGACGGUGGCGUCUGGCUCCUGGACUCCAGCAUCUGGUUGCGACAACCAGGUAGAAAGGAAAGGGGGAAAAGAGGGAGAAAAGCAACCGUGAGUACUCAUCCAAAGUACUCGCAAGCAAGGAGCUACACUACAUAUGCAUGGGUAUAUGUGUAAAGGGCCAUAUCAGUGGACUGAACUGCAGAAUGCCAGAAUAAGAGGGGGAUAGCUAAUCCCGUCGAAGACUACGCUUCUGGCAGCCUCCAUCUUGCAGCAUGUAGAAGAGAGUAGAUUGAAGUCCUCCAAGUAGCAUCACAUAGCAUAAUCCUACCCGGCGAUCCCCUCCUCGUCGCCCUGUUAGAGAACGAUCACCGGGUUAUAUCUGGCACUUGGAAGGGUGUAUUUUAUUAAGUAUCCGGUUCUAGUUGUCAUAAGGUCAAGGUACAACUCCGGGUCGUCCUUUUACCGAGGGACACGACUAUUCGAAUAGAUAAAAUUCCCUGCAGGGUGCACCACAUAACCCAACACGUUCGAUCCCAUUUGGCCGCACACACUUUUCUGGGUCAUGCCCGGCCGCGGAAGAUCAACACGUCGCAGCCACACCUAGGCACAACAGUGAGGUCAGCACGCCGGUCUAAAUCCUAUGCGCACAGGGGUCUGGGCCCAUCGCCCAUUGCACACCUGCACGUUGCGUACGCGGCCGGAAGCAGACCUAGCCCCCUUAAUACAAGUGCGAGCUUACGGUCCAAUGCGGCGCGCGCCGCUCGGUCGCCGACGUCAUGAAGGCUUCGGCUGAUACCACGACGUCGAGUGCCCAUAACUGUUCCCACGUAGUUGGUUAGUGCGUAUAGACCAAAUGGCCAGACUCAGAUCAAAUACCAAGAACUCGUUAAGCGUGUUAUUUUGAAGUAACCGCGGACGCCGUCCAGGGCCAGGCCCACCUCUCGCCUAGGUGGUCUCAACCUGCCCUAUCGCUCCACCACAAGAUCCACUCGCGGGUACUCCUACGAGCCGACCCGACUUUAGUCACCAUAGGUAUCAUGUAUAGAGUAGAUAAGUAUAUACCAUGAUCGCCGCCCAAGUGAUCACCGCCCGAUAGUAUAGCACAGCAGACGGACAAGAAUGUAGGGCCACUGAUGGAAAACUAGCAUCCUAUACUAAGCAUGUAGGAUUGCAGGUAAAGGUAACAACAGUAGUAGCAAGGACAGGCUAUGCAUCAGGAUAGGAUUAAUGGAAAGCAGUAACAUGCUACACUACUCUAAUGCAAGCAGUAUUAGAGAAGAAUAGGCGAUAUCUGGUGAUCAAGGGGGGGCUUGCCUGAAUGCUCUGGCAAGAAGGAGGGGUCAUCAACAACGUAGUCGGUCGGGGCACCAGCAGCGGCGUCGAUCUCGUAGUCUACCAGAGAGAAGAGGGGGAAGAAACAAUGAAUACAAUGCAAACAGAUGCAUGAUGAUGCAAGACAUGACAAAGCAUGAUGCUAGGUGUGCCCUAACGCGGUAGUAGGUGAUACCGGCGAAGGGGGGGACAUCCGGGAAAGUAUUCCCGAUGUUUCGCGUUUUCGGACAGAUGGACCGGAGGUGAAAUGUUGCAGGUUCACUAUGCUAGGGACGUGUGGUGAAUGAACGGGCUGCGUAUCCGGAUUCGUCUCGUCGUUCUGAGCAACUUUCAUGUAGAAAGUAUUUUCAUCCGAGUUACGGAUUAUUUUAUAUGAUUUUCUAAAGAUUUAAUCAUUUUCUGGAAUUACUCAAAUUAACAAAAAAAGGAAUAUGACGUCAGCAUGACAUAUGAGUGAUGUCAGCAGUCAACAGUGCGGUUGACUGGUCAAAACUGACACGGGGGACCCACCUAUCAUAGACAGUGGGUUAAACAGAGUUCAAACUAAUCUAAUUUAGGGCGUGUUCAGGAGCCCUCUCGCUUCUCAAAUUCUCAACUCCACGUGAGGAGUGCAGCCGAACGGUCGAAAUCCCAGCUAUGGGCGAGAGAAGCUGGCGACCAGCGCAGUGCAAAUUUCGCGGAGUCGAGGAGUUGGAAAACCCGUGCUCUCCAAAAACUGCGAAGUAGGAGUUGAGGGAAAUUACGCGCGUAUGCCACCGUAAAGUGAACUUGCAGCGUAUCGGUUCGCUAGCUAUUCCUCUCCCCGAGCCCCGACACAGCGCCUCGGCCACCAUUCCUCUCCCGACGAGCAAACCCUAGGCGUCGCACGCCGCCGCGAGGAGGCAGUCGCCACGCUGCUCUCGCCCUUCUCUGCCCCCACCAGCACGAGCUCGGCCGCGAGGUGGCAGUCUGCACGCUACCCUCGCCGUCGUCCGUACGGCCGGAACCGCGUCAAGAUCGUCGGCACCGGUGCGGUGCCGGCGCUCGUGGAGCUGUUGCUGGACGAACUCGAACGGCGGGUCUGCGAGCUCGCGCCAGCCGUGCUACAGGAGAUGGCACAGGCCGGCGCCGUGGUCUGCCUGCUCAGUCGUCGUCUCCAAUCCAGAUGGGAUCGGCUGAUGCUAAUUUCCUUCCUUGUUGGGUUGAAAGCCCAUGGUGCUUCCCUCCCGAGCCAGGCCACAUCAAAGCCAAAUGGGCCAAAAUUGCUCACUUUGGGCUUCCAGCCUUUUUAGUAUGCCCAGGAGAGAAGCUGCCCAGCCGAACGGAUCGCUAACUCCUGGCGAUUUGGAGAGAAGCUGGCAGCUGGUUAUGGGCGACGGAGUUGAGGAGUUUCCAGCCACAGAGGGCUACCAAACACGCCCUUAGUUAGUAAAACUACUGGGCCCACCUGUCAGUGUCUAAUUAACUAAACUAAUUAGUUUUAAUUAUUAAAAUGUUUUAAUUAGAGGAUUAAGAGGUGGGACCCGCACGUCAGUCUCACUAGGCAGCCCAGUCAGCACAUUGACUGGGUCAACCCAGUCAACGGGGCCACCAUGGCCCACUGGCAGUGACCCAGGGGUGGGGCCCGCCUAGCCACGUCGGCGGACGGCGCCGGAACGACGCCGGCGAGGCAAAACGUGGCGGCGCGGCUCGGGAGGUGGCCGGAAAACACCUAGAGGGCACCGUUCGUGGAGUUUUUGGGCGCGUUCGAAAGCUACGGCUGCGCCGCGUCCAACGGUGGUGGUUGUGGCGGCAGGGGUGACCGAAAUUGAGCGCGGCGAGCUCAUCGGCGGACCAUCGGAGUCGGACGCGAGAGGAAACGGCGACGCAGCACGCUAGCGAGCGAACUGAGAGGCUAGGCGAGACAUGCGUUAGGCGGCGAAUGCAACGGGCGCUGGCCCGUGACCAUGUCACUGGAGGCACGCCGGCGAUGAGCGCAGGCAGCAACACGUUUGGGACCUCGACGGAGGCUAUGCUAGGAGGCACGGGGAGGCACGUGCUCGGGCUCAUUGGGCUCCUGGGAGUUCCAGGAGUUCGGCUACGAGCUCGGACGCGAGCUCGGGCCACGGUGGCCACGACGGCGAGGUGAUCUGCGGCGGCGAGCUCAAACCAACGGCGACGAGCUAGCUAGGGAGACUCACGCAGUGCGAGGGGAGGAAUGGAGGGAGGGAGGAGCUCACUGAGCGGCUACGAAAAGCCUGCGACAGCUUAGGAGCGCAGAGGUGGCCGGAGACGACGGCAGUCACCGGCGACAGAGAAGAUGGGGACGAGCUCGAUCCCGACCGUGCGGUGCUCCUCGAGCUCGAUGGCGAGGCGUGGACGUGCUGGCGAGGCGCGGGGUGGCCGGUGGCUGCGGCUAUGGCGCAGCCAUGGCGACGGCGGCGCUCGGUGAGGCGCGGCAGAGGUGGAUCUGGAGGGGAGUGGGAGAGACGCAGGAACCAAGGCGAGAGUGGGGGCGAGUGGGAGGCGGGAUCGAGGAGGCGGGGGCGUGGCGGCCUUAUCCUCCCCGGCGUCGGUGCCGGCGAGGUGGUUGGGCGGGAGCUCGCCCUUGUUCCGACCUGGGUCGGGGGAACAGGGAAGGGAGGCGGCAGGGGGAGGCGGGCCGGGCCGGCUGGGCCGAUCGGCUGGCUGGCUAUUAGCUGGGCCGUCUGGUCCAAGAUGGGGGGUCGUUUCCUUUUGUUUUAUUUUCAUUUUUUCCUUUUAUUUAUUUUCUUUUCUGUUUUAACUCAAUUUAAGUAUUUAGACAUUUUCUAAAAAUGUAUUUACUUCACCAUAAUUACCUAUGCAAUAUUUGGCACCCACCAAACAUUUUUGUUUUGACUUUUCAAAACUUUGGGUGUUUGUCACUAAUUCAUUUUUUGAAUAUGAGAUGUUUUGAACUAACACUUGAUUUGCAACAGUAACAGAGAUGGCAUGGCAUCAUCAAGAGAGUUUUACUGUAGCCUAAUUAUCCAGGCGUUACAAAUCUCCUCGACUACAAGAAAUCUUGUCCCGAGAUUUAGGAGGUAGAAGGAAACAGUGCGGGGUAUUCAUCACGCAGGCGACCCUCGCAUUCCCAAGUGGCUUCAUCUUCAGAAUGGUGCGACCACUGGACUUUGAGGAACUUGAUCGCCUUCUGAUGUGUGCGGUGUUCAGCUUGGUCGAGAAUGCGGACCGGAUGCUCUUUAUAGGAGAGGUCCUGCUGCAAUUCGAGCACUUCAUGAUCCACUGCUCGGAUUGGGUCCUUGAAGCAAAGGCGGAGCUGUGACACAUGGAACACAUCGUGAACCUGAGAAAGGUUCGGCGGAAGCUCCAGUUGGUAUGCCACUUUUCCACGCCUUUCAAGAAUAGUGAAUGGGCCAAUAUAGCGAGGAGCUAGUUUGCCCUUGAUUCCGAAGCGGUGAGCACCCUUCAUUGGUGUGACUCGAAGAUAAGCCUCUUCGCCAGGUUGAUAGACCAUGUCUUUAUGAUGACGGUCAUACUGACUGUUCUGACGUGACUGAGCAGUCUUGAGAUUCUCGUGAAUAAUGCGGACUUGUUCUUCGGCGUGUUGGAUAAUAUCCGGACCGAAGAGUGGACGUUCCCCAGUUUCUGACCAAUUCAGAGGGGUUCGGCACUUUCGUCCAUCUAACACUUCGAAGGGGGCCAUCUUCAGACUAGCUUGACAGCUAUUAUUAUAAGAGAACUCAGCAUACGGGAGAUAUUCCUCCCAUUUCUUGCCGAAGGAAAUAACACAAGCUCGAAGCAUGUCUUCGAGAACUUGGUUGACACGUUCAACUUGCCCUUGCGACUGAGGAUGAAACGCGGUACUGAAUGACAGAUGAGUUCCCAUAGCUUCUUGGAAACUUGCCCAGAAUCUUGAAGUGAAUAAGCUGCCACGGUCUGAGCUGAUAACCAAUGGAAUACCAUGGAGUGAAACAAUCCUGGACAUAUAGAGCGUUGCCAGCUGACUAGCAGUGAUCGUCUCUUUGACCGCCAGAAAAUGUGCAACUUUGGAAAGUCGGUCAAUGACGACAAGAAUAGCAUCAUUACCUUUCUGUGAUUUGGGAAAUCCAAUGAUGAAGUCCAUCUCAACAUGGUCCCAUUUCCAUUCAGGAAUAGAGAUAGGUUGUAGAGUUCCAGCAGGCCUUUGAUGUUCUGCUUUGAUACGACGGCAAACGUCACACUCAGCAACAUAACGAGCAAUGUCUUGCUCCAUAUUAGACCACCAGAAUCUCUGACGGAUGUCUUGGUACAUCUUUGUACUACCAGGAUGGAUACAUAGAGGCGUAUCAUGAGCUUCUUUCAUAACUUCCUGAGUCAUAUUCAAGUUUUUCUCUGCACAUGGCACCACUAGGCGGCCCUUGAAGUACAAAGUGCCAUCAUCAGCAAUAGUGAAGAAUGAGGGCUUUCCUUCUGCGAGGUAGCGCUUAAUCUUGUGGGCUUCAGAGUCAUAUCCCUUUAUUCCCUUGAUGGAGUCCAAGAGAUCUGGUUCGACAGCCAGGGUAUUGAGGGAACCCUGGGAAACAACACGGAGGUUCAUCUUGCGAAACUCCUUAGGAGGGGGAGCGAGUGCACCCGGAGGAACAAUAUGGAGGUUCAACUUUCUGAAUUCUUCAACAAGCGAGGGCUGAACUUUGUGAACCUGGAAGUGGUUGCACUAAGACUUGCGGCUCAAGGCAUCAGCCAGUACAUUAGCCUUGCCUGGCGUAUAGGAAAUACCCAAGUCAAAGUCUGCAACAAUCUCCAUCCAUCUCUGCUGACGGAGGUUCAGGUCUGGCUGAGUAAACAGAUACUUCAGACUUUGGUGGUUAGUGAAGAUCUUGCAACGAUUACCGAGAAGGUAAUGUCGCCACUGCUUCAGUGCAUGAAUGACAGCAGCAAGCUCGAGGUCGUGAACUAGGUAGUUCUCUUCGUGAGGGCGCGAUUGCCGAGAGGCAUAAGCAAUCACUUUGCGGUCUUGCAUUAGGACACAGCCUAAUCCUUGACAGGAAGCGUCGCAGUAAAUGACGAAGUCCUUCUUAGUAUCAGGUGGAGCAAGCACUGGAGCAGAAGUCAACUUGUCUUUGAGUGCUUGGAAACUUUCCUGACAUUUGUCUGUCCAUUGGAACUUGACGCCCUUAUGCAACAGGUUAGUCAGAGGCCUGGCGAUCUUGGAGAAGUUCUCGACGAAUUGACGGCAAUAGCUGGCUAGACCGAGAAAACUUCUAACUUGCUUAACGUUCUUGGGAGGAGUCCAAUCAAGGAUAGCCUGGACUCAUUCAGGGUUGACGGCAAUACCAUCCUUAGAGAUGACAUGCCCAAGAUAGGUUACUUCGGGUAGCCAGAAUUCACAUUUGGAGAACUUGGCAUACAGUUGAUGCUCUCGUAGCUUUUCCAGCACAAGACGAAGAUGUUCAGCAUGUUCCUCUUCGUUCUUGGAAAAUACCAGGAUAUCAUCCAGAUAAACCACGACGAACUUGUUGAGGUAAUCCAUGAAUAUAUAGUUCAUCAGACGAGAGAAGGUGGCUGGAGCAUUGGUUAAACCGAAAGACAUGACGGUGUACUCGUAUGAACCAUAUUGAGUCACGAAGGCGGUCUUUGGGAUACGCUCUUCACGAACACGGAUCUGGUGGUAACCCAACCUCAAGUCAAGUUUAGAGAACACUGACGAACGAGCCAGUUGAUCAUACAAAACAUUGAUCUGAGGAAGAGGAUACUUAUUCUGAAUGGUAGCUUGGUUUAUAGGACAGUAGUCUUGGACCAAUCGGUUUGUCCCAUCCUUCUUCUUGACAAAGAGAGAAGGUGCUCCCCAAGGAGAGCAACUUGGGCGAAUGAAUCCUUUGUGAAGAGAUUUGUCGAUUUCCUCCUUAAGCUCAAGGAGUUCAUGCGGCGGCAUCUUGUAGGGUUGCUUGGCUAUAGGAGUGGUGCCUGGUUUCAAGUCGAUGAUGAAUUCGACAGCUCUAGCAGGGGGAAUCCCUGGAAGUUCUUCAGGAAAAACGUCGAGGAAUUCACGCACGACGGGAAUGUUUUCAAUGCCCUCGAGUGGUGCAGCGUUCAAUGCAUUCAAUGCAUAGAGCCUAGCCUCAGCAUUUUGCACUAGAUGAGCUUGGUAAGUAACUAUUUCAUCUGAAGGGUGAAGUAGAUGGACGGUCUUAGUGGUGCAAACUAUAAAAGCAGUAUGCGCUUUCAACCAAUCCAUCCCCAAAAUGAGGUCGAUGUUAGACGACUUCAGGAUAAUGGGAGAGGCAUAGAAUUCCAGCCCUUCGAUUUCCAUGGGGACGUCGAUGCCAACCAUGGAGGUUUGACACUGUCCCACGGGGGUUUUGACCACUACCAAGGUGUUCAUCUCCUCACAUUUAACGUCGUGCUUGUAUGCAAAAUCUUCUGACAUGAAUGAAUGCGAUGCACCCGUAUCAAAUAAAACGGAUGCUGGUACUGAAUUUACGAGGAGUGUACCCAUCACAGUAGCAGGCUGGUCUUGAGCUUCGUUCAGAUCAACAUGGUUGGCAUGAGCACGACCAUAAGACUUAGCAUUGUUGUUGCGGGGCUGGUUGUUACCACGGCCAGCUGCCGGAAGGGCAAGUUGAUUCUGAUUCUGAUUGCAGUCCCUGGGACGGUGACCUGGUUGACCACACCUGUAGCACAGACCAUUAUUGGGAGUGGGAACAGGAGCUUGGGAUGGUGGAGCUGGAAGUCUUGGCUGCCUAGAUGGUGGUGGAGGCAGAGGAGGUGCAGCAUAGGUCUGCCUUGGGGCAGAUGCAUUUGGACGGUACAUGCUGUUCGGGAUCCAUAUCUUACGCUUCUGCGAGGGCGGGCCCGAAGAUGAGCCCGUGUCACGGUUGCGCCUGUGAGAGCUCUGGUAUUCCUGCAGACCAGUUUCGACAUUGAUGGCCUUGUUCACCAAGGUGGCGAAAUCAGCAAAGUCAUGCACUAGAAGUGCGAGCUUGAUGUCAGCUUGAAGGCCGUCACGAAACUUCUCCUGUCUACGGGCAUCAGUUGCGAUGUCCUCUUCAGCAUAGCGGGACAAGUCCAGAAACUCCCGCCGAUAAGCUUCAACAGUUUUGUUGCCUUGGGUGAGGUUGCGGAACUCACGCUUCUUCCGGUCCAUGACUCCCUGAGGAAUGAAGCGGGCACGGAAAGCAGCUUGGAAGUCUGGCCAGGUGAUGAUUGUUCCAGCUGGCAGAGUAUGCCUGUGGCUGUCCCACCAUUGAGCUGCGGGUCCCUUCAGGAAGAAGGAAGCAAAGGUGACAUAGCUGGCACGGGCUACAUCAGCAGACUCCAUCUCAUAGGUGAUGUCACGGAGCCAGUCAUCAGCAUCCAGAGGCUGAGUUGAGCUGCGGUACACAGUUGGGUUGAGGCGCAAGAAUUCCUGCAGAGUUACUGGGGUUGGCUACUGGUUCACAUUGGGUCGAGGAAACUGAGCCAUCAUAUUUUCCAUGAAUUGGCGAUUCAGUUCGAACUGUUGGAUCAUACCAGCCAUGUACUCAAGCGGUGGUGGGGCGUUGCCACCACUACCACGACCACCUGGUCUAACCAUCCUGCUAAUAUGUAACAGGGGUUGUUCAACAUUGAGAAAUUUGCAAAGACAAGAAUCAUUCAUGAUGAAACAUGCAUAUUGCAAGGAGCACGAUAGCUAUUACAUAGUAGUCGGCAUAACUUACAAAAGGGGUCAUGCAUAGAGUUCUGUACACAAAGAUCAGUACAUAGACUAAAACACCAUAGGCGGCACACAGGCUCGCGGCGAAUGCAUCUAACACUAACAAGGAAGCCUACAUCAGUCCCAAGGGGUACUGUGGAGGUAGGUGUAGCCUGAAAGCUGGUAGUGUCACAUCGGGAACUCCAUGUCAGCAACCUGGGGUCCGCGAAUACUCUGGUGCAGAACCUGACGCUCAGGUGGCAGAAGAGGACCAAGUGCGGGAGAGUAGCCUCCCACAUCUGGCCAGCCGACACCCUGGGGCAUCACAGUCCUGGCUGGGUAGAUCACAGAACGGGGCAGCUCUCUAGAUCGGACAAAGGGGUGCAACAGCGUCAGAGCACGGUAAAGGUGCUGACGGGUGGUGUACAACUCGUGGCGAAGAGCUCGGUUAGCUCGAUCCAGCCCAUCAGCAUGCAGAACCAGGUUCUGAUGGUAGAAGGGCUCUCGGGUGACAGUGGAGUAGGCAGCAGUAUAGUAUCCCUCCGCACCAACAUCAGAUGCGAUAGCAAUGUGCCUGAAAGGGGAGGUGUCCAACUCCCGAUACUCUCCACAAAGACGUGUCAGAGCAGCAUAAGCAGCAUCAUGGACAGCCAUAUCGAUGGUCCCUCCAACACCAUGAGCGGUGUGCAACACAGUAGUGGAGUCAUACUCCCGAGAGUAGAGGUGGACGAUGGCACGGUACUGCUCCUGGUUAAAGUCCUGGUACUCCUCGUAGACGGUGUACUCAGGGUGCCAGCGAUAACCCAGAUAGGUCAUCAUCUCAGCUAGCACAGUAGGUGAUCCCGAGGCACCAAUGGCCGUCGUGUGGCGCACGACCUGCCUCGUGGGUUCCAUCUGAAAGCAAAGAUGUUUCAAAGGAGUCAAAUGACAGUGUGGGAAUUGUUCAAAAUACUAUUCUAAGAAAUAACUAUGGCCUAUCCAACUUUGGGGUGAAUGCGGUCACGGGAACCUAGUGUUAGAGUUAGUAAAUUCGUUUAACCCGAGUAGAAGAGAGUUCAGAGUCCCAGAGUAAAGGUCCAGGAGUAAAAGAUCCUAGUACCACCCAAUUGCGACGUGGACCCAUAAGACACACAGCCAUGUUAGUAAAAGUUUUGUAAUGUCUAGACUCGACUUCGGCCAAGGAGUGUGGCAAGGGGGAUUCCUACAGGCAGUCGGCUUUGAUACCAACUUGUGACGCCCCCGAUUCAGUCGUACACUACUCAUGCACGCAAACGUGUACGAUCAAGAUCAUGAACUCACGGGAAGAUAUCACAACACAACUCUAAAACAUAAAUAAGUCAUACAAGCAUCCUAAUACAAGCCAGGGGCCUCGAGGGCUCGAAUACAAGUGCUCGAUCAUAGACGAGUCAGCGGAAGCAACAAUAUCUGAGUACAGACAUAAGUUAAACAAGUUUGCCUUAAGAAGGCUAGCACAAACGGGGAUACAGAUCGAAAGAGGCGCAUGCCUCCUGCCUGGGAUCCUCUUAACUACUCCUGGCCAUCGUCAGCGGCCUGCACGUAGUCGUAGGCACCUCCAGUGUAGUAGGAGUCGUCGUCGACUGUGGCGUCUGGCUCCUGGACUCCAGCAUCUAGUUGCGACAACCAGGUAGAAAGGAAAGGGGGAAAAGAGGGAGAAAAGCAACCGUGAGUACUCAUCCAAAGUACUCGCAAGCAAUGAGCUACACUACAUAUGCAUGGGUAUAUGUGUAAAGGGCCAUAUCAGUGGACUGAACUGCAGAAUGCCAGAAUAAGAGGGGGAUAGCUAAUCCUGUCGAAGACUACGCUUCUGGCAGCCUCCAUCUUGCAGCAUGUAGAAGAGAGUAGAUUGAAGUCCUCCAAGUAGCAUCACAUAGCAUAAUCCUACCCGGCGAUCCCCUCCUCGUCGCCCUGUUAGAGAGCGAUCACCGGGUUAUAUCUGGCACUUGGAAGGGUGUAUUUUAUUAAGUAUCCGGUUCUAGUUGUCAUAAGGUCAAGGUACAACUCCGGGUCGUCCUUUUACCGAGGGACACGACUAUUCGAAUAGAUAAACUUCCCUGCAGGGGUGCACCACAUAACCCAACACGCUCGAUCCCAUUUGGCCGCACACACUUUUCUGGGUCAUGCCCGGCCGCGGAAGAUCAACAUGUCGCAGCCCCACCUAGGCACAACAGAGAGGUCAGUACGCCGGUCUAAAUCCUAUGCGCGCAGGGAUCUGGGCCCAUCGCCCAUUGCACACCUGCACGUUGCGUACGCGGCCGGAAGCAGACCUAGCCCCCUUAAUACAAGUGCGAGCUUACGGUCCAAUGCGGCGCGCGCCGCUCGGUCACUGACGUCACGAAGGCUUCGGCUGAUACCACGACGUUGAGUACCCAUAACUGUUCCCGCGUAGUUGGUUAGUGCGUAUAGACCAAAUGGCCAGACUCAGAUCAAAUACCAAGAACUCGUUAAGCGUGUUAUUUUGAAGUAACCGCGGACGCCGUCCAGGGCCAGGCCCACCUCUCGCCUAGGUGGUCUCAACCUGCCCUGUCGCUCCGCCACAAGAUCCACUCGCGGGUAGUCCUACGAGCCGACCCGACUUUAGUCACCAUAGGUAUCAUGUAUAGAGUAGAUAAGUAUAUACCCGUGAUCACCGCCCAAGUGAUCACGGCCCGAUAGUAUAACACAGCAGACGGACAAGAAUGUAGGGCCACUGAUGGAAAACUAGCAUCCUAUACUAAGCAUGUAGGAUUGCAGGUAAAGGUAACAACAGUAGUAGCAAGGACAGGCUAUGCAUCAGGAUAGGAUUAACGGAAAGCAGUAACAUGCUACACUACUCUAAUGCAAGCAGUAUUAGAGAAGAAUAGGCAAUAUCUGGUGAUCAAGGGGGGGGGGGCUUGCCUGAUUGCUCUGGCAAGAAGGAGGGGUCAUCAACAGCGUAAUCCGUUGGGGCACCAGCAACGGCGUCGGUCUCGUUGUCUACCGGAGAGAAGAGGGGGAAGAAACAAUGAAUACAAUGCAAACAGAUGCAUGACGAUGCAUGACAUGACAAAGCGUGAUGCUAGGUGUGCCCUAACGCGGUAGUAGGUGAUACGGGCGAAGGGGGGGAACAUCCGGGAAAGUGUUCCCGAUGUUUCGCGUUUUCGGACAGAUGGACCGGAGGUGAAAUGUUGUAGGUUCACUAUGCUAGGGACGUCUGGUGAACGAGCGGGCUGCGUACCUGGAUUCGUCUCGUCGUUCUGAGCAACUUUCAUGUAGUAAGUAUUUUCAUCCGAGUUACAGAUUAUUUUAUAUGAUUUUCUAAAGAUUUAAUCAUUUUCUGGAAUUACUCAAAUUAACAGAAAAGGAAUAUGACGUCAGCAUGAUGUAUGAGUGAUGUCAGCACUCAACAGUGCGGUUGACUGGUCAAAACUGACACGGGGGACCCACCUGUCAUAGACAAUGGGUUAAACAGAGUUCAAACUAAUCUAAUUUAGUUAGUAAAACUACUGGGCCCACCUGUCAGUGUCUAAUUAACUAAACUAAUUAGUUUUAAUUAUUAAAAUGUUUUAAUUAGAGGAUUAAGAGGUGGGACCCACACGUCAGUCUCACUGGGCAGCCCAGUCAGCACGUUAACUGGGUCAACCCAGUCAACGGGGCCCCCAUGGCCCACUGGCAGUGACCCAGGGGUGGGGCCCGCCUAGCCACGUCGGCGGACGGUGCCGGAACGACGCCGGCGAGGCAAAAAGAGGCGGCGCGGCUCGGGAGGUGGCCGUAAAACACCUGCAGGGCACCGUUCGUAGAGUUUUUGGGCGCGUUCGAAAGCUACGGCUGCGCCGCGUCCAACGGUGGUGGUUGUGGCGGCAGGGGUGACCGGAAUCGAGCGCGGCGAGCUCAUCGGCGGACGACCGGAGUCGGACGCGAGAGGAAAUGGCGACGCAGCACGCUAGUGAGCGAACUAAGAGGCUAGGCGAGACAUGCGUUAGGCGACGAAUGCAACGGGCGCUGGCCCGUGACCAUUUGGUCACCGGAGGCACGCCGGCGACGAGCGCAGGCGGCAGCGCAUUUGGGACCUCGAUGGAGGCUAUGCUAGGAGGCACGUGGAGGCACGUGCUCGGGCUCGUUGGGCUCCUGGGAGCUCCAGGAGUUCGGCUACGAGCUCGGACGCGAGCUCGGGCCACGGUGGCCAUGACGGCGAGGUGAUCUGCGGCGGCGAGCUCAAAGCAACGGCGCGAGCUAGCUAGGGAGACUCACGCAGUGCGGGGGGAAGAAUGGAGGGAGGGAGGAGCUCACCGAGCGGCUAUGAAAAGCCUGCGACAACUUAGGAGCGCAGAGGUGGCCAGAGACGACGGCGGUCACCAGCUACAGAGAAGAUGGGGACAAGCUCGAUCCCGACCAUGCGGUGCUCCUCGAGCUCGAUGGCGAGGCGUAGACGAGGUAGAGGAUGACGGCGCGUCUCGUGGACGUGCUGGCGAGGCGCGGGGUGGCCGGUGGCCACGGCUAUGGCGCAGCCAUGGCGACGGCGGCGCUCGGUGAGGCGCGGCAGAGGUGGAUCUGGAGGGGAGUGGGAGAGACGCAGGAACCAAGGCAAGAGUGGGGGCGGGUGGGAGGCGGGAUCGAGGAGGCGGGGGCGUGGCAGCCUUAUCCUCCCCGGCGUCGGCGUCGGUGCCGGCGAGGUGGUCGGGCGGGAGCGCGCCCCUGUUCCGACCCGGGUCGGGGGAACAGGGAAGGGAGGCGGCAGGGGGAGGCGGGCCGGGCCGGUCGGCUGGCUGGCUAUUAGCUGGGCCGUCUGGUCCAAGAGGGGGGGGUUCGUUUCCUUUAUUUUUAUUUUUAUUUUUUUCCUUUUAUUUAUUUUCUUUUCUGUUUUAACUCAAUUUAAGUAUUUAGACAUUUUCUAAAAAUGUAUUUACUUCACCAUAAUUACCUAUGCAAUAUUUGGCACCCACCGAACAUUUUUGUUUUGACUUUUGAAAACUUUGGGUAUUUGGCACUAAUUCAUUUUUUUGAAUAUGAGAUGUUUUGAACUAACACUUGAUUAGCAACAGUAACAGAGAUGACAUGGCAUCAUCAAGAGAGUUUUACUGUAGCCUAAUUAUCCGGGCAUUACAAUCUAAGAACAUGGUAUGAUAGAUAGAUGCAGUGUAUUCUAGACACAGAAAGCCAUGUCAUAUGCACAUGUAUAACAUAUAAACUCAGCAGGUGCAAUUUAAUCAAAAUAGGAGAAAUACAGGCUAGACAACAUAUGCAACAUGAAACCAAUUAUCACACUGUCAACUUAGAGCAAGCACCUGCGAUGGUGGGGUACGGGAGAUGAACUCAUCAUGUAGACUUGGGACUUCAACUUCAUUCGCAGUAGCAGUGGCAAAUCUAGAGAGUCUCUGUUUGCGUCGGUGCGGAGGACCACCAACAUCCCCUAACUUACUCUUUUCCUUCCUAUUUUCUGAUAUUGCCUUAUGAAGUCAAAACCACAAGAAGAUGAAUAAAAUUAGCUCUGUAUAACUGGUUGAUGCAUGAUACAAACGAACACUACUUUGAUGUAAGGCAAGCGCAGGAUAGGAGGAUGGAAUAUAUACAAAAAAAGACAGCGUUUCAUAUUCACACGUAUGAUAGGAGGAUGGAAUAUGUAUGAAAAAAUAGUAAGCGGAAGGCAUUUCAACAAAAUUAGAAGAAAUGAAAGCUAAGCACCAUAUGAACAUGCAACCAAUAUCACUCUAUCAGGUAAAAAGUGUCUCGUCGUAAGUGCCAUUUGAAGAAAUUAGAAGCAGUACAAGCUAGAAGACAAUGCAAGAUGCAACCUCCAUCACAGUCCCAAGUUAAAUGUGUCUUAUGGGUAAGUGAUCAUUGCAGGUAUAAGUUGUAAGCUACGCAGAUGCAAUUCAACAUAAUCUGAAGCAAUACAAACUAGACAUCAUACGAAAAACGCAACCACAUAUAACAGUUCCAAGUUAGAGCAAGCACCUGUGAUGGUGGAGUAGGGGAGAUGUGCUCAUCAUGUACACGUAUGUUCUAGAAAAAGGAACAUGUGUCAUAUUCACAGGCAUUAUGUGUAAAGUAAGCAGAUGCAAUUCAACAAAGUUAGAAGCAAUACAAGCUAGACAUCAUACGCAACAUGCAACCACAUAUAAUAGUGCCAAGUUAGAGAAAGCACAUGUGAUGGUGGAGUAGGGGAGAUGUGCUCAUCAUGUACACAUAUGUUCUAGAAACAGGAACACGUGUCAUAUUCACAGGCAUUAUGUGUAAACUAAGCAGAUGCAAUUCAACAAAGUUAGAAGCAAUACAAGGUAGACAUCAUACGCAACAUGCAACCACAUAUAAUAGUGCCAAGUUAGAGCAAGCACCUGUGAUGGUGGAGUAGGGGAGAUGUGCUCAUCAUCUACACAGCUAUGUUGACUGUCUAGCCUUGCGUUGUCUUGUGAAUCUUGCUGGGAGGAUGGCAGAGUAGAAUCUGUAGAGAACCCCCGUUUCAGUUGCACGGAAGGACCACCAUCAUCCAAUGCCUUGCCAAUUUCCUUCCGCUUUAUUGAUUUUGCAUUCUGAGGUCAAACCGACAAGAAAAAGGAAUAUAAUUCGCUCUUCAGAACUCAUUCAUGCAUGAUACUGACGAACACUACUCUGAUGAAAGGCAAAGUCAUGAUACGAGGAUGGAAUAUGUACGAAAAAAUGGACGGCUUGACAUAUUCACACCUAUGAUGUGGUAACUAAGCAGAAGGCACUUCAACAAAUUAGAAGCACUGCAAACUAGACACCAUAUGAAAGGUGCAAUCAAUAUCACUCUGCCAAGUUAAAACUGUCUCGUCAUAGGUGGCGUUCAUCAAUCUAGAAGCAAUACAUGCUAGAAAUCAUAUUCAAGACGCAAACCAAUAUCACACUGCCAACUUAAAGGUGUCCCAUCAUAAGUGACUGAUGCAGGAUACACAAGAAGAGUAGUUUCAUGUAAGAACAUGGUGUGAUAGACAGAUAAAGUAUGUACCAAAAACAGGAAAGCAUGUCAUAUUCACACGUAUCAUGUGUAAGCUAAGCAGAUGCAGUUUACACUAAUUACAAGCAAUACAAGCUAGAGUCCAUAUGCAACAUGCAACCAGAUAUCACACUCCCAAGUUAGAGCAAGCACCUUGGAUGGUGGAGUAGGGGAGCGGAGACUUGGACCUUGUAAUGCACUAUCAGUACAAGGAGAAUCGGUACAGAUGCUCCAUUUAAGUUGCUACAGAGGACCACCAUCAUCGCCUUCCUUACUCUUUUCCUUCCUCUUUCUUGAUUUUGCCUUGUCAAGUCAAACCCAAAAGAAAAAGGAAUAAAAUUUGCUCUCCAGAACUCAUUGAUGCAUGAUACUGACGAACACUACUUUCAUGUAAGGCAGCCGCAUGAUAGGAGGAUGGAAUAUGUAUGAAAAACAGGAUGGCGUGACAUAUUGACAUGUAUGAUGUAUAAAGUGUAAACUAAGCACAAGGUGCUUGACCUUGUUAGAAUGAAUGCAAGCUAGAAAUCAUAUGAAAGAUGAAACCAAUAUCACUCUGCCAAAUUAAAAGGGUGCCCUAACAAAUGUAUUUGACCAAAUUAGAAGCAAUACAUGGCAACAGGCUAGAAAUAAUAUGCAAUAUGCAACGAAUAAAGGUGACUCAUUGUAAGUGAUUGAUGCAGGAUACAGAAGAGAGGUAGUUUCAUGUAAGAACAAGGUUAACACAUAGAUGUAGUGUGUACCAAAAAUAGGAAGGCAUGUCAUAUUCACAGGUAUAAUGUGUAAACUAAGCAGAUGCAAUUUACCCUAAUUAGAAGCAUUACAAGCUAGACACCGUAUGCAACAUCCAACCACAUAUCACACUGCGAAGUUAGAGCAGGCACCUGUGAUGGUGGUGUGGGGGAAUUGCGGUCAUCAACUAGAGAGCUAUGUUGACUAUCUUCAUUUAGCCUUGCUGUUUCUUGAGAAUCAUGUGGGGAGGAUGAAACUGCACUCUUUAAACGAGUAUGGCGUCUCACAGUAACCCACUCGGGUGACUAUCUCAUCAUAAGUGAUUGAUGAUGAUACAAAAGAGCAUUAGUUUGAUGUACGAACAUGGUAAAUAGACAUAUGUAGUAUGUAUCAAAAACAGGAAGGCAUGUCAUUAUCAAAGGUAUAAUGUGUAAGCAGAUGCAAUUUAACCAAAUUGGAAGCAAUAGAAGCUAGACACCAUAUGCAACAUGCAACCACAUUUGACAGCGCGAAGUUAAAGCAAGCACCUGGGAUGGUUGUGUGUGGCAAUUGAGAUCAUCAACUGCAGAGCUAUGUUUACUGUCUCCAACUGCUGACACUGCACCCUUUAGAGCGCUGAAACGCUUAGUGCUUAUCUUCGAAUUACACUGGAGCGACUUCUAUCUUCUAUUUUCAACAUUCAUCAACACUGCGUCAGAGUAUGAAAUACUGAUGCAUAAAAAAACAAUAGUGUGAGUAUGGGUGAAGUGUGUGCACAAUUAGUACAGUGUAAAGGUAGCAGAUAGCAGGUCGGUGAGAAAUAAAUGACGGGAGACAUAUGAUAGCUCUACAACAUUCAUGGCACACUAAAUUACUAUAGGAUUCUAUGAAAAUAACAUUCAACUGAAAACAAAUAGGUCAGUCCAUUUUUUCUGCACCGUCUGAUGUGCAAAGAACGAGCAGCUCGCCUUCAUCUACCUCCAGCCAGUCAGUGUUGAUGAUCUUCCUCGAAACGGUAGCGACCACCGGCCUAGUCCCCUGCCUGCGCCCUCCCCUUGACCUCACCGCACCGCCGUGCUUGGCACCGCCCCCCGGGCCAUCCAAUCAAGCCCCGCCGACCUCCAGAUCGGGCGCAAGCAGCUCCUGCGCCCCACCCCCUUAUGAUAGACACCGAUGCGCCGCUUCCCCGGCGAACAGGCGGACUAGGUGCUCCGCGCGCCUAAGCGGGUGCUCCUUCUUUUAAUUGUUGUUCGACUGACCCUGAAUUGAAAUCCAGGCGGGCUACUAACCUCUAGCAAAGGUGAAAUAGUAAAGGGAGGAAACCAUGUGCAUUUAGUAUCACGAAGAAGAUGCAGUAAGAAGCACUCAACUAAUUUCUUUCGUGGGAUGAAUACGGUGUGAGCAGAGACGUAAGGUUUGCACGAAUAAGGGAAGAGGAGUACCUCUUUCUGCUGGCAGUGAUGUGUCCUCCUUCUGCUUUUCCAACGAUCUUCUUGUGGUUCGCUGGAAACGAGAAGUUGUGGAGGACGGUGCAGCCUUGGACGAACCCAUGGCCAAGUUGUUGAGUGUGGUGCGGUGGCCGUCUGUCGGCAGCGGGGAACCAGAUCCGAGGCGGCGAACGAUGGUGUAGCGGGAACAGCUCCGGUGCGGUGGACGGCUGCGACAGUGGAGCGGCAUGUCACAGCCCCAGAUCAGCCCUUGUCUGACUUUGCUUGUUCCUCAUGCAUCAUGUUUAAAUUUUGCUUAAACUUGAAAUAGGGGUGAUCAAUCCCUAGCACCCAAAAGAACUCAACUAGGUUCAACUUAAAAACAUUUUCAAUGAACCCAAAUGCCCUUUAGAAAAGUUCAUGAUUUUUGAUAAAGGUAAAAACCUCUGCCAAAAAUGAUAAACAUAUUUCUAGGUCAUUUUUGGAUUUUUGAAUUAACUCAUAUUGUAUUUGAAUUGGGGCAUUUAAAUCCUAUAAAUAUUUUAAAUGCUCUAAUAAUUCUGAAACUAGUUGAGGGCUGUUGGAAAUAUUUUCAAAAGUGCCCACAAUUUUUAUCAGGAUUUUACAAAAUGAGUUAGUAUUUUUACUAAUUCAAAAUAGAUCAAAUAAAUAGAAAACAGAAACAAUUAAAGGAAAGAGAGAGAAAGGAGUAUUACCUGGCGCUUACCUGGACUGGGCCGGCCCACCUGGCCCAUGCCAGUCACCACCCACCUUUGCCAGUAGGCAGAGGGGGGGGACAGCGCACCGCCGCCGAGCACGCGCCCGCGCCACCUCCUGCUUCCCCGGCCCCUCCUGGCGAUGCCACGACGACGCCCCGAAGCUCCUCGCUCCUCUCCCUCACUCUCUGCUCUCUCCCUCGCCCUCUGCUCCCUCUCCCGAGCACACCCGAGCGGAGCUCGUCGACGCCGCUCGCCGUAGCCAUGGCCACCGGCCACCCCACGCCUCGCCUCGACGCCCAGAAGCUCCGCCACUCCGUCCUCCGCCCCCUCACCAAGCCACGCCCCGCCGAAAGCCCCCGAACGUCCUCACCGAGCUCGUCCCCAACCUCCCGCCGACGAGAUCGCCUCCGCCACCCCGACUGCUCCGGUUCUCCCCCGAGCUCGCCGUUCGCUUCUCUGCACUCGCCGUGAGCCACUGAUUCUCUCCCCCCUCACCGUUCUCGCUCUCGUGCACCGUAGCCACCGCACCUUGCUCGCCCGCACGGGCCACCGCUUGUGCUCGUCGCCGACGUAUCUCCGGCCACCUAUCGGUCCGGCCGUCGUGCUCAGCUCCCUCCCCGCGCCGCGUAGAGCACGUAGGUGCCCCGCACGGGCCACCCUGGCCACCGUAGCGUCGACCCCGAGCUCACCCGAGCUCCGGCGACCGCCAAGAUCGACGCCGGUGAUGACUCCGGCCAUCCCAGGCCCAACCGCUGCCACCACUCGACGCGGACGAGUGCCCGCGUCCCGCAGAUGCCCUCCGCCGGCCAUUUGGUCGCCGGAGGAGGAAUCCCGCAGCCGCCGCCGCGUCUGGCUUCGCCGGCGUCAUGACGUCGGUGGGUUUGACCCGCCGACCAGGAGGUUUGACCUCCCCUCUGUCACUGACGCGUGGGCCAACCCCCACUGACACUUUAGUUAGUAUUAGUUUAACACUAAUUAACUUAGGUUAGUGAGUUAGUCACUGACGUGUGGACCCCACACGUCAGGUUUGACCUGGACGGCGCCUGUUGACCUGCUGAGGUCAGCAUGACGCAACGCUGACGCGGUAAUAGAUUUUCUGGAUUUAUUAUUAUUCAGAAAAUUCCAGAAAAUGCCCUAACUUCUAAAAUUCAUAGAAAUUCAACCGUAGCUCCAAAUGAAAUGAUUUAUAUAUGAAAAAUUAUCAGAAAAAUCCAAAGAAUCUGUUUAUGGCAUCCUCAUGCAUGUUUGAACAACUUACAGCCACUGUAUAUGACAAUUCAAAUAAAUGGCAUCUGAAAUGUCUUAUAUGGAGUUUGAAUUUGAACCUAAGGUUCAAACCAAUUCCAUUUAAUAUGUUGCUAGCUGCAUUAGCUCAAAACACAUUCAUAUUGCCAUGUCAUGAUCAUCCAUCAUAUUGUGCAUUGCAUUGAUUGUGUUUCCUCUCUGUUGCCGGUAUUGUCCCCUCUCGAUAGCCGUGUUUCCGACGAUGAGUUCGAUGACACUAAUGAAGACUCAAUGCUAUCUUCGGAAGUGUCAGGCAAGCAUAAACCCCUUGUUCAUUCCGAUACCAUCCCACUCUCUCGCUCCUACUCUCUUACUGCAUUAGGACAACAACGAUUCAACUGUUACUUGUUGCGGUAGUUGAACCCCUUAUCCUCUGCAUGACCUGUCAUUGCCACAGUAAAUAGAUGAAACCCACUAGCAUGAGUAGGAGUUGUUUGAGCCCUGAUGUGCCUACUCAUUCAUGCUUGUUUGUCAUGCCUGCUAUUGCUUAGAGUUGUGUCAGGUCUGAUUCAUCGGGGAUGAAUUGGAAUGGUGAUGAACAUGUCCUACUGUGUGUGAGCUAAGCGUGUGAACACGAUUUGGUAAAGGUAGCGGUGAGAGGCCAUGUAGGAGUACAUGGUGGGUUGUCUCAUUGCAGCCGUCCUCAGGAACUGAGUUCUGUGUUUGUGAUCCAUGAUACAGUUACUACCACGCAUUGGGCCCGAAACCAAUGGACCCUCUCGGCUUCUUAAUCACCCUUGUCCUCUGUCCAGGAGUUGCAAGUAGUUUCUGGUGUUUGAAGUAUGCUGGAGGCCGUGGGCAGCGCUGACCGGAGGGGUGGGCUGUGAUGCGGUAGGCACGUGGCCGGGCAUGCCGGGCGCCCGUUUGGUGUCUCGGAACCCUGCACACAUCGUUCGGGGCCGUAUGUGGAAACCUCGGCCGGACUCCCUGCGGAUGGAACCUGAAUAGGCGAUAAACCUGGACUAGAGACUCGAGUGUUUAGGUAGGCUGUGGCCGACACCCUCGCUGGGCCUCCGCUUGAAGGUUGCCGAGUACAUGUCGUGUAAACGGCGGUAAGUGGUGAGAGCGUGUGUGUCGAAGUACACCCCUGCAGGGUUAACAUCAUCUAUUCGAAUAGCCGUGUCCGCGGAAAUGGACUUCUGGGUUGCCUAUAACAGUUCAUAGACAAGUGAAAGUGGAUACUCUAAAAUGCGCAAGAUAAGCGUGAGUGCUAUGGAUGGCGUUCUCGUAGGGAGACGGGAGCGGGUCCAUAGUGGAGUAUUGAUAUGGUGAAUAUGUGGACUCGUGUGCGCCACCUCAAAAGAGUUGCUUGCAGUUGUAGUUCAGGUUAGCCACUGAGUCAAAGCUGGCUUGCUGCAGUCAAACUCCACCACCCCCCCUUUGUUGAUACCGAUGCAUAUGUAGCUAGUUCUGAUGUAAGUCUUGCUGGGUACAUUUGUACUCACGUUUGCUUAUUUAUGUUUUUGCAGAGAGACUUCAGUCUCGCAGGUAGUUCCGCGUGGACUUCGACGUUUAGCUUGAUACCUCAGCUACGAUCUUGUGCCCUCGGCAGGAUCUAGUAGAUAGUCAGGCUUCUCAGCCUUUUUCAUUUGUAGAUGUCUGUACUCAGACAUGUUAAGCUUCCGCAUGUGCUUUGACUUGUAUGCUCUGAAUGUUGGGUCAUGAGACCCAUGUUUGUAAUAUCUGGCUCUUCGGGGCCUAAUGAAUAAAUACUCUGAGUCGUAGAGUCUUGUUGUGAUGCCAUGUUGUAUCUGCACAUAUCGAGCAUAUUGUGUGUAUGAUUGAAAUGCUUGGUAUGUGUGGGAUCCGACAAUCUAGUUGUCUAUCCUUAGCAGCCUCUCUUAUGGGGAAAUGUAGUCUAGUGCCUCCUUGAGCCAUAGUAGUCCGCUACAGCCCGGUUCACCGGAGUCCUGCUAGCCCAACACUACUGCUCCGGAACACUUGACUGGCCGGCGUGUGAUUCACUCCGUUCCUGUGUCUGUCCCUUAGGGGAAAUGUCACGCGGUGACAUCCGGAGCCCUGCCUAGCCUGCUACAGCCCGGGUUCCCGGAGUCCUGUUAGCCCAGUGCUACAGCCCGGAUUCGCACGCUGCUGACCGACACGUUCGAUGUUGAUUCAUGUAUGCCUGUCCCCAUACGUUAGUGCUGCUUUGGGUUCACGACUAGCCAUGUCGGCCCGGGUUCUCUGUCAUAUGGAUGCUAGCGACAUUAUCAUAUACGUGAGCCAAAAGGCGCAAACGGUCCCGGGCCAUGGUAAGGCGACACCCGUUGGAAUACCGUGCGUGAGGCCGCAAAGUGAUAUGAGGUGUUACAGGCUAGAUCGGUGUGACUUAGAAUCGGGGGCCCGACAGCGUUGGUAUCAGAGCCUGACUGCCUGUAGGUUUACGAAGCCAAACUGGUCGAAGUUGAGUCUAGAAAUGCUUUAGUUAUGUAAGGGAAUUGAUUGUGGAAGGGAACGUAAGGCUCUUUUUACUCCUUUAACUUAUGCCUUCUGAUCUGAGUCAUCCUCUUCUCUUCUACGGGGAUUAAGAACUAGGCCUUCUCAUCUUUCUAUCAGGAUCACGUGUUACUAAUCCGUAGACUCAUAGGAUUAAUGGACUUAAGCCUCAGUUCAGUUCCUACUACUUCCGUAUGUUGACCAUUGAUCCCGGAAGUUUAUAUUGUGAUGUUGAGUGGUCAUGCCACUAUUUUGCAGGAUGUCUCAAGUAUUUUUGAGCAUUUACAGUCGUUAUGCUGUCCAAAUCAUCCCAGGUUUCUAAAUAGUCCGAUGCAUUUGCAAUCCCUUCUUUCCGUUCUCGAUGUUCCUUUGGGCCAGAUUAACCACACUAAUCGUUGAGUUGAGGUACUCUGUUGCCUUGACAUAUAUGUUGGAGUUAUUAUCACGACCCUAGGUGUCUUAGAAGAUUACCUAGUAAGCUAGCUAUGCUUGUAUUCCCAGUGUGCAGAUUCUGGCCAUUAUUCUCGAAAGCAUCCCGUGAUGCCAUCUAGUUAGUAGGCAUUCUACUUCUGGGUUCUUGAGCCCAAGAUUCACUCUACUUAACUCGUGUAGCUAGUGUUUGCUAGUUCCCUUAAGUUAUUAGUAACCUUUGCAUUAGUCCUCGAGGUCCGAGGUAUAUCGUUCUUCUAAAUACCAUGAACCAUUCUUGGCAGGAGUUCGUUUGAACCAAAAGGUCACGACCAGAGUGCUCUUAAUGAGUUCUCCAUUCUACAUUGUGAAUCUGCCAGUUCUACCCUUUCUGCAUGGGUUAUCUAGAAGAAACUUGUUGGACUUGGUUCGACAUACUAAUCCAUGCAUCCACAACUCAGAAAAAAAAACAUAUGUUCCUUUGGGUUGUCCCUCUUUAGUUAUUUUCUGGCCCUCGUCUAUCAAUUGAUAGUCAGGAGUAAUUGUGCAAUUGUGAUAUCGAUGCCUAUUAUUCCUGUGGUCUGUCAAGCCAUUCUAAUUCGGAAUGACUAGGAGAAACAAACUCCAGUACCUCGUCCAUCUCUGGGAUUGGGUCAAAGUAGUUGUAUUCCGCAGAUCAAAUGCCUAACCAGCUUUUGUUCUGUUCUACCUUCGAGUAUUACCCCCUUUAUGUCGAGAAUAUUGUAGGAAUUGCACCAUCUCUCACGAAUUCUUAACGAGUGAUACUUCUCGCCAUCAUUGCUCAUUCCUCAGUUCCGUGUCGUCACGACCGGAAUGCCGACAGGUGAACUAUGAUGUGUGAAAUCUAUACUCCUAGCAACUCCGUUGCUUGGUAGUUAAAGGACAAUAAUUUCAUCCUUAGCGUGUUGGUCACUGAAUCACAUCCUAAGGUUGAUCGUGCUACCCAGUCCUUAUUCCCAGUGCACUUUUCGAUCAAUGAGUUAGGAUAGUGUCAGUCCUUGCUUAUUCGGUCAUAUCGUCUUGCUCUGAAAAGCAAGAUCGUUCUCGAGCUUAGUAACAUAUCGGUGGGUCGUGAUGUUCCGAAUAUCUUCUCGGAAGUGUCACCAGGUUGCCACCUGACCGCUAUGUUGAGUUCGUGAUCAAGUGGGUCUCUUGUAAACCACCCCUUCUCCAAGAAUCCGUGCUGGAUACCCCUGAGCUAGUUGGUUAAGCAAAACAACAACUUGGAGAGUUGGAAGAUAAAAGCUUAUCUGACUUAGUUUAUCACUAAGGGAUAUCUUUUUGUGUGUGUUGAAGAUAGAUGAUAUCUUCAUCGAUUGGUCCCUGUGAUCAGUUGUUGGACCUAUUCUCAUAUUAAGACUUUGAUUUGAGUAUGGGCUAUCAUCAAGUCAAAUCAGAACCAACGAUGUUCAUAAUGUUGUCUUACUCGUGGUUGAUCCCUCGAGCAUACACCAUUAUAUCUUUUGGGUCUGAUCAAUGCUAUCACUUGUUCAUAUAAUUAUGGAAUUCCAUCUCCAUGGAAACCUGGAUGAAAUGUUGUUGAGCCCAUCAGCAACACUGCUACCUUCUCCAUGACUCGUGUUGAACAUCCAGCUAGUAUUGGAAACUUUAUAAGCAUUAUCUUCGUGUUCCGUUAUGAAGCAUAUGUUGGAUGGAAGAAGUGACUUACUCUAAUUCAUGUGCAUUAGAUGCAAGUUGCCGCCGUGAAUUCGAGAAAGUUUGUUUUGCCUCCUCUGGAAUCGUCCCAAGUCAGUCAUGCAUAUGUGCGAAGUAUACCGCGGUUUGGAGACUUGCAACCUUCAUUCUAUAUGUAUCCCUAGCACACCAAGCCACUGAUUGAUUUGUUCAAGGAGAAGGAGUUCCUUCAUAAGAGCUAAUCCGGACUUAUGAAAGAACUUUGAUAUCCUCGUUGAUGGUUCCCAACCAGAACUCGGUAGUGUUUUAUUAUAAGACUACCAUAUGAUCAUGCUUGUCUGGGACAACGUGCUCACAUGUUGUAGCAGAACCAGCUCAUGUUUUGGAGCUUGCUAUCGUAGUUCAUCCCCUGAGAAUCUCGCAACGUCAUCUCAUCGAUUUGUGUUGCAAACCUUAAUUUUCUUCCUAGACUUGACGAGUCUGGAAUAUUCUGACACCAACCAGAUCUGAAUCUCAGGCAGAUAUGAUGGUUGGAACAUCUCCCAAGAAUUAUAAUAUUGCCCUCUCGAUAACCGGUAAAGUGGAUGUCGUGGCCAACACACCCAGCCGGAAGGCCUAUUAUUGUAGUAUCUUGAUUGAGGAAGUUGGCCACCUCCCCAUAAGGAUUUCGUAGGAUUUACUUCCGUGGUUAUUCCUUAUGGAUUCUUGUGCUCCCGAAGUCCGACAUCUUACUUGAUGUUCUAGAUACCAAACCUUAUCAAUAAAUGGGUUACGCUAGCACAUCAAGGAGAACAUUAGAAGCGGAGUGCUAAAUGUCUCUCGGUCGAUCAUCCAGAUCUGCUUCUUUGGCAUUGCUAAGGAAAAAUCUGAGAAAGUGUUGUCCUCCUUUGCACCUGCAUCCUCCAUCACCGUUCAUCAUGGUAGUAUGUUGUGUUGCCAGGAUCCUCGACACGGAUGUUGGUAAAACCUUGAUGAAUAUGGAAAUGCUCAAGUUCCUGAGAGCACGCACAAGCUCUAGGUGUUAUCAUCGGCACUAACUGGAAUUGCUCCCAGUUUCCUUCGGUUAUGCUAAACCUUUCAAACAGUAGAUUCACUCUCUACUGUUGAGCUCCUCCCCAGUUACUAGAAUCAUUCCUAGAAUUUGCAUUUUUGUCCCAGCUUGCACCGUCAUUGUGCCAUCCUACCUUGGAUUACCCUUCCCAGUAAUUACUGAUAAGGACCAUCUUCAAAAGUGGUCCCACCAGGGGUUCCGACCAUUUCCGGUGAUAAGCAAAUCACCCCUUGUGUUGUCUUCAACAAGGUAGUCCACAUCGUCCAUCCUAGCCCGAGUGUGUCGUUCUCCCGAACUCCCUCGAACGAUCGUUUGUGAUUGCCUUAGGCUGGCAUAAAGAGUUUCAAUGAUAUUUAUAUCAAAAGUAAUUCCUUUUGCCACUUAAGGGAAUAUUUCUACAAGUCACCUUCCCUAAGGUUCCUCUAUGGAAUCAUGGCAAUUAUCUCCUCGCUACUUUGAAACCAUGCACCGUCUUAUUCAGCGUGGAAUUGUGCUUAUCAACUUGAAUCUUCGUUCUCUGUUUCACUUCAUCCCUCUCUCGAUGUAUGUGUUGAGUCUCAGCUCAAGAGAUACUCAACGUCGCAUUCCGUGAGUUGAUCGUGAGUUGCUCGAUCUUUAAGGAGAUCGAUUUCUAUAGAGUUUUCCCUUGUCGUCAUCAUGUUGGAUGAAGAUCUCGAAAGCAAAGACGUCAACAUUAAUUGAAGCAACGGAUCAACAUCUUCUCGAAGAGCAAUUGGAUCAUGAAGAUGGUGUUAGCUUGUACCCUCUGUCUUCUUACCUCACGUCUUGAAUCUCGGGACGAGAUUCUUGUUUAGUGGGGGUGAGCUGUCACAGCCCCAGAUCAGCCCUUGUCUGACUUUGCUUGUUCCUCAUGCAUCAUGUUUAAAUUUUGCUUAAACUUGAAAUAGGGGUGAUCAAUCCCUAGCACCCAAAAGAACUCAACUAGGUUCAACUUAAAAACAAUUUCAAUGAACCCAAAUGCCCUUUAGAAAAGUUCAUGAUUUUUGAUAAAGGUAAAAACCUCUGCCAAAAAUGAUAAACAUAUUUCUAGGUCAUUUUUGGAUUUUUGAAUUAACUCAUAUUGUAUUUGAAUUGGGGCAUUUAAAUCCUAUAAAUAUUUUAAAUGCUCUAAUAAUUCUGAAACUAGUUGAGGGCUGUUGGAAAUAUUUUCAAAAGUGCCCACAAUUUUUAUCAGGAUUUUACAAAAUGAGUUAGUAUUUUUACUAAUUCAAAAUAGAUCAAAUAAAUAGAAAACAGAAACAAUUAAAGGAAAGAGAGAGAAAGGAGUAUUACCUGGCGCUUACCUGGACUGGGCCGGCCCACCUGGCCCAUGCCAGUCACCACCCACCUUUGCCAGUAGGCAGAGGGGGGGGACAGCGCACCGCCGCCGAGCACGCGCCCGCGCCACCUCCUGCUUCCCCGGCCCCUCCUGGCGAUGCCACGACGACGCCCCGAAGCUCCUCGCUCCUCUCCCUCACUCUCUGCUCUCUCCCUCGCCCUCUGCUCCAUCUCCCGAGCACACCCGAGCGGAGCUCGUCGACGCCGCUCGCCGUAGCCAUGGCCACCGGCCACCCCACGCCUCGCCUCGACGCCCAGAAGCUCCGCCACUCUGUCCUCCGCCCCCUCACCAAGCCACGCCCCGCCGAAAGCCCCCGAACGUCCUCACCGAGCUCGUCCCCAACCUCCCGCCGACGAGAUCGCCUCCGCCACCCCGACUGCUCUGGUUCUCCCCCGAGCUCGCCGUUCGCUUCUCUGCACUCGCCGUGAGCCACUGAUUCUCUCCCCCCUCACCGUUCUCGCUCUCGUGCACCGUAGCCACCACACCUUGCUCGCCCGCACGGGCCACCGCUUGUGCUCGUCGCCGACGUAUCUCCGGCCACCUAUCGGUCCGGCCGUCGUGCUCAGCUCCCUCCCCGCGCCGCGUAGAGCACGUAGGUGCCCCGCACGGGCCACCCUGGCCACCGUAGCGUCGACCCCGAGCUCACCCGAGCUCCGGCGACCGCCAAGAUCGACGCCGGUGAUGACUCCGGCCAUCCCAGGCCCAACCGCUGCCACCACUCGACGCGGACGAGUGCCCGCGUCCCGCAGAUGCCCUCCGCCGGCCAUUUGGUCGCCGGAGGAGGAAUCCCGCAGCCGCCGCCGCGUCUGGCCUCGCCGGCGUCACGACGUCGGUGGGUUUGACCCGCCGACCAGGAGGUUUGACCUCCCCUCUGUCACUGACGCGUGGGCCAACCCCCACUGACACUUUAGUUAGUAUUAGUUUAACACUAAUUAACUUAGGUUAGUGAGUUAGUCACUGACGUGUGGACCCCACACGUCAGGUUUGACCUGGACGGCGCCUGUUGACCUGCUGAGGUCAGCAUGACGCAACGCUGACGCGGUAAUAGAUUUUCUGGAUUUAUUAUUAUUCAGAAAAUUCCAGAAAAUGCCCUAACUUCUAAAAUUCAUAGAAAUUCAACCGUAGCUCCAAAUGAAAUGAUUUAUAUAUGAAAAAUUAUCAGAAAAAUCCAAAGAAUCUGUUUAUGGCAUCCUCAUGCAUGUUUGAACAACUUACAGCCACUGUAUAUGACAAUUCAAAUAAAUGGCAUCUGAAAUGUCUUAUAUGGAGUUUGAAUUUGAACCUAAGGUUCAAACCAAUUCCAUUUAAUAUGUUGCUAGCUGCAUUAGCUCAAAACACAUUCAUAUUGCCAUGUCAUGAUCAUGCAUCAUAUUGUGCAUUGCAUUGAUUGUGUUUCCUCUCUGUUGCCGGUAUUGUCCCCUCUCGAUAGCCGUGUUUCCGACGAUGAGUUCGAUGACACUAAUGAAGACUCAAUGCUAUCUUCGGAAGUGUCAGGCAAGCAUAAACCCCUUGUUCAUUCCGAUACCAUCCCACUCUCUCGCUCCUACUCUCUUACUGCAUUAGGAAAACAACGAUUCAACUGUUACUUGUUGCGGUAGUUGAACCCCUUAUCCUCUGCAUGACCUGUCAUUGCCACAGUAAAUAGAUGAAACCCACUAGCAUGAGUAGGAGUUGUUUGAGCCCUGAUGUGCCUACUCAUUCAUGCUUGUUUGUCAUGCCUGCUAUUGCUUAGAGUUGUGUCAGGUCUGAUUCAUCGGGGAUGAAUUGGAAUGGUGAUGAACAUGUCCUACUGUGUGUGAGCUAAGCGUGUGAACACGAUUUGGUAAAGGUAGCGGUGAGAGGCCAUGUAGGAGUACAUGGUGGGUUGUCUCAUUGCAGCCGUCCUCAGGAACUGAGUUCUGUGUUUGUGAUCCAUGAUACAGUUACUACCACGCAUUGGGCCCGAAACCAAUGGACCCUCUCGGCUUCUUAAUCACCCUUGUCCUCUGUCCAGGAGUUGCAAGUAGUUUCUGGUGUUUGUAGUAUGCUGGAGGCCGUGGGCAGCGCUGACCGGAGGGGUGGGCUGUGAUUCGGUAGGCACGUGGCCGGGCAUGCCGGGCGCCCGUUUGGUGUCUCGGAACCCUGCACACAUCGUUCGGGGCCGUAUGUGGAAACCUCGGCCGGACUCCCUGCGGAUGGAACCUGAAUAGGCGAUAAACCUGGACUAGAGACUCGAGUGUUUAGGUAGGCUGUGGCCGACACCCUCGCUGGGCCUCCGCUUGAAGGUUGCCGAGUACAUGUCGUGUAAACGGCGGUAAGUGGUGAGAGCGUGUGUGUCGAAGUACAUCCCUGCAGGGUUAACAUCAUCUAUUCGAAUAGCCGUGUCCGCGGAAAUGGACUUCUGGGUUGCCUAUAACAGUUCAUAGACAAGUGAAAGUGGAUACUCUAAAAUGCGCAAGAUAAGCGUGAGUGCUAUGGAUGGCGUUCUCGUAGGGAGACGGGAGCGGGUCCAUAGUGGAGUAUUGAUAUGGUGAAUAUGUGGACUCGUGUGCGCCACCUCAAAAGAGUUGCUUGCAGUUGUAGUUCAGGUUAGCCACUGAGUCAAAGCUGGCUUGCUGCAGUCAAACUCCACCACCCCCCCUUUGUUGAUACCGAUGCAUAUGUAGCUAGUUCUGAUGUAAGUCUUGCUGGGUACAUUUGUACUCACGUUUGCUUAUUUAUGUUUUUGCAGAGAGACUUCAGUCUCGCAGGUAGUUCCGCGUGGACUUCGACGUUUAGCUUGAUACCUCAGCUACGAUCUUGUGCCCUCGGCAGGAUCUAGUAGAUAGUCAGGCUUCUCAGCCUUUUUCAUUUGUAGAUGUCUGUACUCAGACAUGUUAAGCUUCCGCAUGUGCUUUGACUUGUAUGCUCUGAAUGUUGGGUCAUGAGACCCAUGUUUGUAAUAUCUGGCUCUUCGGGGCCUAAUGAAUAAAUACUCUGAGUCGUAGAGUCUUGUUGUGAUGCCAUGUUGUAUCUGCACAUAUCGAGCCUAUUGUGUGUAUGAUUGAAAUGCUUGGUAUGUGUGGGAUCCGACAAUCUAGUUGUCUAUCCUUAGCAGCCUCUCUUAUGGGGAAAUGUAGUCUAGUGCCUCCUUGAGCCAUAGUAGUCCGCUACAGCCCGGUUCACCGGAGUCCUGCUAGCCCAACACUACUGCUCCGGAACACUUGACUGGCCGGCGUGUGAUUCACUCCGUUCCUGUGUCUGUCCCUUAGGGGAAAUGUCACGCGGUGACAUCCGGAGCCCUGCCUAGCCUGCUACAGCCCGGGUUCCCGGAGUCCUGUUAGCCCAGUGCUACAGCCCGGAUUCGCACGCUGCUGACCGACACGUUCGAUGUUGAUUCAUGUAUGCCUGUCCCCAUACGUUAGUGCCGCUUUGGGUUCACGACUAGCCAUGUCGGCCCGGGUUCUCUGUCAUAUGGAUGCUAGCGACAUUAUCAUAUACGUGAGCCAAAAGGCGCAAACGGUCCCGGGCCAUGGUAAGGCGACACCCGUGGGAAUACCGUGCGUGAGGCCGCAAAGUGAUAUGAGGUGUUACAGGCUAGAUCGGUGUGACUUAGAAUCGGGGGCCCGACACGGCAGCAGUGAGGCGCAGGACGGCGUGGUCGGAGUGGUUCUGGUACGGCGCACAUCGACGUCGGCAUCGUGGAGGCAGGUCUACCUCGGCUUCAGCUGCUAAGUCCUUGAGGGCGUUGCGGUUGCGGUUGCGUUGGACGACGACGUCGGGGUACCGUCUCCGGCAUGAUGGAGGAGGGCGGUGGUGGAUUGGGCGCGAUAGGGUGGAAGACGAAGGAGGCUGGGGUUUUGGCGGCUGGUGGAGAGGGUGUUUAGGCGCCCACGGAGUAUGAAUGGGGAAACGGAGGGAGGCGGGGACCUAAGGGGGAACAAUGUUUUGGUUUGGGACGCGCUUGUUUGAAAUUUGGGGAAAGUUACAAACUUUGCCCCCAUCUAAAAUUUCGGACAUAUUGCGGGUUGGGGGUAGGACAGUAAUCUUAGGUGUCCCAAAUGUGGGUGGGAUAGAUUUCGGCUGAGCGCAUGGGUGUUUAAGCGCCCACAGCGUAUGAAUGCUUCUCGGAGGCAGUUGAGACUGGCGUCUUGGUGAAGUUACAAACCUACCCCGGUUUAGACCUUUGGACAUCGGGCCGAUAGGCUACACGGGCCAGAGUCAGGACAGUAAUUUCCUACCACCAAACAUUAGUCUCGCAUGGCUUCGGGUGACCAGAGGCCUAUUUGGUGCUUCAUUCAAUAUUUGGGAGCAGAAGCAUUAACGUUUUCGGUUCUCUUGAAUUGAACUUUCAGGAUUUGUCAAACUUCACAAAUCUUUACUCUUGAAAAUCCUAAAGCUACGAUUAUUUUGGAAUGGAGGGGGUACAUUUGAAUGUACAUUGUACAUGAGUAUAUAUUAAAAAAUUGCAACUUACCUCAGUUCAUCCAUGGUUCUAGAUAUAAUCUCCUUGGUUGCAAAAAAAAGUUAGACAUGCAUAUGAAUAUAUAUAUAUAUAUAUAGCAUGUUCAAACGCACAACAAAGAUUGAUGCCCCCUUUUACAUCUGAUUUACAAAUGCCAUUAUCUCGGGUUCAAAUAGAUGAAUGCACUUCCUAUGAAUUCGAAUCUUCGAAACCCCCUUUAUGUUGAAUUCGACAUGUAUUCUAUUUCGUAGCUAGAAAUUUGGAAUGUAUCCAUGCAAGUGACAAAUGUAUAAAGUGCUUCACACUAACAACAUGGAGUGCACUAAUUAAUGUUUAUAUAUGAAUCGCAAAAGCAUCCAUUGCAUGUAUUUCAAACCGCUCUCACUCUAUGGAUCGAUAAUAUGAAAUAAACACAUGCACAUGCUAGAAUUCAAUAGAGUAUGGGUCUCUGAUAGACCGAUUUUCGUGCAUACGCAAUUUGCAAAAUUCAUGAUCUCAUCCAAAAAUAAUAAUGCCAUUUAUAUUUUAAUUUAAUGCGUAGAACCGCCUUUUACACGUAGAUGCACUAUGCCUCGGCCGGUUCUCACAAACGCGCUAUAUAUCUCUCUAUCUACCGCAUAAGUGCACGCACUUUAUAUGCAUCGGCAUUUCUCUUUCACACAUGCUCACAAUCUCUCUCGGGGUGUCGGGGAGUCUCACGCACAUGCUCUCUCUGUAUCUCUCUCUCUCUUUCUGACUACUAUGUACCACUCUUUUCACUAAUCUCAGUUGGAAAACACUAUUUCUCUCACAUGCAUAUAUACACACGAACAGUCUCUACUAGACCUCUAUACGCACAUAUAUGUGCCUACGUGUCUCCCGCACGCCCAUUAUCUUUAGGCCUCUCUCGCACACAUUGCCCCCCCAGACACACCUCUCUCUUAGUAGUUGGCAGAUAUGAUUCCAUCAUAUCAUUCGGUAGGAUAUCCCUGACUAUUAGGCUGGAUGGUAAUACGAGGCAAAGUUUUACAGUUCGGACCCUUGCAGUUGAGGAAAAAGCCUACUCCAGGUACUGUAUAUUAGUGAUAGGGGAGUGUACAAAGUACACGUGAAUACCAGGCAUUGUGCGUGUGUGUAUACUAUCGACAAACUAGCCCCCAAGCUUCUAUAACAUACCGGGGGCCUAGGGUUACAAAUCAUAUAUAGUCGGCUUAUCACCAGUGGGGAUAGAGUCCUCCGUGACUCUGGUACCUAGCUUCGUGUUGUACGCCGAGUCCUCCACAUGGGUCUUCGUAUAACGCGUCUUGAUCCAACCUAUGUGGCACAGGAUGGAACCGACCCAUGAGUCCUCAUGUUGACCCACCACAACUAGAAAUGAUGUGCCCACCACACCACACACGCAAUCGGCCACUAAGAAAAUAAGCAUAUACAAUAGUACAAUGUUAUACAUGAAAGUUAAUUGCAUGGUGCAUCCAAAAAUAUUUGUUAUGCAUUGUGAAUAUUUAUAUAUUCUCCUAAAAUAUUAGUCACGGGAAAGAGAAACGAAGGGCAUAUCUCUCCUUGUCUCCACCGGACAUCCCCUCUUUCUACACCACUUUCACGUACGCACACAAACUAUCUCUCGGCCCUCUAAAAGUAUGCAUGCCCAUGACACAUUCACGCGUGACGGUCACUGUAUUUCAAGCUAAAGCACUAUACGGUAGUGGACUUUAGAAUAUGCUCAUUAGGGUCACCGUAUACAUUCUCGUGGUGAUCAUACGGUAUCUAGCUCACGAUACAUCUCCAUAUUUUCUUGAUGGCACUGACGGACUUUGCAUGUGAUGCGUGCUCCGUAUUUUGUUGACGACACUUACGGUCAUUGUAUUUGAAGCGAAAGCACGAUAUGGUCACUGGACUUCAGAAUAAGCUCAUCAUGGUCACCACAUACAUUUUGUCGUGCUAACCAACAUGUGGUUGGAUGGUUAGGAGGACAGUGGUUUCUUGAGCCCACCAGGGUUAAAGUCCCGGUGCUCGCAUUUAUCCUGGGUUAAUUUCAGUGUUUUCCGGCGAUGUGCGUUUAGUGGGAGGAGACGUUCCACUCGACUACGAGGCACCUAUGGUGACUUCGUAAAAUCUCAAGAUCAUAUGCUGGCUCACUCUCUCGAAGGUGCUCAUAGGGGUAGGGUCUGCGUGUGUGCGCUUAUAGCGGUGAGUGCUUGCACGUAUAUAUCAGCCCUUGCGUCUGUACCGUGUUAAAAAAAUACAUGUCAUGAUUAUACGGUCACUGGCUCACCCGUACAACACCGUAUUUUUUUAUGACACAAUCAAUUGACCAGUCAAACGUUCCACGUGGCACAACUAGUUUUGCACCAUCGGGGCGCGUAACCGUGGGACCCACCUGUCAGCCCGUAUAUGAAAGAAAUAAAUGGUACUUUGAGUUUGUACUGUGUUAAUACAUUUUAGGGUGAUCAUACGGUCACUGGCUCACCAUACAGCUCCGUAAUUUGUUGAUGACACGAUCAAUUGACCAGUCAAACGGUCCACAUUCAGCAGCGCACAUUACCAUAGGGCCCACCCGUCAGCGCGUAUAUGAAGGACACAAAUGGUAAUAAAUUAGUGGUCGGUGGGUACUCGAAGUCGUGANNNNNNNNNNNNNNNNNNNNNNNNNNNNNNNNNNNNNNNNNNNNNNNNNNNNNNNNNNNNNNNNNNNNNNNNNNNNNNNNNNNNNNNNNNNNNNNNNNNNNNNNNNNNNNNNNNNNNNNNNNNNNNNNNNNNNNNNNNNNNNNNNNNNNNNNNNNNNNNNNNNNNNNNNNNNNNNNNNNNNNNNNNNNNNNNNNNNNNNNNNNNNNNNNNNNNNNNNNNNNNNNNNNNNNNNNNNNNNNNNNNNNNNNNNNNNNNNNNNNNNNNNNNNNNNNNNNNNNNNNNNNNNNNNNNNNNNNNNNNNNNNNNNNNNNNNNNNNNNNNNNNNNNNNNNNNNNNNNNNNNNNNNNNNNNNNNNNNNNNNNNNNNNNNNNNNGAUGAUAAACUGCAUGACCUUGAUUUCGUAUCCAACGGCUGGAAAAUCUAAUGACCAGAGAUGAAAAGUCAGUCGACUGACGUGUAGCCUCACCCCACACGUACACAUGCACGCACGCAAGACACGCACGCAUGCAUGCGUGCAACACUAACACGUAAACUUAACAAACACACGCAUGUACGCACACAUGCAUGCAACACUGAAACGUACCCUUGCACGCACGCAACACUCGCACGCCUGCAUGCACAAGCACACGACGCAAGACACACGCUCAACCUAUACGUGCAUGCACCCUUUGUUAAGGACAUGGAUUGUUAUGGGUAUUAGUCAAUCUUAUCUGUGAUAAGCAGAACAUUGAUGUUUGCAGCGGUCUUUAUGAAUCAAAAUGUAUCGAACGGCUAUCAACAUAGUAGGCUUAUCUACAUGAAAAGGAUGACAUCCCACUCAAUGAACAAUCAUCGGUUUAUGAAAUGCCCGCUUCUGACCGCCCUAGCCCACCAAAGGUUCCUCCGCUGUGCGCUGCCUGUGUUGGGUCACUGACAUGCAGGCCAUGUACCCAAAGAGCCCACACGUCAAUGGAAGAACGGCGCGGUGUCCUACGUCAGAGUCGAGGGCACCACUCGCUGCACGCCCGGCUGAACACGCCUCCUUGCCGCAUUCAAACGCCUCCAUGAGACCCGCCCAUGUGGAAGCCGAGAAACCCACUCUGGACACACGUCCGUUCAUGACCGGGCCGGCAUUAAACGCAACGCCGUCCGAGCUCCUCCCGUAUGCCGUCUAUUUAAUCUCCUAUUUAAACGAGGCCAAACGCCGGCCAAGAAUCGCACACCUCCGCCGCUCCCCUAUCUCCUCUUUCACCAUUUUGUCCACUCUUACAAUGGCUUACGAAGAGUAGUUAUUCUGCACAAGCCAUUUGUCUAGGUUUGUAUCUCUCUCACACACCCACGUAGGUGGGGGACGUGCACGAAGAGAAGAGGUGCACGCACAGCGCACGUACUCCCGUCUCUUUCACAAACACACCCACGCGGGUACACAGUGGAGCUCAUUUCUGUACAAAAAGGCAGCCCACGUGGUAAUUUGACACGUGUACUGGUUGUCCACUUGAUGGAGGGAGGAUCGUCUACCACGGGUGAACAAACAAAUUGCGACUUGACGCGUUAUGUUAAAAAACAGGCAUACCAUGUGGGGCCUACCUUAGAGGCAAGGCUCUAUACACUGGAGUACUUUUGAUGUGUCCCGUCAACUCGCAAAACGAGGAGAAGCUUGCUUAGUAUGUUGUCUCCCCCGCCCACGGGCACGGUGGCUCACAGGAUGAGAUGAAGCUUGCUUACUAGUAGUAGUAUUGUACGCCUUACGCCCGCUCCCUCGCCCACGCCAGCGGUGGCUCGCAGGACGAGGAGAAAAUUUUACUACUCCCUCCGUUUACUCCUCGUCCCAACUACCUUGGUUAGAGAGAUUACCAUAUUGUUUGGAAUAUAUAUGUCCUUUAGUACUCCCUCCAUUUACUUAUACAAGGCCACUAUAAAAAAAAUACAUUUUGCAUCCAUACAAGGCCACAAAUAGUAAUCGAGACAAAAGUUACUACUCCCUCGUUUCCAGUUUAUGGCUCAAUUUCAAAAUCUCUCCAACCAAGGUAGACAGUGAGUGGUCGAAUUAAUUUCAUACUCCUAGUUUGCACAAGUAAUUAGUACGCUCGUUUUUCUCAAGAAGUUAUAUUUACCGAGGCAUUAAUUAGAACGAAUGCAUGAAUGACCACUAAAUUUCCAUGAACUUCUACAUGCAUUGGUGAGUUUUCUCUUGACACUGCUUGCAUGGGGUGAUCUAACACACCUUGAAAUCCAACAUGUGAUGGUACUACUACUAGUAGUAGAAUUGAGACUUAUAAAACGGAAAAAUGAAUGUUUUUUAGAUGAUCCCUAUAAACCCUAGUGGGUACGUACUCCGUAAAAUCAGAUUUUCCCAAAACUAAGUCGCUCAACCUUUAUUUGCUUGUUUCCCUUCCUGCCUCCUUGCCUCGAACAGACUAUGCCAAACUCCCCUUCCUGCCACGUGGGAAAAGACCCGCCCUCGCCUUUUUUUAGUCCGGGUUUGUAUCGAUGGAUCGCGCGAAGCAGCAAAAACCCAAGCCGUGUCUUGUACUCCUCCGUCGACGCUCGCUUUCAUGAAUUCUGUACUUCCUGUCACCGACAUGUGGGACAUAUAGCAACCGGGUCGAUGUGUCAAGCUCCAAAUAAUAGUGCAGAACAGCAGGGGGGAUGCACCCUAGUCGUACCGCCCCAUUAGUAGUAGUAAUGAGCAAUGAGACAUCAAAUCACAAUGCCGCACCUUCCCAGACGGACGAAGCAACCAUUAUUUCACAGUUCGGUUCGCCAUCAUCUCAAACCACGUAGUAUUGCUUCUGCCUGAAGAGGGACACACGCAUCGCCAUGGUACAUCAUGACACGUGGGACCGCAUGACAUGCCAUGCUCCCCCGCCGAUCGCUCGGUUAAAUCACCACAUUUUUACUACUAUACUUCCUCUGUAUCGGCUUACAUGGCAUGCACGUCGUUCUAGGUUGAGAAUUUAACUCGCUAUAUAUGUGAUGAACUAUAUAUGUUUAGAAACUACAUCCGCUUAAUAAUCCAAUGAUAUACUUUUUGUGACAUAGUAACUCAUAUUUAGUUAGUCAAAUGGAUGACCUAGAACUACGUGCACGCCCUAUAAACCGAGAAGCCUAAAAAACGAGACGGAGAGGGUAGUUCAGUACGUAUCUUUUUAGAUCAAUAUAGUCAGGAUUCACCAAGGAGCAAAACCAAGUGGUAGGUUGCACCUGUUGACUCAAGCAGGGUCAGUCCGCACACGAAAUGGCGACACACUUAGGGGCUGUUUGGUUCUAGGCCUAGGAGUGCCACACUUUGCCAUACAAUGUUUGCCAAACUUGCCUAAGGUUAGUUCUUCAAAAAGAGAGCCACAAGUUGGCAAGCCUAAGGGAAUCUUGCCACACUUUUUAUGUGUAUGUGAUGUGGGACCAUAGUGUGGCUUGCCUAAGAUGCGGCUUGAACCAAACACACACCUAAGUUGGUCAAACUUGCCUAACCUUAGGUGUGGCAAGCUUUGGCAAACUUAGUCUCAAACCAAACAACCCCUUAACAGGACCCCUUUGGCCGACAUGUGGCUCGUCCACCGUCUUGUUCCACGUGCGAUCCACCAAAUUAUAGUUCGGAGCAGCAACUGGAAUUGGAGGCACCCCGGUCGUAGCGCCACAGUAGUAGAAAAUGAGCGAUGAGGGGUCAAAUCACAAAGCCCCACCUUUCCCGCAUUAAGCUGGACGGACGAAGCAACCAUCAUUUCACUCUAGGGUGCAAGAGCAUAAAAAAAAGAGAAAACCAAUGAUGCGUGUGGUAGCUACCUAGGGCACCCUAGGGUAGGGGUCUCCACUACAGAUCAUUUUUUUUGAAAGCGCCUCCACUACAAAUCGGCUUCUCCCUCGUCCUCUUGAAGAAAACCGAUCAUGCGUGUGGCGGUACGGUUUGUAGGAGUACUAUUACGGUGUGCGGGGCCACGUCGUAGUAAACGGGAGAGGGAUUGAGUUUGAGUCGACGCCUUAAAUAUGUGUGGGACGCUUGGUUUUAGGGGAACGAGGCAGCAUUUUGGGUUCGGGGACCAGUGGAGAUAUAGUACGUACAAAAAAUUGUGGACAUAGGUUCGACCGAAAGGCAAUGAUGCAUGGGCCCUGCAUUUUGACAUACCCGGGGCCGCGUGAAAUUUGCUACUCUACUCAAAACUAGUAAGGUACACAUGCAUUGAACGCAUGAGAUUUCGAAACCAAAUUAUGAAUAAAUACACACUAUAGCAUGUAAAGCUUUGAGUCAUAUAUGCAUGAUGUAGAUGUUCGUUUAGUUCUUAUAGUUCAUCUCAUUCAUAAUCAAUUAGUUUUAUAAAAAUGUUAAGAUUCAUGGGGUUGUGCAUUGUAAAGCAUAAAGUAAAAAACAAAUAAUGGCAAUUCAUUUAGAAAGAAAAUCAAUUAUGAUAUGGAAGAUUCUAGAACAAAGGAGAAGUGCUUGUGUUUUGAGGUUUGUGCAUUAUGCUUAAGUUCAACCAUGGAGUCUUCUAAAUUGUACAUGUGGCAGAUCUGGUGGAAUGUUGAUGAUAUCCAACGGCCAAUAGUGCUCGGAUUUGCCAUCUCUGCACUGUCGGAUUAGCUUCAUCCAGCGACAUCUUUCAAGUUAUUCGCACACUAUAUAGUUCUUGUGCCAUAGUUGCAUGUCUUGGAAAAAAGCUACUAGUGGGUUGUACUAGCUAUUUAGGAAUAGAAGAUGUAUACAUGGAAGUUGUACGGAAAGAGAUGACAUGGAGUAUCUCAAUUCCUAUGAGUAGGGAUUGGAAAAGAGAUGUCAUUUGGUUCAUAUCAUAGGAACUUUUCUAUUGAAUCUAGAGAUGACAUGUAUCUCAAUUCCUAUGAGGAGGGAUUAGAAAAGAGAUGUAAUUUGGUUCAUAUCAUAGGAACUUUUCUAUUGAAUAUGCGCUAAUGUUUAUUUUCCUUUGAAAUUAUGGGAGUAUAGGAAUCCAUUCAUAUGAACCAAGUGGCUCUAAAGCUAUAGAAAUGAUAUCAUGUUUAUUUCCUUUGAAAUGUGGAGUAUAUGAAUCUAUUCAUAUGAACCAAUUGGCUCUAAAGGAAAAAAUCCUAUAAAAAUCAUAUCAUAUAGAGAUCCUAUGAUAUUCCUCGACACCAAAUGAUGGUUGAAAUUGCUGCGGGUGAUACGAUGGUCUUUCUUUGUAGACUCCUCCCCCAUCUUUAUAGUUACCUCUCGAAGAUGAAUGAAAUGAUAUAUACAGGGUAUUCUACAUGUGCAAUUUGGUACACGAAAACUCGGUAAAAGUUUACGAGGUUCGAAUUUUCAAUAAAGCUAUAUGCACUGCAUUUUGGAACGGAGGGAGCAUACGGCAGUUUCUAACACUCACGUGGAAGAUUUGUGUGUAGGAGGAGUGGCUGUUCUGUUAAAUGACAUGGCAAAACUGACACUGUCGGAUGCCGAUCUAACGGUUCUUACGGUGUUCGUCAGGAAAAGGCUUGUGGCGAACGUUUGUCGGAUAAUGAUUUACGGACACAUGCAUUGCAUUGAUACGUGUCCCCCUCUCUCUCACACACACGCACCCUCCCAAGUCCUCUCGCACCCACCGUCUAUCUACAGGUAGACGUCACACACAUAUGUGCUCUUCACACCCUACCCUCAGAACUUCUAAAAAACAAAAGACGCCGCGCACAUUUUAUUUUAGCUCACACGUCAUACACUUAUACUAUUACUCUUGUGGCGAACGUUCUUUGGGCAUAGUAUAUUGUACUCUCAUGAAGAGAAGCGGUGCACGCACGCACUAGUUCUCUCACACCCACUCGCGGGUACACGUAGGAGCGCAUUUUUUUGAAGCUGGUACAACAAAAUCACUCCACUAUAUAUAUAAGCAGGAGCCUUAGCGCUUGCUUUACUAGGGUUCCUCUCGUUCACUCUCUCAUGGUCUCCAGAUCUAAGCAAGACAUAGGUGGCCACACUCUCUCUCAGCUCACGGAUGGUCACAAAUCUGGCCAGACAACCUCGACCGGGGCAGGGGUGUAGGUGCAUCGUUCACGCUGGCGUCGACGGUGAGGGAGGAGACCAACGGCUACCCGUGCAUCCCGAUCGGCGGCCAUGCCGUUCUCUCCGAGAGAGUGCCGACUCCGGAGGGCCUCCGGCCCCUUCUUCCUCCCUGCGGUAUUGUGGCCAAGAUGCGGCCUCCCGACACCGGCUUUGCCACAUGCUGACGACCCUCAGGUAUAUAUUCCUUCGAAACCUGCCUUGCUCUACUGCCCCAGCUCCCCACUUGGCUUCGCGUGGAUCUUUUUCUAAUUCCGUCCGCUGUUCCAAAGCCACCUAGACUUUUACUAUUAUUAGAGGUAAAGUUAGUUCAUACAGUCGAAUCUAAGAGUUGGUUCAAACAGGGAAGAAAGUGGGAAAGCUGUAGCAUGAAUCUAGGACUUGGUUCUAAGAGGAAACGGGGGAAAGUAGUAGAUACUGACUACCCAACCGGUCUCUUGGUUGAAAAGACGAAGAAAGCAUGGUGGAUGGCGAAGGGUGGGGGGAAGUGGACCUAUCUCUUGGUUGAAGAAGGAAAGAAAGUGACGGGUGUUGGGGGACAAUGCAAAUGAGAAUGAGCAGGUCUAGAUUUCCUGUGCUCACAUAGGAAAAUGUCGCCGAGGAUAUGAAAAAUGGGACAAAUGCAGACAUGUUGCCUGAGUGUUUGCCGCUCUCGGCAACCACAUCUGCCUCACCACUUUAUGCCCUUGUUGUCCCUAUGCCCAUAUCGCUGACGGUAAUCUAAAAUCACAUGAAGCAUUAAGCAAUGCCACCUAAUGUCACUAUAAGUAAUGGUCUAGUGCCGUCGAUAAAUUGAAGCAAUGCCACAACCAUUUUAUGAAGUGAUUCCGUCUUGCUUUAUUUCCCAUGAAUUGUAUUUUUGCAGUUACACUUAAAUCUCACACCGCUAAUAUUGCUUCAUCCCAGUGGAACUGCACAAAUUUGAUUGCACAUUUACUGACCAUGUGCUACUCUCAUGACAGUAAUACUAAUGCUAUUGUUCUGCAUGUUAAUCUAGUGGCAGUGUUGAUGUGAUGUGAUGCUACUUACUUAAGGACACUUUCAUACUGCCAAUCUAGUGCCAAUUAUAACACAAUAGAUGCUGCUGUUAAUCAUACGCCACUGCAAAUAUCUGUCACUAUUUAAAUAACCGUAUUUCGAAUUUGCGCAAACAGGGAUGUCUGUCUCCAUAUCGUUUCAGUAUGUGUGUCUCCGUAUCGUUUCUAUCCGCGCAAUCAAAAGCACACACCUCAAUUUUAGUAGAACUGCGCAAAAUGAGAUGGCUAUCCCUCGUUGCCGUCGUCUAACCACCCAUCUUCCAGGUAUUCCUACAUUGGUAGUUACUAGGUAGAAUGACCAACACAAUAUACAAGAAGUUGAUUCGUACGUUUUACUUCCUGAUUGCAGUGUAGGGACGAGCGAAAACAACUGCAUCCUAGUCUGGAAUGCACUUUCUACCAGUUCAUCCAUGGACCGAGGACUAGCUGGCACGGCUGCACGGCGGUUUUUUGGACAGGUGCGUGGACAAGAGGCAUUGUGGUCUGCUUAUUUCUGCAAAUAGUGGUGCUUAAAUUUAGUGGAAUGCACAAGACUUUCAGCUGGUCAGUACACUACAUGGUUCAGUUCAGCAUUCCAUCUGAGAACACAAUUGUAAUUGGUUAUUCUGGAAUGAGAGAACCUAACCCUGGAUGGUGGCAACAAGAAAAAACCAGAGUGAACUCCAGGAAAUUUAAGCCUGCCGGGAGGCCCUUUGCUCAGAGAAGCCUUGCUUGUUUUUUCCUGAUUUGUAAACCUUCUCACAACUUUGUCUUUUCCUAUGAACUAGUAUAUGUUUGUUAUGUUCUAUGAAUCAUUGAGAUGUAUAAAAUUUCUGAACAUAUGCUUUUCAAGUUUUUUAUGAAGCCGAGUUUAAUAUGAGUGUUCCACAUGAACGCUGGACUAGCGUGUGAACGUUUGGAAUUUACAUUGUGGCCUUAGUUAACUGCAUGAACCACUGUAACAAGAUACAUAGUUGCUUAUAUGUCAGAUAGCAGAUUGUUGAUUGUUAGUUGGUCGAUAGCCUAGUUUUGAAGCGAGCUGAGCCAAUGUGCCAUGUUUUGCACAACUGCUUACAAGUGGGGUAGCACCAACAGUGUUUACAAGUACUUAUGUAUACGUCAGCGCACAGUUCUCGAACGAGUACUCUAUUUCAUCAAAACACACACUGCUUGUAUGAUAAACCGUGACAACUUAUGUCUUACCAUGCCAUAUUCAUGAAAAAACUAGUGAGGACGCAUCUGUUUCGGCAACAAUUACGAUGGUUCUCACAUAAUUCACUGGCACACAAAAGUAGAAGCAGUUCCCAUAGACGGAUUCAAAAAGAGUACUAGCCCCAGAGGGCUCGAUAACAGGCAGGGUUCGGAUAAUUAGACACAAUCCAAACUACUAUUAAACACUAGCUAGGGCAACUAUUUCAUGCCUCGAUCUAAUUUGGGCUGGACACAAGACAGACCAUGAACAUCAUCGAGGACGUCCGGCAGCAGCUCAAUCCUGUGAACCUUCAUGAAGACAACCUUGUGGCCUUGCCACUCAUAUACUUAUUUGUGGAGGCAUGCCACGUCAUCUUCCUGCGUAAGCUUGACAAGAACAGUAUGCCUCACAAACGAAGGAGUAGCUUUGAACUUCUUGUGCUUCAGUACACCCUGGACAACACGCCUGACAACAGUGAGGCUGGAAUACAACUCUUCAUUGGUAUAAGCGCAAAUGGCUUCCAGGAUCCAACAGCCUAAAAACUCUGUUUUCCCAGUGCGUAUAUUCAGGUCAUCCGCCUCAUAGCGAGUGACAUGUACAACCACACAAUCCUUGUCUGCAUCAGGGCUCUAAUUGAAACAGAAACAAAUUCUGAAUUACUUUCGAGUAUAAGAAACACAAGUUAUUUAAACCACUAUGUAUAGCAUGGCAUCGAAUCUAAUAAAAUUUUGCAUUAUUCAUCACCACAUACUUAGUUGAAAAACCACAAUCGAGAUUGGCAAAGAAGAAAAUCACNNNNNNNNNNNNNNNNNNNNNNNNNNNNNNNNNNNNNNNNNNNNNNNNNNNNNNNNNNNNNNNNNNNNNNNNNNNNNNNNNNNNNNNNNNNNNNNNNNNNNNNNNNNNNNNNNNNNNNNNNNNNNNNNNNNNNNNNNNNNNNNNNNNNNNNNNNNNNNNNNNNNNNNNNNNNNNNNNNNNNNNNNNNNNNNNNNNNNNNNNNNNNNNNNNNNNNNNNNNNNNNNNNNNNNNNNNNNNNNNNNNNNNNNNNNNNNNNNNNNNNNNNNNNNNNNNNNNNNNNNNNNNNNNNNNNNNNNNNNNNNNNNNNNNNNNNNNNNNNNNNNNNNNNNNNNNNNNNNNNNNNNNNNNNNNNNNNNNNNNNNNNNNNNNNNNNNNNNNNNNNNNNACUGCUCCUGCAGUGCCACGGGGGUUGUAACCUCGAACGGGGCGUUGACCAUCUCAGUAGUGGCCGUGAGCGUAUCUGGGGUCGGCUCGGUGGCUGCCUCCAUCUUCUUGGAGCUCUCUGUCUUGUGGGGAUCAGCCUCCCGCAUCUGCUCCAAUAUUGGCAGAUCUUUGCCUGGUUCUCCUUGGUCCAUCAUGAAAAUGACGAAUACUAGGAGACCACUGAAAGGAAAACACAAUCGCAAUGACACAAAAAAGAGAGUGAGGACCGGUUACUGCUUUGCAAAAGUUUUUUUCUCUGAACGAAAAUAUACCAACAUCACGGAUCUGCUUACCUUCCCUUCGUUGGGAGAGAAGAACAGUGGCAGAUGCGAGUGUUGCCUUUCUUGAAGACGGUGAGGGAGAAGGGGAUUCAGCGAAGAGUGAAAUGAUGGUUGCUUCAUCCGUCAAACUUAGACUGCGGGGAGGUGGGGUUUUGUGAUACGACGGCUCGUUAUUGCCGCGCUACGACUGGGGUGACUCUCCACCUGCAUACUGCCUUCUAAUUUGGUGGAUGGCAUUUGGGCCCCCGCGCUGCAUGGCCCGCAUGUCGAUGAACAAAAGUAUAAUGGCAUUCAGUAGAGGGAGACGUUUCGAUGACCUAGGAGGAGCCAGAAGCGGUAUUGUAUCCACUGUACUAGUAGUAAUUGUUUUUCUGGGUAGCUGUAGAGUGUCUCCACUGUUCUAGUAGUAAUUGUCUCUCUGGGCCCAAGACAAAACAGCCCAUCCACCCUAGUAAAUAGUAAAAUCAAUUCAAAAGUCCAUAUAUUUACUGAAUGAGAGGCGCUACCCACACCCAGCACACCGCCCCCCAAAAAAACCUGGGUGUUCUUCUUCCUCCUCACUCCCACCCACCUCACGUCAGCUCGCUCCACUCGUACCCCUAAAUUCCUCACCUCACUCCUACAGAAAACCCCAGCUCCCCUUCUUCCUCACUACUACAGAAAAACCCUAGCUCCCCUUCUUCUUCACUCGCACUACAACUAGGCUCGUCAUUCGUUACUCUACUCAAAUCCGUGAGCGCGAUGCGACACCCUCGAGGAAAUGGAGUCGGCUGACCCCAGCGCCAAGAAGAUGAGGCUACCGCCAGCGGCGACGCUUGUUGUAGAUCCCGCACCCGGCAGCGUGGGGGAAGCGGCGACCCCGCUCCCACCGGAUCGCAGGAACCCGCAGAAUCUCGGGUGGACCACAUCAGCGAUCUCCCGGACGCCGUCCUUGGGGAGAUCAUCUCGCUUCUCCCCACCAAGGAUUGCUGCCCCACCCAAGUCCUCUCAAUUCGGUGGCGCCCUCUAUGGCGUGCCGUGCCCCUUAAUCUCGACUGUCGUCAGCUAUCUCUCUUCAAUGAUUUUGAAAUCCCCAGAGCCAUCAUCUCCUCACACCAGGGCUCCGUUCAAAACCUCUGCAUCCCGUCAUGCUACCCGAGCAAGCAUACCAUGCCCUGCACGGUGGACGCCUUAAUUAAAUCCCCUGACUUCACAGAACUACAGCUGCUUGAGUUCUACUAUUCCCCUGGAAAUCACCUACCAGGUACCGAACGCCAUCUACCUGUGCCCUCAGCACCGAUGUCCAUCUCGCGGUUUUCCUCCUCUCUCCACACCGCCACCUUUGCGUUGUGCGACCUCCCAGACAAUCUGGUACUAAACCUUCGACUCCCAUUUCUCAAGAAACUUUCACUUGUGCGGGUUCGUAUAUCGGAGGACUCAUUGCACAGCAUCAUCCGCUCCAGUUGCCCUGCCCUGGAGUGCUUGGCGCUUGUUUUCACAGUUAGAAUCGGUUGUCUCCAAAUAAAGUCGCCUAACCUUGUAAGAAUUGGAAUUUCUUUUGACGGAAGGCAGCUCAUCAUCCAAGAUGCCCCUUCACUUCAAAGGUUGAUCCUUGAUUCUAGUUAUUCACCGUUGCUAAUAACCGUCCUCUUUGUGCCUAAACUGGAGACCUUGGGUGUAAUACAUGAUCUCUGUGCUCAUUUCAAUAUGGUGUUUGGCUCCACAGUUCUUCAGGUACUUUACAUUAUUAUCUACACUUGUAGCCGUAAGCUGCAUUUUAAAUUUCUGCGCAUAAGUUAUAUGUCAUCUUGGAGUACACAUUUUGUACUAAUAUUAUGUUCUAUGCUCAAUGAAGAGUUUCUCCAUGGAUGACCUAUCAAUGGUGCUGGAUUCUGUCAAGAUGUUAUAUAUCCAAAUGAAUAGUUUUGAUCUGAACAAGAUUAUUGGCUUGCUGCAAUGCUUUCCAUGUCUGGAGAAGUUGUACAUAAAGGUGAUAAUUUCACGCACAUUGGAAGCCCGCAUAUAGUGUACUAGAAUUAACCGUUCAGCUGUUGCUCUUUCGACACUCUUUUUUUAGACCUUAAUUGUUUUCAAUCUUCAUGUCUAUUUAGGCAACAUGACGGGAAAGAAAGUUAUAACCAAUCGGUGGAUUCGUAAGCAUCGGGAUUUUCUCACUUCUCAUGAGAUUCGAUUGAAGACAAUAACGCUAGAACGAUAUCUAGCCAACCGUGCAAACACUAGAUUUGUCACAUUCUUCCUGCUGAAUGCGAGAUUACUAUUGUCCAUCAGGCUUAAGUUUAUCAGCAGCAUGGUUUUGACGGAUGGGUAUGUGGAAGAGCAGAAAAAGGAGUUUCAGGUGGGCAAAAGAGCUUCUGAACGUGCCGGGCUUCUAUUUACAACAUAUUGUGGUCAUAAUCCAGUAAAUUUUACGACCCAGGAUGUUCAUUCUAUGGACCUGACCGAUCCAUUUGACUGUGACUGCCGAAAAUAGUGCUGGAGUUAGAUGUUGUUGCCCUUUUCAACCUGGGUUUUUUUUCGUAAACCUCAUGAACAAUUAACCCUCGUGCUUUUGUACAGUUUGUAAGCUGGAGUUAGAUGUUCUUGCCCUUUUCAACUCGGCUAUGACUGUCAUAUUUUCUUUGAAGCAAGGCAAAUGGCUUGCCAGUCAUUUAAUUUAUAGUGAAAUAUUGUAACAACUAACAAAUCCCAACCAAGGGAAAUAACAUCACUCUCGCUGGCUGCUUGAGCUCACUGUGCAUUACAGAAGCCAAGUGAUUAGCCCCCACCAGCACCCACAAACUUAUUUUGAACUAGCACAUCAAAUGGGCUGUAAAUUUUCAUAGGAAAGGCUGCAUGACCGUGACAUAUUUGGAUUCUGACAUUUGGGUCCCGCGAGGAAAUAGCCUAUCCAAGGUGGUGUCGACUUACAAGCUAGUCAACAAACGAUUCUGCCUACCAGCCGUUGCAUUGACAUCCAACAUCUGUCGUGUAUCUUCUAUCUCUUGUCUUCUUCUUCCUCCAGCCACCCAAACCAAACCACCCCGUUGGCUCCGCCUGCUCCCGCCUCCCAUAGCUGGUUGCGCCUCCGCCGCCCUACCGUACAUACCCUCCAACAUUGGCCAGUCCCUCCCUCUGUUCCCUCACACGUCCUGUUAUUCUCCGGCGACGUCAGCCCCAACAUGCACCCGCACCCAAACCAGUCAACCCUCGUACUCCCCUCCGCCUGCGACUAGACCGGCGCAUCUUCCACGGCUCCUGUUCGUUCCGUCCGAGGCCUCGCCGUCGUCCUCCGCCUUGCGGCCUUGGUUCGCUCGCCGUGCGCGGUGCGCCGCCCUCUUGCGUUGUCAACAUCGUCAACAACCGAGAGGAACAAGGAGAUGACUGUACAUGGAGAGGAUGACAGUAGGGACCCACCAGCGUCAUGGCAGUACGCAAGCAAGUGCCUCUAUAUUACAAGCCCAAAAAUAUGGUUCCUCCUAAUGGUUGGACAUCUGGGGCUCACGCCAUUGUCAACAUAGUCAAUAAACGAGAGAAUUACACUACGAGCGGAUGACAUCAGGGAUCCAGCAGGUCGCACAGUUUUUUUUUGAGGAACAAGUAGUUGUUAUUUAUACUAGUUUUAGCGAUGGAUCAGGGUAACAACGAGGCUCUGCGGGGGCUGUGGCCCGUCUAGUCGGGGUUUUAUUUAUGUUUACCACAUCAUGAGCCCAGUUGUGUUUUUUUCUUGCUGAAAAUGGCUAGCCCAGUUCUAUUUCUUUAAGAAAUACCAAAACGAGGACUACUUGCUUUAUCAGCCCUGCUGGGCUGCAAAUCUUUCAAGACGAGGAGAGUUUCAUUUGGUUUGCCCAGAAAUGGGCUAUACAUUUUUUAAACACAUCAAACCGGGAAUUAGUUUCAAAUUUCAUAUACUUUUUAACCGUGGCCACAAUAUGGGGUGUAAUGCUAAUAAAAAGAAGAUGGGCUCCAAAAAAAUUCUUAAGAAUUAGCAAAUGGGUUGUACAUUAUUAGAAAUAAUGCACACGAGAGCAGUGACUGUUGGAUGUCCAUCCAACGGCUGUCGUGCUUCUUCAAUCUCUGCUCUUCCUGCUCCAGCCGCUCAAACAAGCCCCGGCGGGACUGCCUGCUCCCUCCUCCCACGACUGGCUAUGCUGCCGCGCAGGCCUCACCGCCCCACCGUACUCCCAUCGCUGGACUAGCCAUCCCUCUACUCACCCACACCCGUUGUUAUUCUCCGGUGACGGUAGACGAACCAGUAAAUCCUCGUACUCCUCCGCGUGGGAAACAACUGCCGAGUCUUCCCUGGCUCCGUGUCGUUCCCUUCCUAGGCCUCGCCGUCGUCCACCGCCCUGGUGCUCUCGGCGCUACCUGGCCAACGUGGUCAAUGAACGAUAUCCAUCAGAAGUGGACUGUACAUGGAAAGGCUGACAGCUAGGUCCACGGCCGCACGCAAGGAAAUGCCUCAUUAUUACGCGCAAAAUAAUGAUUCCUCCACCUGACAGCUAGGACCCACGGGAAGGGCUUCUGUAUUUCGCAAAAAAAUGUUCCCCCGUUGAAAGGUCGGACCCGCCAGCUAUAUCUCCGCACUCAAGGAAGUGCCUCCUUAUUACACAAAAAAAUGAAUACCCCCUGCUAGCUGGGACCCACCAUAGUGGGUGGCUGACUUGUGGGCCUACUAAGUUGACGGGGAUGGAGGGCUUUGUCAACUUAGUCAAUAUGAACGAUUCUAGAUCCAGUGACCGUACAAUGUCCAUCCAAUGGCCAUAGUGCUUCUUCAACCUCUGGUCUUCUUGCUCCAACCGCCCAAAGCAGCGCCGGUCGUGCCACUUGCUCCUGCCUCCCGUGGCCGGCUGUGCUGCCGCGGAGGCCUCACCGCCCCCAUACUACUCCCACCGCUGGCCAGGCCAUCCCUCCACUCACCCACACCCCCUGUUAUUCUGCGGCGACGGCAGCCUCACACCGCAGCCGAACCAGUGAACCCUCGUACACCUCUCCGCGUGGGCAUCCACUGCCGCGUCUUCCCCAGCUUCGCGUCGUCCCCUUCCUAGGCCUCGCCGUCAUCCACCGCCUUGGUGCUCUCGGCACGGCGUGGUCAAUGUGGUCAACGACCGACUUCCAUCGGAAGAGUACUGUACGUGGAGAGGCUGACAGCUGGGUCCACGGCCACAGCCCAGUUUUUUUGUGAUUUGCCAAGUAAGUCGCUUUGUCAGGCCUGUUGGGCUGGAAAUCUUUCAAGACGAGGAGAGCUUCAUUCGGCUGGCCGAGAAAAUGGCCUAUCAGUAAUGAGAAAUGUGCUGUACAUUUUUAAAACACAUCAAACCAGCAAUUAGUUUCAAAUUUCUUUUUUUCAUUUCGAGAUUUUAAAUUGCAUUGAUUUUUAUGCGUGGACAAUUUGUUGGAUUUUAUAUUGAUAUACAUUUAUUUUUCAAAUCAGUUUGAAUGUGACUCAAAAUUUCGGGAUUAAAAACAGUUCGGACCGCACCGAAAUAUGCAAAAUUUCAUAUAAUGUUUUAACCGUGGCCACAAUAUGGGUUGUAAUGCUAACAAAAAGAAUAUGGGCUAAAAAACCUUAAGAAUUAGCAAAUGGGCUGUAAAUUAUUAGAAAUAAUGGCAGAUGGGCUGUAUGCUUUUUUCCACAGAUUGGAGGCUUUCCUAAAAAAAGGUUGACGCACAAGUAGUGACUGUUGGAUGUCCAUCCAACGGCCGUCGUGCUUCUUCAAUCUCUGCUCUUCCUGCUCCAGCCGCUCAAACAAGCGCCGGCGAGACUGCCUGCUCCCUCCUCCCCGCAGCCAGCUGUGCUGCCAUGCAGGCCUCACCGCCCCACCGUACUCCCAUCGCUGGCCUAGUCAUCCCUCUACUCACCCACACAUGUUGUUAUUCUCCGGGGACAGCAGACAAACUUGUAAACCCUCGUACUCCUCCGCGAGGGAAACAACUGCCGAGUCUUCCCUGGCUCCGUGUCGUUCCCUUCCUAGGCCUCGCUGUCGUCCAACGCCCUGGUGCUCUCAGUGUGGCCUGGUCAACGUGGUCAACGACCGACAUGCAUCUGAAGUGGACUGUACGUGGAGAGGCUGACAGCUGGGUCCACGGCCGCACGCAAGGAAAUGCCUCCUUAUUACGCGCAAAAUAAUGAUUCCUCCACCUGACAUCUGGGACCCACCGAAAGGGCCUCUGUAUUUUGCGAAAAAAAUGUUACCGUCGCUGACAGCUCGGACCCACCAGCUAUAUCUUCGCACGCAAGGAAGUGCGUCCUUAUUACGCACAAAAAAAUGAAUACUCCCCCUGCUAGCUGGGACCCAGUAUAGUGGUAGGCUGACUUGUGGGCCUACUAAGUUGACGGGGAUGGAGGGCUUUGUCAACUUAGUCAAUAUGCAUGAUUCUAGCUCCAGUGACCGUACGAUGUCCAUCCAACGGCCGUAGUGCUUCUUCAACCUCUGGUCUUCUUGCUCCAGCCGCCCAAACCAGCGCCGGUUGUGCCUCGUGCUCCUGCCUCCCGUGGCCGGCUGUGCUGCCGCGGAGGCCUCACCGCCUCUACUACUCCCACCACUGGCCAGGCCAUCCCUCUACUCACCCACAACCCCUGUUAUUCUGCGGGGACGGCAGCCUCACACCGCAGCGAACCAGUGAGCCCUCAUACUCCUCUAGCGUGGGCAUCCACUACCGCGUCUUCCCCGUCUCCGCGUCGUCCCCUUCCUAGGCCUCGCCGUCGUCCACCGCCCUGGUGCUCUCGGCACGGCGUGGUCAACGUGGUCAAGGAACGGCUUCCAUCGGGCGUGGACUGUACGUGGAGAGGCUGACAGCUGGGUCCAUGGCCACAGCAAGGAAGCGCCUCCUUAUUACGCGGAAAAUAAUGAUUCCUCCACCUGAUAGCACGAACCCACCGGACAGGAACCGUAUUGCGCGAAAAAAAUGUUUCCCCCCUGACUGCUGGGACCUACCAGCUACAUCUUCGCACGCAAGGAAGUGCGUCUGGGCAAAAAAACGAUUCACCCACCUGACUGCUGGGACCCACCAGCUACAUCUUCGCACGCAAGGAAGUGCGUGACAGUCGGUACCCACCUGGUUGAAGCGUACGUAGCGUUGUCAUUCUGGUCGCGAACGUGUACGUACAUACUGGUCGAUGUAGAGGCGCGCACGUGUCGUAGUAGAGGCGCGCACGUAGCAUGUACACGUACGUACAACAGCAAGGGUGCAAGAAAGAAAAUACGGCCACGUAUGUACAUACAGGCAGGGUCUCGAACGCCUACUCGCGCGUACGUACGGCCAGGGCUCGUGUAGAUGGCUGGGUCGGAAUGGAGAAACAGUGUCGUCAUCAUGUUCAUGUGGAGGCAACGAAAUGUGUUGUGUUCAUCGAGAGGCAACGGAGCGUGUGGGAGCCAACCGGCUUGGACGGAACAGCCGAUGGAAACGAGGCCUGGUGUACCGCAGAAUGGAGGAAACGGCCUUGUGUUCCACCGGCCACGUUUGAAACAGGAUCCUGUUCAUCGGGAGGGGUCUGGCAUACUGCAAAACGGAGGAAACGGACCUCCUAUGGUCGAAACGGGGGUCCUGUUGAUCGGGAGGGGUGUGGCGUACCGCAAAACGGAGGAAACAGACUUGUGUUGGAGCGCUACGGUCGAAACAGGGGUCUUAUUCAUCGGGAGGGGUGUGGCGUACCGCAAAACGGGACUCCACGGGAUAAUGUUCAUCUCCACCGUCGACCCCCUCCAGCCUCCACGGGCUACUGUUCAUCCACCGUCGACCUCCUCCAGCCUCCACCUGCGAUUGUUCAUCCACGGGCUCCUGUUCAUCCAGCUUCCACCGCGCGCUACUCUCCACGGGCUCCUGUUCAUCCAGCCUCCUGCUACUGUUCAACUAGCCCUCUCCACGGGCUCCUGUUCAACCACCCCUCCACGGGCUACUGUUCAUCCAACCCUCCACCGUCUACUGUUCAUCCAGCCCUCCACGGGGUGGUCCUGUUCAUCAAGCCCUCCGCGGGGUCCUGUUCAUCCAGACCCAACAAGCUCAAUCGAUCGGGGUCCUGUUCAUCCAGAGGCAACACCAUAGGGUCCUGUUCAUCCAAACCCACCGGGAACUGUACAUCCAAACCCCCCCCAGCAACGCUCACUGUUCAUCCUGAGGGAGCAUCGAUCGGCUUCAGUUAGCAGCAGUAGCGAAGGAAUCGCUCGAUCGGUGUUGGUGGGAAACGACACCUAUGGGAUCACAAGAAUCCCUACUACGGUUGCCGGGGCGCAGGGUUGUGAGCAGAGCAGGAUUAGGAGUCAACACAAGGAUCGUUUACCCAGGUUCGGGCCGCGAGGAUGUGUAAUACCCUAGUCCUGCUUUGGUGUGUAUUUGAGAGAGUUCUUGAGAUCUCGAACUAGCUAUGGUGGCUGCGUAGUUCAAAAGAGCCGAAUCCCUCUCCAGUACGCUAUGGGCCUCCUUUUAUAGUCGAAAGGGGCUGCCACAGUGGCACACAGGAGGUGGAAAGGCCUACAGUACUGCGAGCUUAUCGCCCCUAUUACAGGACAAGACGCAUUUAAUGCGUAGCUUAGGUGUCCCCAAGCUUUAUCGGGGACGGGAACGAGGCCCGUCCCGUCCGUUGCCGCCUCGCCUUGCUUCGACACGCUCCCAGGCCAGCGGUGCAUGCGGCGCCAUGUAGGCAGGCAGGCAGCUGAGGUGGCGCGGUGGUAGGGUCUUCACGAAGAUCUACGUGCCACCACGCAGGUGCUUGCUGAGUUGGCUCGGAAGCCGCUCGUUGCCACGCAGGUGCCUGCCCAGCUGGUUGGGCUGGCAGCUGCAUGCGAGUGGUGGUGGAGACUUGACUGGUGAGGGCCUGGCAGUGGCCCCGCUGAUGCCCUUAGCAAGGUCCUUGCCGGGGGCCUGGUAAGGGUCUUGCCAUGGCAUUGCAGUCGUCCCCGGCAAGGCGCUUGCCGGGGGUCUUGGGGCUUUCCUCGGAAGGAUCUUGCCGAGGAUCAUUGUCUUCCAAUCCUCAUCUGAUCUUGAAUAUUCCUUGUCUUCACAAAGAUCUGCAUGCCACCAUGGAGGUGCCUCCCGAGCCCUAGCCCAACGUGGUUGAUGGUGUUGGAAACCAUGGGCUCAAGGGUGGCCCGCUCCGCUGGUGUGGGCGAGCCGCCCUGGCAAGGGUCUUGUCGGGGCCGCUGAGGCUCCCCCCGCAAGGGUCUUGCCGGGGGAACCUGCUCCGUCCCUCUGCUUCCUUGUGUUCUUGGCCUUGGCGUUGCCUUGGCCAUCUUGUGCUUCGGCUUCUCUCCGGCUUCCCUCCUUUGCCCUGCUUAGUGUGGCCGUGGCGCGCGGCUCCGACUGCCCGUGCACAAGUAAAGGGGUACAAAGGUGUGCCCCUACUUUUGUACACCGACAGGAGCCCCCGGGCCUAGGCCACACAUAAGCGUGACACGUUGUUGGGCCAGGCCUAGGACGGUGCGCGGGCAGGCGGGGCGGAUUUUCACCGCAGUAACUCUUCGUCCGCUGCGCUUCCCCACGACCCGCGUUGAACGCGGGACGUGGGGGGCAGGUGUGAUGUGGGCGGCAUGCGUGGGGCGGUUUCCGCAUGCAUGCGUCACAUAGUGGUAAAGAGGCGGCUCGCGCCUUCCCCAUAAAAAGAGUGAGGCAUGGAGGCGCGGCUCAUUUACUGGAUGGACUCGGGUCGCAGUCUUCAAGGCGCCCGCGCCCCCCGAUCACGGGGCGGGGAACGGUCGCCUCACCCGUCCUUUCAACCCUGCACGUUCGCCACACGUCUGUGGCACCCCGGCUCAGAGAAACCGGAACGCCCCGUAUUCCAGCCCAGAGAUCGAGGAGAAGUCUCUGGAAUACGACACUGCUUGACAUAGAACAAAUCAUCUCUUAUUACAAGAAUAAUAAUACAAGGGUCUGAUGUUACAAAGAAGCACAUCAGCACGGCGACACUAUGCCAGCGAUACUACACUUGCUCUAUGCUAGCAGCGAAACAACUCGUAGCAGCGGAAAACUUCUAGCAGCGGAACAACGACGAAGGUGGUGAACUCCACUCCGCAGGGACUCUGGCUGGGACACGAUCUAGCUCGCACGAACGGACACCACAACAAACAAUGAAACAAUCACGACAGCACCUGCAAUCUGGCAUGACACGCCAGGUCAGUACGUUGAAUGUACUUGCAAGCUCACAACAACCAGAAGCAUCAACGCAAAACAACAACAUAGCAUUGAGCAGGUUAAUUGAAUUAACAUCUACCAUGAUACGACAGCAACUACUAAGCAUGAUAUGAAACUACUACAAUACUAAUAAAUCACCACCUCAGAUCUCCAUAACCAUAUCUCUCUUGGCUAACCGGCCAAGCAAUAUACCAUCUCGAUCACCUCGUGAUCAAAACCAAACGGUGAUCUUUCCGACGAUCACAACCAUGACCAACACUUGGCCUCAACAUUAUCAUCAACAUUCUGCCAAUCUGUGCUGCUCAAAAUAUCCACAUAUAAAUCACCUAUAAGUCAUUCCGUCAUGUGAGUGUUGAUCGAACGGUGUGACCUAGUACGAACCCAUGCCCAUGACCGAGGACGCGGCUAUCGAUAGAUUUAAAUACACACACUCUGCAGAGGUAGCGCACUUUACCCACACCACGGAACCCAUGUCGCACUCCCAUUCGGGUGGACCAACGGCGUUCCGACAAAACCGAUAUACUGCCAUGACACUCUCUCGGCCACUCCGACUCACUCCCCACUGGGCUAGUCCUGGGUGGCCUUGUGUCUACCAAAGACACAACGACCACCGUCGUGGCCAAAACAUAAACGGUCCUAAACGGGGACUGGGAUCCAUAACAACAACAACGGGCACACAAGGUUAUGUCUGCUUACCGGGCCAGGGUAAGCAUGCCCAUAACCUUCCCUAGUUGGAGGCACCGACGAGAGGCACGACAAUAGACUGCAUUAGGGCCUUCCCAUAAAAGGCAAAUGUGGUUGCACUGGAAAAAGCCCGGUUCGGUGGCACCUGACCAACUUAAUGACGGAAUUUAACCCCAAAAUAUAGUAGUAAUGACUGAUACUCCGAUAUCAUCUAUCAACCUAUAAUCCAAGUCAUAGCAAUAUCCAACAAAUAAUCCAAGCAUAAUCUCAUCAUCUCAAAAUACUCCAAGGGUAGCACAACACUACUGUCAUGAUGAAUCCAAAAAAACAAUAAUCCUACUACUCCAAUAAAAAAUAAAGCUAUUCGGCUAAGAUCCACAUGUAAACAUCAUCUCCAAAAAUAAUAGUCCAAGCAACAGAACAUCAACUAGCAUCAUGAAAAUAAUCAUACUAACCACUAAUAAUCCAAAGGCAGCAUGAUAUCCAAAGUAAUACUCCAAAAUAUAAUAACAGAUACCAUCAUGGAAAUAAUCAUAAUACCAUCCACUAAUAAUCCAAUGGCAACAUGAUACUCAUCAACUACAAACAUAAAUCCUAUUAAUCCAAACAAUAGCAUGGCAAUAACAAGAUCAACAUAAUACUCCGAGAAAAUGCCAUGCACAAAGUCAUGUAGCUAAAGCAAUAUUUUAAACAAGUUCAAAUAGAUUAAACCAUGUCACUGCAUUACAGUGAUGCAAAUGGAGGGUGUGGCUUGCCUGGGGUGGAAGAAAUCACCGGGAGAAAGUGCGAGAAGCUCGCGGAACGAAUCGCGGGAAACAGAACUCUCUCGGAAGGGGCUGAUUAAGGGCAAGGGCAAAAUGGGAAUUUUCAGAAUGUCAAAACAUGGUGAAAAUGAUACCAACAGAGCGGGCUCGGCGAAACGAAGAAGUGGGCUUUGGAAUCACCUCAUUCGGAGUUACGGUUGCGGAGUUAUAAGGUGUGCAAGAAGAAGGACCAAUCUGUGAAUAUAUCUUCAGCAAACAGGUCCCUGAGUGGAUAAGGCAGAGGCGCAAAAUACGCUUUCUGAAAAGGAAAACGGACCCCCGAUAACAGAAGAAGGAAAUACGCUUUCGGGCAAAUGAAAGCGUACUAAACGAAAUACGCUUUCAAAGAACUGAAAGGGUACUCACCUAAAAGGCGCUUCCACUUAUCCACGUCAGCACCCGGCUGGGUCAACGUGGAGUGGCUGACGCGCGAGGCCCGCCUGCAGGUCGCCUUGCUUGCCCCAGGUCGUCGUCCCCAUCGCGCUCGCCCGCGCCUGGCCACGGCAGAGCCGGCGCCCGACGGCGAUAGCCGGAGCUACCGGCCAUCUCCAGCGAUGCCCGGCCUACCUACGGAUUCAGGGGGACGAGACGGAUGCGUCCCCAGGCAUGGCAGCUGCAGGGGAGCUCAGGAAACGAUGGAGCGUUGGCCGCGGUGGAAGGGAGCUGCGGGCGUCGACGGGCUCGCGGCUACGGUUGCUCCGGUGAAGUGUGGAGGGGCCGGGGAGGCUCGAGGGUGGUGGUGGAAGGCAAGGAGGGGGACGGCGUUGAGUGAAUUUAGCCGAGCAUGGCCGGCGGCCAUGGCGGCAAUGGUGGUCGUGGAGGGCGGCUCGAGCUCGGGGAAGAGGUCAGGGGAGGCUAGAGGAGGUGCAGGAGGCCAGUGGUGAAGCAAGACGGGGUCGGGGUGGCCUUAUAUAGGCGGGGGAGGGGUGUGCCGCGCUGUCGCCGCCGCGGACACGUGCCCACGCGCAUUAGCUCGGAGUUAGGCGACGAGGAGGAGCAGUGGAGGCUCUCACGGGGCAGAGGAGGCCAAGGGGGUGCAGGGAGGAUGACGACGGCGACGAACAGAGCCAAACCGCCACUGUGCUCUCGUGGGCGUUCGGCGGCGAGCGUCGGUGAGGAAGCGGACGGAGGGGGAGAGGGGUCCAGGGGAACUGCGACGAUGAGAGGAAGACAAUGGACACGGUCACGCGCGCUAAGGCGAUGAGAGGAGGAGGUGCCGAAGCACAAACAGCCACUGGGCGCGGCCACUGCACAAAGAGCGCGUGCACAGUGAUGCCAUUAACGCGGUCACCGCGUGCACUGGCAUGUAGCGGGGAAGAGAGGCUUGAACAUGAUGUCUAGUGGUAAGUUCAUCCAGGGUAGGUCUCAUCUACGGUGGUAGCUUGGUUAAAAGUGAUCUGGUUAAACGGUAAGAACCCUCUGAAGUUUACUGCAGUAAACUUGGGUGAGCACUAGUGAUCAACGGGAAGGGUUUUGGAUCCAAUGGAGUUGUCUGCGAGGUUUAGGUAAAGAAGGACUUUCAUCCUGGUAACUUGGAGAAGAAUUGGAUCAAGAUAAAUCAUAGUUGCUUUGCAACUGACCAAAAUGGUCCAGAAAUGAGAUAUGGAUGAUGCACUCAAAUGGUGUGGCCACUUGAGCUCAAGUUUGGCAAGGCUUCAUGAUUUGAUCAUAUAAAGAUGAUGUAUAAGUUUCAUACCAAUUGCAUUCACCAAAAUGGUACUUGCUUCACAAACAUCCUUGCUGACCAGAAACUUGCAAAACUUCUAGAGGAAUAAUGGCUUGAUGAACCAUUCCCAAACUGGGUGGAGGUAGGUUAUAUGGAUAAUAGAAGGCCUAGAAAAAUUGGCAGCCAUAAUGGAGCAAGAUAAAAUAUACUUCCUUCACAAACUGAAAUUUUGGGCAGAAUCAAAGAAUUGAAGAUGAGCUCACAUGGAGGCAUGACAUGAGCUCUACUUUGGUGGAGGGCUAUGAUAUGAUGAUAUGAGGGAUCAUGCAAAAUGGCAACUCAUUUGGAUAUGCCUAGCUUGCACCUCCUUCACAAAGCUUCUUUCUGGGAAGAAACUUUGGAAAAUCAUAAUUAAAUAAUUACUAGGAAAAUGAGGUUGCAUUUUGGCAUGUGGGAAUGAUAUGGACAGGAAAAGGUGUCCAAGGAGUUGGAGAUCAAUUGGGAAAAGGAAAAUAGCAUUUGCUUCACAAUGUGCCAUUUAGGGCAGAAGAGGAAAUGAAUUAUUUGAGCAAGAUGAUAAACAUGACAAAUGAAAUAUUUUUCCAUAUUUGAGAAAGAUAUGACCCAAACAAUUUAUGAGAAUUAUUUUGGGAAUUUUAGGAGUGAUGGAAAUAAAGGUUGCUUCACAACUUAGGGCAGACAGGGUUAUUCCUUUAAUAGAAAAAGGAAUAUUCCCUAGAAAAAGAUUUUAGGGUUUGGUAAAGCAGUGAAGUGACAUGAUCUUGGCAGGGUUUUGAGAAUGAUGAGCCACUUGGGAGGGGAAAUGAGGACGAUUUCCCAGGUGACAAGGCCACAGAACCACUCCAAAAAGAAAAAGAAAGCAAAAACCAAUAAAUCAAAAAGAAAAAGAAAAGGGCCAAAAUCCAGGCUGUUACAGCAUCCUUCAUGCAGGUGGCGAGCGGUGGAGGCGGGAAAUCGGGCCGUCGCUGAUUGGGGCAGUGGGUCGGUCCUGAUUCCUUGCGCCUCCGCCAGCUGGAUUGACUGAGUGGCGCGGCCGAGUCUCGACCCCGCCCCUUUAUAAAGAGGGGGAGGGAGGGCGCCAUCCCACAUUCUUCAGUAUCUAUCCUCCUUCAUCUUUGCUUCUUUCUUCCACCUGCCAUGGCGAGACGAGGCACUGGGCCAUCGACGGUGGCGGCGAGGGUCGCUGCUCGUCAGCGCUUCCCUCCUUCCCACGAGCCCGUGGCUGUGGAGCCAGCCACAAGAGGAAGGGGGGCGUGGCCGAGGUCGCCCGGCGGUCUAGGAGAGGGGGACGAGGUGGCGCGGCGGUCGUGCCUCCCGUGAUGGAGGGUCACGUCGGGGACCGGCCCCGCGAGUUCUUCAUCAGGCUGCGCCGGCCACGGCGUCGUCGUCUCCAUCUUCCCACCCCUUCGCAGAGGAGAUGGAGCUCGAUCCGCCCCAGACCCUCAGGUUGCACAUGAGGGGCUGCGGGACCGGCAGCACGCGGGUCGACGUCGACUUCCCCGCUCCUCAUGUCAUGUAUCUCCGUCGCGGAUGGAAGACAUUUGACCGCAUCCAUAGCCUGACGGUGGAGGUCGUCCUCUACUUAAAGUUAAUGGAGGGCGGCCUGCUCUCCGUCAAGGUCUUCGGAGAUCUUGGAACUCGCCUGAAGUGCUGCGUGGAGAGCUCCUCCGACGAUGAAGAUUCCUCCUCAAGCGGGAGUGACGAGGAGGACAGCGACAACGGCGACGAGGGAGUCGAGCGGCAGGAUGCCGACUCCGACUUCGACUGACCGCGCCGCCCCUCCCUCGACCACGCACCCUGCUGAGGGCCAUCCUCACCAAGCUCUCCAUCGGGGUGCUCCCCGUCGUCUCCUUGGGCGGCUGGCGUAGGAGGGCUGGAGAAGAUGAAGAAGGCGGGUGGUGGCCAUCAACUCGGAGUACGCGGACACCGACGCCUUCAUCGCGUAUUGCCGGCCCGCUGCCUCGUCUUCCAGCUCCUUUCCCGGCACCAAGAUGUUCUCUUCGUGCCUUCUGCUCCUCGCACCUCGCCUAGGCGCCCCUUUUGCCCUCUGCUGUCUUGCCCCAUCUUCUGAGGAGAGGGAUAAGAAAAGGAUUACGGGCAUUUUAUCUCUUUUUAAUUUGUAAGCCUGCGGGCACUUGUUAGAUUUAAAGCUUGUAAUCCCCUUGCGCAUGUUUUUCUUUCCGUACGAACUGUACCUGUAUGGGACGUUUUUAAUGAAAAAGGGUGCCUGCCGGGCUUUUUGUGCGUGAGCGAGGCCCAUGCCAAGGAAUGAGUCCUUGUUAUUUUUAAGAUAAACAUCGUUGCCCGGCAACAGGCCUUGCUAUCCCCCCACGUCGGUUGACCAUUCUCGCGCUCUUGGAGGAGGCAGGGCGAAGUAGAGUUAGGCCCCUCGUUUAUCUCCUCGCCACCGCGACUACUACCAGAUUCUGACCCAGGAGGUAGCUCUUAGGUACAGGAAAGGGGGAGCACGGUGGUUUUGGGAACAUAAAUGAGAUUUCAUAUGUCCCAGUUCUAUACGGAAACGCAUAACAGGGGGAUGAAAGACUUAUCUGAAUCCGCAGCCCCUGGCAACCCUGGCUUGCCGUGGUUGGAUCCUUGUAUCUUCAGCCUCCGACAACCUUGCCCUGCCGGGGCCGGAGCGCCGGUUCGUUCUCGUUUUCCCAAGCGGCUCAGCAGAAGUACCCUGCGAACCAAAGAGAACAGAAAGACGCACACUCGACCUCUAGGCUAGGGGUUACUCACCGCUAAGCACUAUCAACCCUAACCGAGGGAGAGACUUAACCUAGCAUGCAUGUUAUAACUUAGGGCGCCAGCGCUUCAUUUAUUUAUGCUCAGGGUCUGCGCCUGGCUUUGUACAGACGGUUACAUGCCUUGCCGGCAAAGCUUGUACAAAAGGUGGCUUGUCGGGGGGCCCGGCAAGCCGCACCUUAUGGGUAAAACUUGCGAAGAUGCUCGAUGUUCUAGGAGUUGCUCAUUGGGACAGCAUCUUCGGUCUCUAGGCGGACUGCGCCGGGCCUGGUGACUCGUAUUACCUGAUAAGGGCCUUCCCACUUCGGCAUCAACUUGUUGGUAUUCUUGGCCGACUGAACGCGCUAAAGAACAAGGUCGCCUUCCUUAAUGCUUCGGGCAUGAACCUUGCGGCUAUGGUAGCGGCGCAAGGCUUGCUGGUAGCGUGCUACUCUCAUAGCCGCCCGAAGACGAUCUUCCUCAAGGAGCGUUUCGUCAUCUUGCCGCAACUGCUCUUGCUCAAGCUCAUCAUAAGAGAGCACUCGAGGUGACCCGUAUAUGAGUUUCGUGGGGAGAACUGCCUCUGCCCCAUAUACUAGGGCAAAGGGUGUCUGGCCGGUGGCUCGAUUUGGCGUCGUCCUGAUCGACCAAAGAACCGCCGGCAACUCAUCAAUCCAGCGCCUUCCGCUCUUGUGCAGCCUGUUAAAGGUCUUCGUUCUCAGGCCUCGCAACACUUCAGCAUUCACCCUAUCCGCUUGGCCGUUGCUCCGGGGGUGUGCCACAGAAGCAAAACAGACCUUGCUGCCGAGGUCUUGAAUGUACUACAUGAAGGUGUGGCUUGUGAACUGCGUGCCGUUGUCGGUGAUGACUCUGUUUGGCACACCAAAAUGGCAGACUAGUCCCUUGAAGAACUUGACGGCUGACUAUGCUGUCACCUUCCUCACCGGUUCCACCUCCGGCCACUUUGUGAACUUGCUGAUUGCAACGUACAAGUACUCAAAGCCCCCAAUAGCACAGGGGAAGGGGCCCAGUAUGUCGAGCCCCCAAACCGAAAAUGGCCAGGAGAGAGGGGUUGUUUGAAGGGCUUGAGCUGGUUGAUGAAGCUUCUUUGAAUGGAACUGGCACGCUUCACAUUUGGUUACUAGUGCCGUUGCAUCCUGGAGGGCGGUGGGCCAGAAGUACCCCUGCCGGAAUGCCUUGCCGGCAAGGGCCCUUGACCCUACGUGGGAUCCACAUAUGCCUCCAUGUAUCUCUGCCAACAGCUCCAGUCCUUCCUCCCGGGGGAUGCACAUCAAUUUCACACCGUUCGGUCUUCUCCUGUACAGGACGUCAUCGACGAACUGGUAAAAGGCAGACCGACGGGAUACUUUUUCCACUUCUUCGUGCUCCUCGGGAAGUUCCCCUGUUUGGAGGAAAUGGACGGUAUGUUGUGCCCAUGCUGGAGCCUGGGGCUCGACGGCAAGGACCAAAGGCAUCUCUUCCGUCAUGGGGGCAGCCGUCUCCACGGCCAGGGCCUGGCGCCCCGCCGGAGGCAGCUGCCCCUUGGCGGGCUCAAAAAAUCUGCGGCAACACCCUUGCCGGCAGCCCCUGGGGGCUCGGCGGGAAAGUACUUGCCGGGGCCUGACUUCCUUCGCUUGUUCUGCUCCGUUGAUGGUUCGACGGAUGGUUGAGUUAAUCGGAGCAAAAAGGUACCUGGUUCCAUAGGUAGCUUGAAUGCAGCGCGCUUCGACAGGUAGUCAGCGAUGUCGUUCUCCGCUCGGGGAAUGUGUCCCGCUUGUAUACCGUCGAAGCGCUCCUCCAGCUUCCUCACCUCAUCUGCGUAGGCCUCCAUCAACGGACUCUAAUAAUCCUUGUUGACUUGUCUGACGACAAGCUGCGAGUCACCCCUGACGAUGAGCUUCUUCACCCCGAGGUCUGCCAUGAUCCUGAGACCGGCAAGCAGCCCCUCGUACUCAGCAGUGUUGUUUGUGGACAUCUCCCUGGGAAAGUGCAUCUGGAUCACAUACUUGAGGUGCUCUCCGGUGGGUGCGACAAGCAGCACACCGGCACCGGCGCCUUGCUGCGAGAAAGCCCCAUCAAAGUACAUGAUUUAGUUGCGGCCUGCCUCCUUGCCGGGGAGAGCGGUCUCCUGGAUUUCUUCGUCGGGCGUUGAGGUCCAUUCUGCAAUGAACUCCGCCAAGACUCUACUCUGGAUUGUUGAGGUACUUUCAAACUUCAACCCAAAGCUCGACAACUCCAAGGCCCAUUCCACAAUCCUUUCGGUCGCAUCUGGGUUGUGUAGUAUCCAUAGCAACGGGAGGUGGGUGACGACAGUGAUCUCGUGGGCUUGGAAGUAAUGACGCAGCUUCCUCGAGGCCAUAAGGAGGCCGAAGAGCAAGUUUUGCACACCGGAGUACCUCGACCUAGCCCCCUACAAGAGGGAGCUGACAAAGUAAACCGGGUGCUGCAUCAUCUUCUUCUUCUGCACCACUUCACUUGACUGCGCGGGCACUGCCCCGAUGGCGUCAGACUCUGCCGGGGGCAUUGCCUUGCCGACACCAGGCCCUGCCGGGGGAAUCUCUGGCUUGCCAUCCGCUGGUCCUGCCGUCGCCACUGCCUCUUCGUCGACCUCCCUCCGUGCCACUAGUGCGACGCUCACCACUUGGUUCGUUGCCGCCAGAUACAACAGCAACGGCUCUUGUGGUUUAGGCACAACUAGUAUUGGCGUGGAGGAAAGGUAUUUCUUCAGAUCCUGCAAUGCCGCCUCGGCUUCUGGGGUCCACUCCAUUGGGUCUGCCUUCUUCAUGAUUUUGAAAAAGGGAAGGGCGCGCUCGGCGGACUUGGAGAUGAAUCGGCUCAUGGCGGCAACGCAGCCAGUGAGCCGACGCACGUCCUGAUCCGCUUGGGCACCUCAAUCUGUUCAAUAGCCAUGAUCUUGUCUGGGUUCGCCUUGAUCCCACGCUGUGACACAAAGAACCCGAGAAGUUUGCCGGAUGGAACGCCGAAGACACACUUCUCAGGGUUCAGCUUGAGGUUGAUCUUGCGCAGAUUGGCAAACGUCUCUUCCAGGUCUUUUACAAGAGUUGCCCUGUCCUUGGUCUUGACCACUAUGUCAUCCAUGUACGCUUCCAUAUUUCUAUGCAGCUGGGAUUCAAAACCAAUUUGGACCGCCCUUGCAAACGUUGAGCCAGCACUCUUCAACCCGAAAGGCAUCCGUAAAAAGCAAUACGUACCACAUGGGGUGAUGAAUGAUGUCUUCUUUUCAUCUUCUCUCGUCAUGAAGAUCUGGUGGUAGCCCGAGUAGGCGUCAAGGAAUGACAACAGAUCACACCCAACCGUGGAAUCAACAAUCUGGUCGAUGCGCGGCAACGGGAAGGGGUCCUUAGGACAAGCCUUAUUGAUAUCUUUGUAGUCAAUACACAACCUCCACUUCCCAUUUACCUUGCGCACCACCACCGGAUUGGCCAACCACGUCGGAUGAAGCACUCCUCUCACCAAACCUGCCGCUUCCAACUUCCUGAUCUCCCCUGUGAUGAACUCCUGCCUUUCCAGAGCCUGCUUCCAAACCUUCUGCUUGACGGGCCGCGCAUGAGGACAGACAGCUAGGUGGUGCUCAAUCACCUCCCUGGGAACACCGGGGAUGUGGGAUGCUUGCCAUGCAAACACGUCGACAUUCGCCCGCAAGAAGGUGAUGAGCGCGCCUUCCUAUUUGUUGUCGAGGGUGGAGCUUAUGGUGAAAGCCCCUCCCAUGCCAUCCUCCCUAACGGACACCUUCUUGGUCUGCGGUGGCUCAGCUCUGGAUUUCUUGCUCUUACCGGUGGAGCUCUCUGGCACGUCCUCGACGGUAGCACAACACUCCGAAGAGGUGCGCUUGCCGGAGUGGGUGCGAGAGGUCUUGCCGGGCUUCUUCUUCCCUCUCGGGGCUUCAGCGGCAGGAGCAAGUGCCUUGGCGGCAGCUUCUGCAACUACUUCCCGGUAGAGUUGGUCGGCGCAAAUCAGCGCGUCCUUCUUGUCGGAGGGGACGGAGAUGAUGGUCAACGGCCCAGGCAUCUUCAGCAUGUUGUAGGCGUAGUGCGACGCCGCCAUGAACUUGGCUAGUGCCGGCGGCCGAGGAUCCUGUUGUAGGGCAAGGGGAUCUCGGCCACAUCAAAGACGAUCCUCUCCGUUCUGUAGUUCAACUCUCCUCCAAACGUCACGGGCAAUGUGACCUUUCCCUUCGGCUAGCUUCUCCCCGGAUUGACCCCUUGAAACGUGCCCGUUUCCUCAAGGUCUCCGUCGGGAAUUUGCAACCUUUUGAUCACCACGGGCGAGAUCAAGUUCAGGCCGGCCCCGCCGUCGACCAACAUCUUGUUCACCUUGAGGUUGCGUAUCGUUGGCGAAACCAACAACGGCAAACACCCGACCGCGGUUGUGCGGUCAGGGUGGUCCUCGGCGUUAAAGAUGAGGGGCGUGCUGGACCACUUCAGCGGCUUCUGGGCGUCGAACGACGGCUCUGCUGUUGUAAUCUCACGCGCCCACUGCUUGAGCUGGUGGUGAGAAGUAUGCAGCGAGGUGCCACCAUCGACGCACAUGGCCUCCGUAGCCUUCUGGAACUCUUGCUCGCCGGACUCUUCGUCCUUGUCAUGAUCAUCGUCUUCUUAUUUCUUGUCACGGCCCCGGGCGGGCCUCUCUUGCUGGUUGUCCUUGCCGCAGCGGCCUCCUUGGCCGCCACGCUUCUUGCCGGAUCCCUCGGCACCGUCCUGACCCUUCUCCUUGUCCCGCCUCUCAUACUCGGCCUUUUGCUUCUCAGCAAGCAGCUCGACUUGCCGGCAGUUCUGGAGGUCGUGGCCCUUGGUGCGGUGGAUCUUGCAGUACUGCUUGUCGGAGCCCCCUGGCUUGUCGGCAGCCACCAAGGUCCGGCAAGGGGCGCACCCGGCAAUUUCUUUGCCGGGGUCGUCUGCCCUGGCCUUCUUGGCGGCGCCGGUGCUGUCGGAUCCCUCGACGAUAAGCACGGCCUUGCCCUUGCGUUUCCUGUUGCGACGCCGGCCCUUCUUCGUCGGGGCGGCGGUGUCUUCAUCAGUAGAGUCGGUUUCCGCGCCGACGUCCUCGCCAGGGUACUUCCUUCCCUCUUUAGCCCGGGCGCACCUAUCUGCCAGAACAUAGAGUUCGGCCACAUCCUUAACCUUGGCCGUCGCUAGCUCUUCGCGCAUCUUGCGGUUGCGCAUGUUCUGAUGGAACGCGCUGAUCACGGCGGCGGGAUGAACGUUGGGGAUGUUGUACUGCACCCGGCUGAAUCUCUGGAUGUACUUGCGCAGGUUUUCCCCUUCCUUCUGGGGAAUGAUAUGCAAUUCACUGGCCUGGCCAUGAGCUUGGUGGCCUCCGGUGAAGGCGCCAACGAACUCAUGGCACAGAUCCGGCCAAGAAGAAAUGGAAUCCGCCGGCAAGUGCAUCAACCAAGACAUGACAUUGGGCUUUAGUGCCAACGGGAAGUAAUUGGCAAGCACCUUGUCGUCGUGAGCUCCGGCAGCAUGCAUCGCGAUGGUAUAGAUGCUGAGGAACUCUGACGGAUGGGUCUUGCAAGUGUACUUCUCGCCGACGUCGGGCUUGAACGUGCGGUUUGACGGCCACUGGAACUGCCGCAACUCACGGGUAAAGGCUAGGCAGCCCACCUCGUAAGGUAGGCCACCGGAGCCCCUCGGUGCUGGGUGGUCCAUAGCGGGUCCCGCCCGCUUGUCUGACAGGUGGCGCGUAUCAUGCCGACGCUCGAUAGUGGUUCGAGCAUCUUCGUGAGCUCGUUCUCAAAGAACUUGGCGCUGGUCGUGGUGGGUCCGCGGGUCGGACGACGCUAUAGAGAUGUUAUCACAAGCGUCGUCACGACAGGCUGACGCCCGUGGUGGCUGGCGAGGAGGAGGAGAGUGCACCGUGACCGCAGCACCCCCGGUCCUCCCGGCGCUGGCAUGUGGUGGCUCGAUGGAGCGUUGGCCUGAGGACCUUGCCGGUCGCGGAUAAUCUUUGUUGGCGACGGCGAUGAGGCUCCGGAUGGUGGCCCUCCACUCGUCGAGCUUCUCCGCAGCAGGAGGGAAGUCGAGGAGCAGCUGCGCACGCGCCAAAGCUUCUUCUGGCGUGGGUGGCGGGGAUAGCUGCAUGGACCGUGGGGCGCUUCGACUUCUAACCACGUUAGAAGGAGCUCUAUCACGGCCCAGUGGCUGCGCGCCAUUUUCGCCAGCACUUCGGCGGGCAUGCUGAACUCCUUCGUCCCGCGGAUGACGCACAGGGCUCUUCCCACGGCGGUGUCCAGGGUCACCGGCGUGGUGACGCUGCUCGUCGCGCACACCAUGGGAAGAGCGCGCAGUGGUCGGCGUCUUGGAGGUCGCUGCACCGCCCGUAGGGGGUACAGCGAUGCCCCUGGAGGGCCCCGCGCCGCCUACGUGGGGCCCAGCCCCAUCCUUGGAUCUAGCGGCGUGCGGCUCAUCGUCUGGCGCAUGAAAGACGCCGCUCGCCAGGCUCUGACUGGCGGGGCAAUGCUGGUGCUCGCGGGCCGCGGCUCGGGUUCUGUCCGCGACCGGCCCGCUGCUCGCCCGCACUGGCGCGGGCCGCUCGGCUCCCGACGUGCCGAUCUCUGUGAUCGUCUUCUUCUUGGGAGCCAUGGCGAUGAAGAACCGCUAGGCUAGCUACUAGACCAGAUUCUCACAAUUGCGCCCCCUACCUGGCGCGCCAAAGAUGUCGGUGGGAAACGACACCUAUGGGAUCACAAGAAUCCCUACUACGGUUGCCGGGGCGCAGGGUUGUGAGAAGAGCAGGAUUAGCAGUCAACACAAGGAUCGUUUACCCAGGUUCGGGCCGCGAGGAUGCGUAAUACCCUAGUCCUGCUUUGGUGUGUAUUUGAGAGAGUUCUUGAGCUCUCGAGCUAGCUAUAGUGGCUGCGUAGUUCAAAAGAGCCGAAUCCCUCUCCAGUAUGCUAUGGGCCUCCUUUUAUAGUCGAAAGGGGCUGCCACAGUGGCACACAGAUGGUGGAAAGGCCUAUAGUACCGCGAGCUUAUCGCCCGUGUUACAGGACAAGACGCAUUUAAUGCGUAGCUUAGGUGUCCCCUAGAUUUAUCGGGGACGGGAAUGAGGCCCAUCCCAUCCGUUGCCGCCUCACCUUGCUUCGACACGCGCCCAGGCCAGCGGUGCAUGCGGCGCCAUGAAGGCAGGCAGGCAGCUGAGGUGGCACGGUGGUAUAGUCUUCACAAAGAUCUGCAUGCCACCACGCAGGUGUUUGCUGAGUUGGCUCGGAAGCCGCUCGUUUCCAUGCAGGUGCCUGCCCAACUAGUUGGGCUGGCAGCUGCAUGCGAGUGGCGGUGGAGACUUGACUGGUGCGGGCCUGGCAAUGGCCCUGCUGACGCCCUCGGCAAGGGCCUUGCCGAGGGCCCGGCAAGGGGCUUGUCGUGGCGUUGCAGUCGUCCCCGGAAAGGCGCUUGCCGGGGGUCUUGUGGCUUUCCUCGGCAAGGCUCUUGCCGAGGAUCGUUGUCUUCCAAUCCUCAUCUGAUCUCGAAUAUUCCUUGUCUUCACAAAGAUUUGCAUGCCACCAUGGAGGUGCCUCCCGAGCCCUGGCCCAACGUGGUUGAUGGUGUUGGAAACCGUGGGCUCAAGGGUGGCACGCUCCGCUGGUAUGGGUGAGCCGCCCCGGCAAGGGUCUUGCCAGGGGAACCUGCUCCGUCCCUCUGCUUCCUUGUGUUCUUGGCCUUGGCAUUGCCUCGGCCAUCUUGUGCUUCGGCUUCUCUCCGGCUUCCCUCCUUUGCCCUGCUUAGUGUGGCCGUGGCGCGCGGCUCCGACUGCCCGUGCACAAGUAAAGGGUUACAAAGGUGUGCCCCUACUUUUGUACACCGACAAUCGGGUUCAGUUAACAGCCAUCGAUCGAUCACUCGGGUUUAGUAACGCGUAGCCUGCAGUGCAAUCGCUCGGGUUCAGUUAGAGCCCAACGCCUCGCACCCACGCGCGUGCGUGUACGAGAGAAACGCGCAUCGCUCGGCCCCGACCAUCCACCGUAACCGGGAACACCCCGAUAUUUUCCUCGCCCUCGCUUCUACCAUAGUUUUUUCCGUCAUGGACGGCCCAAAGAAUGUCAUGCAGCUGCGUCUCCGGCCUGCCCAGGACAAAAAGCCCAUUUUUUGUCAAGAUUUUUUGUCAUAGAAGUAGGAGCCCACCACAUCUAUGAUGAUACCGGGUUUUGUCACAAUUAUCGUCAUAAAAGUGUCAUAAGUAUGACAGAAAAAAAUUCGUUCGGCCCAAAAUGUCACGGAUGUGUCUUUUUUUUGUAGUGCCAUUUGUGGGCAUAGGGAUUUUGACGCCUUUGCAAUCUUGCAUGCCGAAUUUCCUCAACACAUCCUUGGGGUAUUUCUCUUGUGAUAUGAAGAUGCCAUUGCGUUGUUGACUAAUUUGAAGACCUAAGAAAAAUUUCAAUUCUCCCAUCAUAGACAUUUGAUAUUCCUCACUCAUCAUAUAGGCAAAUUCGUCACUGUAACAUUGGUUAGUGCACCCAAAGAUAAUAUCAUCAACAUAUGUUUGGCGCACGAAUAAUUCAUCAUCAUAGGUUUUGGUGAAAAGAGUUGGGUCGAGUGAACCGUGUUUGAAGCCUUUCUUCAUGAGGAAUUCCUUCAAAGUAUCAUACCACGCCCGAGGGGUCUGCUUGAGGCCAUAGAGGGCCUUAUUGAGUCUGAAGACUUUGUCAGGGUGCUUAGGAUCUUCAAAACCUAGUGGUUGAGCAACAUAUACUUCUUCCUCAAGCUUACCAUUGAGGAAUGCAAUUUUCACAUCCAUUUGAUAAAAGAUGAUACUAUGAUGGUUAGCAUAAGCAAGCAAUAUGUGAAUAGCCUCAAGUCUAGCAACAGGUGCAAAAGUUUCAUCGAAAUCAAUUCCUUCAACUUGUGUGUAGCCUUGAGCUACAAGACUAGCCUUAUUCCUCACCACAAGGCCAUUUUCAUCUUGCUUGUUGCGGUAGAUCCAUUUGGUACCGAUGAUAUUGUGUUUGUGUUGGUCUGGUCGCUUGACAAGUUCCCAGACAUUGUUGAGCUCGCAUUGAUGUAAUUCCUCUUACAUCGAUUGAAUCCACUCAGGCUCCAGAAAUGCCUCAUCAACUUUGGUGGGCUCUGUGAUAGAGAAAAAAGCAAAGUGCCCACAAAAGUUAGACAAAUGUGAAGCUCUUGAGCGUGUGAGAGGACCUGGUGCGUUGACGUCGUCGAUGAUUUUCUCAAUUUGCACUUCAUUUGCAACGCGAGGAUGAGCAGGUUGACAACAUUGAUUGGGCUCAGCAUUUUCUUCAGAGCCAUUUUCCUCAGAUGCACCAACAUGAUUUUCUUGUCACUCUGGAAUGACUUCUUCAGCAGAUUCCUUAGUGGGUAUGACAUCCUCAGUAGCCUUGAAGUUGAUGGAUUCCUCAGGAGACAUUUCAUCUAGCACAGGAGGUAGGUGCUCUCUUUGUGAGCCGUUAGUUUCAUUGAACCGCACGCCUACAGUUUCAACAACCUUUUGCUGAAAGGUAUUGAAAACUCUCUCGUGUGCGAGUCCUUUCCAUAACCAAGCAUAAAACCCUGAUGUGCUUUCGGUGCAAAUUUAGAAUUGUGAUGAGGAUCUCUAAUCCAACAUUUAGCACCGAAGACUUUGAAAUAACUCACAUUGGGUUUCUUGUUUGUGAGGAGUUCAUAUGAGGUAUUUUUGAAGAAUUUCUGAAGAUAUACCCUGUUGAUGAUGUGGCACGCAGUAUCAAUAGCCUCCAGGCCAGAAGUGACGAGGCAUCUUGUAUUCAUCAAGCAUAGUGCAUGCCAUCUCAAUGAGAGUCCUGUUCUUGCGCUCCACGAUGCCACUCUGCUGAGGAGUAUAAGGGGAAGAUAACUCAUGAGUAAUACCAAGUUCAUCAAGAUAGUCAUCAAGACCAGUAUUCUUGAACUCGGUCCCAUUGUCACUCCGGAUAUGCUUGAUCUUCACACCGAAAUUCGUCGAGGCCCUUGAGGAAAAUCGUUUGAAGACAUCCUGCACUAGUUUUGUAAGUGAUGAUAUGCACCCAUGAGGUUUUGGGAUACCUCUUAGGUUUCCAGUAGGUCCCAUCAGCAUUGAGUUUCCUCUCAAAGGUAAUACCCUCUUUACUAGGGUUUCUGUUGAGGAUCUGUUUUUUAAGCACAUCACAAAGAGCCUGAUGCCCUUUGAGGCUUUUGUACAUGCGUGUCACAGACAAUUCCUUCAACCCUGCAUUGUCAAUGAUACUUGUGGUAUCCUCAGAUGAGGAAUUUGUGACCACACAGACAGCUGAAGAAUUUGCAGCAAUAGAAGCGUUUGAACUUUCAGGUGAAGAAUUAGCAGAUUCACGUUCAAUGCAUUUCAAACAUGGUGGAAUGAAUUCAUCCUGAGCGGAACUGAUCUAUUUAGCAAGAUCACCCUUAGCUUCUCAAGAUCUUGCUUUCUUUGAAGAAAUUCAUAAGAGAGCUUCUCAUGAUCGGCCAAGAGAGUGUUAUGAUGACUCUGAAGGUUAUCAAACUUAGACUGGAGUCUCUAAAGAUUUUUAGUUUGAGUUCGAUCCAUUUCCUCACCCAAUAGGUCAUUGCUUUUGUCUAGCAGAUUUUGAACCUUUUCAAAAGCCUUUUGCUAUUUGACGGCAAUCUUAGAAAGUUUGGAAUAGCUAGGUAUUAGAUUUUCAUCAGAUUCAUCCUCACUUGAUUUGGAGGAGGGAUAUUUGAGUACCUUGGCACCUUUUUCCAUGAAGCGAUAGGUGGGAGUAUAGUCAUGUCGCCGUCGUCAGCAGUGUUGGGGAAGUCAUUUUCCUCGGUGUUGAAGAUGGACUUGCUAAGGAAAGCUAUAGCAAGGGCUAGGCUCGCCACACCAGAGUCUGACUUCUUUGAUUCCUCUCUUCCUCAUUUUCCUCAGAUUCAGCUUGAGAGUCCAUUUCCUUGCCAAUAAAUGCCCGAGCCUUUUUGGAACUGCUCUUCUUGUGAGAUGAAGACUUUGAAGAUUUUGGUGAUGAGGACAUUGAAGAUUUUUUUUUCUUCUUCGAGUCAUCAGAACUAUCAUCCUUGUACUUCUUCUUCUUUGAUACCUUCACCCACUAAGGACAAUCAGUAAUGUAGUGGCCUGGUUUCUUGCAUUUGUGGCAAGUCCUCUUCUUGUAAUCGCGGGAUGAGGAAUAUGAUCUCAUGUCAUCAUUUCUUGAAGAUUUUCAAAAGCGACCACGUCUUGAGAACUUCUGGAAUUUCCUCAUGAGCAUUGCUAGCUCCGGGCUUAGUUCUUCAGGAUCACCAAGCCUACUAUCAGAAUCUUCUCCUUCGGAUUCGGAAACUUCCUUGGCCUUCAGUGCACGUGAUCUUCCAUUGCUUGCUCAGUAGAGGUCUCUCUUCUCAGCAAGUUGGAACUCAUGAGUAUUUAGCCUCUUGAGGAUAUCAGCAGGAUCAAGUGACUUGUAGUUUCCACGUUCUUGAGUCCUCAAUGCAAGUGUGUCGAAUGAGGAAUCAAGCGAUCUCAGCAAUUUCUUCACCACCUCAUGGUCGGUGAUGUCAAUGGCAGCAAGUGCUUGAAGCUCAUUUGAGAUGUCAGUGAGGCGAUCAAAGGUUUGCUGAACAUUUUCGUUGUCGAGUCUUUUGAAGCGGUUGAAGAUAUUGCGAAGAACGUCAACUCGAGAGUCACGUUGAGUUGAGACUCCUUCAUUGACCUUGGACAGCCUAUCCCAGAUAAGCUUUAUUGUCUCCAAAGCACUCACUCUGCCGUACUAUCCUUUGCUCAGAUGGCUACAUAUGAUAUUGUUCACUUGAGAGUCGAGUUGCUUGAAUCUCUUCACAUCAGCAGCGUUCACGGAAGAAGUGAUGGAGGGAACGCCAUUUUCCACAACGUGCCAGAGAUCGUUGUCAGUUGCAUCAAGAAGCAUUCGCGUCUUAUUCUUCCAGUAGGGGUAGUCCAUCCCAUCGAAGGUAGGACACCCAGCUGAGACCUUGAUCAUGCCUGCAGUCGACAUAACUAAAACUCUAGGUGGUUAAACCAAAAUCACACAGAACAAGGCAGUACCUUGCUCUGAUACCAAUUGAAAGUGCGUUAUAUUGACUAGAGGGGGGUGAAUAGGUGAUUUUUACAAAUUCGUCACUGAGGAAAUUCAACUUGAGGAAUUUCCUAAGUAAGGAACUAUAAGCAGCGGGAUAAGUACUUAGGUGCAUGCAUAGCAAAGCAGUAGCAUAGUCAUCAUGAUGAAAUGAAACAUACAUAGAGCACAUGUAGCGUGUAAACAGGAUAAGCAGGCAGAAGACAAGAUGACUGAAGAAUUAGGAUUGAGGAAAUUGAGAAAGUCUUCAGUCAAAGUCUUCAAACAGUAACAGUCAUGUUCAUCAACACAUGAAUCAGGAAAUGAAAGGGUUGAGGAAAUAGAACCAGUAGCUUGGUGAAGACGAUGAUUUGGUAGACUAGUUCCAACUGUUGUGAUAGUCGUACGUCUAGUUGGAGCGCCUAGGUAUUUAAACCUGAGGACACACAGUCCCGGUCACACAGUCCUCACUGUAUUCUCCUUGAGCUAAGGUCACACAAACCUCGCCCAAUCACUCGUGGCAAGUCUUCAGGUGACUUCUAAACCUUCAUAGACUCGGUCACUCAGCGAUCCACAAUUCCUCUUGGAUGCUCUAGACCAUGACGCCUAACCUGAGGACACACAGUCCCAGUCACACAGUCCUCACUGUAUUCUCCUUGAGCUAAGGUCACAAAAACCUCGCCCAAUCACUCAUGGCAAGUCUUCAGGUGACUUCUAAACCUUCACAGACUCGGUCACUCAGCGAUCCACAAUUCCUCUUGGAUGUUGUAGACCAUGACGCCUAACCUUCUGGAGGAUGCACAGUCCUCAAAGGUAACAAGUGUUGGUUCCACACAGGAACAAUCUCUUCAGUGAUGCUCAAUCACUCUGGGUUGUAGGUGUUUGAGUUUGGGUUUUUCCUCAAUGAUGAUUUUCGCCCAAAGUCCUUGGAGGAUGGGAUGCUCUCAAUGACAAGUGUCAGUUUCUCUUGGAGCAGCCAACCAACUAGUGGUUGUAGGGGCGACUAUUUAUAGCCUAGGGAGCAGCCCGACAUGAUAAGACAUAAAUGCCCUUCAAUGAUAUGACCGUUAGGUGGAUAAGAUAUUUUGCGACAGUUGGCGCGUAGCACAACAACGGUCGGAAAUUUGAGCUCUCAAAUUCCUCAGGGCUAUCAUGUUCAUCACUUGUAAGCAAUCCGCACUGGCGAAUUCCUAACUCCUCAGUUAGAACAAAUUCCUCAGAGACCAGAAGAUCUUCGUCUCUGUCACUAAAGAAAUUGACUGAAAUGUAUGAGAUUUCCAAUGGUUUCACUUGAAAGGAUUUGGUAGGUGUAGGAUUUUGAGAUGAGCAUCACUUGGAAACUUUUCCUUAGUUUUACCUCGACCCCCUUUAAUAGUACGGUGUUUCCUAUGACUCAAGAAAGAGAAAAUGAAACUAUGAAAACAAAAAGUCUUCACGCUUCAUAAUCCUCGCAUCAAUAUCGAAGUCUUCAAGGUCACACCAAUUUCCUCACUUUCAAAGUCUUCAAGAAAACCAAAGUCUUCAACUGAAGACAUUCAUUUUUAGGGGUCGACUUUCAUCGUAAAUAUCAAACUCCACAUAGACUUAUAGAAACUGUGUACACUCACAAACACAUUAGUCCCUUAACCUGUAAGUCUUCAAUACACCAAAAUCACUAAGGGGCGCUAGAUGCACUUACACUACCCCAUACAUUUAUCAAAGAUAAACAAUAACAAUUGACGCAGAAACCAACUGCAGCCCAGAAGUUAAGCGAACUAUUUGAAGGAUCUUUUCCCCCAACUAUCUGCAAAUGAUUAUUUCUGUACUGUAUUGGUAUUUUCCUUGACAAUGUUCAUUCCAAUAGCUUUAUUUGGUGACACAUAAGCCAUUUUCUUGAGCAUGGAAAUGGACUCUAAGAUUACCUUUUUGAUGCUCACUCGGGAAGAAGACAGGUAAACCAUCUGAACCAUAUUUUUUCAUGAUCAUUCGUAGAACACCAUCAUGAUGAUAAUGACUAUGAUUGUGUUGGGUUGUUACACGGGCACAAGAUAACCCAGGAGACACCAAACCAAACAAACCAAGUACCAGAAAGCCGACCCAAACAUGGGGAGCACCAGCCUCUCUAGCGACCUCCUAACCAGAAGAUGACACACUAGUACAGUGAGCUGCUAUACAAAUGGUUUUUAACCCCUUUUCGCGAAGGCAUUUUAAACCGUCGCGAGGCGAGUGUGGGUGAUAGGGGGGUCCUUCCCACACGACCCAGAAACCGUCGGGGAUAGGGAGCCAUGAUGCAUACAGUUGUCCCUAUAAAACUGUUUCUGAUAUCUCGAAUAUCCCAAACGCUUCAUCCUUGCUACUCGUUUGUGCUCGCAUUGCCAUCGCAGUCGGUAUUCUAUGGUGCUAUGUUUACGAUGCGCGACCCAUCACAAAUAGUUCACGAUUAUAGAACGUGUACAAUAAUCAGACAAUCACACACAUUUACUUUUCCUCGACUAUAUGCAAUUCGAUGUAAGAGUGCAUACGGUUGUCCCUAUAAAACUGUAUGCGAAGCUUGAAUAUAUCCCACACAAUUCAUCCGUUGUACCCGCGUCGGAUGAAGACCUAUCGCACGCGCUCUUAUAUGACCAAAUAUUUGUGAUGCACACAUCAUCAUAAAGAGUCCAUAAUUGCCAAGUGUGUGUGAUAAGGUGACUUACGGAAACAUUUAAUAAGAAGGAACUGUGUGCGAUGCUGUUGUUAAUCCCACACGUUUUUUCUUGGCUGAUCGUGUGUGCAGUAGAGAUUGGUCGCACACAUAGUGGAUCCGAGAAACAUGUCUGAUCUCCACGUUUAUCGCCGACGUUUUGCGUUCACAAACUGUGUGCAGUGUAAUCCCUAAUUUAUCCCUAAUUUUAUCCAUGCAUUUAAAAAUCAUAGAUUUUGAAUUUAAAAGUAGGCAAUCACUUAUUUCAUAUCAAACCGUGUUUAUUACAAAUAUAGGUUCAAGCACAAAUGCAUAAUUCGAUGCACAGGUACAUAUACUGAAGAAAUACAGAAGCACCAAGUAAAGAAUGAUGGACCACAGUUGUACCAAAGACGGUAAAGAGAGAGGCGAAAGACAUUCUGGUUGCUGGAGAAGGUGAAGCGGAAUGUCCAUAUUGUGCCCUCCUCCAUGCGUAAUGCACGCACGACUCUAGGCCAACCCCUUGUAAUGGCUGCCCACCCAUCCUUCACUGUCUUCAUUAGGACUUCUCGAUGCUCAUUGUAGUCUGGAUGAAAUACUUUAACCUUCAUUGUGUGUCCACCAACCAUUUACUUUGCGAGGUAAACUUGAGUAAACUACUUUGGGAACCACUGCAAACAAAAAAGAUUCAGACAUUGUUGUCUACCAACUCAUUAUGGGCAGUAAAAAGAGAAGGCUGCAGAGUUUGGAGCUACCAUCCUAUAACUCACUGUUGUGUUGGAUAGAGUGUAAACAAAUAAUUUUCUUGCCACCGUUCAUAUCUUUUUGCUAAUAAUCCUUAUCAGUUUCCUCGCUUGAUGCUUGUUCAUGUAUAUCUCAUUGCCCCAUACGCAAAAAGGGUCGAUGCGUUGAUCUUUGUCACGGGCAUAUGUACCUACAAGCAACAAGUAAAUAUUAGAAGAUAACAAGUGUCCAGGCCUGGAUCUAUAUGCACUACAUUAUGGAACGACGGGGGUAGUACAAGCCGAGGGAUGAAACUAACCUCGGCGGAAAAUGUUGGCCACUCCCGUUGUUGUCCUGCAUAAGUAGUGGAAAGGCAUGAUAAGUACAACAACCUUAGCAUCAAACAAAUAUAACCAAGGUAAACAACAUCAUCUCCAAAUGAUAACUUGAAUGUGUUGGUUUCAGCAUGCUGUUAAAGCAGAUAUAAAAUGGAAGGGAAUGUUACCUACAAUAGGCCUAAUAGCCAUCAAAUAUUGCAAUUCAAACUAGUAUUGUUGAAAAUGAAUAGAACGUAGCUCAUGUUUAGACAUCACACUGGAUAAAUUUGUAAGACUGAAAUAAAGGGCAUGUGUUAACUACACCAGGCAUAACUGGAACCAAAUAUAGCAAUUCAAACUGGUAUUGAUGAAAUCGAGCGGCACAGUUUCGACAUGCACAAAAUGAACAUCACAUUGUGAAUGACUGAAAUAAACAAGCAUAAAUGAUCAGUAUAACAACCAAAUAUGGCCAUUGAAAAUUGGACAGAGUCUCACUACAACCAACCUAACAAGCAAAUAUAGAUAAACAGGGCAUAUGCUUGGAAACUGGACAAUUGCUCACUGCAACCAACCUAACAAGCAAAUACAGAUAAACAAGGCAUUUGCUCGAAAACUGGACAAAUGAUCACUGCAACCAACCUAACAACCAAAUACGGAUAAACAAGGCAUCUACUUGAAAACUGGACAAAUGCUCACUGCAACCAACCUAACAACCAAAUACACAUAAACAAGCAUCUGCUUGAUAACGGGACAAAUGCUCACUUCGACCAACCUAACAACCAAAUACAGAUAAACAAGGCAUCUAUUCUGUCGUGGAAUUGUCACGGCAGAUGUCUUAGUGUGAGGACUUAGUCGCGAGGCCAACGCAUCUAUGUAGUAGCUUGAGAGGGGUUAAGCGGAAUCGAGAGACGCAACACAAGACGAGGAUUUAGAUAGCUUCGGGCCCCAGGAAACAUCAUCCAGUCCUACAUGCUGUUUGAGGCUAGGUCUCAUUAUGAUCACGAGGGAGUCGCCGGCUUGGCCGGCUCUUUGUGUCUAGCCCUAGAGAUUGUUUCUCGUUCCUUGUCCCUCUUGGGGUGCCCCGCCCCUCCUUAUAUAAGUUGAAGAGGCGUCUUACAUGUAGAGUCCUAGUAGGAUUAAAACUAACUUAUUCUCUAUUACAAGUCGGAUACAAGUACGGGACUUGCUUCCUUGUAAAGGAAAUAUUCCUCAUGCCUUCCGUCUUAAGCCGGCCCACAAUAACAUGAGCCGGCCUACUAGGCCUUGGGCCCUUGUCAUCCGUCUGACCCGCCGUCGGGGCCAUCAUUAAAUCGCCAGGCUUGUGAGUCGUCACACCAGUGAACCAGCAGACCUGUGAGUCGCCAAUCCUCCGGCGGGUUACGAUGAAGCGCCAAGUCCGGCUGGGUCAUACCGCGGGGUAUAUCCCCGACAUUAGCCCCCAGUUUAAUUUGGAUUUAUCCAUGUUAAACUAAUCCUGCAAAAUAACUCAAGAACAAAUUUGACAGGUUGUGCUCCGGGUUAAAUAUUCUUGUAAACCGGCACUUGAUCAUCCUUAAGUCCUUGACAUUUUCUCCUGGAAUAUCCGGGUCAAUAGGCCAGCUUCAUAAUCCAUUUGCUGACAUUGGCUCUUAUAAAGAAACAUUAUACGAAAUAAUCCACUUGAGUCGGUUUCCAAAACCCCGGCUUAAUAAACAUCUUAGACUCAAGAUUCAUCUGGUGAUCCGCCAGUUUAAAGAUGUAGAGGCUGGCUAGUUAUAAUUGCCAAAAUUACCGGCUUGUAAAUAUUGAUAACACCGGGUCAUAACUGUUGCCGACACCGGGUCAUUAUUAUUGGUGACACCGGGUCAUAAUUGUUGCAAACACCGGGUCAAUCUGGUCUGCUCCAAACUGAGAAUUUGAAGAUUUUUUCUCCCUUAUAUGCAUAUCACCUGUAGCCCCCAAGUCUUAAGAGGAGAACAUAGUGAUAACUUAAGACUUGCUUCAAUAUAAGUAUUGCAACCUUGAAGAAAACCGGGUUAUUCAUCUCAAUCAUUAGUCAUAAACUGAAUAUUCCACAUAUGUAGCCCCCAAGUGCCGGGUUGGCAUGCUUGCAGCAACCUGGGACUUGUAAUUGCCUUAUGCUCAUAAAAACUUCAACCAAUGUAGCCCCCAAGGGCCGGGUCAUUAUAUAAUAAUGAGCAGGGACUUUGUAAAUAUGGUCAUGUAAACUUGACUAGCAACGUGUAGCCCCCAAAGGCCGGGUCAGUAAGAUGUUACCGAGCUGGGACUUUGUAUAUGAUUCAUUGAUAAUAACAUCAUAUGAUGUAAUCUCCACCAUAGGGCUUGAACCCACGUCUGUUAAGAGCUUUGUACUCUACCAACUAAGUAGUGGAUCUUUCAAUAUAAUGGAUUAAGGCUUGUGUACCUUGAAUUUUCGACAGGAGCAAUUGGUAGCCCCCAAGGGCCGGCUCAUUUAGAAUGUGAUGAGUCGGGUCUUCAAUAAGUUCAGAAAACAAUGACUUUGCAUUAGCCCCCAAGUGCCAUGGUACAUGCUGGCAGUAACAUGGGACUUGCAUAUUCGAUGUAAUAUCAAUUUGAAUAAUGUAGCCCCCAAGUGUCGGGUCGUAAGCCUGCAGCGACUCAGGACUAUUCCUUCCAUUGUAGAAUAAAUCAUAUCCAUUGAUAAAAUAAUAGCCAUUGCGCCAAAGCGACUUUGAAUAACUCAUCUGUUGAUAAGUGAACCCAGAGUUUAAAUACCCGCUGGCUCUUGGCCGAUGGCAAUUUAAUACGCCUCCAUUAUAAGCCGGAAUUUUUAUAACCCAGCGGCUUAUAGCCUUUGAGAAAAUCAAGAAUUGAUAACCCUUUUGAGACGCCAAUUUCAAUCUUUGAUGAUGGGCUUGAACUUAAUCAUUUAUGUAAGUCAUAGCUCUGUAAAUCCUGCACAGAGUUUAAACAACAUAUGCCCUGGCGACUUAACGUCAAAAGCCAGGGCGGGUAACCACCCAAAUGUAGUCUUAUCCUGCACACAAGUAGAUCACAAAAUCCCUUGGCGGUUUACCGUAGGGCGGGUCAUAAUAUCUCACAUAUAACCACUGUGAUAUUGAAUUUGUACUGCCGGUUUACAUGACCUGUGCAGUAAGGGUGAUAACCCAAUCUUUAGAAAUCAAGACUUCCAAAUGUUUAUGAUUGUCAUAUGAUGGCGACUUAUCAUCCAAAGUCAAACCGGGUUAAAUAGCAACCACUCAUAUACACUUUAGAUAUGAUCAAAAGAGCUUCAAAUAAAAUCCAAAAACUGUUUGCAAAAAGAGACUUCAAAAAUUUUGAGGCUUCUGAUUCGAAUACGAUCAGAAAACCAUCCCAAAGGGGUUAAGCUAAGAUUCGAAUACGAUCAUAUAACCCCCAGUGGCUUUGGCGUUGCCGAUCAAGAGGGUACCGACAGCUAUGUUCUCUUUGGUUCAAAUACGACCUAUGUUUGAACAGGAAGCCCCCAAAUUGACCUUGAGAGUUGUUUAACGACGCUGAUUCGAAUACGAUCCACGUCGGUUCCCAAAAGGGGUUGAGCUAUGAUUCGAAUACGAUCAAGAAGCCCCCUAGUGAGCUCGGCAGUGUGCCGAUCAAGAGGGUACCGACAGCUAUGUUCUCUUUGGUUCGAAUAUGACCUAUGUUUGAACAGGAAGCCCCCUAGUGAUCAUGAGAAUAUUUAACGACUCUGAUUCGAAUACGAUCAGGAUCACACCAAAAGGGUUAAGCUAAAUUCGAAUACGAUCAACUCCCAAUGGUCAUUAAAGCAGGGUACCUAUGUUUGGGUUGUGCUUUGUAAAGACUCUUUUUGGUCCCUUUAAUUUUUCCUGAGAACUCGAACUUUGCGAGAGAUAAAUUCUUUUUGAACCGAAAAAACCGGAUAUUGAGAGUUUCAAAGCUUUGUGAUAGACAAAUUUACCUUGAACCGGAUUUGAGAGCUUCAAAACGUUGUGGCAGAUAAAUUUCCCUUGAACCGGAUUUUAAACCGGAUAUUUAAGAGCUUCAGUGCUUUGUGGGAGAUGUCAAGUCUCUUGAGCCGGAUCUAAACCGGAAUCCUUCUUUUUAAGCCGGAAAUUUUCUGACGGCCUAUAAACUUUUCACCAAUAUGGAGGUAGCCUCCGGGACCGGAUUAUUUUUCCCUCCAAUGACCCGGAGUUCUUGAAUGCAUUGAAACCGACCAAUGCUGCCGAGUCAUAUCAUUGUAGCCCCCAAGUCUCAAGACGACUCGAGGAGUUGGCUUUGAGAUUCUCCAUAUUGACUAUAGCAUAAGGUGUAUAUCAUUGGUGUUGAUAGCGCGAUGUGAAUCCACAGAAGGUUGAAGUGACUGCGGCGGGUUAUAAAUGAUCUCGUAUGAGCCGUGUCAACAACUCGGCCAAUGGUUCCUUCCAACGGGAUGUUUUGAAGUUAACCAAACUGUAGUGGCGGCGGCUUGUGCGCCUGCCCAUUGAACCAUCCAGUGCAGACGGCGGCUGAUGAUACAUGAUAAUUUGCCUCCAAUUUUGUUGGAAGAAAAAACCGGGCUUCCCAAGCCGUGACUUGCUCAUACUUAAUAAUCAGCUCACGUAGACGGAUGUGGCCCAGUAUGUUGAUAUAGACCAGGCCGCGGGAGACGGACGGAAAAGAUGACCUCAGCAUCAGAGGUGGAUCAAACAGAUGAACCGGCCGCGGUGUUGUAAACCGGCCGCGAGCGGGUCAACCAUGUUUGUUUUGAUGUAGCGAACAAUUGUCCUGCAUCAACAAUAGUGCAGACCAAGACAAAGAUAAACUACUCUUUGACAAAAAUAAUACGUGCCAAUAAAAUAUAUCUUAGAUGGAUAUCACCUGAUGUGCCAGGCUGGAAAGUAACCCGCCAUGAAUUUGAUGAUCACUAGGUGAUGUUGAAAUCACUCACGGGCGAGUUAGCCGCGGGUGCAGGCAGAUGAGUCGGCCGCGGUGUUGUAAGCCGGUGCGGACGAGCAAGUUGUCCUCCGCGUUGUAAGCCGGUGCGGACGCGUGAACCGGCGAUGAAGGCGGACGGGCGAGUCGUCCGUGGCGUUGUAGGGUGGUGCGGACGGGCGAGUCGGCCGCGCGUUGAUGUAAAUCGGACCACAGGGGCGACAGCUGUAUAUAACAACACUAUAGGGCAGAGUGGUUGUUUUCAAAAAAUUAAUAAGUACUGAUAAAAGUAAACUGGAUGGAUAUCACCUGAUAUGUUAGGCCGGAAAUUAUCCGCCAUGGAGUUGAUGGUCACCACGGUGAAGCUAAAGUCAACCAUGGAUGAGUCACCCGAAGGAGCAAACGGAUGAGUCGUCCGUAGCGUUGUAAGCCGGUGCGGACGAGCAAAUUGUUCUCCGCAUUGUAAACCGGCGUGGACGCGUGAACCGGCCGCGAGGGCGGACAGGCGAUUCGUCCGUGGUGUUGUAAGGCGGUGCGGGCGGGCGAGUCGGCCGGCGCAUUGAUGUAAACCGGACCGCGAUACACGUGUCCGUGAAGCUGCGCAGCACAGCCGAACGUGCCUCCGCAGUAUAAUACCACCCCUUUUUCUUUUAAUAGCCGUCCUGCAUAAAAAAAUUACAGGCCAGAGUAACUGUUGUCGGAUGAAUAAGCAUGUACUGAUAAAAUACAUUGGAGGGAUAACACCUAAUUCGCCUGGACGAUAGAUGAUCCGUAUAUAACGUCUAUAUAUAUAUAUAUAUAUCCUCCAGUAAUUUCAAUGGUGAUUUAAGCCAUUUCUGGCUGGCUUGUCCAUACUGGAAUAUUUGCAUUGAUUUUUCUGAUGUAACACUAGCUGCACCUUUUUCUUUUUCUUUUUUCCUUUUUCUUUGCCGACAGGCUCCAGUCGUGUCCAUUGGACAGUGCCAACACCAGUUGUAGCUCAGCGGCUAACGUCCCUGCCAUCCGUCUUUGAGGGAGGUCCAGGGAUCAACUCUUGAGUUAAAUAGAUCUGCAAUCAUAAAAUAGCACGAGCAGACAACAUAUGUUUUAUAUAAUACUAAUUUAAUACCCAGAGCAAUUUAACGGAGACGAGUGCACCUGAUUACGUCCGUAGGCAGCGACUUUGAAUACUCUGACUGCUUUCUCAUGGUUGUUUCUUUUAUUUUUCCUCAGGAGAUGAGAUGUGGGCCUUGGUUGAAGUAGGUAGUAGUAGCAAUAUACGCACACGCGAUCCUGGUGCUACUGGCUUCUGGCCGAUUCGCCGGUGACUGCUGACCUCGUGAACCAAGGCCACAUGUACUGACGCAGGCCCAAAAUAUAUUUAUUUUCGGAUUCGAUCAUCUGCCAGGUACAUACGACGGCGUAUAAGAGCCGGAGCCAGCGAGGGGCUUGGCGACUUGAAGGUCGAAGCGGACUUGGUGUCGAGGCCAAGGUCGUUGAAUCAUGGGGAAUCCGGCAAAAGCAGCGAAACCCAUGGGAUGGGAAUAGAGGCGCCUCAAGGCCGGGCGGCUCACAAGACUUGAAGCGGGCCGACCGUAGCAGCGACUCGGUACACCGGCGAGGGCGACUUGGAAGCCACAAGGGUUGCAAACGGCUCACAAUCCGGCAACAGCAGAGGCGGACUCGUUCAGACGGCGACGGCAACUCAGAGGCGGGAGCAAGGCCGUGACCUGGAGCCAAAGAAUACAUGACGGUGACAGCGACUCGACAGCGCAACGGCUUGAGCAGCAGAAACAAACACGAGCCGGGGGCCACGGGCGGGCCAGUGCUGGAGUCCAACCGCUAGUGCACACCGGCGGGUUGACGACGCGGACGAUGACUUGAUGCGGCGCUUGGAAACAAGGCCGACUCCAUGCGAUGGAGACCUCCUCCGGGUCGUGCUUGGCUUGACCAUAAUUUUUUUAACGCGGCUGAUUUAGGCCGGCUUAGAUCGGUUUCCUCUGUAUAACCACGUUUUGCAAGUGGUGAUCGGCUUUGGCAGAGGCAUCAGUUGACUAGUGCCUUCACCCGUCAUAAUAGAUGAUGGAGUGGUAGUUGAUGAUUGGAUUUUGGUCUUCAUGCACAAAGAAGCAGCGACAGAUUUGAUGCCUUGCCUCGGGACUUGACCCCCUCAUGACCACUUGCUACUAUGGACGCUACGUACCGAACAACUGCUGCAACGCGGCGGAAUGGUACGGACGACCGCGGCUGUGGCAACUCCGCGGAACCUGUAGUCGGAUGGAUCUUGAACUCUAGUCGGCCUCGGACUCGUGCAGAAGAUCUUGCCUCGGACUCGGCGGAUUGAGACGACGCGACGGCGACGCACACAACCCUAAUUUUUCCUUGAACGCCAAUCUCACAAAUUGCACGUCUUUCAAAUCGGUUCUUCAUCCAGAAAUUUACGAACUUCUCAAACCCUUAGACAAAUCCCUCCAAGAACUCAACACCACUGUGCGCAGGCCCCACGGUGGGCGCCAACUGUCGUGGAAUUGUCACGGCAGAUGUCCUUAGUGUGAGGACUUAGUCGCGAGGCCAACGCAUCUAUGUAGUAGCUUGAGAGGGGUUAAGCGGAAUCGAGAGACACAACACAAGACGAGGAUUUAGACAGCUUCGGGCCCCGGGAAACAUCAUCCGGUAACAACCCUACAUGCUAUUUGAGGCUAGGUCUCAUUAUGAUCACGAGGGAGUCGUCGGCUUGGCCGGCUCUUUGUGUCUAGCCCUAGAGAUUGUUUCUCGUUCCUUGUCCCUCUUGGGGUGCCCCGCCCCUCCUUAUAUAAGUUGAAGAGGCGGCUUACAUGUAGAGUCCUAGUAGGAUUAAAACUAACUUAUUCUCUAUUACAAGUCGGAUACAAGUACGGGACUUGCUUCCUUGUAAAGGAAAUAUUCCUCAUGCCUUCCGUCUUAAGCCGGCCCACAAUAACAUGAGCCGGCCUACUGGGCCUUGGGCCCUUGUCAUCCAUCUGACCUGCCGUCAGGGCCAUCAUUAAAUCGCCAGGCUUGUGAGUCGUCACAGUAGUGAACCACCAGACCUGUGAGUCGCCAAUCCUCCGGUGGGUUACGAUGAAGCGCCAAGUCCGGUCGGGUCAUACCGCGGGGUAUAUCCCCGACAUAUUCACUAUUAACAACCAAAUAUAGCCAUUCGUGAAACUAAAGUGGACAAUUCAUACUUGAACAUCACAUAGCCCUAUUGAACAUUACAUUUUUGCACAACCGAAAUAAUUAAACACGGCAUAGUUAAAACACCGCAUGGCAAAAGCUACUACAACAAAGGGUACAGGUUGGCAAGCUAGAAAAGGUAAGAUUUGUUGAUAGGAUGUUGCCUCAGAUGUCAUGGACGGGAUCCUUCCAGUUGGAAGAGCACGGACCCAUGGUGCGCUCUUUGAUGUCGCAGAUGGGCUGUUUCACCUUGCAAGAACCUUUGUGGGUGCCCUCCUCGUGGUCGUGGUCGACGAGAUUUGACUUGGGUAUUGAGGAUCCCAAGCUGCCGCCGUAGAACGUGUCCUUCAGAAAUAACAAAAUGGGCUCGAUGGCGUACAAUGAUCGCAAAUCCUUGACCACGUGGCAGAGGAGAUCAGAAGUAGGGCUGUCGAAGCGAUCGACAAUGUUUGAACCAGAGGGGUUGGGGAAGGACCACUUAACAUGUGACAUGACCCACGUGAAGUCGUCGCUGUCGACGAGCUUGAUGUCAUAGCCAGCUUUCCCGAGAUACAGUAAUACGCUAGCCCGCUGACGUGAAGCCUUCGGCAUGGAAACGUAGUCAACGUCCUCGCCGGCUUUCGCGGCGAGGUGUUGCUCUAGGAUCGACAGGUCAAGACGAAUGGCUGCCACCUCGCGAAAGUUCACCGAAGAGGCCAUGAUAAACCUCCUUUUGGUCGAAUGCUUGUCGGGCUCCCUGGGAAACGUGGUCGGGCUUAGGCUGCAACUUCAUGAGCAGGGGAUGUGGAUCUGGUAGGGAGGGACACCGCAGGCCUCAUCUAAUAACUCAGGGGGGACGGUAUGGGAAUCGCUGGGUAACCUAAAAUUUAUUAUUUAAGCUAGGACGAACGGGCAGAUCGGUAGGGGUUGGCGGUGGCGGCGGCGGCAAUCUAGGGUUCGAGGGGGGAGGGGGCCGGUGGGGGACAGUGGAGGAGGGUGGUGUUUGAGGAUACGCCACAGCUACUGAAAAUUUUAGUAAUGGUGGGUGGAGAUGGUGAUGGAUGAGGGAGGGCGACGGUUCAAAUGCCUCGGCUACUGCAAUUUUACUAUAAGGUCGGUGGUGGAGGAGUGGGGGCGACGAUUGAAGUACCAUAGCUACUAAAAUUUCACAACGCACUUGCAUCACACAUGGUUAAGCCACUACCUGCACCUUUGCUCGCGCUUGCGCAAUCAUGGUGAUUCACAGCGCACUUGCAUCGCACACGGUUAGGCCACUACCUCCACCCCUGCUCGCGCUUGCGUAGUCAUAGUGAUUUCACAACGCACUAGCAUCACACAUGUUUAAUCCACUACGUACACACUUGAUCGCGCUUGCGCAGUCGUGGUGAUUUGACAGCGCACUUGCAUCACACAUGGUUAAGCCAGUAAACCCGUGUCUGUUGAGCGUCAUCCGAGUCUUCGCAGCAAAAAAACGUAAGAGAGGGUCAGAAGACAGCCACACCAGCAUGUGGCCCAAAUAUAUAUAAAUGAAAAGGGUGGUCUGUGAAGCUCAAAAUUCCGAUGCACAACUUUGACCACGCGGGCCCAGGCUACCUCUUGAGCACUGUGUUGGUUUUCCAUUGAAGAGGAAAGGGUGAUGCAGUAAAGUAGCGUAAGUAUUUCCCUCAGUUUUUGAGAACCAAGGUAUCAAUCAAGUAGGAGACCAUGCUCGAGUCCCACGCACCUACACAAACAAAUAAGAACCUCGCAACCAACGGGAUAAAGGGGUUGUCAAUCCCUUCACGGUCACUUACGAGAGUGAGAUCUGAUAGGGAUGAUAAGAUAACAUUUUUGGUAUUUUUAUGAGAGAGUAAAAGUAAAGAUUGCAAAAUAAACAAAGAUAGAAAUAGCUUGUUGAUGGAAGAUUAAUAUGAUGGAAAAUAGACCCGGGGGCCAUAGGUUUCACUAGUGGCUUCUCUCAAGAUAGCAUAAGUAUUACGGUGGGUAAACGAAUUACUGUCGAGCAAUUGAUAGAAUUGAGCAUAGUUAUGAGAAUAUCUAGGUAUGAUCAUGUAUAUAGGCAUCAUGUCCGUGACAAGUAGACCGACUCCUGCCUGCAUCUACUACUAUUACUCCACACAUCGACCUCUAUCUAGCAUGCAUCUAGAGUAUUAAGUUCAUAAGAAUAGAGUAACGCUUUAAGCAAGAUGACAUGAUGUAGAGGGAUAAACUCAUGCAAUAUGAUAUAAACCCCAUCUUUUAUCCUCGAUGGCAACAAUACAAUAUGUGUCGUUUCCCCUGCUCUCACCGGGAUCGAGCACCGGAAGAUUGAACCCAAAGCUAAGCACUUCUCCCAUUGCAAGAAAGAUCAAUCUAGUAGGCCAAACCAAACUGAUAAUUCGAAGAGACUUGCAAAGAUAACCAAUCAUACAUAAAAGAAUUCAGAGGAGAUUCAAAUAUUGUUCAUAGAUAAUCUUGAUCAUAAACCCACAAUUCAUCGGAUCUUGACAAACACACCGCAAAAGAAGAGUUACAUCAAAUAGAUCUCCAAGAUAAUCGAGGAGAACUUUGUAUUGAGAUCCAAAGAGAGAUAAGAAGCCAUCUAGCUAAUGACUAUGGACCCGAAAGUCUGAGGUAAACUACUCACACAUCAUCGGAGAGGCUAUGGUGUUGAUGUAGAAGCCCUCCGUGAUCAAUGCCCCCUCCGGCGGAGCGCCGGAAAAGGCCCCAAGAUGGGAUCUCACGGGUACAGAAGGUUGCGGCUGUGGAAAUAGGGUUUUGGCUCCGUGUCUGAUGGUUUGGGGGUACAUAGGUAUAUAUAGGAGGAAGAAGUAGGUCGGUGGAGCAAUAAGGGGCCCAUGAGGGUGGAGGGCGCGCCUAGGGGGUAGGCGCGCCCCCUGCCUCGUGGCUUCCUCGUUCGUUUCUUGACGUCCACUCCAAGUCCUCUGGAUCACGUUUGUUCCGAAAAUCACGUUCCCAAAGGUUUCAUUCCGUUUGGACUUCGAUUGAUAUCCUUUUCCUUCGAAACACUGAAAUAGGCAAAAAAAAUAGCAAUUUGGGCUGGGCCUCCGGUUAAUAGGUUAGUCCCAAAAAUAAUAUAGAAGUGUAUAAAUAAGCCCAUUAAACAUCCAAAACAGAAUAUAUAAUAGCAUGGAACAAUAAAAAAUUAUAGAUACGUUGGAGACGUAUCAGCCCACGGUUGGGCAUGUCGUCGAAGAUCGAUGAGAGGGGCCAGAAGUCAAGAAUCACCUAGAAGUGACAAAAUAUAUGUACGAAUAUAGGGUGAGAUGUUUAAAUCUUUAAAUACACAAUGCACAACUUUGGUGGCACCCGCCUCUCACAAACCAGAAAGCCCCCUUGGAUGUAUCUAUAAUGACAUAAUGUUGUAGCUACCUAGCUAGGGAGCUUGACCCACUUCCCACUUCAUGUCGGUGGGGCGGAUGCACGUACUGAUACUUUGGUCAUACAUGCAUGUCGACAUGACCUACUAUUGGUGCAAUGAUAGGCCCCUUAUGUUUUGGAGUUUAUUGACAUAAACAGUAUGGGACUUAUGUGUUUGCUAGUGCACACAGAGUAAAAGGUCCAUUAAGUAUCAAGGAGUUUGAUGCAAACGACGAAGAUAAUCUCUCUGCGUGGCAGCGAAGGUUAUCACCGAAGGAGAAGCUAACAAGAGUGACCCCUAAAAAUUGCUGAAGUACAAGCAAUUGGUUCAGUGUCUGUUCAAAGAAAAUGACUGCAUUCGAGAAAGAAUGAAGACCAAGUGAAGACGUAGCAUUUGUUUCGUUAUUCUUCUUCUUUUCUUGAGUCAUAGGACCACCAUACUAUUAAGAGGGUGUAGCGUUUGAAGCUUUGAUUAUCUGAUGCUAAACCCAAAUCCUAUGAAAGAUGUGAGAUAAAUCUCUUUGUGCUCCGAGCAAAUACUUGCCAGCAAGAGACUGUGAUCUUCUUCGCUGUGAGAUAUUUGUCUCUGACCGAGGAGUUAGCAUUACUUGUUCAUCAAGUAAUGUUACCGUUGCUCCAAAAUCCGACCGUUGCAAACGUGUCGGUUGGCCAUUGGGUGGACCUCAUGUCCAAAAUGGUCAUUUCCCAUAUGGGAAGGCUGCGGCUACAAAUAGCCACCCGCGCCAGCUUUGUCCAGUGGCUGCUCCAUUUCAUUCUGAGAAGAUUGUUGAGAAACCCAGUCUCUGAGUGAUUUGAGUUUAAAAUCCACCGAGAGAAAAAAACCCUAGAGCCAAAGAAUUAUAUAGUGGUUCAGCAUCACUGAAAUCUAAGUUUAGUAUGCUCCGCCUAUUACUCUUGAGAGCUACAAACUCUCUAGACGGUUAGGUGUCAAUUUCUCCAGAGAACAAGAGUGAUUGUGUUUCUCGAAGAGGAAGUCUGUAAAGGUCCGGAGAUCGCCUUCAAGUAUCUACCACAACUAAUCGGCAUUGGUUGGCGAAUCGAUUAUCGAGGAGAAUAGGGUGAAGAGAGUUUAUAUUCCGUGUUAAGUCAAGCCCCUCCAACCAGACGUAGUCCUUGUGCAGAAGGACAAACUUGUCGAACAAAUACCUUGUCGCUAUCGAGCAUCAUCGGUUAUCUCUGUCACCCAUGUUUACCUUCAAUGCAUUUUCCUUCGUAUGAUUUGCCUAAAUGCACUGCCUACACUACAAUAAAAAUACACUUCUAUGAUGAUACGUGUUUGUCACAUUAGGUCAUAUUUUUUGUCAUGCAUGUACAUCCAUGACGAUUUUAUGACAGAAUCAAGAUAGUCAUACCUGUGUUGUCAUAGAAGUGUUCCAUGAAAUUACCAAAAUUAUCAUCACGGAAGUGUCCACUUCCAUGACGAUAAAUGGCGCAUCAUGGAACUGCUUUCGUCAAGGGUAACCGACACGUGGCAUCCACCGUAAUGGGUCGCCGUUAAGCUAUCGGGUUCCGGUUUGGAUCCGAUAACCCGUUAACAGCCCAGACCAAUGGGGAUUUUCCACAUGUAAAAUCAUCAUUGGCUGGAGGAAACACGUGCCUGCUCCUCGGUGGGCCAGAUGUCGUCCGUCUAAUGGAGGAGACAUGCUUAUGAUACAUCGACACGUGGCAAGGCCCAAUAGAGGCCCAUAUAGGUUAAAAAGGCUAGCCCGGUUAAAGGCCCGUAGUACUUAUUACUCAGGUACUAGUGGGCCAGUCCAACAACGGCCUGUUUAAACAUGGCCCAUUUAUGGCCCGAAGCCAAAUCUGGCCCGAUAAUUGUUCGCCGAAUAUUUGGGCCCAAUUAUGGCCCAGUGACAUUUCAGCCUGUUAGAGGCCCGAUGUAGACAUGGGCCCAUUUCAGCCCGGUGUGUCUUUCGGCCUGGGAAUGGCCCGUGCUACCCAUGGGCCAUAUAUGGUCCGACACAACAUCCGGCCUCUAACGGCCCAUGAUAAAGGUGGCAACAGUUCAGCCCAACUAGACUUUGGGCAUGUCAAAGGCCUGUCGUAUAAUUCAGCCCGUUAUGCCUAUACUAAGCUUUCGGCCUCUUAAAGGCCCAUGAUAUCAGUGGGCUAACUAAGGCCCGAGAUAUGUUUCAUUCUGGUACUGGCCCAUCAUAUAACUGGGCCAAAAAAGGCCUGGUCUACAUUGCAGCCUACUGAAGGCCCGUCGAUGACUAGUGAAAAUUGAGGCCCAACAUGCAUUUCGGCAUGCUAAAGGCCCAUGGUUUCUUCUGGGCCGUAACAGGCCAGCAUAAUAUUUAGCCUGAUAAUGGCCCAAAGCUACAUGGGCCCAACUAAGCGCUGGGUCCACUAAAGGCCCAACUAAACUUUGGGCCGAAUAUAGGUCCGUGUAAGUUGUGGGUCUGGCGUAAAGUGUGAAGGCCCCAAUAGCCUUUCAGGCCCAAGAAAGUUGCGGGCCGGCCCAAUUGUGUCCCGCUAAAAAGAAGGCCCGUUAGAGGCGAAUGUUUCGGCCCGGUCGACUACAUCAGAUUUUUUCAGAUGGCGAAUGAUGGCAGUAACUAGUAGGAAUUAAGAACAAACCUACUCUAUACAAUAAACAAAUUAUGGCAUAGUAACUUAAAAUAAACCUACACUAUACAAUAAAGGAUUUAUGGUAUAUUACAUCAACUGGGCAUCUAAGUUCGCCACCUGUGAUCAUAAAGCGCAACAAAGAAGCAGAUUACAAAAACUGGGCACCAUUGAAGCGUAACAAAAUAAUACUGAACCAAGACCACUUCCAAGACAGUUCAAGAAAGGUUAGCCUUGCGCGGGAACUGCUGCGCAAGCUGCUAAGCAAGGCUGCGAGACUGGCCUAGCAUGUCGGUCAUGAAGGAAAUAUGCCCUAGAGGCAAUAAUAAAGUUGUUAUUUAUAUUUCCUUAGAUCAUGAAAAAUGUUUAUUAUUCAUGCUAGAAUUGUAUUAACCGGAAACUCAGUACAUGUGUGAAUACAUAGACAAAACACUGUCCCUAGUAUGCCUCUACUUGACUAGCUCGUUAAUCAAAGAUGGUUAUGUUUCCUGACCAUAGACAUGUGUUGUCAUUUGAUGAACGGGAUCACCUCAUUAGAGAAUGAUGUGAUGGACUAGACCCAUCCGUUAGCUUAGCAUUAUGAUCAUUGAGUUUUAUUGCUAUUGCUUUCUUCAUGACUUAUACAUGUUCCUCUGACUAUCAGAUUAUGCAACUUCCGAAUACUGGAGGAACACCUUGUGUGCUAUCAAACGUCACAACAUAACUGGGUGAUUAUAAAGAUGCUCUACAGGUGUCUCGGAAGGUGUUUGUUGGGUUGGCAUAGAUCGAGAUUAGGAUUUGUCACUCUGUGUAUCGGAGAGGUAUCUCUGGGCCCUCUCGGUAAUGCACAUCACUAUAAGCCUUGCAAGCAAUGUAACUAAUGAGUUAGUUGGGGGAUGAUGCAUUACGGAACGAGUAAAGAGACUUGCCGAUAAUGAGAUUGAACUAGGUAUGAUGAUACCGGCGAUCGAAUCUCGAGCAAGUAACAUACCGAUGACAAAGGGAACAACGUAUGUUGUUAUGCGGUUUGACCGAUAUAAAGAUCUUCGUAGAAUUUGUAGGAGCCAGUAUGAGCAUCCAGGUUCCGCUAUUGGGUAUUGACCGGAGAUGUGUCUCGGUCAUGUCUACAUAGUUCUCGAACCUGUAGGGUCCGCACGCUUAACGUUCGAUGACGAUUUGUAUUAUGAGUUAUGUGAUUUGAUGUACCCAAGGUUGUUUGGAGUCCCGGAUGAGAUCAUGUACAUGACAAGGAGUCUAGAAAUGGUCGAGACAUAAAGAUCGAUAUAUUGCAAGGCUAUAUUCGGACAUCAGAAAGGUUCCGAGUGAUUCGAGUAUUUUUCGGAGUACCGGAGAGUUACGGGAAUUCGCCAGAGGAAGUAGUGGGCCUUAAUGGGCCAUACGGGAAAGGAGAGAAGGGCCUCAAGGGGUGCCCCCCCCCCAUGGCAAGUCCGAAUUGGACUAGGGAGGGGGUGACGCCCCCCUCUCUUUCCUUCUGCUUCUCCUACUCCUUCCCUCUGUCCCCUCUUGGAAAAGGAAGGGGACUCCAACUUGGAUUGGGAAUACUAGUUGGACUCCCCGCUCCUCCUAGGUCGGCCUCCUCCUCCUCCCUCCUUUAUAUACGUGGCCAAGGGGGCACCCCAAGACACACAAGUUGAUUUCUUAGCCGUGUGCGGUGCCCCCCUCCACAUAUUUCCACCUCAUUCAUAUUGUCGUAGUUCUUAGGUGAAGCCCUGCGUCCAUAACUUCAUCAUCACCGUCACCACGCCGUCGUGCUGACGAAACUCUCCCUCGGCCUCAGCUGGAUCUAGAGUUCGAGGGACGUCACCGAGCUGAAUGUGUGCAGAUCGCAGAGGUGUCGUGCGUUUGGUACUUGAUCGGUUGGAUCGCGAAGACGUUCGACUACAUCAACCGCGUUACUUGAUGCUUCCCCUUUCGGUCUACGAGGGUACGUGGACACACUCUCCCCGCUCGUUGCUAUGCUUCUCCUAGAUAGAUCUUGCGUGAUCGUAGGAAUUUUUUUGAAAUACUACGUUCCCCAACAGUGGCAUCCGAGUCAGGUCUAUGCGUAGAUGUUAUAUGCAUGAGUAGAACACAAAGAUUUGUGGACGAUAAUAGUCAUACUGCUUACCAGCAUGUCAUACUUUGAUUCGGCGGUAUUGUUGGAUGAAGCGGCCCAGACCGACAUUACAUGACCGCGUUCAUGAGACUGGUUCUACCGCCGUGCUUCGCACACAAGUGGCUAGUGGGUGUCUGUUUCUCCAACUUUAGUUGAAUCGAGUGUGACUACGCCCGGUCCUUGUUGAAGGUUAAAACAGCACACUUGACAAAAAAUCGUUGUGGUUUUGAUGCUUAGGUAAGAACGAUUCUUGCUAAGCCCGUAGCAGCCACAUAAAAUUUGCAACAACAAAGUAGAGGACGUCUAACUUAUUUUUGCAGGGCUUGUUGUGAUGUGAUAUGGUCAAGAUUUGAUGAUAUAUAAAUUGUUGUAUGAGAUGAUCAUGUUUUGUAACAGUUAUCGGCAACUGGCAGGAGCCAUAUGGUUGUCGCUUUAUUGUAUGAAAUGCAAUCGCCAUGUAAUUGCUUUACUUUAUCACUAAGCGGUAGCAAUAGUCGUAGUAGCAAUAGUUGGCGAGACGACAACGCUGCUUCGGUGGAGAUCAAUGUGGCAAGCCGGUGACGAUGGUUAUCAUGACGGUGCUUUGGAGAUGGAGAUCAAAGGCACAAGAUGAUGAUGGCCAUAUCAUAUCACUUAUAUUGAUUGCAUGUGAUAUUUUUCCUUUAUGCAUCUUAUUUUGCUUAGUACGGUGGUAGCAUUAUAAGAUGAUCUCUCACUAAAUUUCAAGGUAUAAGUGUUCUCCCUGAGUAUGCACCGUUGCUACAGUUCGUCGUGCCGAGACACCACGUGAUGAUCGGGUGUGAUAAGCUCUACGUUCACAUACAACGGGUGCAAGCCAGUUUUGCACACGCAGAAUACUCGGGUUAAACAUGACGAGCCUAGCAUAUGCAGAUAUGGCCUCGGAACACUGAGACCGAAAGGUCGAGCGUGGAUCAUAUAGUAGAUAUGAUCAACAUAGUGAUGUUCACCAUUGUAAACUACUCCAUCUCACGUGAUGAUCGGACAUGGUUUAGUUGAUAUGGAUCACGUGAUCACUUAGAUGAUUAGAGGGAUGUCUAUCUAAGUGGGAGUUCUUAAGUAAUAUGAUUAAUUGAACUUUAAUUUAUCAUGAACUUAGUCCUGGUAGUAUUUGCAUAACUAUGUUGUAGAUCAAUAGCUCGCGAUGUAGCUCCCCGUUUAUUUUUUAUAUGUUCCUAGAGAAAAACUAUGUUGAAAGAUGAUAGUAGCAAUGAUGUGGACUAGGUCCGUGAUCUGAGGAUUAUCCUCAUUGCUACACAGAAGAAUUAUGUCCUUGAUGCACCGCUAGGUGACGGACCUAUUACAGGAGCAGAUGCAGACGUUAUGAACGUUUGGCAAGCUCGGUAUGAUAACUACUUGAUAGUUUAGUGCACCAUGCUUUACGGCUUAGAACCCGGACUUCAAAAACAUUUUGAACGCCACGGAGCAUAUAAGAUGUUCCAAGAGUUGAAACUGGUAUUUCAGACUCAUGCCCGACUCAAGAGGUAUGAGACCUCUGACAAGUACUUUGCCAACAAGAUGGAGGAGAAUAGCUCAACCAGUGAGCAUGUGCUCAGAUUGUCUGAGUACUACAAUCGCUUGAAUCAAGUGGGAGUUAAUCUUCGAGAUAAAAUAGUGAUUGACGGAGUUCUCUAGUCACCAUCACCAAGUUACUGGAACUUCGUGAUGAACUAUAAUAUGCAAGGGAUGACGAAAAUUAUUCCCGAGCUCUUCGUGAUGUUGAAAUCGACGAAGGUAGAAAUCAAGAAAAGCAUCAAAUGUUAAUGGUUGACAUGACCACUUGUUUCAAGUAAAAGGGCAAGGGGAAGAAAGGUAACUUCAAGAAGAAUGGCAAGCAAGUUGCCACUCCCACGAAGAAGCCCAAAGCUAGACCCAUGCCUGAAACUGAGUGCUUCUACUGCGAAGGAAAUGGUCACUGGAAGUGGAACUGCCCCAAAUACUUGGCGGAUAAGAAGGAUGGCAAAGUGAACAAAAUUAUAUAUGAUAUACAUGUUAUUGAUGUGUACUUUACUAGUGUUCAUAGUAGCCCCUGGGUAUUUGAUACUCGUUCAGUUGCUAUGAUUAGUAACUCGAAACAGGAGUUACAAAAUGAACAAAGACUAGUUGAAGGCAAGGUGACGUUGUGUGUUGGAAAUGAUUCCAAGGUUGAUAAGAUCACCAUCGCACACUCCCUUUACCUUUGGGAUUAGUGUUGAACCUAAAAUAAAUGUUAUUUGGGUUGAGCAUAAUAUGAUUAGAUCAUGUUUAUUGCAAUACGGUUAUUCAUUUAAUUCAAAGAAUAAUUGUUAUUCUGUUUACAUGAAUAAAACCUUCUGUGGUCAUACACGCAAGGUGAAUGGUUUAUUGAAUCUCUAUCGUAGUAAUACACAUAUUCAUAAUAUUGAUGCCAAAAGAUGCAAAGUUGAUAAUGAUAGUGCAACAUAUUUGUGGCACUGCCGUUUAGGUCAUAUUGGUGUAAAGCGCAUGAAGAAACUCCAUGCUGAUGGGCUUUUGGAAUCACUUGAUUAUGAAUCACUUGAUGCUUGCGAACCAUGCCUCAUGGGCAAGAUGACUAAAACUCCGUUCUCCAGAACAAUGGAGCGAGCAACUGACUUAUUGGAAAUAAUACAUACUGAUGUAUGCGAUCCGAUGAGUGUUAAGGCUCGCGGCGGGUAUCGUUAUUUUUCUGACCUUCACAGAUGAUUUGAGCAGAUAUGGGUAUAUCUACUUGAUGAAACAUAAGUCUGAAACAUUUGAAAAGUUCAAAGAAUUUUAGAGUGAAGUGGAAAAUAAUCGUAACAAGAAAAUAAAGUUUCUACGAUCUGAUCGCGGAGACGAAUAUUUGAGUUAUGAGUUUGGUCUUCAUUUGAAACAAUGUGGAAUAGUUUUGCAACUCACACCACCUGGAACACCACAGCUUAAUGGUGUGUCCGAACAUCAUAACCGUACUGUAUUAGAUAUGGCACAAUCUAUGAUGUCUCUUACCGAUUUAUCACUAUCGUUUUGGGGUUAUGCAUUAGAGACAACUGCAUUCACGUUAAAUAGGGCACCAUCUAAAUCCAUUGAGAUGACUGUCGGUGUCAAAACCGGCGGAUCUCGGGUAGGGGGUCCCGAACUGUGCGUCUAAGGUCGAUGGUUAUAGGAAACAGGGGACACGAUGUUUACCCAGGUUCGGGCCCUCUCUAUGGAGGUAAUACCCUACUUCCUGCUUGAUUGAUCUUGAUGAAUAUGAGUAUUACAAAAGUUGAUCUACCACGAGAUCGUAAUGGCUAAACCCUAGAAGUCUAGCCUGUAUGACUAUGGUAAUGAGUAUAUCCUUUUUGGACUAACCCCUCCGGUUUAUAUAGAUACCAGGGAGAUCUAGGGUUACAUAGAGUCGGUUACAUAAGAAGGAAUCUUCAUAGUUGGUCGCCAAGCUUGCCUUCCACGCCAAGGAGAGUCCUAUCCGGACACUGGGUACAGUCUUCAGCCUUCAUGUAUUCACAGCCCACCAGUCCGGCCCAUGGAUAACAGGCCGGAUGCCCGAGGACCCCUUAGUCCAGGACUCCCUCAAUGACACCAUAUGAAUUGUGAUUUGGCAAGAAACCCAAGUUGUCGCUUCUUAGAAUUUGGGGCUGCGAUGCUUAUGUGAAAAAGCUUCAACCUGAUAAGCUCGAACCCAAAUCAGAGAAAUGUGUCUUCAUAGGAUACCCAAAAGAAACUGUUGGGUACUCCUUCUAUCACAGAUCCGAAGGCAAGAUCUUUGUUGCUAAGACUGGAUCCUUUCUAGAGAAGGAGUCUCUCUUGAAAGAAGUGAGUGGGAGGAAAGUAGAACUUGAUGAGGUAGUUGUACCUUCUCCCUUAUUGGAAAGUAGUUCAUCACAGAAAUCAGUUCCAGUGAUUCCUACACCAAUUAGUGAGGAAGCUAAUGAUGAUGAUCAUGAAACUUCUGAUCAAGUUACCACCGAACCUCGUAGGUCAACCAGAGUAAUAUCCACACCAGAGUGGUAUGGUAAUCCUGUUCUAGAGGUAAUGUUACUUGACGAUGACAAACCUACGAACUAUGAGGAAGCGAUGAUGAGCCCAGAUUCGGCGAAAUGGCUUGAGGCCAUGAAAUCUGAGAUGGGAUCCAUGUAUGAGAACAAAGUAUGGACUUUGAUUGACUUGCCUGAUGAUCGGCUAGCCAUUGAGAAUAAAUGGAUCUUCAAGAGGAAGACGGACGCUGAUAGUAGUGUUCCUAUCUACAAAGCUCGAAUUGUUGCAAAAAGUUUUCGACAAGUUCAAGGUGUUGACUAUGAUAAGAUUUUCUCACUCGUAGCGAUGCUUAAGUCUGUCCGAAUCAUGUUAGCAAUUGCCACAUUUUAUGAAAUCUGGCAAAUGGAUGUCAAAACUACAUUCCUUAAUGGAUUUCUUAAAGAAGAGUUGUAUAUGAUACAAACAAAAGGUUUUGUCAAUCCUAAAGGUGCUAACAAAAUGUCCAAGCUCUAGCGAUCCAUCUAUGGACUGGUGCAAGCAUCUCCGAGUUGGAAUAUAUGCUUUGAUAAGUUGAUCAAACCAUAUAGUUUUAUACAGACUUGCGGUGAAGCAUGUAUUUACAAGAAAGUGAGUGGGAGCACUACAGCCUUUCUGAUAAGUAUAUGUGAAUGACAUAUUGUUGAUCGGAAAUAAUGUAGAAUUUUCUGGAAAUUAUAAAGGAGUGGUUGAAAGGAGUUUUUCAAAGAAAGACCUCGGUGAAGCUGCUUACAUGUUGGGCAUCAAGAUCUAUAGAGAUAGAUCAAGACGCUUGAUAAGAUUUUUCAAUGAGUACAUACCUUGACAAGAUUUUUGAAGUAGUUCAAAAUGGAACAGUCAAAGAAGGAGUUCUUGCAUGUAUUGCAAGGUGUUGGAGUUGAGUAAGACUCAAAACACGACCACGGCAGAAAAUAGAAAGAGAAUGAAAGUCAUUCCCUAUGCCUCAGCCAUAGGUUCUAUAAAGUAUGGUAUGCGGUGUACCAAACCUUUUGUGUACCUUGCCAUGAGUUUGGCAAAGGGGUACGAUAUUGAUCCAGGAGUGGAUCACUUGACAGCGGUCAAAAUUAUCCUUAGAAGACUAAGGAGAUAUUUCUCGGUUAUGGAGGUGAUAAAAAUUUCAUCGUAAAGAGUUAUGCUGAUGAAAGCUUUUACACCGAUCCGGAUGACUCUGAGUCUCAAUCUGGAUACAUAUUGAAAGUGGGAGCAAUUAGCUAGAGUAGCUCCAUGCAGAGCAUUGUAGACAUAGAAAAUUUACAAAAUACAUACGGCGCUGAAUAUGACAGACCCAUUGACUAAGCUUCUCUCAGAAGCAAAACAUGAUCACGCCUUAGUACUCUUUGGGUGUUAAUCACAUAGCAAUGUGAACUAGAUUAUUGACUCUAGUAAAACCCUUUGGGUAUUAGUCACAUGACGAUUUGAACUAAUCACAUGGUGAUGUGAACUAUUGGUGUUAAAUCACAUGGCGAUGUGAACUAGAUUAUUGACUCUAGUGCAAGUGGGAGACUGAAGGAAAUAUGCCCUAGAGGCAAUAAUAAAGUUGUUAUUUAUAUUUCCUUAUAUCAUGAUAAAUGUUUAUUAUUCAUGCUAGAAUUUUAUUAACCGGAAACUUAGUACAUGUGUGAAUGCAUAGGCAAAACAUAGUGUCCCUAGUAUGCCUCUACUUGACUAGAUCGUUAAUCAACGAUGGUUAUGUUUCCUGACCAUAGACAUGUGUUCUCAUUUGAUGAAUAGGAUCACAUCAUUAGAAAAUGAUGUGAUGGACAAGACCCAUCCGUUAGCUUAGCAUUACGAUCGUUGAGUUUUAUUGCUAUUGCUUUCUUCAUGACUUAUACAUGUUCCUCUGACUAUGAGAUUAUGCAACUUCCGAAUACCGGAGGAACACCUUGUGUGCAAUCAAAUGUCACAAAGUAACUGGGUGAUUAUAAAGAUGCUCUACAGGUGUCUCCGAAGGUGUUUGUUGGGUUGGCAUAGAUUGAGAUUAGGGUUUGCCACUCCGUGUAUCGGAGAGGUAUCUCUGGGCCCUCUCGGUAAUGCACAUCACUAUAAGCCUUGCAAGAAAUGUGACUAAUGAGUUAGUUGCAAGAUGAUGCAUAACGGAACGAGUAAAGAGAUCCAAGAAAAUUGAGAUACUGUGACGAAAAUCCUCGUGACGAUCGUGAAUAACGUCACACAGAUACCCAAUGUGUGAUGUUUUAUAGGUGGCGUCACUGAUCACCAUGAAUCAGUGAUGGUGAACGUCACAAAAUCGCCUCAACGGUUGAGUGCCACCAGUUCGCCAAUUUCUAUGACGAUUUGGUAAUUUGAUGACAAACCUAUUAAAGUCACCGAUUAUUAUGAAUGUAUGACACUCAUUUUUUUGUCAUGUGACGUCCAGAAGUGGGACCCAUUAUAGAUGCUUCACAUCUUAUUGAAUGGUAGGACCCACACGUCAAUGUUGACAAUGGGACCCCCCAUUGCUUACUCACAUUUUAUCGAGCGAUGUAAUUAUUUUGUUGUAUCUCAUAAAUAGUCAGUGGCAUGGAAAAUAACGUUAUUACGGUUGUUCGUGAGGUGAUGUGUAUGACAUUGCGAUUGUUUGGUUCGAUCUCAAAAAUAAAAAUGGUAGGUAGUAGUUGGCAGAAAAAGGUGUAUAUCAUGGAUAAUUAUAGGAACAGUAGGCCCAAUUCUAGGACAGAUUCAUUUGUGUGUUUGUGUCGAAUGAAAAAAGUUGGGUACAAUGAUCGGACGACCUCAUGUCUAGUUGCAUGCCACUGCCAACGAGUGCUCUUGAUAAAAAAGGAGUUUUAUACGUCUAAAAAGGGCUUUAUACAUCCUAGAUCGCUUACACUAGAGGUUGGGGACUACGCGGAUGAGUAGAUUCAGACUCUAAACAAUCGUUGUUGAAAACCAUCAUUUGACGUUACCAAUUUUAUUUACACAAGUACUCCUUUCUGUCCCGAAAUACUCGUCGGAGAAGAUAAAAUAGAUGUAUCUAAAAUUAAAAUAUAUCUAGAUACAUCCAUUCAUCCGACAAGUAUUUUCAGAUGGAGGGAGUAGUACGAAAAUUCACUCGUUUGCAUUUUGUUUUACUCCAAGAUCACAUAUUUAAGAUACCUGUCUACGUUAUCUAACAUGUACAACUUUCGACAUAUAUAUUUACAAAUCUCUAGAAAAGACUACAUGGAAAAUACCACAUCAUAAUGUCUAUGUAAGGUUUACUUUUUUUAAUAAUCAUUUGCUACUUAUUUCGUAUUAAAUGAAUUGCACAACAUCAUGUGAAAAUUAAAUUCUGAAAAAUAAAACAAUCUGCACACCAGAAAAACUCUUUCCCCUCCGUUUCUCUUUCUUAUUCCCGCAUCCUGUCCCCACCCGUCAAAGGCCGAGCCAAAUUUCUCCUUCUAUUUCGCCCGCGAAGAGGCACCGCUAAAGGCCACCGCCCACACCGGCAUUUUUUCGCCAGAUUCAAUCGACUCUCCUAUAUCCCACGACUGCGGCGAUCAGGGCCGGCAGAUUGGGGGUGGCCGCCCGCCGGCCGACCUUGAAUCCACCACACAACCAUCCCCAUGAGCACUCCGCUCUAUCCCCCCUGCUCGCAGCGACCAGCGACGACGGAUUGGAGGAGGUCGCCCGACCGGCCGAGCUCAGAUCCACUACAUCAACCAGCGACAGCAGAUUGGAGGAGGCCUCCCCACCCGUCUCUCUUUCCCCACAGAUUGUAGCGACCAGCGUCGGCUGACGGUAAUUUUCUCAUCCUGCAAGCUCUAGACGUAAGGGAUCACCAUGGAAGGGAUUUGGGGGAGAAAAGCACACGCAGUCGUGUACAUCUCUGAAUACAACGACCAUGUGGCAAAUCCCGUAGCUCUGUAAGUUUUACUCGAUUUUUACUCAGUUGUCGUGAGAUUUCCUGUAAUUCAACGACCAUGUGGCUUCCCUGUUUGUGGUUCCGCUACCCCAUAAAUCGUCGUUACCUAGGAUGGUCAAAACUUAAUGUCUGCACUUGUUCUUGAUACAAUAUAUUACCAUAUGGAGUUCACAGUGUAUGUUAUUUAUUUCGAAUUCUUGAUAAAGACUGGGUCUGCACUUGUUGUUGUUCAAAACUGAAUAAAGAUUGAGUCUGCACUUGUUCUUGUUCAAAUCAGAAUAAAGACUGAGUCUGCACUUGUUCGAAACUGAAUAAAGGCCGAGUCUGCACUUGUUCUUGUUUAACUGAAUUCUGGAUGCUCCAUAUUUCCAAGUAAGUUGUUUACUUCGAUCUGUUCUGCAACCCUCAAAAGCAUCGUACAGUAAUGUCUUUGCCAUCUCCAGGACCGUACAUAGAAAAUCAGAGGCCCUGUGCAAAUCAAAAUUUAAGCCCCGACGUUGGAGUAUAGUUUGUUAAUCACUGCAACAGUAUAAUUUUCAUGUAGAAUUCAGCACCAGAUGCACAAAUUUAAGAAAGAACAAAAAACUGGAUGUAAUAGUGUACUUAUAAACACGAGUAGUAAUAAAAGAAUAGGGUGCUGAGAACUCCCACAACCUUCAGAGUAGCAUUGUAGUUGUAGAUCAUGAAAGACUGACGUAAAGCUCCAGUGGGUGAUUGCUAGUGUACAUGACCAUGAUCUGCUAGAGUAAUUUAGAGAGAGAGAUGGAGAGAGAAGUAGGAGGUGGCUUGGGCCUUGGGGUGCGAUAUUUCCAUCAUUGUUUACUCUAAUAAUUAACAUCUUAAUUACCUACAAGGUCGUGAGCCCUCCAAUUUUUGAGGCCCUGCUCAACCGCUCCGGUUGCACCUACUAAAAUACUGCCCUGGCCAUCUCAAAUUACACAAGCAUCAAUUCCAAGUUUGAGUAUUAAGGAACACAUGAACUACUUAAUAGUAGAGCUGCUUGUUUAUAACUAUUUUACACAAUCUAGUCUUUUUUGUCUACUAGCAAUGAAAGCCAAGUUUCAAGAGAUAAGUUAAUGUAAUCAUGUACGUUACAAGUACUCCUCCAAACAAGUUUAAGCAAAUUUUAGUCAUCUAGUGUUGAUAAUGUAGGCUGGCGGAUCCCUCGGCAAUUCAUUAAGUUCACUCUCUGUCAUCUUUUCCAGCUUCGGUUACUAAAAUCAUACCACCAAUUCUGGAGAGUGAUAUGCAUAGCAGGGAAUAUCUUGCGGAGCAGAAAUGCAAGGGUGGGGCAUAUUUGAAGGAAAAUGAUGCAACGAUUGCGGAACACAAGGCUGCGGAGUAGGAGUCUCUUAAAUACAUACAAAGCAUAACUCGUAGCCUUGUAUACCCUAGUGCCCCUAAUGCGCGACUGACACAAAAGGCACGAGGUGCUGAUGAUUGCAGUGACUCAGAGUAUGAACUAGAUGCUGAAGAGGAGGCCCAUGUAGAGGAAGAGGAUUUGGGAGAUGAAGAGGAGGUCGCUCUUGCUAAGUCCAAAGCAAUGGUAUUCAUGCAGACGUACAUCUUAAAUAAUAUGUACAAUGUCGAUUGACUGACUUUAAUAUUGCCUUGCUUGUAUCAUCUGCAUGUAAUUGUGCACUAUAAGUAUCACAAAUAAUUGACUCAAAGAUUGAUUCACAUAUUCUGUCAAGAAGCAUUAUCAAAUAAGCCACCCAACAUUACUCAUGAGAAAUGGACUAGCCUUGUCAAUAAAUGGUCUGAUGAAAGAAACAAGGUUUGUAACAAGAUAUGCGACCAACAAUAGUUUUUGCAUUCACAUCUACUGUACCAUAUGUAAAUACUUAUAUUCAUUUUCUCUAUGUAGAAAAUAUGUCAAAUGAAUAAGGAAAACCGAGAAGCUGUCAGGCAACACCAAAAGACGGGAUCUAUGUCCUAUGUUUCCUAUUUCAGCAAACUUGUAAGAAUUCCAAAUAUCUUACUUGUAGUCCUAUGUCUAUUGCAUCUGGCAUUAAUGUUACAAUUUCAUAUAUCUUGUAGAAAAAAGACAAGUACAAUAAUCAGGACCCAAGUCCCAUUGAGUUUUUCAAAGACAGCCAUACAAACAGCAAGACUGAUAGCAUGUGCUGAGUCAGGACUUCUAGCUCAUGUAAGAUUUCUUCCUCUAUUGUUUCUGACUUGAAAUAGAUUCUCAUAUUGCUAGCAUAUGAACUUUGCCUUAGCAUCAAUAUUUUUCUUUGUACUAUAGAAUGCGAUGGAAAAGAAAAGGGAAGCACAAUCUGAAGGUGAGCAGCCAGUAUCCGAUACAGCGAUUGUGGCUGAAGUUCUAAAGGAAGAAAGCUCCCAUAGCACCGUCCUUUCUAGCAUGGGGUAUGCAUCAAGAUCCGGGAGGUCAGGGAGCUCUACUUCAUCAUCCUAGAUUCGAUUUCUAGAAGAAAGAAUUGAAUAGAAGGAUAGAGAGGCAAGAGAUGCAAAUGACAGGUAAUUAUCUUAUUUCCCUUUCUGUUCUUGUUGUUUCUUUUUUCUUGCUUCUGUGUGCAUAGUGCACUCAUUGAAGUGAACGAAAGUUCAACUAAGGAGUGCUUCUUUUAACUUGGGUUGUUGACUUGAUAUCCUUUUGGUGAUGCUUCCUGUAAUCAAGUUGUUGAUUAUGCAUAUUUUAAAACAUUAUAAGUUAUUCUUGAGUUUACUGUUUCAUUGGCCCGUCGGCAUGCUUGCCUUGACAUUUAAUAAUGUACUUAUCUAUUUUAAAUUGGUACCCUUGUACCUUGUUAUCUUGUAUGUUUUCAUCUCAUUACGAUGCAACAUUGUUGUGUUUUGUCAUUUAUAGGCAUCGGGAGGAGUUAGCCGCAAGACUUGAAGCACGAGAGAGAGCAUUUCAAGAGAUACAAAAGAAGCAGCAAGAAGAAUUGGAAGCUCUAAAGAAGAGCCAGCAAGAGAAGAAUGAAGCCUGGGCAAAGAAGCAAAAGGAGACGGACAAUCUGCUUGAUUUUUUGAGGGCUCAAGCAACUCUGCAGUCCCAGUCCCAACCAGAUGGUUCAUGAAUACCAUCCUUACAUUGCAAUCAUCAGGAUAACAUAUGUGGUCUUUAGUUAAUAUUUGUUUUCAUCUUGUCUAUUGUCUGUGUUAAACUUGCAUCAGUUUUUUACCGCUAUUUUUGUUUACAGAAUGAUUUGCCUGAGACGAUUUCAUACAUAAUAUGAUUUGUCUUUGAUAUCAAUUUAUGAUGUGAUUUUUCUCUUCAAUUUUUUUAUAUAAUCUUAUGUGAUGUGAAAUAAAUAUUUAUUUUCAUCGUAAUUUAGAUUUGAAAGAAAGUAAAUAUAUUUUGAUGGCGUCAUCUUCAUCCAUAAUAAAAGUAAUGGCACUACUAGUGGGAUAGCCGCUCGGGUGUUGAUCUGGCGUAAAGUUAGUGACUUGCCUCGUCACCGAAUAUGGUACAAUACGGCAUAUUUUCUCCUAACAUGUGACAUUAAUUGAUCGUCAUGGAAAUAGUAAGUCGACGACGUUCUAUAUAAUGUCACUAAAGGUCCCAAUUUCGAUGACGUUUUUGCGCGUGCGCCGUCACUAGGAGUAAUCUGUGACGGGGAUUCCGUGACGAUGCUUGUGACGCCCAUAAAAUGUCACCAGGGGGUAAUUUGUGACGUUAUUAGCUAUUCGAUGACAUUUUUUAGCUCGUCAUAGUAGGCCCGAUCUCUUGUAGAUUGAACUAGGUAUGAUGAUACCGACGAUCGAAUCUCGGGCAAGUAACAUACCGAUGACAAAGGGAACAACGUAUGUUGUUAUGCGGUUUGACCGAUAAAGAUCUUUGUAUAAUAUGUAGGAGCCAAUAUGAGCAUCUAGGUUCCGCUAUUGGUUAUUGACCGUAGAUCCGUCUCGGUCAUGUCUACAUAGUUCUCGAACCCGUAGGGUCUGCACGCUUAACGUUCGAUGACAAUUUGUAUUAGGAGUUAUGUGAUUUGAUGUACCAAAGGUUGUUCAGAGUCCUGAAUGAGAUCACGGACAUGAAAAGGGGUCUAGAAAUGGUCGAGGCGUAAAGAUUGAUAUAUUGUAAGGUUAUAUUCGGACAUCGGAAAGGUUCCGAGUGAUUCGGGUAUUUUUCGGAGUACCGGAGAGUUAUAGGAAUUCGCCGGAGGAAGUAGUGGGCCUUAAUGGGCCAUACGGGAAAGGAGAGAAGGGCCUCAAGGGGUGGCCGCCCCCCCAUGGCAAGUCCGAAUUGGACUAGGGAGGGGGCGGCGCCCCCCCUCUCUUUCCUUCUCCUUCUCCUACUCCUUCCCUCUGCCCCCUCUUGGAAAAGGAAGGGGACUCCAACUAGGAUUGGGAAUCCUAGUUGGACUCCCCUUCCCUCUCCCCCCCCUCUUGGAAAAGGAAGGGGACUCCAACUAGGAUUGGGAAUCCUAGUUGGACUCCCCCUAUAGGCGCGCCCCUCCUAGGCCGGCCCCCUCCUCCUCCCUCCUUUAUAUACGUGGCCAAGGGGGCACCCCAAGACACAUAAGUUGAUUUCUUACCCGUAUGCGGUGCCCCCCUCCACAGAUUUCCACCUCGGUCAUAUUGUCGUAGUGCUUAGGCGAAGCCCUGCAUCGGUAAAUUCAUCAUCACUGUCACCACGCCGCCAUGCUGACGAAACUCUCCCUCGGCCUCAGCUGGAUCUAGAGUUCGAGGGACGUCACCGAGCUGAACGUGUGCAAAUCGCGGAGGUGUCAUGCGUUCGGUACUUGAUCGGUUGGAUCGCGAAGACGUUCGACUACAUCAACCGCGUUACUUAACGCUUCCACUUUCGGUCUACGAGGGUACUUGGACACACUCUCCCCGCUCGUUGCUAUGCUUCUCCUAGAUAGAUCUUGCGUGAUCGUAGGAAUUUUUUUGAAAUACUACAUUCCCCGACAGGUCAUAGCUUCUAGGUGUAGCUAUUUAGCAAUGAGGUUCUCAUUGGCGUUCUCCGCAAUCUUUCUUAGAGAUAGGACUUCAAGUCGAAGUUGAGUUGCAGAAUGCCUUUGUGCUAGAACUUGGGACUAAAGAACUCGAACUGAUUCAGACAGCGAAUUCUAUGAGCUUGUCUGACUGCUAGCCUCAUGUAACUUGAACACUGCAUCAAGACAAGACUUUGGGGUUGUCUCGCUGUCUUCAAGAUGUUUUGCCUUCUUUGCUACAAUAUAUGUUGGGUUUGUCUCACAGCCUUCAGCAGACUUGUGCAUGCCAUCAGGCAUAUCACCCUAAAACAAGUAGAGAGAUGACAGGUUUUGCACGUGUAUAAACAAGGAUGAUAACUGUGCUAUCAAUUCCAUCCAAUGUCAAAUUAGAAAAUAAAGAGUAAGUUCAAAAUAUCAAUAGCAUAAUUUGGCAUUGUUCAUAAUGCGGGGAGCUUCACCACACUACUGGAUUACCAUGUCAACAUAACAAGCAUAGUUGAAGGGCAGAGACAAUCAUUGUAUAUAUUUUGGUUUAUGUGCAUGGCAUGUUGUUCAUAUCAUCAUUCACAUCAGUAAGAUAAAACAGGAGAUGACAAGGUGCAAACGUGGACUGCUUCACCGCACACUAGAUUAUAGAUCCACAAAAACAAGCAUACAUAUAGAGAGUAUUGAGUAAUGUGCAUGGUAUGAAUAAGGAAUUUGGUUUUACAAGUAAAACUUGGAACUUACCGUUGUUGUGAACAUGCAUUUUGAUAGAAACAACAAACUAAAAAGCAGUUAACGAUAGGGAGUAUGAGAAAAUUAAACAGCAGUUGAGGAUAAAGGCUUUAGAAGGACUGAUUUACAUUAACAGUUAACACCGGCUUAAAAAUGCCCUUCUCCAUGUCAAGGGAAGGAUAACUCAAGAAUUUCAGCAUAGAAUCUUGUUCAUAAGCAUUGCCUGUACUCUACAUUUUGUAGAGAGUAAUUAUAGAUAUGAUAAUACUGGAAGGGAUAGAGGAUAAUGAAGAUAAGAUGUAGAUUGAUGCUACAUAAUCAACUACCAAUCCCUGGAAGUACAACAGGACAAAAUAUACUGGCAAGAGCAAUGGUCUACACUUCUGCAAUGGUAUUGUCUAUGUAUUCAACUUUUUGGUAAGCUUAAAUACAUAUCUGAUAUUUUUUAGUAAAUGGUGGGCGAGGGAGAUAAGAUGUAGAAUGCUACACAAUGAACCAAUACCUCUUCCCAUAAUAUAAGAGUGUUUUGAAGACUGGUGUACUGUACAAAACGUUCUUAUAUUAUAGGACUAGGGAGUAGCUGUUAAUGUAAGUACAGUGAUAGACGGCGUUCAGUCCUUACAAGAGGACUGCAGAGCUAAACCUCUUCAAAAGCAUUGGGUUGAUUCUAAAUUUAUGUAAGAAUCCAUACGGAUCUUAUAAUUUCCAUAAAAUGGACGAUAACAAGGCUAACAUGUGCAGUGAUGCUACAUAAUCAACCAUCUAUGAAAGUAAGUAUGGCCAUACAGGGCAAGAGGUACUCACAAGAGCAAUGAAGUGUGCAGUAUAGUUGCGAGAUUCUGUGCUCCCUUGAGAAUGAAUGUUCUUCUGCAAAUAGUUUUUGUACAAGUGAGACGUUAAGGCACAUGCAGAAAUGUAGUUCAAAUUGUGAUGUGAUAUCAUAGACAGUACCUUAUGAUGUAGACGAGACCAAUGUGUAACAAGAUUUUUCCAGUCACUAUCUAAUAAAUGUUGCACCGGACACUUUACAGAAAUUUCGUUUAGAUGCUUGCCAUCGAAGUGCACUUGCCUCAGGUAGGAAUGAUACUUCAUCAAAGAGUGCUUGAAAAGCGCAACCAACCCUUGUUCAUCUGACAAUCCAGUUUGGUCCUCGCCUAUUUAAAAGAAUGAAAUCUUGUGUCUUCUGUCAGCAGAAACAUAUGCAGUAAUUACCAUGAAUAACAUUAGUACAUUACUUACGCAUAAGUUGCGGAGGAAGACUGGAAAUUGUUCUGUGUCUGCGGUAUAAUCUUUCCAGGAAGGAAAGAUGCGCACAAAGUUCCUGACAACAAUAUAAGCUUCGUCUUCUAAACUGGGAAGAAAUGGAAUAGGGGUCCUAUUUGCUGCAAUUGGGGAUCUCUCUUGUUCGAAAAGGGAUUUGGCAACUGGAUUUGGUGUACUCUUUGCUGGAAUGGGGGUUUUGCGUCGUAGAGCUGGUGCUAUGUCAACUGGCAUCAUCAUACUAUUUGCUGCAGUUGCGGUCUACUAAGUUGGGGCAUCAGAGAUGACCAGUGUAGUAGGGCUAGAGUCUACUAGAGUUGGGGCCGUGUUUUAUUGGUCAGGUGAUAUUGCAACAACACCUAAUGGGCUAUUUGAUUUAUCAGGUGUCGCUACCUUUUCCAAAUACUUUGCUCGUGCUCCUCCGCGAUCAGCAAUUGCCCUCUUCCUUUUGAACGUCUGAUACAGAAGAACAUCAUUUGAAUGGAUAAAUAUGGUAUGAUGACAGAUGGAAUAUGUACUGAAAAUGGAUAGGCAGGGCGUAUUAACAUAGACGAACAAUUUAUAUAGGAAAAAUUAUAGGAAAAAUCCAAAGAAUCUGUUUAUGGCAUUUUCAUGCAUGUUUGAGCAACGCAAAGCUACUGUAUAUGACAAUUUCAAUUAAUGGCAUUUGAAAUGCCUUAUGUGGAGUUUGAAUUUGAACCUUUGGUUCAAACCAACUUCAUUUAAUAAUAGUUGCAUUAGCUCAAUCAACAGCAUAUUGCCAUGUCAUGAUCAUGCAUCAUAUUGUUCCAUUGCAUUGAUUGUGUUCCCUCUUGUUUGCCGGUGUUUGUCCCCUCUCAGUAGACGUUGUCCCGGUGAUGCGAUCGAUGACACUAAUGAAGACCCAAUGCUAUCUUCAGAAUGCUAUCUUCAGAAGUGCCAGGCAAGCAAAACCCCCAUGAUCACUCUGAUACAAUCCCACUCUCUCGCUCCCGCUCUCUUUUAAUGCAUUAGGACAACAAACGAUUCAACUAUUACAUGCUGCGGUAGUUGAACCCCUUUUCCUCUGCAUGACCUGUCUUUGCCACAGUAAAUUGUCGAAACCCACUAGCAUGAGUAGGAAUUGUUUGAGCCAUGGUGUGCCUACUCAUUUAUGCUUGCUUGUUAUGCCUGUUAUGCUUAGAGUUGUGUCAGGUCUGAUUCAUAUGGGAUGGAUUGGGAUGGUGUGAACAUGUCCUACUAUUGAGAGCUAAGUGUGUGAACACGAUUUGGUAAAGGUAGUGGUGAGAGGCCAUGUAGGAGUACAUGGUGGGUUGUCUCGUUGAAACCAUCCUCGGGAACUGAGUUCUGUGUUUGUGAUCCAAGAACAGCUACUACCACAUGUUGGGCCCUGAAAUAUGACCCCCGCUCGACUUAUUAACCCCCCUGUCCUCUGUCCAGGAGUUGCAAGUAGUUUUUGGUGUUUGUAGUGUGCUGGAGGCUGUGCGUAGCGCUAACCAGAGGGGUGGGCUAUGAUGCGGUAGGCAAGUGGUCCGGUGUACCAAGUUGCCCAUUUGGUGCCUCAGGAACCCUACACACAUCGUUCGGGCCGUAGUGGAAACCUCGGCCAGACUCCCCGCGGAUGGAACCUGAAUAGGCGAUAAACCUGGACUAGAGACUUGUGUGGUUAGUCAGGUUGUGGUCUACACCCACGUCAGCUUUCGCUUGAAGUCUGCCGAGCACAUGUCGUGUGCAGACGCUAAGUGGUGGAAACAUGUGUGAAGAAGUACACCCCUGCAGGGCUAUAAAUGAUAUAUUCAAAUAGUUGCGUCUGCGGUAAUGGACUACUGGGUUGCUUAUGUAGUUCAUAGACAAGUGAAAGUGGAUACUCUAAAAUGCGCAAGAUAAGCGUGAGUGCUAUGGAUGGCCUUCUCGUAGGGAGACGGGAGCGGAUCCAUAGUGGUGUAUUGAUAUGGUGAAUAUGUGGACUCGUGUGCGCCACCUCAAAAGAGUUACCAGCAGUCGUAGUACAGGAUAGCCACUGAGUCAAAGCUGGCUUGCUGCAGUUAAACUCCACCACCCCUUCGUUGAUACUGGUGCAUAUGUAGCUAGUUCUGAUGUAAGUCUUGCUGGGUACAUUUGUACUCAUGUUUUCUUAAUUUAUGUUUUUGCAGAGAGACUUCAGUCUCACUAGUAGUUCCGCGUGGACUUCGACGUAUGGCUUGUUACCUCAGAUACGAUCUUGUACCCUUGGGAGGGUCUUGUAGAUGGUCAGGCUUCAUAUCCUUUUCAUUUGUAGUUGUCUGUACUGAGACAUGUCAUGCUUCCAUUGCUUGUAUGCUAUGUAUGUUGGGUCAUGUGACCCCUAUUUGUAAUAAAUGUUAUGUGGCUCUUAUGGGCCUUUAUCUGUAUGAGUUGUUGAGUUAUGUUGUGCAACACAUAAUUGCAUGUUAUGCGUACGUGUAACGUGUAUUGCUAUGUGUGGGAUCUGACAAUCUAGUUAUUUAUUCUUGGUAGUCUCUUAUGGGGAAAUGUCUCCUAGUGCUUCCACUGAGCCAUGGCAGCUUGCUACUGCUCCGGAACACAUGGGAUGAUCGACAUGUGUCCUUCUUUGCUCCUGUGUCUGUCCCUUCGGGAAAAUGUCACAAGGUGUCUUAAUGGUGUCCUUGUAGCUUGCUAUGACUCGGUUGCACAUGCUAUUGACCGACACGUGCAUUGCUGGGUCAUGUAUGCAUGUCCCUGUAAGUUAGUGCCACCUUGGUUUUACGACUAGUCAUGUCGGCCCGGGUUCUCUGUCAUAUGGAUGCUAGCGACACUAUCAUAUACGUGAGCCAAAAGGCGCAAACGGUCUCGGGCCAGGUAAGGUGGCACCCGUGGGGAUACCGUGCGUGAGGCCAUAAAGCGACAUGAUGUGUUACAUGCUAGAUUGAUGUGACUUAGGAUCGGGGUCCUGACAGCAUUGGUAUCAGAGCCUGACUGUUUGUAGGAUUACCAAGCCAAACUGGUCGAAGUCGAGUCUGGAAAUGCUUUAGUUAUAUAAGGGAAUUGAUUGUGGAAGGGAACGUAAGGCUCUUUUUAAUCCUUUACCUUAUGUCCUUCUGAUCUGAGUCAACCUCUUCUUUUCUACGGGGUUAAGUGAUAUGUCCAUUUUGCAUCAUGCUUUUAUAUUGAUAUGUAUCGCAUUAUGGGCUCUUAUUACACGUUAUGUCACAAUACUUAUGCCUAUUCUCUCUUAUUUUACAAGGUUUACAUGAAGAGGGAGAAUGCCGGCAGCUGGAAUUCUGGGCUGGAAAAGGAGCAAAUAUUAGAGACCUAUUCUGCACAGCUCCAAAAGUCCUGAAACUUCACGGAAGUCAUUUUUGGAAUCAAUAAAAAAUACUGAGCGAACAAAGUACCAGAGGGGGCCCACACCUGACCACGAGGGUGGGGGCGCGCCCUAACCCCUGGGCAUGCCCCUGCCUCGUGGGCCCCCUGGCAGGCCUCCGGUACCCAUCUUCUGCUAUAUACCCUCGAAAAAAUCAUAAGCAAGCUUUCGGGAAGAAACACCGCCGCCACGAGGCGGAACCUGUGCGGAACCAAUCUAGGGCUCCGGCAGAGCUGUUCUGCUGGGGAAACUUCCCUCCGGGAGGGGGAAAUCAUUGCCAUCGUCAUCACCAACGAUCCUCUCAUUGGGAGGGGGUCAAUCUCCAUGAACAUCUUCACCAUCACCAUCUCCUCUCAAACCCUAGUUCAUCUCUUGUAUCCAAUCUUUGUCCCAAAGCCUCAGAUUGGUACCUGUGGGUUGCUAGUAGUGUUGAUUACUCCUUGUAGUUGAUGCUAGUUGGUUUAUUUGGUGGAAGAUCAUAUGUUCAGAUCCUUUAUGCAUAUUAAUACCCCUCUGAUUAUGAACAUGAAUAUAAUUUGUGAGUAGUUACAUUUGUUCCUGAGGACAUGGGAGAAGUCUUGCUAUAAGUAGUCAAGUGAAUUUGGUAUUCGUUCGAUAUUUUGAUGAGAUGUAUGUUGUCUCUCCUCUGGUGGUGUUAUGUGAAUGUCGACUACAUGACACUUCACCAUUAUUUUGGCCUAGAGGAAGGCAUUGGGAAGUAAUAAAUAGAUGAUGGGUUGCUAGAGUGACAGAAGCUUAAACCCUAGUUUAUGCGUUGCUUCGUAAGGGGCUGAUUUGGAUCCAUAUGUUUCAUGCUAUGGUUAGGUUUACCUUAAUACUUCUUUUGUAGUUGCGGAUGCUUGCAAUAGGAGUUAAUCAUAAGUGGGAUGCUUAUUCAAGUAAGGACAGCACCCAAGCACCGGUCCACCCACAUACCAAAUUAUCAAAGUAACGAACGCGAAUCAUAUGAGCGUGAUGAAAACUAGCUUGACGAUAAUUCCCAUGUGUCCUUGGGAGCGCUUUUCUCUAUAUAAGAGUUUGUCCAGGCUUGUCCUUUGCUACAAAAAGGAUUGGGCCAUCUUGCUGCACCUUGUCUACUUUCAUUACUUGUCGCUCGUUACAAAUUACCUUAUCACAAAACUAUCUGUUACCGAUAAUUUCAGUGCUUGCAGAGAAUAUCUUGCUAAAAACUGCUUAUCAUUUCCUUCUGCUCCUUGUUGGGUUCGACACUCUUACUUAUCGAAAGGACUACGAUAGAUCCCCUAGACUUGUGGGUCAUCAUUAAGAAACUAGGCUUCCUCGUCUUUCUAUCAGGAUCAUGUGUUACUAACUCGUCGACUCAUAGGAUUGAUGGUUUCAAGCCUCAGUUCAGUUCCUACUACUUCCGUGUGUUCAUAGAUGGCCUUAGAACCUUGAUAUUGCGAUGUUAAGUGGUUAUGCCACCAUUUUGCAGGAUGUCUCAAAUAUUUUGAGCAUUUACAACCAUUAUGCUAUCCGAGUCAUCCCUGGUUUCCAAAUAGUCUGAUGCAUUUGCAAAUCCCUUCUUCCGUUCCCGAUGUUCCUUUGGGUCAGAUUAACCACACUAACCAGUGUGUUGAGGUACUUCAUUGCCUCGGUGUAUAUGUUGGAGCUAUUAUUAUGACCCUAGGUGUCUUAGAGAAUCACCUAGUAAUCUAGCCAUGUUUUGUGUUCCCAGUGUGAUGAUUCUGGCCGUCAUUCUCGAAAGCAUCCCAUGAUGCCAUUUAGUUAGUAGGCAUUCUAUUCCUGGGUUCUUGAACCCGAGAUUCCCCUACUUACUUCAUGUUGAUAGUGUUGGCUAGCUCCUUUAGGAUAUUAGUAACCUUUGUGAUAGUCCUCGAGGUCCGUGGUAUAUCGUUCUCCCAAUACCAUGGACCAAUAUGGCAGAAGUUCUUUUGAACCAAAAGAUCGCAACCAGAGCGCUCUUGAUGAGUUCUCCAUUAUAUUUGUGACUUCCAAUCCUACUUUUUUGCAUGGUUUAUCCCAGAAUAAAUGUUGAGCUUUGCUUGACAUACUAAUCUAUGCAUCCACAACACAGAAAGCUAUAUGUUCCUUCGAGAUGUCCCUUCCUAAUUGUAUUCCAUCCUUAGUCUAUCAAGUGAUAGUCAAGAGUAGUCACACAUUCGUGUCAUUGAUGCCUGUUAUUCUUAUAGCAUGUCAAGCCAUUCUAUUUCACGACUAACUAGGAGAAACAAACUCCAGUACCUCAUCCAUAUCUUGGAUUGGGUUAAAGUAGUUGUAUUCCAUAGAUCAAAUUGCCAAUCCAGCGUCUGUUCUGUUCUACCUUGAAGUGUUGCCCUCUUUAUGUCAGGAAUGUCAUGAGAAUUGCACCACCUCUUAUGAAAUUCUCGAUUUAGUGGUACUCUUCGCCAUCAUUGUUCAUUCCUUGGUCCCUGUGCUAUUGCAACCAGGAUACCAACAAUUGAAAUGUGAUGUGUGAAAUCAAUACUCAUAGCAACCCCGUUGCUUGGUAGCUAAUGGACAAUAAUCUCAUUCUUAGUGUGUUGGUUAUUGAAUCAUCAUCCUAAGAUUGAUCGUGCGACCUAGUCCAUUUUCCUGGUGCACACUUCGAUCAAUGUGUUAGGAUUUUGUAAGUCCCAUGCUUAUUUGAUCACAUCAUCUUGCCUCGAAAGCAAGAUUGUUCUCGAGCUUAAUAACAUAGCGGUGGUCCGUGAUUUUCCGAAUAAGAAAAUGGAUCUACUCAAACAUCAUAGGAUAGCCAUACAUCAUUGGGAAAUAAUAUAUAGCGUUGAGCACCAUGUUUAAGUAGAGAUUACAGCGGGUAAAAGAGGGGUUACACCGCUACAUAGAGGGGGAGAGAGUUGGUGAUGAUGGCGGUGAAGUUGUUGGUGUAGAUUGCGGUGACGAUGAUGGCCCCGGCGGCAUUCUAGCGCUAUGGGAGAGAGGUGGAGAGAGCCCCCCUUCUUCUUCUUCUUCUUCUUCUUCCUUGACCUUCCCCCUAGAUGGGAGAAGGGUUUCCCCUCUGGUCCAUGGCCUCCAUGGCGGCGGAGGGGCGAGAGCCCCUCUGAGAUUGGAUCUCUCUCUGUGUUUCCUUCUGUUUCUCCGCUCCCUGAUUCUGCCCUUUCACCGUUUCUUAAAUUCUCGGAGAUCCGUAACUCCGAUUCUGCUGAAAUUUGGACACGAUUUUUAUCUGGAUAUUGGAUUUCUUGUGGCGAAAGAAGGGAACCAACCGCCUUAUGGAGUGGCCAUGAGGGCCCAGGGCGCGCCCUACCCCUUGGGGCGCGCCCCUCACCCUUGUGGGCCCCUCGGGCAUCGUCUCGCGUUGAUUCCACUUCCCAAAUUUCAUGUAUAUUCCAAAAAAAAUCUCUGUAAGUUUUUAUCCCGUUUGGACUCCGUUUGAUAUGGAUUUUCUGCGAAACAAAAAAACAUGCAACAAACAGGAACUCGCACUGGGCACUGGAUCAAUAUUUUAGUCCCAAAAAUACAAUAAAAAGUUUCCAAAAGUAUUUAAAAGUUGUAGAAUAUUGGCAUGGAACAAUAAAAAGUUAUAGAUACGACAGAGACGUAUCACCGCUCAAAAUCACGUCGCGACAAAGACAGCAAUACCGGCACCGGAGACAAUAAUACUCCGGAGAAUGCCGAAGACCCCGAAGCCCCUGUCGAGCCAACAUCCGAACAGGAUGAUUGGGAGGAUGGGCAAGUUAACCCUGAAGAUCCUGCCGAGAACGAGGGCUCGGAGGACAGUAACUAGCUACCAAUCUCCAAAGAGGAUGUGAGCCUCAGCGACGAAGAUUUCAUCGUGCCGGAGGAACCCCUCGAACAAGAGCGCUUUUAGCGCCGGCUAAUCGCCACUGCAAGAAGCCUGAAAAAGAAGCAGCAGUAGCUUCAAGCUGAUCAAGAUUUACUCAAUGACAGAUGGACUAAUGUUCUGGCAGCCGAGGAAUACGGCCUCGAACGCCCAACUAAGAGUUACCCGAAGCGCAAGCUACUACCACAAUUUGAUGACGAAGCCCUGGAGCCCAUAUUGCCAACGCGUGAUGCUGCUGACAGACCUGACCGACCACCACGUGGCCGGGACAGAGCGACAACUCAAGCCGAACACCAGCCCGCACCACCUCGUCAUUGAGGCAGAGAAACAGCGGCUCCAGGAUACACCUAUGAUGUAUGACAUGACCUGGACAAUAGAGCCGGUCAGACCAGAUCAAUCUACGGAUCAAGGGGGCGUGCCCCAGCGCGAGAAGACAACCAUCAGGCCUGGCAUGACAAGCACAACCUCGCCCGGGCAGAAAACCGCAUACGGGCUUCAUCCGAACUGCGUCGUGACGUUGCCCGAUACAGAGGCACUGCACACCCCCUAUGCUUCACUGAUGUGGUGAUGGUGCACCAGUUCCCAGAAGGGUUUAAAUCCGUUAACAUCGAAUCAUACGAUGGUACGACGGAUCCCGCAGACUGGAUCGAAGAUUAUCUUCUCCACAUUCACAUGGCUCGCGGCGACGAUCUACAUGCCAUCAAAUAUCUCCCCCUAAAACUUAAGGGACCUGCACGGCACUGGUUAAACAGCCUUCCAGAAAACUCUAUCAGCAGCUGGGAAGAUGCCUUUAGGGACAACUUCCAAGGUACCUAUGUACGGCCCCCAGACGCCGAUGACCUCAGUCACAUAGUCCAGCAACCCGGAGAGUCAGCCCGCAAUCUCUGGACCAGGUUCUUAAUUAAAAAGAACCAAAUUGUAGAUUGUCCGGACACCGAAGCCCUCGCGGUCUUUAAACACAGCGCCCGCGAUGAAUGGCUUGCCAGACACCUCGGCCAAGAAAAGACGAAGUCCAUGGCAGCCCUUACCGCACUCAUGACCCGCUUUUGCGCGGGAGAAGACAACUGGCUAGCCCGUAGAAGCAAUAGCACCAGCGACCCCGGCACCUCCGAAGCCAGGGAUGGCAAUGGCAAGCCACGAUGCAACAAGCACAAGUAUCGAAUCAAUAAUGACGGUACCGAAGACACGAUGGUCAAUGCCAGAUUCAGUGGCCCUAAAUCCGGCCAACGGAAGAAGCCAUUCAAAGGAAACAGAGAUGGUCCAUCCAGUUUGGACAGAAUACUCGAUCGGCAUUGCCAGAUUCAUGGCACCCCCGAUAAGCCUACCAAUCAUACCAAUAGUAACUAUUGGGUUUUGAAACAGGCUGGCAAACUCAACGCCGAACACAAGUGGAAAGGGCCGCCCAGCGAGGAGGACGUCGAAGAGCCUCGUCAACCGAGCACAGGGGGACAGAAGAAAUUUCCCCCCAAGGUAAAAACAGUGAAUAUGAUAUAUGUCACACAUGUCCCUAAGUGGGAGCGCAAGCGCGCAUUACGGGACGUCUACGCCAUAGAGCCGGUCGCCCCAUAAUUCAACGCAUGGUCGGCUUGUCCGAUCACCUUCGAUCGAAAGGACCACCCAACAAGUAUCCGUCAUGGAGGUUUGGCAGCUCUGGUCCUCGAUCGAAUCAUCGACGAAUUCCACCUUACGCGAGUCCUUAUGGACGGCGGCAGUAGUCUCAACCUGCUUUACCAGGACACUGUCUGCAAAAUGGGCAUUGAUCCGUCAAGAAUCAAGCACACUAAAACUACCUUUAAAGGAGUAAUACCUGAUGUAGAGCCCGCUGCACGGGCUAAAUAACAUUGGAAGUCGUCUUCGGUUUGCCAGACAACUUCCGAAGCGAAGACUUGAUCUUCCAUAUCGUCCCCUUCCGCAGCGGAUAUCACGCACUGCUCGGACGAACUGCUUUUGCCCAUUUUAAUGCGGUCCCGCGCUACGCUUAUUUAUAGCUCAAGAUGCCCGGCCCACGUGGCGUCAUUACAAUCAAUGGAAACACGGAACGCUCCCUUCGUACUGAGGAGCAUACCGCGACCAUCGCGGCCGAAGUACAGAGCGGCCCUGCAAGCCGCAUACCUCAUCGGCCAUCAAGCCGCCGGACUUUAUUAAACAAGUCCGGUCAGUUCUGCAUGCUGACAGCUCGGUAAUUCCAGAGCUAGACUAGCAGUUUCGCCUCCAUCGAUCGCCACACACAUCCAUGAAAUUCGUACCGCGCGUGCAUAAUUAUGCACUCAAAAUACCUUGGGCAUCAGCGGAGGCACAAUACGGACAAGCCCAUAGUAUGGCUCGACCCUAUAUGUCCUUCCCCUUUUCUUUAAUUAUUUUUUCUUUUUUCCCACUGGUGAAUUAAAACCUAUUCAUCCUGCGGACUUACAAGGACUCUUUUUGAGCCCGGUUUUGUAUAAAUAGCCGAAGACCAUUCCUCUCAAGGAAUCUCUCUCUCCAAGGCGAAAGCGGCGCAGACGUGCGGCAGGAGGUCCAAAGGAUUUUGUAGACCAAAACUUUAUUCAAGAACCUGUAUAGAGCUUUUUCUCUUCUUCUUAGACCCCCGGCAUGUAAAAUGGCCUUGGUGAUUAUGGUGCCCUCUAUAAGAUCACGUUUUGACAUAUCAAUCAGAUUCCAGUGAAAACAAUUUUUAUUCGGUAUCGCCUUUAUUCAUAGUCUGUAUUCCGUCUCCUCAGUUGUCUCACACACACACCUCGGCACAAAGUGCCAGGGGCUCUAUAUGGCCACACAUGUGUUGCCAAACAAAAGCCCGAAUAGCUUUAUAGCACAAUUCGGCAUCCCGAGCUUGGCAUUAUAUGCAUCGGCAUUGAAUCAUGUCUUUGGUCAAUAGUUGGGUUCCCCAGCUCCUGUGUUUGCUACCUGACGUUCCGUUUGUUCGGCCAGCAUAGUAAAGGGAGAACUACUGCGAUUGUGUUUCUGGUUCGUCCCGUCAAGCACCUCAGUAGAGAAAGCCGAAAACUGACUGUCAUGAUGCGGCGAGAGCUGGUCAGCCACUCGGUGACUUAUUAAAAUCUUUAGCGAUUGUUUCCGUAUUACACGAAGGACUGUUUUUCCGGUCACAUACGUAACGCAUCCGCAUCCGGAUAGCCGCGUACAUACCAGGGACUAUCUUCUAGCCCCAUCGUCAAACUCCUAUGGCUAAGUGAGAGUGGUAAAGCCACAUAGUCCGAUUGCCUGGUUCGCCGCACUAACACCUCCUUCACAGACCAAGACGUUGGGUCAAGUGUGAUCAUGUGCUAUUCUGAACACCCCCGUAGUAUCUACGUGGGGGCCGAAGCCGACGACUGGGAAACUCUCAGGAAUACAAAAACGCCGCACAGGAGGGAAGAACUUUCAGACAAUGGCACAAAUCUAUCACAAAGCCUUAAUAUAUAAUGAAACCAUCUGGGCAGUUCGGGUACAUUCAUUCGAACAUAAUCUCCUUUGAGCAUUGACCCUCUAUAAAGCGGGCACCCUCGAGGAUGUCUUCUAAGUAGCGCUCCGGCGUGCGGUGGUCCUUGCCUCUGGGAGGGCCCUCAACUGCAAUAUCGGCGGCCUUCAUCUUCGCCUAGUGCAUCUUGAUGCGGGCGAAGGCCAUCCGUGCACCUUCUAUGCACAUUGACCGCUUGAUUGCGUCGAUUCAGGGCACUGCAUUGACAAGUCGUCGCACCAGGCCAAAAUAGCUGCUCGGAAUGGGUUCGGCUGGCCAUAGCCGUACUAUGACGUCCUUCAUGGCUGCUCCGGACAUCUUAUGCAGCUCGGCCCACUGCACCAUUUGGACGUUUAGCAGCGCCGAGCGCUCCUACGCCGCGAGCUGUGACCAGAACAGCUUCUCCAUCGCAUGUCCCUCCUGAGCCUGGAAGAAUUGCGCGGCGUCGGCGGCACUCUUCAGAAGAUCCACAAAAGCAUCUGGAGAAAUCCACAGUCGAUAAGCAAGGCAUAUCUCUGAUCGCCAAACUUAGUCUGUAAAAUAAAGGGCUUAGCAGCUGCUAUCUGUCCGGCCUGCCGGAUCUCCUCGCGAGCCGCUCUGGAUUCGGACCAUGCGUCUUUGGCCUCCUGAAGGGCUUUGGCGAGUUCGGCUGCAUUGGCUUUAUUCUCCUUCUCGAGGGACUCGCACUUGCGGGCAGCGGCCUUGAGCUCUUGCUCUACUGCAGAUAUCUGCUCCUCGAACUGGCACUGUGUGGCCUAUUCGGCCUUCAAAUCUGCAGCCGCCUUAUCAGCGGCCGCAUUGCUCACCCUGGCCUGCUCCUCGGCCCGGGCAAGUUCACCCGUGAGGGUCUCGACCUCGGCAGCGCCAUCUGCAAUUAUGCACAUAACAACGUCUAAGUUUCAACCUAGUGUUCGCACAUUCAUAUAGGCACAAACGAUAUGUUCGAAACAUACCUUGCGCCUCGUCGAGCCGCUUGUUAAUGAGGACAAUGUCCUCAUCGGCCAGCUUCAGUUUCUGCUUUAGUUCAUAAACCUCCAUGGCCUGGGCAGUUGCCGCUGACAGUGAAGCCUGUUUUUUCAAUCAAAUAAGUAUGUUACUUCCUGUGGAUAUCUAUAGAUCCUCGGUUCGCCCUUCUUCAUGGGCCGACCAGAGUCUCAGGGGCUACUAUCUAUAUACAGGCGUAUUGUUCAUAUGGAAAGCGGCUAAAGACAUUACAUCGCAUACCUCGAAGCCUGUUAGUAGGCUCGUGAAGGCUUCAUUCAGCCCACUUUUAGCGUACUGAAUCUUCUCAACCACCGUACCCAUCAAGGUACGGUGCUCCUCCAAGACGGACACACUUUGCAGUACAUCCAUUAGAGUGUCCAGCGCCUCCGGAUUCAUGGAGGUCGCCGUAGGAAUAGGCGCUCCCCCCUCCCUUGAAGGGGGCCGCUCACCCGACUCCUGAUCCGUCUCUGGAGCGGAAUUCGGCUGGGGACCGAACAACCCAGGACCCCCAUCCCCGGUCUUCACGGGGGUCGCACCCCCCGUGUCCCCAACGGCCGAGGUAUUACCCUCUAGCGUCGUAUUGGUGGUCCCCUGCACCUCUCAACGAUCUGGAGAAAUCCUCUGGGAUGACACCUCGAUGUCAUACGCCCUAGGGGGCGAGGGAACUUAUGGAGGCGUCUAGCUCUCCAUCAUCUCCAGCAGCAAAUCCCCUGACAAGGAGUCUUGUUGAGGGAGAUCGCGGGCCGGACUGAAACACAUGAUUUAAUGUUAUUCCCACAAUUCGUAAAGGAGUGGAUGUAUGUAGAGCAUCCUCAGGUACUUACGAUUCGGCAAGGUGCUUGGUCCGGGGGUGGGGCUUGGGCAUAUCCUCGGCGUUCGAAUCCGAGUCAUCCGAAAGGGAUAACUUUCCCCACUUGGGUGCCCUCGCCUCCGGGUCUGCGGAGGCCGCCCUCUUUUUCCCUUUGAGAGGAGGGUUAUCUUCUUCCUCCUCCUCCUCAUCCUCGUUUUCAUCUCCCUCGUGAGAGGAGGGAUCCUCGGUCCCUCCGGACAUAGCGUCCAAGGUGCCUUCAUGGUGGAGGCCACUUUCUGCCUCCUUGUUCUUCUUCUACUUGUCCUUCUUUACCGGCACUUGGUAUGGCGCCGGGACCAGCAUCCUCAUUAGGAGAGGAUUGGCUAAGUCUUUGGGAAGGGGGACGGACACCUGAUCCUCUCCGCCUUCUUUGUCCAGACCUGUUUAAAGGGUGGAAUUGUUAGUGUAUCCCCUUGGAUUAACGAACCAAGCUAUAGGAGGAAGCUUAGCCCUUACCGGGGGGAUGGUUGCAGUCAAGGCCAAUGUCUUCGGACGUCUCCGGCCAUGACUUUUGAGAUUUAAAGAGCAAUUUCCAGAUCUCUUUGUGCGUCAUGCCGAAGAAUCGUUGCAGAGUUCGCGGUCCUUCCGGAUUAAAAUCCCACAAACGGAGAGGCCGUCGCUGGCAGGGAAGAGUUCGGCGGAUGAGCAUCACCUGAACCACGUCAGUGACGUAGGUGUUCUUCUCUAUGAUACUUUUGAUGCACUUUUGCAGCAUCAGCACCUCAUCGGUCGAUCCCCAGUCUGGACCCUUGUUGGUCCAUGACGCGAGUCAUAGAGGGGGUCCGGAUCUGAAUGCAGGAGUGGCCGCCCACUUGGUACCAUGGGGUUCGGUGAUAUAGAACCACUCCUGCUUCUAUGUCUUGACGGUGUCCACAAAGGCCCCUUUAGGCUAGAUAGCAUGAGGAAGCUUGCUCACCAUGGCCCCGCCGCAAUCCGCGUGCUCCCCGUCGACCACCUUCGGCUUCACGUUGAAGACCUUGAGCCAUAGGCUAAAGUGUGGGGGGUGCGGAGAAAUGCCUCGCACAUGACGAUGAAUGCCGAGAUGUGGAGGAAGGAGUGUCAGUGUACAAAAGGAGGGGCACACGUUUAUACCCCUUUACCUGUGCACGGGCAGUCGGAGCCACGCCCACGGUCAGACCAAGCAGAGCAGGGGAGGUGAACCAAGGCAAAACCGAAGCCCAAGACAGCUAGAGCAAUGCCAAGACCAAGAACGCAAAGAGGCAGAGGGGCGGAGUAGUUUCCCCCGGCAAGACCCUUGCCGGGGCAGCUAGCCCCACACCGAUAGAGCGAGCCACCCUUGAGCCCAUGGUCUCCAACAUCAUGUUGGGCUAGGGCUCCGGAGACACCUCUAUGGUGGCAUGCAGAUCUUUGUGAAGACAAGGAACACUCAAGAUCAGAUGAGGAUUAGAAGACAGCGAUCCUCGGCAAGAUCCUUGCCGAGGGGAACCACAAGACCCCCGGCAAGAUCCUUGCCGGGGACGACAGCGCGCCACGGCAAGACCCUUGUCGGGCCACCCGGCAAGGCCCUCACCGAGGACGCCAGCAGGGCCACCGCCAGGGCCGCACCAACCAAGUCUCCGCCGCCGUUCGCAUGCAGCUGCCAACCCAAACCAGCUGGGCAGGCACCUGCGUGGCAACAUGCAGCUUCCAGGCCAACUCAGCAGGCGCCUGCAAGGCGGCAUGCAGAUUCCUCGUGAAGACCCUACCACCGCGCCACCUCAGCUGCCUGCCUGCCUACAUGGUGCCGCACGCAUCGCUGGCCAGGGCGCGUGCCGAAGCAAGGAGGAGCGGCGACGGACGGGACGGGCCUCGCCCCCGUCCCCGAUAAAGCUAGGGGACACCUUAGCUACGCAUUAAAUGCGUCUUUUCCUGUAAUACGAGUGAUAAGCUCAUAGCACUGUGCGCCUUUCCACCUCCUGUGUGCAAUUGUGGCAGCCCCUUUCGACUAUAAAAGGAGGCCCAUGGCAUACUGGAGAAGGAUUCGGCUCUUUUGAACCACGCACUCGCCACAGCUAGUUCGAGAGCUCAAGAACUCUCUGAAAUACACCCACCAAAGCAGGACUAGGGUUUUACGCAUCCUCGCGGCCCGAUCCUGGGUAAACGAUCCUUGUGCUGACUACUGAUCCUGCACUUCUUGCAACCCCAUGCCCGGGCAACCGUAGUAGGGAUUCUUGUAAUCCCAUAGGUGUCGUUUUCCCUGACAUCUUUGGCGCGCCAGGUAGGGGGUGCAAUUGUGAGAAUCUGGUCUAGUAGUUAGCCUAGCAGUUCUUCGUCGCCAUGGCUCCCAAGAAGGAGAUGGCCAGGAGAAAAGAGCGCCGCCUGCGAGCGUGAAGGACGCCAGCGCGGCAACAGAAAAGCUAAGUCAUUCAGAGCCUUGAGUUAUUUCCUUUUACACAUAAGGUUAUCAUCCUCGGAGAUCUUGCCUAUGUAUGGAAAACCUGCACGCGAAGGGGCCUUUCCGAAAUUGGCAACGCCCUUGUUCUGUUUUGAGUCCGCUUAACAGCUCAAAGCGGCCGCGUGAGAGUUGCGGGGUAGCCUUCCGCACCUGGCAACGCUCCCUACUCUGACUCGAGUCAAGCUCGACAGUUCGGGCGGCUGCGCUAAGGGCGGUAAGGUGGUUCCCUGGCAGCAAGCACACCCGGCAGGCCAAUGGGGAUCCGUCCCCAAGACGCCGCCCUGGGUUUACGCGCCGGCAAACCUACCCAGUUGACGUAGGGUGGACAUACAAAAGUAAAGUCGAACAGGAAAAUAACAUACAUGAUACUAAAAGUGCUGCAGAGUUAUAUUACAUUGAAUUGUUGUUGCGGUUCUAACUAGAGAUAGCGAUUGUCUUGGUUGUGAACCUGCAGCGGCAAUAAAAACGGGGUGUGUCGUGGUUUUGUCGCGUCAGAUGUCCUAGAGAAAGGACUUAGUCAUGGAUCCAUCGCUACGGGUUAGCUUAAAGGGGUUAAAGCGGACAAGGGACGCAAGAGAGUUUAUACUAGUUCGGCCCCUUACGAUGAAGGUAAAAGCCUACGUCUAGUUGUGAUGGACAUGAUGGGGUUUCGAUGACCAGGGAGCGAAUACGCUUUGCCUAAGUCUCGAGUUGUUGUCUGUUGUCUCUGAACUGCCGUCGGGUCGUCCCCUUAUAUACAUGGGUUGACGCCCGCCGGUUUACAGAAUCCCAAGGCCGGCUCAUAAUCGUGUCCGGCUAGGUCUCUGCUACUUCUAUCUUACAACACAAGUUUACAUAUCAAUGCCGGUUUAUGUCUACAGGCCUUAAACCGGCUUUGAGCCCUGGGCCUUCAUGAAGCGUCACCGUCUGUCUUCAUGGACUUCAGAUACAGAUGAACUACUUAUGGGGUUAACCCGGCCUCUCCUAGCCGGUUUACGCCCAGUGGUAAUAUCCCCAACAUUAGGCCCCAGAUUGAUUUGAACUGGUUCAUGUCAAUCCUCAAUACUUAAGAAAAUUUCUUCUUCAACAUCUUCACACAAUCUUGUAAACCGCCGUGACAUCAUCUUCUAGGAUCAUGGUAAACCGCCGUGACGUCACAUGUCAUUAACGAGCCUCCGACAAUCGAGGCGACAGCUCCGCCUUAUAUCCAAAAUUUAGGCUCCUUGAUUUUCGCGCCUGACGCUUAUCUUUCUGCCCUUGUAAAUAGGGCCAGGGGGUCUUUCCAUUCCCCCCCCCCAUAUCUCUUCACCUCGUCCUGUUCCUUGCGCUGCCCGACCUUUGGAGCUCCGCCGCCACCAUCGACCUUCGGUUCUGCCUCAACUCCGGCCGCUGCAUCACCCUGAACGCACCAGAGAAUCGCGGCGCCUCUCCGCUCUUCCAUCAGCAUCGGUAAGCCUUCUUUCCUUCUGCCAUAGAUCUGUCAUUAGGGUUUCAGUGUUCAUCGGUGUUCGUCGGUGUUCGUCGGUGUGCAAUAGCUCUUUGAUUCAAACCUUGAUAUUUAUCAUGUACGGCGAUAGCCGUAGCCCUUGUUUUCCAUCCAUGCAUCUCGUUUAAGUAGAAAAUCCCAUCUAAACCUUCAUCAACUGCUUCAGUACCAAUAUUUAGGUCUGAAUAUAUUUUCAUUUUCUGACAUGCGGUAGAUCCAAAAUUAUAAUGCCAACUUGUGAAACCUGUUUUCCCUUCACUUAUACAUCUUCAAUACCAGAUUGGGCGGUUUAACUUCAUAUACAAAAUGAUGACCCAGUAGAUACCAUUAGUCCCUUGUUGAACCGCCAAUGCUUUCAUCAUUGUACUGUUUCCAUUGCCAGACUCCGGUUUACAAAUAACCAAUCCCGGUUUAUCAAUAUGCUUGUAUCCUUAUAUUGCUAUGUAGUUGUCCACUGUAAAUCUUAAACCGGCAAUAAUCAUGUUUCAGAUUUCCAUUGCCAUGGCCAAGCAAGUCAAUGAAUGCAAUUGGGCUCCCUCUCGAGUAACCGAAGAGCAGUUAAACAAUCAUGUUAAAACGGGCGCUUUAGCUAAAAAAGAUGUCAUCCACUGGAGGGUCCCUGGCCCGGAAAAUCCUCCUACACCCAAGGAUGGAGAGGUAGUCGUAUUCGCUGAUCAUCUCGGACGAGGUUUUAGCCCUCCCGGUUCAAAAAAUUUCCGGGAUGUACUGGCUAGUUUCCAACUGCGCCCUCAAGACAUCGGUCCCAAUUCUGUAACCAACAUCUGCCACUUCCAAGUCUUUUGUGAGGUUUAUCUGCAAGAGGAACCUUCAGUCGAACUGUUUAGGGAUUUCUUUCACUUAAACCGUCGCACAGAGUUCUCGGAUGGACCCAAUACAGAACUAGGCGGAAUGGCGGUUCAGAAAAGGAAGUCACCUUCCCCCAUCCCAAACUCCACAGUCACCCCAAAGAGUGGAACCAGACUUGGUUUUACUGCAUGGAUACAUCUCCAUCUGAUGAAAACCCCCUGCCGGGUUACCGCCCUGAACUUUUGUGAGGUUGACGACAAGAGAAAGGGCCAACUAUGCUCCCCAGUUAUCAAAGCUUAGAGCCUUCAUAGCGAAUGGUUUGACAGGAGUUGAUCUUGCUCGUUGCUGGAUAAGCUGGAGUAUUCUGCCCUUAAGCCGGCGCUCCGGUUUGAUGUGUGAGUAUACGGGGAGUUUGAAGGAUGCUCAGCGGCACAUUGACAUUUAGCUUACAGAUGCAGAAGUCACUGAGGCUGUAAAAAAGAUACUGAACGAACCGGAGGCUGUUUGUGCCCAAACCGGACUACUCCCUUUCUGCACCUUCAACAAACCACCAGCUGUAAGAAUCAUAUAAUCUUUUUAUCUGAAGUUGCUUCUGUCCAAAUAUUCUCUGAAAGUGUGAUUAUUUUCUGACAGGGUGAUGAUCCGUUCUGGAACAAGAAACCAUCCCAAGACAAACCGGUGAAGCCGCAAGAUAAACCGGUCAAGCCAGUUCGUCCAAAGACCAAGGUUGUUAAAAAACCUGCCAAGAGAAGGACCACUGCAUCCUCCGAUCCACCAGCUGAUGACGAUAUGGGUAACCCGGAACCAGAGGUAGAACUUGACUCUCUUGGUUCAUUUUUCAUACAUCUCAUUGACAAUGAUUAUUAUCAGGACGACGCUGAAGGCGGGCAUGCUGAGGACGUAGAGGUAACCAUUCUUUCCUCCGAUUCAGAUCCUCCGCCAACAUCAAAAAUCCGUCAAGCAAACCGGAAAGUAAAAUUUUCUCACCCUCUUGCUUACUUGGACCCAAACUUUCUUUUGAAGACGUAGCAGCACGAAGCUCGCUGUACAACCCGGCACAGUGGCCAGGUAGUUACCUCCGCCAGUUUACCGAACAAUCCGGUUCGGAAACACCGAUCAGAGGUCUCUUAUCCCAUUGAUACUUCAUGCCUAAAAGCAGGUUAUUUCCACCAGCCUCUUAACCCGUCUGAUUCAAAUUAUCAGGGUACUUCUCACUCAUCCUCUGGCGAGUCAUCGGCCAUGCAGCUUCCACCCCUCAAAGCAGUUCCUGGGUGAGCUAUGCACGUGUCUUUAUUCUUGAUGUGUUAUCUUUACAUACUGUAUUGAUCCUUAUGUCUAUCUUUUCUCAGCGCCAAGCCAAGACCCAGCAAGAAGGCUCGGUUAAGCAAACCGGCUGAUGAUAAUGUAGCUGCUGAACUGGAAACAACUCCAGAUUCGGAAGAAACCGACGCUGACGACAUGCUUAACGAUCCGCCGCCUCAAGACCAUGACUUCCUUGCCGAACAAGUGCAAGUUGACACAAAGCCAUGCAGACCGGCCAACCAGCCCUGUCCGAACUGAUGACAAACCGGCCAGUCCGGUUAAGGAUACUGACAAACCGCCAACUCCAGCGAAGGCUGCUGAUGAUCAAGAUGAUGACAUUAUGAUUACUGGCACUGGCCUCACCACUCCUGGCAACCCUGUCGCUUUGUCAAAGCAUACUGCCAAGGACGAGCUCUCUGCUAUAGGAAAAGGCAAAUGGAAUGCCGAUUUAUCAAGCUACGCCCAUCUCAAUGCUCAAGACAUUCACUCUGGCUUCUUGAACCGUCUGUAUACCAGCCGUGACUAUGAAGCUAGUUUGGUAAACUUGAUGAAGGAGCGAGAGGUAACUACUAUUUUUCUCUUUUGUCCAAUUGCAGUUUGUCAACUCCUAGUAGCCCCCAAGUGACGGUUUAUGAUACCAAUCUAAACUGGGACUUUGUCAUAACUUAACUUUGCAUAUUUAGCCUCCAGGGACCAGAUUACUUCUUUAUGAUGAACCGGUUCCUUAAAAUUUGCCAUACUACUCUUUCACCGGUAUAGCCCCCAAGUGCCGGUUUAACUUUAUAAAGAUGAACCGGGACUGUAUAAGAAUUCCCAUACCAACAGUUUUUGAGCAAACACACAUUAGCCCCCAAGUGCCAAGAUUAAUACUUGUAUUGUGCUUGGGAUUUGUAGAAAUUUCUGAUAAGGAGCAAAUAUGCAUUAGCCCCCAAGUAUCAAGGGCAUAACUUGUUAUGUGCUUGGUACUUCAAAUAUGUACUGUCAACUCAUCAUGUAUCUGUCUCUUUAUAGGCUGAACUGAGCAAGAAGGAAAGCCAAACCGCUGAUCUGCAAGAGAACAUCAAGUCCCAACACGCCGAAACUUCCAAAGCAAAAGAUGAGCUGACGAGCGCCUUAGCCGCUAUGGAAAAGCUAAAGGAGAGCUUCGCCAAGGAGCGGGCGGAUUGGAACACAGAGAAAUCCGCUUUGCGAAAAAGAGCUGAAGACGCUGAAGCAGCUCUCAAACCGGUGGUAGACGAGCUAACUGGUGUAAAGUGGCAGAUACAUGCCAUGACUGCUGCUGUGUUCGGUAAGCAUCCUUGCUUUAUACUUUUAACAUACCUUCCCAUGCGUUGCCGGUUUGCUGAUGUUUGCAAUGAUGCAGGAACUCGCAUUAGUCAUCUGGGCUCUGAUGUUCAGAAGAAGCUGAAGGCUGCCUACACGCUGAUAGAACAACUGUAUACCAGCGCACAAUGAAUUAUCUGCACCGCUUCUCACAACAAGCCGCCCCCGACGUUAAUCAAGGAUACCUUAGACAGGCUAUCUAUGCUGCCUGCCCGGGUAGAAGAGCUAAAGAGGUCUGCUGCAAGGGCUGGCGCUCUGAUCGCACUAACCCGGGCAAAAGCAUGGGUGCCUGAUCUUGAUCCGACGGACGUGGCUAAAGGCUACCCAAGCUUAAAAGAAGACGGAUCAGAAUUUUGCACUAAAGAUCUCUGUGCCAUAAACCAGGAAGUACGUCCACUGGCUUGUCAACUUGCUGAAGAGGCUAAUCUUUCAUUUUACCGGGCGAGUUAUGAUACCAAUAACAAGCGGGUUGCUGCACCAACUCCUGAGGCUCAAAACCUGAUCCCUCCAAUCCGUAAGCACACUUAUGCCCCUGACAUUGAACCGUCCACCCUUAUAAGCGACGAAGCUGUGUUCCAAGCUUUAACUGGGAUCGACUGGACAACUGUUGACUUCCAGCCGCUGGGUAGGGACGAAGAUGAGCCGGUGCAAGAUGAUCCGCAGCCGUCAGGUCAAGCUGAUAAGCAAUCAUAAUCCGGGGGCCGGUUUAGUCUUCCACUUGCUGCAAUGCUUAUUGAGAAACAAUUAUCCCUUUGGGCACUGAAACGCCUUGUAAUAGGCUAGUUAAAACACUUGGUCUGUUAUGCCUUCGUGCAUAUCUAUGAGCAACUGAUGCGUGUUAAUCUGCCAUGCUUAAGAUAUGAUGUUCAUAAUCCAUAGCUAUUUAUUCAAGUUGUUCCUGCAGAUAAGAAGCUUAAAGUGCCAUGGUGGUUUACCACCGGGUGUGUCAUGAUACCCAAAUAUAUAUAUGACCAAGGUUUAUAACCAAGGUAAAAGAUAACCAAAUAUGGAAAUAUAUGGUACCUGUGACCUUUAGGCAUAGUGUUGGCUGACCAACUUUGUAAUGAGGCUAAUAACCCUAAUCCGUAAUAGAAGUAACUCCUGUUAUAUGAUGCCGGCUUAUCAGAAAACCAUUCCGGACUGUGAUAAACACUAGUUUAUUCCAUACUGGUGACUUUAAGUUAAAACCAGACCGGGCUGAUAGUCUCCGGAUUACAAUUUGAUUGUAUACUGUCAACUUGUAGUUGAUAGCCUAACCGGGCUGAUAAACACUGGUUUAAAAACGUCACAAAUCUUAUUAAAACAAAGAAAACUCACCAAAAGGAAAAUAAAAACCGUUGUAGUCGAGGCUUUUCAUGGGCUGCCAGGCCCCAAAUUUGAUCAAGAGGUGUAGCUAUGGUUCGGGUUCGACCAAGCCCCCAAGUGAUGAUGUGGCAUUACGCCAAUCAAGAGGUGUAGCUAUGGUUCGGGUUCGACCAAGCCCCCAAGUGAUGAUGUGGCAUUGCGCCGAUCAAGAGGUGUAGCUAUGGUUCGGAUACGACCAGGCCCCCAAGUGAUGCUGUGGCAUUACGCCGAUCAAGAGGUGUAGCUAUGGUUCGGGUUCGACCAAGCCCCCAAUUGAUGCUGUGGCAUUGCGCCGAUCAAGAGGUGUAGCUAUGGUUUGGAUACGACCAAGCCCCCAAGUGAUCUAAUAUCAAGCUUUGAGAAGCUAAAUCAAGGGGUAAACCAGACGCCGCUUUGUAAGCUCCAUGUAACCACACAUGAUGUAAGAAAACAACAGAUACCCCGCUUUAGCUGAGGUUCCGGUUUAUUAUAUUGAUCAUAAUAUAUACAAUGUCAUAAUAUGCACAUAAGCAGAGCCUGUAGCUCAAGUAUAGUAGGGCCGAAGAUGAGCAAUAUUCCAUGGCAGGUUGGUCUCCUCCUCCGAUUUACGUGAGUCUUUGCGCUCUCGAACAUCGAUUAGGUAGUACGACCCGUUGUGUAGGUUCUUGCUGACCACAAAAGGUCCUUCCCAACGGGGGAUAGCUUGUGCAUAUCCGUCUGAUCCUGGAUGAGUCGAAGCACCAAAUCUCCUUCCUAAAAGGUUCACGUUCUAACCCGGCGGCUAUGAUAACGACGCAGAUCUUGCUGAUAAAUCGCCGAACGGGCUGCCGCCAUGUCAUGCUCCUCAUCUAAUAGGUCAAGAGCUUCCUGCCAUGCUUUCUCGUUGUCAGCUUCAACGUAUGCCGCUACACGAGGUGAGUCAUGACGGAUGUCAAUAGGAAAAACCGCUUCCACUCCAUAAACCAUGAAGAACGGUGUGUAUCCUAUCGAUCUGUUGGGUGUGGUAUUGAUGCUCCAUAACACUGAAGGUAGCUCGUCAACCCAACAACCCAGCGUCCAUUGCAAAGGAACCAUAAGCCGGGGUUUGAUGCCUCUCAAGAUCUCUUGAUUGGCCCUCUCCGCUUGACCAUUGGACUGGGGGUGAGCCACUGAUGACACGUCAAGCCGGAUGUGCUCACAUUGACAGAACUCCUUCAUGCCACCCGUUGAAAGAUUGGUACCAUUGUCUGUUAUAAUGCUGUGUGGAAAGCCAAACCGGAAGAUCACCUUUUUGAUGAAUUGAACCGUCAUGGCUGCGUCACACUUACUAACUGGCUCUGCCUCCACCCACUUCAUGAACUUAUCAACCGCCACCAAAAGGUGGGUCUUCUUGUCCUUGGACAUCUUGAAAGGCCCAACCAUAUCCAGCCCCCAAGUUGCAAACGGCCAGGUGAUUGGAAUCAUCCUCAAUUCUUGAGCCAGUACAUGAGCGCCCCUUGAGAAUUUCUGACAGCCAUCACAUCUUUUGACCAAGUCCUCAGCAUCAGCAUGAGCUGUCAACCAAUAGAAACUAUGACGAAACGCCUUGGCCACCAAAGAUUUUGAACCGGCGUGGUGACCACAAUCUCCUUCGUGGAUCACACGCAAAAUUUCACGGCCUUCCUCAGGAGACACACAGCGUUGAAACGCCCCUGUCACACUGCAAUGAUGUAACUCUCUGUCGGAGUAAAUGGCCACGGGUAGCAAAACCGACUACCCCUGGUUCUUCAGAAAAAUUAUCAGGCCUUUGGGCCUCCCAACACUCCAAGCAUUGGCCCCCCUUCCCUGGCCUGCUACCUCUGAAGCCGACUCACAGAAGGCGGCCCGACCUCAAGCGACCUCCCUCCCCAACACAACCACGGGGUGGCCGACUCCAAGCAGCCGGCCGAGACCACAACCACCAAAGCUACUCCCACAUAACGGCGACAAGACGGGGUGUGUCCACAGUGCAGCCCACUACCCCCGAAGCCCGGGGCAGGCAUGGCUACAGGAGGCCGUACGGGACGGCCGUCUCCCGUGCGGCUCGGCACUGUAGCCAUGCUAGCCUCAACGGCAUCCACGACAGACUCCCGUACGGCCCACGGGCGGCGGGCCCCUUCGGCCAGAGAGAGGCGUGAAGGGGGCACGGCCUUCCCCAGUCCGCCAAGGGCGUAGCCGGCCCCCGGAAGCCGGCUACCCCCUUCCUCGAAGCAGGAGCCCCAUUAAGGAGACAAGACGAGGUAAGGCUACAGUGAGAGCCCCCGAGGCGGCCCACUAUAGCCACGCUUACCUCGUCAAAGCCCUCGUCAUCAGAGGCGAGGCUACAGUAAGCAGCCGCCGACAAGACCCUAGGCGGUGGGGCCGGCCUGUCGACCAAGAAGCCGGCAGCCGGCGGGACCCACCAGCAGGCGGGACCCAAUAGCCGGCGGAGAAGCCGGCGAGCGUAGACACUGACGGCUGGGACCAGAGUCCAACCGGAUUACCAUUGUACCCCCGGGGGGUAGGCCUAUAUAAACCCCCCGGAGCACCCAUGCAAAGGGUUAGCUUCUGAACACAGCACACACACCAUAGGGAUAGAGAGAAGCAAGAGCUAGCCUUGUUCUUCUUCUCCCUUGAACCCAACAGCUCUAGGAGCGAUUGUAACUACCUUUCCUUGAUCUAGUGAUCAUGCGGAGACCCCGCAGAGCAGGACUAGGGGUGUUAUCUCCUCGGAGAGCCCCGAACCUGGGUAAGAUCCGUCGGCGUGCAUGUCUUCGCCUCAUCCCGUUUCCAGGCACCGGCGACGUCUUAUUAGCACCCACAAUGAUAAGCCAUCCGUUGGCAUAUGUCGCACCAACCACCCGACAUUUGGCGCCCACCGUGGGGCCAGGUGCACCGUCGUCCGGAGACCUGUUCUGGACGGGAACCCUCUUCCUCCCGCGCGAGCGCAGCCAGCCUGCUGCGCCCGAUGGCGUUUGCCUCGACGCGCUGCAAGGCGUCGACGACGCCUGCGCAGCGAGCUGCCUCGCUGAUCUGCUCGGCGAGACUCGCAUCUCCGACGAGCCUGCGUCCGACGCAGGCACCGACUACCCCGAGAAUCGCCUCGUCAGCCUCCUCGACCAGCUUCACGUCUCCAGCGAGCCUGCUGCAGACAUGGAGUCGGUCGGCUCCACCGACCCGAUGCUCAUCGACUCCGACACAGCAUCGCUUGACGCCUACCCCUCUGACGUGGUGGUCUUCGACGACCCCCUCCCUCGAGCUGACAGCGGCGGGCAGCGCUGUCACCGAAGUGCUGGUCAUCAGCCACGUCGCCAACUCGGGUGAGAAUGCCCGCGACGCCUGGCAAGCGGCAAUGCACGACCUCUCCGUCCCCAUCCCGGCCGACGCCGAUGUCGAGACCUUGGAGGCACGCCGCCUUGCCCUCAUUGCAGAGGGCCAGAAGAUAGCCUCCAUGAGACGCCUCACCGAGGCCCACCAGCGCGAAGUCGACCGCGCCACCUUCGGCACGCCGCCGCCUAGCGGCCCGAGCCGAGCCGGCUUCGUCCAGAAGCGCGGCGCGGCCGUCGCCAUCAUGCUGGGCGCAGAUCGCCCCGUCUACGCCACCCCGCUCGAGAAUCUGCGAGCCGCUCAGGCGGCCGCAGAAGAGCUCAAUGGGCUAGGAGCCGAUGAGCUCCCCUACAUGACGAGACGGAUCCAGCAGCUGCUCGACGCGGCUGCAGAACGGCACGAAGCCGGCGCCCGUGCUGAUACUCAUCCCCCGCGCCGGGAGCAUGGCACAACAUCCCGCUCGCCGACUGCGAGCGGCGCGCGCCAAAAGAAAGACAAGGAGCCGGCUGCCAGCCGCAGCCGGACUCGCAUUACCAUCGAGCGUGACGCGGAAGGCCGCCCUCGAGCGGUUGAACACCAAGGAAAUCUUCCUCCUCCCCCGCCUCGAAGAGAAAGACGCCUCACUCCGCCGCCUAUCACACACCCGACUCUUGGCGACCGACUCGGCUGCCGAGAAGGAGUCGGCGAGAACGACGCCCGCCACAGGAUCGACCGCCUUGCUCGAUCCUUGGCGUUAGAAGAAGAAGACGAUGUCGGCCCGCCAUGCUUUGGCCCUCGCAUCCGCGACGAGCCCUUCCCCAAAGGGUUCUCGCUCCCCAGAGACACGCCCAAGUACAACGGCUCGGUGAAGCCGGAAGAUUGGCUCAUCGACUACUCCACGGCCGUCAGCAUAGCCAACGGCAAUCGGCGCGUCGCCGUGAAGUACGUCCCCCUCAUGCUGCAAGGCACGGCGCGCACAUGGCUCAACAACCUCAAGGCCUACAGCAUCAAUAGUUUGCUGGACUUCACCGAAGUCUUCGUCCGCAACUUCACCAGCACCUACAAGCGGCCUCCCAAGCCUCGCCAGCUCUCCCUCUGCGUCCAAGGGCCCAACAAGUCGACCCGCGACUACCUCACGCGAUGGGCCGAGCUCCACAACUCCUGCGAGGGGGUGCACGAGGUCCAGGCCAUCGAGUACUUCACCGCCGGGUGCCGAGAGGGCACCCUCCUCAAGCACCGACUCCUCUGCGACGAGCCGGCUACCCUCAAUGAGUUGCUGGUCAUCACGGCCAAGUACGCCACAGCUGACUCCUCAAUGAAAACGGAGCUCCGAGUGAACGCCUCGGGGAAAGUGAUAGCUCCGGCUCCUAAGACGCCGGCUGGCGACCCCAACCGGCGCCCCUACCAGAACGACCACAAGCGCAAGGCCCCCAUGCCGACUUCCUCCAGUCGGCAGGUGGCCACAGUUGAAGACGAGCAGCCUGAAGAACGGCCCGCUCCUAAGAAGAAGGGUGGAAGGCCGGCUUGGCAGCCGUCUUUCUCCUACGAGCAAGCUCUCGACGCCCCCUGCAAAUUCCACAGCGGCGCGAAGCCGUCCAACCACACAACCCGGAAAUGCCACUGGCUCACCCGCAUCACCAAGGGCGAGGGGAUGUUGCCGCCUCCGCCUCCCGGCGCGCCGCCUCCAGCCCCCAGCAGCCGGCGGCUCGGCCGGCAGUCGGCGCCAUCCAAGAUGAAUUUCCCGAAGAGCACGCUGCCUACGUCGUCUUCACCAGUCAAGCCGACGACAAGCGCAGCCGACGCCGAUAGCAUCAAGAAGUGAAUGCAGUCACCACCAGCGCCCCCGAGUUCAUGCACUGGUCAGAAAAGCCAAUCAGCUGGAGCCAGGCCGACCACCCAGAGGAGAUGCCUUCGCCCGGCUCCUAUGCAAUGGUCUUGGAUGUCACCCUCGCGACGGAGAGGCGAGCUGCCAGAUUUUCCCGCGUCCUGAUAGACGGCGGAAGCAGUAUCAACAUACUGUACCGCGAUACCAUGGAGAAGCUGAACAUCAAAGCGAAGCAGCUCAUGCCGAGCCACACCGUCUUCCAUGGUAUCGUCCCUGGCCUGUCUUGUUCCCCAAUCGGCAAGAUCAAAAUGGAUGUUCUCUUCGGAGACAAAGAUCAUUUUCGCCGAGAAGCAAUAUGGUUCGAGGUAGUGGAUUUGGAGAGCCCCUAUCAUGCACUGCUCGACCGACCUGCCCUGGCCAAGUUCAUGGCUGUGCCCCACUACGCCUACCUGAAGAUGAAGAUGCCGAGCUCGAAGGGGAUCAUCACGGUAGUCGGCGACUACAAGAAGUCCAUCGAGUGCGCCAUGGCCAGUAGCCGGCUGGCCGAGUCCCUCGUGGUGGCAGAAGAGAAGAAGAUGUUGGAACGGGUUGUGGCCAUGGCCGGCAAGCAGCCGGCCUUGUCCCCCAACCCCAAGGAUUGUGAUGCGCAGGGCUCCUUCCAGCCUGCCAAAGAGACGAAGAAGAUACCUCUGGACCCGGAGAACCCGGAGAGGUUCGCUGUCAUUGGGGCGAACUUGGACAGUAAAUAGGAAGGCGAGCUCGUCGACUUCCUCCGUGAGAAUCGAGACAUCUUUGCAUGGUCCCCAAAGGACAUGCCGGGUGUCCCGAAGGAUUUCGCCGAGCACAAGCUACAUGUCCGAGCUAAUGCAAAGCCGGUCAAGCAACCCCUCCGCUGACUGUCCGAAGAGAAGCGAAGAAUUGUGGGAGAAGAGAUAGCCCGGCUCCUUACCGCCGGCUUUAUCAUGGAAGUGUUCUUUCCAGAAUGGCUUGCCAACCCCGUUUUGGUUCUGAAGAAGAAUAACAAGUGGCGUAUGUGUAUAGACUACACCAGUCUGAACAAGGCCUGCCCAAAGGAUCCGUUUGCUCUGCCGCGGAUUGACCAAGUGAUAGACUCCACAGCCGGAUGCGAGCUAUUAAGUUUUUUGGAUGCGUACUCAGGGUACCAUCAGAUCAAGUUGGACCCAGCUGACCGCCUGAAGACUGCCUUCAUCACACCCUUUGGAGCUUUCUGCUACCUGACUAUGACAUUCGGCUUGAGAAAUGCCGGUGCCACUUUUCAGCGUUGCAUGCAGAAAUGUCUCUUGAAACAACUCGGCAGAAAGGCCCACGUCUACGUAGACGACAUUGUGGUGAAGACAGAGAAGCGCGGUACCUUGCUGGAAGACCUGAAAGAAACAUUCGCCAACUUGCGCCGAUUCCAGAUCAAGCUCAACCCCGAGAAGUGCGUGUUCGUAGUGCCAGCCGGCCAGCUGCUAGGCUUCCUGGUCUCCGAACGCGGCAUUGAGUGCAACCCCGUCAAGAUCAAGGCCAUCGAGAGGAUGGAGAUUCCCACCAAGCUGCGAGAUGUGCAGAAGUUCACUGUCUGCUUAGCCUCCCUGAAUCGUUUUAUCAGCCGACUAGGAGAAAAGGCUCUCCCCUUGUACCGACUCAUGAAGAAGUCCACUCACUUCGAGUGGAAUGAUCAAGCCGACAAAGCCUUCCAUGAGUUGAAGAAAAUGAUGACCACUCCGCCUGUCCUGGCUGCGCCGACUGAGAAGGAGCCCAUGCUCCUCUACAUCACCGCGACUAGCCGAGUCAUCAGCACUGUUGUUGUGGUCAGCGCCCGGAGGAAGGCCGAGCCCAGCUAGUCCAGAGGACGGUGUACUAUCUCAGCGAAGUGCUGUCCAGCUCAAAGCAAAACUACCCGCACUACCAGAAGAUGUGCUAUGGGGUGUACUUCGCUGCCAAGAAACUGAAGCCCUACUUCCAAGAGCACCCCAUCACGGUCGUGUGCACCGCCCCGCUUGCCGAGAUCAUAGGCAGCCAGGAUGCAUCCGGCCGGGUGGCCAAAUGGGCCAUUGCAUUGGCGCCCUACACGAUCUUCUAUCAACCCUGCACCGCCAUCAAGUCGCAAGCAUUGGCCGACUUCCUCGUCGACUGGGCCGAGACCCAGUACCUACCGCCGGCUCCCGACUCUACCCAUUGGCGGAUGCACUUUGACGGGUCCAAGAUGCGCACUGGCUUGGGAGCCGGCAUCGUCCUCACCUCUCCCAAAGGCGACAAGCUCAAGUACACGCUGCAGAUCCACUUCGCCGCCUCCAACAACGUGGCCGAGUACGAGGCGCUCGUACACGGGCUCCAGCUAGCCAAAGAACUUGGCAUACGCCGGAUCCUGUGCUACGGCAACUCAGACUUGGUGGUCCAGCAAUCGUCUGGCGACUGGGACGCCAAGGACGCAAACAUGGCGAGUUAUCGAUUCCUCGUCCAGCAGAUCAGCGGAUACUUCGAGGGGUGCGAGUUCCUCCACGUGCCAAGGGCCGACAACGACCAAGCAGAUGCCCUAGCACGGAUCGGCUCCACCCGACAAGCCAUACCGACUGGCGUCUCCCUCCAGCGCCUCCUCAAGCCGUCUCCAGAGUCGGAUUCCAUCUUCGUACCGCCUGCGCCAGAUACAGCCGGAUCCGACUGGAGAAACCCCGCAGGCGGCACGGGGACUUCGACAACUGGCCCGGGGACUGCCGUAGUCGCACCCGGCCCGGGGACUUCAGAACCCGGCCCGGGGACUGCAACGACACAAGAAGCAGUGGCCGACUCACCCAACCCACCCACCCGAGUCAUGGUGGCCACAUUAACAGAAGAAGAAGUCACAGCUCCCUCAUGGGCCCAGCCCAUCCUCAAGUUCCUAGUCAGCAGAGAGUUGCCGGCUGAUGAGAUCUCAGCAAGACUAGUGCAACGACGAGCCACAACAUAUACAAUAAUCAACAGAGAGCUUGUGAAGCGCAGCGUCACUGGAGUCUUCCAGUGUUGCGUUGAGCCAGAAACAGGAGUGGCAAUCCUCAAAGACAUCCACCAAGGCGAAUGCGGCCACCACGCAGCCUCAAGAUCACUUGUGGCCAAGGCUUUCCGCCAUGGUUUCUUCUGGCCGACUGCCUUGGAGGAUGCUAAAGAAAUAGUCAAGAGCUGCAGAGGAUGCCAAGUUUUUAGUUCCAAACAACACCUGCCUGCUUCUGCACUCAAGACCAUUCCACUCACCUGGCCUUUUGCCGUCUGGGGACUGGACAUGGUGGGCCCUUUCAAGACAGCCCGCGGCGGCUUGACGCAUCUACUUGUCGCUGUGGACAAGUUCACAAAGUGGAUCGAAGCAAAGCCGAUCAAGAAGCUGAACGGGCCGACUGCCGUGACAUUCAUCACCGACAUCACUACUCGGUACGGCGUGCCGCACGGCAUCAUCACCGACAAUGGCACGAACUUCGCCAAAGGAGCACUGGCACGUUUCUGCGCGACGCAGGGCAUCCGACUGGACUUAGCGUCCAUUGCCCACCCGCAGUCAAACGGCCAGGUCGAGCGAGCAAAUGGACUCAUCCUCUCCGGCAUCAAGCCCCGAUUGGUUGCACCACUGGAGCGGUCAGCCGGCUGCUAGCUUGAGGAGCUGCCGGCUGUCCUCUGGAGCCUGCGCACUACACCCAACAAGUCAACCGGCUUCACUCCAUUUUUCCUCGUGUAUGGUGCCGAGGCUGUCAUCCCUACAGACAUCGAAUUCGACUCGCCUCGGAUCACCAUGUACACGGAGGAGGAGGCCAAAGAAGCAAGAGAAGACGACGUGGACCUACUGGAAGAAGGCCGGCUGCUAGCACUCAGUCGGUCCGCCAUCUACCAGCAAGGGCUGCGCCGCUACUACAGCCGCAAGGUCAAGCCAAGAUCCUUCCAAGAGGGCGACCUUGUGCUCCGGCUGAUCCAGCGAACAGCCAGCCAGCACAAGCUCUCGGCCCCUUGGGAAGGCCCCUUCAUCGUCAGCAAGGCACUCGGCAACGACUCCUACUACUUGAUCGACGCGCAAAAACCAAGAGCACGCAAGAGAGACGACUCCGGCAAGGAGUCGGAGCGACCGUGGAACGCAAACCUCCUGAGACGAUUUUACAGUUGAAAGCAGUAUGUAUCAUGCUACCCCUUUUUUUGUAUUAAGCACGAACCAACAGGCCCCCCGAACAGUACUCGGGGACUGCCUUUUAUUUAUCUAUGAAUGACGAGUGUCACAUCCAUGAAUGUAUCAUUACAUUUGAAUUUUUGGUCCGGCACCGGGUUCGACUUGUAGGCCCGGGGACUGGCCGCCUUGAGCUAUAUUGAAAGUUUUCCCUAAAGUCAGAAAAGUAGUGCGCCGGCUCCCGAGUCCUCUCUUGUUGAAAGUCGCAGCUCAAAGAACUGACUGUCCGACUAGCAAGAGGCAAGACAGAAAGGACGCCCACACGAAAAAUGGCUAAGGAACAACGAACCUAUAUAGCAAAGAGACGGCCUCCAAACAUGCCUGCCGGCUGCCAGAACAGCCGGCUGGCCGGCUUCCUAAACACUUAGCUUUAGUCCUGCAAAGCUAAAGUACUCCCCCCCAAUUGGCCAAGCACUCCUCCAGCUACAGAUUGCAGAGCAACUGUCGGACUGGGGAGGCGGCAACCAAGGGAGGGCGGCAAAGGAAACAGCAGAAGGACAAAAAGCAAAAGUACAAGGAAAGGCCAAAUGCAUAAGUUAUAUAUAUAUAAAGCCCCCAACAGGCUGGCAACAGACAUAAGUUCGAAUACACCCAGUGGGUGGAAUUGUGCAGACUUAACCAAACAUUGUUCCAAAAGUAACUAGACAGGGAAACAAAAGAUGGUAGACUAAGGCGCGCUGCGGAGGCCGAGCUGGUCGGUGAAGGCGUCCUCGCCGGCUGAAGGAGUGGCCGACUAGCUGGUCCCGGCUUGACCACCACCUACGGCAGGAGACGCACUCGCGCACGACGUAGUGCUGGAGGCGCGGUCAGGCUGAGGCUGGCCGGCUGCUUCACCAGCCGGCUCGGCGUCUUCACCCUCCUCCUCCUCUUCUUCACCCUCGUCGCUGGAGUCGAUCUCCUCCGCCGAGUCUUCGCCAUCCGACGGGUUCAGACCGAACCACUCCUCCGGCUGGGCGACACCAUUGUCGUCCACCUCGGGGGCGAAGACGCUGGUGUGGGUAUAGUCGGCGAUCGCCGAAGCCCGCCGGAUGAUGGCCGGCUGCACCGGCUCCAGCUCAGUGUUGGCUUGCUGCCGCCAGGUAGCCAGCUGGUCCAGGCUCAGGCCGGGAUACCAGGCCUUGAGGAACUCCAACGCCCGCCUGGCACCGGAGCGAGCCGCCGAGGCCUUCCAGGCUUCGAAGCGGCCGACUGCCACCUCCAGCCAGUCGGCAGUCCGACUGGGGGUGCGAGGAACCACUUGGCCGGGCCAGAGGGCGGCCAAGACCUGCGCCCCGGCACGUUGAAGACGGCGGAGCAGUCGUUGAGCCGGCUGGAUGCGGGCCUGGAUCGCCAAGAGCUGCUCCUCCAGCGAACGGCCGGCGGUUGGCGAGAUCUCAAAGCCAGCCUGCCUUCGCGCCUGGCGGCGGGCCUCGAUGGUCUGGUUGGCAGCAGUAGAAUAGCCAGGGAAAUAUUCUGCGCAAGCAAGAAGAAGGAAGGGAGAAAAGAGCACCAAAUCAGAAAAAGAGCCAAAGUGGCAGAUGGCAAGAAAGGACGAAGAGGUAGGUGGCUUACCGUCAACCAGAUCUUCGAUCUGGCCAUAGCCAGAGACCAGAGUCUGCCUGGCCUCAGCCCAGCCAGUCGCCUCCGUCUCGUACUCGGCCUGGAGGGCGGCUUCGCGGUCCUGCACCACCUUCAGGGCCGCCUUGUGGCCUUCCUCCUGGUCGGCCAGCUUCUUGACCAGGCGGUCGCGUUCCUGCACCAAGGCGGCAAGCUCGGCAUCCUUGGCGCGAAGGGCAGUCUGAGACUCCCAGUUGUGCCCUCAGACUGGCGUUGGCCGCUGCAGAGACGACAGGAAAAGAAGAACAGUAAGAAAUCGUCAAGGAAGAUCCGACCCGACUGCUCAGCAGUCGGCCCGAAUCUCGGGGACUACACCCAGUGGGUGCGCUGACGCGCCCCCACAUGAGAUAAAGAACAAAGCACGUACCUCGGCUCUCAGUAAGGUCGGCGGUCUUCUGAGUCAACUCCCGAGCCUGGGAGUUGAAGGCGGCCGCUCGAAGGUUGUGGUAGUCCUGCAAGAUGGACAAAAGAUCGAAGUAAGAACAAGAAUAGCAAAGACAAAUCCACCAAGAAGUUCCAAGCUGCCUGCUCAGCAGCCGACUCGGAACUCGGGGACUACACCCAGUGGGUGCGCUGACGCGCCCCCACGGAAGAAAUCAAGAUCAAAGAGAAAUCAAGAUCAAGAAGAAGCAAGAUGGGAGCACUAACCCGGAUGGCCGCCCGCGUCGCGAGGAACUCGUCGGUGAACUGCCUCAGCGCCGCAGCUUGACCCUGGAGCCGGGUCCGGACGUCCUGUGCAGCCACGUUCACCACGGCCGUCCCUCCGCCUGGCGUCCACCCCGAGGUAGCGCUGGCCGCCUCCGCAUCUCGGGCCGACGAGCUGGAACCCACGGCCGGCUGUGGCUACGACGCGGCCUUCUGCGGCUCUGACGCGGCCUUCCCCGCACGCCGGCUCGAUGGAAUCCGGACCGCCGUCUCAGCCCUCGCGGCCGGCUCGCCCCCCGCCGACUGUGCAGGCGGCGGAUCAGGCUGGCCGCCUUGAGCCACCCCAGUUGGCGGGGUCGGCACCGGCGCCCUCUCCAGGAUGAUGACGUCAUCGCUUCCCCCCAGCCCUGGCAGGUCGCCGCUGGCUCCCUCUGGCGAGGGCUCCAUAUCCCCAGGCGCCAUGAUGCGCAACGGGGUGACCAUCAAAACCUCCCCUGCCGCCGCCGCGGCCGCAGCCUCUGCUUGGGCCCUGGCUGCGGCAUCGGCGAGUGCCUUCGCCGCCUCCUCCUCCCGUGCCGCCUGGGCGGCGGCCGCCCUCCGUGCCUCCGCCUCCCGCGCCUCUCGCUCCGCCCGCGUGUCACAGCCCCAGAUCAACCCUUGCUUGAUUUUUCUUGCAUCCAUGCAUCAUGUUUAAAUUCGAAUGAAAUUUGAAUUGAGGAAUUUUCAAAGCCUCAGAAACCUUUUAAAAAUGAUCAACAUUAAAAUCUUCUCAAAGAAGCCCAAGAAAAUGUUCCUGUUAAACCUUGAAAAAUAUUGGCAAGAAUGACAUUCAAACCAAUAUUUUUGGAAUCACAGAAAUAUUUAUUUUGGGCCUUUUUGAAUUAAAUCAAUGACAUAUUUGGGUUGGAUUUAUUUCUGUUACAUAAGAAAUAAAGUUCAUAUAUUUUUGUGAGUUGCCUGUGACCUUGGACUAGUUUCUGAGCUCACAUAACAAAUUACAGAAAGUUUAGAAAAUGAUCUGAUGUUUUAAAUCAAGUCAAAACAAAUAGCAGAAAAAUUAGAAAAGAGAAAUAAAAGUCGGAAGAGAGAGAGAACCUUACCUGGGCCUUACCUGCAGCCCAAGUGGCUAGGCCAGCCCACCUGGCCCAUGCCAGUCACCACCUACCUUUGCCAGUAGGCAGAGGAGGGGGACAGCGAACCGCCGCCGAGCACGCGCCCGCGCCACCUCCUGCUUCCCCGGCCCCUCCUGGCGACGCCACGACGACGCCCCGAAGCCCCUGUCUCCUCUCCCUCACUCGCUGCACUCUCUCCCCUCCCUUGUCCCUCUCGCGCGCACACACCCGAGCGGAGCUCGUCGACGCCGCUCGCCGUAGCCAUGGCCACCGGCCACCCCUCGCCCCGCCGAUGAGUCCACGAGCUCCGCCUCGACGCCUUGAAGCUCCCCCUCAACGCGAGCAUCGCCGGACGCCCUGUCGCCUCGCCAUCGACCCGUCAUCUCCGCGCACGGCCGUGCAUCGCCGCCACCAAAUUCCGACGCUGUCCGUGCCUCCCCGAGCUCGCUGAGAACCUCUUCGUGACCGCGGUGAGCCCCCGGUCAUUUCCCCCUAACCCUGUCCCCGUUUGGUUGCCGUAGCACCAUACCCCCACGAGCACCGAAGCUCGCCGCCGCCAUUGCCAACGAGCUCUGUGCUCCUGAGCUCGGCCGCUCGCCCGAGCAUCACCAGCGUGCUUGCCGCGCUCCUGUGAACCUGAAGCACCCGGCCGUUCGCCCCGCCGUGCCCCACAGCCCCGUUCCCAACCUCGCCCGAACUCCGGCGGCCGCAAAGAGCCCGCCGUCGUCAACUCCGUCCACCCCAGACCCUCCCGCGUGUUCCAUUGGAUGGGCGCGAGCGCUAGCUACCCAUAGCACCCAUCCACGCGUCGAAUGGACGCCGGAGCCGCGAUUCCGGCGUGCCUCCGCCGUGGCCAGAGGUCACCGGCGGCUAAGCGCCGGCCUAACCCCGAUUAGGCUAGUGCUAAUGAUGCCCUGUGCAAUUGACAUGCGGGCCCCAUUGUAUAAUUAACCAGCUAACAAAAAUAGAUUAAAUUAAUCUAAGUCCAGUGGCCCACGUGUCAGUUUGACUACGCUGACGUGGCCGUUGACCUGGCCCCACUGGUCAGCCACUGUUCCUGCCCUGUCACACUGACGUGUGGACCCCACUGGUCAGGUUUGACCUGACCGGGUUAGUUGACCUGCUGACGUCACACUGACGUCAGGCUGACGCAGUAAAGCAUUAUCUGGAUUUAAGUUUAUUCAGAAAAUUCCAGAAAAUAGUAUAAACUUCUAAAAAUCAUAUAAAAUCAACCGUAGCUCAGAAUGAAAUAAUUUAUAUAUGAAAAAUUAUCAGAAAAAUGCAAUCUAUCCAUCUGUAUCAUUUUCAUGCAUGUCAAACUAAGUUAUACCUGCUGUAUAGGUGAAAACAUGAUAAUGCACUAUUUGAAUUCAUAGUUCGAAUUUGAAUUUGAACCUUGAGUUCAAAUCAACCCAAACCUUUCUGUUGCUAGUUGCAUUAGGCCAAAUCACGUCAUAUUGCCAUGUCAUGAUCAUGCAUCAUAUUGUGCAUUGCAUUGAUUGUGUUUCCUUCUCUUUUGCCGGUGAUUGCCCCCUCUCGAUAGCCGUGAUUCCGACGACGUGAUCGAUGACACCGAUGAAGAACUAUACUAUCUUCGGAAGUGUCAGGCAAGCAAAACCCCCCUUGUUCAUUCCGAUACAAUCCCAUUCUCUCGCUCCUGCUCUCUUCUACUGCAUUAGGACAACAUCGAUUCAACUGUUACAUGUUGCGGUAGUUGAACCCCUUUUCCUCUGCAUGACCUGUCAUUGCCACAGUAAAUAGAUGAAACCCACUAGCAUGAGUAGGAGUUGUUUGAGCCCUGAUGUGCCUACUCAUUCAUGCUUGUUUGUCAUGCCUGCUACUGCUUAGAGUUGAGUCGGGUCUGAUUCAUCGGGGAUGAAUUGGAAUGGUGAUGAACAUGUCCUACUGUGUGUGAGCUAAGUGUGUGAACACGAUUUGGUAAAGGUAGCGGUGAGAGGCCAUGUAGGAGUACAUGGUGGGUUGUCUCAUUGAAGCCGUCCUCAGGAACUGAGUUCUGUGUUUGUGAUCCAUGAUACAGUUACUACCACGCAUUGGGCCCGAAACCAAUGGACCCUCUCGGCUUCUUAAUCACCCUUGUCCUCUGUCCAGGAGUUGCAAGUAGUUUCUGGUGUUUGUAGUAUGCUGGAGGCCGUGGACAGCGCUGACCGAGGGGUGGGCUGUGAUGCGGUAGGCACGUGGCACGGUGUACCGGGCGCCCGUUUGGUGUCUCGGGAACCCUGCACACAUCGUUCGGGGCCGUAUGUGGAAACCUCGGCCGGACUCCCUGCGGAUGGAACCUGAAUAGGCGAUAAACCUGGACUAGAGACUUGAGUGUUUAGGUAGGCUGUGGCCGACUCCCUUGCCAGGCUUCCGCUUGAAGGUUGCCGAGGUACACGACGUGUACAUGGUGGUAAGUGGCGAGAGCGUGUGUGACGAAGUACACCCCUGCAGGGUUAACAUCAUCUAUUUGAAUAGCCGUGUCCGCGGUAAAGGACUUCUGGGUUGCCUAUAACAGUUCAUAGACAAGUGAAAGUGGAUACUCUAAAAUGCGCAAGAUAAGCGUGAGUGCUAUGGAUGGCGUUCUCGUAGGGAGACGGGAGCGGAUCCAUAGUGGAGUAUUGAUAUGGUGAAUAUGUGGACUCGUGUGCGCCACCCCAAAAGAGUUGCUUGCAGUCGUAGUUAGGAUAGCCACCGAGUCAAAGCUGGCUUGCUGCAGUUAAACUCCACCACCCCCUUUGUUGAUACCGAUGCAUAUGUAGAUAGUUCUGAUGUAAGUCUUGCUGGGUACAUUUGUACUCACGUUUGCUUAUUUUAUGUUUUGCAGAGAGACGUCAGUCUCGCUAGUAGUUCCGUGUGGACUUUGACGUUUAGCUUGAUACCUCAGCUACGAUCUUGUGCCCUCGGCAGGAUCUAGUAAAUAGUCAGGCUUCUCAGCCUUUUUUUUCAUUUGUAGAUGUCUGUACUCAGACAUGUUGAGCUUCCGCAUGUGCUUUGACUUGUAUGCUCUGAAUGUUGUGUCAUGAGACCCAUGUUUGUAAUAUCUGGCUCUUCGGAGCCUAAUGAAUAAAUACUCUGAGUCGUAGAGUCUUGUUGUGAUGCCAUGUUGUAUUUGCACAUAUCGAGCAUAUUGUGUGUAUGAUUGAAAUGCUUGGUAUGUGUGGGAUCCGACAAUCUAGUUGUCUAUCCUUAGUAGCCUCUCUUAUGGGGAAAUGUAGUCUAGUGCCUCCUUGAGCCAUAGUAGUCCGCUACAGCCCGGUUCACCGGAGUCCUGCUAGCCCAGCACUGCUGCUCUGGACACUUGACUGGCUGGCAUGUGAGUCAUAUCGUUCCUGUGUCUGUCCCUUCGGGGAAAUGUCACACGGUGACAUCCGGAGUCCUGCCUAGCCUGCUACAGCCCGGGUUCCCGGAGUCCUGUUAGCCCAGUGCUACAGCCCGGAUUCACACGCUGCUGACCGACACGUUCGAUGUUGAUUCAUGUAUGCCUGUCCCCAUACGUUAGUGCCUCUUUGGGUUCACGACUAGCCAUGUCGGCCCGGGUUCUCUGUCAUAUGGAUGCUAGCGACACUGCCAUAUACGUGAGCCAAAAGGCGCAAACGGUCCCGGGCCAUGGUAAGGCGACACCCGUGGGAGUACCGUGCGUGAGGCCGCAAAGUGAUAUACGGUGUUACAGGCUAGAUCGGUGUGACUUGGAAUCGGGGUCCCGACACCGCGCCUCCCGCGCGUUCCUUUCUAUCGCCUCCUGAAGGUCGGCACGGGGGUCCAUGCGGCGGGUGGUGCUCCCAGAGCCCCUCGGCGACUCAACGACAGAGGCAGCAGCCGCCCGCUCAAGCGACAGCUGAGCUCUGAUCGUUGGAGAAAAAGACAAAGGUUCAGGAACCACCAGAGAAAAGAAAGAAAAAAGAGUAUACGAAAGAAAGUGAACUUACACCGACAUGGUCUGCGGUUGCUUCACCGUCUUGCGGAAGCGAGCCGCCUUCGCGACCGCCUCCUCACGCCUGGUGGCUGUCGCCCCGCCCCUGGGUUUCUUCGUCCGGCUACCGAACAAACCCUGGGCGGCGCGACGCUUCUGCCCUCCGCCCCGAGCAGGCGGCGCAGCGGAGGAGCCCGCGCCGCGCCCAGAAGCCGGCUGGCGGCGCGGGGCGACCUCGGCUUCGUCGUCGUCCGGCCAGUCGUCGAAGGUGACUCCGAGCCCGGAGCCGCCUACUUCGCCGCCGGCUUGGCCGCCACCCGGCUCGAUGUUGUCGUCCAUGCCGGCCGCCCCCAGGUCGGGGUCCUCCAGAUCGUGUUCCGUCCGGUCGGGGACGAAUCGACGCUCCGUGUCUGACCCGCCGGCCGGCCGAAGAAGAGGACUCUGUCAAAGAACAAGCCGACUAAGUUAGAGUCGGCCAAGAGGAACUCGGCAACGAAGUUGAGAGAAAAAGAAGACAACGGGAGAGCAUACCGUGGGCGGUGGAUUGGCUCGGCUGUAUGGCCCCUUGCCGAAUUGCCACUCUUCGGAGAGCUUGCAAUUUGCAAGGUAGUUCACCAUAUAGGAGACCUCCUCGUGCGGCAUGUCCUUGGUGCACAUCCGGCUCGGAUCGAGCUGGCCGCUCAUCUGACAGAUCAGAUGAGGACGGCUCUGGAGCGAAAGAACCCGGCGCGUGUUGAAGGCGGCCAGAAGGUCAGCCCCCGUCAAGCCCUCCGACUGGGUCAUCACUCGCACUCGGGCGACGGCUGCGGACCCGGCCGGCGUCAGAGUCACAGCCCGGAAGGACCACUGAGGCAACCUGCCCACCGGUGGGCCGGCUACGUAAGCCGGCAGGUUGAUGUAGUCGCCCCGUGGGGCGAUGUUCCGCACGUAGAAGUACGACUUCUGCCACUUCUUCACCGAUUGGAUUAGCGGGAUGAUGGGGAAGGGGUUGUCGGCGACCGACCUCCGCGACGCGAUCAAGGCGCCAGUCUGAGCCGGCACGCCCUGCCUACGUGUGCCCAGCUUGGACUGGAAGAACUCCCCCCAGAGCUUGAGGGUGGGGAGGAUGCCAAGGUAGCCCUCGCACAGGGUCACGAAGGCCGAUAGCAGCACCACCGCAUUCGGGGUGAGGUGGUGCGGCUGGAGCUGAUAGAAUUCGAGCCAGGAGCGGAAGAAGGCGCUCACUGGAAGGCCGAUGCCGCGCAAGAAGUGCGAGCGGAAGACCACCCGCUCGCCCUCCUGCGGCUCCGGCGUGAUUUCCUUCGCCGGCGCGAGGCGGACCUCCACCUUGUCUGCGCCGGGCAGCCGCCGCGUGUUGCGGAGAAACUCGACGUGGUCGUCGUGGACAUUGGAGCCAUCCCAAUCCCCGCCAUGCUGCUCCGUGGCGGGAGGCAUGACAAAAACAAGCGCGGCGGCGGAGGAAUGCGUAGUAGAAGAGCGCGGCGGCGAGGCGCUGUCGCAAGAGCGGGAGAGCGAAGAAGAUGGUGGAGGUAGGAGGAGCGUGCGAGGGCCUGCCGCCCUCCACCCCCUACUUAUAGCUUCGCGCGGCAGGACCGGGGAAGCCGAACGCGGGGGGAGUCGUGGGAUUAACUGCACCCACUCCCCCCACGUCUCGCGAUUAUUGCGCAUAAAUGCGAGCCGAAACUGCCGCACGGGACGUGCGGGCGGUUUCGGGAUGUAGACAAUCCGCGCCUGGGCCGGGGCACGGACGUGGCGGGCCCCCUCCCUGCGGCGACGUCCCGUCACGCGCGUGGGCUGGCAGGCUUUCCGGCCAAGAAGGGCCACGUGGUUCGCAGACGGCCAGUGGCCGGCCCGCGGCCCGGUGCACGCGCCAGCAGGCUCCCGCCCUCCGACUCCGGAAGAUUUCGACCAAGGCGGCGCGCCUGACCAAGGCCGGCUCCCAGCUGCCGGCUUGCUAAGAAGGGAAGCUGAUCGAGCUUCUCAACUCCUACUCAACCUCGAAGCCCAAUCAGCUUCGGGGACUACUGUCGAAGUAAAUGGCCACGGGUAGCCAAACCGACUACCCCUAGUUCUUCAGAAAAAUUAUCAGGCCUUUGGGCCUCCCAACACUCCAAGCAUUGGCCCCCCCUUCCCUGGCCGGCUACCUCUGAAGCCGACUCACGGAAGGCGGCCCGGCCUCAAGCGACCUCCCUCCCAAACACAACCACGGGGUGGCCGACUCCAAGGAGCCGGCCUCCAAGAGCACCGACUCCAAGCAGCCGGCCGAGACAACAACCACCAAAGCUACUCCCACAUAACGGCGACAAGACGGGGUGUGGCCACAGUGCGGCCCACUACCCCCGAAGCCCGGGGCAGGCAUGGCUACAGGUGGCCGUACGGGACGGCCGUCUCCCGUGCGGCUCGGCACUGUAGCCAUGCUAGCCUCAACGUCAUCCACGACAGACUCCCGUACGGCCCACGGGCGGCGGGCCCCUUCGGCCAGAGAGAGGCGUGAAGGCAGCACGGCCUUCCCCACUCGGCCAAGGGCGUAGCCGGCCCCCGGAAGCCGGCUACCCCCUUCCUCGAAGCAGGAGCCCUAUUAAGGAGACAAGACAAGGUAAGGCUACAGUGAGAGCCCCCGAGGCGGCCCACUGUAGCCACGCCUACCUCCACUAAGCCCUCGUCAUCAGAGGCGAGGCUACAGUAAGCAGCCGCCGACAAGACCCUAGGCGGUGGGGCCGGCCUGUCGACCAAGAAGCUGGCAGCCGGCGGGACCUACCAGCCGACGGAGAAGCCCGGCGAGCGUAGACACUGACGGCUGGGACCAGAGUCCAGCCGGAUUACCAUUGUACCCCCGGGGGGUAGGCCUAUAUAAACCCCCCGGAGCACCCAUGCAAAGGGUUAGCUUCUGAACACAGCACACACACCAUAGGGAUAGAGAGAAGCAAGAGCUAGCCUUGUUCUUCUUCUCCCUUGAACCCAACAGCUCUAGGAGCGAUUGUAACUACCUUUCCUUGAUCUAGUGAUCAUGCGGAGACCCCGCAGAGCAGGACUAGGGGUGUUAUCUCCUCGGAGAGCCCCGAACCUGGGUAUGAUCCGCCGGCGUGCAUGUCUUCGCCUCAUCCCGUUUCUAGGCACCGGCAACGUCUUAUUGGCACCCACAAUGAUAAGCCAUCCGUUGGCAUAUGUCGCACCAACCACCCGACACUCUCCAUUGAUAAUAGUCAUGGACUUGGACCGCUGGGUUAUCUGCCUGGCCAUGGUUUCAUCCUCUGGUAACUCGCCCCGGUUCAUAUACGCCAGAUAUGGAACCGUCCAAUCCGGGAUAACAUGAAGAGCCGCCACCAACUAAGCCUCCAGAUCAGGAACAGCCAAAUCCUCUUCACCAGGGAGCUUGACGGACGGAUUAUGCAAAACAUCCAGGAAGACAUUAGGUGGAACUGGUUUACGUUGGGAACCCAGGUGGCUUAAAGCGUCCGCCGCUUCAUUCUUUCGCCGGUCCACAUGAUCCACCUGAUAACCUUUAAAGUGACCUGCAACAAUAUCCACCUCACGACGAUAUGCUGCCAUUAGUGGGUCCUUGGAAUCCCAAGUGCCGGACACUUGUUGAGCCACCAGAUCCGAGUCACCGAAGCACUUAACUCGGCUGAGGUUCAUCUCCUUAGCUAUCCGAAGACCAUGGAGUAAAGCCUCAUAUUCAGCUGCAUUGUUAGUGCAAGGGAACAUUAAACGGAGAACAUAACAAAACUUAUCACCACGUGGGGAAGUUAAUACGACUCCAGCCCCCGAGCCCUCCAAUUGCUUGGACCCAUCAAAAUGAAUAGUCCAAUAAGUGUGAUCCGGCUUCUCCUCUGGCGCUUGUAAUUCUGUCCAAUAAUUGAUGAAGUCCACAAGUGCCUGAGAUUUGAUCGUCGUUCGGGGUAUGUAUUUCAACCCGUGAGGGCCGAGCUCGAUAGCCCACUUAGCAAUCCGACCAGUUGCUUCCCUCUUCUGGAUUAUAUCCCCAAAGGAGCAGAGCUGACCACCGUGAUGGGAUGACCUUGGAAAUACUGCUUAAGCUUCCGGCUUGCCAUGAAAACCCCAUACACCAAUUUUUGCCAAUGCGGGUACCUCUGCUUGGACUCAAUAAGUACCUCACUGAUAUAGUAAACCGGCCGCUGAACCGGAUAUUCCUUUCCUGCCUCCUUGCGCUCCACCACAAUAGCCACACUAACAGCCCGAGCAUUAGCUGCCACAUAUAGCAACAACGGUUCUUUGUCCACUGGAGCCGCGAGAAUCGGCGGAUUAGCUGGCUGCCGCUUUAAGUCCUCAAAUGCUUCAUUAGCGGCGUCACUCCAGACGAAGUUAUCCGUUUUCUUCAGCAUCUGAUAUAAAGGGAUGGCCUUCUCGCCAAGGCGACUGACAAACCGGCUCAACGCGGCAAUCCGGCCUGCCAGGCGUUAAACAUCAUUGAUACAUUUCGGUUUAGCCAAGGAGGUGAUGGCCUUGAUCUUUUCCGGAUUAGCUUCAAUGCCCCUAUUAGACACCAAAAAUCCCAAGAGCUUGCCUGCAGGUACACCAAAGACACACUUGGCCGGAUUAAGCAUCAUUUUAUAAACCCUUAGGUUAUCAAAAGUUUCCUUCAAGUCAUCAAUCAAUGUCUCCUUCUUCCUUGAUUUUACCACAAUAUCAUCCACAUAGGCGUGAACAUUGCGGCCGAUCUGUUUAUGCAGACAAUUCUGCACACACCGUUGAUAAGUUGCCUGGGCACUCUUGAGCCCAAAGGGCAUGGACACAUAACAGAAGGCUCCAAAGGGAGUUAUGAAGGUUGUCUUCUCCUGGUCCUUAACUGCCAUUUUGAUCUGAUGAUAACCAGAGUAUGCAUCCAAAAAGCUUAAACGCUCGCAACUCGCCGUAGCAUCAAUAAUUUGAUCAAUACGGGGAAGGGCAAAAGGAUCUGCUGGACAAGCUUUGUUGAGAUUUGUGUAGUCCACACACAUACGCCAAGUGCCAUUCUUCUUGAGGACCAGCAUCGGAUUAGCAAACCACUCAGGAUGGAAUACUUCAACGAUAAAUCCAGCCGCUAAGAGCCUGGCUACUUCACGAAUGAUAUAAAUACUACUGUUGCUUUAGCUUUACUCACGUCAGCGGCAUAUUGUAUGCUGGUCUUAGCUGUAACGCCCACGAUGCGGCUAUAUCUCCCACGUGUCGAGGCACGACUUAGAGGCAUAACCGCAUAGUGGUUUUGUCGCAAGAAGGGUCAUCUUCACACAAUCCCAUGUAAUGAACAAGAAUGGGAUAAAGAGUUGGCUUACAAUCGCCACUUCACACAAUACAUAAUUAUCAUCAUACAUCAUCCAAAAUACAAUCAUAUAGACCGACUACGGUCAAAAUCCAGAUGAAAAUAAGACAACCCCAAAUGCUAGAUCCCCGAUCGUCCCAACUGGGCUCCACUACUGAUCAUCAGGAAAAGACACAUAGUAACGACCCCGUUCCUCGUCGAACUCCCACUUGAGAUCAACGCCAUCAUCUGCACUGGCAUCGUCGGCACCUGCAACUGUUUUGGAAGUAUCUGUGAGUCACGAGGACUCAGCAAUCUCACGCCCGCGAGAUCAAGACUAUUUAAGCUUAAAGGGGGGAAUGGUGCAAAAGGUGGAGCUGCAGCGGCAAAAACAUAUAUGGUGGCUAACUUGCGCAAAUGAGAGCGAGAAGAGAAGCAAAGGAACGGACGUCAUCUAGCAAUGACCAAGAAGAGGUCCUGAACACCUACUUACGUCAAACAUAACACAGACCGUGUUCACUUCCCGGACUCCGCCGAGAAGAGACCAUCACGGCUACACACGCACUUGGUGUAUUUUAAUUGGGUCAAGUGACAAGUUAUCUACAACCGGACAUUAACAAAUUCCCAUCUGCCUCAUAACCGCGGGCACGGCUUUCGAAAGAUAAUACCCUGCAGGGGUGUCCCAACUUAGCCCAUCAUAAGCUCUCACGGUCAACGAAGGAUAAACCUUCUCCUGGAAAGACCCGAUCAGUCUCGGAAUCCCGGUUUACAAGACAUCUCGACAAUGGUAAAACAAGACCAGCAAAGCCACCCGAAUGUGCCGACAAAUCCCGAUAGGAGCUGCACAUAUCUCAUUCUCAGGGCACACCGGAUGAGACAUCCUACGAGUAAAACCAGACCUCGAGUUUCCAGGAGGUGGCCCCGCAGUCUGCUCAGUUUGGACCAACACUCGAAGGAGCACUGGCCCGGGGGGGUUAAAAUAAGAUGACCCUCGGGCUCGCGAAAACCCGAGGGAAAAGGCUUAGGUAGCAACUGGUAAAACCAAGGUUGGGCCAUGCUGGAGGAGUUUUAUUCAAGGCGAACUGUCAAGGGGGUCCCAUAAAUCACCCGACCGUGUAAGGAACGCAAACUCAAGGAACAUAAUCCCGGUAUAACAGUAACUAGGGCGGCAAGAGUGGAACAAAACACCAGGCAUAAGGCCGAGCCUUCCACCCUUUACCAAAUAUAUAGAUGCAUUAAUUAAAUAAGAGAUAUAGUGAUAUCCCAACAUAUCCAUGUUCCGACAUAGAACAAACUUCAACUUCACCUGCAACUAGCAACGCUAUAAGAGGGGCUGAGCAAAAGCGGUAACAUAGCCAAACAACGGUUUGCUAGGAAAGGAUAGUUAGGGGCUGACAUGGCUAAAAUAGGAGACAUGAUAUAGCAAGUGAUAGGUAGCGGAGCAUGGCAAUAGAGCGAACAACUAGCAUAGCAAAGAUAGAAGUGAUUUCGAGGGGUGGUCAUCUUGCCUGCAAGGUUCUCAGAGUUGUCGAAAGCUUGAUCCUCGUAAGCGUACUCGACAGGUUCCUCGUUCACGAACUCGUCUCCCGGCUCUACCCAAGACAAGAACACAAACAAAUGGAACCACAAUCAACAACGAGAAAUGCGCAAGCAACAUGAUGCAAGACAUGUAUGAUAUGCAAGUUAUGAUAUGCGAUGCAUAUGCGUGCUCCGGAAGGAAAAUGACGAACAUGGCAGUAACUUGGCAAACCAAGCAUGCCACUGGAAAGAUGAGAUGAUUUCGGUCGAAAUCGAUAUAAAGAUCACCGGAAUCGGAUGCACGGUUUGCAAAUGGCAAGCAAAACAAGAAUGACACUAAUCUGCGAUAAACAGCAAGAUAGCACUUAAAAUACAACAAGUAACAAUGCUACAGCACCCUAACAUAGCAACAAAGCACAUGGCAGUAAUCUAAAGGAGAUGCUUGACAAAAGAUGAACACUGAGCUACUGCUAGUUCACAACAUAUCAAGCUCAAACAAGCAUGGCAAAAGUGCAAAAGAUUACAGGUUCACAGACUUGGUGAAAAACUGGACAUGGCAGAAAUCAGCAUCAGGUAGCAAUGUUCAGAGCACGAAAUCAACAUGCUACAGAAACUUAACAUAGCAAGACAAGGCAUGGUAGUGUUAUAAUAAAUGCACAUGACAAAAAUCCCUUACUGACCAUAAGCCAAAAAGGACAAGAAGAAAUGAUGGCAAGCAUGUAAACAUAGCAAGUUUCGUUAUCAGGUUUCAGAUUUAGCAGAAAACAGAGCAUGGCAGAAAUAUUAAUAUGUAGGCCUCUUUGUGAGCUUGAUGCACUCACUACAGAGCAAUGCAUGAAAAACCAAGCAUACCUACAGUAAGAUGGCAUGUUUAUGAAUCUAUCCAUGGCAAGAACAAAUGCAUAGCAUGUGUGGAUCAACUACAAUAAGCUUGGCAAAAAUGCAUGUCAUGUCAAGAAUCUGCCAGAAAUAUUUUAUAGCAAAAGUAGAGCAAGAUUAAGUCAUGCUAUGGUACUCUCAAAUUGCAAACAAUUGCAGGAAUGGAUCCCUUACAAAUAUAGCUACAAAACAUCCUUACUGAACAUCUCCAAAAUAUGCAUGGAUCUCUCUCUAGCAUCAAGUUUACAUGGCAACAAAAUUACAGCAGACAAGGACUUUGAGAAAUCACUGUCCCUGUAAUCAGAAAUAUUACGGGACCUACUUUGCAUGCUUGUGCUAGUCACCACAAAGAUCACAAAAAUAUAUAGACUAUACCACUGGAAAGAUGGCAUGGCCUACUUCAAAACACAUAUAGAGCUCAUUCUCAAAAGAUGCACAGAAUAAAUAAUACAAAAAUGACAAAUCUCCAAGUUCUGAUAAGAACCAGAGCUUAACAGCAACUAGCCCUCUUCCAACGAGGAUUUGGGCAUCAAGAUGACCUCUAAUUAAAAUGGUGCAAUUGAACAAAAUGAAGAGCAUCACGAGGUGAACAAUUUGACAUAUUAUACGCACGAAUCGGAGUUACAUGCACAAAGUUAUCGCAUCGGGAACAGGAGCAUAUGCUGAAGAUUUCUGGGACUUACAGAAAAAGAGGGGGGUUCGAGGAAAGUCAACGGGGGAGUUACCGAUCCAGAUCUGGCCGGACUACAGGAGCUCGGGCUCGGCUCCGGCGAGGGAGGUCGACGCCGGCGAGGCAGCGGAUGGCGGGGCCCGGCGCCGGCGAGGGCGGCGGGGCCGACGGGGAGGGAGGCGGCGCCGGAGGCGGUGGCGCCGNNNNNNNNNNNNNNNNNNNNNNNNNNNNNNNNNNNNNNNNNNNNNNNNNNNNNNNNNNNNNNNNNNNNNNNNNNNNNNNNNNNNNNNNNNNNNNNNNNNNNNNNNNNNNNNNNNNNNNNNNNNNNNNNNNNNNNNNNNNNNNNNNNNNNNNNNNNNNNNNNNNNNNNNNNNNNNNNNNNNNNNNNNNNNNNNNNNNNNNNNNNNNNNNNNNNNNNNNNNNNNNNNNNNNNNNNNNNNNNNNNNNNNNNNNNNNNNNNNNNNNNNNNNNNNNNNNNNNNNNNNNNNNNNNNNNNNNNNNNNNNNNNNNNNNNNNNNNNNNNNNNNNNNNNNNNNNNNNNNNNNNNNNNNNNNNNNNNNNNNNNNNNNNNNNNNNNNNNNNNNNNNNNNNNNNNNNNNNNNNNNNNNNNNNNNNNNNNNNNNNNNNNNNNNNNNNNNNNNNNNNNNNNNNNNNNNNNNNNNNNNNNNNNNNNNNNNNNNNNNUGGGCCGGCGGGCCGGGAGCGGGCUCCGGCGGGCCGCGGGAGGAGAGAGAGAGAGACGAUGACGUGGCGGCGGCGGAUUCGUCCGCCGGCGCGGGCGGACGCUGUCCGGCGGCGCGAGGGAUUUUUGCUAGGGUUAGACUGCGAUUCCGUUUUUCGGGAUGCCCACUCAUUUAUAGGUAGAGGGAGCUAGGAGACUCCAAAUGAGGUGCGGUUUUCGCCCACACGAUCGUGAUCGAACGACCUAGAGCAUGGAAGAGAGUUUGGUGCGCUUUGGGCUGGUUUUGGAGGGGGUUUUAGCUGGACACUCAAAUGGACUUUGCGGAUGCCCGGUUAACCGAUGGAGUACCAAACGACCUCCGAAUGGAACGAAACUUGACCGGUAGACUCUGGGUGAUAUAAUAAAGCCACUUGACAAGCCUCGGUCCAUUCCGAGAAAGUUUGACACACACACACGAAAGAAAACUAGAGGGGUGCACCGGAGGAGAUAGGAGCGCCGGAUUGGAAAACGGACAACGGGAAAAAUGCUCGGAUGCAUGAGACGAACACAUAUGCAAAUGUAAUGCGCAUGAUGACAUGAUAUAAAAAUGCAUGACAUGACAAAAUACAAAACGAAAGACAAAACCCAACAACGGAGGGAAAAACAUAUCACAUAGCCGGAAAUGGCAAGAGUCGGAGUUACAAAUAUGGCAAGUUACAUGCGGGGUGUUACAUUAGCAAAAAAGGAUUGAGUUCUCCAAUAGCUUUGCGUGUUUCUUCAUUGAACUGGCGGAGAAACUGCUUGACCGGUUUAUACUUGGGAUCAACAUUGAGAGUGUGCUCAGCGAGUUCUCUCGGUACACCUGGCAUGUCGGAAGGCUUCCAUGCAAAGAUGUCCCGAUUCUCACGGAUGAACUCGAUGAGCGCGCUUUCCUAUUUCGGAUCCAAGUUAGUGCUGAUGCUAAACUGCUUGGACGAAUCGCCAGGCACGAAGUCAACAAGCUUAGUCUCAUCAGCCGAUUUAAACUUCAUGGCUGGAUCAUGCUCUGUAGUUGGUUUCUUCAACGAAGUCAUAUCUACCGGAUCAACAUUGUCCUUGUAAAACUUCAACUCUUCUGUUGCACAAACCGACUCAGCAUAAGCCGCAUCACCUUCUUCACACUCCAGAGCAAUCUUGUGGCUCCCAUGCACGGUUAUAGUUCCCUUGUGACCCGGCAUCUUGAGCUGCAGAUAGACAUAACAAGGCCGUGCGAUAAACUUAGCAUAAGCUGGCCGUCCAAAUAGGGCAUGAUAUGGGCUGCUGAUUUUCACCACUUCAAAGGUCAAGGUUUCUGAUCUCGAGUCAUGCUGAUCUCCAAAAGCCACCUCCAGAGCUAUCUUACCAACAGGAUAUGCCGACUUACUAGGCACUACACCAUGGAACACCGUAUUGGACGGUUUAAGAUUUUUAUCUGUUAACCCCAUGGGACGGAAAGUUUCAUAAUAAAGGAUAUUGAUACUACUCCGUCCAUCCAUGAGUACCUUAGUGAACUUAUAACCUCCCACCUGAGGUGCCACCACCAGAGCCAGAUGACCCGGAUUGUCAACCCGGGGUGGAUGAUCUUCUCUACUCCACACAAUCGGCUGCUCGGACCAGCGCAAAUAACGGGGCACCGCUGGUUCAACGGCAUUCACCACCCUUUUAUGAAGCUUCUGAUCGCGCUUGUCCAAGCUAGUGGUGAAGACAUGAUACUGUCCGCUAUUUAACUGCUUCGGGUUGCUCUGGUAACCCGACUGCUGCUGCUGCUGAUUGCCCUGAUGAUUAUAGCCACCUUGAUUACCCUGAUUACUUUGAUUGUUAUGUCCACCCUGAUUACCGUGGAAGCCUGAACCGGAAUUUCCUCCACCAUAACCCGGCCUAUGAGACCCGGGGCCCGAACCGCCUCCUGGUCCAUGAUUAUACCGGAAAGAAUCAGAAUUUUUGAACUCUUGCAUGAUGUAACAAUCUUUCCAGAGGUGCGUGGACGGUUCCUCCUUCGUCCCAUGCUUUGGACAGGGCUGGUUCAACAUAUAAGACAAAUGGUCCGGAUUAGGAUUUGGCCUUCCACCGCGCUGGGGCGGUUUACCCUUACGCCGCUGGCCCUUGUCGUGUGUAUUAAUAUUAGCCACAAAGUCUAAACCAUGGUCCGCCUUGCGCUUGCCGCCGUUUCCAUGACCCGCCGGGUUGUGGUGCUGCCCCUUGGUGUUGUCGCUCUUCUUUCCCUUCCCUGUCUUAUCAUUGUCAGACUCGGGAUCCUUGGUACUAUCAGAGUCGGCGUACUUCACAAGUGCAGCCAUGAGGGUUCCCAUGUCAUUACAAUGAUGUCUGAGCCGUCCCAACUUCAACUUCAGGGGUUCAAACUGGCAAUUGCCUUCCAAUGUUAAAACUGCGGUGUCAGCAUUGAUGCGAUCUGAUGAAUGCAAAAUCUCCGAAACCCGGCACACCCAAUGGGUUGUUGACUCUCCUUCCUCCUGGAAACAGGAAGCUAAGUCCACAAUUGACAUGGGCUGCUUGCAUGUAUCCUUGAAAUUCUGAAUAAACCGGGCUCUCAACUCGGCCCAUGACCUGAUAGAAUUAGCCGGUAAGCUCUUUAACCAAGUGCGGGUUGUCCCUUCUAGAAUCAUGGUGAAGUAUUUCGCACAUGCUGCAUCAUCCACAUCCAACAUCUCCAUGGCCAUCUCAUAGCUUUCGACCCAUGUUUCAGGGGGAAAAUCGACGGUGUAAUUCGGCACCUUGCGCGGGCCCUUGAAAUCCUUGGGCAGGCGCACCUUGAGCAAUGCUGGGACAAGACAUGGCACUCCCAAAGAACUAGAGGUAACUCCUGGUUCCACCGAUGUGGUUGCACGAACCGGAGUAAGUUGACGGGCUUCAUGCUGCGCCGCUAACUCGGCUUCUCUGCGUGCCCAAGCCCGGUCCACCACCUCCUGAGCAUCACCAGCACCACCCGCCGGGUUAUUGCCACGGGGCGGAUCACGGUUCCGUGCAUUGCUUGACACUGCCGGUUCAUCCAUACGCCUGCUGUAAUUCCGGCUUGGACGGGGAGUGGAAUGAACCCGAUCGCGACUAUAUGAAUAAGCCUCCUGUUGAACCAAGGCUGUCUGAAGAAGCUCCUUAACCCGACGCGUCUCGACCGCCGCUGCAGAAUCGCCUUCGAUCAGGAUGGCCGCCAGCCGUGAAGCGGCAGCGACAAUGUUGUCCAUCGGGUUAGAAUAAUGACCCGGUGGCGUGGGGACAUGCGGUGCCACAAUGUUGUUCUGACGAGGCGGAUCCACCAAACGUGGCUGAACCGGCGCCCCUGCCCCCGGUGCCUCCGCCCGGUUUACCACCGGCGGAUUGCUGGUCCCCGCUCCUAGGGUGUUAAAGAGAUUUCUAGUGUCAUAAACCGGCGGCAAGCGAGAUCGGUGCCUCCUCUUCAGGACUUCGUUCGAUGCACUCUGAUCCAGCAUAAUCCGGUAAGCUUGCGCAUCCAAAGCGGCCCGCUCCGCGGCUAUCCUGGUAUCCUCAGCUGCUAAGUCGGCUUUGGCCUGGGUGAUCUGAUUUUUCACUUCGCGAUUUCCGCAUUGUGUGCAUCCUGAUCCGCCGGGUUAACCUCCGCCAUCAGCGUUGCCAACGCGUCAAACAAAUCAGAUAGAACCUGAGCUGGCGGUCGCACAGGGCCUUCUGCCCCGGCCGCUGCUGCCACUGCCGAUCCGGAAAUCAUCGCCGCUGCGGUCGAAGAGUGGAGCGCCGGUUGUGUGCCGGCCAUGAAGAUCGCAACCCGGUUUGGCAGAUCAAAGGGGUCCGGAAUACUGUUGCCAUCGAAACAGCCCCCAAUCCGGCCAUCUUGUAACUGAUAUAACGACUCGGUCUCUCUGGUCGAUGACUCGUCACCGGAAUAAACGAUGGUCUCACCACCAGAUUCCGAUCUAUCCUCAGAUUCCCCUCCAUGGAUAACUCCUACGAAGGCACGCUUCAUGACAGGCUUGACCCGGGCAGAUCUCGCACGCUGAGCCAUUUCGACGAGGUCGGUGCAGUCGUCCGGCUCAGGGCUCGGUUCGCCGAUCUUGCCAAUGAAAACGUGUAUGCCACCAAAGGGGACCCGGUACCCGUACUCGAUUGAGCCGGCCUCGGGGCCCCAGCCUGCAUCGUCGAUGUAGAGCUUGCCGCGACGACUCUUGGUCAUCCGGUCCACAGCGUAACCCUUGAGUCCUUCGAAGUUGCCCUCCAAGAACUUGAAACCAUUGUGCGAUAGCCCCCCGGUGGGCGCCAACUGUCGUGGUUUUGUCGCGGCAGAUGUCCUAGAGAAAGGACUUAGUCGUGGAGCCAUCGCUACGGGUUAGCUUAAAGGGGUUAAAGCGGACAAGGGACGCAAGAGAGUUUAUACUAGUUCGGCCCCUUACGAUGAAGGUAAAAGCCUACGUCUAGUUGUGAUGGAAUUUAUGGGGUUUCGUUGACCAGGGAGCGAAUACGCUUUGCCUAAGUCUCGAGUUGUUGUCUGUUGUCUCUGAACCGCCGCCGGGUCGUCCCCUUAUAUACAUGGAUUGACGCCCGCCGGUUUACAGAAUCCUGAGGCCGGCUCAUAAUCGUGUCCGGCUCGGUCUCUGCUACUUCUAUCUUACAACACAAGUUUACAUAUCAAUGCCGGUUAUGUCUACAGGCCUUAAACCGGCUUUGAGCCCUGGGCCUUCAUGAAGCAUCAUCGUCUGUCUUCAUGGACUUCAGAUACAGUACUUAUGGGGUUAACCCGGCCUCUCCUGGCCGGUUUACGCCCAGUGGUAAUAUCCCCAACAGGGUGCCUAAUCCCGGCGCUGGCCCUCCACCCUCUGGAUUUCGCUGACUCGGCUGAUGAUGGGAUUGAUGCGCUCCCUGAGCGGUGCGAGGUCAGUACCCUCCGGCAAGCUCUCCAGUGCGGCAUCGAAGUCGAGGUCGGGGUACCAGUGCGCCACCUUGGUGAGAACCUUGGUCAUGGCACCCUAGCAAAGCCUCCGGGACUCGUCGGCCAGUGAGGCCGCCCGGUUAGCGUGAAGCCGCCCCAAAGCGCCGACGACCUUCUCAAAGCACAUGGUCAGGCUGCAAUUGGUGCUCACGCUCCGCUCCGGGGCGUACCUCACGUCCGGCAUCCCCAUGGUGGCCAGCUACGCGGCGGCCUGGUUGGCAAUGGUGGCAAGGUGAUCGAGCCAGCGGUUCUCACCCUCCACGUGAUCCAUGAAGUUGAGGGCCUCGUUCUUCCGCAGCUGUUUCUCUUCCUCCAGGUUUUUGGUCAGGGUCUCCUCCCGGGCCCUGGCCUCCGACAGCAUCUUCUCGAGACCCUCCAGCUUCAGCUUGAGGUCCUGGAUGGAGUUGUUAGCCUCGGAAAGCUCCCCGGCCUUGCUGACGACCGCGCCCUGCGCCUCUGUCAGGGCGCUGUUAAGCGUGUCCUUCUCCUGGGACAGCUUCAGGGCCUGCUCCUUCAGCCCGUCGCGCUCCGCCUCCAGCUCCUUCACCUUGCCGGCGUGAACCUGGGCCUGGGCAUUGAGUGCCUCUUUGUGCCUCUGCUCCAGCUCACUGGUCCGCUGCAAGACAAGCCUCUCCACCUCUUCAUCUUUGCUGUGAAGCGUGGCGGCAAGCUUCUCCUCACGCGCGGCGAGGUCCUCCUCCUGGGAGUUCAGCGCGGCCUCGUGCUGGGUCAGGGCGGCUUCGGCGGCCGCGACCAAGUUCCUCGCUGUAUCUUGGGCUUUCUCGACGCCGGCGAGCUUCAUGGUGAGCUCCACGUCGCGCUUGGCCAGCACGCCCUGGGCAGCCUUUAGCUCCUUGUGAGCCUCGCAGAACCAGUCAUGCGUCUCGGCAACGCGCUUCUAGAGGUCCGCCUCCGCCUUCUUCAUCACCGCCGUCCUAGACUUAGCCUUGUUCUGCGGGCGCGGUGGAGUGCCUGGAGCUUCCGGAAGCUGGCGCCCAUGGCGUGGAGGAGCCGCUCUUCCUGCGAGCCGUCGCCACCAAUGCUCGGCUUGUCGACGACCACAAGCCCGGCGGUGGCAAGCACCUCGUCGUCGAACACCUCACCCUCGACGGGCGUCCUGGUGCUCGACGCGCCUGGAAGGUGGACGAACAAGUCGUCACUCGCCCUCAGGUACUUGCCGGAGCCGGAAGCAGCAGAGGAGGAAGGCUGGUCAUCAGCCACCUCCUCCUCGGCAGCGGCCUUGCCAGCCUCCCCGGCAGGCCUCGUGUCGGUCUCCUCAGCGGUGGCUGUCGGAGUAAAUGGCCACGGGUAGCCAUUCCGACUACCCCUGGCUCUUCAGAAAAAUUAUCAGGCCUUUGGGCCUUCAAGCACUCCAAGCAGUGGGGCUGCCUUCCCUGGCCGGCUACCACUAAAGCCGACUCCCGGAAGGCGACCCAGCCUCACCGACUCCUCCCUAGGACGACUACGGGGUGGCCGACUCCAAGAAGCCGGCCAAGAAGGACGCCGACUCCUAGGAGCCGGCCAAGACCACAACCACUCCUACAUAACGGCGACGUGACGGGGUGUGGCCACAGUGCGGCCCACGACCCCCGAAGCCCGAGGCGGGCAUGGCUACAGGAGGCCGUACGGGAGGGACGUCUCCCGUGCGGCUCGGCACUGUAGCCACGCUAGCCUCGACGUCAUCCACGACCCACUCCUGUACGGCCCGAGGACUGCGGGCCCCUUCAGCCAGAGAGAGGCCUGAAGGCGGCCCGGCUUUUCAAAGUCGGCCAAGAGUAUAGCCGGCCUCCAGAAGCCGGCUACUCCCUUCCUCGAAGCAGGAGCCCCAUUAAGGAGACAAGACGAGGUGAGGCUACAGUGAUAGCCCCCGAGGCGGCCCACUGUAGCCACGCUCACCUCGACAAAGCACUCAUCAUCAGAGACGCGGCUACAGUAAGCAGCCGCCGACAAGACCCUAGGCGGUGGGACCGGCCUGUCGACCAAGUAGCCGGCAGCCGGUGGGACCCACUAGCCGGCGGGACCCAGCAGCCGGCGGAGAAGCCGGCGAGCGUAGACACUGACGGCUGGGACCAGUUCCCCGUCGGAUUACCAUUGUACCCCCGGGGGGUAGGCCAAUAUAAACCCCCCGGAGCACCCAUGCAAAGGGUUCGCUUCUAGGUUCGCACCCAAGCAUAGCACACACAAUAGAUAGAGAGAAGCAAGAGCUAGCCUUGUUCUUCUUCUCCCUUGAUCUCAACAGCUCUAGGAGCGAUUUUAGCUACCCUUUAUCGAUCUAGUGAUCAUGCGGAGACCCCGCAGAGCAGGACUAGGGGUGUUAUCUCCUCGGAGAGCCCCGAACCUGGGUAAGAUUCGCCGGCGUGCAUGUCUUCGCCUCAUCCAGUUUCCGGGCACCGGCGACGUUUUAUUGGCUCCCACAAUGAUAAGCCAUCCCUUGGCAUAUGUCGCACCAACCACCCGACAUUUGGCGCCCACCGUGGGGCCAGGUGCACCGUCGUCCGGAGACCUGUUCUGGACGGGAACCCUCUUCCUCCCCCGCGAGCGCAGCCAGCCUGCUGCGCCCGAUGGCGUUUGCCUCGACGCGCUGCAAGGCGUCGACGACGCCUGCGCAGCGAGCCGUCUCGCCGAUCUGCUCGGCGAGACUCGCAUCUCCGACGAGCCUGCGUCCGACGCAGGCACCGACUACCCCGAGAGCCGCCUUGUCAGCCUCCUCGACCAACUUCACGUCUCCAGCGAGCCCGCUGCGGAUAUGGAGUCGGUCGGCUCCACCGACCCAAUGCUCAUCGACUCCGACACCGCGUCGCUCGACGCCUACCCCUCCGAUGUGGUGGUUUUUGACGACCCCCUCCCUCGAGCUGACAGCGGCAGCAGCGCUGUCACCGAAGUACUGGUCAUCAGCCACGUCUCCAAUUCGGGUGAGAACGCCCGCGACACUCAGCAAGCGGCGAUGCACGACCUCUCCGUCCCCAUCCCGGCCGACGCCGACGCCGAGACCCUGGAGGCACGCCGCCUUGCCCUCAUCGCGGAGGGCAAGAAGAUAGCCUCGAUGAGACGCCUCACCGAGGCCCACCAGCGCGAAGUCGACCGCGCCGCCUUCGGGACGCCGCCGCCUAGUGGCCCGAGCCGAGCCGGCUUCGUCCAGAAGCGCGGCGCAGUCGUUGCCAGCAUGCUGGGCGCAGAUCGCCCCGUCUACGCCACCCCGCUCGAGAACCUGCGAGCCGCUCAGGCGGCUGCAGAGGAGCUCAAUGGGCUGGGAGCCGAUGAGCUCCCUUACAUGACAAGACGGAUCUAGCAGCUGAUCGACGCGGCUGCAGAACGGCACGAAGCCGGCGCCCGAGCUGAUAGCCAUCCCCCGUGCCGGGAGCACGCCGCGACGUCCCGCUCGCCGACUGCGAGCGGCGCGCGCCAGAAGAAAGACAAGGAGCAGGCUGCCAGCCGCAGCCGGACUCGCAUUACCAUCGAGCGCGACGCGGAUGGCCGCCCUCGAGCUGUAGAGCACCAGGGAAACCUGCCUCCUCCCCCGCCUCGAAGAGAAAGACGCCUCACUCCACCGCCUGUCACCCAUGCGACUCUUGGCGACCGACUCGGCCGCCGAGAAGGAGUCGGCGAAAACGACGCCCGCCACAGGAUCGACCGCCUUGCUCGAUCCUUGGCGCUAGAAGAAGAAGACGAUGUCGGCCCGCCAUGCUUUGGCCCCCGCAUCCGCGACGAGCCCUUUCCCAAAGGGUUCUCGCUCCCCAGAGACACGCCCAAGUACAACGGCUCGGUGAAGCCGGAAGAUUGGCUCAUCGACUACUCCACAGCCGUCCAACGGCAACCGGCGCGUCGCCGUGAAGUACGUCCCCUUCAUGCUGCAAGGCACGGCGCGCACAUGGCUCAACAGCCUCAAGCCCUACAGCAUCAACAGUUGGCUGGACUUCACUGAAGUUUUCAUCCGCAACUUCACCAGCACCUACAAGCGGCCUCCCAAGCCUCGCCAGCUCUCCCUCUGCGUCCAGGGGGCCAACGAGUCGACCCGCGACUACCUCACACGAUGGGCUGAGCUCCGCAACUCCUGCGAGGGAGUGCACGAGGUCCAGGCCAUCGAGUACUUCACUGCCGGGUGCCGGGAGGGCACCCUCCUCAAGCACCGACUCCUCUGCGACGAGCCGGCUACCCUCGACGAGCUACUAGUCAUCACUGACAAGUACGCCACUGCCGACUCCUCCAUGAAGACCGAGCUCCGAGUGGAUGCCUCGGGGAAAGUAAUUACUCCGGCUCCCAAGACGCCGGCUGGCGACCCUAACCGGCGCCCCUACCAGAACGACCACAAGCGCAAGGGCCCCAUGCCGACUUCCUCUAGUCGGCAGGUGGCCACAAUUGAAGACGAGCAACCCGAAGAGCGGCCCGCUCCCAAGAAGAAGGGUGGCCGGCCGCCUUGGCAGCCUUCUUUCUCCUACGAACAAGCACUUGAUGCUCCCUGCAAGUUCCACAGCGGCGCAAAGCCGUCCAACCAUACAACACGGAAAUGCCACUGGCUCACCCGCAUCACCAAGGGCGAAGGGAUGGUGCCGCCUCCGCCUCCCGGCCCGCCGCCUCCAGCUCCCCAGCAGCCUGCGGCCCGGCCGGCAGUCGGCGCCAUCCAAGACGAGUUCCCCGAAGCGCAUGACGCCUACGUCAUUUUCACCAGUCAAGUCGAUGACAAGCGCAGCCGACGUCGGCAGCACCAAGAAGUAAACGCAGUCGCCUCUAGCACCGCCGAGUUCAUGCACUGGUCGGAAAAGCCCAUCAGCUGGAGCCAGGCCGACCACCCAGAGGUGAUGCCUUCGCCUGGCUCCUAUGCUAUGGUCUUGGACGUCACCCUUGCGACGGAGAGGCGAGCUGCCAGAUUUUCCCGCGUCCUGAUAGACGGUGGAAGCAGUAUCAACAUACUGUACCGCGAUACCAUGGACAAGCUGAACAUCAAAGCAAAGCAGCUCAUGCCGAGCCGCACCGUCUUCCAUGGUAUCGUACCCGGCCUAUCUUGCUCUCCAAUCGGCAAGAUCAAAAUGGAUGUUCUCUUCGGAGACAAAGAUCACUUUCGCCGGGAAGCAAUAUGGUUCGAGGUGGUGGAUUUGGAGAGCCCCUAUCAUGCACUGCUUGGCCGACCUGCGUUGGCCAAGUUCAUGGCCGUGCCCCACUACGCCUACCUGAAGAUGAAGAUGCCGAGCUCGAAGGGGAUCAUCACGGUAGCCGGCGACUACAAGAAGUCCAUCGAGUGUGCCAUGGCCAGCAGCCGGCUGGCCGAGUGCCUCGUGAUGGCAGAAGAGAAGAAGAUGUUGGAGCGGGUUGUGGCCAUGGCCGGCAAGCAGCCGGCCUUGUCCCCCAACCCCAAGGACUGUGAUGCGCAGGGCUCCUUCCAGCCUGCAAAAGAGACGAAGAAGAUACCUCUAGACCCAGAGCACCCGGAGAGGUUCGCCGUGAUUGGGGCGAACUUGGACAGUAAAUAGGAAGGCGAGCUCGUCGACUUCCUCCGUGAGAAUCGAGACAUCUUUGCAUGGUCCCCAAAGGACAUGCCGGGUGUCCCGAAGGAUUUCGCCGAGCACAAAUUACAUGUCCGAGCUGAUGCGAAGCCGGUCAAGCAACCCCUCCGCCGACUAUCAGAAGAGAAGCAAAGAAUCGUGGGAGAAGAGAUAGCCCGGCUCCUUGCAGCCGGCUUCAUCAUGGAAGUGUUCUUUCCAGAGUGGCUUGCCAACCCAGUUCUGGUUUUGAAGAAGAAUAACAAGUGGCGCAUGUGUAUAGACUACACAAGUUUGAACAAGGCCUGCCCAAAGGAUCCGUUUUCUUUGCCGCGGAUUGACCAAGUGAUAGACUCCACUGCCGGAUGCGAGCUGUUAAGUUUUUUGGAUGCAUACUCAGGGUAUCAUCAGAUCAAGUUGGACCCGGCCGACCGCCUGAAGACUGCCUUCAUCACACCCUUUGGAGCUUUCUGCUACCUGACAAUGACAUUCGGCUUGAGAAAUGCCGGUGCCACUUUUCAGCGUUGCAUGCAGAAAUGUCUCUUGAAACAACUUGGCAGAAAUGCCCACGUCUACGUAGAUGACAUUGUGGUGAAGACAGAGAAGCGCGGUACCUUGCUGGAAGACCUGAAAGAAACAUUUGCCAAUUUGCGCCGAUUCCAGAUCAAGCUCAACCCCGAGAAGUGCGUGUUCGGAGUGCCAGCCGGCCAGCUGCUAGGCUUCCUGGUCUCCGAACGCGGCAUUGAGUGCAACCCUGUCAAGAUCAAGGCCAUCGAGAGGAUGGAGAUUCCCACCAAGCUGCGAGAUGUGCAGAAGUUCACUGGCUGCUUAGCCUCCCUGAACGGUUUUAUCAGCCGACUAGGAGAGAAGGCUCUCCCCCUGUACCGACUCAUGAAGAAGUCCACUCACUUUGAGUGGAAUGAUCAAGCCGACCAAGCCUUCCAUGAGUUGAAGAAAAUGUUGACCACUCCGCCUGUCCUGGCUGCGCCGACUGAGAAGGAGCCCAUGCUCCUCUACAUCGCCGCGACAAGCCGAGUCGUCAGCACUGUUGUUGUGGUCCAGCGCCCGGAGGAAGGCCGAGCCCAGCUGGUCCAGAGGCCGGUCUACUCUCUCAGCGAAGUACUGUCCAGCUCAAAGCAAAACUACCCGCACUACCAGAAGAUGUGCUAUGGGGUGUACUUCGCUGCCAAGAAAUUGAAGCCCUACUUCCAAGACCACCCCAUCACGGUCGUGUGCACUGCCCCGCUCGCCGAGAUCAUAGGCAGCCGGGAUGCAUCCGGCCGGGUGGCCAAAUGGGCCAUUGCCUUGGCGCCCUACACGAUUUUCUAUCAACCCCGCACCGCCAUCAAGUCGCAAGCAUUGGCCGACUUCCUCGUCGACUGGGCCGAGACCCAGUACUUACCGCCGGCUCCCGACUCUACCCAUUGGCGGAUGCACUUUGACGGGUCCAAGAUGCGCACCGGCUUGGGAGCCGGCAUCGUCCUCACCUCUCCCAAGGGCGACAAGCUCAAGUACACGCUGCAGAUCCACUUCGCCGCCUCCAACAACGUGGCCGAGUACGAGGCGCUCGUACAUGGGCUCCGGCUAGCCAAAGAACUCGGCAUACGCCGGAUCCUGUGCUACGGUGACUCAGACUUGGUGGUCCAGCAAUCAUCUGGCGACUGGGACGCCAAGGACGCGAACAUGGCGAGCUACCGCUUCCUCGUCCAGCAGAUGAGCGGAUACUUCGAAGGGUGCGAGUUCCUUCACGUGCCAAGGGCCGACAACGACCAAGCAGAUGCCCUAGCACGGAUCGGCUCCACCCGACAAGCCAUACCGACUGGCGUCUCCCUCCAGCGCCUCCUCAAGCCGUCCACCAAGCCGUCUCCAGAGUCGGACUCCAUCUUCGUACCACCUGCGCCAGAAACAGCCGGAUCCGGCUCAAGCAACCCCACAGGCGGCACGGGGACUUCGACGACUGCCCCGGGGACUGACGUAGUCGCACCCGGCCCAGGGAUUUCAGAACCCGGCCCGGGGACUGCAGCAGUCGGCCCGGGGACUGCAACGACACAAGAAGCGGUGGUCGACUCCAAUGCAACACCCAACCCACCCACCCGAGUCAUGGUGGCCACAUUAACAGCAGAAGAAGUCACAGCUCCCUCAUGGGCCCAGCCCAUCCUCAAGUUCCUAGUCAGCAGAGAGCUGCCGGCUGAUGAGAUCUCAGCAAGACUAGUGCAACGACGAGCCGCAGCAUACACAAUAAUCAACAGGGAGCUUGUGAAGUGCAGCGUCAGUGGAGUCUUCCAGCGUUGCGUCGAGCCAGAAAAAGGAGUGGCAAUCCUCAAAGACAUCCACCAAGGCGAAUGCGGCCAUCACGCCGCCUCAAGAUCCCUCGUGGCCAAGGCUUUCCGCCAUGGUUUCUUCUGGCCGACUGCCUUGGAGGAUGCUAAAGAAAUAGUCAAGAGCUGCAGAGGAUGUCAAGUCUUCGGUUCCAAACAACACCUGCCGGCUUCUGCCCUCAAAACCAUUCCCCUCACCUGGCCUUUUGCCGUCUGGGGACUGGACAUGAUGGGCCCUUUCAAGACAGCCCGCGGUGGCAUGACACAUCUACUCGUUGCUGUGGACAAGUUCACAAAGUGGAUCGAAGCCAAGCCGAUUAAGAAGCUGAAUGGGCCGACUGCCGUGACAUUCAUCACCGACAUCACUACUCGGUACGGCGUGCCGCACAGCAUCAUCACCGACAACGGCACAAACUUCGCCAAAGGCGCUCUGGCACGUUUCUGCGCGACGCAAGGCAUCCGACUGGACUUAGCGUCCGUUGCCCACCCGCAGUCAAACGGCCAGGUCGAGCGAGCAAAUGGACUUAUCCUCUCCGGCAUCAAGCCCCGACUGGUUGUACCACUGGAGCGAUCGGCCGGCUGCUGGCUCGAAGAACUGCCGGCUGUCCUCUGGAGUCUGCGCACUACACCCAACAAGUCAACCGGCUUCACUCCAUUCUUCCUUGUGUACGGUGCCGAGGCCGUCAUCCCAACAGACAUCGAGUUCGACUCGCCUCGGAUCACCAUGUACACGGAGGAGGAAGCCAAAGAAGCAAGAGAAGACGGCGUCGACCUACUGGAAGAAGGCCGGCUGUUAGCCCUCAGCCGGUCCGCCAUCUACCAGCAAGGCCUGCGCCGCUACUACAACCGCAAGGUCAAGCCAAGAUCCUUCCAAGAGGGCGACCUUGUGCUCCGACUGAUCCAGCGAACAGCCGGCCAGCACAAGCUCUCGGCCCCUUGGGAAGGCCCCUUCGUCGUCAGCAAGGCACUCGGCAAUGACUCCUACUACUUGAUCGACGCGCAAAAGCCAAGAGCACGCAAGAGAGACGACUCCGGCAAGGAGUCGGAGCGACCAUGGAACGCAAACCUCCUAAGACGAUUUUACAGCUAAAAAGCAGUAUGUAUCACGCUACCCCUUUUGUAUUAAGUACAAACCAACAGGCCCCCCGAACAGUACUCGGGGACUGCCUUUUAUUUAUCUAUGAAUGACGAGUAUCAUAUCCAUGAAUGUAUUAUUACAUUUUGAAUUCUUGUCCGGCACCGGGUCCGACUAGUCGGCCCGGGGACUGGCCGCCUUGAGCUAUAUUCAAAGUUCUUCCCGAAGUCAGCAAAGUAGUGCGCCGGCUCCCAAGUCCUCUCUUGUUGAAAGUCGCAGCUCAAAGAACUGACUGUCCAACUAGCAAGAGAGAAGACAGAAGGACGCCCACACGAAACACGGCUAAGGAACAACUAACCUAUAUAGCAAAGAGACGGCCUCCAAAUAUGCCUGCCGGCUGUCAAAGCAGCCGGCUGGCCGGCUUCCUAAAAAACUUAGCUUAAGUCUGGCAGAGCUAAAAGUACUUUCCCCUCCCCAAUCGGCCAGGCACUCCCCGGCUACAGAUUGCAGAGCAACUGUUUGACUGGGGAGGCGGCAACCAAGGGAGGGCGGCAAAGGAAAAAAGCAGAAGGAAAAAAAGCGAAAGUACAAGGAAAGACCGAUCGCAUAACUUAUAUACAUAAAGCCGCCCACAGGCUGGCAACAUACUUGAGUUUGAAUACACCCAGUGGGUGGAAUUGUGCAGACUUAACCAAACAUUGCUCAAAAGUAACAAGACAGGAAAACGAAAGAAAGAAGACUAAGCGCGACACGAAGGCCGAGCUGGUCGGUGAAGACGACCUCGCCGGCUGAAGGAGUGGCCGCCUAGCUGGUCCCGGCUUGACCACCUCCCGCGGCAGGAGACGUGCUCGCGCGCGAUGUAGUACUGGAGGCGCGGUCAGGCUGGCCGGCUACUCCACCAGCCGGCUCGGCGUCUUCGCCCUCCUCCUCCUCUUCGCCCUCGUCGCUGGAGUCGAUCUCCUCCGCCGAGUCCUCGCCGUACGCCGGGUCCAGCCCGAACCAAUCUUCCGGCUGGGCGACUCCAUUGUUGUCCACCUCGGGGGCGAAGACGUUGGUGUCGGUGUAGUCGGCGAUCGCUGAAGCCCGCCGAAUGAUGGCCGUCCGUGCCGGCUCCAGCUCCGUGUCGGCUUGCUGCCGCCAGGUAGCCAGCUGGUCCAGGUUCAGGCCGGGAUACCAGGCCUUGACGAACUCCAGCGCCUACCUGGCGCCGGAGCGAGCCGGUGACGCCUUCCAAGCCUCGAAGCGGCCGACUGCCACCUCCAGCCAGUCGGCGGUCCGACUGGGGGUGCGAGGGACCACUUGGCCGGGCCAGAGGGCGGCCAAGACCUGCGACCCCGCGCGCUGAAGCCGGCGGAGCAGCCUGUGAGCCGGCUGGAUGCGAGCCUGGAUCGCCAGGAGUUAUUCCUCCAGCGAGCGGCCGGCGGUUGGCGAGAUCUCGAAGCCGGCUUGCCUCUUCGCCUAGCGACGGGCUUCGAUGGCCUGGUUGGCGGUAUUUGAAUAGCCAGGGAAGUACUCUGCGCAAAGAAGAAAAGAAAAGAAAAACACCAAAAUCAGAAAAACAAGUCGAAGUGGCAGAUGGCAAGAAAGGACGAAGGGGUAGACGACUUACCGUCAACCAGAUCCUCGAUCUGGCCAUAGCCGGAGACCAGAGUCUGCCUGGCCUCUGCCCAGCCGGCCACCUCCGUCUCGAACUUGGCCUGGAGGGUGGCCUCGCGAUCUUGCGCAGCCUUCAGCGCCGCCUUGUGGCCUUCCUCUUGGUCGGCCAGCUUCUUGACCAGGCGGUCGCGCUCCUGCACCAAGGCGGCGAGCUUCGCGUCCUUGGCACGAAGAGCAGUCUGGGACUCCCCCAGCUGUGCCCUCAGACCGGCGUUGGCCGCUGCAGAGAUAGAAGAAGAAGAAGAAGAACAAUGAGAAAUCAUCAAGGAAGAUCUGAGCCGACUGCUCAGCAGUCGGCCCGAAUCUCGGGGACUACACCCAGUGGGUGCGCUGACGCGCCCCCACAUGAGAUAAAGAUCAAGUCACAUACCUCGGCUCUCAGUAAGAUCGGCGGUCUUCUGAGUCAGCUCCCGAGCCUGGGAGUUGAAGGCGGCCGGUCGGAGGUUGUGAUAGUCCUGCAAGACGGACAGAAGACCGAAGUGAGAACAAAAGCAGCAAAGACAAAAUCUCCAAAAAGUUCCAAGCCGCCUGCUCAGCAGCCGACUCGGAACUCGGGGACUACACCCAGUGGGUGCGCUGACGCGCCCGGAUGGCUGCCCGCAUUGCGAGGAAUUCGUCGGUGAACUGCCUCAGCGCCGCGGCUUGGCUUUGGAGCCGGGUCCGGACGUCUUGUGCAGCGACGUUCACCACGGCUGUCCCUCCGCCCGGCGUCCACCCCGAGGUAGCGAUGGCCGCCUCCGCGUCUCGGGCCGACGAGCUGGAGCCCACGGCCGGCUGUGGCUCCGACGCAGCCUUUUGCGGCUCCGACACGGCCUUCCCUGCACGCCGGCUUGGCGGAACCCGGACCGCCACCUCAGCUCCCACGGCCGGCUCGCCCUCCGCCGACUGUGCGCGCGCAGGCUCAGGCUGGCCACCUUGGGCCGCCCUAGUCGGAGGAGUCAGCUCCGGCGCCUUCUCCAAGAUGAUGACGUCGUCGCCGCUUCCUCCCAGCCCUGGCUGGGAACCGCUGGCUCCCCCUGGCGAAGGCUCCACGUCCCCGGGCGCCAUGGUGCGCAGGGGGCUGACUAUCAAAGCCUCCCCUGCCGCCGCCUCGACCUCAGCCUCCGCUUGGGCCUUGGCUGCGGCUUCGGCAAGCGCCUUCGCCGCCUCUUCCUCCCGAGCCGCCUGGGCGGCGGCUACCUUCCGUGCCUCCGCCUCCCGCGCUUCCUGCUCCUCCCGCACCUCCCGCGCAUUCCUUUCCGUCGCCUCCUGGAGGGCGGCGCGGGGAUCUACGCGGCGGGUGGUGCUCCCAGAUCCCCCUGACGACUCGACAACGGAGCCGGCAGCCGCCCGCUCAAGUGACAGCGGAGCUCUGAUCGUCGAAAGAAAAAGAAGACAAAGGUUCAAGAACCACCAAAGAAAGAAAGAAAGUACAUAGAGAAAGAGAACUUACGCCGACACGGUCUGCGGCUGCUUCACCACUUUGCGGAAGCGAGCCGCCUUCGCGGCCGCCUCUUCCCGCCUGGUGGCGGCCGCCCCGCCCCUGGGCUUCUUCGUUCGGCUGCCGAACAAGCCCGGGGCGGCGCGACGCUUCUGGCCUCUACCCCGAGCAGGCUGCGCGCCGGAGGAGCCCGCGCCGCGUCCGGAUGCCGGCUGGUGGUGCGGGAUGGCUUCGGCUUCAUCCUCGUCCGGCCAGUCGUCGAAGGUAGCGGUGAACCCGGAGCCGCCUGCUUCGCCGCCGGCUUGGCCACCAGCCGGCUCGACGGCGUCCUCCAUAUGGACCGCCCCCAGGUCGGGGUCUUCCUGGUCGUGCUCGGUCCGAUCGGGGACGAAGCGGCGCUCCACGUCUGUCCCGCCGGCCGGCCGAAGCAGAGGACCCUGUCAAAAGAAUGAGCCGACUGAGUUAGAGUCGGCCCAGAAGAACUCGGCGACAAGGCUGAGAGAGAGAGAAAAAAAGAAACGAGGGGAGCAUACCGCAGGCGGAGGAUUGGCACGGCUAUAUGGCUCCUUGCCGAAUUGCCAGUCUUCGGAAAGUUGGCAGUUGGCGAGGUAAUUAACCAUGGAGGCGGCGUCGUGCUGCGGCAUCUCCUUGGUGCACAUUCGGCUCGGAUCGAGCUGGCCGCUCAUCUGACAGAUCAGAUGAGGCCGGCUCUGGAGCGGGAGAACCCGGCGCGUGACGAACGCGGCCAGGAGGUCGGGCCCCGUCAGGCCCUCCGACUGGACCAUCACCCGCAGUCGAGCGAUGGCGGCGUUUCCUGCCUGCGACAGCGUCACGGCCCGGAAGGACCACUGGGGCAGCCUGCCCGCCGGUGGGCCGGCUACGUAGGCCGGCAAGUUGAGGUAGUCGCCCCGGGGAGCGAUGCUCCGCACGUAUGACUUCUGCCACUUCUUCACCGAUUGGAUCAGCGUGAUGAUGGGGAAGGGGUUGUCGGCGCCUGAUCUCCGCGACGCGAUGAAGGCGCCAGUCUGAGCCGGCACGCCCCGCACGCGCGUGCCCAGCUUCGACUGGAAGAACUCCCCCCAGAGCUCGAGGGUGGAGAGGACACCGAGAUAGCCCUCGCACAGGGUGACGAAGGCCGACAGCAGCUCCACCGCGUUGGGGAUGAGGUGGUGCGGCUGGAGCUGAUAGAAUUCCAGCCAGGAGCGGAAGAAGGCGCUCACUGGCAGGCCGAAGCCGCGCAGGAAGUGCAAGCGGAAGACCACCCGCUCGCCCUCCCGCGGCGCCGGCCUGAUUUCCUUCUCCGGCGCGAGGCGGACCUCCACUUUGUCCGCGCUGGGCAGACGCCGGGUGUCGCGGAGGAAGUCGAUGUGGUCGUUAUGGACGAUGGAGCCGUCCCAAUCCCCGCCAAGCUGCUCUACGUGGGGAGGCAUAGCGGAAGCUAGCACGGUGGCAGAGGAGCGUGCGGAGGAAGAGCGCGGCGGCGAGGCGCUGUCGCGAGAACGAGCAAGGCAAGAGGACGGUGGAAGUAGGAGGAGCGUGCGAGGGCCUGCCGCCCUCCACCUCCCCCUACUUAUAGCCUCACGCGGCCGAAGAGGCCGGACGUGGGGGGGGAGACGUGGGAUUAACUGCGCCCACUCCCCCCACGUCUCGCGUUUAUUACGCAUAAGUGCGAGCCGAAACUGCCGCACGGAACGUGCGGGCGGUUUCGGAAUACAAAGGAUCCGCGCCUGGGCCGGGCGCGGACGUGGCGGGCCCCCUCCCUGCGGCGACGUCCCGUCACGCGCGUGGGCUGGCAGGCUUUCCGGCCACGUGGCUUGCCGACGGCCCGCGGCCGGGCCGUGGCCCGGUGCACGUGCCAACGGUUUCCCGCCCUCCGACUCCAGAAGAUUUCGACUACGGCGGCGCGCCUGACCAAGGCCGGCUCCCCGCUGCCGGCUUGUCACGAUAGGAAGCUGUUCGAGCUUCUCGAACCCCACUCCACCUCGAAGCCCAAUCAGCUUCGGGGACUACUGUCGGAGUAAAUGGCCACGGGUAGCCAUUCCGACUACCCCUGGCUCUUCAGAAAAAUUAUCAGGCCUUUGGGCCUUCAAGCACUCCAAGCAGUGGGGCCGCCUUCCCUGGCCGGCUACCACUAAAGCCGACUCCCGGAAGGCGACCCAGCCUCACCGACUCCUCCCUAGGACGACUACGGGGUGGCCGACUCCAAGAAGCCGGCCAAGAAGGACGCCGACUCCUAGGAGCCGGCCAAGACCACAACCACUCCUACAUAACGGCGACGUGACGGGGUGUGGCCACAGUGCGGCCCACGACCCCCGAAGCCCGAGGCGGGCAUGGCUUUAGGAGGCCGUACGGGAGGGACGUCCCCCAUGCGGCUCGGCACUAUAGCCACGCUAGCCUCGACGUCAUCCACGACCCACUCCUGUACGGCCCAAGGACUGCGGGCCCCUUCAGCCAGAGAGAGGCGUGAAGGCGGCCCGGCUUUUCCUAGUCGGCCAAGAGUAUAGCCGGCCUCCAGAAGCCGGCUACUCCCUUCCUCGAAGCAGGAGCCCCAUUAAGGAGACAAGACGAGGUGAGGCUACAGUGAUAGCCCCCGAGGCGGCCCACUGUAGCCACGCUCACCUCGACAAAGCCCUCAUCAUCAGAGGCGCAGCUACAGUAAGCAGCCGCCGACAAGACCCUAGGCGGUGGGACCGGCCUGUCGACCAAGUAGCCGGCAGCCGGCGGGACCCAGCAGCCGGCGGAGAAGCCGGCGAGCGUAGACACUGACGGCUGGGACCAGUUCCCAGUCGGAUUACCAUUGUACCCAUGGGGGGUAGGCCAAUAUAAACCCCCCGGAGUACCCAUGUAAAGGGUUCGCUUCUAGGUUCGCACCCAAGCAUAGCACACACCAUAUAUAGAGAGAAGCAAGAGCUAGCCUUGUUCUUCUUCUCCCUUGAUCUCAACAGCUCUAGGAGCGAUUGUAGCUACCCUUUAUCGAUCUAGUGAUCAUGCGGAGACCCCGCAGAGCAGGACUAGGGGUGUUAUCUCCUCGGAGAGCCCCGAACCUGGGUAAGAUUCGCCGGCGUGCAUGUCUUCGCCUCAUCCCGUUUCCGGGCACCGGUGACGUUUUAUUGGCUCCCACAAUGAUAAGCCAUCCCUUGGCAUAUGUCGCACCAACCACCCGACAGUGGCCUUGUCGGCUUCCCCGGCAGGCCCCUUGGCGGCAUCCUUGGCAGCGCCCUCGGCGGCGAUCUUCUCGGCGUCUGCCUCGGCCGCCUUGGCGGCGUCCCCGGCAGCGCCCUUGACGGCCUCCUCGGCGGCGAUCCUCUCGGCGUCCGCCACGGCGGCCUUGGCGACGUCCUCGGCGAUGGCAUCCACGUCCUCUGGGUUCGCCCAGGAGGAAUCUGGACACCAAAGAGGGGAAUAAGGCAAGGCCAAGGCCAAAGAGCAAGAAAGAAAAAGGAACAGGGACGAACGGCGGACGACUUACCAGUGCCAGGCUGGGAAACGGAAGUCCCCUCCCCGCCAACAUUUGGCGUCGAGGCAAAGCCGCCGGUGCCCAAGUUCUCCUCCUCCUCCUCCAUGUGCGUGGGCUCGGUGCUUGGUGCCCUUGCCAGGGACGCCCCUCGGGGCGGCGUGGUCGAUGGGGGCGGCGUGUUGGGAGUAGCCCUCUGCGGCUCCUCCCGCUGCUGCUCUCCUCCUGCAUACCUGGCAAGGUCAGCACCAAAGUGUCGUGCCCCUGACACAUGUCGACGAGGGAAGAGUGAUGAACUUACGCUGGGGGCUAUGCUGGGGGCUGUUGUCCGGGCUGCUCAACACCACCAGUGGCGCCCUCGGCCACCCGCCGAGACCUUGGCCCUAUUCACUCUCUGGGCCAGCGUCUCCACGUCCCUGCAAAGACGAAGACAAGUCAAGACGAGCAACAUAGAUUGAGGAGGCAGAGAUAACGAAAAGGAACCAGAUACUUACUCGUCGUCCGCCUCCUCCUCUGCUGCCUUCCUCUUCCUCCUCGGGCUGAGGGAUCCAUAAUCGAAAGUGACCUCCGCGUCAACAUCCGCCAGAGGAGGGGAAGGAGGCGGUGUCUGGACACGCUUGGGCGAAGAAGGGGAGGCUGCCUUCUUCUUCACCGCGGCCUUCGUCGGCUUCUUCGCCGCUGCGGCCCUCGUGUGGCGCCCGGACCCCUCCAAGAUCAGCUGCGGCCGUGCGGCCCUGACAGGCCGCACCGGCUUGCCGGAGGUGGCCCGCCACAGGACUCGCCCUCUCCCCGUAGCCGGCGUCGGGCCUGCAGCCUCGGCCUCCUCCGACGAUGACUCGCUGACAACAUCUUCAACCAGAGGAGCCUCGGUCCCGGCGCUGCUGGCCUCCCCGGCGUCUGCCGCCCACCGGGCGAGCUCCUCCUCCUCCGCGGCCGUCGCGGCCUUGUCCUCCACACCGCCAGCGCUGCCGGCCUCCUCGGCAAGCUGUGCCUCCCUCGCCCUGGUGGCGAUGUAGUCCAGUUCCGCCUGGGUGGUGUCCUUGACGAGCAGCCGCUCGGCGUCGGCGUUGACAUACCCCUCGUGCAGAGUGUCAAAGAACUGGUGCACCUCGGCAUCCUGCGGCUCCUUCUAGCUCGGGUCAGGGCCAUGCGCGUUGUAGUCUCGCAUCAUGGCGAUGAUAUCGGACAGGAGCAAAUUAUUACACAACGGGACCACCCCCGUCGGCAGCUUGAACAAAGGCCCCUUGAGGACCUUGUCGGCCUUCGCGGCAGCCCUCGUGACCUUGCCGGUCCGCUCGACCUCUCCGUCACGGCCCACGUCGAGCUGGAAGAGCCGCUGGCAGAAAUGGGCGUGUCCCAUCACUUUGAAGUUGUGGUCAAGGCCGGGACGAAGCCGCAUGAUGUCGGCGGGGUUCGUGAAAAGCCAGGCUGGCCUCCCCUUGUUACGCAGUGGAGCGAUCCGGCGGCGGAUGAAGUCCGCCCCGAUCAUCUCAAGGGUGAGCCCGGCCUCGGUGAGCCGGAGGAUCCUGGUGGUGGCGACCGUGAGCUUCUCGUCGUCAGCGUCGACGUCACUCCAAUCGCUUCGGCGGACCGUCGGCGCCCGGCGAACUUCGCAGAACGCCGGCAGGUCCUUCUCCUCGAUCCAGCAUCACCGGCCCUGCCAUUCUUCCCACCUCUCCUUCAUGGCGCCCUCCGGAUACGCUCCCUUGGACCUUGAGACCCAGGCGAUGCAACCGGAGAUGGCGCCCCCUGGUUGGAUCCGAGGGGAGAAGUAAUGGCGAAAGAGCGCCGUGUUGGGGUGCACCCCGGCGAAGCCCUCGCAGAGAUGCGCGAAAAGGGCCAUGAACGCCACCGCAUUCGGGGUAAAAUCCAGGAGGCGGAAGCCAAAGGUGUGCAUGAUGUCGCUGAGAAAUCGGAGAAGGGAGGACAGAGCCCGCAGGAAAAAUAAUCGACAAAGAAGGGGUACCGAUUUGGGGCAGCCUCGGCACAGUCGGCGGGGAUGACUGGCUGGAUGCCCCGAAUUCUCCCCCCGUCUUCACCCCCACAGGGGCCUGAAGGAUUCCCGAAGCUCGAACACAUCAACUGUCGAGGGGAAGAAGGCGGACUGCGUCCGCUGCACCGCCAGCGCACUCUCCGGCGGCUCCGCAGCUAUGGCGUCCUUGGCCACUCCCUUGCCCUUGGUGGAUUUUGGCGCCAUGGCGGCUGGGGAGGGGGGCAAGACAGAGGACGAUGGGAACGCAGCAGCAGCGAGCAAGGGCGAGGCAUAGGAAGGAGGAGGAAGAUGAGCGGAGGCUUCCAGGAUUGGGUUGCGCAGAGGGUAAAAGGAACAGUGCACCCGCGGUUAUCCCUUUUUAUGGGAAAAGUGCGGGUCGCGCUGCCCAUUUACUACGAUGUGACGCAUGCGUGCAGGAACCGCCCCACGCAUGCCGCCCACGUCAUGCGCACCCCUCCACGCCACGCCGCGACACGCGCGGGUCGUGGGAAGCGAAGCGCGCGAAGAGUUUUACCGCGGUAAAAACCGCCCCGCCUGCCCGCGCACCGUUUUGGGCCUGGCCCAACAACGUGUCGCGCUUAUGUGUGGCCCAGGCCUAGGGUCUCCUGUCGGUGUACAAAAGGAGGGGCGCACUUUUGUACCCCUUUACCUAUGCACGGGCAGUCGGAGCCGCGCCCACGGUCACACCAAGUAGAGCAGGGGAGGUGAACCAAGGCAAAACCGAAGCCCAAGAUAGCCAGAGCAACGCCAAGACCAAGAACGCAAAGAGGCAGAGGGGAGGAGCAGUUUCCCCCGGCAAGACCCUUGCCGGGGACUGCCUCAGCAGCCCCGGCAAGACCCUUGCCGAGGCAGCUCGCCCCACACUGACAGAGCGAACCACCCUUGAGCCCACGGUCUCCAACAUCACGUUGGGCUAGGGCUCGGGAGGCACCUCUAUGGUGGCAUGCAGAUCUUUGUGAAGACAAGGAACACUCAAGAUCAGAUGAGGAUUAGAAGACAGCGAUCCUCGGCAAGAUCCUUGCCGAGGGGAACCACAAGACCCCCGGCAAGAUCCUUGCCGGGGACGACAGCGCGCCACGGCAAGAUCCUUGCCGGGCCACCCGUCAAGGCCCUCACCGAGGACGCUAGCAGGGCCACCGCCAGGGCCGCACCAACCAAGUCUCCGCCGCCGUUCGCAUGCAGCUGCCAACCCAAACCAGCUAGGCAGGCACCUGCGUGGCAACAUGCAGCUUCCAGGCUAACUCAGCAGGUGCCUGCGUGGCGGCAUGCAGAUUCUUCAUGAAGACCCUACCACCGCGCCACCUCAGCUGCCUGCCUGCCUACAUUGCGCUGCAUGCAUCGCUGGCCAGGGCGCGUGUCGAAGCGAGGAGGAGCGGCGACGGACGGGACGGGCCUCGCCCCCGUCCCCGAUAAAGCUAGGGGACACCUCAGCUACGCAUUAAAUGCGUCUUGUCCUGUAAUACGAGCGAUAAGCUCAUAGCACUGUGCGCCUUUCCACCUCCUGUGUGCCACUGUGGCAGCCCCUUUCGACUAUAAAAGGAGGCCCAUGGCAUACUGGAGAAGGAUUCGGCUCUUUUGAACCACGCACUCGCCACAGCUAGUUCGAGAGCUCAAGAACUCUUUGAAAUACACCCACCAAAGCAGGACUAGGGUUUUACGCAUCAUUGCGGCCCGAACCUGGGUAAACGAUCCUUGUGCUAACUAUUGAUCCUGCUCUUCUUGCAACCCCGCGCCCCGGCAACCGUAGUAGGGAUUCUUGUGAUCCCAUAGGUGUCGUUUCCCCCGACAAGGGGUUCGGUGCUAGAUCGUGAAAAUCUGACCCAUAAUAGAACAUGAGGCCAUGAACAAAGGGGUGAAGGGGAAACCCUAACCCAUGGAGGAAGUGAGGGAUGAACAUGACCCUCUCGCCAGGCUCUGGAGUAGGGAUGACUUGCCCCUUAGCCGGGAGCCUGUGUCGAUUUCCGCGGUUAAGUACCUCGCCUCCCGGAGUCCCUGGAUAUCCUUCUUCGUCACGGAAGAGGCCACCCACUUGCCCUAAGAGCCGGAUCCAGACAUGGUCGGAGAACAUGGUGGCAAUGGAGAGAGAUUGAGACUUGGGCGCUAGAGCUCAAAGAUGGGAGGACUAAGGAGGGAGAAGGCGUGGGGCAAAAGACGGGUCCUUAUCCCUUUAUAAAGGCGACGAAUAUCAAGCGACCUCGUGCAAGCCUUAAAAUUUUCCUAUUCCCAAGGGGUCGGGUGGAUGGCACGGUUGGAUUACCCAAGCCCUCAUUGAUGAAAAUCCCGCAAUAAGGGGACACGAUCUCUGCCUUGACAAGACGUGUCACUGGAAGUUGCGUCUCGAAACGCGAAACGGGAGGUUGAAAAACGAUUCGAAACAAUGAAGUGGCCAGACAUAAUGUCUCACCGAAAAAGCUGUCAGAAGACAUGACCCAUUUUUUUUAAAGUAUUUUGCCCUUGUGAUUCAGGGUUGUGACUAUUGUACAGAGCCGAAUAUAGUUCUUUUGGUCAAACUACUUUGAAGUGUUCGGAGGAGGAACCCGCCAUGUAAUGCCGAAGACGAUCUGUGCGCCGGACACAUCAUCAUUGAAGCCAGGUUCAGGGGCUACUGAGGGAGUCAUGGAUUAUGGGGUCCUCGAGUGUUCGGGCUAUGUGACAUGGGCCGGACUGGUGGGCCGUGAAGAUACAGAAUAGAAGGCUUCCCCCUGAGUCCGGAUGGGACUCUCCUUGACGUGGAAGGCAAGCUUGGCGUUCGGAUAUGAAGAUUCCCUUCUCUGUAAACCGACUCUGUACAACCCUAGCCCCCUCCGGUGUCUAUAUAAACCGGGGGGUUUAGUCCUUAGAGCCAAUCAUAAUCAUACAGGCUAGACAUCUAGGGUUUAGCCAUUAUGAUCUCGGGGUAGAUCAACUCCUGUAACCCCUAUACUCAUCAAAGUCAAUCAAGCAGGAAGUAGGGUAUUACCUCCAUUAAGAGGGCUCGAACCUGGGUAAACAACGUGUCCCCUGCCUCGUGUUACCUUCGAUCCUUAGACGCACAGUUCGGGAUCCCCUACCCGAGAUCUGCCGGUUUUGACACCGACAACGACUUGGUCCUCUUUUUUCUUCCAAACAAAUCUCACUUUGUACGUAAAACCCUACCUCGCGCUUCGGCCUGGCACUAGUGGAGAAAAGCCUAGCUAUGGCGUGCCAAACACAGCCUUGGUGGCGUGGACACCCGACUCCACCAAUAUGGCGCCAGUGUUAAAAAUUAGCGCUGGCGUUGGCACCUACGACAUCAGUAUUUUGGACGGUAAUGGCGUGGCCUGUUUUCCACGCCAGCAAUAUUAGUCAUCAAUUAUGACGUUCCAUGUUUUACCGACGCUAGUAUUUUGAUUUUCAAAUUUGAAAUAAAAGCUCUACAUCAGCGAUUUCAGCCACAAUGAUAGCAUAAUCUAGUUUCAGAAUAGUCACUAAAUCAACUAUAUAUAAAUAGUCCCAAUGACAGCAUUUAAGUUCAACAAUGCACUUGGUGAUAUAGUUCAACAAAGUAGGCAAAGUAGCACACAUAUGAAUGUACAAGUUCAAUAAUUAGAGGUGAUAAUAACAUGAUAUAUAUCUUCCAUGCAAGCCAACUAGCUUACUACGACUUUUCGGCGGGCGGAGUCAGGGUCAUAGUCCGGAGUAAGUGCACCAUCAUCGCUGUCAGCAGGCUUGUAGUAGACCAUGAUCUCGUCACGAUCGUAGUUGAGGUAGAACAUGGCUCUCUCCCCAGCUUCCAUCUCGUAAGCAUCUGCAAGGGCUUUCCAACCAGGGCAACCGAAGUAGGUGUGGUUUGCAUCGUUGGUGACAAGACAAUUGAAUUUUUGGGUCGUCAGCAUCUUCAUGAGGGUGCACUGAAAUGUGAUGGUGGCAUCAACUGGAACUUUAAAGUUCUCUAAGAAGUCACGCCUUGCCCCGCAAGGGAUGACCUGAGCAAAAUUGAAAGAAAGAAGUAGCUAGCUAGUUACACAAUUGUCUUGUCAUGCAUGAAACUCAAUCAAAACAUGUUCAAACUAAAACAUACCAUCCUAGUGAGGAAGUCAUUCGGCAGAUCUAUGAAGAACUUCUUAUCCCUUUGGCAUCUCACCGAACCACAGGUCUCACAUGGGGCAUCCAUUUACUGCUUUCAUGCAUGAACUUGAGAAAAAUAAGCAUACAUAAGAUGCACAUAAAUAUAAUGCAACAUAAUAAGCAGUUAGUACGAACUAGCGCUAUCCGCCCACUAGUUAUUAACACAUACGUACGUAUUUGUAAUAAAACAGUUCUACAAACCAUGCGUAGUUCAAACAUAAAACAUGUAUAAAGUUAAACAGUUCAUAUGAAAUAGGUAGCGCGCUAAGCUAGUGGCCAGAGGGACCGGCCUCAUGGUCGUGCCUAGUCGACCUACGACGACACCCCUGCUGACCCUCCUCCUCACGCUCCAAGGCAUCCCAGUCCAUGGGAUCCUCCUCCGCGCUCUUCCUGGCUGCAUACUGAAGUAACAUCAUCUUGUUGGCCUCCACGAGUUUGUCAUCUCUUGCAAGCUCGCUCACCAAUGGGUCGAAGAACUGCAUCUCGGCCUCUUUACUCUCCUUCUCCUCAACCCUAGUGCAUAUCCUCAUGUCCUCGGGCGCGAGGAAUAGCGCGAACUCACGACACUCAGGAAAGUUCAGAUUCCCCCUUCCUGAAAGAACUCUACUGCCAUGGCAUCAUAAGCGCGCGCCGCUAACUCCGGGGUGUCCCAAUGGCCAAGUUCAUGGACGACAUUGUCCUUCCUAAUGGUGGCAUGGUACUUAUUUCCCUUGUGUCGCACACCACGAAACUUCAAGGCCAUCUGUGACGAUGCAUAUACAUAUAGAACUAAACAAGUUAGUAAAAAUGGGCAUAUUAACGAGAAAUGCAAUAGUCUACAACUACACACUAUACAUUCUUUCACCACAAGUACACUACUAGAAAUACAAUAAAAUUACACUAUCUAAAUCAUAGUCUACAAGUACACUACAUUAUUUCACCACAAGUACACUACUAGAAAUUUAAUAAAAUUACACUAUCUAAAAUCAUAGUCUACAACUACACUACAAUAUUUCACCACAAGUACACUACUAGAAAUUUAAUAAAAUUACACUACCUAAAAUCAUAGUCUACAACUACACUAAAAAUUUACACUACUUGUAUACACAAAAUUCUAUUUUUUUCUACACUGCUAUUACACUACACUAAGUAGAACUCACCCGCGGCGGCGGUAGACAGCGAGGAGGCGUUGCGGGCGACGGGGCCUGGGGUGGUGGCAGGGGUGGAUGCGGAGGCGACGGCGGCAGGGACGGGGGCGGUGGCCGGGGUGGAUGNNNNNNNNNNNNNNNNNNNNNNNNNNNNNNNNNNNNNNNNNNNNNNNNNNNNNNNNNNNNNNNNNNNNNNNNNNNNNNNNNNNNNNNNNNNNNNNNNNNNNNNNNNNNNNNNNNNNNNNNNNNNNNNNNNNNNNNNNNNNNNNNNNNNNNNNNNNNNNNNNNNNNNNNNNNNNNNNNNNNNNNNNNNNNNNNNNNNNNNNNNNNNNNNNNNNNNNNNNNNNNNNNNNNNNNNNNNNNNNNNNNNNNNNNNNNNNNNNNNNNNNNNNNNNNNNNNNNNNNNNNNNNNNNNNNGGGGGCUUCGGCGGUGGAGGCGAAGGCGGUGGAAGCAGCGGAGGCGAGGGCGACCGGGGAGCGGGCGGCGAUUUAAUGGGGAUCGCCGGUUGUGGGUUGGGGGGCUUAAUUUAAUCAAUAUCUCCCGCGGGGGGCGGCGGGGUAAUUGCUGGCGUUGGCCUACGCGGCCAACACCAUUGCUAUCUUAUUGUUUAGUUUAUUAAUAUAGAUGUUUAGUCUAUUGUUUUAUUGUUUUAUUUUCCUAUUGUUUAUUAUAUUGUUAUUUUUACUAAUUAUUUUAUUUUCCUAUUGUUUAUUAUUUUAUUGUUUUAUUUUCCAACAUCGAUCGAUCUCAUUAAUCUAGCAUAGAUACAUAAUAGUUGAAGGAUUAAAAUAAUAAUACAUAUAUAUAUAACUUCUAGUACUACACACUUUUGAUCUAGACUAAGAACAUCAUCAGUGUAAUGAUUCCCAUGAGAAAAAAAAGCUGGCACCGGUCCAGCAGGGAGAACGAGGCCAAGCAUAACACCACCUAAAAGGGAAUACUGAAACAUCUUGAAUUUUUGGAUUUGGCCGCGCAUCACAUUAGUCUUCAGCUGCAUCUCAUCUAUCUGGUGUCUUAGUUCACCAAAGGAGUACUAGAACAACUCGCUCACCUACUUCUGCACAAGAUCAACCCAUAUCCAUGUGUAGCAAUAUUUUGUCCCUAACACCUAUGGAUCAUAAUACACACACAUAUAUAUUAAUGAUCGCGAAUUGUGCAAAUUAGCAGAAUAUCGAGGUAUUUUCUGUCAUAUUAUGUACCUUUCCACGGUUACCGCAGUUGUAGAACUCUCGCUCUGUAUUACUUUGUGUGUGCGACAUAUGCUUAUCAGCAGGUCGUCCACAACCGCAAAAAAGCAACACAGGUGCCCUCGCUCGAUUCCUGGCAGCUUCGACGCUAGUGGCAUAGCUGCCGAAUCGUCGAAGGGACGUCCCGCUGCAGCGGGAUGGUUCGCCAGACAGGGCUGGCUGCAUUGGCCGUGGAGAGCGCAUGUCGUGGCCAACCGGGCGAGAUGAGAGCUCAGCCAAGGCGGCGGAGUCCCAAACUUGUGAGCCACGCUGACGUGGGCUCGAACUAGCGGCUCGUGCCGAUUCGGCAAGCUCCGGUGGGUCCGUUGUUACCAAAGCAGCUAACUAAGAGGGAGUAGAAUUUUGUGAAGAAUGGAAGUGAAUGUGAUAAGAAGGGCCAACACAUCUAUAUAUAGGCACAACUUAGUGUUGGCGUUCCGGGCAAAGACACGACACCACAAUGUAAAGUAUCUAGGGCGUGUUUAUAAAUCAAACGACAGCAAUAUGCUGCAACUGGUCAUGACAACUGGGCCCACAUAGUAGUGGCGCAGGAUGUAUUGCCAGCGUCAGCAAUAGCAACUUAUAGCUGGUAUACCAAUUUGGCAUACACCAGCACUAUUUGGAAAAAAUAGUGCUGGUGUUGAUGAGAAAUGGCGCGCCACAAACGGAACUUGUGGCUAGCCGUUUUUCCACUAGUGUGGUGCGGCUAGCCCCACCUGGGCAGCUUGCCAGAUGGGCUGCUUGCCCGGACCGCUGCUCUACAGCGCCAGCCAAACAUGGGCGUUGCCCGCCCUGCACCAGCGCCCUGUCUGACCUCCGCGUGGCCUGCCACGCUACGCACGCCAGCCGCCUGUACUGGGUUUGCCGCCCGAAUUCCCUAUUGGACGCACGUUGUGUCAAAGUGUCGACUUUUCGCACAGAGACCUGGUGUUCGAGCGAUGACUUGGGCCGACCCAUUAAAGCGUUGCAGCGAUUCCAGUUUUGGGAACCUUCUAGAGUUUCCCAGCCAUUUUUUCUGGUUUUGGGAACCUUCUAGAAGGUUCUCCGAACCGGUUUUUCUGUUUCUUUUUUAUUUUUAUUUUUCUUUUUAGUUUUUCUGUUUAUUCUUCUUUCUUUUCUUUUCCUUUUGUUGUUUCUUUCUUAUUUUUUUUAUUUUUUCAUUUCUUCCAUUUUUUCUUUUUCAAGUUGAUAUUUGUUUUUAUAAUUUAAUUUUUUUAGAUUUUGAAAAAUGUUCACCUUUUAAAAUAUGUUCACAAAUUCAAAAAAUGUACAUGACUUACAAAAAAUGUUCAUGUAUUUCAAAAUUUGUUUAGAAAUUAACAAAAUGUUCAUAUUUCAGAAAAACUUCUGGAACUGUAAAAACUGUUUGCGGUUGCAAAAUUUGGUCCAAAAUUUCAAAUAUGUUCGUGUUUGAAAACUUGUUCAGGAAUUUUUAAAAAUGUUCGUCGUUUCAAUUUUUUGUUAGAUAUUUCAUGAAGUUCAAAAAAUGUAAAUAACUUUCGAAAAAUGUUCAUGUAUUCCAAAAUUUAUUCACAAAUUUAGAAAAUGAUCAUAUUUCAAAAAAACUUCUGGAAUUGCAAAAAAUUGUUUGCGGUUGCAAAAUUUGGUCUAAAUUUUAAAAAUGUGCACGUUUGAAAACUUGUUCAGGAAUUUUUGAAAAUGUUUGUGGUUUCAAUUUUUUGUUAGAUAUUCCAUGAAGUUCCAUUUUCAACUUUUUGUUCAAAAAUUCAAAAAGUGUUCAAGAUUUCCAUUUUUUGUAAUUUCAUGAAAUGUUCCAUUUUUUAAAUCUUUGUUUAAAAAUUGAAGAAAAAUGCGUUUAAAAUUUUGUUCGGAAUUUCAUAAUUUGUUCGUUACUUCAAAGAAUGGUUCACGUUUUUCAAAAACAUUUCCCGUGACUUCAAAAUUUUUUUCGCAUAUGCAAAAAAAUGUUCCCGUCUACGAAAAAAUUUGUUCAGAAAUUCAAAAAAUGUUCGCACUUUUUCAAAAUAUACACCUUCAGAAAAAUUGUGCACUUUUUUUAAGAUGUUCCCCUCUACAGUAACUAAUUCUGAUUCAAUACAGUAAACAUGUUCGGUUGUACGGGUGUGCUAAGUUAUUUCAGAUGCGCGAUGUUCUACUGCAAGCAAUGCUUGUCAGUUGGAGUGGCUGGGAGCACGCGUUCGUAAGUCGUUGGUCGCUGGUUCGAGCCCUGCCAUCGCGCAUGCCUCUUGCUUUCUUUUCCUUACAACGGUACAACGCAAUGGGCCGGCCCAGUCAGGCUACUUCCUUGUGCGUGGCAACGCCAGUUUUGACGCAAAGAGCGUCCAAUAGGUGCUCCCUUUGCCGCCGCCCGUAGGCCAUCGAUCCGAUCUCAACGGAAGUCGAACGUAUCGAGGAUUUCCGCUGUACGCUGCACUGACGACGUCUUCAGAUCACUUCCGUCCGCUGCGACCACGUUGAUAAUAAUCAUGACAUCGAAUCUCCUCCUCUAGACGAACGCCUCACACCUAGCUUUGAUACUACUUGUUAGAAUAAAACCGAGGCGUUAUCAAGGACCAAGCAAUCACACCAACACGACAACGAGAUUUGUUAACGAGUUUCAGCGAUAUGGCUACAUCCCGGUGCCUGACUAUGGGCGCUCCUCCCCGUGACACCGACACAAUACCGUACACCGGCCACCCGGACGCCGGCACACGCCGCCAGCUCCCCCUGUUUGGUUCGGUUCGGUUCUCUCCUCGUGUGCAUGUGCAUGCUUUCUCCCUUAAUUUUCUGACGAUGAUCGGCUCCGUGAGUGUGCGUGUUGACAUGCAGGGGUGGAGGGCGUGGCCGUGGAGGUGGACAAGGGAUCCAUGACUAUCGUCGGCCGCUUCGACGCCAAGAAGCUUAGGGACCGCGUCGCCUCGAAGACCAGGAAGAAGGUCUAGCUCGUCGGCGGCAAAGACAACAAGGAUGGCGGUGGUGGGGACAAGAACAAGUGCGCCGACGGCGAGGGCAAGCAGGUGCCGGACAAGAAGGAGGAGGAGAAGGAGCAGAACGACAAGUGCGGCGGCAAUGUCGGGAAGGGGAUGGGUGGCAAGGACAACAAGAAGCCAGCCAUGUUUUGUCCUUGAAUCCUAUCUAUUCUCUUCAGUCGACUCGCAUCAUGUCCCGCUCCCAUCUGUUGCGGUGUUUUGCUGAUGAGAUUGCUCUGCUCGACUGAUCGUUCGAUUUGGUUCAUGGCAGCCGGUGAUCCUCACGGUGGUGCUCCCCGCUGGCCUCCACUGCGCCGGCUGCAUGCACCACAUCCGCUGCAAGCUCUUCAAGAUCAAAGGUAUCCGCAGCUCCUCCUCCACUUGCCUCGUCCUGCAUGCACGCUAGGUUCUCGACUAAAUUCCCCGUCCGUGUGCAUUCACAUCGCCGAGCACGCAAACUCCACGGAGGGGGUCCGACCUGCUCCAGGGCGCGUUCGGCUCCCUCGUCUCGGCCACAGCUUCACCUGCCCGCUCGAGACCGGCUCCUCCUCCACGGCCGUUGCUGGGGCCGCGUGGUAGCGCCGUGCAGGAGGCCUUCGCCAACGCCUCUGUUCUCGUCACUCGUCGUGGGGGGCUCCCGAGCGUGCGGCAUGGUGUCUACUUGGUGCUCUGCUCCAGCUCGGGCGCGGGCGUGCUCCCAUAGAGCGACCUCGACCCCCACAGGCUCGCCGUCGGCGACUCACAAACGUGCAGGCUCCGCGGUCCGACCACACCGCAGUGUGCUAGAGCCGAGGACACCCUUUUAUUUGUCCCACUCCAGCAGCCAGCUGACAGGUGGGCCUUUGUGUGCAGGGAUUUUUUGCAAAAUGCGAUGCCACGUUGUGCCCAGUCAUUGCCGCGUGGCGAUUGACCAGUCAACAAAAAACGUACACAAAAUCAUACAUGGGACCGUCCUUUAACAAGUUUAGCGACCAUAUUUCGGGUAUUUUGAUGUAUAUACAAGUACUAAAGUGGGUUCCAACACAAGUUUAGGGAUCGCAGGUGAAAUUUUCUCAUCCACAUUACGCUGAAGAAAAAGGCUAAUCCACUGCCUGAAAAUAAAACUAAUUUACAGUAGAAUAUACUACUCACCUUGGUGACAUAUUUUUAUAGAAGAAACAACUUGACUCCGAGACUUGAACCUAGGUGGGCUCACUGCACACCCGCACAGCUUACUAACGGAGCGACAUUAUGUUUUCCAAACAUAGUUAUAAUAACUUGGAAAUUCAUCAGGGUUUCUCCACACAUACAGACAAUGACUUGGAAAUUCAGCAGGGUUUCAACAGCAUAACAAACUUGGUUCCAGCAGGAGUUCAAGAAAUAAAAAACCAUGGAGAUUCAGCAGACCACGACAGUACCAAAGGGAAUGCCACUAGUGAGCAUCCGACAGAUUACUGCUGCACACCAUUACAGCAGCAUACACACACAUACACAUAACAGAACGGAGGAGAGGCGAAAGCAUCGCUCCAGGCACAACUCAAGGCCGUCACUCAGUCAGUGGCGGCCCAGCGGCUUGUUUCUGCGGCCUGAUCCAGUCGUGCAGCACCAAGGUGACCCUGUUGUGCUGCUUCAAGGAGGAGCCGUGCAGGAGCGGGGAGGCGCGCGCGAGGACGCUGUUGUAGUGGACGUACUCCUUCUGCUGGAACCUCUCCUGCUCGAGCAGCGUCAUCUCGUCCCACUCGGCGUGCAGCUUCUCAGACAGGCUACAGUCGAUGUUGUACCUGGUGGCGCCGAAGCACGUCUGGCUCAGGACGCGCCUCGCCAGGGUCUGCAGGUCGGGCACGCGAGCCCCGUGCGUCGACCACCAUUGAACUGCAAUGGGGUGAGAAACGUGGUAAGAAGAUAGAAAUUCAUGUAGUAUGUUGUGAACUGAUGAAUGAAAUGGUGAUGAUCUCAGUGGGGGUAAGCUUGGGUUUGAAAGUUGAAGUGAAAACAGAAGAAAAGAAGGCUCCUGUACAGUUUAAGCAGACCAUAGACCCCAGUUUGCAACUUGCAACAUACUCCUAUGCUAUAGAAAUGCAGUUGAGAAGCUAGGCUAUUGCAGAGAGGUAAUCGUUCCACACAUUCAUCUGUUAACCUUUUAACUUCCAUGCUACUAUUAUUUAAACAACCAUGUUGAUAAGUUAGUCUAAUGCAGAGAAGUCGAACAUUCUACACAUGCUGAGUUUGAAUACAAGUGCAUUGUGACAUGAUAUGUUUGUGCCAUGUUCACAUACUAACUAAAUAUGUUUGGCGCACUGUAUGUUACAGUGCAGAAAUGCCCAUAUCAGAUUACUUGGAGGGCCUCGUGACACUAUUCCAGCUCGCUCUAAAGAUUGAAUACAAGUACAUAUGACACACAAAGGCACUACUGUCGGUGGCUUGUUAGGGAGUGGGCAUUUUGCAAGAGGUUAGGGUGUAGCUUACCUUGUGGUAAUUCCAUGAUUUGCUGCAUUGCUGGAUCUGUGUCAAAAUAGCCCAACUUCUUCUCAUACACUUUCAAUUGUGCAGAUGCUUUUCUGGCAUUGUAAUGAGCCUUGCCCAGUUGGAUUGUACAGGCCGCGAUGCCGCUGCUGAUCUCAGUAUCAGGCUUGAAUCCAGCUGUGUAAAAGAUCCUUGGGUUUAGCAUCUGACCAGCAGCAUGGAGAGGACUAUGCAAGUAAUCAUCCCAUAUCCGAUCAAUCAUACACCAAUAAAAGUCACUUUCAUCUCCGAUAUUGAGAGAUAUCUCUUCUUUUGCUCUAUCCAUGGCUUCAUACAAGAUACCCAUCGGACAGAUAUCAUAUUCCAGUUUAUACAACACACUGACAAGUGGGUGUGUAACCUUGAUGACUUUUGCAGCAGCAUGCCAAAAUUCAUCGUCUGUCUUUACUAUGCUCUGGAUACGCUUGAACAAAUCAAGACAAGCCCAACCAGAGGAAAUCCAUUUAGGCGAGUUUAACAUCUGCACCAGAUCUACUCUUGCAGAAACUAACCUCUCUAAUGUGAUGAACAUUGCCACAAAUUUUAAAUAAGAACUGCUCAAAAUCUCCUCCUGAACAUACCUUCCUUUCAGUUUCAUUGGCAGUGCAUGGUCAUAUAAAAACCUUGUAAUUUCCCUUGCCUUCAUUUGGACUUCACUGACAUGCUCGAGCGCUGCUAUUUUCUCAAGCAGAAGGUUGAUGCAAUGGUCAGCACAUAGUGUGAAGAAAAAACAAUCAUAUUUAUUUAGCACAUACUGCCGUGCCAUCUGCAUAUGGGGUGACACGUCAUUCAUGACAAUCUGAACAAUGUUAUGAGCACCAACAUCUUCAACCACGCGAGAAAGCAUUGAUUCUAGCUCAUCAAAGUCCUCAGUGAUUUCAGAGACGUCAAUGGAUCUCAGGAACAGCGUACCUUUGCUGCAGUGCACCAGGACACUUACGAAGCUUUUGGUACACUUGCUCUUCCAACUAUGCACAAUUACAGUGCAGCCACUUGUUUGCCACUCUUGCUUGAGUUCCUUUGCGCGGUUCUCAGUUUCUCUUAGUUGCUCCUGCAGAACAGCUUCGUACGUAGGCAUUACAGGCCCAGGCCCAUGGGAAAACACAACCAUCUCCUUCAAAGAUGAUGAAUGGAGAACACCAGGCUCAGGUGCAGCUUCGGAGAAGAACUUGCCUAUUGACUUUGCCAACUGAGAAUCGAAGUAAUCACUUGUCUCAACCUUGGGUUUCGGUUGACAAGAACUAUAUGUGAUUUCCUUGGCCUGCGUCAGAUCCGGUUGAUAAUGAACAAAGCAGCGGUUGUUAUUGGACACAGUUGGUUGUAGCUGUGGUUGCUGGACUUGAGGAGAUUGAAGGGCUGGGUUUGUGUGAGGAACCUCAUCAUGUUCUUGCUUCAGUCUCUUCGUCUUUCCGAGCAUCUGAUCUUUCUUGCGAUCCACAAGUGAACUCCUUAAGCUUGUCCUGACACUGUCCGGUACUAGGUUGCAUGGACGAACAUUGCCCCUGAAGCCUGCUAAAUGUUCCUCUAGACGGCUGUAACUACAAACCACCUCACCGCAGUAAUUGCAGCUCAUUCUGCUGCCUUCCUCAUCAAUGGUUUUGCCAUGCCUUUCUUUUCCAUGAUUACUUGUCUGAGGACCUUGUGCGGAAAAAACCUGAAGAAAAGCAAUGGGAGAUACUUAGGUAGUGCAAAAAUUAAAAUGUCAAAUUCCCAAAACAUGAGUGCAACUUUUCACCAAUGAUGAGAUUUCAUCUGCUUCCUGUUAAUGACAGCACAUAAUGUACUGCUAUUGAUGAAUUUACCACAUGUGAACAGAGAAGACUGUGAUCCAACUAAACACUGUUAAACUAGUGUCACUGGGUGAAACAGUUUGUUCUGUAUUUUUUUCCGAUAAAGAACAGUUUGUCUGUAUAACUCUUCAAGAAGAGCACAGAGAGGCGUGGUCAAUGGCUCAUAGUAUAUUUACCAACAGACUGGAGGCAUGAGCUUGUUUACAAAUUACAAGUUCAGGGCAACAAAUCUCUGGGCACCCAUGCAAUGAAUUAACAACAACUUCGACAGGGCAGUCAACAAUUGGCCAUUUUCACCAUGGUACACUCCAGAAACAUGUAACUGUAACUAGAUUAGACAGUUGUUCGUCACAAACAGACUAAAAUUCGAUGCUUACAAUCCUGAAGGAUUCGAAUGAACCAUACGAAAUAUAGUUCGGUGCAAGUAAAAGGUUAACUAUUUCGGUACUAUCCCACAGGACAAUUGGAGUAAUAUUUACUUUUUCAAAGAUCAGUGAUAUGGUAUAAACAUAAGACUGCGUGAUGAUCUUACCCCCUCUGAGACCAAUGGCGAGCAGCGACUCUUUUUUCCCGAUACUAAAUUCCGACAAAAUCAUAGCGCCCCCCCUCAAAGUUUUAGCAAUUCCUUCGAAUCGGCUUCAACGCCUUUCGAAAUCCAACAUGACGCUACCCAACUCCCAAAAUCAGACAAAACCUAAAGCGGAGAAAGGGGGAUUCUUCCUCGGCAGAAAGCCCUGAACAGCAUCGCGGGUCACAGCCCACUGCUUAUUUCCCUCUCGCCGGCUUCAUUCCAGAACAGAAGAUCGUGAGGAAUUUCAAUUACUUACCAUUUUUGUCCCCUCCGGCGCGAGAACAAGGACGGGUUCGCAGCAGGCCGCCGCCGCGCCGCGCAGCACCUCGACCUGCCUCCGAGGCGCUGGGGGUGUCGUCGACGGAGUAGCCUGGGUUUGACGGCGAUGAGCCCGAUCUCGCGCCCCGCCUCCUCUCCUUGCUGCGCUGCGCGUCGUGGUCUCUGCUGCGCUCUGGCUUUUGCUUUUAUGAUCAGCGGGUGGCAGAGAGGAGGGAGGAGGCGGCGAGGGCGAGGAGGGAACUCGGGUUUUUGGGGAGAGAUGGAAAAGACUAUGACUGUAUGCCGUUUCUGGAAACUGACGAGACGACGCGUUUCAAUCGCUGGACAUUCACUGGUGGGUGCGUGGGUGGGUGGGCAACAAAUUUUGUUUUUCUCGUACAUACAUAUAUACGUAGCAAAAUGAGUGAAUCUAUACUCUAAAAUAUGUCUAUAUACAUCUGUAUGUGGUAACCAAUUUUAAAUCUCUAAAAAAGACUUAUAUUUAGGAAUAGUGGGAGUACAUUCAUCCUUAUCAAAACACGCAUGGAAAUCUUACUCGUAUGAGCACCUAAUUAUCGGAAACGUCGCCUCCCACCUAACGCAAAUCACCGGAAGGUUUAGAAUAAAUCCAUGAAAAUGCAAGCACCACUCUCAAGUCUGAGACUUGAACUCUGUUGGACAGAGGAUAUUAUUGUUCUCCUAAUUGUCCAACCACACGUUGGUUCGCGAAACAAAUUUUGUUGGACAACAACAUAUCAUUAUUAACGAACCAACCUGUGGUUGGAUGGUUAGGUGGACAGUGGUAUCCCCAGCCCACCAGGGUUCAAGUCCUAAUGCUCGCUUCAGGAUUUUCGGCGAUACGCGUUCAAUGUGAGGAGACGUUUGCGUCGACUACGAGGCGUCUAUGAUGACUUCGUAAAAUCUCAAGAUGAUAUACCGGCUCAGUCUCUCAGUGGUGCUCAAAAGGAUAGGGUGUGCAUGUGUGCAUUCAUAGAGGUAAGUGUAUGCGCGUAUAUAUGAGCGCUUGUGUUGAUGUUAAAAAACAUUUCAUUCUUUGUGAACCAACAUGUGGUUGGAUGAUUAGAGGUAGUGGUAUCUCCAGCUCAUCAGGGUACAAGUCUUGGUGCUCGCAUUAUUCCUGAAUUUAUUUUAGGAUUUCCGGCGAUGAGUUCAGUCGGAGGAGACAUUCACAUCGACGACGAGGAGCCUACGAUGACUUCGUAAAUCUCAAGAUGAUAUGCCAGCUCAGUCUCUCAAGAUGCUCAUAGAGGUAGGAUGUGCAUGUGUGCGUUCAUAGAGGUGAGUGUAUGCGCGUGUAUAUGAGCGCUUGUGUCUAUACUGAUAUUCAAAAAAAAAUGUUUCAUUCUUCUUUACCAUAAUAAUAAUAAUAAUAAUACACUUUUAAUACUUACAUCAGCAAAUAUUCAUGAAAUCGUGAUUGCUUUGAAAUUAGACAGGAUAUUAAUUGCGCGCAUAUAUUAGGUAGGAUAUUAUAUACACAUUAAUUGUAUGACUAGCGCUCAUGUUGAUACUUGGUAUAAUAUGAAUUGGGUGUUGAAUACGUCAAACGCUCACCAUUGGGGCAAUCUAGGUCGUUGAUUGAACUGGUUUGAUGGUCAAGAUUGAUUUGAUACGUCCUUUUGGGUCUUUUAUAUUGGUAUAUCUCAACUACUUCAAAAGAACAUAAGAUUUCCAUUUCACCUCUUUUUCAUCCAACUUUUUAUAUAUACAUCUCACUCUUUUCUUCUCCUCUUUGAUUUUUUCCCUCCCAUCUGUGAUUUUUAUCCUAUCAGUUCUCCCUAAAAAUAGAAUCAAUCGUCUCAUGUUUUAUUAACUUACCAUAAGAAAAAACAUAUUAUGUUUGGUAAGCCAUUAAAUUCUUAGCAAAUAAGUACUUAACAAUAAAAUAUCUAUCUUCUCUACUUACUUAAAAAGAACGUAAGGUUCUCAUUUCACCUCUUUUUCGUUCAACUUUCCUUAUAUACGUCCCACUCUUUCCUUCUCCUCUUUGAUGUUUUCCUCCCAUCUCUGAUUUUUCUCCUAUCCAUCAUCCAUAAAAUAGAAUCAAUUGUCUCAUGUUUUAUUAACUUACCAUAAUAAAAACAUAUUAUGUUUGGUAAGUCAUUAAAUUCUUAGCAAAUAAGUGCUUAACAAUAAAAUGGCAGGUAAAUCAUGACGAUUGCAUAAAAAAUGCUAGUAACUAGGCCAAAGAUGAUUGACUUCAUGCCAUUGGUGGAUUGCUUGGAAAGAAGAAUGACAGCAAGUUCCUCCUUCCUCAAUCAGGGUGAAAGAUUGCAGUUUCUAAACUCUGGUUUGUCCUCUAUGCCCAUAUUCUAUCUUGGCAGUUUGUUAGCCCCCCCUAGAAUUUUAACAACUAGAGAGAAUCCAGAGACAUUGUCUAUGGAGAAAGCAUAGAGAUGAGCCCUCUCCAUCUUUAGCAGCAUGGGACCUGAUCUGUAGGCCUAAAAGCAAGGGGGGGGGGGUAGGGAUUUUGAACUUGGGGUCCAGAAUAUUGCUCUGUUGCUCAAGGAUAUGCAUAAGUUUUUGAACAAGAUGGAUCUGCCAUGGGUAUCUCUUGUUUGGAAUACAUANNNNNNNNNNNNNNNNNNNNNNNNNNNNNNNNNNNNNNNNNNNNNNNNNNNNNNNNNNNNNNNNNNNNNNNNNNNNNNNNNNNNNNNNNNNNNNNNNNNNNNNNNNNNNNNNNNNNNNNNNNNNNNNNNNNNNNNNNNNNNNNNNNNNNNNNNNNNNNNNNNNNNNNNNNNNNNNNNNNNNNNNNNNNNNNNNNNNNNNNNNNNNNNNNNNNNNNNNNNNNNNNNNNNNNNNNNNNNNNNNNNNNNNNNNNNNNNNNNNNNNNNNNNNNNNNNNNNNNNNNNNNNAUAUUCUAUCUUGGCAGUUUGUUAGCCCCCCCUAGAAUUUUAACAACUAGAGAGAAUCCAGAGACAUUGUCUAUGGAGAAAGCAUAGAGAUGAGCCCUCUCCAUCUUUAGCAGCAUGGGACCUGAUCUGUAGGCCUAAAAGCAAGGGGGGGGGGGGUAGGGAUUUUGAACUUGGGGUCCAGAAUAUUGCUCUGUUGCUCAAGGAUAUGCAUAAGUUUUUGAACAAGAUGGAUCUGCCAUGGGUAUCUCUUGUUUGGAAUACAUAUUAUCACGGGAGGGUACUAGAGGGUACUGCCAGCUAUGGAUCUUUUUGGUGGAAAGAUAUAUGCAAAAUGCUGGAUCAUUUCAGAAACACAACUUGGGUGCAAAUUAACUCUAGAGAUUCAGUUCUAUUUUGUUCUGACAGAUGGAAGCUUGGUGAUUCUGUGACAACCUUGCAAUCAAGGUUUCCAAGGCUAUUUUCUUAUGUGUAAGAUCCAUGGAUAACUGUAGCUGAAGCCUUUCAAGCACAUGAUAUCUUAGAGAUGUUUCAUUUACCUUUGUCUGAAUAGGCAUAUCAUGAAUAUAUGGCAAUUCAGGCAAUGAUGACCACUCACAGUAGAGAUUUGGAUGCAAAUGAUAUAUGGUACUGGCAGGGGACAUGCAAUGCUUUUAAACCUAAGAUAUUCUAUUCCUUCAUGCAUUCUACCUUGUCAUUUAAUCCUCUACUGCUAUGGAUCUAGAAAUCAUCAUGCACAAUGAAAAUAAAUGUGUUUGCUUGGAUGUUGAUCAUGGACAGGCUUAACACUAAAGAUAUGGUUGAUAUGAGGCAUUGGCAUAUGGAUGAAGGGGUUAAUUGUGUUCUUUGUCCUCUGCUGACAAGGGAAACCAGAGGCCAUCUUUUCUUCCACUGUAAUUUUAGUGUGAGAGUCUGCAAUUAUCUUCAAAUCUGUUUGCCACAAGGAGAUGAUAUGAGCAACAUUGUGUUGCAAGCUAAACGAGAUUUUGCAAAAGCUUUCUUCACUGAGGUGGUUUUUAUUGCCUGCUGGAACAUCUGGAUAGUCAGAAAUGCUAAGGUGUUCAGUCAUGAAAGGCCUAGCUUUAAUAAAUGGAGAAGUGCUUUCAUCCAUGGUAUUACUCUCAUGCAACAUAGAAUCAAACAUGUCUUUAGAGAUGAGUUAUUGAGAUGGAUUUCUUUUCUGCCUCCUUAAGGUAUUGUCUUGUAGUUCACUAGUUUUUUAGUUCUCUAGUUUUUUACUUUACAACUUUGAUUACCUCUUGUAAUCCAUGUAAUCUGUAACUCUUUUUGGCAAUAAAGUUAAAGUGCCGGGNNNNNNNNNNNNNNNNNNNNNNNNNNNNNNNNNNNNNNNNNNNNNNNNNNNNNNNNNNNNNNNNNNNNNNNNNNNNNNNNNNNNNNNNNNNNNNNNNNNNNNNNNNNNNNNNNNNNNNNNNNNNNNNNNNNNNNNNNNNNNNNNNNNNNNNNNNNNNNNNNNNNNNNNNNNNNNNNNNNNNNNNNNNNNNNNNNNNNNNNNNNNNNNNNNNNNNNNNNNNNGUUUACAGUCAAAAAAUAAUAAUAGGCUGAAUUAGAAGCUAGUAACAAUAGGCUGAAUUUUUCAAUGAAUCCCAAGUGAGGUGGUUGUUGUGUUGGAUAGAUGUGCCCUUGAUUGGUUACUUCAUACAACUUCAUCAGCAUAGACACAUAAUUCAAAAUAUCACCUUGGAAUAAUUCUAGUCACGCAUAAUUCAAAAGAUCACCUUGGUAUAAUUCUAGUCGAAUAUCUUAACACACUUACUGCACUUGAAAAAUAAGAUUUUCACAGAAGCCGAGAAAAUAGGCAUUUAGUUCUAAUAAGAUCCUUGAAAAAAAAACAAAUAUGGUACCAACAGAAACCUUUUAUGCUCCUACUAAAUAAAUUGCUUUCCCUUACCUUUGACUUUAGACAUCAUAUUCUCCAUUCCAAAAGUGGCAUCUUAAAGCACUUACUACACUUGAACAAUGCGAUUUUCACGAAAGCCUGUAAAAUAGGAAUUUAGUUCUUAUAUGCUCCCUAGAAAAAGAAAAAAUGGCACCAACAAAAAACCUUUAUGCUCCUACUGAAUAAAUUACUUUUCCUUACCUUUGAAUUUAGACCUCUUCUUCUCCGUUCCAAAAGUGGUACCUUAACACACUUACUGUACUUGAACAAUAAUGAGAUUUUCGCAGAAGCCUGGAAAAUAGGCAUUUAGUUCUAAUAUUCUCCCUAGGAAAAACAAAAAUGAUAUCAACAGAAACCUUUAUGCACCCAAUGAACAAAUUAUUUUUCUUUACCUUUGAUUCUAUAUUUUGUCUUCUCCGCUCCAAAAGUGGCAUCAUAAUGGACUUACUACACGUGAACAAUGAUAUUUUCACGGAAGCCUAUAAAAUAGGAAUUUAGUUCUCAUACGCUCCCUAGAAACGACGAAAAUGAUAUCAACAGAAACCUUGUAUGCUCGUACUGAAUAAAUUACUUUUCCUAACCUUUGAUUUUAGAUCUCGUUUUCUCCGUUCCAAAAGUGGAGUCUUAACGCACUUAGUGCACUUGAACAAUAAGAUUUUCGUAGAAGCCUGGAAAAUAGGCAUUUAGUUCUAAUAUGCUCCCUAGGAAAAACAAAAAUGAUAUCAACAGAAACCUUUAUGCUCCUAGUGAAUAAAUUACUUUUUCUAUGUUUUAUUUUAGACCUCGUGUUCUCCGUUCCAAAAGUGGCAUCUUAACGCACUUACUGCACUUGAACAAUGAGAUUUUCACAGGAGCCUGGAAAAUAGGCAUUUAGUUCUAAUAUGCUCCCUAGAAAAAACAAAUAUGGUAUCAAGACAAAAAUGAUAUCAACAGAAACCUUUAUGCUCCUAGUGAAUAAAUUACUUUUUCUAUGUUUUUAUUUUAGACCUCGUGUUCUCCGUUCCAAAAGUGGCAUCUUAACGCACUUACUGCACUUGAACAAUGAGAUUUCACAGAAGCCUGGAAAAUAGGCAUUUAGUUCUAAUAUGCUCCCUAGAAAAAACAAAUAUGGUAUCAAGACAAACCUUUUAUGCUCCUAAUGAGUAAAUUACUUUUCCUUACCUUGGAUUUUAGACCUCGCCUUCUCCGUUUCAAAAGUGGCAUCUUAACGCGCUUACUGCACUUGAAUAAUGAGAUUUCCGCAGAAUCCUGGGUAACAUGCAUUUAGUUCUAAUUUGCUCCCUAUAAAAAUGGUAUGAGUAGAAACCUUUUUUGCUCCUAGUGAAUAAAUUAAUUUUCCUUACCUUUGACUUUGGAUCUCGUUGUCUUAGUUCGAGAUGUAAAUGGAGCAUGGCCUAAUAUUUGGGCAGCGACUGUGGUUCGUCGGGAAUACGCGAAUGGUGCACUGCGUAGGUGCCUUGGAAUACCACAUAUCUGAACUAAGAGGAAAACAUAGACGAUGGAUCACAAUUAUGAGGGCAAACAUAUCAAGAGAGUGGUGGUGGCAGCAGUGGGUGGAGGAGAAGAUAGUUAGAUCUAGAGAAUGUUCGUGGUUGCGGUGGAGGAGAAGAUUGUUUGGUCUAAAGAGUGGUGGUGGCGGCAAAGGGUGGAGGAGAAGAUUGUUAGGUCUAAAGAGUGGUGGCGGCGGUGAAGGGUGGAGGAGAAGAUGGUUAGAUCUAGAGAAUAUUGGUGGUUGAGGUUGGAGGGGAAGAUAGUUAGGUCUCAAGAGUGGUGGCG
rnacentral:lncRNA from 1 species